rnacentral:lncRNA from 1 species
AUGAUGCUUUCAUAGCAUGAAAGUGUUUAAAUUUAACUGAAUGAUCUUGAUUGAUCAAUUAUGAGUUUUAAUCGAGUAAAAACUAAAUACAAUAAUCGUAACAAANNNNNNNNNNNNNNNNNNNNNNNNNNNNNNNNNNNNNNNNNNNNNNNNNNNNNNNNNNNNNNNNNNNNNNNNNNNNNNNNNNNNNNNNNNNNNNNNNNNNUGCUACCUUUUGAUUUUAGUGCUUAAUAUUUAUUGAACUAUGAUGCAGGGAAUUUGAAAUCAAACUCGUAAUACAGAUUAUCUAAUUGCGAGUUGCUGUCCAUAGCUGCUAAUUUGUAGUGAUUAUCUAAUUGACUGAGGUGACAAUAAUUCUUUUAUUUUCAAUAGCACAAUGUGGAAUUCAAUAAUUAAAUUCUCCUGUUUAAUUUGUUUCAAGUUAAAUUAUUAAUUACUUAAACUCGGUUUUAAGUCUUUAAUUUUAUGUGUUUAUGCAGAAUUGGAUUCUUGAGCGUGUUGGACACGACCAACAAUGAAAUUGACAGUAAACAAACAUUAGAACAUGUGGACUCCGGUAAGCACCAAUGAAUUUCUAGCCCCGUUGACUCCGCCAACUAAAGUUUUGUAAAAUAAAAAAAAAUACAUAGAAUUCCACCAAAUGCAAAACGCGUAAAAUUUAAUUUUCGGCCGUGUGGACCAAAACAUAAUUUAACAAAAAAGAAAAAAAUGAUAAGAUUUUUAAAAUGUGUGGAAGGUGAUCCAUAUUUUACUGAAACGACUUGUUAAAUUUUUCAAGGAUUUAGAAUAUUUGGUCAUAAAUUACGUGCAUGUUAAUUUUUCCGCCAUUGACUAUCAUAUUCUAGACUUAAUGGUACCUUUUUUGAUGAAGGGUACUUAGUCUCUCUUCUCCUCUUAUAAAAAUUAUAUUAAUUGAUUUCUUGUUAUAGUUAAUAGUCUUCAAGAACGGAUAGAUUUAUUGUUUUCAUGACCAAAUUAUGCAUGCCUAACGUUGCAACUAUUAAUAAAAUUAAUAUUUAAUAUUUAUGUUAAAAGAUAUAAGAUUUUAUGCAUUCAUUAAUUGUUAUUAGCUAAAGGAUGAAUUAUUUUUUCCCAAUCAGUUGAUGCAUCUGCAAGAGUUUUUUUUUCUUUUAUUGACCAUAAUUAUAUUCCGGGUACAAUAAAUUGUCUUUGGUGCUUGGAAGAUAUGACAUCUCUCUGUCAACUUACUGGAAAUAUCUCCUCAUCUACUCUCAUUUAUCUAAUAUCAAUUGAAGAUCUCAUAUUUCCAAACUAUGACUUCCAAAUCUCAUUAUCAUUUGAGCAUUCAAAACUAAUCAAGUGUGGAAAUAAUCAAAUAUAUGCAAAAAUCGAGUCACAAUCUUUGGCCCCUCAAAAUUCUAAUUAUAUAACUUCUAUAUAUCUCAUACAUUUUCCAAAUUCCUCUUCCAUCAACAUCAUUAGGAGUAUGUUCAUCUCUCACACAUUAACUUGAGUGGAGAGUUUCCAAAUUGAUUGUCAGAAAACAACAAAAGAACUAGACACGCUUGAUCUGUCUAAUAAUUCUCUUUCGGUAAAAUUAAUUAAUUUUAGGGGAAUUCAGCCAACCUCUGUAAUUUUAUAGUGAUCAUUAAUUAAUUAAACAAUACAAAUAUCUAAAGUGAUUAGAUGUUUACUGACAAUACAAGUUCAUGGCUUGAAAUUUGAUCUCUAUCGAUUGGUUUUGUAGUGCUUAAUAUUUACAGAACUCCGGGAAUUUGAAAUCAAACUCGUAACUACAGAUUAUCUAAUUGUAAGUUUUUGUCCAUAGCUGCUGAUUUGUAGUGAUUAUCUAAUUGACUGAGGUGACAACAAUUGUUCUUUUAAUUUUCAAUAGCAUAAUGUGGAAUUCAAUAAUUAAAUUCUCCUUUUUAAUUUGUUUCCAAUUAAAUUAUUAAUUACUUAAACUCUAUUUUAAGUCUUUAAUUUUAUGUGUUUAUGCAGAAUUGGAUUCUUGAGCGUGUUGGACACGACCAACAAUGAAAUUGACAGUAAACAAACAUUACAACGCGUUGAGUGUCGACUCCGGUAGCUGCCCUACAAGUCUACAACUUUACAAAAAAUAAUUGAGUACACACAUUCGAUUCUCGGGACCCUUCAAUGAAUUUCUAACCCCGUUGACUCCACCGACAAAAGUUUUGGAAAAUAAAAAAAAAAUUUAUAGAAUUCCACCAAAUGCAAAACGCGUGGAAUUUAAUUUUCGGCCGUGUGGACCAAAACAUAAUUUAAUGAAAAAAAAGAAGAUAAAAUUUCUAAAAUGUGUGGAAAUUGAUCCAUAUUUUACUGAAACAACUUGUUAAAUUUUUCAAGGAUUUAGAAUAUUUGGUCAUAAAUUAUGCUCAUGUUAAUUUUUCCGCUAUUGACUAUCAUAUUCUAGACACAAUGGUACCUUUCUUGAUGAAGGGUACUUAGUCUCUCUUCUCCUCUUAUAAAAAUUAUAUUAAUUGAUUUCUUAUUAUAAUAAAUAGUCUUUAAGAACGUAUAGAUUUAUUGUUUUCGUGACCAAAUUAUGCCUGCCUAAGGUUGUGACUAUUAAUAAAAUUAAUAUUUAAUGUUUAUGUUAAAAGAUAUAAGAUUUUAUGCAUUCAUUAAUUGUUAUUAGCUAAAGGAUUAAUUAUUUUUUCAACCCAAUCUGUUGAUGCAUCUGCAAGAGUUUUUUCUUUUAUUGACCAUAAUUAUAUUCCGGGUACAAUAAAUUGUCUUUGGUGCUUGGAAAAUAUGACUUCUUACUUCAAGUUUGAUAUGUCUCUCUCCAUAAGCUUACUGGAAAUAUAUCCUCAUUUACUGUCAUUUAUCUAAUAUCAAUUGAAGAGCUCACUUUUUCAAACUAUCACUUCCAAGUCUCAUUGUCACUUGCCAUUCUUGGACCAUUCAAAACCAAACAAGUGUUGNNNNNNNNNNNNNNNNNNNNNNNNNNNNNNNNNNNNNNNNNNNNNNNNNNNNNNNNNNNNNNNNNNNNNNNNNNNNNNNNNNNNNNNNNNNNNNNNNNNNNNNNNNNNNNNNNNNNNNNNNNNNNNNNNNNNNNNNNNNNNNNNNNNNNNNNNNNNNNNNNNNNNNNNNNNNNNNNNNNNNNNNNNNNNNNNNNNNNNNNNNNNNNNNNNNNNNNNNNNNNNNNNNNNNNNNNNNNNNNNNNNNNNNNNNNNNNNNNNNNNNNNNNNNNNNNNNNNNNNNNNNNNNNNNNNNNNNNNNNNNNNNNNNNNNNNNNNNNNNNNNNNNNNNNNNNNNNNNNNNNNNNNNNNNNNNNNNNNNNNNNNNNNNNNNNNNNNNNNNNNNNNNNNNNNNNNNNNNNNNNNNNNNNNNNNNNNNNNNNNNNNNNNNNNNNNNNNNNNNNNNNNNNNNNNNNNNNNNNNNNNNNNNNNNNNNNNNNNNNNNNNNNNNNNNNNNNNNNNNNNNNNNNNNNNNNNNNNNNNNNNNNNNNNNNNNNNNNNNNNNNNNNNNNNNNNNNNNNNNNNNNNNNNNNNNNNNNNNNNNNNNNNNNNNNNNNNNNNNNNNNNNNNNNNNNNNNNNNNNNNNNNNNNNNNNNNNNNNNNNNNNNNNNNNNNNNNNNNNNNNNNNNNNNNNNNNNNNNNNNNNNNNNNNNNNNNNNNNNNNNNNNNNNNNNNNNNNNNNNNNNNNNNNNNNNNNNNNNNNNNNNNNNNNNNNNNNNNNNNNNNNNNNNNNNNNNNNNNNNNNNNNNNNNNNNNNNGUAUUUUACUUGGAAGAUAUGACAUCUCUCUGUCAACUUACUGGAAAUAUCUCCUCAUCUACUCUCUUUUAUCUAAUAUCAAUUGAAGAUCUCAUAUUUCCAAACUAUGACUUCCAAAUCUCUCAUUAUCAUUGAGCAUUCAAAACUAAUCAAGUGUGGAAAUAAUCAAAUAUAUGCAAAAAUCGAGUCACAAUCUUUGGCCCCUCAAAAUUCUAAUUAUAUAACUUCUAUAUAUCUCAUACAUUUUCCAAAUUCCUCUUCCAUCAACAUCAUUAGGAGUAUGUUCAUCUCUCACACAUUAACUUGAGUGGAGAGUUUCCAAAUUGAUUGUCAGAAAACAACAAAAGAACUAGACACGCUUGAUCUGUCUAAUAAUUCUCUUUCGGUAAAAUUAAUUAAUUUUAGGGGAAUUCAGCCAACCUCUGUAAUUUUAUAGUGAUCAUUAAUUAAUUAAACAAUACAAAUAUCUAAAGUGAUUAGAUGUUUACUGACAAUACAAGUUCAUGGCUUGAAAUUUGAUCUCUAUCGAUUGGUUUUGUAGUGCUUAAUAUUUACAGAACUCCGGGAAUUUGAAAUCAAACUCGUAACUACAGAUUAUCUAAUUGUAAGUUUUUGUCCAUAGCUGCUGAUUUGUAGUGAUUAUCUAAUUGACUGAGGUGACAACAAUUGUUCUUUUAAUUUUCAAUAGCAUAAUGUGGAAUUCAAUAAUUAAAUUCUCCUUUUUAAUUUGUUUCCAAUUAAAUUAUUAAUUACUUAAACUCUAUUUUAAGUCUUUAAUUUUAUGUGUUUAUGCAGAAUUGGAUUCUUGAGCGUGUUGGACACGACCAACAAUGAAAUUGACAGUAAACAAACAUUACAACGCGUUGAGUGUCGACUCCGGUAGCUGCCCUACAAGUCUACAACUUUACAAAAAAUAAUUGAGUACACACAUUCGAUUCUCGGGACCCUUCAAUGAAUUUCUAGCCCCGUUGACUCCACUGACAAAAGUUUUGGAAAAUAAAAAAAAAAUUCAUAGAAUUCCACCAAAUGCAAAACGCAUGGAAUUUAAUUUUCGGCCGUGUGGACCAAAACAUAAUUUAAUGAAAAAAAAAAGAUAAAUUUUCUAAAAUGUGUGGAAGGUGAUCCAUAUUUUAUUGAAACAACUUGUUAAAUUUUUUAAGGAUUUAGAAUAUUUGGUCAUAAAUUACGCUCAUGUUAAUUUUUCCGCUAUUGACUAUCAUAUUCUAGACUCACUGGUACCUUUCUUGAUGAAGGGUACUUAGUCUCUCUUCUACUCUUAUAAAAAUUAUAUUAAUUGAUUUCUUAUUAUAAUAAAUUGUCUUUAAGAACGUAUAGAUUUAUUGUUUUCGUGACCAAAUUAUGCUAGAUUAAGGUUGCGACUAUUAAUAAAAUUAAUAUUUAAUGUUUAUGUUAAAAGAUAUAAGAUUUUAUGCAUUCAUUAAUUGUUAUUAGCUAAAGGAUUAAUUAUUUUUUCAACCCAAUCAGUUGAUGCAUCUGCAAGAAUGUUUUCUUUUAUUGACCAUAAUUAUAUUCCGGGUACAAUAAAUUAUCUUUGGUGCUUGGAAAAUAUGACUUCUUACUUCAAGUUUGAUAUGUCUCUCUCCAUAAACUUACUGGAAAUAUAUCCUCAUCUAUUAUCAUUUAUCUAAUAUCAAUUGGAAGAUCGCACUUUUUCAAACUAUCACUUCCAAGUCUCAUUGUCACUUGGCCAUUCUUGGACCAUUCAGAACCAAUCAAGUGUUGAAAUAAGUCGAGAGGGGGGGCAAAAUUAGAGUCACAAUUUUUGGUCCCCCAAAUUCUAAUUAUAUAACUUCUAUAUAUUUCAUUGCCAGGUCACGAACUUGUUGGCACAUUUUCCAAAUUCCUCUUCCAUCAACUCUCACACGUUAACUUAAGUGGAAAGUUUCCAAGUUGAUUGCUAGAAAGCAACGCAAAAUCAGACACGCUUGACCUGUCCCCUAAUUCUCUUUUCUACGUUGAAAAAGAAAAAAAAAAUAUAUAUAUAUAUCUAUGUAAAAAUAAAUAAUAAACUGAAUAAAAGUACAUUUGUUUAAUUAACAUCUGAUCGUGGCAUUUUUGGUGUAAUUUCGUGCUGUGUAAGCCACAACUAAAAUCAAACAGCCCCUUAGCAUACUUCUUCCAUUUUAUCUGGUACUUUUGUGGAUCUUAUAGGGUGGGCAUGUGGACAGAAUUUAAAAGUUUUAAUAGUCUCAAAGAAUAAGAUAUGUUAAAGCUAAAGUUGUUGCACCUUCUAAUUAAAUAAAGUUGUACAAUUUCACCAACUUGGAAGAAUUGACAUUAAUGGACUGGUCCCUUCUCCAUAUAUGAAGCCUUCUUAAAAGUUAAUUUUUAUUUCAGAAAAAAAAAGUUAAAGUUACAUAUAUUAUAGUAAGAUUUUUUGAGACCAAUUCCCUUCUUGAAAUAAUAAUGGAAAAGUAUUAAUUUAAUAAUAAAAUGAAUAUGUAUUGAUUAUAUCUUGAUUUUCAUCGAUUAUAGUGAGAGUUUCUCCAAAUCAAUUCCCUUAUUCAAAUAAUAUCGAAAAAAUAGUAAUUUAAUAGUAAAAUAAACAGGUGUUGAUUAUAUAUUCUAAGUUUCAUCGAUUAUGUGAUCAAAGUGGCAUUGUUGAUUUAUUUCUUGUUCAAUGUUAAUUUUUAGGUUAUCUAAAUUUCAAGGAUUUAAAAUCUUUGAUCAUGGAUUACACGCUUGUUAAUUUUUCUGCCAUUGACUAUCAUAUUCUAGACUUAAUGAUACCUUUCUUGAUCAAGGGUAAUUACUCUCUCUUCUCCUCUUAUAAAUUCCUCUUCCAUUAACAUCACUAGGAGUAUGUUGAUCUCUUACAAAACAACAAAAGAACUAGACACACUUGAUCUGUCUAAUAAUUCUCUUUCGGUAAAAUUAAUUAAUUUUAGGGGAAUAUUCGACCAACCUCUGUAAUUUUAGAGUGAUCAUUAAUUAAUUAAACGAUACAAAUAUCUAAAGUGAUUAGAUGUUUGCUGACAAUGCAAGUUCAUGACUUGAAAUUUGAUCUCUAUCGAUUGGUUUACAAAUGGACAUACUUGUGCCUUUGUGGCGAUAAUCGAACAAGUUCCAAUGAUUAUUAUUUUUUCCAAAAACUUUUUUACAACAAAUUCAUCUCGCCAAAAAUUCUAUGUUGCUAGCUAACAAUAAUUGAGCACUUGGCCGCAUUGACUCCACGUCUCCACCUCUUUCUAAAUUCUAAGUAAAAACAUGGAAAUGUAAUUUCCACAAAAUGCCAAACGUGUGGAAUUUAAUUUUUUGCCUUGUGGAUCAAAAUACAAAUGAAAGAAACAGGAAAAAAAAAAAAGGCCCAAAGACUUCUAAAAGAUGAAGAAGUCUUUGGGCCUUUUUAUAAUGGUGGAUUUUUUAAAAGAAAAAAAUAACAACACUUUUAUGGUUGGUUUUGAUAAUCAUAUGUGCGUAUAUACUCUCUAAUUUUCAAAAUGGACACAUAAAUCUUUUUUUUUCACAAAAUAUAUAUUAUUCAUAUUUUUUAUUUUUUAUUAUCAUAUUUUUAUUUAUUAUAAAUGUUUAGAGUAAAUUUUUAGGUUGAAAUAUAAUAAAAGGGUAUAAUCGUUCUCUUAUUAAACACACAUACUUUUAUUAGUUUCUAUGCAUUUGUCAUCUCAAUCUCUCUCAAUUAUUCUUUAUUGCUAGCUCAAAACACGUUGCUGUUGCAAAUUAUAGCAAAAUGACAAAUAUGGAAAAAAAGGGAAGAAAAUUAAUGCAUGAAAGACUUGGAGAAAACAACAAAAUAAGCCAACUAUGAGCUAGUUGGGUGUAUAAAUUGUUAGAUGUGUUAUAUACAAAUAGCAUAGAGCCCUCUAGUUGGUUCUAGAGACAGAAAGAGCGUGUGUGUUUUUUCACAGUUAGAGAUAUAGUUAGAAUGGGUGGCUCAAAAUCAAAAAUGAUGAUAAUGUUUAUUAUGUUAUUAAUAAUAUUUAAAAGUGGGUGGAGUGAGGGAUGUUUGGAUCACGAGAGAUUUGCUCUUUUGCGACUCAAACAUUUCUUCACUGGUCCUUGUAAUUAUCUUUACGACUGGGUAGAUGGUGAGGGAGCUACUGAUUGUUGUCAGUGGGAAAGGGUUGAGUGCAGCAACACCACAGGCCGAGUGAUAACGCUAGACCUUUUUGACACGUAUGGGGGAGAGCACAACUGGUAUCUGAAUGCUUCUUUGUUUACUCCCUUCCAACAACUUGAGUCACUUGAUUUAACUUACAACAAAAUAACCGGUUGUGUUGAGAAUGAAGGUGCUUCGUUUAAUUUAAUUAAUUUACUUUCUCCCCCCUAAUUUAAGUUGAAUAUCAAGACCGAGCAAUUAUAUGCAUAUUCAUUCAGUUGACAAUUUUGACUUUUUUUUUAAAGAUUAAUUUUGAAAUUACACUAGUAUCUAUGAUCCUUUUUUUUUUUAUUUUACUUGCAGGUAUAGAGAGGCUAUCAAGAUUGAACAACUUGAAGAUGCUUAAUUUAAGUGAUAACUCGUUCAACAAUAGCAUUUUAUCAUCACUAACUCAUCUUUCAUCAUUAAGAUCAUUAAAUUUAUAUGGGAAUAGAUUAGAAGGAAGUAUUGACGUUAAAGGUACAUAAUUAAAACUUCAUCCCUUCUCCAAGCUCUUUCAUUAACUUGCUAAAAUAAGAUUCAAGGCUUUGAAUUCAAUUUUUUUUAUGAUUAGUAUUAAAAAAAAACAGUUUUAAGCAAUUUAUAAAUACAAGUUUUAAUCUUUCUCAUAAUUUCAUCUUGUACUUUCAUGUGUCUUGAAUUUAAGAUUAAAAAGAAAUCUAAUAGCAAACCAAACACCUCCACAACUUAUUAUUAUUAUUAUUAUUAUUUGCGGUGAGGUUUGAAACAUUCAACUCAAUUUGUACUUAUUACAGAAUUUGAUUCUUUGAGAGAUUUAGAGGAGCUAGACAUUGGCGAGAACAAGAUUGACAAAUUUGUGGUCUCAAAAGGUACUACAAAUACCAUAAAAAAAAAUGCUAACUUAUACAAAUUAGUUGGAUUCUUGGCCAUUUGGUUUAUUAUUUUACAGGUUUGAGUAAGUUGAAGUCUCUCUGUUUAAGUGGUAUCAAACUCAAUCGUAGCAUCUUCGCUUCUCUUUCUUCGUUAAGAGAAUUAGAUAUAAGUUAUACGGGAUUCAAAGGAACAUUUGAUGUUCGAGGUAAGUCUAAGCCUUGCUUUCUCAUUUUAUAUAUGCGAACUAGAUUUGUGUAUCAUCGACAUAAUUUAAUAUUUAAUUUAAUAAGUCUGAAGGUAUUACAUGCUAAUUUAAACAUACUUUUAUUUACUUUGUCAAUUAAUUAAUUAAUUAAUUAAUUACUAUUUGGCUUGGUUUGGACGAAAUUCUCAUGAUGUUUUAAUUUCUUUAAAUUAAUUAAUUAAUUAACUCUGUUUUUAAGUCUUAAGUCUGGGCAUGUUUGCAGAAUUUGAUUCCUUCAAUAACUUAGAAGUGUUGGACAUGGGAUACAAUGAAAUCGACAAUCUUGUGGUUCCUCAAGGUAAACAAUUAAAAUAUUAUUCAAUUACAUUAUUUUAAUUCAUUUGAUUAGAGAAGGCCAAAAAGGUCCCAAAAAAAUUAAUAAUAAAGAAACAGAUAAUUUGUAUUAUUUAAAAAAAACAGAAUGUAAUAAAGAUUUGAUUCCAGUUCUUUAAUCUUUAAAGCGAUUGAAAAACAAUGUUGCUCUUUUCCCAAAGUAUAAAAUACGAAUUGAAUGCCAAUUAACUUAAUCAUUCAUUUCGUUUAGCUCUAAAUUUAGACAAUGAAUUUUUAUAUUAUUUCAAAAACAGGACGUAAUAGAAUUUUUUUAAAAACAGAUUGUAAUGAAGAUUUGAUUCCAAUUUUUUAAUCUUUGCAGCGAUUGAAAAACCAUACCGCUCUUUUCCCAAAGCAUAAAAUACGAAUUGACUCCCAAUUAAAUUAAUCAUUUAUUUUGUUCAUCUCUGAAUUUAAAUAAUGAAUUUUGAUCUUCAAUCAUAUUCUAACUACUAUUAAAAAACAAGUUACAAAGGUUUGAGGAAGCUGAAAAGCCUUGAUCUAUCGGAAGUUGAAAUUAGAGAUGGAAGCAAGUUGUUACAGUCGAUGGGAUCAUUCCCAUCCCUCAACACUCUUUACCUGAAGGAUAAUAAUUUUACCGAUAUAGCGACAACUACUACUCAAGGUAAGUAAAAGGUACAGAUGUGGCCAAAUUUAUAAAUAAAUUGUUAAUUAAUUAAUUUUUCCGUAUUAUUAAUUAAGCUAAAUUCGUUGCUCCUUCCUUCUAAAUCUAAACAGAGUUGCACAAUUUCACCAACUUGGAAUAUUUGACAUUGACCGGUUCCUCUCUCCAUAUAAGCCUUCUGCAAAGCAUUGCAUCAAUAUUCCCUUUGUUAAAAAUUUUGCCGAUGAUUGGUUGUGAAGUCAAUGGCAUCCUACGUGGUCAAGGUAAAAGAAAAGCGUUGAAUGUGCACUCACUGAGUGUUGUCCUACGUGUUCAAUAUUUUCAUUUAUUCAUUUUAUUGUUUAAUGUUUCUGCUAGGUUUUACUCAUUUCAAGAGUUUGGAACAUUUGGACAUGGAUUACGCGCUCAUUGCACUCAACACCAGCUUUCUUCAAAUCAUCAGUGAAUCGAUGCCUUCUCUUAAGUACUUAUCACUAUCAAAUUCUACUCUUGGCACUAACAGCAGCAGGAUUCUUGAUCAAGGUUAAUCAGAUGCUCCCACCCCCCUUCUUAAUCUAUAAUAUUAAUUUUCAAUUAAAUAUUUAAUUACACAAACGAAUCACUUAUUAUAAAAGAAUAAUACGCAUUCAUUAAUUUUUAUAUUGUAUUAAUUGAUGAAUUUAAUAAAUUUUCAGGCCUCUGUUCGUUGAUGCAUCUGCAAGAGUUGUACAUUGAUAAUAAUGAUUUAAGAGGUAGCUUGCCUUGGUGCAUGGCAAAUAUGACAUCCCUCCGAUUAUUAGAUGUUUCUUCCAAUCAACUUACGGGAAGCAUCUCCUCAUCUCCCCUCGUUCAUUUGACAUCCAUUGAAGAGUUGAUGCUUUCAAACAAUCACUUCCAGAUCCCAAUUUCACUUGAACCACUUUUCAAUCACUCAAGACUCAAGAUUUUCAAUGCUUAUAACAAUGAAAUAAAAGCUAAAAUAACUGAGUCACAUUCUUUGAUCGCCCCAAAAUUCCAAUUAAAUACACUCUUGUUGUCUUCCAGUUACGGAGACAGUUUCAUAUUCCCCAAAUUCAUUUACCAUCAACAUGACCUGGCGUAUGUUGAUCUCUCACACAUAAAGAUGAAUGGAGAAUUUCCAACUUGGUUGUUGGAAAACAACACAAAAUUGAGCCAACUUUCUGUCGUCAAUGAUUCUCUUGCAGGACCUUUUCGGUUGCCAAUUCAUUCACACAAGCAGUUAAGACUGUUGGAUAUAUCCACCAACAACAUCCGAGGCCACAUUCCAGUAGAAAUUGGAGAUGUUUUGCCACGUUUAUACGUUUUCAACAAUUCCAUGAAUGCUCUAGACGGUAGCAUUCCCUCUUCAUUUGGUAAUAUGAAAUUCCUCCAAAUUCUGGACUUAUCCAACAAUCACUUGACUGGUGAAAUCCCCGAGCACUUGGCCGUGGGUUGCGUCAACUUGCAGGCUCUUGCAUUAUCAAAUAACAACCUACAAGGUUACAUGUUCUCUAGAAAUUUUAACUUGACAAACUUGAGAUGGUUACAAUUGGAGGGCAAUCGAUUCGUAGGUGAGAUCCCACAAAGUUUGUCUAAAUGCUCCUCACUAGAAGGAUUGUAUAUUAACAAUAAUAGUCUUUCGGGUAAGAUUCCACGAUGGUUGGGUAAUCUCACAUGGUUACAAUAUAUUAUAAUGCCCAAUAAUCAUCUUGAAGGCCUUAUUCCAGUGGAGUUUUGUCAGCUUGAUUCGCUUCAGAUUUUGGACAUUUCAGACAACAACAUAUCUGGAAGUUUACCAUCUUGUUUCCAUCCUCUCUCUAUCAAACAAGUUCAUCUUUCAAAAAAUAUGUUACAUGGACAACUAAAAAGAGGUACAUUCUUUAAUUGCUCUUCCCUUGUGACAUUAGAUCUUAGCUAUAACCGCUUGAAUGGCAACAUUCUGGAUUGGGUUGAUGGGCUUUCUCGGUUAAGCCACCUGAUCUUAGGUCACAAUAAUCUUGAAGGUGAAGUGCCAGUUCAAUUGUGCGAAUUGAACCAACUACAAUUGUUAGAUCUUUCUAAUAAUAAUCUUCACGGUCCUAUUCCUCCUUGCUUUGAUAACACCACACUUCAUGAAAGUUACAGCAAUAGUUCUAGUCCUGAUGAGCAAUUUGAAAUAUUUUUUUCCAUCGAAAGCCCUGUGGGAGAUGUAAAAGAGCAAAUCCAUGAAAUUUUUGAGUUAACAACAAAGAACAUUGCGUACAUUUACCAAGGAAAAGUGUUUAGCCUCCUAUCAGGACUUGAUCUUUCUUGCAACAAGCUAAUCGGUCAUAUUCCUCCUCAAAUUGGAAAUUUGACAAGGAUUCAAACAUUGAAUCUAUCGCACCAUAACUUGACAGGAUCGAUCCCAUCAACAUUUUCAAACUUGAAGCAUGUCGAAAGUUUGGAUCUUUCCAACAACAAAUUGAAUGGAAAAAUCCCUUAUCAACUAGUGGAGUUAAAGACAUUGGAGGUUUUCAGUGUGGCAUACAAUAACUUAUCAGGCGAAAUUCCAGAAUGGAAAGCACAAUUUGCAACCUUCAACGAGAGUAGCUAUGAGGGAAAUACUUUUCUUUGUGGACUGCCAUUGCCCAUUUGCAGAUCACCAGCAACUACGCCGGAGGGUUCAAUCGGCAAUGAACGAGAUGAUAAUUUAAUUGACAUGGACAGUUUCUUUAUCACAUUUACAACAUCGUACGUAAUUGUGAUAUUCGGAAUUGUUAUUGUUUUAUAUGUAAAUUCUUAUUGGCGACGUAAAUGGUUUUACUUUGUUGAAAUGUGGAUAACUUCAUGUUAUUAUUUUAUUGUAGACAAUCUUAUUACAACAAGAUAUUGUCAUUGAAAUUAAUUAGCAGUUUAAUUACGAUUCUUUAAGUUCUAAUCAAGUUUGCACUUGAUCGCCUAUUUUACUUUAAAAAAUAAUGAUUAUGGUGCUAUCAUCAUCUUCUUCACUAGCAACAUUAACACCAAAUCCAGCGAUGGACCCAGACAUUUUAUCAAGAUAUCCACCAUAACUUAUACUUCCCUAUACUGUGCAGCCUACUUAAAUAAGAGAACCAUCUCCAAUGUUAAAACCAGCCACUCUAUAACAUUCAUUUAGAAACUAUAUUUAGAACUCUCCAAUCCACCCACCAGAAUUUCAUAUCUCCUCAACAAUUUUAAGAACUAAAGAUAAUUAGGAUAUAACAUUAGUUUUUUAUAUAUUAGUUUCAUAAUUUACAAAUCAAUGAAGAUGAAGAUUAUGUUAAUGAAUUCAAAUUAUACCAUACAUUCUCGAGAUGCUACCAAAAAUUUCUAAGUCAAUCCCACAUAUUUCAUAAUUUUAAGACUAGAAAAUUUCAUUAGGUAGAAGUUUCAUUACCUUCAAGUGGAAGAUGAAGAACAUUAUACAAUUGAUUCAGAUUAUAUCAUACAUACUCCAAAUGCAACUAGAAAUUAACAAGUUCAUGCGCACAGAUUUCAUAACAUUAUGAAUGGAAAGUUUCACAAAGAGAAAUUAUAAAUUCAAUCUCUUGCAUCAAGGUAGUUUGAUUGAUUUGAGUUACUUUCUGAUCAAGCUAUUAAUAUAACAUUCAAGUCAGGGAGAAAGUAAAUUAAAACUGGGAAGAAAUAACAGUAAAAAUUUGUUGCUAAACAUGAUGUGUAUUUUUUUUUUAAGGCAAUUUGGAAACACAGUUGUUACUACAGAUAUUCUCCUCAACUUAGAGAUAAUACAAAUAUUAAAAUGCAUAUGAUCGCACAUAUUACUUUGGAAGCUUAGUAAGAUUUCAUUAAGAGAAGCAAAUCAAACCACUUAUUUCAUUGUUGCAUCGUUCUAUAAGCUAAAAUAGCAAUAUAAUACAAGAAAAAGAACAUAUAGAUACUUGGCAAGAGUUCAUUAAGAAGUCGCAUCACAUUCGGGUGAGUUUGCUUCUGAUAUCUUGCUAGCUGGGGCUUUUUCUUGUCUUUCUAUGUAUGCCGAGGGAAACCAACCAGCUUGGCCCUUGCAUUCACCUUCCGACCAUCCAGUAGGAGCCACCUUGAGAAGUUAUAACUAAAACAGUGAAUUAAACAACAGUUGACCAUUCAAAGACCUAAGGGGAAAACUAAUUCUUUUACGUAGGAAGAGUGAAUUAAUUCUGAUCACUGAAAUAACAGCAUAACUAUGGAAGCCUAAAAAGAUAUAAAUUCACACGUCUAUAAGGGUAAACUGGGUGGUUUAGAACUGAGCUAGCAACCCUACCAUAUUCUGAUUUGCACUUCAAUGUAAAAGGGAAUAUAUGGUAUGAAGAAAGAAAACCAACCAUCAUUUGUUAACCCAUUGCUUUUCAAUCAAAAUUUUAAGAACAAAAUGCCAUGUGCUUUGAACAUCAAAUAAGUAUAAGCAUUAGUUCUAAAUUCCACAUAUCAUAAGUUAGAAGGAUAAGUUAAUAGCAUAGUAGAAAAAUCUGUGUUGUUAUUUAGAGGGGAAAGUACCUGGCGAACCACAACAUAAUCAUCAAUUGAAAGACUUAACUCUCCAUUUGCUUGAGCAUCAAAUGGAUGUAUAACCUGCAAGAUAAUGGGAUAAAUAGAACUUAAUCUCAAAAAAAGCAUAACAAAAGCAGCAACAGUAUCAGCAGCGUUCAUUGUAACCACUAUGAUCAUGGCCAACAAAGAUAUAUUAGAAACAAAAUUCCAUUUUUACUACGGCAUUAAUAUGCACUAUAUGAUAUCAUGACGAUUGGGUUACCAAGAGCUAUCAAAGUCCAAUAAAUUCUGUAUAACUUUAUGUAGUUAUUCAAAUUAUGGAUCAGAUUUUAAAUCUGAAAUUUUGACUGCUCUCCACAAAACAUGGCCUAUGCACAAGAAGGUCAUAGAUAAUGAGGAUUACAAGUGUUUGACAUCUUUAGAGUGAUGGAUUUAAGAUGACAGCUUAUGGUCAGUCAAUUUCCUCCGCCUAGCAAUAUAAGCUUUCUCGGCCGGAUUUAUCAUCAAAUAUAUAGAUUGCCCCCAAGUCACAUCCAUAUAAACAUAGUUUUUCUAGGUAAACCAAGUAAGGAGAAUCAUAAUUCAGACAUAAUCAUAAAAAGGCCCAUCUAACUUAAGAGAAAAUCUCAAAAAGAGGAAUGUUGAGCUAUCAUUCUUGUAUCUAUAAGCAAUAUCAAGACUUUACAUCACCUGCUACAUCGUGAGUGGCUACACAACUUUCAGUGGUUUGUCUUUCUUUGGCAUGCCUAACUCAGCUUUGAUGUUGCUGAGAUAUUGAUGGUAGAGACACAUGAUACUUCUAGCUCAUGCAUUCUAUCUAGCUCAUUCGACAGCUAUCUCUUUUUUAAUUCAUUAGUGUUUGCUAAACCUCAUGCUUAAAAAUCAUGCUGUUCUAAACAAAGUUUCCUAAGAAUGACUUCCUCAGCACCACACUUAGACACUUUUAGAGCAAUUUUAUUUGGGGGAAAAGAAUUUUCAAGGUGUUAACUAAUAAAUUUUAAAAAAUAAUUACAAUUUGUCCUACGAUUAUAUGACAAUUUAUCUAGGAUGAAAGGAUACAGACAGACAUCUUCCACUUUCAAGACUAAUCACUACUUCCGUAGAUGUUUUGCAAUAACACAAAUACUUGACCAGAUGGUAGUGAUGGUAGAAAAUAUUUUAUUGCUCCAAAAUUAAAAUAAGAAUGCAAUAUGUUAAGCAAAAGACUGUGCAACAUCAAAUUAAUUGAUAAGUUUGUAAUUCAGUAAAUUAACAACUUUCAUGGUAAAAUACAACAAAUUUCUUUUCAAAAAAUUUUUUUAAAAGACAGCAUUCAAUUUUGUGCGCAUCUUAUUUCUUAAGAUUUUCCAGGAGGGCAAUAGAGGGACUUUCACCUAUGCAAGAGAGCAGAAGCCUUACUUUCGCUAUAAAGUAGACGUCAUUCUGAUUAAUAUGCGUUUGCAAAUCAACUCCAUUUGAAUCAGUAUUCUGAUAGACACAUGAGGCAUUUACAUCCAUUUCCAAAGUCACAUGUUGCGAGGAGGACUCAUUUGAUUGCUCCUCUAGGAUCAUCUAAUUCAAGUAGCAAGGGUUGGAAGAGAAUAAAAAGUCACAAUUAUUCUUUUGCAUAAGUGAGACGAAAAUGAUAAAUGCACUAUUAUCAGCAGUAAACAAGAAGAGAACACUCCAAGGAAUAGAUAGAUGCGGACAAGCAAGUUAAAAUGCACAGUUCCAAACCUCCGCAUACAACUUCUCUGAAAUAGCAAUAACGUGUUGAUGAUAUGUUUUCUCAGCAUCUACCUUUAAAGGCCCGAGACCAGGAAAACAACAAUAAAACCACUAGCUAAAGGAGAAAGUAAAGAAAGAAAUACACUUGACAUAAAUCUUGACAAGAAGCACAAUUUAAGACAUAACAAACCCCAAUCAUAUUGUUUAGGACUACCAUUCGUUAUUUCGUUAUUGUAGCAUUUAGAACAAGUGUUGACUUAAUUCAACAUUGUUGGAAAGAUAGGCUUUUAGAAGCGGAAGAAAGCCACUCAAACCAAAGUGAUUGCCCUUGAAUUGAUCAAGGGAUGUAAACAUAUUACAUUUCCAGGAUGAGUUUUAAUCACUCCCCUGAUUUAUUUGGGUUGCAGUAAAACUAAGCGAGCAACUGUUUGACUUUCAAGCAACAUCUAAAUCAGCUAUUAAAAUUCAAAUAAAAUCAUAAUAGAAUAAUAACAGGCCAUCUUGCAUCAAAAAUUAAGUUUAAUUUGUGAAUUGUUUUCUAUAGACAUGUUAGUUCCUGCUAUUGAAAUGUUAAAAGCAUUGAAAAAUGAUUCAAUAAAUUAUGCAAACAUUAAAAUAGAGGACAUAUUAAAAAGUUUCUAAUUACAAUGUUAAGAUUUCCUAUAUUUUAGCAUUUGCAUAUUUUAAUUUAUGUAAAAGCUACGUCGAUCAACUUUGGGCGUGAAGAUUUUAGCUUCUACGAGACUUGAUUGGAAUAUGCAUAAGGAAGAGUGUUAAAAUAUGAUGCAUCCAACGAAAGACAAACCACGUGUAGUCUUUUAAUUAAGCCAAAGUAGCAGCUCAAACAAAUGACACUUGGACCAACAUGCAAUCAUGAAGGGGCCGGAAAAAGGACAAAUGCAACUUUGGCUUAAAUAAAAAAUAACAUGUGACUUGACUUUUGCUGGACAUGCAUCAUGUUAUUACAAGACAACAGAAAUCAGUAUGAUAGUACUAAAAGUUGACAAUAACAUGAAGAUAAGAGGCAGAAUAUCAACACAUGCAUAGGCACACACAAGGAAGUAUUAACUUAUAUACCAUAGCAAAAAGUCUUUGAAAUAUCAAUAAAAAAAAAACAAUUAAUUAAAGGUCGAAGAUGGGUCCUUUACAUAUGUUUUUGUUUUCGUAUUAGGUAGGAGGUUAUUAUAUUAUAUCAUGUAAUUAAUUUAUAUUAUAUCAUAUUAUAUCAUAUAUAUAUGAAAAAAAAAAAGAAUUUCAAAGAGAUAGCAACAUACAAUAGACUGAAGCCAUUUGAUCUACUCAUUGAUUUCAGCCUUAAACUUGUAAAUACUUACUGUACGCUAGUGCUCUAAGAAGUGAAAAUGAUGCAAACCCUGAUCCCCUUUUGACUUCCAUUUACUGUCAAAUAUUCUAUUCAUACGAAAAAAAUGUUUAGAUAUCUUACUAUAAAUAUAGCCGUUUGACUGUCUUAAUAAAGUCACACACAACCAUUCUUAUUAAAUUAGCAAGAUCAAACACUGCCCUGGAUCUUGAACAGAUCCACGCAAGUUGCACAACUUACGAUUGAAUCCGGCCAGAAAAAAUCAACUCUUUAGCAAGAAAAAUUAAUCAGAGUCAAGAAACAAGUUUAAUGAAUAUAAACCUAUAAUUGAAACAAACAUAGCCAAGAAACAAAUAGAGAUUUUACAUGUUUCAGUUGUACCAAGGAUGGCACAACCUACACCACGGGAGAAGCUUUCUGGUGACCCCAAUCUGCUUAGUUAAUAAUAGAGAUUUCAGAGAAUAAGCUAUAACCCUCUCUCCCUCUUCAGUCUCUCUCUAUUUUGUUCCCAUUGAUGACCCCAAUCUGCUUAGUUAUCCAGCUUUAUAGCUGCAUCAGUAACAAACCAGCAAACCCAGAUUGAGCAGAUUGACGACACGUGGAUAACGGCUUUAACGAACCUGGUUAAGAACUGCUCACAUGUUCGUCACGCGUGCUGCUUAAAUGAUGGCCAAAACGACUUCAAACAAAUGUCGUUUUGAGGCUUAUGAAUUACAAGUGAUAACACGAGCUUGUCUCAUGACUUUUAAAUGCAACAACGUGCCCACAACGCCGUCGUUUUACUCUGUUGAGUUUGAUUCAUUACUAAGCUUUACGACUGGCAAUGGAGAAGAUGAUAAUUUAAUUGAUACGGACAGUUUUUAUAUCACUUUUACAACAUCCUAUGCAAUUGUAAUAUUGAGAAUUAUUGAUGUUUUAUAUCCUCAUUGGCAAAAACUAGUGGUUUUAUCUUUGUUGAAAUAUAGAUGACCUCUCGUUACUGUUUUAUUAUAAACAUAUAGUUUCAUAAGUGAAACUAUAUGUUUAUAAUAAAAUUAACAUAUAGUUUCGUUACAUUUCUGCCUCAUUAAGAUUCUCAAAUACCAGUCAGGUUUGCUUAAGAAAUAAAAAUUUUCCAUUAAAAUUGCAGUAGUAUUUCCAAGCAUAUCGCAUUUUCUAUGAUUUUUCAUAAAUUAAUUAAUCUGCGGUGCCAAUAUCAGAUUUAGUUUUUCAAACUAAAUAAUCAAGAAAGCAAACAUACAAAUAUACAUACAAAUAUACUAAGCCAGCUACCUCACUAAAUUCCGAUUCGUACAGUGAACUGCAAGAAAUUGAGAAAACAAUGUAUUUAUAAUUUAAUAGAAUCAUAAGAAAACAAUGUAGUCAUUGCUUAAUAUAAGAUGAUUUCGGAGAGCCACAUUGUUUUCAAGUUAAUUUGAACCGUUUAUAAGAGAUGAAGUGGAAUCAAGUUGAAAGUUUAAAUAACAAAUCCCUGUUCUUGAGUUUUACGACGUCGUUACUCCUUCAAGUGGCAGAUUAUGCAAGUGAAUGCAGAAACAUGUGCAGAGCAUGUCAACAUGGCACAUUUAACCAUCAUUCAAGUGAUGAUGGGUUUUAUAAGACUGCUUAUGGGUUUUAUCAAGUUCCUCUGCCUCUAAGCAAAAAAUUAAAUUCGUAAUUUGUAAACGAAUUUUCCUGACAUGUAUAGUAAAUGAAGUUGUUGAUCCUUUCUUUGGAUUAUUGCAGCUCUGGUUGUGGGUCACCGAUGAGCCAAAGUCUUAUGGGUUUUAUCAAGUUCCUCUGCCUCUAAGCAGAAUUACUAUUGAAGGGCCAAAAAGAAAAUGAAAACGUGUGAACUCCAACAACCACCCCACAAAUUCAAUGACGAUGCUCAGAGACGGUUACGUUGGGCCUCUGAGAAAAAAAAUUUAUUUAGUUAAAAAAUUACCCAUAUUGAAACAUGUAUAAAAAUUUUAUAUUAAUUAGUUAUGUUUCCUCUUCAACUAUGAUCAAAUUCUUAUUCGAGCUCAUUAUUUAAUGAAUAAACGCGUAUUUUAAUUAUCUCAAUUAAUAUUUAGAACAAAUAUUUUAAGAAAUAAAGCUCAUUACAUCUCCCAUCAUUAGGUAUCUCUUUAAUUUCUUAUUUACAAAAUUAUAUUGUACAUUAAAAAUGUAUUGAAUUAGAAGAAAAUAAAUUCAACUCACUCCAAAAAUAAAUAAAAAAUGCUGGUAGCUUCGUAAUAAUUACUGUAUUGACUGCACCAGAUAAAGUUUUGUAAAAUAAUAAGUUCCCAUUAGAGGUUUUUAAAUUUUUUUUUCCGGCACACCUGAUCAAGAAUUCUAUUUUGUUAACUAAUCAAUUGCAAAGCAUAAGUGUUGAACGGUACAAAAAAUUUGAAAAAAACACUUAAAACGUGGGGUGGGUAACGGUUCACUCAAUUCGUUAGGUAGAAUUUUGGAAAACUAAAGCGAAAUGAGAAAUAUAGAAAGAAAGGAAGAAAGUUAAGAUAUGAAAGAUCAGCAGUGAAAUUGAUAGUCAUGUUUGAUUCAUCCUUCUAUGAAUUUCUAGCUGUAUUGACCCCAACUGCUAAAGUUUUGUAAAAUAAAAAAAAAAAAAAACUGGAAUUUCAACAAAAUUCAAAACGUGUGAAAUUUAAUUUUUGGCCAUGUGGAACAAAAUGUAAAUUAAGGAAAAAAAGUAUAAAUCUGAAUUGCUUAGUAUGGUUAGGAUUUUGUGAGCAUCACUAAAAAGUGAAAACUAUGAAUGAUAGAGGUGAUGUUUGCAACAUGAAUAAAUGAUGAACUGAAUCAAUUGAUGAUCGUAAUUAUAUAAAAUUUUACAAAAUCAACAAAAGUUAAUAAAAUUUUAUUUAAAUAAUAAAAAAUCAAUAAAAACUUAUUAUUUUACGACGCUCUAACCAUGGAGUACCAUAAUCAUAUUCUUCUUUUAAGAAAAUUAUUCUAGAUAUUUAAAAGAAAACAUUAUCCACCUGGAAUGACUUGAAGUCUAAAGAAAAAGAGAGAAUGGCUCCCCGCAAUUUUCUUGUCUUCAGUAUAUUUUCUUUUUUUUUUCUUUUUUAAAAUCUUUUGCCGCAUACUUAAUCUACCCUUGUUUAUUAUCUCUACUUUGCUCUGUUCAAGUCCUUUUUUUUUUCAAAUCUUAUUUUAAAUAAGAAAAUUGAAUAAAAGUACAUUUGUGUAAUUAAUUAGUAUCUGGGGGGGGGGGGGGGGGAUAUUUGGUGUAAUGUUUUGCUAUGUAAGACUCAGCUAUUAUUAAACAGUUCCUUAACCUGUUUCGCAGUUUAUUUGCUAUCUUUGUGGAUCUCAUAGGCGUUGCAGAAUUUAAUAAUUUUAUUCGUCAGAAGAAUAGGAUAUUGGCUUCAAUAAAUUUAAUUUAAACCAACUUUUAUUUACUCCAUCAAUUAAUUAAUAUUAUGCAUUUAUUAAUUGUUAUAAUCUAAAAAAAAUUAAUUAGUUCAGGUCAAUCUGAGUUGAUGCAUCUGCAGGAGAUUUUUUUUAAAUUUUUUUUUCCCCUUAUUGACCAUAAUGAUCUAAGGGGUAUAAUUCGACCUUGGUUCUUGGGAAAAAUGACAUCUCCUUCAACAUGACUAUUGACUAGGAGCAUGUAAAAACAUGGAAACAGAAUUUCCACAAAAUGCCAAACGUGUGGAACUUAAGUUUUGGCCAUGUGGACCAAAUGCAAAUGAAGGAAAAAUGAUUUCCCCUGCUUAUGUACAAAUAAAGGAACAACCUCGAAGAAAAAGGGGUUACCAAUUGGAGAAGACUUUACAGAGUUUCUCUCACACUCUCUCUGUCAAUUUCAUCUAGAAGUCCCUCUGAAAGCAUCUCCCAAAACAGUUAGUCAUCUUUUAUGCUCUGUUUUCUAGAAACAGAGUCCUAACUAAAUUGAUUGACUGUACAGUGCAUUUCAACAUAGCAUAUUUAACCGUUUUAACUGUUAUUUGAACCGUCUUCAGAGUUAACAUCAACAAACUCAUUCACAUUGGUCCAAUCUUACGGACGAUAUCAUAUGCUUAAUAAUGAACGAAUUGGAUCAGUGUUUUGCGGCAAGAGCAACUCGACACAAUCUGGAUUCAACCUCCUCCUAUCUAACAAGGGAUUUCGAUUUGAGUUACUUUGUGCUCAAGCAAAUUCACAUCAUAGUUUUGAUUCUUUAGAUAUGAAUUCAUCACUUUACAUAUAUCAGAUUAAUGUGUAACAAAAUUUUUAAUUUACUGCGAAAAGAAUAUGCACUAAAAAAUGAUUUCAAGACUAUUUGACUACCAAAAGCAGCUGUCAGAGUGCACUAAAAAUUUCUGUAGGAUAUUUUGUAGCUGUUUAAUAUGUUAUGAUGGGCAUAUAAUUCUCAAAUUUUGAUGCCUCUCAGCGAAAAUCUAUCAAAGUUACAGAUGAUAUCACGUAAAACAUGCAUGGCUCAGGCUCAGGCUCAGGUAAGAAGCCACGGAAAAGGAAAAUCUCACUGUCACGACUCACGUCACGCAUCAUUCAAGUGAUGGAUUUAACAAGACUGCUUAUGUUCUAUCAAAUUCCUCUGCCUCUCAGAAGAUAACUUUUCUGGGCCAAAUUUCUCAUCUAAAGCAUAUUAUGCCCCAAAGUCACAGAUAACAAAAUGGGGCACUACCGAUUAUGAAAGAGAACUAGUAGUUGUCAGAAGCCUAAGUCAAAUUCCGGUAGUAAGAAGAGGCCUUUCUUGAGUUUAGAUUAUGUGUUCGAGUUUUAAUAAAUGCCUGAGUUAAUAAUAAUAACAACAGUAAUAAUAAACUAAAAAGCAUAAUUACUAUUGAAUGGUAAAAAAAAAAAAAUUGUGUGAACUCCAAUAACACCCCAGUGGCGAAUUUUGGAGAGGGCUAGGCCGGGCUUCUUAGAAAAAAAAAAUAUUUAAUUACAAAAUUACCUUUAUUGAAACCUAUAUAAAAAAUUUAUAUUAAUUAGUUAUGAUGCCUCUUCAAUUAUCAUUAAAUUCUUGUCUGUUCAUCAUUUGAUGGAUAAAUGUGUAUUUAAAUAAUCUUAAAUAAUGUCUAGAACAAAUAUUUUGAAUGGUAAAACUCAUUAUGUCUUGCAUUACUAGAUGUAUCUAUAAUUUAUUAUUUACAAAUUAUAUUGUAUGAUAAAAAUGUAUUGAAUUUUUUUUUUAAAGUUCGGCUCACUCAGAAAAAAAAAUGUUAUUAGACUCGCCACUGCACAAACCUAGAAUAAUAAUUAUUCCUUAUUAUAUUGACUGCACCAGGCAAUAAACUAAUAAGUUCUCAUCAGUGGUUUUUAAUCUUUUUAAUUCUUUUUACCGCACACCUGAUCAAGAAUUCUAUUUUGUUAACUAAUCAAUUGCAAAGCAUAUAUUAGUGUUGAACGGUGCACAAAAUUGAAAAAACAAAAUCUUAAAAAACGUGCGGACUCGGAUAGCCAGACCAGAAAUCUAUGACAAUAAUUAGAUUUGAUGCUGGGAAUCUAUUAAUUUCUGGCCGUAUUGACUCCACCAGUGAAGUUUUUAAAAUAACAAGUUCCCAUUCUCGGCUUAUAAUAAUUUUAGAAUAAUGACUUAUUUGUAGAAGAAUUUAUGAUUUCCCAUUAAUAUCAAUAUUGAAGUGGCAUGGGUCAAAUCUCAAUUGCUUGAAGAAUCUAUUUAUUAUUAUUAUUAAUAUUGAAAUGGGGUGGGUAACGGUUCACUCAAUUAAUAUGUGGGGAAUUAAAUAUUACCACCCAAGGUAGAAUUGUGGAAAAUUAAAGCAAAAUGAGAAAUAUGGAAAGGAAGGCUGAAAGUAAGGCAUGAUGAAAGGCUUUGAGAAGGCUGAAGACCACCAAAUAAGUCAACUGAAAGCUAGUUGGGGCCUGGUAUAUAUGUUAGAUGUGUUUGUUAUAAAUAACAUAGAGCCCUUUUGUUAGCUAUAGCUAUGGAGACAGAGAGAGUUUGUGUUUUUUAGUAGUUAAAGAUAUAGCUAGAAUGGGUGGUUCAAAAUCCAAAAUGGUGACAACGUUAGUUUUGUUAUUAAUAAUAUUAGAAGGGGGUGAAGUGAGGAAUGUUUGGAGCUUGAGAGAUUUGCUCUUUUGCGGCUUAAGCAUUUCUUCAAUUCUCCUUAUAGACUUUAAAACUAGGUAGACGAGCAAAGAGAUUGUUGUCAGUGGGAAACCGUUGAGUGCAGGAAAGUGAUACGACUACAUCUUAGUCUUACCAGGAAUAUCGAUCUGGGAGAGUGGUCUCUGAAUGCUUCUCUAUUUACUCUCUUUCAACAACUUGGCAACAAAAUAGCCGGUUGGGUUAAGAACGAAGGUCCUUCAUUUAAUUUAAUUUACUUAAUUUCUCCCUCUUAAUUAAUGUCUAUAACCAUUAGGAGAAAUAAGGGAUUUUAUUAACUCAAAUAUGUCUAAUGGAGCUCAUUCUUUGGUUUUACUUGCAGGUCUAGAAGCAGGUGUGUCAUCUAACAGCUGCUUUGAUAAUUUCCCACACCUUCAUCUUUGAUGGAAAUAUGAAAUAAAAACAAAUUGGUGAAAAUGGUAUUGGUACCUGAGGCCAUGUAAUCUAUUUCAAAAACUACACCAUCAAAACGAUUACAUAAGUCUCAGAAGAAUCAAACAUCAGUUUUGCAAAAUACCAAUUGCUGGAGGCUAGAUUCUAACUUCCCCUCUUGAUUUUUAUGGGCAUGUUGUGUCGUACAUGCAGACAAAAAUCAUAUUUUACUUUACUUAUUUCUUACUUUCACUUGCAACCCAAAGUGGCAAGAAAUAAAUAACAUGCUCCGAUUAGCUGGACAAAAGGAUGAUGACAAUCGAGUCGAUAUUAUAUGCAGAGUUUUCGAGAUAAAAUUAUUCCAACUAAUGCAAGAUCUGAAAAAAGAUCAACCAUUUGGAAAAAUAAUUGCAUGUAAGUUCACUUCAAAUUCGUAUACAUAACAAAUUCAACUCAUUUGUUAUUGAAAAGUGCAGGGAAGAACAAUAAUUUCACAAUUGAAAUCAAUGUUUCUAACUUUUAAAUUUUACUCCAUUUUGUGGCAGGUCUAUAGACAAUUGAGUUUCAAAAAAGAGGCUUGCUGUUGUGCAAAUUUUAAUGUACUCGCAAGCGCACGAAUCUAUUGUAGUAUAGAUCAAUGGUGACGAGUGUCGAUCCCACGAGGAGGUGGAUUUUAAUUGUGUAGAAUUAAUUUUGUGAAUGGGUGAUUGGAUUUUGUGGUGAAGGUGACUUAGAUUAUCCUAAAAUUGGAAUUGAAAUGGCGAGAAUAACUUGAAGAGAAUUCUAUUGAAAUGACGUACUUGGGUAUCUGGAUCCGUAUCAACAUGCAUCAUGGGCUAAAUAAUCUGUAUUAAUGCCAAUUAAAUCAUGAGGGGGGAAUCCACACUUCAUGAACCACGCUCUAAUCAAUAUGGUGCUAAGGGCUUAUCGUGCCAAAUAAUAAUAACCUUGUACUAGAGGGCCGGUGAAACCAAGGCGGUACUAGACAAGAUUAGUAUUAUUUAUCGACGAGAAGUCAAAACAUCCACAAAAACUAGAGGGGAAGAGAAAAUAAAUUUACCAAAUUAAGCCCAUGACACAUGUUGAGACUUCACCUUCAACCCAAGCUUGAAAGAAAAUUAGCCACUCAUAAUUGAACUAGGGGUAAAAUGGGAAUUUAUUACAAUACGAAGAAAAUACAAGAUGGAGAGGGAAUUACAGAAAACAGAGUCCAAAAAUGGAUUCAGAGGUAUCAAAUUAGGGGGGGGGAGGCCCCCUUUUUAUAGAUACAUGGAGUAAAUCAUGGCCAUCGGAUUAAAAACAGUUUGGACGCUCAGGAUUGCGCCACGUCAUCAGUCAACAGUCCACGGUUUGACCACGCGGAUGAACAGUAAUACGGUUUGACUCGGAUGAACAGUAACGUGGUUUGACUCGGAUGAACAGUAACGCAGUUUGGUUGAAAAUAAUCCUGUGUGAUGCAUGUACCGUACGCGAGAUUUUUCAUCCACUGAUAUGCUGCCACGUCACCAUCAACAGUACAUAAGAAUUUUAGCCCAACAGGAUCGUGACACCUCAUCAGUCAAUGCCACAUCAUCGGUCAAUGCCAUGUCAUCGAUCCGUCUAUGUGAACAGUGUUGUGAACAGUAACGUAGAUAGUACCGUACACGUGAAUAGUACCGUACAUAUGAAUAGUGCCAUUUUUCCUUUUAUGCUUCUCCUAAGGUUUUCGACCGUCCUGAGUUCAAAAGUGAUGUUCGUUUUGCCGUCUGAUCUCUCCUUUAUUGUGAAAUGACUAUAAUGCCCCUAAAAUACAUAAAAUACUUAAUUAAAAUAAAACACAUGUAAUUAAAUCACAAGAAGGUUAAAUACAUAAAAGUAAGGGUUGUUAGUAAGACUUGAAAUGUAAAAUGACGGUUUUCUCCUUUAUAAAUAUGCAUUUUCUAACACUCAACACACCCCCCAACCAGCUUAUUGCUAGUCCCUAGCAAAUAAAGCGAAAACAAAAUUUAAUUCAAAAUAUUUUUUUUUUUUAAUAAAAACACUCGUAUUUAUUCCAUCAGAUUAAUGAUAGCAAUCAAAUAAAAGUAUAAGCAUUAUCUCCAGUCUAAAGCAACAUCACACCCACAUCAACCAUCCACAUGAAUCAGCCCAGUAGACUUUUUUAUAGCUACUUUCAAGAAUGACAUGUCAAACCCCAAAAUCUCACUGGAAGUAGUGACACUCUCACAAAGAAAUUAAAACCAAUAAAAAUAGUCACUCCAAUGAAUGGUAAUUGAGAGAGAAAAUAAUAAAGAAGUGAUAUCACAUGCUCUCACCAAGAUGAAAUAAAUAUGCCCUUAGCUUAUAAAUAAUACGAUCUCAAGUCAAACAAAAAUGGUAGUCAACCCAAUUUAUUUAUCUUUUAUUUAUUUAUUUUUAUUAUGCACCACUACAUCUUUUUAGCCCAUAUAACUAGCUUCUACUUCAAACUAUAGUUCCCUAAAAUCAAGAAGGACUUUUAUUAGGACGUAACGUAGGCUAGGGAUAUGGCUAACAAAGAAAGGAAAUAAGGAAAACAAAGUGUAUGUUUGAGAAAAAUGCAGAGAAUUUUUUUUUUUUUUUGGAAGUUGCAAGGUGGAUUUCACCUAUUUUUAUUCUUUUGAAACAACAACUUUUGUUUUUGUUUUUUUUUUUGCUUUUAUUUGGCAUAACUUCACUGAACAAAAUAAUUAUUUACAUUUUCUCAAACAUAAAUAGGUGAUGGAACUUAUAAGAUAUCGGGUAACACUCCAAAUCGGAGUGGGUCAAGAUGAUAAGUUGACAAAGAAAAUGAUUUUUUUUUUAAAGGCUCAAAAUGGUUAACUAUGGAUAUUUAAUAAAAGGGAUGGCUAGAAAGGCUCAAACGGAUCAAAGAUGGCCUUUCCAUCGUCUUUUAGGGCUCUAAAUAAUCAUCCAUAUCUACUAGUUAGAUGGGCCUCCCAAUGUAGCAACACACAUUUUUUUUUCUUUUUUUUUAUUUUACCAUUUUUUUUUAAGGGUUAACGCAAAAGAAAUCUAGAGAUCGUGUAUAAAAUAAUAAACUGUUAAGCUGUAUAAAGAAUGGGCAAAAGGGUUACUCUCCAAGAAAAAUGAUAGGCUCAAAAACUCACUUAGUACUUAUUAUGACAUGUUCAUUCCUUCAAGCAACUCAUAUAUGUCUCCGACAUCAACAUGUAGAGUAGCAAACAUAAUGUAACAUCACUUAAGACCAAAGAUAAUACAAAUACUAAAAUUUGAAAUUAAUCAUGUCAUCCAAUGUUAAAACAAAUCACACAAUUUUUAUUUUUUUAAACAACAUUCUACCCCCCAACCUAUUCUAAACAUGAAAGGAAAAAUAUGCAUGCAGGAAUGUGAAAAUGAUGCAUAAAAACUAAUUAAAAAAAGUUACACUUAAAAUGAUAGAAAACGAAAAUGGGUUUUUUUUUUUUAACUUAGAAGAUGCGUUUCUAGAGGCACUACUCUCCAUAUUCAGCCAUCUUCGACUCAAAAUUUUGAAAAUAUAUAUUUAUAAGGAGAAAUUAAAAAGAAGAAGAAAAAUAAACAUCAAAACAUAAUAAAGAAAAAAAAAAUGUCUGAAUUUUUUUUUUUAGUUUUUUUUUUAAUUUUUUUUUUAAAACGAUGAAGAUGCGUUUCUAGAGUCACUACACUCCAUAUUCAGCCAUCUUCAACACAAAAAGUUAGCAACAGUUAGUUUCUACAACAAAAAAUUAGUAAAAACCUAACCAAAAUUCCACAAUUGUCGACUAUUCCCUCCCCCCAACCAGAAUGAAACAUUGUCCUCAAUGUUUGAAAGGAAAGAAGUAGAGUUUAGAAGACAUCACCUGGGUGGUGCAACACAGAAGAAAAUAUUUACAGGCGGAGAGUUAAAUCUAAUUUGUACUUCUUACUGCUGCUACUGUUACCAUCAUUAUUUGGACGCUCCAACACAAAGGUCCAGGGGUCUGGCUCCGGUCUAUAAGCUUGUAACAGAUCAAGUAGCUCAUUAGCAGUGUGAGCACAAAUAAAGAGUUUUUUCACAUUAGCGGGAAUGAAAUAGUUUUUUAUUGCAUGGUUAAGAAAUGCGAUAAAGCCAUCAUAAAAGUUAUUGACAUUUAACAAACCGAUGGGUUUCUGGUGGAUGUGGAGAUGGGCCCAAGAUGCUAGUGUGAUAAGUGCCUCUAGUGUUGCAAGAUCUCCUGGAAGGAAAAUAAAAGCAUCAGCAUGAUUAAGCAUUUCAGUUAUUCUUUCUUGCAUACCUGAGACAACUAACUCUUCUCCAGUUGAUGAGUCAGACGAACUGCCCAACGGUUUUAGGACUCUUGGGAUGAUGCCUAACACUUGGCUGCCUCUGAUUAAAGCUGCUUCUGAGACCAUUUUUGAUAACCCUCGAUUACCUCCUCCAUACACCAAGUGUAAUUUUCUCUCUGCUAUACUUCGACCAAGAUCUAUGGCUGCCUCAACGAACUCUUUAUGUUUGCCAUAGGUAAAUCCGGAAAGCACACAAAUGUUCUUGAAUUGUCUAUUGGGAGUAGCUACCAUUGCGAUACUUCUCAAAAACAAUUUGUGAGUGCUUGACAAAAGAUAUCACAUUUAAGAGUCUUGGUGAUAGUGGGUCAUGGUUGUGUAUGAGGUAAUAUGUCAGUGUCAAAUAACGCUUAAAGCACGUGGCUCGCAAGUAAAAAAGGAAACAGUAAAAAUGAAAAAGUAAACAGUAAUAAGAAAAAAGCAAACAGUAAUAAAAUUAUUAAGGACAAUAAUACACACAAUAAACAAUAGUGAAAUAAAAUAACAGUAAAGUGAAAGGAUAUUUACAGGUAGUUGCGACUGUGGCUCACAUCUUCCUCUGGUUUUAUGUCCAGAAAUGGCUUGAACGCCCUCUAUGGGUCGAGGAUAGGCUUCCUAUCCAGUUUUCUUAUAAACUGGCAAACAAGGUCGUUUAUAGUCAGAUUCCCAAGACUAUAUCGUGCAUGCUCUUUCUGGAAUAAUGGCCAUAACUGGAGAAUCGCUCCUUGCACAUAUCCACUGGGAUGCGUUUCAAGAGACAAAAGGAUAUCAUCCAAUGACUCCUUAUUCAAGCCAUCCCUAAUGAAUUGAAUCUUAUCUUCCCUGUUAUCAGACAUCAUUCCUAAAGAACAUGGGUUUUUAUUGCAACUCAUUCUGGCACACUUAUGACAAGCAACAGAAAUUCUUCGAGCUCGUCGUUUUCUUGCAUAAUUUCCUUUACCACAACCAGGCAUGUAUGUAAUAAAUUUUGGAGGUAACUCACCUGCCGAUCGUACUUUAGCCUCAAUUAACCAACGGAUGUCAGCAGGUAUGUUAUUCCUCAUAAGUAAUCGCAUGCGUUCGGACCGAGCUUUAUAGACCGUAAGGAGGGCAUUCUGAGGAAGUGAAGGGAAUCGCUUGUGAAGCUUCGCUAGAGUCUCGUUUCUGUCCAUACUUUCGCCUCAGAAUAUCAGUUAUUAUGGGAAACUGAAGUAACCGACUUGAUUGUCACGGAGUACCGUUAUCCGCCACUUCACCGGGGUAACAAACUAAAGCACACAAAUAGAAAAAAAAAAUUAAAACACACAAAGAAAAUUAAAAUCGUCCUCUUAUUGAAUAUACCUCAAGCUCCAACUGGAUGUCGUAAACACUUCUCUCAAUGUCUCUGAGUUGGAGUUCUAAACCCUCAACAUAGGCUACUAACUCUGGUGGUUGUAGAGCCCAAAUGCGUUGUGUUUUACAAAAUUGAAUCUGCCUUUUGAGAUGAGUUUUGACACGUUGAAGUGGUUUAAGAAUGUUCAGGAGGAACGGUCUAAGUAAUGUACUCAUGAUUAAAAAUGAUAAAAGAAAACAUACUAGUUAAACAAAUACACUUAUACAAAAAUAAUUUCAAUUAGCAAAAGAAUAAUAUAAAGAAAGAAAGAAAAAUCAAAUCAACGAAAAGAAAAAUCAAUUCAAAUCUGGUGGGUCACUCAAAUUUAUUUCGGUGUCUUCUCCAUGUGAUUGGUAUUCUAGAUAUGGCUUUAAUCUUUGACCAUUAACUUUAAACGUGACACCGUUCUUUGGGUCCUUAAUUUCAAUUGCCCCAUGUGGAAAAACAGUAUGAACAAUAAAUGGGCCAGACCAACGAGAGCGUAACUUACCUGGGAAUAGGUGCAAGCGAGAAUUGAAUAAAAGCACUUUCUGACCUGGAGUGAAAGAUUUUCUCAUAAUUUGCUUGUCAUGGAAGACUUUCAUUCGUUGCUUGUAAAUCUUGGCAUUUUCGUAUGCAUCAUUGCGAAUUUCUUCAAGUUCUGCCAACUGUAAUCUUCUUUCUGAGCUGGCUUGCUGCAUGUCAAAAUUGAAUUUCUUGAUGGCCCAAUAUGCACGAUGCUCGAGUUCCACAGGUAGGUGGCAAGCUUUUCCAUACACUAGCCUGUAGGGUGACAUCCCAAUCGGGGUCUUGAAAGCCGUUCUAUAUGCCCAUAAGGCAUCAUCAAGUCUUAAUGACCAAUCUUUUCUGUCUGGCCUCACCGUCUUUUCUAAUAUGUGCUUUAUUUCUCGAUUGGAGAUCUCAACUUGGCCACUGGUUUGCGGAUGAUACGGAGUCGCCACUUUGUGUGUGAUUGAAUACUUUGUCAAAAGAGAUUUGAAUGCUUUGUUACAAAAGUGGGCACCACCAUCACUAAUUAUUGCUCGAGGGAAUCCAAAGCGCGAGACAAUGUUGCUUUUCAAAAAUCCUAUCACCACCUUGUGAUCAUUAGUACUGCAUGGAAUUGCUUCUACCCAUUUGGAUACAUAGUCAACAGCAACCAAUAUGUAUUGAUGGCCAAAAGAAGGGGGAAAGGGUCCCAUGAAGUCGAUACCCCAUACGUCAAAAAUUUCAACCACUAAAAUUGGAUUUAAUGGCAUCAUGUUCCUUCGUGUAAUGCUCCCCAUUCGUUGACACCUAUCACAUGAAGAACAAAAAGUGUAAGCAUCUCGAAAUAUAGUUGGCCAAUAGAAACCACAUUGCAAAACUUUAGUAGCUGUUUUCUUAGCACUGAAAUGGCCUCCACAAGCUUGUUCAUGGCAGAAUGAAAGGAUAUUCUGAAUUUCAUUUUCUGGGACACAUCGUCUAACAAUUUGAUCAACACAAUACUUGAACAAAUACGGGUCAUCCCAAAAGAAAUUCUUUAUCUCUGCAAAGAAUUUAGCCUUAUCUUGCUUGGUCCAAUGCUUUGGAAGUUGACCUGUAACAAGAUAAUUCACGAUGUCAGCAUACCACGGUAAUACUUCCACAUUCAUCAAUUGUUCAUCAGGGAAUGACUCAUUUAAUGGUAAUGGCUCUGUAGUUGUGUCAAAAUGGAGACGAGAGAGGUGGUCCGCCACAACAUUUUCUGUCCCUUUCUUAUCUUUGAAUUCCAAGUCAAAUUCCUGCAAAAGUAACACCCAACGAAUUAGUCUAGCUUUUGCAUCUUUCUUUGUGAGAAGAUAUUUAAGAGCAGCAUGAUCCGUGAAUAUAAUUAUUUUACAACCAAUGAGAUAAGAUCGAAAUUUUUCUAAUGCAAACACUACUGCUAGCAUUUCUUUUUCAGUAGUUGAAUAGUUCAACUGUGCAUCAUUCAAUGUCAUACUAGCAUAGUAAAUAACGUGGGGAAUUCGAUCAACUCUUUGUCCUAAUACUGCUCCUACUGCAUAAUCAGAUGCAUCACACAUGAGCUCAAAUGGUAAGUUCCAGUUCGGGGGCUGAAUGAUGGGUGAUGAUGUCAACAAAUGCUUUAAUUUUUCAAACGCAACAAGACAUGAAUCAUAAAAAACAAAAGGUACAUCUUUAGCAAGUAGAUUGCAUAAGGGUCUAGAAACUUUGCUAAAAUCUUUAAUGAAACGUCUAUAAAAACCAGCAUGCCCAAUGAAAGAUCUUACUUCUCUGACUGUUUUGGGUGAAGGAAGAUUAGAAAUGAGAUCCACCUUAGCUUUGUCAACCUCAAUACCUUUGCUCGAAAUGAUGUGACCGAGAACAAUACCUUGUUUUACCAUAAAAUGACACUUCUCCCAAUUUAAGACCAAGUUCUUCUCGAUACAUCUCUGCAGAACUAGUGUUAGAUGAUGUAAACAUUGAUCAAACGAAUCACCAAAGACAGAAAAGUCAUCCAUAAAGACUUCAAGGAAUCGUUCAACCAUAUCAGAAAAAAUGCUCAACAUGCAUCGUUGAAAUGUAGCAGGUGCAUUACAUAAUCCAAAUGGCAUCCUCCUAUAUGCAAAAGUGCUAAAGGGCAAGUGAAAGUAGUUUUCUCUUGAUCUUUUGGUGCUAUGGGAAUCUGAUUAUAUCCUGAGUAGCCAUCUAGAAAGCAAUAAAAUUCAUGGCCUGCCAAUCUAUCAAGCAUUUGAUCGAUAAAUGGUAAAGGAAAAUGGUCUUUACGUGUGACAGAAUUCAACUUUCUAUAAUCAAUGCAUACACGCCAUCCUGUAGUCACUCUAGUGGGUAUCAAUUCAUUAUCAGCAUUGGUAACUACUGUGACUCCUGACUUUUUGGGGAUGACUUGUACAGGACUGACCCAUGAACUAUCAGAAAUUGGGUAAAUGAUACCUGCAUCUAAUAGCUUAAGGACUUCUGUUCUAACAACUUCUUUCAUAUUAGGAUUUAACCGACGUUGCAUUUCCCUAGUAGAUUUAGCAUUUUCAUCGAGGUGAAUGUAAUGCAUGCAGUCUACUGGAUUUAUACCUUUUAUAUCUGCUAUGGUCCAUCCUUAUGCUCCUUUGUGCUCUUUUAAAACAUCCAACAACUUACCUUUUUGUUCGUCAUUUAGGGAUGAUGAGAUGAUUACCGGCAGAGUACUUUCUUCUCCCAAAAACGCAUAUUCCAAAGUGUUGGGCAAUGGUUUGAGCUCGAGUUUCGGUGGUGAUUCUGAUGAUGGGAUGAGUUUCUUCUCUGAUGGUGCUACUCUUGACUUCCAUUUAUUAGUGUCCAUGGAUGGUGCUGAGUCAAGUAGGGCGUUGACCUCAUCGACCGAUCUGUCAAUAUCAAUAUCAAAAUCCAAACCAAAGUGAGUUAAACAUGUUUGUAAAGGAUCACCACUAAGGUUUGAAAGAAAAGUGUCAUCAACUAAUGAUUCAAUUAAAUCCACAUCAACAAUUCCAUCAUCUACACUGUGAGGUUGUUUGGCAAUGUUGAAAAUGUUUAGCUCCAUAGUCAUGUUGCCGAAGGACAACUGCAUAUUUCCAGUCCUGCAUUGAAUGUGAGCAUCCGCAGUUGCCAAGAAAGGUCGGCCUAGGAUAAUGGGGAUGUGCUUCCUUGAAUCCUGUAUUGGUUGAGUGUCAAUUACAAUGAAAUCAACAGGAAAAUAAAACUUGUCUACCUGGAUAAGCACGUCCUCCACAAUACCACGAGGUAUUUUCGUGGACCGAUCUGCGAGUUGUAACACCACUAGAGUUGGGUGCAAUUCUCCAAGUCCAAGUUUCACAAACACAGAGUAAGGCAAUAAAUUUACACUAGCUCCUAAAUCCAACAAAACAUUCUCAAUUGUGUGGUUCCCUAUACUACAUGAGAUAGUGGGGGAGCCUGGGUCUUUGCAUUUUAAAGGAAUUUUAUGUUGGAGUAUAGAACUAACGUUUUCUGUUAAAAAUGCCUUCUUUUGAACAUGCAUAUUUCUCUUUUUAGUACAAAGGUCUUUAAGAAACUUGGCAUAAGAUGGAACUUGCUUAAUAGCAUCAAGCAAAGGGAUGUUAACACUUACCUGUUUGAAGAUUUCAAGAAUCUCACUUGUGGAUUUUCCCUUUUUUCCUUUAGCUAACCUCUGAGGAAAUGGAGCUUUGGGAACAUAUUCCCGUGGGUUGGUUUCUUCUUUCUCCUCCGGUGAUGAGUCUUCAACAUUCACAGGUACAAUUUGAUUUUCUUUUGUCACCGGCAUCUCCACUUUGUUGUCGACUUCUUUUCCUUUUCAUAAGGUCAUGACUGCUUUGACCUCUCCAUGCUGCUGUGAUGAACUGGUACUUGCUUCAUGUACUCCUUUAGGAUUAGGCACUGGUUGACUUGGAAAUUUGCCUUUCUCAACAGUCAUUGCCAAUGUCUGAACUGAAGAAGCAAGUUGUCCCACCAUCUUCUCGAGGCUUGAAACUGAUUGAGCUUGUGAGUUGAAGCCUUCUCUCAACUCAUUUCGUAGUCCAUCAAUGGUGCGGUUCUGUUGCUCAAUCGUGGAGUGAGUAACAUUCCUGAAAUUCUGGAAUUCAUCCUCCCAUGGUCUAGGUUGAGAGUGGUUCUGGUUCUGAUUGUAUGGUCUAAAUGGUGGCUGAGAGGCUUGAGGAACUUGAGGAAUUUGUUGCAUUGGUGGAGCUGGAGCUGCUGGUCCAUUCUGUUGGAAUCCUUGAGACCAUGAAAAAUUGGGGUGGUCUCUCCAUCCAGGAUUAUAUGUGUUGGAGUAUGGGUUGUAAUUUGAUGGUUUUUUCAUUAUACCUAUGGCAUUGGCUUGAUCUGAGUAUGAGUCAAGGUCAUGUGGUUCAGUUGAUUUAGCAGUCGAUAACGAUGCUAUUUGUCGAGCAAGACCUUCAACCAUCUCCUUGACUUCUUUGAUUCCUGAAGUUGAUUCGCCAAUUUAAACCUCAUUCACUCCUUUAAUUCUUCUAGUAGUCCUGAGUGAUCGACUCCGUUGUUGGGAAUUAUCUGCUUGUCGUUGGAAGAAUUCCCAAAUUUCUGAUGCACUUUUUGACAUUAGCUCUCCUCCACUUGUUGCCAUUAGCCAUUCUUGCACAUUUGGUAGUAAUCCCUCCAAAAAGUAUUGGCAUUGGUGCCAUUUCUCGUACCCAUGAUGUGGACACUUCAAGAGUAGCCCAUUAAAUCGCUCCCAUGUUUCGAAAAAUUGUUCGUCCUCUCUCUGGGUAAACUCCGAGAUUUCCCUGCGAAUAGCAUUGGUUUUAUGCACUGGGAAAUAUUUAUUCAAAAAUUUAGUUACCAUUUGUUCCCAUGAUGAAAUGCUAUUAGCAGGUAAAGUAUUUAACCAUGAACGAGCUCUAUCUUUUAAAGAAAAUGGGAAUAGUCUAAGUUUAACAUUAUCGUCUGAAAAAUUUUCAUAUUUAAAAGUUUGACAAAUGGCAUGAAAAUCAUUCAGAUGAUUAUAUGGAUCCUCAUUUUCUAGGCCAUAAAAUGUUGGGAGACAAUUUAGCACACUGGGUUUUAAUUCAAAACUCCUAGCAGCUACAUUUGGGUAUCUUAUGCAUGAUGUGCUCAAAUUAGCUAAGGGACUGAAGUAGUCCUUAAAUGGCCUCUCCUGUGGUUGCAAAUCCAUUUUAUUUUUAAUUUGUUUGUGUGUGCGAAGUGUUCUUUCUAGUUCAAGGUCCAUAGGUUCAAGAUUAGGUAAUAAUGACCUACGACCAUGCAUGCAAAACAAAUAAAAAAAAUAAAGAUGGGAACAAAAAAAUAAAAUAAAAAUAAAGAAGAGGGAGAAAUUACGAUACUAACCUUAUUGCGCUAUUACAAUCUUUCUAUAAAAAUACACAAAAAUAAAUACGUGAAAUAAAUUAACUAAAAAUAAAUUAAUAAGAUAAACAAAAAAAAAUUACAAAGAAAAAUAAGUUGAAAAUGAAAUAAUAGAAUUUUAAAGAAGAGAAAAAGAAAAAAAAAUACUAACCUUUAAAUGUAGGUUCACUUUUUUUUCUUUUUUUUUUAAGAAAAAAAUAUAUAAGAAAACAAAUAAAAGAUAUUAUUCACACAAAUUAAUUCUAUGAAUUAAAAUUACUUACCUCCCCGGCAACGGCGCCAAAAACUUGUUGUGCAAAUUUUAAUGUACUCGCAAGCGCACGAAUCUAUUGUAGUAUAGAUCAAUGGUGACGAGUGUCGAUCCCACGAGGAGGUGGAUUUUAAUUGUGUAGAAUUAAUUUUGUGAAUGGGUGAUUGGAUUUUGUGGUGAAGGUGACUUAGAUUAUCCUAAAAUUGGAAUUGAAAUGGCGAGAAUAAAUUGAAGAGAAUUCUAUUAAAAUGACGUACUUGGGUAUCUGGAUCCGUAUCAACAUGCAUCAUGGGCUAAAUAAUCCGUAUUAAUGCCAAUUAAAUCAUGAGGGGGGAAUCCACACUUCAUGAACCACACUCUAAUCAAUAUGGUGCUAAGGGCUUAUCGUGCCAAAUAAUAAUAACCUUGUACUAGAGGGCCGGUGAAACCAAGGCGGUACUAGACAAGAUUAGUAUUAUUUGUCGAUGAGAAGUCAAAACAUCCACAAAAACUAGAGGGGAAGAGAAAAUAAAUUUACCAAAUUAAGCCCAUGACACAUGUUGAGACUUCACCUUCAACCCAAGCUUGAAAGAAAAUUAGCCACUCAUAAUUGAACUAGGGGCAAAAUGGGAAUUUAUUACAAUACGAAGAAAAUACAAGAUGGAGAGGGAAUUACAGAAAACAGAGUCCAAAAAUGGAUUCAGAGGUAUCAAAUUAGGGGGGGAGGCCCCCUUUUUAUAGAUACAUGGAGUAAAUCAUGGCCAUCGGAUUAAAAACAGUUUGGACGCUCAGGAUUGCGCCACGUCAUCAGCCAACAGUCCACGGUUUGACCACGCGGAUGAACAGUAACACGAUUUGACUCGGAUGAACAGUAACGUGGUUUGACUCGGAUGAACAGUAACGCAGUUUGACUCGGAUGAACAGUAACGCGGUUUGGUUGAAAAUAAUCUUGUGUGAUGCAUGUACCGUACGCGAGAUUUUUCAUCCACUGAUAUGCUGCCACGUCACCAUCAACAGUACAUAAGAAUUUUAGCCCAACAGGAUCGUGACACCUCAUCAGUCAAUGCCACAUCAUCGGUCAAUGCCACGUCAUCGAUCCGUCUAUGUGAACAGUGUUGUGAACAGUAACGUAGAUAGUACCGCACACGUGAAUAGUAAUGUACAUAUGAAUAGUGCCAUUUUUCCUUUUAUGCUCCUCCUAAGGUUUUCGACCGUCCUGAGUUCAAAAGUGAUGUCCGUUUUGCCGUCUGAUCUCUCCUUUAUUGUGAAAUGACUAUAAUGCCCCUAAAAUACAUAAAAUACUUAAUUAAAAUAAAACACAUGUAAUUAAAUCACAAGAAGGUUAAAUACAUAAAAGUAAGGGUUGUUAGUAAGACUUGAAAUGUAAAAUGACGGUUUUCUCCUUUAUAAAUAUGCAUUUUCUAACACUCAACACUUGCCCCAUGCACACAUACUGCUUUUUUUGCAUCCAACAAUGAAAAAUCCUUCUGCAAACCAUAUUGAUAAAAUAAUAAUUGCAGAAAUCCCUAACUUAAAUGUUGAUCCUGAUGGUUAUAAUGCAGUUAACAAAUUUAUGAUUCAUGGACCGUGUGGAAAACACAAUUCUCACUCUCCAUGCAUGAUGCAAGACAAGUGCACAAAACAUUUUCCAAAAAAAUUCAAUGAUCAAACAAUAGUGGAUACAUAUGGCUUUCCAGUCUUUAAAAGGAGAAAUACAGGUAUUCAUGUCGAAAAGAAAGGUGUCUUCUUGGAUAAUCGAUAUGUGGUCCCUUAUCACAGGAAUUUAAUUGUCAAAUUUGAUGCACAUAUUAAUGUUGAGAUUUGUAAUUACUCGAGACCAGUUAAAUAUUUUUUCAAGUAUGUCCAUAAAGGGUCUGAGAGAACAACUGCAACAAUAGAAUCUAUUGACACUACCCAAGAAAUGGACGAGUGAUGGGUGUUGAAGCCAACAAAAAUAAAUUCCUACUCUAAAUAAAUUGUGUAUAGUGAUUGAGCAGGGUCGUGUCCACAGAGAUCGGUAAUUAUUUAAAUCCUUUUGAAACGUAAAACGUAAAAUGGGGGAAUUGUUGACAAUAAUAAAAAUCAAAUUAAAAAUAACAAGAAUGCAAAUUAAAGUUGUAAUUCAAAUUGGAGAAAGCUCUGGUUGAAGGAAUUAACUCAGCUUGAUUCGACUACUGAUCAUUGAUUCAAAUAUAGAUGAUUAUUACUCAUGAAUAGACUGGUUAUAGCUACUGAGACCCUCUAAUAGCCAAUCUCUCCUUAACUAGUCGAUAACCAAGGUACGACCAUUGGUUAUUUCCCUAAUCAAUAGACAACCCUAGAUACGAUCAUAGAAUUUAAUCAAUUGACAGCCUGAAAAACCAGAGAGACCCAAAUCCUAAUCAACACAUAUGAUGAUUCAUUUAAAUUAGAUUGUUUAUUCUCACAACACAACUCUCUGCUAUGUUAUUUGUCACAAGCAUUAAAUUCUUCAUACGAUGAAUCCUUUAAUUGACAAUAGAUUAAGUUGAUAAUUAAAUAGUGGCCAAUUACCUAAUUAACAAACAUAAUCAUGAAAAUAAUUUAGAGAAUAAACAAAUACCCAAAAAGCAAUAAAACAAUUAAAGCACAAGAAAGAUCUCACAGUAGUGAUGAAUCAAAGCUUCGUUAUCCUUCAACUAGAAAAAUAGGUUUAGUUCUUCAUAGAGAGAAGAGAAAAAUUAAAUCUAGGGUUUCUUUCUUUUUCUCCAAUCCAAAAAAUCCCCCCUUUUUCACAAUUGAUUCCUCCCUUAAAUACUCUCUCUCUCUUCUCUUUUAGAGUUCUAUUUAAAAUAAAAUACUAAUAUCUAAAAUAUUAAAUUCGUAAUUACAAAAAUAGCCAAAAAUAUAAAACACGUUAAACUAAAAACUGCAGGUCCGCAAUUGACAGCACGCGCCCACGCCUUAUCAACAAAGUUCUUCUGCCGCUCAUAAUUUCUCCAAGGGAACAAUCAUCCCUAAACAUCAUCUUGUAGCUCAAUUUUAUCACCAAUCAAUAGAAUUGCACCUACAAAAGUAAAUCACAGGUAAAUCACUAUUAUUAAAUGCAAAACAUCGAUAUUAAGGGAAGUAAACAAUGCAAAACUAGUGCAUAAAUUGCACUCUAACAAAUUCCCCCACACCAAGAUGAUGCUUGUCCUCAAGCAUAUAACUCAAGAUUAAUCUCAAAUUUCCACUCAAUUCUCAUCUCAACUCAUCCAAAAACAAUUUUAAGCAAGCAUACCUCAAGAAAUUAAGUCGUUCAACGUUCGAGAGACAAGGAUUUUAAAGCAUAGAAUUUCGUAAGAUAGAAUAAGAACAUUCAACCACCAAGAAGAUCCAUUCAAAACUCAAGUGCAGCAAGAUUUAAUAGCCCUCUCAAUAACUUCACUCCAUGCACUCAAAGUGUUUAGGGUGUCAUUUAUCCACUCAAAUCAAAUCAAAGAAUGCUAUUACCAUAAGCUUGCUCAUAUAUCACAUCUCAAUCCACAAAACAUGAAUAAAAUGCAAAAAUCUAAGGGUCUUAAAAGGGUUGUAAUGGGGUUAAAUUGGAGAAAUGAAAAAGAAAGGUUUAUGAAAGAAAAAGAGAUCAAAAUGAGAAGAAUGAACUCAUUGAAUGAACUUAUGAUAUCAAAAUGCUUAUUUCUACUCAAGUCACCAAGAAUGUAAAAUUUUUUUUUUCGAUUUUUCUUUUUCUUUUUUUUUCUUUUUUUUCUUUUUUUUUCUUCUUUUUUUUUCUUUUUUUUUUGUUUUUGAUUUUUUUUUUGAAUCAAACAAAAGAAACGAACCUUGCACAAUUUAAUUCAAGCAUAAUGCUUGUUGAUCUAAUUGAGAAACUUUAAUACAAGGUAGAAAAAGCAACAAAAUAUAUCCACACAAUGAGUCCAAAAAUCUCCUUAAAUUGAGGCUCAAAAAGAAGAAAAAUGGUUAAGUCGACGGAGAGAAUUAGAUGGGUAAUGGUUAAGGCUCAAACAAAGGUAGCAAAUAAAGGUCUUCGGGUAGAGAAGGAAAAAAAAAUGCGAGAAUAGAAAAAUGGAAUAUGGUUUGCCCUUAUCAUUUUAAUGCAUAAAAUCCCGUAAUGUGGCUUCAACAUGCAUAAUAAAGCAAGUUCUAGAAUAAACAAAGUAGGAUUGAUAUUCACAUAACAAAAAUAAUUAGAGCAAAGUGGUUGCUCAUAGGCUCAAAUCCUCACAAAGUUGGUAAAUUUGCCAUCAAAUCAUGUACACUCUUCAAAUGAAUCAACCAUCAAUAGUGGUGUAGAAUGAGAAGAAGGUAUGAGUGAGAUGUAAAAGGAAAGGUAAAAAUGAUAAGAAGUGAGAAAGAUGUAUGUAGUAAUAUGAAAAGUGAAAGAUAAAAUGUGAGUGAUGAAAGAGUAUGAUAGAAUAAAAAUAGAUGUAAAUAAUUUGAGAUAGAUGGGAAAAGAGUAGUGAGAGAGAGAGGAAAAGAAAAUUAAUAAUAUAUGAAGCAUACUGCAAAAAUCAUUUAAGGAUGAGUAGAGUGAAAACAAUAAUUUCAGACAUCAAUAAUGCAAAAAUCCCUCCCCCACACUAAGAACUGACAUUGUCCCCAAUGUAAGAUAAUCAAAGCUCACAUAAAAAUUAAAGCGUAAGGAUAAAAGAUUAAGGGCAAAAACUUCCUUGAAUUGUGAGCUUUGAUCCUCAUAACGUCUAUGGGCUUGGCGGGAAUGGUGGGAUAAAUCCCACACUCUUGAAGUAUGCGGCCAAAUUCUGCUCCAUCUUGUCACGGAUUUCGAUUCACGGACCUGGAAUGCAGGUCGUAGGCUGGUUGCGUUGCGAUUGCUGCUCGGCUGGAGCUUGCUUGAUGGACGCGGGAUGGCACUGAUUGUGUUGCGCGCGCGCGCUGGGGCUGCUGGAUCUGCGCGUUGCGUGGGCUGUGUUGUGCGCGAGAGCUGGGCUGACGCUGGUGCUGCGUUGCGUUGCGCGCGCGGGACUGAUGCGCUGCGUGAUGGUGAUGGCUGGAGCUUGCUGCGUUGCGCGUGGCUGGUUUCGCUGGUGGGACUUCGUUGCGCGCUGCUGGGCUGCGAGACACGGGAUGCUGGUGCUUGCGCUCACGGGAUGGUGCGUUUUCCGGCGGGUUGGUUUGCUGCUGGUGUGCUGCAAGCGGCUGGAGAAGAAAACAAGUUCUGGAAAAUUAGGGAUUUUGUGAACAGUGAAUAGUGAACAGUGAUUUUCGAUUUUUGGUUUUUUUUUUAAUAAAUAAAUAAAUAAAAAGAAAGAAAGGAACGAAAAAAGAAAAAGAAAAAAAAAUAAUAAAUAAUUUUUUUUUUUUUAUAGUGAUGAAUCACUUUGAGACACUAAAAAUUUCAGAAGUACUUUUCUAAUAAGUACAUGGGCACGCCUUAUAAAAAAUUUUCUUCUGACCAAAAUAAGCAAACACAUUAAAUUUCAGAAGUACUUUUCUAUUAAGUACGUGGGCACGCCUUAAAACUAUGUUACUUUAAAAAUUACAGAAGUACUUAUUAGCUAAGACGUGGGCACGCCUUAUCAAAAAUUUUCUUCUGACCAAAAUAAGCAAAAUUUUUCUUUUUUUUUUUUGAAUUAAAAUUAAAAGAAGAUAUAACAAAAACCAAAACAAACAAAUCAUUUGGGUUGCCUCCCAAAAAAGCGCCUUUGUUUUAUGUCUUUGGCUAGACACAUUUAUGCAUCAAUCUCCAUAAUUGGGACUCUCGAGAGCCACAUCCUCCACAAUAUUCACCGAAAAACCUUCAUAAAAAGGUUUUAAGCGAUGACCAUUAACCUUAAAAACUUUGUCAGAGGUCGGGCUCCGAAUCUCAACUGCACCAUAAGGAAAAACAUUAGUAACAAUAAAAGGUCCAACCCAACAAGAACGUAAUUUACCCGGAAAAAGUUUAAGCUUAGGAUGAAAAAGAAGAACUUUUUGACCAACAGAGAACUCCUUUCUCAAAAUCAUUCUAUCAUGAAAUGUCUUCGUCUUUUCCUUGUAAAAAAUUUCCUGCGCUAUAGGGUUAAUAACAUCCACAGAAAAUACCGAAUGUUCCUCACUAGGAUAUUUCAUGGCAUCAUUCAUAUUGAAUUCUAUAACCUCUCCAUCAAACUCCAUAGUGAGAGUCCCUUUAUGUAUAUCCAUUUUAGUCCUAGCAGUCUUAAGAAAAGGUCUUCCUAGCAAAAUUGGGAUAGAAUUAGAGGAGUUAUCAUCUUCCAUAUCAAGUACAUAAAAAUCAGCAGGAAAAACCAACUCAUUAACUUGUACUAAGACAUCUUCUAAUACCCCAUCAGGAUAUGCAUUAGACCUAUCAGCUAGUUGAAUUAUCACACAAGUUUCUUUUAAUGGACCAAUAUUCAAAGAUGAAUAAAUGGAACGAGGCAUGACAUUAAUAGAAGCUCCUAGAUCUAACAAAGCCUUUUCAACUCUAACACUACCAAUUUUACAAGGGAUAGUAAACAUACCUGGAUCCUUGCACUUAGGAGGUAGUUUCUUUUGAAGAACUGCUGAAACAUUCUCCCCCAUGUGAACUUUUUCAUCUCCUCUUAAUUUUCUCUUGGAGGUGCACAGUUCCUUAAGGACUUUAGCAUAUCGAGGUAUUUGUUUUAUAGCAUCUAAUAAAGGAAUAUUUACCUCAACCUUGCGAAAUGUCUCAAGGAUGUCUUUCUCUUGUUCCUCCUUCUUGGAUUUUACAAAUCGGCUUGGAAAAGGAGGAGGUAUCACAAUAGGUAGGGGUUUCGCUUUGGUGGGUUGCGCAUCUUGAGAUUUAGGUAUCAAUUCAUUCUUCUCAAGCUCAUCUUCUACAUGCUUUGUCACUUUCUUACUAGGCUCUUGCAACUCCUUCCCACUUCUAAGGAUGACAGCACUAACGUUUUGCUUUGGAUUCACCUCAGAUUGUGAAGGCAAUCUUCCUAAUACUUGAGACUCCAGACGGCUUACUGUAGUCGCCAAUUGACUCAUUUGGUUCUCCAAGUUCUGAAUGCUUGUUGUAGUUGCCUGCUGAAAUUGUUGAGUGUUAGUCGCAAGUGAUUUAACAAUUUCUUCAAGAGAUAUACCUGACUUGGAGUUUGACUGUGGAGGUGUUGGUUGUCUUGGUGGAUACUGUUGUGGGAAUCCUGACGGCCUAAUGCCAUAGCUGAAGUUUGGAUGAUCCUUCCAUCCCGGAUUGUAUGUUUGUGCAUAAGGAUCAUACCUCCUCUGAGGCAUGCCUGGAAAUCCUCCAACUGCAUUGGCUUGUUCAACGGGUUCUUCUUGAAGUGUAGGACACAUAUCAGUUGAAUGACCCAUAUUGUAACAAAUACCACAAGUCUUCACCUGUUGCACAUUACCUACAACAAACUUUUCCACAAGAGAAGUGAGUUUAUCUAAACGUUGUUCAACAGAAGAAAUAUUUACCUCAUUCACAUUCCUUAAGGUGGCAUCUUGUCUGCUGCCAAAUUGUUGUGCAUUGGCAGCCAUAUUUGAUAUCAACUCCCUUGCUUGAGUAGGAGUCUUGUUCACCAACACACCUCCACUAGCAGCAUCUAUCAUACUCCUAUCCAUCAAUGAUAGUCCUUCGUAAAAAUAUUGAAUAAGAAGUUGAUCAGAAAUCUGAUGCUGAGGACAACUGGCACACAAUUGUUUGAAUCGCUCCCAAUACUCAUACAAAGUCUCCCCAGGAAGUUGUCUGAUCCCACAAAUAUCUUUUCUGAUGUUGGCAGCUCUUGAAGCAGGAAAGUACUUCUCGAGGAACUGCUUCUUCAAACCAUUCCACGUUGUAAUCGAUUCAGGAGGCAAGUAGUACAACCAAUCUUUAGCUAGCCCAUCUACAGAGAACGGAAAAGCACGCAGCUUAAUCUGCUCUUCAGUCACGCCUUGUGGCCUCAUACUUGAGCACACAACAUGAAACUCCUUGAGAUGUUUAUGAGGAUCUUCACCUGCAAAACCAUGAAACUUGGGUAAUAAGUGAAUAAGACCAGACUUUAAUUCAAAAUUUACCUCCAAGUCUACAUAUUGAAUGCAGAGUGGUUGUUGAUUCAAGUCUGGGUCAGCUAACUCUCUAAGAGUUCUUUCUACAGGUGCAGGUCUAUCCAUCACUUGUUCUUCUGAAUCGCUAGAUGAUUCAACUAAAUCAGGCACCGUAUCUGUUUCAGAAAGCAAAGGCGACGAGGAUCGUUGCUUAGCUCGUUUUGUCUGCUGUCUCAGCUGGCGAGCUGUCUUCUCAAUUUCAGGAUCAAACGAAAGUGUACCUGUACGAGAAGAACGAACCAUACACCAAGUAAAACGUAAAAAGGAUUAAAUAAAUGACACCAAUCCCCGGCAACGGCGCCAAAAUUUGAUGGGUGUCGAAGCCAACAAAAAUAAAUUCCUACUCUAAAUAAAUUGUGUAUAGUGAUUGAGCAGGGUCGUGUCCACAGAGAUCGGUAAUUAUUUAAAUCCUUUUGAAACGUAAAACGUAAAAUGGGGGAAUUGUUGACAAUAAUAAAAAUCAAAUUAAAAAUAACAAGAAUGCAAAUUAAAGUUGUAAUUCAAAUUGGAGAAAGCUCUGGUUGAAGGAAUUAACUCAGCUUGAUUCGACUACUGAUCAUUGAUUCAAAUAUAGAUGAUUAUUACUCAUGAAUAGACUGGUUAUAGCUACUGAGACCCUCUAAUAGCCAAUCUCUCCUUAACUAGUCGAUAACCAAGGUACGACCAUUGGUUAUUUCCCUAAUCAAUAGACAACCCUAGAUACGAUCAUAGAAUUUAAUCAAUUGACAGCCUGAAAAACCAGAGAGACCCAAAUCCUAAUCAACACAUAUGAUGAUUCAUUUAAAUUAGAUUGUUUAUUCUCACAACACAACUCUCUGCUAUGUUAUUUGUCACAAGCAUUAAAUUCUUCAUACGAUGAAUCCUUUAAUUGACAAUAGAUUAAGUUGAUAAUUAAAUAGUGGCCAAUUACCUAAUUAACAAACAUAAUCAUGAAAAUAAUUUAGAGAAUAAACAAAUACCCAAAAAGCAAUAAAACAAUUAAAGCACAAGAAAGAUCUCACAGUAGUGAUGAAUCAAAGCUUCAUUAUCCUUCAACUAGAAAAAUAGGUUUAGUUCUUCAUAGAGAGAAGAGAAAAAUUAAAUCUAGGGUUUCUUUCUUUUUCUCCAAUCCAAAAAAUCCCCCCUUUUUCACAAUUGAUUCCUCCCUUAAAUACUCUCUCUCUCUUCUCUUUUAGAGUUCUAUUUAAAAUAAAAUACUAAUAUCUAAAAUAUUAAAUUCGUAAUUACAAAAAUAGCCAAAAAUAUAAAACACGUUAAACUAAAAACUGCAGGUCCGCAAUUGACAGCACGCGCCCACGCCUUAUCAACAAAGUUCUUCUGCCGCUCAUAAUUUCUCCAAGGGAACAAUCAUCCCUAAACAUCAUCUUGUAGCUCAAUUUUAUCACCAAUCAAUAGAAUUGCACCUACAAAAGUAAAUCACAGGUAAAUCACUAUUAUUAAAUGCAAAACAUCGAUAUUAAGGGAAGUAAACAAUGCAAAACUAGUGCAUAAAUUGCACUCUAACAACGAGAUCAAAACAUAUUUGGAGUGCAGAUAUAUAUCAGCAACCGAAGCUUGCUAACGAAUCUUCUAAUUUGACAUACAUUAAAGAAAGCCGGCAGUUGAAAGAUUGCCGUUCCAUUUACCGGGAGAGCAUACAGUAAUAUUCGAAGAAUCCAAGUGCUUAGAAAAUGUGCUUACCAUACCUGGAAUAGAAAAAACAAAGUUCACAGAAUGGUUGCAGGCAAACAAGAAUUAUGAUGAUGCACGAGAGCUAACUUAUUCUAAUUUCCCUACAUGUUGGGUAUGGAAUUCAAAAGACAAAACUUGGACUAGGAGAAAAAAUGGCUUAGCAAUUAGAAGAAUUUACUUUGCACAUCCUUCAAGUGGAGAACGAUUUUAUAUGAGAAUGUUGCUCAAUUUUGUAAAAGGAAGCACUUCAUUUGAAAGUACUAGAACAGUAAAUGGAGUGACAUAUCCAACUUUUAAAGCUGCGUGCUAUGCUUUGGGAUUAUUAGACGAUGAUAAAGAAUGGAUCGACUGCUUGACUGAAGCUGCAAUAUGGGCGACUGGAAAUGAAUUAAGACAUCUUUUUGUCACGAUACUCAUUCAUUGUCAGGUUUCUGAUGCAUCCCAACUUUGGAAAUCUAAUUAUACUAGUUUAUCAUAAGGCAUAACUUCAUUGCAAAGGAAAAGAUUCAGAUUGAAAGAUCUUCAGUUAACCGAGCAACAAGUUGAAGCAUACACAUUGUUGGAGAUUGAAACUAUCAUGUUGAAAAUGGGAAAAAGUUUAAGAGACAUAGAUGGAAUGCCACUUCCUAAUUCUUCUUUGAUAAGAGAUUCAGGUAACCGAUUGGUCAAUGAAGAGCUUGAUUAUGAUCGUGAUCAAUUAAAGAAGUUGCAUGAGAAAUCAUUUACUGCUCUAAAUGCUUGCAAAAAAUCAGCCUAUGAAGCAAUAAUGCAUUCUGUUGAGAAUGAAGAAGGGUGUUUAUUUUUUAUCAAUGGACAUGGUGGUACUGGUAAAAUAUUUUUGUGGAAUACAAUUAUUGCAAAGCUCAUAUCACAUUCUAAAAUAGUCUUGCCUGUUGCAACUUCAGGUAUAGCAGCUUUGUUAUUGCCUAAUGGUAGGACAGCUCAUUCGCGAUUUCAUAUUCCUUUGGAUGUGAUAGCAGAGUGCACUUGUGAAAUCCGACAAGGCACCUUAUUAGCUGGACUUCUUAUGAAAACUUCUUUGAUCAUUUGGGAUGAAGCGCCUAUGGCACAUAAGUUCUGCUUUGAAGCUUUGGAUAAGACCUUGAGAGAUAUUCUAAGAACAAGGUAUGAAAAUACUUCUAUCAAACCUUUUUGAGGACUUACAAUAGUAUGUGGUGGUGAUUUCCGUCAAAUAUUGCCAGUUGUGCCAAAGGGGACAAGAGCAGACAUUGUUGACGCUUCACUUAACUCAUCCUACUUAUGGCCAUUUUUCAAAAUUUAUGAGCUCAAACAAAAUAUGAGGCUCUAUAAUGGAAGCAUGAGUGGCUCUGAGGCUGCUAAAAUAGCUUCUUUUGACAAAUGGUUGUUACAGAUUGGAGAUGGUUCAUUAUAUGAUGACAUUGAUAGAGAGUUAGUUAAACUACCUUCUGAUAUCUGUAAGAAACCAUAAAAAAAUCUAAUGAAAUCAAUAGUCGACACUAUCUACCCAUCAAUUCUACAUAAUUACAGUGAUCCAACAUAUUUGAAAGAAAGAGCAAUAUUAACGCCAAAAAAUGAAAUGGUGCAUGAAUUGAACGAGAUGAUUAUGAAUAUAAUACCUGGUCAAGGGAGAACCUAUUUUAGCUCAGACAGUAUAUGCAAAGCAAGCGCAAACACAAAUGAUGAAGAUGUUCUGUAUCCAACUGAAUUUUUGAAUAGUUUGAAAUUCAAUGGCAUCCCUAAUCAUGACAUACGACUUAAGGAAGGUGCUCCCGUAAUGCUUCUCAGAAAUCUAAAUCAAAUAGAAGGCCUAUGUAACGGCACAAGAUUGAUUGUAACUCGUCUUAGUAAAUGGUCCAUUAGAGGUGACAUCAUUUCUGGAACAAAUAUUGGACAAAAUGUCACAAUUCCAAGAAUUGUUAUGUCUCCUAAUGAAUCAAGAUGGCCAUUCAAGCUUAACAGACGGCAACUUCCUUUGGCACCAUGUUUUGCCAUGACGAUCAACAAAAGCCAAGGACAAUCUCUUAAACAUGUUGGCUUGUAUCUCCCUAAGCAAGUAUUCACACAUGGUCAAUUAUAUGUCGCCGUAUCUCGAGUUACCACAAGAGAAUGAUUGACCAUACUAAAUGCUGAUCAAGAGGUAGAAGACCGAACCUUCAUAAAAAAACAUUGUCUACAAAGAAGUAUUUCAAAAUAUUCACACAUUAGCUCACAAAAUCAAGGUAUCACAUUUUUAGAUUAUAUUUUAAAAUUUAAUUUAUACAUUGCAAGCUCUUACUUCACCCUAUAAUAAUGAUUUUUAUUAUGUGUUUUAAUUAUUCAGUAGACAAAUGAAUAAAUCAAAGGAACUAUCGAGACAGCAAAAUGGUAGUUUGGUUGAGUUUUCCAAGCUAUUAUGGAGAAUUUAAUCGCCAAAGAACAUAGUACGUGAAGAAGCAUUCCUUUUUACAUCAACUAUUUCUCCUUUCAUUCUCUCUAAUCCAUGGAGACAUGGUUUAUAUACAGAUAAAGAACAUUUUGGCACUAGGUGUUGCUGAUCCCCAUUGGAACUUGCCAUAGCUGCAAGCUUGAUAUAAACAACUGCUCACCUACGCAGCUACAAACGAUGCAAAAUAACUUACAGAAGUCUUUACAUGUAUUUUACUUAUUUCUUUUAUAAUUCAACGCAUUGCUAAGGAUCCUCAAUUACAAAAUUUAAUUUGGAACUUAUCAACUACAAAAGGUAUAAGGUCUGUACACCUAGACUAUACACGUUAAUAUAUAUAUUUAAAGUUAACAAAAAAAUAGUUAACUUUCAUAAAUAACAUUAGUUUUAUAAGGCUACCUCAUUUUAAAAAAAAUCAAUUUAUAUUUUUUAUCAGUUUUAUUGAGUAUAAAGAAAGAAAAAUUGAUAAUACUAAAUUCAUUUUCUAAAGCCGCGCGAAGCGCGGUUUUAUUUCCUAGUAUAUAUAUAAAGCUGGGACUAUAAGAGGUGAUGUGACAUCACCAUUUCUCAUCUUUGUAUAUUUUCUAUUAUCUAAUAAAUAGAGAAUUUUUCUUUCAAAUUUGGCUUUUCAUCUUCUCAUAAUUAAUUUGAUUGUUAUUACAAUUAUGUAAAUGUUUUAAUGAGGCAUAUUCUUUAUAAUGAACAUCCAAUGGGGAGUGUUAUAAAUUUAUUAAAAUAAAUGUGGAUGUUCAUAACAUAUAUCUCUUAGUCUCUCCACUAUCUCUCAUUAGCAACCUUUAGCUUCUCUGUAACUCCCACAAUCUCACAAGGAAUUAUGAUCCAUAAUUUUUCAUUAAUUUCAUGGAGUGAUUAUGUAACUACAAAAGGAGAGCUCAUCUUUUUGUUUUGUAUACACAAUUGGAAUGAAUAAAAUCACUCUAAAAUAUAUUCUCUCAUUUUAUUCUUUAUCUUGCGUUGCUUCUUUAUUUGUGUUGUUGGCUAAUAGUUUUUUUUUUAUUUAAACCACCCGGUUUCCGACGACCGCAUUGGAUACUUCUACUGCAUUCAACAUUUCUAAUUUUUAUUGGUUGAUAUACGUGUGAAUGACAACACAAUCCUCUGAGGUAUUUUUUUAAUUAUUAAUGUUUGUUAAUCUUUAAGUGUAUAUUAGAAAUUAUUGAUCCUUAUGUUUUAACAUAUUUAUGUUAUUUUCCCAUAAUAUUACAGAUGUUGUCGGAAGUUUAUGUGGUGUGGGUGAUAUUGAGAUUGUUGGAGCUGGUUGGAAAAAAAGACAUAUAAAAGUUCUAAAAGAUUAGCAAGUUGAAUAUAAUUUGGAACUUAUCAACAACUACAAAAGGUAUAAGGUUUGUACACUUACUAUACACAUUAAUAUAUAUAUAUUUAAAGUUAACAAACAAAUAAUUAACUUUAAUAAAUAACAUUAAUUUUAUAAGGUUGCCUCAUCUUUAAAAAAAAUCAAUUCAUAUUUUUUAUCAGUUUCAUCAAGUGUAAAGUAAGAAAAAAUGAUAAUACUAAAUUAUUUUUUUAAAGCCGCGUGAAAUGCGGUUCUAUUUUCUAGUAAUUUAUAAACCGAGGCCGGGCCCCAAGUCUUUUAAUUUUCUUCCUUUCUUUCCAUAUUUGUCGUUGGGUUAUAAACUUCCCCAAUUCUACCUUUUAUGUGCACGUGAAUCAUGACAUACCCCUUGAGUCAUGCUUUCAAGUUAUAAUUCCUUUCAAUCUUUGCCACGGCUUCAAGUCUCAAAAUCACACAGCAAUACAUCAUAACCCGAAAAUUUAUAAAUAAUCAAUAAUAUAUAAAUGUAAUCAUCUAUUGAAUCAGUUCAUUAUUUAUUCGUAUUGCAAGCAUCACCCCUAUCAUUCAUAGUUUUCACUUUUUAGUGAUGUUCACAAAAUCCUAACCAUACUAUGCAAUUGAGAUAUGAUCAAUAACACUUUGAUAACAUAUUUUAAAAAACAUAAAUUCUUCUAUAAAAAGUCAUUAUUCUGGGGGUUAAUUUCCAUAGGUUUCUAUUAGUUAAUUUUUUCCAACUAUUUUUGAUGAAAUUAGAUAGAUUUGCCUUCAUAUUUGGGGCAAAUAGUUUCAGCGAAUCAUGAAUAAGCUUCCACACAUUUUAGAAAUCUUAUCUUUUUUAAUUUUAUACUUUUUCUUUAAUUUGCAUUUUGGUUCACAUGACCAAAAAUUAAGUUCCAUGCGUUUUUCAAUUUGUGGAAAUUCAGUUUUUUUUUUUUGUGGAAAUUUCGGUGGAGUCAAUAUGGCUAGAAAUUCGUAGAAGGAUGAAUCAAAAUACUCAAUUAUUGUUGUAGACUUGUAAGGCAGCUAACGGAGUCCACACGUUUCAAUGUUUGUUUACAGUUCAGCUUUCCCUUUGAUUAGUUAUCAAAAUAGAAACAUGAUUAUCAAUUUCAACUGUAUGUCUUUCAUGCCUUAACUUUCUUCCUUUCUUUCCAAAUUUCUCAUUUUGCUUUAAUUUUCCACAAUUUACCUCCACGAAUUGAUUGACCUGUUACCCACCACACUUCAAUACUAAUAAUAAUAAAUAAAUUCUUCAAGCAAUUGACAUUUGACCCACCCCACUUCAAUAAUAAUGCUAAUGGGACAUCAUAAAUUCUUCUAUUCAAAUAUAAUACUCAUGACUUUGACGGCCGAAACAUGUUUCAUGGCACAAAUAAUGACGGUUUUGUUUGAGGUACGGUGGAGGUGUCUAUUCAAAUAUUUGAAGCCAGCCCCUCGUUUUAUCUAAACCACAAGCAGGCUCAGCCGAAAUUGUUUAAUAUUUUUAUUUUUUCAAGAAACUCUCACUAUAAGGCUUAUGUGAAAAUUUGGUUGACAGUUUAUGUAUUUAAUUAUUUAUUUUACCACACAUGUCAUGUGUAGGUUUUAUUUACCUUGAGCAGUGGUCAAUGCAUUAGACCCAAGAUAAAGUGUGUUGAGGUAGGGGAAUUAAUGAUCGCAUUAGCUGUAGCACCUAUCUUCAAUCUCUAAUUUUAACUUUCUAUAGAUGAAGUGUUUUCAAAUUCCUCAAAUGUCUGUAAUCUGUUUAAUAAUUGAAGAAAGUUAAAAUUCAUUUUCUAAAUUUAAGGUUAAACUCCCAAUAAAAAAUUUUAUUUUCAUUCAAUAUUGUCAUUAGAUGGUAAUCACUUUGUACGAGAGAUUCCAAAAAAUUUGUCUCAUUGCUCCUCACUAGAAAGAUUGUAUCUUAGUGAUAAUAAUCUCUUGGUAGGAUUUCACAAUGGUUGGAUAAUCUUUCAACAUUACAACAUUUUAUAAUGCUCAAGAAACACAUUCUUGAAGGUCUUAUUUCAAUGGAGUUUUAUCAGCUUGAUUCUCUUCAAAUUUUGGACAUUUCAAACAAUAAUGUAUUUAAGAGUUUAUUAUCUUGUUUACAUAAAAAUAUAUGCCUAUAGGCAGGUAAAAGAAGGUACAUUUUUUAAUUACUCUUCCUUAGGGACAUCAUAUCUUAGCUAUAGCCACUUGAAUGAGAUCAUUUCAAGUUGGGUUGAUAGGCUUUCUCAAGCAAGCCACUUCAUACUGACCCACAAUAAUCUUAAAGAUGAAGUAUCUGCUCAGUUGUGCCGAUUGAACCAAUUGCUAUUGAUAAAUCAUGCUGAUAACAGUCUUUCCAGCCAUAUUCUUCAUUGCUUAAACAAGUGAACUUGUUUCAUUGAGAGAGUAGUGAAACAAGGAAAAAAAAAAGUUUUGACUUUUAUCAGUUAGUUGACUGUUAAGUAAAAAGUAUGCAAAUAUCAUUUUAUACUUUAGAUUGUUAAAAACUAAUGGAAAAAUAACGUCAUUUGAGGAUAAAUUGAAAUUUUCAUACUUUUAAAAAGUAAAGUGAAAAUUAUCAUUCUAAGUGUGGAUAAAUUAAAGUUACACUCAUAAAAAACACAUCUAAUAAUUUAUACACCAAGGCAGGCCCAAGUCUUUCAAUUUUCUUCCUUUCUUACCAUACUUAUCGUCCUGUAAUAAAUUUCCACAGUUCUACCUUUUUUGUACACAUGAUUCAUGACAUACUCCAUGAGUCAUGCUUUCAAGUUAUAAUUCCUUUCAAUAUUUGCCACGUUUGCAAGUUUCAAAAUCACAUAGUAAUAUGUCAUAACAAGUCCGAAAAUUCAUAAAUAAUCAAUAAUAUAUAAAAGGAAAUUAUCCACCGUCUAUCCGUUUUUUCAACUUUUUCAAAAAUACACAAUUUUUUUUUUUUUUGCUGGAAUCCACCUGAAGUUACAUUUCUUUUCACUUUUCCACUUCCGUUUGGAAUCCGUUAAGGAAAUUAAGGGAAUAUUGUUAAAUGACUUUUUUACCCUCAAAUGUAAAAGAUAAUUUAUCCAUCGACCACUUGUUUUUUCGUAUUUUUUCAGAAAUACACAAUUCUUAAUUUUUUUUUUGCUGACCUCCACUCGAAGUUGUAUUGUUUUACACCUAUCCACCACUGUGUCGUUGUAAAAUGAUGAUUUACCCUUAUAAUGUUAGCAAAGUUAUAACGGUCUCCAAACGGAAGUGGAAAAGUGAAAAGAAAUGUAAUUUCAGGUGGAUUCCAGCAAAAAAAAAAAAGAAUUGUGUAUUUUUGAAAAGCAGUGAAAAACGGGUGGAUGGUGGAUAAUUUCCCAUAUAUAAAUAUGAUCAUCAAUUGAAUUUGAAUCAGUUCGUUAUUUGUUCAUAUUGCAAACAUCACCUCUAUCAUUCAUAGUUUUCACUUUUUAGUGAUGUUCACAAAAUCCUAACCACACUAAGCAAUUGAUAUUCAAUCAAAGACACUUUGAUAACAUAUUUUAAAAAACAUAAAUUCUUCUAUAAAAAGUCAUUAUUCUAGGGGUUAAUUUCUGUAGGUUUCUAUUAUUUAAUUUUUUUCCAAUUAUGUUUUAUGAAAUUAGAAGAUUUGUCUUCAUAUCUAGGGUACUUAGUUUUAGUAAAUUAUGCAUCACCUUCCACACAUUUUAGAAAGAUGAUCUUUUUUUUAAUUUUAUACUUUUCUUUCAUUUACUUUUUGGUUCAUAGGGCCAAAAUUUAAGUUCCAUGCAUAUGCAUUUUGUGGAAAUUCAGUUUUUAUUUUUUUAUUUUGUGGAAAUUUCGGUGGACUCAAUACGGCUAGAAAUUCUUAGAAGGAUGAAUCUAGGGCAGCUAGCAGAGUCUACGAGUUUUAAUGUUUGUUUACAGUUCAAUUUUCCAUUUGAUUAGUUAACAAAAUAGAAACAUGAUUAUCAAUUUCAACUAUAGUUCUUUCAUGCCCUUAACUUUCUUCCUUCCUUUCCAUAAAUUCUCAUUUUGCUUUAAUUUUUCACAAUUCUACCUUGGAUGGUGUUGAUUCAAAUUUUUUCUCAAUGUACAAUGAUUGAUUUGUGUUUCGGACAUUCUUCUAAAUCGAGUUCUGUGGCAUAUUUUUUUCCUUGAGGCGAGUGUCUCAAAUCAUAUGUCUCCUUGUGGUUAAUUAUUUUGUAAAAAGAAACAAUUAUCAAAGGGUGCCGACAUGCCGGCAAUAACCCUCCGACACUCAAGUUAGUUCUUUUUACUCAAGUUUUAAAGAGAGAGAAUCUAGAGCAAGAUGGGCAGAGUUUUGCUCGCAUUUUAUGCCUUUUUUCCUCUUACUUUCAAAUGCCGGUCUUGGCCUUUAUAUAGACAACUUAGAGUCAAUUGGAGAGAUUAUGUGGCACUUUUCUUGUGACAAGUGUCAGCCAAAGUCCAUGCAUGGCGACAUAUAUUCAUAUGUGUCAAUACUUGCUCAUGACAAAUAAUCUUUGGACAUUUGUCAUGUUUUUGGGCUAUUAACCUUUAAUGGACUUUAGCUUAAAUUCGGCACUUAUAUUGGUUUCUUACAAAGAGGAUUGAUUUUGCAACAUUUUGCCCAUAAGCACAUUCCGCAAAAUGUUUGUUAGCCAGUAGGUGUUGAGUGUUAGAAAAUGUAUAUUUAUAAAGGAGAAAAUCAUCAUUUUACAUUUCAAGUUUUACUAACAAUCCUUACUUUUAUGUAUUUAAGCUUCUUGCAAUUUAAUUAUGUGUGUUUGAUUUUAAUUAAGUAUUUUAUGUAUUUUAGGGGCAUCAUGGUUAUUUCACAAUAAACGAGAGAUCAGACGGCAAAACGAAUAUCACUUUUGAACUUAGGACGGUCGAAAACCUUAGGAGGAGCAUAAAAGAAAAAAUGGCACUAUUCACAUGUACGGUAUUAUUCACGUGUACGGUACUGUUUACGUUACUGUUCAUAAUACUGUUCACAUAGACGGAUUGAUGACGUGGCAUUGACUGAUGAGGUGUCACGAUCCUGUUGGGCUAAAAUUCUUAUGUACUGUUGAUGGUGACGUGGCAGCAUAUCAGUAGACGAAAAAAUCUCGCGUACGGUACAUGCAUCACACAGGAUUAUUUUCAACCAAACCGCGUCACUGUUCAACCCAGGUCAAACCGUGUUACUGUUCAUCCACGUGGUCAAACCGCGUACUGUUGACUGAUGACGUGGCGCAAUCCUGAGCGUCCAAACUGUUUUUAAUCCGAUAGCCAUGAUUUACUUCAUGUAUCUAUAAAAAGGGGGCCUCUCCCCCCUAAUUGGAUAGCUCUGAAUCCAUUUUUGGGAUCCAUUUUUUGUAAUUCCUUCUCCAUUUUGUAUUUUCUACAUAUUUUAAUAAUUCCCAUUUUGCCCCUAGUUCAAUUAUGAGUGGCUAAUUUUCUUUCAAGCUUGGGUUGAAGGUGAAGUCUCAACAUGUGUCAUGGGCUUAAUUUGGUAGAUUUACUUUCUCUUCCCAUCUAAUUUUUGUGGAUGUUUUGACUUCUCGUCGACAAAUAAUACUAAUCUUGUCUAGUACCGCCUUGGUUUCACCGGCUCCGUAGUACAAGGUUAUUAUUAUUUGGCACGAUAAGCCCUUAGCACCAUAUUGAUUAGAGUGUGGUUUAUGAGGUGUGGAUUUCCCCCUUAUGAUUUAAUUGAUAUUAAUAAGGAAUAUUUAGCCCAUGGUACAUGUUGAUACGGAUUCAGAUACCCAAGUACGUCAUUUCAAUAGAAUUCUCUUCAAUUUAUUCUCGCCAUUUCAAUUCCAAUUUUAGAAUUUAUUCUCGCCAUUUUAAUUUAAAUUUUAGCAUAUUCCAAAUCAUUUCCACCACAAAUCCAAUCACCCAUUUACAAAAUUAAUUCUACACACAAUUAAAAUCCACCUCCUCGUGGGAUCGACACUCGUCACCAUUAGUCUAUACUACAAUAGAUUCGUGCGUUUGCGAGUACAUUAAAAUUUGCACAGCAGUAGGCUCGCUCCGUGGAAUGUUUGUUGGCCCGUUGGCACAUUCCAUAAAAUGCAUAUAUUUGCCCGUAUGCACAUAUUGUAGAAUGUAUAUUUCUUCGUAGGCGCAAUCUGCCCGUAGCCGCCAUCCGUAGAAUGUGUAUUUGUCCAUAGGCCUAUUGCAUAGAAUGUGUGUUUGCCUGUAGACCCAUUCCGUAGAAUGUGCAUUUGCCCGUACGCCCAUUUCGUAGAAUGUGUAUUUGCCCGUAGGCUCAUUCUAUAGAAUGUAUAUUUGCCCGUAGGUGCACUCCGAGUAGCUCAUGUGCUCUUAGAAAUAUUUUUGAAGUGUCUAGAUCAUGAACGGACCUAGGUCAUUUUUUGUGAGGAAUGGACCUAGGUCGUUCUUUGUAAAAAAUAGACCUAGGUCCUUCUUUGUUGAAUCAUGCCUUUGGCACUUUGUGAAGACUCGUAAGGAAUGGACUUAGGUCAUUCUUUGUAAGCAAUGAACGUAGAUCAUUCUUUAAGACUUAGGUUUUUCUAUGAUAAAUCACGCUUUUGGCUUUUUGUCGUGUCUUGCAUUUAGACACUUUAGUUAGAAUUGUAAAUACCUUGGCCAUUCUUAUAGAGAACACACAUGGGUUAUUUUAUAUAAAAUAAUUUUAUUGGGCCUAUAUUUUUUGUGGGUUUUGGACCUUUCAUAAUUUGGGCUAACAGAGGCCCCCGAAGUCUUACUUUUCAAUUUUGAGAAGUGAGACUUUUUUUGUACUUUUUUUUAGGCUUUUCUUUGGCUUUUCUUAUUACAAAUUAAAUUUUAAGGCUUGAAAUUUCUCUAAGGCACCUAUCCUAUUAAAAUUAGUCUACAACCAAUCUCACAUACUUCAUUUAAUGAUUUGUAGCUCUCUACAAUCUAUCUUAAUUUAACAAUUAUUGAAAAGUAUAAAAAUAAGGAGUUAGUAAAAGUAUCAUUUAAAAAGAGAUACUUGACUUUUUCUAAAUAGUAUGUGAGAAUUUUCUGACAAUUCUUUGGCGAGCUACUGUUGAAGCUCUUCGAGUGCUCAUCGAUCUAAGAAGCAAUGCCAAAUCUUUUCCUGAAAGGUCAUCUUUGAAACUGAAUUGCUUCAAUGGUAAACAUUUUUGUAGAUAGCGAUCCCAGUCAAUUCUCAUAUAUACUUACCCUUAGGCAUUUUGGUUGAGAUCAACCAAAGCUGUAGUCAACAUCCGCCCUUGGAAGAUUUAGUCAAUAGUUGCCCCUAAGCUUUUUGACAUUGGCUUUAAGGUGUUUCUCGUCAACACUAACUCUCGGACGUUUUUAUCUAAAACAUGUCAUUAGGUGUUUCAGACAAUCAUUUGCCUUUUAAUGUUUCACUUAGAAUAUUUUCCCUCAGGUCUAUUAUUAUAAUUCGCUUGUGGACGGUUUCCUUCAAAAAUUAAUUUGAAGUAAUUGGACCUAGGUCAUCCUUUAAAAGAAAGGACCUAGGCCCUUUUAUCAUAAUUUACUCGUGGGCAGUUUCGUAGAACUUAGCCCGUAAGCAUUCUCUUUAGAAUGAUUUUUCUAAGAAUUGGACCUAGGUCAUUUUUUACAAGAAUGGACCUAGGUCUUUUUAUUAUAAUUCGCAUGUGGGCACUUUUUAUAGAAUACUAAUUCUAAGUGAUUGGACCUAGAUCAUUCUUUGAAAGAAAGGACCUAUAUCUUUUUAUCAUAAUUCAGCCAUAUAUGGUUUCCUUAGAAGAUUAAUUCUAAGUAAUUUGACGUAGGUCUCUUUAUUAUAAUCCGCCCGUAGGCACUUUCCUUAGAAAAUUGAUUUUAAGUAAUUGGGCUUAAGUCUCUUUUUAAAGGAAAUGACGUAGGUCUCUUUUUAAAUUGAUUCUAACUUUGUCACUACUUUGAUUGCAUCAAGUGAUGAAUAAUGUCGUAAUCAGAAUUUUCAAGGGGGUAUUUGGGAAUAUUGCCCCCUUCAGAGUUUUAAAAGCCAGAGAAAGAAGACUUUUUGUAUUGUAUGGUACCAUGGUAUGCCCCGUAUGCCUUUCUUAAUGAUAAAGUAGCAGAUUCUCCUUCAAUUUAAUUUCUUUUUGUUCCAAGCCAAAAUAAAAAAAUUUCUGCUCACUAGCCGUACUCUGUUCUUGAUGAACAUUAGGAGGCAGUUCAAGACAUGGAUUCUCAAAGUCAAUUGUAUCGAUGAUACUUGGGUGUGUAUGACAUUUUUAUUAAUAAUUUUAAUCAUUCAUUGAUAAAUUCUUCUAUUAACAAAAAUAAUUUCUCCAAAAUUAAUUUUUCUACUCGCAGACCAUACUUUGUUCUUGAUGAACAUUAGUUGGUACUUCAAAACGUGGAUCCUCAAGUCAAAACGGUAAAUUUUUUUCAUCAGUGAAUCAUUAACUAAACAAGUGAUCUUAGAUUUCAUUCUUGUGUCUAUGAUAUGUGGGUGUGACUGACAUUUGAGGAACAAUUACAAGAGUGAAAAAGGAGAAUACAUAAUAUAUUCAACCACUAAAAAUAAAAGUCAUUUUUAUUUUAUUCCAUCUUACUCGAAUUUGAUACAACUAGUGGGUGUGUUGUAACUAAUCUUAUUUGUCCCUUUGAAAUAACCGAUAAUAAUCUUAUCACCGAAUGUUUAACAGACUCGUAACGUCAUAACGUAACUACCACGUCAAGCAAACACGUGGACUCAGCCGUGAACUACAACCGCAUAACCGUUACAUAUAUAGACUAGUAUGAAGCGGUGGAGUUAAAGCAAGCGUUUAAGAAGUGAUUUAAGCUGAUGCAAGCGUAAAGUAUGAGACGAAUAAAACAACAUACAAUUCAACAAAAGUCUAACAUGCCCUGUUCAAACUUAUAAUUUUCUACUAUUACCUUACCCGACAAUACAAUCCAAGUAGCUGGCAGCCACACCGCAAACUUCCACUAUCAUCUUCUCCUUUCAAACUUAUAAUUUUCUUUUUUCUUUUUUAUUUUCUGGAAAGAGCUGGCUUUCCUUGAUUUUUGCUUUUUGUCAACAAUUAUUCAUGCCUUUUUAUUUUUCUCCAUCACACUUUUUUUCUUUCCCAACUUCCACGAGCUGAGCCGUCGUCGCUUUUUGAAAGAAACAGUAUGGAAGCUAUCAAGAAACAGGCAAUCAAGCUCCGAGAACAAGUCGCCAAGCAGCAGCAAGUCCGUUUCUUUUCUUUUUUUGUUUUUAAAUUAUUUAGACUUUUAAUUAGUGAAAUUUCUCGAUUUUAUUUAUUUUUCAUUAGUUUUUUAUGGUUUGUACAGGCAGUAUUGAAGCAUCUGCUCCAUCUUGGCAUUGAAAAUGUUGCGGUUGAUAAAGCUGACAUUGAGUGUCACCAACAACUUCAAAAUCUAUACAAUUCCACCAGGGCAGCUAAGGCACCAUCCUCCUUUAGCUAAUAAUAAGACUCUGUUUGAUAUUGAUUUAUUGUGGCUUUUGGUAAUUAGAUAUGAUUUUUAAAUAAUAAUUUUGUCAAAUAUGGUACAAACAACUGUAUUUUCUAGACUGAAGUUGCAAGUAUUUACCAACGGAGCUUAAUGUAUGUUGAACAAUUAUGAUGGUUUGUAUGGUUUUAUCUGAACAAUAAUUUGGAAUAUAUGCUCUGUAGCGCAGCAUUUUCAGAGGAAUAUUGUCCGUGGCGUUGAAGGGUUUGUUGCAGUAAGCUUGAAACAAAUGGAAAUAUGUUGUUUGUUUGCUCUUGCUCUUGUUAUAAUAUUUGAUUUUUUUUUAUUUAUUUUCUUGACUAGUUCUUGUGUACAAUAUUUUUGUAUUCAAAUAUUGUAGCGAGAAAGUUGGCCGAAGAUUGUUGCAAGUAUGGAGCGGAGAAUCAAAGUGACAAUUCUUGCGUUGCAAGAGCUGCUCUUCAAUUUGGCACUUCACAUGAUUUGAUGGAAAAUGAGAGGGAAACUUUGCUUGGGAUUCUUCAUGAUCAGGUUAGUUCAUCCCUAACUAGAAAAUAAUUCAAAUAUAGAAAAUUAUAUGUAAAUUACUACGGAAACUAUUAUCUUCUCAUAAGGAAAUUUAGUUCUAAGAUAUUGAAUAAAAGAAUCCAUUUUAAAGUUACAACUCUGAAAUAUUUAAUGUUUUAUAUUAAAAUCAUUGCUAGUGACAUCCAUGACUUGAUAGUUUUAUUGGUUCAAAUGUUGAAGAGACCUUGUACUUCUUACAUCACUAGCGAAGACUGGCGUGGGACAAGUUAUUGGCCGUGAGUUCUCUCAAUUGACUCCAAGCAUUUUGGAUAAAGACAUUUGCAUCUGUAGUAAAAUCAAAUCCAUGAGACUGAAGGAUGCAUGGGGAAGUCUUACAACCUUUAUUUGCAUAGGUAGAUGCUGAGAAAACAUAUCAUCAACACGUUAUUGAUAUUUUAGAGAAGUUGUAUGCGGAGGUUUGGGACUAUGCAUUUUAACUUGCUUGUCCCCAUCUAUCUAUUCCUUGGAGCGUUCUCUUCUUGCUAUUUUCGUCUCACUUAUGCAAAAGAAUAAUUGUGACUUUUUAGUCCCUUCCAACCCUUGCUACUUGAAUUAGAUGAUCCUAUAGGAGCAAUCAAAUGAGUCCUCCUCGCAACAUGUGACUUUCGAAAUGGAUGUACAUGCCUCAUGUGUCUAUCAGAGUACUGAUUCAAAUGGAGCUGAUUUGCAAACGCAUAUUAAUCAGAAUGACGUCUACUUUAUAGCAAAAGUAAGGCUCCUGCUCUCUUGCAUAGGUGAAAGUCCCUCUAUUGCCCUCCUCCUGGAAAAUCUUAAGAAAUAAGAUGCGCACAAAAUUGAAUGCUGUCUUUUAAGAUUUUUUUUUUUAAAAAAAAAGAAUUUUGUUGUAUUUUACCAUGAAAGUUGUUAAUUUACUGAAUUACAAACUUAUCAAUUAAUUUGAUGUUGCACAGUCUUUUUCUUAACAUAUUGCAUUCAUAUUUUAAUUUUGGAGCAAUAAAAUUUUUUUUCUACUAUCACUACCAUCUGGGCAGGUAUUUGUAUUAUUGCACAACAUCUACGGAAGUAGUGAUUAGUCUUAAAAGUUGAAGAUGUCUGUCUGUAUCCUUUCAUCCUAGAUAAAUUGUCAUAUGAUCGUAGGACAAAUUGUAAUUAUUUUUUAAAAUUUAUUAGUUAACACCUUGAAAAUUCUUUUCCCCCAAAUAAAAUUACUCUAAAAGUGUCCAAAUGUGGUGCUGAGGAAGCCAUUCUUAGGAAACUUUAUUUAGGAGAACAGGACUUUUAAGCAUGAGGUUUAGCAAACACCAAUGAAUUAAAAAAGCGAUAGAUGUCGGAUGAGCUAGAUAGAAUGCAUGGGCUAGAAAUAUCAUGUGUCUCUACUAUCAAUAUCUUAGCAACAUCAAAGCUGAGUUAGGCAUGCCAAAGAAAGGCAAACCACUGAAAGUUGUGUAGCCACUCACGACGUAGCAGGUGAUGUAAAGUCUUGAUAUUGCUUAUAGAUACAAGACUGAUAGCUCAACAUCCCUCUUUUUGAGAUUUUCUCUUAAGUUAGAUGGGCCUUUUUAUGAUUAUGUCUGAAUUAUGAUUCUCCUUACUUGGUUUACCUAGAAAAACUAUGUUUAUAUGGAUGUGACUUGGGGGCAAUCUAUGUAUUUGAUGAUAAAUCUGGCCGAGAAAACUUAAAUUAUUAGGCAGAGGAAAUUGACUGACCAUAAGCUGUCAUGUUAAAUCCAUCACUUAAAAGAUGUCGGUCACUUGGAAUCCCCAUUAUCUAUGACUUUCUUGUGCAUAGGCCAUGUUUUGUGGAGAGCAGUCAAAAUUUCAGAUUUAAAAUCUUAUCCAUAAUUUAAAAAUGGAAUUUUGUUUCUAAUAUAUCUUUGUUGGCCAUAAUCAUUGUAGUUACAAUGAACGCUGCUGCUACUGCUGCUGCUUUUGUUAUGCUUUUUUAAAGAUUAAGUUCUAUUUAUCCUAGUAUCUUAUAGGUUAUACAUCCAUUUGACGCUCAAGCAAAUGGGGAGCUAAGUCUUUCAAUUGAUGAUUAUGUUGUGGUUCGCCAGGUACUUUCCCCUCUAAAUAACAACACAGAGAUUUUUCUACUAUGCUAUUAACUUAUCCUUCUAACAACUUAUGAUAUGUGGAAUUUAGAACUAAUGCUUAUACUAAUUUGAUGUUCAAAGCACAUGGCAUUUUGUUCUUAAAAUUUUGAUUGAAAAGCAAUGAGUUAACAUAUGAUGGUUGGUUUUCUUUCUUCCUACCAUAUAUUCCCUUUUAUAUUGAAGUGCAAAUCAGAAUAUAGUAGGGUUGCUAGCUCAGUUCUAAACCACCCAGUUUACCCUUAUAGAUAUGUGAAUUUAUAUCUUGUUAUGCUUCCAUGGUUAAUGUUGUUAUUUCAGUGAUCACAACUAAUUCACUCCUCCUACGUAAAAGAAUUAGUUUUCCCCUUAGGUCUUUGAACGGUCAACUUUUGUUUAAUUCACUGUUUUAGUUAUAACUUCUCAAGGUGGCUCUUAUGGAUGGUCGGAAGGUGAAUGCAAGGGCCAAGUUGGUUGGUUUCCCUCGGCAUACAUAGAAAGACAAGAAAAAGCCCCAGCUAGAAGGAUAUCAGAAACAAACUCCUCACCCAAAUGUGAUGCGACUUCUUAAUAAACUCUUGCCAAGUAUCUAUAUGUUCUUUUUCCUGUAUUAUAUUGCCAUUUUAGUUUAUAGAACGACUGCGACAAUUGAUAAGUGGUUUGAUUGCUUCUCUUAAUGAAAUCUUACUAAGCUCCAAGUAAUAUGUGCGAUCAUAUGCAUUUUAAUAUUUGUAUUUAUCUCCUAGUUGAGGAGAAUAUUUGUAGUAACAACUGUGUUUCCAAAUUGCCAAAAAAAAAAAAAUACACAUCAUGUUUAGCAACAAAUUUUUACUAUUAUUUCUUCCCAGUUUUAAUUUACUUUCUCCGUGAAUUGAAUGUUAUAUUAGUAGCUUGAUCAGAAAGUAACUCAUAUCAAUCAAACUACCUUGAUGCAAGAGAUUGAAUUUAGAAUUUCUCUAUCUUUGUGAAACUUUCCAAUCAUAAUGUUAUGAAAUAUGUGGGCAUGAACUUUUUAAUUUCUAGUUGCAUUUGGAGUAUGUAUGAUAUAAUCUGAAUCACUUGCAUAAUGUUCUUCAUCUUCCANNNNNNNNNNNNNNNNNNNNNNNNNNNNNNNNNNNNNNNNNNNNNNNNNNNNNNNNNNNNNNNNNNNNNNNNNNNNNNNNNNNNNNNNNNNNNNNNNNNNUUCUAACUAAUGAAAUUUUCUAGUCUAAAUUAUGAAAUAUGUGGGAUUGACUUAGAAAUUUUGGUAACAUGUCGAGAAUGUAUGGUAUAAUUUGAAUUCAUUAGCAUAAUCUUCAUCUUCAUUGAUUUGUAAAUUAUGAAACUAAUAUAUAAAAAACUAAUGUUAGAUCCUAAUUAUCUUUAGUUCUUAAAAUUGUUGAGGAGAUAUGAAAUUCUGGUGGGUGGAUUUGAGAGUUUUAGCUUUGAGAAUAUUGCUUCAUCUCUACUUUGAUGUUGUUGUGCCCCUUGUUGUGGCGAGGCAUUAAUCUUCCUAAAUUUUUUGUCAAGCUUCAACUUUAUUAUAUAUAUACCUUUCUUGAUAAAAUGUCUGGGUCCAUCGCUGGAUUUGGUGUUAAUGACACUAGUGAAGAAGAUGAUGAUAGCACCAUAAUCAUUAUUUUUUAAAGUAAAAUAGGCGAUCAAGUGCAUCUAGGUGUUUCAUUUCUUGUGUAUGAUUAUAAAACUAUUCUGAAUAUAGUUUCUAAAUGAAUGUUAUAGAGUGGCUGCUUUUAACAUUGGAGAUGGUUCUCUUAUUUAAGUAUGCUGCACAGUAUAGGGAAGUAUAAGUUAUGGUGGAUAGAUAUGAGUUUGGAAGUGUGGAGACAAAUGUGAAGUGCUUGGAAGUUGGAAGCUAUAUAACGCUAAAUACUUCUACAAUUUUAAUAAAAAAUAAAAAUAAAUUUAUUUCCUAAGCAAACUUGAUUAGUACUUAAAGAAUCAUAAUUAAGCUACUAAUUAAUUUCAAUGACAAAAUCUUGUUGGAAUAAGAUUGUCUACAACAAAAUAAUAACAUGAAGUUAUCCACAUUUCAACAAAGUAAAACAAUUUACGUCGCCAAUAAGAAUUUACAUAUAAAACAAUAACAAUUCCAAAUAUCACUAUUACGUACGAUGUUGUAAAUGUGAUAAAGAAACUGUCCGUGUCAAUUAAAAUGUCUGGGUCCAUCGCUGGAUUUGGUGUUAAUGUUUCUAGUGAAGAAGAUGAUGAUAGCACCAUAAUCAUUCUUUUUAAAAGUAAAAUAGGCGAUCAAGUGCAUCUAGGUGUUUCAUUUCCUGUGUAUGAUUAUAAAACUAUUCUGAAUAUAGUUGGCGAUCAAGUGCAUCUAGGUGUUUCAUUUCUUGUGUAUGAUUAUAAAACUAUUCUGAAUAUAGUUUCUAAAUGAAUGUUAUAGAGUGGCUGCUUUUAACAUUGGAGAUGGUUCUCUUAAAUAAAGUUUGCUGCACAGUAUAGCGAAGUAUAAGUUAUGGUGGAUAGAUAUGGGUUUGGAAGUGUAGAGACAAAUGUGAAGUGCUUGGAAGUUGGAAGCUAUAUAACACUAAAUACUACUACAAUUUUAAUAAAAAAUAAAAAUAAAUUUAUUUCCUAAGCAAACUUGAUUAGAACUUAAAGAAUCGUAAUUAAACUGCUAAUUAAUUUCAAUGACAAUAUCUUGUUGCAAUAAGAUUGUUUACAACAAAAUAGGAACAUGAAGUUAUCCACAUUUCAACAAAGUAAAACCAUCUACGUCGCCAAUAAGAAUUUACAUAUAAAACAAUAACAAUUCCGAAUAUCACAAUUAUGUACGAUGUUGUAAAUGUGAUAAAGAAACUGUCCAUGUCAAUUAAAUUAUCAUUUUUUGUUGGGGGGGGGAAAAAAGGGGCCCCCAAAAAAAAAAAAAAAAAAACUUUUUUUUUUUAAAAAAAAAAAAAUUUUUAAAAAUUUUUGGAAGGCGUUAAAUGUUGCAAAUUGUNNNNNNNNNNNNNNNNNNNNNNNNNNNNNNNNNNNNNNNNNNNNNNNNNNNNNNNNNNNNNNNNNNNNNNNNNNNNNNNNNNNNNNNNNNNNNNNNNNNNNNNNNNNNNNNNNNNNNNNNNNNNNNNNNNNNNNNNNNNNNNNNNNNNNNNNNNNNNNNNNNNNNNNNNNNNNNNNNNNNNNNNNNNNNNNNNNNNNNNNNNNNNNNNNNNNNNNNNNNNNNNNNNNNNNNNNNNNNNNNAUCAGCUUGUUGCAAGAAAGAUCAAGUCCUGAUAGGAGGCUAAGCACUUUUCCUUGGUAAAUGUACGCAAUGUUCUUUGUUGUGAACUCAAAAUUUUCACGGAUUUGCUUUUCUACAUCUCCGUCAGGGCCGUCGAUGGAAAAAGAUAUUUCAAAUUGCUCAUCAAGACUAGAACUAUUGCUGUAACUGUCAUGAAGUGUGGUGUUAUCAAAGCAAGGAGGAAUAGGACCGUGAAGAUUAUUAUUAGAAAGAUCUAACAAUUGUAGUUGGUUCAAUUCGCACAAUUGAACUGGCACUUUACCUUCAAGAUUAUUGUGACCUAAGAUAAGGUGACUUAACUGAGAAAGCCCAUCAACCCAAUCCGGAAUGCUGCCAUUCAAGCGGUUAUAGCUAAGAUCUAAUGUCACAAGGGAAGAGCAAUUAAAGAAUGUACCUCUUUUUAGUUGUCCAUGUAACAUAUUUUUUGAAAGAUGAACUUGUUUGAUAUUGAGAGGAUGGAAACAAGAUGGUAGACUUCCAGAUAUGUUGUUGUCUGAAAUGUCCAAAAUCUGAAGCAAAUCCAGUUGACAAAACUCCAUUGGAAUAGAACCUUUAAGAUGAUUCUUGUGCAUUGUAAUAUGUUGUAAACUUGUGAGACUGCCUAACCAUCGUGGAACCUUACCCGAAAGACUGUUAUUAUUAAGGUACAAUCCUUCUAGUGAGGAGCAUUUAUAUAAACUUUGUGGGAUCUCUCUUAUGAAGUGAUUGUCCUCCAAUUGUAACCAUAUUAAAUUUGCCAGGUUAAAAUUUCUACAGAACAUGUGACCUUUUAGGUUGUUGUUUGAUAACGCUAGAAACUCCAAGUUAACGCAACCGACGGCCAAGCGCUCAGGGAUUUCACCAGUCAAUUGAUUGCUGGAUAAGUCCAAAAUUCUGAGGAAGUUCAUUUUACCAAAUGAAGAGGGAAUGCUACCAUGCAAGGCAUUCGUGGAAAUGUUAAAAGAAAAUAAACUUGGUAAAAUAUCUCUAAUUUCUACUGGAAUAUGGCCUUGGAAGUUGUUGUUGGAGACACCCAAGAAUCUUAACCGCCUGUGUGGAUGAAUUGGCAAUUAAAAAGGUCCUCCAAUAGAAUCAUUGAUGAGAAAAAGAGUUUCUAAUUUUGUGUUGUUUUCCAACAACCAAUUUGGAAAUUCUCCAUUCAUCUUUAUAUGUGAGAGAUGAACAUCCUCCAGGUCAUGUUGAUGGUAAAGGAAUUUGGGGAAUGUGACACCAUCUCCACAACCGGAAGACAACAAGAGAGAUUGUAAUUGGAAGUUUGGGGCGGUCAAAGAAUGUGACUCAGUUAUUUCAGCUUUUAUUUCAUUGUUGUAAGCCCAUAAGCUCUUGAGUCUUGAGUGAUUGAAAAGUGGUUUAAGUGAAAUUGGGAUGCAGAAGUGAUUCUUUGAAAGUAUUAGCUCUUCAAUGGAUGUCAAAUGAACGAGGGGAGUGAUAACUCUAGGAAAUGAGAGUUAUUACAUCAAUUCUAAACUUGAAUCAGGAUCUUUUAGAGAACAAAUAAGGUGUUUUUAUUACAUUUUGCUUAAACAUUCAUUUUAGUUGAGUAUUAAUAAGUUUUGCUUGAAUUAUAGUAAUUUGUGCUAAAAACAUAUGCAUAAUUGUAGGUUCUUGGAAAGUCUUAAUUCAUGAGGGGAUGUUGAGGCAUUAGAUGAGCAAGAGGAGGAAAUAAGCCAGUCAUAAAAGAACAAAAGCACAAUCGGGAGUAAUGCAGUGCUGUUACGGAUGUUAGAGCAACCCGUUCUGUAGCAAUCUGGAAGUAAAUGCGAGAGAAAACUUGGGCGCGGGUCAGCACAUGUUUCUUAAUUUAACGCAUGCACACUCAUAGGCUUGUGUUUACCCUAAUUUGCAAUAUAAAAGGGAGGCAAUACCACAAAGAAAGGCGGCAAGGAAAUUAUCACUAGAAUAAUCACAAAGGAACGAAGAAGAAGAAGAUCAGAAUUAAAGAGUUUUGUUUUGGAAACAUUGGAGAAUCGUGCAGAAUUACUUGGCUUUGAUUUUCGCCGUGCUCAACUUAUAUUUAUCUUCUUCCUUUAAUUAUUUUGAUGUAUUCCGGGAUCAAUAUAUUUAUGAUUAUUUUUGUCAUCCAGAUUAUGAACUAAAUUUACUUGUAGUUGAGUGACAAAUAAUCCAAUGGGUUCUUGAUUGUUCUUAUAUGUUGUUAUGGUAAUGCUGUAGCAUUUUACUCUAGUAGUUUUUAUGAGUAUAACUGUUAUUUCGGUUGACCACCCAUUUAAUAGUUUCAGUUAAGAGCAGCAAAGGGGCAUGUCUUAGCGGACAUUAUUAGAGUAUUACUUGUUCUUAAAUUGAGUUUCCUGGAUUAGGUUAUCUUGAAUCCCAUAAGGGCAAUACUUGAAGUUAAGAUUUGUGACACUCUGGACAUAGGUGUUCACCUUGUAGGGUAGAGAGAUUAAAGGAUAUAAUGACGUACCAUAAAUAUAUGAGCAACUGGUCAUUGUUAGUAGAUUUAAAGGUAUGAGAUUUCUAACAUGCGAUAGCUGAGGAUGCAGAUUUAUUCUGCCCAGUGCUGCAGCACUUAUUGUAACAACUGGUGCUAAUUUGGUAAACACCAAUCACCCCAUUAGGAGAGUUUGAUUAUUCAACUACUAUAUUCUCAAUUGAAUCUUAGACACAGUUAACUUAGUUUAUUUCAUUACAGUAUUGUUUUAUUUCCAUCUCUCGCAAUUAUUAAUUACGAUAGAAUUAUUUAACAAUUGUUUGUUUCGGUUUUAGUUAAUUUGCACUAUUGUGAUUGCUUUAGCAUUUUGAGUAACAUCAAUCCCUGUGGAGACGAUCUUGAAUACUCAUCACUUUAUUACUUGUUGUGUAUAUGAUGAAGAGUAGGAAUCCAUAUUAUACUAGGAUUAGUUUCCUUAUUAACUAAAGUUUAAGACUUUUAAAUUCCUUUCUAAUUUAGAAUUUUGUUUCCCUUUCAAUUUAGGAUUUUGUUUUUACUUCAUGAAUUAGGAUAAUUACUACUACUAUAAAUAGCUUCCUCUUGUAACCUUUGAAUGCAUAAUUUUGAGUUCAAUAAUAUUUCAAUUUUCAAAUCUCUUUGUGAGUAUUUGAACAGUUAACUCUCGGUAUUCUGCGGAAUCAACGAGUCUUAAUCCCUAAAUUCACGGUAUUCUUUUGAAUCAACGUGAAUUUAAUUAUUAUUUUGUUCCGGUAUUCUCUAGAAUCAACGGAAUAUUUUGAACAUUAAACUUCCGCUGCAUCAGUAUAUUUGCACAUCGGCAUUGGUAGUAAUUGAUUAUAAAAAUAAAUCAAUAAGUGUUUGGGGUCGUUGCCGGGGAUUGAUUGUUUAUUUUUAAAGUGUAAAGUAAAUCUUGAUAGCGCCAAAUUUGAUUUGAUUUAUUCUAUUUAUUAGGAGAUCGGUACAUGCAUGCGCAAAGACAGGUCUGUGGUAUUCUAAUUCGAUCCUGAGAUUGAAAGGACUGUCAGGAGAUUGCGAAGAGAACAAAGGAAUUCAGAAAUUGAUUCAAGCAUGAAUAAUUUGCAGGAUGCGGGAAAUUUGAAUCCUCACGGGCCCUUACAACCAGUAAACAUUCAAGGAGAGCAGAAUGAACAUGUUAACGGGAGACAGCCAGGCAAUAACAAUAUUAUUUACAUGGCUGAUGACAGAGACAGAGCUAUAAGAGAUUAUGCUGUGCUAACUCCUCAAGUUGUACAUCCUGACAUCAUCAGACCUGAAGUAGACGUUGCAAAUUUUGAGUUAAAGCCAGUGAUGUUUCAAAUGUUGCAAACAGUUGGUCAAUUCAAUGGAUUGCCAGAUGAAGAUCCUCAUCUCCAUCUUAAAUUGUUCUUGGAAGUAAGUGAUACUUUCAAGAUUGCUGGAGCAAUACAAGAUGCUUUAAGGCUGAGACUCUUUCCUUAUUCCUUAAGAGAUCAAGCAAGAGUAUGGUUAAAUUCGUUACCAUCUGAUUCCAUCACUACAUGGAAUGAAUUGGCUGAUAAAUUCCUAAUGAAAUAUUUCCCACCAACAAAAAAUGCAAAGUUGCGGAAUGAGAUUACUUUCUUCCAUCAACUUGAAGAUGAAAUGCAAAAAAUGCAAAAAAUGCAAUGUUAGUUAAUGAGUGACCUCAUUAACUAACAUAGUAAAGGCCUUGACAUCUGCUCCAGCAACAGUAAAGCAAGUUACUGAACUUUCUUGUGUAUACUGUGGUGAAGAGCAUAACUUUGAUAAUUGUCCUGGAAACCCAGCUUCAGUAAACUAUGUGGGUAAUUUCAGUUGAUAACCUCAGAACAACCCAUAUUCAAAUACUUACAACCCUGGCUAGAAGCAACACCCAAAUUUUGCAUGGAGCAGUCAGAAUCGAAAUGCUCCAGCAUUAAAUAGACAAAAUAAAAACACACAACCACUUGGUUUUCAUCAGCAGAGUCAAGGGCAAAAGCAUAACAGUCAGGAUCCAAUCACUUCACUGGAAGCACUGAUUAAAGAGUACAUUGUAAAGAAUGAAGCAAUUGUGCAGAGUCAAGCUGUAUCCUUGAGAAACCUGGAAAACCAAAUGGGACAACUAGCCACAGUAAUAAGCAGCAGAACUCAAGGAAGCCUACCUACCAACACAAAAGACCCUAGGAGGGAGGGCAAAGAACACUGCAAAGUAAUUAAUUUGAGGUCUGGAAAGAAUGUUGAUAUCCCAGCUGAUGUAACAAAAAAUGGGAUGGAAUUCAAUUCAGCACAAAAAUUACCUCAAAAGGGAAGCAUGUUACAACAACCUCCUCUUCAAGACACUGGUUACAUGGGCCAAGUUACAGCAACUACAGAGGAAAUUCAACCAAAACAUGUUGAAAAAGAAAUUGCAACACCAGUAGUCACAACCUGCACCAAACCAAACAAACAGAGUUUGAUAUCUCCUGAAGCUACCUAGCAGUUUAGACAUCCACCACCUUUCCCACAAAGGAUCCAGAAGCAAUAACAAGACAAGCAGUUUAGCAAAUUCCUGGAAGGGCUGAAACAACUGCACAUAAAUAUACCUUUUGUGGAAGUUUUGGAGCAAAUGCCAAAUUAUGUGAAAUUUUUAAAAGAUAUCUUAGCAUGAAAAAGAAAGCUGAGAGAGUUUGAAACUGUUGCUUUAACACAGAAGAGCAGCCAUAUGCUCAAGAGUAAAAUUCUCACAAAAGUAAAAGAUCCAGGGAGUUUUACAAUACCCUGCGCUAUAGGAACUAGGUAUGCUGGCAAAGCACUUUGUGACUUGGGAGCUAAUAUUAAUUUGAUGCCAUUAUCUGUAUUUAAGCAGCUGGGAGUAGGGGAGUGCAGACCAACAACAGUCACUCUGCAAUUAGCUGAUAGAUCUCAUGCAUACCCUGAAGGAAAAAUAGAGGAUGUAUUGGUGAAGGUUGACAAAUUCAUUUUUCCAGUGGAUUUCAUUGUACUGGACUUUGAAGUUAAUAAAGAGGUACCCAUUGUAUUGGGAAGACCUUUUCUAGCAACUGGAAAGACUUUGAUAGAUGUGCAGAAAAGAGAGCUCACCAUGAGAGUGAAUGAUCAGCAAGUCACAUUUAAUGUCCUAGAGGCUAUGAGAAACCCCGAUGAAGUAGAAGAUUGCAAUUUCCUAAGUGCAGUGGAUUUUGUUGUAGCAAACAAAAUGGACAGAUGCUACAAUAAUGCACUUGACAAAGUCACCACCUUUGAAGAUGUUGCAGCAAUCCAAACAUAUUAGAUGGACAAACAGCAAUCUAAUAGGCACAACAUGUUUAUUGAACACCUGAAUGUUUCAGACAGGGAAGUAAAAACAACUUUACCAUCUAUUGAAUCACCUCCUAGUUUUGAAUUAAAACUGUUACCUUCACAUUUGAAGUAUGCAUAUCUUGGUCAAAACAACACACUCCCUGUAAUCAUUUCUUCUACUGUGGAUGCAGGUCAAGAACAGAGUCUAGUAGAUUUACUGGGAAAAUACAGAAGAGCAAUUGGAUGGACCAUGGCAGAUAUAAAGGGGAUAAGUCCAUCAAUAUGCAUGCAUAAAAUCCUGUUAGAAGAUUGUUCCAACAAUUCGGUGGAGCACUAGAGAAGGAUGAAUCCUAUUAUGAAAGAAGUGGUGAAGAAGGAAAUCAUCAAAUGGUUGGAUGCUGGAAUCAUAUACCCAAUAUCGGACAGUUCAUGGGUAAGCCCAGUUCAAUGUGUUCCAAAGAAAGGAGGGAUAACAGUAAUGGCUAAUGAAAAGAAUGAACUUAUUCCUACAAGGAUAGUGACUAGAUGGAGAGUGUGUAUGGAUUACAGGAAACUCAACAAAGCCACAAGGAAAGACCAUUUCCCACUUUCAUUCAUAAAUCAGAUGUUGGACAGACUUGCUGGAAAACAAUACUAUUGUUUCUUAGAUGGGUACUCAAGUUACAACCAUAUUGCUAUAGCUCUAGAAGAUCAAGAGAAUACUACAUUUACUUGUCCCUAUGGAACAUUUGCCUUCAGAAGAAUGUCAUUUGGGCUAUGCAAUGCUCUAGCAACUUUUCAGAGAUGCAUGAUGUCUAUAUUUUCUGAUAUGGUAGAGCAGACUUUGGAAGUUUUCAUGGAUGACUUCUCAGUUUUUGGAGAAACAUACAAUGAUUGUUUACACAACUUGGAAGAAGUUCUUAAAAGAUGUGAGAUGACCAACUUAGUACUCAAUUCGGAAAAGUGUCAUUUCAUGGUGCAAGAAGGAAUAGUGUUGGGUCACAAGAUAUCCAAGGAUGGUAUUGAGGUAGACAAAGCUAAGAUAGAGGUAAUAGAUAAACUGCCACCUCCAACUUCAGUAAAGGGAAUUAGGAGUUUUUUGGGCCGUGCUGGAUUCUACAGAAGAUUCAUUAAGCAUUUUUCCAAAGUAGCUAAACCACUGUGUUCAUUGCUGGAGCAUGACAAACCGUUUCACUUUGACAAAGAUUGCCUUCAAGCAUUUGGAGAAUUAAAGAAAGCUUUGAUCACUGCUCCAGUAGUUAUAUCUCCAGACUGGACUUUACCAUUUGAAUUGAUGUGUGAUACUAGUGAUCACUCUGUGGGGGCAGUAUUAGGGCAAAGAAAGGAUAAAGUUUUUCACUUCAUCUACUAUGCAAGAAAACUCUCACUCAAACUCAAAUCAAUUACACCACUACAGAGAAAGAGUUGCUAGUAGUAGUAUUUGCUUUUGACAAAUUCAGAGCCUACUUAGUAGGCACUAGAGUGACUGUAUAUACAGACCAUGCAGCAAUCAAAUACUUAAUUUCAAAGAAGGAUGCCAAGCCAAGAUUAAUUAGAUGGAUUUUAUUGCUUUAAGAAUUUGAUCUGGAAAUUAAAGAUAGAAAGGGGACUGAGAAUCAAGUAGCAGACCACCUGUCACGGCUGGAUGCAGACACAAGCACAUUGACCAGAAACGACAUCACUGAAACUUUUCCUGAUGAACAGCUGUUGGUAGUACAAUAAGCACAGAUGCUGCAGCAGUCAGAAUCUCCAUAGUAUGCAGAUUUUGCUAACUAUUUAGUAAGUGGGUUGCUACCACCUGAGCUAAAGUUUUAAGAGAAAAAGAAAUUUCUUCAUGAUGUUAGAAGUUAUCAGUGGGAUGACCCACAUUUAUAUAAGCUAUGCUCAGAUCAAGUAAUAAGAAGAUGUGUUGCAGCAGAAGAGAUACCCCAUAUACUGGAGUCAUGUCAUGCUGCAGCAUAUGGAGGACAUUUUGGUGGUCACAGAACAGCUGUCAAAGUUCUGCAAUUAGGUUAUUAUUGGCCCACUAUUUUUAAAGAUACUUAUGAAUUUGUUAAAUGUUGUGACAGGUGUCGAAGGACAGGGAACAUAAGUAGAAGACAUGAAAUGCCACUGACCAACAUCCUGGAAGUGGAAGUUUUUUAUGUCUGGAGAAUAGAUUUUAUGGGACCCUUCCCGCCAUCUUUUGGGAACUUAUAUAUCCUUGUUGCUGUGGAUUAUGUCUCCAAGUGGGUAGAAGCUGCAGCAUUACCUACCAAUGAUGCUAAAACAGUUGUGGCUUUUCUUCAGAAAAAUGUUUUCUCUAGGUUUGGCACUCCUAGAGCAAUUAUUAGUGAUGAGGGCACACAUUUUACAACAAAAUCUUUGCUGCAGCAAUGAUGAAAUAUGGAGUCAGGCUGAAGUGUCCAACAGAGAAAUUAAAAAGAUCUUAGAAAAAGUGGUGAAUCCAAUAAGGAAGGAUUGGUCUUUACACUUGCAUGACUCUCUAUGGGCCUACAGAACAGCAUACAAAACUCCACUCGGAAUGUCUCACUACCGAAUUGUUUAUGGCAAAGCUUGUCAUUUGCCACUAGAGCUAGAGCAUAAAGCACAUUGGGCACUGAAGAAAUUAAAUUGGGAUAUGCAUGCUGCAACAGAGCAAAGGAAACUUCAACUUUGUGAGCUUGAUUAAUUACAACUAUUUUCAUAUGAAAAUGCAAGAAUCUAUAAAGAGAGGACAAAACACUGGCACGACAAGCAUAUUCAGCACAGGAAAUUCAACCCUAGUCAAUUAGUGUUGCUCCACAAUACAAGACUAAGAUUAUUUUUGGGAAAGCUCAAGUUACGAUGGUCUAGCCCGUUUAAGUUGUUAAAAUCUUAUUCUCAUGGAGUUGUUGAUCUUCUAGAUGAACAAACAGGCCACGAAUUCAAAGUUAAUGGACACAGGGUUAAGCAUUACAUACAUCCAGCAGUAGAAUGUUCAAAGGAGAUGUUACUCCUUAAAGAACCCAGCUAUUGAACAAUGAAGGAAGGUCAGGCUGAAGGACCUUAAAUCAAGCGCUCCAUGGGAAGCAGCCCAUUUGGGAGACAACCACUUCAAACCAAUUUUGAUCUCCUUUGGUUUAGUUGACAGCUCUCCCUCCUUACCAUUUUAUUUAAUUUUGUUCUUUCAUUCUAGCUAUUUAAUUUUAUCUUUUCAAAUUAUUGCAUUCUUUAAUUUUGCUAUCAUUUAAUCUAUUUAUUUUUAAAUGUUAGAAUUAAUUUGAAUUUGUGGGAAGUAUGUGUAACAAUUGAAUUCCAUACUGACAAGUGAGGUUGUAUGGUGGCAGAGUAUAGAGGUGAGCCACGUGUCAGAGGCUUUAGUGUGGAGUAUGUACCGUUGCUAGAGUAAGCGAAUGGGUGCUGCAGCAACCAAUUUUACCGUUGCAAUAAAUUGAAAGAUGAAGCCUCUCACUUACCGUUGGAGAUAAAUCAUGACAGAUGGAGGCUUGGAUGUGGAUAGAAAUUGCAAAUAAAUCUCUGAAAUUAAUGCCUUAAAUUACCUAGCCGAUGUUUUUGGGAUACGCGCUUUAAAUUAAAAAAUAUUUUCUUCCCUCAUUUAUCUUUAGUUACCGUAUUUAUCUCCAAUUAAAAGUCCACUAUAAAAAAGUCAUUGUACUUAGUGCUCUACACCACUAUUCCCCAUCUCCUUCGCAAAUCCAACUCUCCUAAUUCUUAGCCUCUUCUUCUCUUUUUACUCUCAGGAACAGUAGACUAAAUUUGUUACUGCUACAGUAAUGCCGAGAUAUAAGAAAACAGCAAGCCGCCUCAAAGAUCCGUCACGAUUCUAAAGUUACCACGCCGAAAAAAAAUAUGAAGAAUUCAUAGAGCCGCGUAGGAUUCUGGAAGAAAAAAGGUUUCAAUUUCCAGACCAACUCACGGGAAUUGUGCAAACAAUUCAUAAUGCUGCAGCAAAGCGAGGAUGGCUAGAGUUUUACAAACACCCUCGGGAUCCUGUGCUGCCUGUAGUAAAAGAAUUUUACGCCAAUUUGGUAAGCCCUGAUCAGCACAACAUUUGGAUAAGAAAUACACUUGUCCCAUUAGACUCUCGUGUUAUCAAUGCUUUUUAUAACUUACCUGCUGAAAUUACUUGUGAGUAUGCUAAGUUGCGUGAUAAGUUAACCCCGAAAAAGUGGAACACCAUUUUUACAACUCUUACAAUCGAAAGAGCAUCAUGGGCUAACAAGGAAGGGCGUGUAGUUAAUAGGAUAGAUUUGAAACCUAUUGCUAAGAUGUGGGUGAAAUUUCUGAAAUCUAGGCUUAUGCCCACCACUCACACUACUACAGUUUUGCAAGAAAGGUUGGUCUUGUUAUAUGUCAUAGUUCGCGGGCUUCCCAUAGAUGUGGGUAGCAUCAUCGCAAAAGAAAUCCGAGAUUGUGCAGUCAAGACUCACCGAACUGCUGCUUUGCUAUUUCCAUCACUCGUUACUAGCAUUUGUGUAGUUUCAGGUGUUCAUCUUGACGCCAGAGAUGACCAUGUCAAUAAUGAUGGUGCCUUUACGGCAUGAACCAUUGAGAGAGUUGCUGGUGAGAGUGCUGGAACAACCACUGAACCAGCUGCUGAGACAGGAGCAAGAUGAGCUAUUGGCUUAGAAAAGACCAUCCAGGCACUCAGCACAAGUAUAACUCAAUGUACGGAACCACAGCAGUGGGAAAACGAUCGAUUUUGGAGCUAUCUCCAGCACCUGGACAACCAACUACACCAAUUUUCUCUGUACAUGAAACGCACUCACCGGAACUUCCUUGAUGCACUGCUCCAGCAGUACAAUUUUGACACCAACACCACAAAUGCAUCAACAGAGGCUAGUGCAGAAGCCACUGCCACAGAGGAACCAGCAGAAGAUGCUACAGCCGAACCUCAAGCAGAGGAAGAAUCAGAAGAUGCUGAACCAUCUGAUUAGCCUGAGGAAGAAGGUGACAAGUCUGAGAUUGAUAGCUCACCUACAGAGGAAGAAGACAACUCGGAGAAAGACCGUGAGGAACCAACCAUCCUAACCCAGCCCAAAACCAGAAAAAAAAAAAGCACGUUAUUCAAGAAAAUGAGGAGGAAGACCUUGAAGAGGAGCCGUAUAUUCCAGUCCUUGCAGGCAAGAGAAAGGACAAGGGUAAAGCAAAAAUGGCAACAACUCCAGCCUCUGAAGAUGAGAUGGAGCAAGUCGAUGCUAAGCUGGCUGCUGCAGCAGCCAGAGCUAUGCCUACACCUAAGCAAGCUAAGCAACUACUUGCGGUUAUUGCUGCCAUCACAACUGAGGGCCAGGCAGCUGAUGCAUUAACUCAACAACCUCCACAGCAAACUCCUAGCCAGCCUAUUCGCACAAGUCCAAGACAAUCCAGCAAACAAAAAGGCAGUACGUCUACAAGUACUUCUACAGCAACCCCAGCCACAACUCCUCUCACCAGCCGCGCAGUGAAAAAGACAAAGACAUUGCCAGCUACUUCCCCAAAAGCUUCACCAAAGGAUGAGCUGCGCAGUGCAUCCAAGAAGUGCUGAUAGCAUCCCGUCAUGCACUCCAGUCCCCACCACAGGGGAGUACUCUAUCCUUACUAGUUCAUAUUUAAAAAAAAAAAAUUAUGUUUGUCAAUUUGUAUGCCUUUGUUAUGUAUGCUUGUGAGGACACAGCAUCUCUCAAGUUUGGGGGGAUUGUGUCCGAAUGCAUGUGUUUAUGUAUGUGUUUAUGUUUGUGUUGUGUGAAGCUCUGUUAUCUGUUAUUUGUGUAUGGAUUUGAAAACCUAAUAAAGAUAAAUUGAGUGUUAUUCAGUAUUUAUGAGAAUGCCAAGUAGAGAUAGUUAUAGAUAGAAGUGAAAUUAUGUCCCAACACUUAGACUUUGGUUGAAUUGUAUGAGACUGUUAGAGCAAAGCCAAAAGAAUAGAAAAUAUCUUAAGUUUGAAGGGAGAAGCAAGUUGAUUGACUGUGAUAUUUAUGAGAUAAAACUCUACUCCAAUGGCUCAAGUUGCUGAGUAACCAAAUCUGAGUAUGUACCCCAUAUGCAGAAUUGUGUAAAAGGUAGCAAGAGUUAUGAGCAAUGCUGUAGCAAAUAAAAAAAAAAGUCCUAUGUCUAAGGCAUUGAGUAGUCAGGUCUGUUCAUGAACCCCAUGUUCAGCCUUGAGUAAAAGAUACCUUUAGAUGAGAUUAUACCGCAAAUAUUGCUGCAGCAACUCUGAUCUGGGCAUGGUUUAAGUAAUUGGGUGUCAUCAUUACAAGUGAUUGACAUUCACAUGAAAGAUAAAUGUUACAGUAAGGAGGUUGAUUACUCCCCAGUUUAUCAAUGUAAAACAAUCACAGUUUGAAUAUGUGAAAUUUAUGCUACCCCAUUUAUGAAUGAAGUAUAUCACUGCUGAAAUUUAUGCAGUCCUUUGGUGAUGUUACAGCAUAUCUGGAAUUCAAUCAAAGGAAGCACACACACACAAUGGACAGAAAGAAGCUUAAGUCUAGAACUGAUUUACUAUGGCAUUUUGUAUGAUUGGGAUUGUGAUCUGAAGGUGGAAGAAUCCUUGCAAAUUUGAUAAAAGAGCUAAAGUUGUGUGCAUGUUUGUUUGCGGAAAAUGUUAGUAUGUGUCAUUACUUGAAGGCAAGUAAUGGUUUAAGUUUGGGGGUGUGAUAACUCUAAGAAAUGAGAGUUAUUACAUCAAUUCUAGACUUGAAUCAGGAUCAUUUAGAGAACAAAUAAGGUGUUUUUAUUACAUUUUGCUUAAACAUUCAUUUUAGUUGAGUAUUAAUAAGUUUUGCUUGAAUUAUAGUAAUUUGUACUAAAAACAUAUGCAUAAUUGUAGGUUCUUGGAAAGUCUUAAUUCAUGAGGGGAUGUCGAGGCAUUAGAUGAGCAAGAGGAGGAAAGAAGACGGUCAUAAAAGAAGAAAAGCACAAUCGGGAGUAAUGCAGUGCUGUUGUGGAUGUUAGAGCAACCCGUGCUAUAGCAAUCUAGAAGUAAAUGUCGGAGAAAACUUAGGCUCAGGUCAGCACAUGUUUCCUAAUUUAACGCACGCACGCUCAUGGGCUUGUGUUUACCCUAAUUUGCAAUAUAAAAUGGAGGCAAUACCACAAAGAAAUGCGGCAAGGAAAUUAUCAUUAGAAUAAUCACAAAGGAACGAAGAAGGAGAAGAUCAGAAUUGAAGAGUGUUGUUUUGGUAACAUUGGAGAAUCGUGCAGAAUUACUUGGCUUUGAUUUUCACCGUGCUCAACUUAUAUUUAUCUUCUUCUUUUAAUUGUUUUGAUGUAUUCCGAGAUCAAUAUAUUUAUGAUUAUUUUUGUCAUCCAGAUUAUGAACUAAAUUUACUUGUAGUUGAGUGACAAAUAAUCCAAUGGGUUCUUGACUGUUCUUAUAUGUUGUUAUGUUAAUGCUGUAGCAUUUUACUCUAGUAGUUUUUAUGAGUAUAACUGUUAUUUAGGUUGACCACCCAUUUAAUAGUUUCAGUUAAGAUAGAGCAGCAAAAGGGCAUGUCUUAGCGGACAUUAUUAGAGUAUUACUUGUUCUUAAGUCGAGUUUCCUGGAUUAGGUUAUCUUGAAUCCCAUAAGGGCAGUACUUGAAGUUAAGAUUUGUGACACUCUAGACAUAGGUGUUCACCUUGUAGGGUAGAGAGAUUAAAGGAUAUAAUGACGUACCAUAAAUAUAUGAGCAACUGGUCAUUGUUAGUAGAUUUAAAGGUAUGAGAUUUCUAACAUGCGAUAGCUGAGGAUGCAGAUUUAUUCUGCCCAGUGCUGCAGCACUUAUUGUAACAACUGGUGCUAAUUUGGUAAACAACAAUCACCCCAUUAGGAGAGUUUGAUCAUUCAACUACUAUAUUCUCAAUUGAAUCUUAGACACAGUUAACUUAGUUUAUUUCAUUACAGUAUUGUUUUAUUUCUAUCUCUCGCAAUUAUUAACUACGAUAGAAUUAUUUGACAAUUGUUUGUUUCGGUUUUAGUUAAUUUGCACUAUUGUGAUUGCUUUAGCAUUUUGAGUAACAUCAAUCCCUGUGAAGACGAUCUUGAAUAUUCAUCACUUUAUUACUUAUUGUGUAUACUUGCACAUUGGCAUUGGUAGUAAUUGAUUAUAAAAAUAAAUCAACAGGGAGAUAAGGAGAUGCUUCCAGUAAGUUGAUUGUAAGAAACAUCUAAUAUUCGGAGGGAUGUCAUAUUUGCCAAGCACCAAGGCAAGCUACCUCUUAAAUCAUUGCUUGCAAUGUACAACUCUUGUAGAUGCACCAACGAACAGAGGCCUGAAAAUUUAUUAAUUCAACCAUUGGUACAAUAAAACAAUUAACAAAUGCAUAACAUUCUUUUAUAAGUGAUUGGUUUGUGUAAUUAUAUUUUUAAUUGAAAAUUAAAAUUAUAGAUCAAGAGGGGAGGGUGGGAGCAUCUGAUUAACCUUGAUCAAGAAUCAUGCUGCUGUUAAUGCCAAUAGUAGAACCUGACAGUGAUAAGUACUUGAGAGAAGACAUCGAUUCACCGAUGCUUUGAAGAAAGCUGGUGUUGAGUGCACUGCGCAUGAAUUCCAUGUCCAAAUGUUCCAAACUCUUGAAAUGAGGAAAGCCUAGCAAAAACAAUAAAAUAAAUAAAUAAAAAUGUUGAACACUUAAGACGACAUUGAGUUCACAAUCAACACUUUUCUUUUACCUUGACCACGUACGACACCAUUGACUUCACAACCAAUCACCGACAGAUUUUUUAACGAAGGGAAUAUUGAUGCAAUGCUUUACAGAAGGCUUAUAUGGAGAGGGGAAUCGUUCAAUUUCAAAUAUUCCAAGUUGGUGAAAUUGUGCAACUCUGUUUCGAAGCAAUAAUUUUAGCUUUAUUAACAAUACGGAAAAAUAAUUAAUUAUUUAACAGUUUAUUUAUAAAUUUGGCCACAUAUGUACCGUUUAUUAAUAAUAUGGAUAAUUAAUUAAUUAAUUAGCUGCUUAUUUAUAAAUUUGGCCACAUUUGUACCUUUUACUUACCUUGAGUAGUAAUUGUCACUGUUUCCGUAAAAUUAUUAGACGAAAGGUAAAGAUUGUUGAGGGAUGGGAAUGAUCCCAUUGACUGUAACAACUUGCUUCCAUCUCUAACUCCAACUCUCGAUAGAUCAAGGCUUUUCAACUUCCUCAAACCGCUGUAACCUAUUUAAUAACAAUAAUUAGGAUAGGAUUUAAGAAAAUCAAAAUUCAUUGUCUAAAUUUAGAGCUAAACGAAAUAACUGAUUAAUUUAAUUAGGAGUCAAUUUGUAUUUUAUGCUUUGGGCAAAGAUCAGUAUCAUUUUUCAAUCGCUGCAAAGAUUAAAAAAUUAAAAUGAAAUCUUUAUUACAUUUUGUUUUUGAAAUAAUAAUAUUACGUCCUAUUUUUGAAAUAAUAUAAAUUCUAUGUUUCUUUAUUUUUAUUUUUAUUUUUUUGUACCUUUUGGGCCUUCCCUAAUCAAAUGAAUAAAAUUUAUGUAAUUGAAUAAUAUUUUAAAUGUUUACCUUGAGGAACCACAAGAUUGUUGAUUUCAUUGAAGCUCAUGUCCAACAAUUCUAAGUUGUUGAAGGAAUUGAAUUCUGCAAACAUAAACAGACUUAAGACUUAAAACAGAGUAAAUUAAUUAAUAAAUUUAAAGAAAUUAAAACGUCAUUAGAAUUUCGUCUAAACCAAACCAAAUAGUAUUUAAUUAAUUGAUUGAAAAAGUAUGCUUACUUUGUAUGUAAUUCCUUCAGGCUAAUCAAAUUAAAUAUUAAAUUAUGUCGAUAAUACAGAAGUCUAGCUGGCAUAUAUAAAAUGAGAAAGCAGGGCUUAGACUUACCUCGAACAUUGAAUGUUCCUUUGAAUCUCGUACCACUUAAACUAAGAGACUUCAAUUUACUCAAACCUGUAAAAUAAUAAACCAAAUGGCAAAGAAUCCAGCUAAUUUGUAUAAGUUAGCAUUUUUUAUGGUAUUUGUAGUACCUUUUGAGACCACAAAUUUGUCAAUCUUGUUCCCGCCAAUGUCUAGCUCCUCUAAAUCUCUCAAAGAAUCUAAUUCUGUAAUAAGUACAAAUUGAGUUGAAUGUUUCAAACCUCACCAAAUAAUAAUAAUAAUAAUAAUAAUAAGUUGUGGAGGUGUUUGGUUCACUAUUGGAGUUUUUUUUUAAUCUUAAAUUCAAGACAUAUGAAAGUACAAGAUGAAAUUACGAGAAACAUAAAAACUUGUAUUUAUAAAUUGCUUAAAACUGUUUUUUUUAAUAUUAAUCAUAAAAAAAUUGAAUUCAAAGCCUUGAAUCUUAUUUUAGCAAGUUAAUGAAAGAACUUGAAGUUUUAAUUAUGUACCUUUAACGUCAAUACUUCCUUCCAAUCUAUUCCAAAAUAAAUUUAAUGAUCUUAAUGGUGAAAGAUGAGUUAGAGAUGAUAAAAUGCUAUUAUUGAAUGAGUUUCCACUUAAAUUAAGCAUCUUCAAGUUGUUCAAUCUUGAUAGCCUCUCUAUACCUGCAAGUAAAAUAAAAAAAAGAUCAUAGAUACUGGUGUAAUUUCAAAAUUAAUCAUUUAAAAAAAAAGUCAAAAUUGUCGACUAAAUGAAUAUGCAUAUAAUUGCUCGGUCUUGAUAUUCAACUUAAAUUAGGGGGGAGAAAGUAAAUUAAUUAAAUUAAACGAAGCACCUUCAUUCUCAACACAACUGGCUAUUUUGUUGUCAGUUAAAUCAAGUGACUCAAGUUGUUGGAAGGGAGUAAACAAAGAAGCAUUCAGAUACCAGUACUCUCCCCCAUACGUGUCAGAAAGGUCUAGCGCUAUCACUCGGCUCAUGGUGUUGCUGCACUCAACCCUUUCCCACUGACAACAAUCAGUAGCUCCCUCACCAUCUCCCCAGUCGUAAAGAAAAUUAUAAGGAUCAUUGAGGAAAUGUUUGAGUCGCAAAAGAGCAAAUCUCUCAUGAUCCAAACAUCCCUCACUUCACCCACCUUCAAAUAUUAUUAAUAACAAAACAAACAUUAUCACCAUUUUUUUAUUUUGAACCACCCAUUCUAACUAUAUCUUUAAGUUUUAAAAAACACACACACUCUUUCUAUCUUUGUAACCAACCAGAGGACUAUACGCCAUUUGCUUAUAACGCAUGUAACUAUUUAUACACCCAACUAGCUUAUAGUUGACUUUUUUAGUUGUUUCUCCAAGUCCUUCAUGCAUUAAUUUUCUUCCCUUUUUUUUUCAUCUUUGUCAUUUUGCUAUAAUUUGCAACAGCAACGCGUUUUGAGCUAGCAAUAAAUAAUAAUUGAGAGAGAUUGAGAUGACAAAUGGAUAGAAACUAAAAGUAUGGGUGUUUAAUACGAGAACGAUUAUACCCGUUUAUUAUAUUUCAACCUAAAAAUUUACUCUAAGCAUUUAUAAUAAAUAAAAAUAUGAUAAUAAAAAUAAUAAAAAAAUAUGAAUAAUAUAUAUUUGUAAAAAAAAAAGAUUUAUGUGUCCAUUUUGAAAAUUAGCGAGUAUAUGUAAAUAUAAUUAUCAAAACAAACCAUAGAAGUGUUGUUAUUUUUUCCUUUCAAAAAAUCCACCAUUAUAAAAAAAGCCCAAAGACUUUGACAUCUUUUAGGAGUCUUUGGGCCUUGUUUUUUUCCCUCUUUUUCUUUCAUUUGCAUUUUGAUCCACAAGGCCAAAAAUUAAAUUCCACACCUUUGGCAUUUUGUGGAGAUUACAUUUCCAUGUUUUUACUUAGAAAGUAGGUGGAGACGUGGAGUCAAUGCGGCCAAGUGCUCAAUUAUUGUUAGUUAGCAAAAUAGAAUUUUUGGCGAGAUGAAUUUGUUGUAAAAAAGUUUUUGGAAAAAAUAAUAAUCAUCGGAACUUGUCUUGUGUCUUUAUAACAAUUUACUACUGCGAAAUCUUUACAACUUCACAUCUUUGAUUCAAUUAUCGCCACAAAGGCACAAGUACGUCCAUUUGUAAACCAAUCGAUAGAGAUCAAAUUUCAAGCCAUGAACUUGUAUUGUCAGCAAACACCUAAUCACUUUAGAUAUUUGUAUCGUUUAAUUAAUUAAUGAUCACUCUGAAAUUACAGAGGUUGGCCGAAUAUUCCCCUAAAAUUAAUUAAUUUUACCGAAAGGGAAUUAUUAGACAGAUCAAGUGUGUCUAGUUUUUUUGUUGUUUUGUAACAAUCAAUUUGGAAACUCUUCACUCAAGUUAGCAUCUUAGAGAUCAAGAUAAACAAACUCCUAGUGAUGCUAAUGGAAGAGGAAUUUAUAAGAGGAGAAGAGAGAGUAAUUAUGCUUGAUCAAGAAAGGUACCAUUAAAUCUAGAAUAUGACAAUUAAUGGUAGAAAAAUUAACAAGCAUGUAAUCCACGAUCAAAGAUUUUAAAUCCUUGAAAUUUAGAUAACCUAAAAAUUAACAUUGAACAAGAAAUAAAUCAACACUGCCACUUUGAUCACAUAAUCGAUGAAACUUAGGAUAUAUAAUCAACACCUGUUUAUUUUACUAUUGAAUUACUAUUUUUUCUGUAUUAUUUGAAUAAGGGAAUUGAUUUGGAGAAACUCUCACUAUAAUUGAUGAAAAUCAAGAUAUAAUCAAUACAUAUUCAUUUUAUUUUUAAAUUAAUACUUUUCCAUUAUUAUUUGAAGAAGGGAAUUGGUCUCAAAAAAUCUUAUUGUAAUAUAUGUAACUUAAACUUUUUUUUUCUGAAAUAAAAAUUAACUUUUAAGAAGGCUUCAAAUAUGGAGAGGGGACCAGUCCAUUAAUGUCAAUUCUUCCAAGUUAGUGACAUUGUGCAGCUUUAUUUGAUUAGAAGGUGCAACAUCUUUAGCUUUAACAUAUCUUAUUCUUUAAGACUAUUAAAACUUUUAAAUUAUGUCCACAUGCCCACCCUAUAAGAUCCACAAAAGUAGCAGAUAAAAUGGAAGAAGUACGCUAAGGGGCUGUUUGAUUUUAGUUGUGGCUUACACAGCACGAAAUUACACCAAAAAUGCCCCGACCAGAUUUAAUAAAACAAAUGUACUCUUACUCAGUUUAUUAUUUAUUUUUACAUAGAUAUAUUUUCUUUUUUUUCUUUUUUUUUCUUUUUCAACUUAGAAAAGAGAAUUAGGGGACAGAUCAAGUGUGUCUGAUUUUGCGUUGCUUUCUAGCAAUCAACUUGGAAACUUUCCACUCAAGUUAACAUGUGAGAGCUGAUGGAAGAGGAAUUUGAAAAAUCGUGACUCUAAUUUUGCAUAUAUUUGAUUAUUUCAACACUUGAUUGGUUUUGAAUGGUCCAAGAAUGGGCAAGUGACAAUGAGACUUGGAAGUGAUAGUUUGAAAAAGUGAGAUCUUCAAUUGAUAUUAGAUAAAUGAGAGUAGACUAGGAUAUAUUUCCAGUAAGCUUAUGGAGAGAGACAUAUCAAACUUGAAGUAAGAAGUCAUAUUUUCCAAGCACCAAAGACAAUUUAUUGUACCCGGAAUAUAAUUAUGGUCAAUAAAACAAAAAACUCUUGCAGAUUCAUCAACUGAUUGGGUUGAAAACAUAAUUCAUCCUUUAGCUAAUAACAAUUAAUGAACGCAUAAAAUCUUAUAUCUUUUAACAUAAAUGUUAAAUAUUAAUUUUAUUAAUAGUCGCAACCUUAUGCAGGCAUAAUUUGGUCAUGAAAACAAUAAAUCUAUCCGUUCUUAAAGGCUAUUAACUAUAACAAAAAAUCAAUUAAUAUAAUUUUUAUAAGAGGAGAAGAGAGACUAAGUAUCCUUCAUCAAGAAAUGUACCAUUAAGUCUAGAAUAUGAUAGUCAAUGGCGGAAAAAUUAACAUGCGCAUAAUUUAUGAUCAAAUAUUAUAAAUCCUUGAAAUUUAACAAGUCAUUUCAUUAAAAUAUGGAUCACCUUCCACACAUUUUAGAAAUCUUAUCAUUUUUUUUCUUUUUUCAUUAAAUUAUGUUUUGGUCCACACAACCGAAAAUUAAAUUCCACGCAUUUUGCAUUUAGUGGAAUUCUAUGUAUUUUUUAAUUUUACAAAACUUUAGUCGGUGGAGUCAAUGGGGCUAGAAAUUCAUUGAAGGGUCCCGAGAAUCAAAGGUGCUUACUCAAUUAUUAUUUGUAAAGUUGUAGACUUGUAGGGCAGCUACCGGAGUCCACACGUUGUAAUGUUUUGUUCACUAUCAAUCUCAUUGUUGGUCGUUUCCAACACGCUCAAGAAUCCAAUUCUGCAUAAACACAUAAAAUUAAAGACUUAAAACAGAGUUUAAGUAAUUAAUAAUUUAACUGGAAACAAAUUAAAAAGGAGAAUUUAAUUAUUGAAUUCCACAUUGUGCUAUUGAAAAUUAAAAAAAAAAAUUGUUGUCACCUCAGUCAAUUAGAUAAUCACUACAAAUAGUUCUUUAUGUAGAUGAUAUUCUUCUAAUUGGAAAUGAUAUAGGAAUAUUGACUACAAUAAAGAGUUGGUUAGCAAAACAAUUUGAUAUGAAAGAAAGACAUGAGAGAAGCAAGUUAUAUUCUUGGUAUCAAAUUACUACGAGACCGGAAGAAUAAAACUUUAGCCUUGGCUCAAGUGGUCUAUAUCGACAAGAUAUUGGUUAGAUUUAGCAUAGAAAAUUCCAAGACUGGUUUAUUACCAUUUAGACAUGGAAUUGUAUUCUCUAAGGACCAAUCACCUAAAACAUCUAAAGAGAUGGAGAAAAUGAGACGAGUUCCCUAUGCAGAAGUUGUGGGAAGUCCCAUGUAUGUCAUGCUUUGCACUAGGCUAGACAUCUGUUUUGUGGUAGGAAUGGUUAGCAGAUAUCAAAUCCUGGACCUGAACACUAGACUGUAAUCAAGCAUAUAAUGAAGUAUCUUAAAAAAACUAAAACUUAUAUGCUUGUGUAUUCUAGUGAUGAACUCAUUCCAGUGGAUUCUAGAAAAUCAACUUUCGGCUAUAUGUUUACAUUAGGAAGUGGAGCUAUUAAUUGGAGGAGUGUGAAACAAUUUGUAUCACAGACUCCACAACUGAAGCUGAAUAUGUGGAUGCAUCUGAAGCUGCAAAAGAAGUUGUAUGGCUUUGCAAGUUCCUACAAAAUCUUAAGGUGGUACCUGUUGUAACUGCACCCCUUAAACUAUUUUGUGAUUAUGGUGGUGCAGUAGCUCAAUCUAAGGAACCACAAGAAACAAAAACAUAUUGAGAGGAAACAUCAUCUUAUAAGGGAAUAGUAUAGAAAGACUAUAUGACAGUACCCCAAAUGACAUUAGAUGCUUUAUGGUAGAUUUUAUUACAAUGGCCAUUAGUGGGAAACCUUUAUAACCUGCACUUAGAGCCCCUAGAGCAUGUGCAAUAUGCCAGAUAUGCUUUAAAGAGCUAGUGGGAGAUUGUUGGGAUUAUGUGCUCUUUUAAAAGUAUUAUUAAUUUAUUUUCUGAUUAAUAAAAUAUUUGAGAUAUUUCAAUUGCAUAAAUAUAUUGAAUAAGGUCCGUUUAAUCAUAUUAUAUUUUCUCUUGCUAGUUGCUUUUAGUAGUGAUAAAAGCACCCACACGUCAAGUGCAGAUCAAACUUGAGUCAUAACCCAGAAGAUUAUUUGGUGACAGAUCGUGAUCUAACAAGCGUGGUGGUGACAGAUCGUGAUCUAACAGGCGUGAUGGUGACGGAUCAUGAUCUGGGAAGCCUGGAUUAAUUUCAAUUGUUCAUCUUCUCAGUUGCACUCAAUGUGUAUUAGAAUCCACGAAGGUCCGAUCCNNNNNNNNNNNNNNNNNNNNNNNNNNNNNNNNNNNNNNNNNNNNNNNNNNNNNNNNNNNNNNNNNNNNNNNNNNNNNNNNNNNNNNNNNNNNNNNNNNNNAACGUAGAACCCUGUAGUUGGUUGCAGAGAUAGAAAGAGUGAGUGUGUUUUCCAUAGUUAAAGAUAUAGUUAGAAUGGAUAGUUCAAAAUCAAAAAUGGUGAUAAUGUUUGUUCUGUUAUUAAUUAAAUUUGAAGGUGGGUGGAGUGAGGGAUGUUUGGAUCAUGAGAUAUUUGCUCUUUUUCGACUCAAAUAUUUCUUCAAUGAUCUUCAUGAUUGGGUAGAUGAUGAGGGAGCUACUGAUUGUUGUCAAUGGGUAAGGGUUGAAUGCAACAACACCACAGAUCGAGUGAUAGCACUAGACCUUUCUGAUACUAGGAAUUGGGAUUUGGGAGAGUGGUAUCUGAAUGCUUCUUUGUUUACUCCCUUUCAACAACUUGAGUCACUUGAUUUAAGUUGGAACAAAAUAGCCGGUUGUGUUGAGAAUGAAGGUGAAUUUACUUCUCCCUCCUAAUUUAAGUGGAAUAUCAAGACUGAGCAACUAUAUGCAUAUCGAUUCAGUUGACAAUUCUGACAUUUUUUUUAAGUGAAUAAUUAAUUUUGAAAUCACACAAGUAUCUAUAAUCCUUUUUUAUUUUACUUGCAGGUCUAGAGAGGCUAUCAAAAUUGAACAAUUUGAAGAUGCUUGAUUUAAGUGAAAACUUGUUCGACAAUAGCAUCUUAUCAUUUGUAGGUCGUCUUUCAUCAUUACGAUCAUUAAAAUUAUCUUACAAUAGAUUGGAAGGAAGUAUUGAUGUUAAAGGUACAUAAUUAAAACUUUAUCUCUUCUCCAAGCUCUUUCAUUAACUUGCUAAAAUAAGAUUCAAGGUUUUGAAUUCAAUUUUUUAAUGAUUAAUAUUUUAAAAAAAUAGUUUUUAGCAAUUCAUAAAUACAAGUUCUAGUGUUUCUCAUAAUUUCAUCUUGUACUUUCAUAUGUAUUGUAUUUAAGAUGAAAAAAAAAUUCUAAUUGCGAACCGCACACCCCCACAACUUAUUUUUUUGUGAGGUUUGAAACAUUCAACUCAAUUUGUACUCUUUACAGAAUUAGAUUCUUUGAGAGAUUUAGAGGAGCUAGAUAUUGGCUGGAACAAGAUUGACAAAUUUGUGGUCUCAAAAGGUACUACAAAUACCAUAAAAAAUAUAAACUUUUACAAAUUAGCUGGAUUCUUUGCCAUUUGUUUUAUUAUUUCGUAGGUUUGAGGAAGUUGAAGUAUCUCGGUUUAAGUGGCAACAAACUCAAUCAUAGCAUCUUAUCUUCUCUGACUAUCUUUUCUUUGUUAAGAGAAUUAUAUCUACGUGAUACGGGAUUCAAAGGAACAUUUGAUGUUCGAGGUAAGCCUAAGCCUUGCUUUCUCAUUUUAUAUAUGUCAGCUAGACUUGUGUAUCAUCGACAUAAUUUAAUAUUUAAUUUGAUUAGUCUGAAGGAAUUACAUGCUAAUUUAAACAAACUUUUAUUUACCCUGUCAAUCAUUAAUUAAACACUAUUUGGUUUGGUUUAAACCUACUUUUUUAUUUUAUAUGCUAGCUAGACUUAGAUACUAACUAUUUUGAUGAGUCUGAAGGAAUUAGAUACUAACUAAACAUACUUUUAUGUACUCCCUCAAUUAAUUAAUUAAUUAUUUCACUUGGUUUGGACGAAAUUCUCAUGAUGCUUUAAUUUCUUUAAAGUUAUUAAUUAAUUAAUUCUGUUUUUAAGUCUUAAGUCUGGGUAUGUUUGUAGAAUUCAAUUCCUUCAAUAACUUAGAAGCGUUGGACAUGAGCAACAACGAAAUCGACAAUCUUGUGGUUCCUCAAGGUAAACAAUUAAAAUAUUAUUCAAUUACAUAAAUUUAAUUCAUUUGAUCAGGGAAGACGCAAAAGGUACAAAAAUAAUAAUAAUAAAAUAAAGAAACAGAGAAUUUAUAUUAUUUCAAAAACAGGACGUACUAGUUAUUUCAAAAACAGAAUGUAAUAAAGAUUUGAUUCCAGUACUUUAAUCUUUACAGUGAUUGAAAAACGAUACUAAUCCUUUCCCAAAGUAUAAAAUACGAAUUGACUCCCAAUUAAAUUAAUCAUUUAUUUAGUUCAUCUCUAAAUUUAAACAAUGAAUUUUGAUCUUCAAUCCUAUUCUAAUUACAAUUAAAAAACAGGUUAUAGAGGUUUAAGGAAUUUGAAAAGCCUUGAUCUAUCAGAAGUCGGAAUUAGAGAUGGAAGUAAUUUGUUACGGUCAAUGGGAUCAUUCCCAUCCCUCAACACUCUUUACUUGACUUCUAAUAAUUUUAUCGAUACAACGUCAGGUACAGAUGUGUCCAAAUUUAUAAAUAGGCUGUUAAUUAAUUAAUUAAUUUUCUGUAUUGUUGAAAAAGCUAAAUUUGUUGCUUCGAAACAGAGUUGCACAAUUUCACCAACUUGGAAUAUUUGGCAUUGGACUCUUCCUCUCUCCAUAUAAGCCUUUUACAAAGCAUUGCAUCAUUCACUUCGUUAAAAAUAUUGACGAUGACUAAUUGCGAAGUCAAUGGCGUCCUAAGUGGUCAAGGUAAAAGAAAAGUGUUGAUUAUAAAUAAACUAUUAAUUAAUUAAUUAAUUUUCCGUAUUAUUGAUAAAGCUAAAUUUGUUGAUCCUUCCUUUUAAUUCUAAACAGAGUUGCACAAUUUCGCCAACUUGGAAUAUCUGGCAUUGGACUUUUCCUCCCUCCAUACAAGCCUUCUGCAAAGCAUUGCAUCAUUCACUUCGUUAAAAAAAUUGUCGAUGACUAAUUGUGAAGUCAAUGGUGUUCUAAGUGGUCAAGGUAAAAGAAAAGUGUUGAUUAUGAAUAAGCUGUUAAUUAAUUAAUGUUGUUGCUCCUUGCUUCUAAAAUGAGUUGCGCAAUUUCACCAACUUGGAAUAUUUGAAUUGGACUCUUCCUCGCUCCAUAUAAGCCUUCUGCAUCUGCAAUUGCUUGAAGAAUUUAUUUAUUUAUUUAUUAUUGUUGUUGUUGUUGUUGAAAUGGGGUGGGCAAGCGUUCACUCAGUUAAUAUGUGGUGAAUUAAAUAUUACAAUCCAAGUUAGAAUUGUGGAAAAUUAAAGCAAAAUGAGAAAUAUGGACAGAAAGGAAGAAAGUUAAGGGCAUGAAAGACUAGGAGAAGACUGAAGACCACCAAAUAAGUCAAUUGAAAACUAGCUGGGGCUUGGGUGUACAAAUUGUUAGAAGUGUUUGUUAUAAAUCACAUAGAGCCCUCUUGUUGGUUGCAGAGCCAAAGAGACAAAGAGUGUGCAUUUUAUUAAUUAAAAAAAUAUAUAGAAUGGGUGGUUUAAAAUCCAAAUGGUGAUAAUGUUAGUUUUGUUAGUAUUAAUAAUAUUAGAAGGGGGUAGCGUGAGGGAUGUUUGGUGCAUGAGAGAUUUGCUCUUUCGAGACUUAAAAAAUUUCUUCAAUUCUCCUUAUAAUUUUUGUCACGACUGACCAUUGUCAAUGGGAUGGGGCUGGGUGCAGCAACACCACAGGGCGAGUGGUAUCUGAAUGUUUCUUAGUUUACUCUUUUUCAACAAAUUGAGUGGGUUAAUUUAAGUUGGAACAAUAUAGUUGGUAGUGUUGAGAAUGAAGGUGUUUCGUUUAAUUUAAUACUUUCUCCCUCCUAAUUUAAGUCGAAUAUCAGGAUUGAGCAACUAUAUGUAUCUUUAUUCAGUUGACAAUUUUGACAUAUUUUUUUAAAUGAUUAAUUUUGAAAUUACAUCAAACUGAUGUGAUCUCUGUUUUGAUUUUACUUGCAGCACUAGAGACGCUCUCAAGAUUAACCAACUUGAAGAUGCUUGAUUUAAGAGGAAACUUGUUCAAUAAUAGCAUUUUAUCAUCUCUAGCUCAUCUUUCAUCAUUAACAUCAUUAGAUUUAUCUGAGAAUAAAUUGGAAGGAAGUAUUAAUGUUAAAGGUACGUAAUUAAAAUGUCAUCGCUUCUCCCAACUCUUUCAUUAACAUGCUAAAAUAAGAUUCAAGGCUUUGAAUUCAAUUUUUUUUAAUGAGUAAUAUUAGAAAAAUAGUUUUAAGCAAUUCAUAAAUACAAGUUUCAAUGUUUCUCAUAAUUUCAUCUUGUACUUUUGUAUGUCUUGACUUUAAGAUUAAAAAAAAAAAUUAUUCUAACUGUGAAGCAAAUACCCCACGACUAAUUUAUUAUUUUGUCUAGUUAAAAAUGAUAAAAUUUAUUAUUUGCUUAUAUUGAUUAAUUAACUCUAUUUUUAAGUCUUAAGUCUUGGCGUCUUGGCAUGUUUGCAGAAUUUGAUUCCUUGAGCAACUUAGAGGAGUUGGACAUGAGCGGCAAUGAAAUAGACAAUUUUCAGGUUCCUCAAGGUAAACUAUUAAAAUAUUAUUCAAUUACAUUAAUUUAAUUCGUUUGAUUAGGGAAGGCCAAAAGGUACAAAAACAUAAUAAAAAACUAAAGAAACAAAGAAUUUAUAUUAUUUCAAAAAAUAAAAUGUAAUACUAUUAUUUCAAAAAUAGAAUGUAAUAAAGAUUUGAUUCCGGUUCUUUAAUCUUUACAGCAAUUGAAAAACAAUGUUGCUCUUUUUCUAAAGCAUAAAAUAUGAAAUGAGUCAUAAUUGAAUUAGUCAUUUAUUUUGUUUAGCUCUAAAUUUAGAUAAUAAAUUUUGAUUUUUUUCAAUCCCAUCCUUAUUAUUAUUAUUAUUAUUAUUAUUAUUAUUAUUAUUAUUAUUAUUAAACAGGUUACGGAGGUUUGAGGAAGCUGAAAAGCCUGCAUCUAUCGAGAGUUGGAAUUAGAGAUGGAAGCAAGUUGUUACGGUCAAUGGGAUCAUUCCCAUCCCUCAACACUCUUUACCUUUGGGGUAAUAAUUUUACGGAAACAAUGACAACUACAACUCAAGGUAAGUAAAAGGUAUAGGUUUGGCCAAAUUUAUAAAUAAAUUGUUAAUUAAUUAAUUUUCCACAUUAUUAAUGAAGCUAAAUUCCUUGCUCCUUCUUUGUAAUUCUAAACAGAGUUGCACAAUUUCACCAACUUGGAAUAUUUGACAUUGGACCAUUCCUCUCUCCAUAUAAGCCUUCUGCAAAGCAUUGCAUCAAUAUCCCCUUCAUUAAAAAAUUUGUCGAUGUGUGGUUGUGAAAUCAAUGGUGUCGUACGUGGUCAAGGUGAAAGAAAAGGGUUGAAUAUGAACUCACUCAAUGGUGUCCUAUGUGUUCAACUUAUUUAUUUUUUUAUUAAUUUUAUUUUUUAAUGUUUCUACUAGGUUUUCCUCAUUUCAAGAGUUUGGAACAUUUGGAGAUGGAUGACGCGCGCAUUGCACUCAACACCAGCUUUCUUCAAAUCAUCGGUGAAUUGAUGCCCUCUCUUAAGUACUUAUCACUAUCAUAUUCUACUCCUGGCACUAACAGCAUCGAGAUUCUUGAUCAAGGUUAAUGAGAUGCUCCACUCUCCCCGCUUAAUCUAUAAUAUUAAUUUUUGAUUAAAUGUUUAAUUACACAAACGAAUCACUUAUUUUAAAAGAAUAAUACGUAUUCAUUAAUUUUUAUAUUGUAUUAAUUGAUGAAUUUAAUAAAUUUUCAGGCCUCUGUUCGUUGAUGCAUAUGCAAGAGUUACACAUUGCUCAUAACGAUUUAAGAGGUAGCUUGCCUUGGUGCUUGGCAAAUAUGACAUCCCUCAGGAUAUUAGAUGUUUCUUCCAAUCAACUUACUGGAAGCAUCUCUUCAUCUCCCCUCAUUCAUUUGACAUCCAUUGAAGAGCUGAGGCUUUCAGACAAUCAUUUUCGGAUUCCAAUUUCACUUGAACCACUUUUUAAUCACUCAAGACUCCAGAUUUUCGAUGCUUACAACAACGAAAUAAAUGCAGAAAUAACUCAAUCACCUUCUUUGACCCCAAACUUCCAAUUAUCACAUCUCUCAUUGUCUUUCGGUUAUGGAGAUGGUGUCACAUUCCCCAAAUUCCUUUACCAUCAACAUGACCUUGUGAAUGUUGAUCUCUCACACAUAAAGAUGAAUGGAGGAUUUCCAAAUUGGUUGUUGGAAAACAACACAAGAUUAGAAACUCUUUCUUUGGUCAAUGAUUCUCUUGCAGGACCUUUCCGAUUGCCAAUUCAUUCACACAAGCAGUUAAGACUGUUGGAUGUCUCCAACAACAACUUCCAAGGCCACAUUCCAGUAGAAAUUGGAGAUAUUUUACCAAGUUUAAUAUCCUUUAACAUUUCAAUGAAUGCUUUAAACGGUAGCAUUCCCUCUUCAUUUGGUAAUAUAAACUCCCUUCAAAUUCUGGACUUAUCCAACAAUCAAUUGAUUGGUGAAAUACCCGAGCACUUGGCUGUGGGUUGCGUCAACUUGGAGUAUCUUACAUUAUCAAACAACAACCUAGAAGGUCAUAUGUUCACUAGAAAUUUUAACCUGACAAACUUGAGAUGGUUACAAUUGGAAAGCAAUCACUUCGUAGGAGAGAUCCCACAAAGCUUGUCUAAAUGCUCUUCACUAGAAGGAUUGUAUCUUAAUAAUAACAGUCUCUCGGGUAAGAUUCCACGAUGGUUAGGUAAUCUCAAAGGGUUAAAACAUAUUAUAAUGCCCGAGAAUCAUCUUGAAGGUCCUAUUCCAAUGGAGUUUUGUCAACUUUAUUCGCUUCAGCUUUUGGACAUUUCAGACAACAACAUAUCUGGAAGUUUACCAUCUUGUUUCCAUCUUCUCUCUAUCGAACAAGUUCAUCUUUCAAAAAAUAUGUUACGUGGACAGCUAAAAAGAGGUACAUUCUUUAAUUGCUCUUCCCUUGUGACAUUAGAUCUUAGCUAUAAUCGUUUGAAUGGCAGCAUUCCGAAUUGGGUUGAUGGGCUUUCUCAACUAAGGCACCUUAUCUUAGGUCACAAUAAUCUUGAAGGUGAAGUGCCAGUUCAAUUGUGCGGAUUAAACCAACUGCAAUUGUUAGAUCUUUCUAAUAAUAAUCUUCAUGGCCAUAUUCCUCCUUGCUUUGAUAACACCACACUUCAUGAAAGUUAUAGCAAUAGUUCUAGUCUUAAGCCAUUUGAAAUAUCUCUUGUCAUGGAAAGCGGGAUGAUCUAUGCAGAAAAGCAAAUCCAUGAAAUUUUUGAGUUCACAACAAAGAACAUUGCGCACAUUUACCAAGGAAAAGUGCUUAGCCUCCUAUCAGGACUUGAUCUUUCUUGCAACAAGCUAAUCGGUCAUAUUCCUCCUCAAAUUGGAAAUUUGACAAGGAUUCAAACAUUGAAUCUAUCACACAACAACUUGAUAGGAUCGAUCCCAUCAACAUUUUCAAACUUGAAGCAAAUCGAAAGUUUGGAUCUUUCUUACAACAAAUUGAAUGGGAAAAUCCCUCAUCAACUUAUGGAGUUAAACGCAUUGGCUGUUUUCAGUGUGGCAUACAAUAACUUAUCAGGCGAAAUUCCAGAAUGUAAAGCACAAUUUGCAACCUUCAACGAGAGGAGCUAUGAGGGAAAUACUUUUCUUUGUGGACUGCCAUUGCCCAUUUGCAGAUCACCAGCAACUAUGCCAGAGGCUUCAAUUGGCAAUGAACGAGAUGAUAAUUUAAUUGACAUUGACAGUUUCUUUAUCACAUUUACAACAUCAUACAUAAUUGUGAUAUUUGGAAUUGUUAUUGUUUUAUAUGUAAAUUCUUAUUGGCGACAUAGAUGGUUUUACUUUGUUGAAAUGUGGAUAACUUCAUGUUACUAUUUUGUUGUAGACAAUCUUAUUCCAACAAGAUUUUGUCAUUGAAAUUAAUUAGUAGUUUAAUUACGAUUCUUUAAGUACUAAUCAGGUUUUCUUGGGAAAUAAAUUUUUUUAUUUUUUAUUAAAAUUGUAGUAGUAUUUAGCAUUAUAUAGCUUCCAACUUCCAAGCACUUCACAUUUGUCUCUACACUUAAAAAGCGAGUGAUCAUGUUUUGUAGAUCUGGAUUUGGAGCAGGAUGGAUCCAAACCCAUAUCUAUCCAUCAUAGCUUAUAGCUUCCCUAUACUGUGCAGCAUACUUAAAUAAGAGAACCAUCUCCAAUGUUAAAAGUAGCCACUCUAUAACAAUCAUUUAGAAACUAUAUUCAGAAUAGUUUUAUAAUCAUACACAAGAAAUGAAACACCUAGAUGCACUUGAUCGCCUAUUUUACUUUGAAAAAGAACAGUUAUGGUGCUUUCAUCAUCUUCUUCACUAGCAACAUUAACACUAAAUCCACCGAUGGACCCAGACAUUUCAUCAAGAAAGGUAUAUAUCUAAUAAAGUUAAAGCUUGACAAAAAAUUCAGGAAGAUUAAUGCCUCGCCACAACAAGGGCCACAACAACAUCAAAGUAGAGAUGAAGCAGUAUUCUCAAAGCUAAAACUCUCAAAUCCACCUAGGGGUGUUUAGAAUCCAAUUUGAUCCGCUCAAUCCGUCUAAUCCAUAGAAAUCCAAUUUGUAAAAAUCUGAUCCGUGGAUUGGUGGAUUAGAUUAGAUUGAAAAUUUGAUAAUCCGCAAUCGGUGGAUUAGAUACGGAUCUACUUCUGUAAAUCUAUAAAAAUCUGUGAAUCCGCAAAAAAAUAAAAAGUAUUUAUUUAAUUAAAAAAUAAAACUUGUAAAUAUGGUAUUAGUACUUACUAGUACAUAAAUAAGUUAAAAUAUAGUUAUAUUAACAGUAUGUUAUAUCUUAUCCGAUAAUAAUAAAAAAUAAAAAAAUAAUUAAAUAAACAAAUAUAGCUUUCUAAAUAGUUAAUUUCUAUGUACUGAUCUAAACGAAUGAGAUUUUUUUCGUUUUGAUGUGUUAUAUUUCGAAACUUUAAAUGAAUUUUUUAAGCUUUAUUUAAACAAUUAAUUUAUUUAAAUCUUAUUUAAUUUUAAAUUUGAAGUCCGUAAACCAAUCCGCAAAAUAUUAGAUUUGGUCAAAUCUGCAUCCGAUCCGUAGAUGUAUGGAUUGGAUUUGGAUUGAAUUUUACCAAUCCGUGGAUUGAAUUGAAUUGAAGAUUUAUAAUCCGCAAAAUCGUAGAUCGGAUAUGGAUUGAGGUCUAAUCCAUAAAAUCCGAUCCACGAACACCCUUAGUUGGAUUCUUGAGUGAGAACAAUUCCUAGGCCAAAUCCAAAUUGUCUACAAGAAAUCCAACGUCCUCAAGAGAUCAUAUAUAGUUUUCAAAUUGCGGGAAAGCUCUAAAACUUGUGAAUUGAGAAAUUGUACAUGCAUGUCAAGCUUUAACCAAUGAAUUUGCUUUAAUUUAUCAACAAUAAGAAUAUAAGAUGAGAUUUGACCUAGUUGUUACUCUUGUGAAUAAAAAAAUUGUGUGCCUGAACAUGAUUUAACUAAUGAAAUGAAUUUUCUUUAAUUUUUUUUAAUAAUAGGAUGAGACUUUCCUGAAACGAAAAGUACGGAUAUAUAAUUUGUUGGCUUUAGUUACCUUACAUAAUAAUGUAUGGUACAUAACCGUUUGAUGAAAAUCCAACAGUCGUGGAAAUAAUAAAAUUUUAUUAUCUUAUAUUUUCACAACUGUUGGAUUUUCAUCAAACGGUUGUGGAAAAUCAAAUGGUUGUGGAAGAGUCAUUUACCUUACAUUAUUAUGUAAGGUAACAAGCUCCUAAUUUAUUUAGUAUGAUUGAAAAUUAUGAAUGAAAAUAGUUUUGCCAAAAUUGACAAAAUCAAAAUCUUUAAAUUAGUGAAAAGUCUUCAAGUCCUAUGUGAUAUAAACACGUAUUUGGCCUACUUCUUAGAACUCUUAUGGCUAUAGUCAAGCUAGAUGAAAAAGAGAUUUACUAAUUCUGAGUUAGAGAUCAUGAUGGUAACAUCUACACCUUACUCAAUAAAAUUCUUUGCUUAUUUUUUUAUUACUUAUGGUUGAAUUAGAAAUUCAAUUAUUCUUUUAUAACGUGGUUUAAAAUAUUUAAUAAAAGGAAAUUCUUAAAUACUUUGGAGAUUUCAGAGCUUUUUUUUUAAUUUUUAAAAAAGAUAGAGAUGUGACAAAACUAAAAAAAAAAAAUUAAACUCAGAUGACCAACUAAAAGUUAUCUGAUCACUUUAUUUGAACGAAAACUUUAAUGCUGUUAUGAAAAUGUGUAGAUCAAGCAAUGAAAAAUUCCAAAAUAUUGGUAAUAACUUCAAAUUACAACGACGGAGGUAGGUUGACGGCGACCUUAUGUAGCGGAGGCAGCCAUAAAUUUUAAAUUUUGUUUGCGUUGAAGUCAAAAUUCAACUGUCGCCGACCCAUUUGGUUUGAACUCUAUGUCAAUCGGGUCUGCCCAAAACCAAACACAACCCAAACCAUAGCCAGCAUAGGUGCUAAGAAGAUUCUUUUACUUUGUCACUUGUCGCCUACAAUGAAAUUGACAUUAAACAAACAUUAAAACGUGUGGACUCCGAUAGCUGCCCCACAACUGUACAAUAAUAAUUGAGUAUGCACUUUUGAUUCUCGGGACCUUUCAAUGAGUUUCUGCCCCGCUGAUUCUAUCAACUAAAGUUUUGUAAAAUGAAAAAAAAAAAGUACAUAGAAUUCCACAAAAUGCAAAACGUGUGGAAUUUAAUUUUUGGCCGUGUGGACCAAAAUAUAAUUUAACGAAAAAGGGCAAAAAUGGUAAGAUAUUUAAAAUGUAUGGAAGAUGAUCCAUAUUUUACUGAAACGACUUAUCUCGAACAUUAAGAUGAUUGAUUUUUUCUUUUUGAAUAAUAUCAACUUCCAUAUCUUUCUACCGGAGAACAUGCUCACAUUAAAGUCUAUCUUACUAAUUUGAAAAAGAAAAUCAAAUCAACACCAAAGCAAUGAAAAGUAAAGCUUUUGAAUUUUAACUCCGGCUGGCAAACGUAUUCAGGAAUUCUUCCCAUUGCAUAUCUUAUUCCUCCAUCAAUGCAAUAUUAAGUAAUUUUUCUUUAUCAUAUUCUUUUCUUUGCAUUUCUUCUUCCUCUAUCAAUGCAAUAUUUGAACAAUUAAGAAAGAGUUUAAGAACAUAAAAGAUCUCCUAGAUUUAUACGGUAUAACAAAUUUAAAUUCUCAAUUAUAAUGGAUAAUAAUUAAACUAAUAAUUAUUUAUUUACUUAUUUUAAUAGUUUCACCUAAGAAUAAUAUUGUAAUUAGAAAAAAUCUAAAAAGCGGGGUGGUUUUAUACAAAAUCAAUUGCAUACACAUAUCCAGAAGCAUAUGCGGAUGCAAAUAAUAUUUUUUAUUCUUUUUUUAUAAGAAAAUUGUGUAUUGAGAUGAAUAAAAUGUUUAAUUUAAUUAAUUUCCUUACUUUCAUAUACAUUGUCUUUCUAUCUAAAGAAAGCUCAUGUUUGUUAGUAUUCAUUCUUAGAGAGGUGAAAAAAUUACAAAUCUUGAACAACAAGGAGUAGUUUAAUUGCCACUAACUUUACUUGGCCUUCUUUAGUUGGAGCUGUGUUUUCUGAUAAGCCAAAGAAUUAGUAGCUGUUAGAAAGCUGAAAUGAGAUUGUAAACUUUGUUUGGAAGCUAAGAAAAUGAAAAGAAAAUGUUCUGGAAAUUUCUUGAUUUUAUUCAAUUUUUCUCAUUACAUAACAAAUACAAUCACGAUAGUAUUUAUACUAAAUCAAGUCUCUAAAACAAAAAUAAUAGUUUGCUUAACAGCUGACGAACAGGACGUAAUGCAUGCUUAACGGAAUUGCUGAGCUGGCUUCUUUUCUUAACUAACUGCUGACGUGUCAUUGGCACACACGUGUUGAAUAUGCAGCUCCCUUUUGUACAAUGUGUGCUUCCUUAACAGCCCCCCUCAAACUCAAGGGGCAGGGAUGCACAUUGAGUUUGCUUCUAAAGUAGUUAAAGUGAAUGAAUGUGAGAGGCUUGGUCAAGAUGUCUGCAAUCUGCUCUUCACUGGGAAUGUAAUUGAUCUCCAGCUCUCUUGCCAACACUUUAUCUCUUAUGAAGUGCAUGUCUAGUUCAAUAUGUUUAGUUCUCGAGUGGUAGACAUGAUUUUUGGCUAGCUCAGUUGCACUUAUAUUAUAGCACUAUUUUGUAGGCACUGAAACACAUUCUAUCUUGAUCGUCUUGAAUAAUGACUGCAACCAUGUAAUUUCUGCACUUGCAAAAGCAAGAGCUCUGCACUCACUCUCUGCACUUGAUCUUGUGACUAUUGAUUGCUUCUUGGAUGACCAAGAUAUCAAAUUAUGCCCCAAGUAAAUGCAGUAUGCCCCUAUUGAUUUUUCUAUCAUCAACAUCAUAUGCCCAAUCUGCAUCUGCAUAUUCUAUUAGCUUUAUUUCUCCACCAGCUGUACACUUUAAUCCAUAGUCUUCUGUUUCUUUCAAAUAUCUAAGUAUCCUCUUACAAGCCAUGAUAUGUUGAAGUGUUAGUGUAGACACAUAUUGACUUAAUUUGUGCACUGCAAAAGCAAUUUCUAGCCUAGUCAGGACUAAAUACUGUAACUCUCCAAUCAAGCUUCUAUAACUAGUUGCAUCUUCAACAUACUGACCCAAAGAUCCCUUAACUUCUUUAUGAAGUUUUGUUCUUGUAACCAUUGGAGUAUCACACCCUUUGCAGUCAAGCAUAUCAACUUUUCUCAGCAAGUCUUUAAUAUAUUUUUUUUUGGGACAGAUAUAUAUCAUUCUCAGUAUAAGAGACUUCUAUACCAAGAAAAUAUGAAAGCUUUCCUAAAUCUUUUAAUGCAAACAUUUUGCUCAAACCUGAGAUAAAUUUUUCAAGUUCAUCACUAUUAGGUCAUGUUAUCAAUAUGUCAUCAACGUAAAUCAGGAUUAGUAUCAUUGAAUUCUGUUCUCCCUUGAAAAAUAGUGAAGUGUCGGCUCUGGAAUUUUGAAAACCCCAAUUUGUAACCAAACAACUCUUCAGUUUGUCAAACCAUACUCUAGGAGAUUGUUUCAACCCAUAUAAGGCCUUCUUCAACUUGCAUACAUAAUCAGGUCUUAUCUCAUCAACAAAUCCUUCAGGUUGGCACAUGUAAACAUCCUCUGUCAAGUCUCCAUUUAGGAAAGCAUUACUAACAUCUACUUGUCUGAUCAUCCACCUAUGCAUUACAGCCAAGCUCAAUAUAACUCUCACUGUAGAAGCCUUUAUAACAGGGCUAAAUCUUUCAAAAUAAUUGAUUCCUUUAGUUUGUUGGAACCCUUUUGCAACCAACCUAGCUUUAUAUUUGGCAAUACUGCCAUCACUAUUUUGUUUGACUCUAAACACCCAUUUGUUUCCAACAAUUUUGUAUUCAGCUGGAGGUGGUAUAAGAGACCAAGUCUCAUUUCUGAUCAAGGCUUCAUAUUCCUCUUUCACGGCCUUAUACCAGUGUUUAUCAUUAAGAGCUUCUCGAACUGUGUUAGGUUCUUUGUUGAUCAAGGUGGUUGUGUACAACUUAGGCUUGAAUAUUCCAGACUUCGAUCUAAUGGUCAUUUUGUGUGUGGGUUGUGAAGUCAGAAUUCUGUUUGGACUGAGUUCAGUUUGUUGUUGACUGGUUACAUGUGGUUCAAAUUGUGUUUGAGUUGGUUCAGGAAUAUGACGGAUAGUUUGUGAUGUUGAUGAUUUUGAUAUGAAUGACUAGAUGAUUCUUGUUGAUGCUGAUUAUUUGUAUGCUCAGGUAAUACAGGUGUUUGUUCAUUACUCGGUACUCUUGCUGAGUAAGUAUCUUCAAAGCUGCUGUUGAGUAAGGGUAAUGUUGAGAGAUGAUAGAUUUGUUGUUUAGAGAAAUUUGACACUGGAGUUUCUGAUUGGAUGACAUUUUCAGAAGAAGAAGUGGCAAAGAUUGUUGCAUAUGGAAAUACAGUCUCAUCAAAGACAUCAUGCCUAAGAAUAUGAACUUGACCUGAGCUUGUAAGACAUUUGCAUCCUUUAUGAGAUGAGCUAUAUCCAAUAAAGAUGCAUUUGCUAGUAUGAAAAUCAAACUCAUGUCUGUUAAAGUCUCUCAUGUAUGGAUAACAAAGACAACCAAAUCAUUUAAGGAAAUUGUAAUCAGGUUUAUGCUUGAAAAGUUUCUGAUGUGGGGAUAAGAGUCUCAAUACAGGUGUUGGCAACCUGUUUAUGUGAUAUACUGCUAUAUGAACAGUUUCCCACCAGAAUUUGAAAGGAAGAUCAGCUUGAGUUAAAAGAGUCAAGGCCAAUUCAAUUAUAUGCCUAUGUUUUCUUUCUACCAGUCCAUUCUGGUGAUGAGUGUAAGGGCAUGAGUGUUUGAAAAUGAUCCCAUUUUGGUUCAAAAAAUCAGUGAAUACUCAAUAUUCUCCCCCUAGUCAGAUUACAUCAUCUUAAUUGUUGUAUUGAACUGAUUCUAUAAUUCUGUCUUUAGAAAUGCAACUAAAUUUUUAAUCUCUUACUCUACAUAAAAUUGAAAUUCGAGUGGCUUAUCAAAUAAAAUUAAAACUAUUAAUUAACCAAAUAAAAUUAUUUAAAACCAUUGGGUAUGGUAGCAGGAGUUCUUGAAACUAUCGAUGCCAUGAAAUUUACUGGCGAAAAGGGUUUUAGAUGUCUAUUUUAUAAAUCUUUUAAUAAUUUUUUUAUUUACCAUUUUACUAUCCAUGGUAAAAGUGUCGCAUCGACAUUGAACAGUUCAACAUAUCAGUCAUUUCUCAUUCAGUCAUUAAGAAUUUACGUUUGGGGUAUUUUUGUAAUUAUGAGAAGGUAAACUAAUCGCAAAAUUCAUUUGGCUUGCACUUGCUCGCCUUUGCUGUGUGUUUGGUUAUGGCGUUAUCAUUAUCAUCUUCUCCACUCCUGCUGACACCAGACCUUAACCGUUCAGAUUCCCUUUCUCGACUGUCAUACCCUACGCCCCGUCUCCGUGUCUCCGAUAAACAGUGCUCAAUUAAGACCAUCAGAUUAUCCCGGACCCACAUUAAUCCAACGGCUCACAAUGACCGACAACCUCUCCAUCUCCAUUACAAGCUCCCUCUUCAGCUGGCUUCUUCUUCCGUCCUACUCUUUCUCGGAUUCGGAGCCCGUAUAUGCUCGGCUGGUCCCACGCAGCUCCCUCUCACUCCAGCUGUCAACCAACAAGACCAAUUGCUUGAUCAAGACACAGAACAAAAAGAGGAUGAGAAAUUGAAUCAAGAAUUUGAGAAUUGGAAAUGGAAGACGUACGCAUUGACCGUGCCUUUGAGAGUCGUUUCUCUUCAGAAUUCAGUGCCUCAAUCUUGGGUUAAGGAUUUUAUGCGAAGUCAAGGAAAGAGAUUGAAGUUUCAGAUGAAUUUGUGUGCUAGCAUUGAUGGGAUCGUUAACAAUUUAUCUACGCCCUUUAACAAAGUUAAGGCUAAGUCAGCUUCGUAUAUGGCUGCUGAUUUGGUUAGUGUUGGUGAUUCAUGGCUCAGUUUUGCGAUUAAAAAGAGAUUGAUCGAGCUAAUAGCUGAAGCUGAAGAUCAAGAUUGGUUCAAAUGCUUAAGUCACAAAUGGAAGGUAACAUCUUUAUCUUUUACCCGAUAAUUUUUAUUGUCUUACCUUGAAAUUUGGUAAUGUAAUUUGUUCUCUAUCUGUGUUACCCUUUAUAGUCAUUUUAUUUAUUUGUUUAUUGCUUUUAUUUGCACUAACGAAAUCUCAGGUAUAUCUACGCAGCAAUGAUGCAGGAGAAAUUGAUCCUCGAGGUCAAAUAUGGGCGGCACCAUACAGGUGGGGCACAAUGGCGAUAGGCUACAAGAAAAGUAAAUUUCAAAACCAUAAUUUGGCUCCGAUUGAGGUAAUAAUUGUACUUAAACUCAUUUAGUUUAAUAUCAAGCAAAAUCAAGACUGCCUUUCUCUUCAAUAUUUUCAAUGAUAAUAUCUUUAGAAGCAUCUCAUUGACGGGUAACAAUGGUAUCCCUGAAAGAGUCUAUAAACUCAAUGAUAUUAUCUUCUACAAUGGCUCAUUAAACUUUGUCGUUGCAGUCAAAUGUACACUCAGAGCAAUGAAAAGCUAUGCCACUGUAGCAUGUAGUGAUGGCACUUAAUAAGUGAAUUGCUAGGAUGUGAACUAGAAAAAUUAAAUAUUGUCUCCUUGGGUAUGCUAGCUCGUAAGUCAGGGUUACUAUUAGAGCUUAAGAUACUAUAACCAUGAGAAGCUAUUGACUGCCAAUUAAAAUAUCCAUUAAAAUGUCUAGGGAGUUAUGAAGGUGGAGGUAGCUUCCAAUAACUAACUUGAGUUUGGUAAAACAAACAGACAGUGUGUCUCAUGUCUCACAAUUCAAAUUAUCAUCUGUAAUGAUGGAGAAUUUUUCUAAUGUAUGAAGUAUGCUUUCAUACGUGGAUUAGCUUGGAGAAGAUAUCUCAAAAUAAAGAAUAUGGGGAGCGAAUGGGAAAAAAACAGUUCAGUAGUUUAUUAUUCUGUAGUCAAGUUUUGUCUUGAAAAUGGUCAAAAUUUAAAUGAAUAAGGACAGGGGAUCUUCAUUCUUUUUUCCCUUUUUUAUACCAAGAUAUCUUUCAACCUUUAUAUAAUCCCCACUGGAUAUCUGCUUCUAAUAAUUAAAAUAAAAAUUUCACCCACACAAAUAAAUACUGACCAAGCUCUAACAAUAAAAACUAACAUCUUUAGUCAAGUAACAUCUUUAGUCACGUAAUUUACAGUUCCUCAUCAUCUUAGUGUGAGCUAUCAGUACGAUCUAAAAACAUAAUAAAACUGGUUUGAUCCUGUUUAUUGAUGUUUAAAUGUUGUUUAUUGUGACAAGUAAAUUAGUAAGAUCUUGUUUGAAGUUGUUUUCCGAAAUGAACUGCCAAAUGGUAGUUUUUUUGGGGCAUCUGAUGGCUCUUUUUUCCUCAUUUUAAACAUGUGCCUGCUUGGAAUGGGAAGGAUUAGGCUGCAGAGUUGUUAUAUAUUUUGACAUGCUCUGGUAAUUACACAAUUUGUUCACACUGGAAAUUAGAAUGAGAAAUUUGUUGAUGCUGUUUUGAUAGAUCUGCAUUCUAUGCACAAUAACAUGAUUAAUGAAAAUGGAUUGUAGGACUGGAAAGAUCCGUGGUGGCCUGAGCUCGCAGGAAGAAUUUCAAUGGUUAAUUCUCCCCGAGAGGUUAUUGGUUCAGUUUUGAAGUAUAUGGGAGCAUCAUAAAAUUCAAACAAUAUUGAUUUGCAAGUUGCUGGUGGGAAGAUUGCUGUUCAGCAGAAUCUGGCAUUACUGGCAAACCAGGUACUCUUAAAGAAAUGAUAUCUGAUCAUUGCAUGUUAUUGCCUGACAACUGAUUUUGUUUGUAGAAGUCUGCUUCUUCAUACAUAUGAAUGCAUAUGCUAGUGUUUUCUUCUCCUUUUCAUACAUAUGAAUGCGUAUGUUGGUGUUGUCUUUUCCUUUUCAUACGUAUUAAUAAUACAUAUGUUGGUGUUCUCUCCUGAGAUGGAUGCAAUAAAGGCUUUUGCUCCUAAAUUUAGCUGAAGAAAUGGCAAGGGAUGUGAGAUUCUGUCUCAUUAAAUUAACAAAAACCCAAAACAAUGAAAAACCAUAAUAAUGUGGUGUGGGUAAACUGGCUCCAUUUGGUUCGUUUCCUUAAUGUGAAUACGCAAACAAUGGAGACUAACAAAAUGAAGUGACAACAACAAGUCAGUGUCCUUUGAUGGAUGCAUUUUUAAGCAGAAAUAGGUUUGUAAUUGACCAAAUUUGUCUGGCAUGCCAAUUUCGAAAAAAUUAAAUUAUGUGAUUAUUACCUGUAAUGAAGGGGGAUAGUAGGUGCAAUCAGGUGGAUCCCGGAAAGUUCAACAAAGUUCUGGUAUGGUGUAUUGAAAUUGGUUUGUGCAACUCAAGAGUCUUUCAGGUGAACGAUGAUGGGUUUUGAUUUAUGAAUGUUAUAAAUCUACUGUGCAUAGUAUUCUAGUAGAAUCAUUUAUAAGUUCUAGUUAUUGAAAUUGUCUACUUUGUCCGGUUUGAGUUAAGGGCACAUGUAAUAUGAAAAAUAGUUGUCGCAUCUUUUAGGUUACCUAACAUUUGAUCAAUCCUAUUAUGAGGGCUUCAAGAUGUCUAACAAUAUGUAGAAUGCCCAUGCUCCUCCCCAUUGUUUAUCUUAUACAAUAAUUUGUUUUAGAUGCUAAUAUCUUUGUCGAUACUGGUAACAUUAUUACAAUCUCUGCUUUUAUUGGGUUCUACAUAGGUUCGACUGUUUGACAGUACACACUAUCUGAAGGCAUUUGGAAUUGGAGAUGUAUGGGUUGCUGUUGGGUGGAGUAGUGAUGUUCUUCCUGCUGUCAAACGUAUGUCUAAUGUUGCUGUUGUUGUUCCCAAGUCUGGUGCAAGCUUAUGGGCCGAUCUUUGGGUAUUCCCAUGCCUGCCAUUCUACUUCGAUAUUCACUUUGUUAUCACCUUCAUAUUAGUGAUCAGUAAACACGAUAAUGUGACUAAUAAGUUUGUAUUCUCUUUAUAGGCGAUCCCUGCUGCCUCAAGACUUGAAACAAAACAAAUUGGAGGGCAAGUCAGAGGUCCGUCUCCAUUAAUCCAUCAAUGGAUAGAGUUCUGCUUGCAAACAGCAAGAGCAUUGCCUUUCAAGCAAGAGGUUAUCCCAGGCGCAUCUCCCUCUGCCCUUGAAAGUACUCUGGUUAAGUUGCCUGAAGAACUUCUGAAGGGUAAACCAAGUGUGGAUACUAACUUAAUUGCUGGAGUACCCCCCCGCUGAAAUUCUGGCCAGAUGUGAGUUUUUGGAGCCAUUAUCUGAAGCUACAUUGUCAGAUUAUGAGUGGCUGGUUGCUAAUCUGCAAAACCUGCUCCUGUCUUGAUGAAAAGGGUGCAGCAUUACUUGUCAUCAUUAAUCCAAAGCUUUCUAGCAAAGCUACAUUGAAAAGUUAAUGGCACUGCAUACAAUCAUGAGUUUUAAUGGAGCAAGAACUAAAUACAAUUAUCGCUAACAAAUACUGAAAACACAACCCACACAGGAAAUCACCCUUCGCGUGGGGAUGGAGAUGUUUACUGGAGCGAUAUUGAAUAUGUGCAAGGUGUUGUCCACUGCUCUUUGGGUUAUGGUGUGACUUGCGAUUUCAAGAUUGCCCAGAAACAAUGGAAAAGAUUAACAUAUCCUCCCAUGAGUGAAAACGGCUUGACUAAUUCUAAUUACCGAAUUGACUCAGGAUCAGGUAGCAAUAAUAACAGUUAACUAACAUUGCACAGUCCCGAGUACUUUUCCAGGAUCAGAUACAACGUGGUCUAAUGUUGAUAAUAAUACCUUAUUAAAGGACAAAUCAUUGUUCUUGGGUGUUGAUAGUAAUAGCUUAUUAAAGUAGAAGAUGAAGGUUGUGCAGGUGAUUUCAGAAAUAAAAUACAUUCUGAGAGAUGAUGGUCUACUAUUGCAAGCCCCCAGAUUUCAGAAUCUUUUGAUUGCGGCAUUUGGCAACGAUUCCACAAAUUCUAGAUUCCAACUGAGUUAUCAAUUGAAAAUGAAGUUGAAUUGAAAAAGAACAACAAAUACACAGUGAAGUUGAAUUGAAAAUGAAGUUGCAAGUUGCGCCCAUAGCUGCUGACUAAUAAUAAAACGAGACAAAUUAAUUAAACUCAGAUCUCUAUGUACAUGUCAACCUAACUUUACUUUUCCUUGUUUGUUAUAUUCACUUAACACUUGAUGCCUAAACCAUUAAAACCAAAUGACCAUAGAGGUAUUUGUAAUAUGUAAAAACAAACAAAAACACGUAAAAAAUUUUAAAAACAAUUAAUAAUCACACUCUAAAUUUACCACUCAACUCUAAAUAAUAACCAUACUCAAACAAUUUACAACUUUUGACGGGAGUAGCUAUGAGGAAAAUCCUUUCUCAAUGGAUUGCCAUUGCCCAAGAGUUGCAAUGAAAACGUACCACCUGCAGCUGUGCCGGAAGAUUCAACUAGGUCUGAAAAAGAUGAUAAUUUAAUUGAUAUGGACAGUAAUUGUGAUAUCGGAAAGCAUUAGUAUUCUAUAUGUGAACCAUUAUUGGCGACAUCGAUAGUUUUAUAUUAUUAAAAUGUGGAUGACUUCCAUUUACUAUUUUGUUAUAGACAAUCUUAUUCAAUUAACAUAUAGUUUUAAACUAUUAUGUAAAUCAAUCUAUUAAUUUUCAUGAUAUUUAACUGAGUUAAAACUAAGUGCAAUCAAUAAAUCUCUUUUCCUUUAAAAAACCGCUACGUUUUAAUUUUAGUGCUUAAUAUUUAUUGAACUCUGAUACAGGAAAUUUGAAAUCAAACUCGUAACUACAAAUUAUUUAAUUGCGAGUUGCUGUCCAUAGCUGCUGAUCUGUAGUAAUUAUCUAAUUGACUGAGGUGACAACAAUUUUUUUUUUUUUCGGAAAAAUGUCAAUAGCACAAAUUCAAUAAUUAAAUUCUCAUGUUUAAUUUGUUUCAAGUUAAAUUAUUAAUUACUAAAACUCUGUUUUAAGUCUUUAAUUUUAUAUCUUGGCGUAUAUGCAGAGUUGGAUUCUUGAGUGAGUUGGGCAUUAAAAUGUGUGGACUCCGGUAGCUGUCCCACAAGUGUACAACUCUACAAUAAUAAUUGAGUACACACUUUUAAUUCUGGGGACCCUUCAAUGAAUUUCUAGCCCCGUUGACUCCACUGACUAGAGUUUUGUAAAAUAAUAAAAAAAAAGUACAUAGAAUUCCACCAAAUGCAAAAGCAAAAUGUGUGGAAUUUAAUUUUUGGCCGUGUGGACCAAAAUACAAUUUAACGAAAAAAGAAAAAAAAAAUUGUAAGAUUUCUAAAAUAUGUGGAAAGUGAUUCAUGUUUUACUGAAAUGACUUGUCUCAUGAUUGAUUUUUUUUUUUUUUUGAAAAAUAUCAACGUCCAUAUCUUUCUACCCUAGAACAUGCUCACAUUCAAGUCUAUCUUUGCUAAUUUGAGAAAGAAAAUCAAAUCAAAUCAAUACCAAAGCAAUGAAAAGUUAAGCUUUUGAAUUUUAACUUCAGCUAGCAAACGUAUUCAGCGUUUUCAAAUUCUUCCCAUUGCAUAUCUUCUUCCUCCAUCAAUGCAAUAUUAAGUACUUUUUCUUCAUUAUAUUCUUUUCUUUGCAUUUCUUCUUCCUCCAUCAAUGCAAUAUUUGAACAAUUAAGAAAGAGUUUAAGAACAUAAAAAAUCUUCUAGGUUUAUACGGUACAACAAAUUUAAAUUCUCAAUUAUAAUAGAUAAUAAUUAAACUAAUAAUUAUUUAUUUACUUAUUUUGGUAAUUUCACCUAAGAAUAAUAUUGCAUUAGAAAAAAUCUAAUAAGUGGGGUGGUUUUAUACAAAAUCAACUACAUACAGUAAUAAGUGAGUACGCACCUUUGAUUCUCGGGACCCUUCAAUGAAUUUCUAGCCCCGUUGACUCCACGGGCUACGGCUAAAGAUCUGUAAAACAAGUAAAUAGAAUUUCCACAAAAUGCAAAACUUGUCGAAUUUAAUUUUUGACCAUGUGGAUCAAAAUGUAAAUUAAAGAAAAAGACAAAACAAAAAGAGGUAAAAUUUCCAAAACGUGUGAAAGAUGACUCAUGAUUUAUUAAAACGACCUGCCUCGAAUAUCAAGACGAUUAAUCUUUUUAAAUUUUUUUUUUUGAAAUAAUAUCAACUCUCAUAUUUUUCCACUCGCAGAACAAGUUCACAUUCAAGUCUAACUUGCUAAUUUGGAAAACGAAAUCAAAUCAAAUCAAUAUCAAAGCAAUGAAAAGUAAAACUUUUGGAUUCUAACUCCAGCUAGCAAACGUUGGAAUGCAAUAAUUAAAUUCUUCUGUUUAAUUUGUUUUAAGUUAAAUUACUAAUUACUUAAACUCUGUUUUAAGUAUUUAAUUUUAUGUGUUGGUGGGUAUGCAGAAUUGGAUUCUUGAGUGACUUGGACAUGACCACAAUGAAAUUGAUGGCAAACAAACAUUAAAAUGUGUGGACUCCGGUACCUGCCGCACAAUUCUACAAUAAUAAGUGAGUACGCACCUUUGAUUCUCGGGACCCCUUCAAAAAAUUUCCAGCCUUGUUGACUCCACUGGCUAAGGCUAAAAUUUUGUAAUAGAAAAAAGGUCAAUUCUUGUGGAAUUUAAUUUUUGGCCUUGUAGACCAAAAUGUAAAUUAAAGAAAAAGACAAAAAAGAAAAGGGGCAAGAUUUAUAAAACGUGUAGAAGGUGGUCCAUGAUUUAUUCGAAUAACCUGCCUCGACUCGAAUAUUGUAAUGAUUGAUUUUUUUUAUUUUUUUAAAAUAAUAUCAAUUCUCAUAUCUUCCCACUCCUUGAAAAUGCUCACAUUCAAGUCAAAUUAAAUGGACACCAAAACAAUGAAAAUUGAAAAGUAAAACUUUUGAAUUCUAACUCUAGCUGGCAAACGUAUUCAGUAUUUUUAAAUUCUUCGAAUCGCUUAUCUUCUUCCUCCAUCAAUGCAAUAUCAAGUAUUUUUUUCUUUUUCGUAAUCUUUUCUUUGCAUUUCUUUUUGCUCCAUUAAUGUAAUUUAACUUCUUUUUUUAUUUGAACGGCUCGGAAAGAGUUGAAGAACAUAAAAAAGCUCUUGGUUUUAUACGGUAAAACAAAUUUAACUUAUAAUUAUUCAACUAACAAUUAUUUAUUUACCUAUUUUAGUAAUUUCACCGAAGAAUAAUAAUCUAAUUACAAAAAAUCUAGUCAGUUGGGUGGUUUUAUACAAAGAGUAAUGAUAUAGCCACAAACUCUUGUACAAACUUAUUUUGUACAAACUGAUGUGGCGUUAAUUCAUUGGUUGAAUUAAAUAUCUCUUGGCCCACAUGAUUUGUUUAUAUUAUUUUAUAUUUCUAUUCAACCAAUGAAUUAAUGCCACAUCAGUUUGUAUAAUAUAAAUUUAUACAAGAGUUUGUGGCUGUAUCAUUACUCUUAUACAAAAUCAACUACAUACCCAUAUACAGAUGCAAAUGCAAAUAAUAUUUUUAAAUAAGAAAAUUGUAUAUUGAGAUGAAUAAGAUGUUUCUAUGAUUCUAUCUUAGGAAAGCUCGGUGGUGGUAACGACAUGAAGUUGCGAGUUGCCGCACACAGUUGCUAGUAAUAUAAUAAAACAAGACAAAUUAAUUAAACUCAGGCCUUUACGUAUAUGUUAUCUUAACUUUACUUGCCCUUGUUUGAUGAUAUUCAUUCUUGGAGCUAAGGGCGCAUGUAAUAUUUGUAAUUGUAUUAAGUAUAUAUUAAUGUGAUUUUCAAAAUCAGGUUUUAAAAUCUGUAGGAUAGGCUGAUUUUGGUAGUUUUGGGUCGGCCGUUGCAGUCAUUGGGACUGACUUAUUAUUAUUAUUAUUAUUAUUAUUAUUAUUAUUAUUAUUAUUAUUAUUAUUAUCAUCAUUAUUAUUAUUAUUAUAAUUAUAAUAUCAACUUCCAUAUCUUUCUAAACCCGGAAUAUGCUCACGUCACGUUCAAGUCUAUCUUGCUAACCUGAAAAAGAAAAUCAAAUCCAAUCAACACCAAAACAAUGAAAAUUAAAGCUUUUGAAUUUCAACUCCAGCUAGCAAACAUAUUCAGCGUUCCCAAUUUCUUCCCAUUGCAUAUCUUCUUCCUCCAUCAAUGCAAUAUUAAGUACUUUUUCUUGAUCAUAUUCUUUUCUUUGCAUUUCUUCUUCCUCCAUCAAUGCAAUAUUUGAUCGAUUAGGAAAGAGUUUAAGAACAUAAAAAAUCUCCUAGGUUUAUACGGUAUAGCAAAUUUAAAUUCUCAAUUAUAAUAGAUAAUAAUUAAACUAAUAAUUAUUUAUUUACUUAUUUUAGUAAUUUCACCUAAGGAUAAUAUUGUAAUUAGAAAAAACUAAUUAGAACAAUUUAAUUUUUGGCCGUGUAGACCAAAAUAUAAUUUAACGAAAAAGGAAAAAAAAAAGGGUAAAGAUUUUUAAAAUGUGUGGAAAGUGAUCCAUAUUUUGUUCGACUUGUCCCGAACAUCACGACGAUUGAUUUUUUUAUUUUUUUUUUAAUAACAUCAACUUCCAUAUCUUUCUACCCUCAGAACAUGCUCACAUCCAUAUUUUUUAUGUACUUAUUUUAGUAAUUUCACCUAAGAAUAAUAUUGUAAUUAGAAAAAAAUCAAAUAAGUAGGGUGGUCUUAUACAAAAUCAACUGCAUACAUAUAUGCAGAUGCAGAUAAUAAUUUUUAAUUCCUUUUUUUAAUAAGAAAAUUGUGUAUUGAGAUGAAUAAGAUGUUUAAUUUAAUUAAUUUCCUUACUUUCAUAUACAUUGUCUUUCUAUCUAGAGAAAGCUUGGUGCUCAGAACGACAUGAAGUUGCGAGUUGUCGCCCAUGGCUGCUGAUUAAUAAUAAAACGACACAAAUUAAUUGAACUCUGGCCUCCAAGUAUAUGUUAUCCUAACUUUACUUGCUCUUGUUUGUUAAUAUUCAUUCUUAGAGAGGUGAAAAAAAUUACAAGUCUUGAAUAACGAGGAGUUUAAUUGCCUCUAACUUUACUUGGCCUUCUAUAAUCUCAUUAAUAAUACAGAGAAUUAAUUAUCUUUUUAUUAUUAAACCAAAGAAUUAGUAGCAGUUAAUAUUAAUAUUGCCCACCCAAGAAAUAUGAGUGAAUUAAAGUAUUGGCAAGAGUUCGCUCAGAGGAGCAUUUAAACCACUUCCUUAUCAAUUGCGGCAGCCGUCUAUUAACUAAAACGCCAAUCUAAUACACGAAGAAAGAACAUUUACAGACUUGGCAAUUGAGUUCAUUAAGAAGUAGCAUCGCAUUCGGGUGAUGAGUUUCCUUUUGUUAAUAAUUUUAGUCUAAUUUCCAUUGUACUGAGAUCGCUUCUCGAGGUAAGUGAAAGUUACAGAUGUGGCAAAAUAAAUAAUUAAAUUAACAAAAUGCUAACUAAUUUUCCUAAAUACCUAGGGUUGUACAAUUUCAUCAACCUGGAAGAAUUGACAUUAAUGGACUGGUCUCCUCCCCAUAUAAUUAUAAUCCUUCUAGAAAGCUAAUUUUUAUUAAAUAUUUUCUUUUAAGUUAAUUUCAAUUAAAAUUUUUUUUAAGUUAUAUAUACUCUAAUGAGAUUCUGAAUUCCUUUCUUCCAAUAAUAAUGAAAACGUAUUAAAUUAGAAAUGAAAAAAUUGGUGUUGAUGAUUCAACCUGUUUGGAUAGAUUACGCGAAUAAAAUUGAAAUUUUGAUUUAAUUUUUGUUUAUUGUUAAUUCUCAGGCUAUCUUAAUUUCAAGAAUUUAGAAUGUUAAUUUGGUCAUGGAUUUCAACCCAUGAGUGUCAUAUUCUAGACUUAAUGGUACCAUUCUUUGAUUGAGGGCAAUGACUCUCACUCCUCUUGUAAAAAACUAUUUUCAACUAUUUUGAUGACUUAAAAAUUGAUAGAUUUAUUGUUGUCAUGACCAAAUUAUUCAUUUUAAUUAAACAUAAUUAAUGCAUCAAAGUUACCAGGUUUAUGUUCUAUCUUAAUGCGCUUUUUUUUUUUUUUCAGUUAUCAGCUAUGCCCCUGAGGCAUUUUGUAGAGUAUAGCUUCUGCUUACCUCUGUUUCAUUUUUUUUAAUAAAAAAAACAAGGGAAGGUUUUUCCGAGUCGUCCAUUAUUUGAUUACCGUCAAUCAAGAAAACGACCAAAUUAAUUUCUCUCCAAAAUUUCCAAAAGCUAGAAAAUUUUGUUAUUUGAAAAUAACAUCAUUAAUUAUAGAGUGGAUCAAACCGCGUUAUUGUCUUUUAUAAAAUUGAUGUCUUUUUAAGAGUCAAUGCAUUUUAUUUACACAAACCAGUCGACAUCAACUUGAACUUCCAUAUUUUUAUUAUUAUGUUAUUUAUUUUAAUCCCCGAUUAUUUGAUUAGCCACUAUAUAUAUCAAGAAAGCGACAAAAUUUAUUUCUCAUGACUUCCAAAAACUAGAAAACAACAUCAUUUAUUAUUUUUUUGCAACCCUAAUUGACAUCAACUUUAACUUUAUUAUGUUAUUAUUUCAAUCCCCCAUUAUGACCUUUCUAAUCCUCCAUUAUGCAUCUUUUAUAGUGCAAAUUUAAUUGCACAUCUAAAUAAAUUGAUUAUUGUCACUCCACCACCAAUAUUUCAAAUAGUCACUAGACCAUUUCUGCCUUUAAUUUUCCCUUAACUAUUGACUGUUUUUAGCAUCUUAAAAUAUACAUUUAUUCCUUGAUUAUGUGAUAAAAUUAUGAAAAUAUCCAUUUUAGCUUAAAUUAAUUGAAAUAACCAUAAGCGUAACUUAAAUUAAUAGAACAAAAUUAUCAAGUGUAUGUUCUAUGUUACAUUUUGAAGAAUUUAACAUAUACAAUGCUAUACUAUUAAUUCAUUUAUCAUUUAAUAUAUAUGUUCAAAUAUUUUAUAUAUUUAUUAAUUGUUAUAUAGUCAAAGGAUGAAUGAUUUUUCAGGUCUACAUGAGUUGGUGCAUCUGCAAGACUCAAUUUUGACAACAAUGAUCUAAGGGGUAAUUUACCUUGGCGUUUGACAAAUUUAACCUCUCUUCAAGAUUUACUUCCAAUCUACUUACUGUAAAUAUCUCCUCAUCUCCUCUCAUUUAUAUGAUAACCCUUGAAGAUCUCACAUUUUCAAACAAUCAUAUUAGGGUUUUUAUUAUUAGCAUCAUCGUGUCAAUAAUAUAUGUUGCAGUAAGAUUUUUUCAGACCAAUUCCCUUCUUCAAAUAAUAAUGGAAAAGUAUUAAUUUAAAAAUAAAAUGAAUAUUGUAAAAUAAAGAACAGAGUUUAUGAAUAAAACUCUUGUAUUCCUUGCAUUAACGUUGCUACAUAUAUAUAUAGAUGUACAACCCUAAAGAAUAGAAUCCCAGGUAGAAAAGCAUUACAGAUUCAUAAUAUAUAUACAAAUCUAAUUGCUUUAAAUAUGAAACCGAAUUCUAUACGACUUCUAUAUACAAAACCGAAUGCUAUACGAAUUCUAUACGUUAAUAAAUAUGCAUUGAUUAUAUCCUAAUUUUCAUCAAUUAUAGCGAGAGUUUCUCCAAAUCAACUCCCUUAUUCAAAUAAUACAGAAAAAAUAGUAAUUUAAUAGUAAAAUUAACAAGUGUUGAUUAUAUAUCCUAAGUUUCAUCGAUUAUGUGAUCAAAGUGGCAUUGUUGAUUUAUUUCUUGUUCAAUGUAAAUUUUUAGGUUAUCUAAAUUUCAAGGAUUUAAAAUCUUUGUUCAUGGAUUACACGCUUAUUAAUUUUUCUGCCAUUGACUGUCAUAUUCUAGACUUAAUGGUACCUUCCUUGAUCGAGGAUAAUUACUCUAUGUUCUCCUCUUAUAAAUUCUUCUUCCAUUAACAUCACUAGGAGUAUGUUGAUCUCUCAGACGUUAACUUCAGUGGAGAGUUUCCAAAUUGAUUGUCACAAAACAACACAAAAACUAGACACACUUGAUCUGUCUAAUAAUUCUCUUUCGGUAAAAUUAAUUAAUUUUAGGGGAAUAUUCGACCAACCUAUAUAAUUUUAGAUUGAUCAUUAAUUAAUUGGACGAAAAAAGUACUUGUGCUUUUGUGGCGACAAUUGAACCAGAGAAGUGAAGCUGUAAAGAUUUGGCAGUAGUAAAUUGUUAGAAAGACAUAAAGACAAGUUCCCAUUAUUAUAAUUUUUUCAAAAAACUUUUUUACAACACAUGCACCUGGCCAAAAAUUUUAUUUUGCUAACUAACAAUAAUUGAUUAGCUGACCGAAUUGACUCCACCUACUUGCUAAAGUAAAAAAAUAGAAAUAGAAUUUCCACAAAAUGGCAAACAUGUAAAAUCUAAUAUUUGGCCGUGUGGAACAAAAUACAAAUGAAAAAAAAAAUAGAAAAAAGGCCUAAAGACUUUUAAAAUGUGUGGAAGUCUUUCUGCCCUUUUAUAAUGGUGUGUUUUUCAAAGGAACAAAUAAUAAUAAUGACACUUCAACGGUUUGUUUUGAUAAUCACACCUAUACUCUUUAAUUUGAUAAAUGGUUACACAAAUUUUGUUUACAAAAAUAUAUUAUUCAUGUUCUGUAUUAUUUUUUAACAUCAUAUUUUUAUUUAUUAUAAUUGUUUAAAGUUAAUUGUUGGGUUGAUAUAUAAUAAAAAUGUAUAAUCGUUCUCUUACUAAACACACAUACUCAUAGUUUCUGUUCAUUUGUCAUCUCAAUCUAUCUCAUUUAUCCUUUGUUGAUAGCUCAAAACGCGUCACUGUAGAAAAUUAUAGCAAAACGACAAAUAUGGAAAAAAUGGGAAGAAAAUUAAUGCAUGAAAGAGUUGCAGAAGACAACCAAAUAAGUCAACUAUACGCUAGUUGGGUGUAUAAAUUGUUAGAUGUGUUAUAAACAAAUAGCAUAGAGCCUUGGUUGGUUACAGAGAUAGAAAAAGUGUGUGUUUUUUAGAACUUAAAGAUAUAGUUAGAAUGGGUGGUUCAAAAUCAAAAAUGGUGAUAAUGUUUGUUCUGUUAUUAAUAAUAUUAGAAGGUGGGUGGAGUGAAGGAUGUUUGGAUCACGAGAGAUUUGCUCUUUUGCGACUGCAACAUUUCUUCAAUGAUCCUUAUAAUUAUCUUCCCAACCGGGUAGAUGAUGAGGGAGCUACUGAUUGUUGUCAGUGGGAAAGGGUUGAGUGCAGCAACACCACAGGCCGACUGAUAGCGCUAGACCUUUUUGGCACGUAUUGGCGAGAGUACAGCUGGUAUCUGAAUGCUUCUUUGUUUACUCCCUUCCAACAACUUGAGUCACUUGAUUUACAUGGCAACAACAUAGCCGGUUUUGUUGAGAAUGAAGGUGCUUCGUCUAAUUCAAUUAAAUUACAUUUCGCUCUCCUAAUUUAAGUCGAAUAUCAAGACUGAGCAGCUAUAUGCAUAUUCAUUCAAUUGACAAUUUUUACAUAUUUUUUAAAAUGUUUAAUUUUGAAAUUACACCAAACAUCAUAUGUGAUCUUUGUUUUGAUUUUACUUGCAGGUCUAGAAAGAUUGAGCAACUUGAAGAGGCUUGAUUUAAGUUAUAACUUGUUCAACAAUAGCAUCUUAUCAUCUGUGGCUCGUCUUUCAUCAUUAGCAUUAUUAUAUUUAAGUGGUAAUAGGUUGGAGGGAAGUAUUGAUGUUAAAGGUACAUAAUAAAAACGUCAUCUCUUCUCCCAACUCUUUCAUUAACAUGCUAAAAUAAGAUUCAAGGCUUUGAAUUCAAUUUUUUUUAUGAGUAAAUAUUAGAAAAAUAGUUUUAAGCAAUUCAUAAAUACAAUUUUCAAUGUUUCUCAUAAUUUCAUCUUGUACUUUUGUAUGUCUUGACUUUAAGAUUAAAAAAAAAAUUACUCUAACUGUGAAGCAAAUACCCCAUGACUAAUUUACAAUUUUGUCCAGUUAAAAAUGAUAAAAUUUAUCAUUUGUUCAUAUUGAUUUAUUAACUCUAUUUUAAGUCUUAAGUCUUGGCGUCUUGGCAUGUUUGCAGAAUUUGAUUCCUUGAGCAACUUAGAGGAGUUGGACAUGAGCUACAAUGAAAUAGACAAUUUCGAGGUUCCUCAAGGUACACAAUUAAAAUAUUAUUUAAUUACAUUAAUUUAUUUCGUUUGAUUAGGGAAGGCCCAAAAUGUACAAAAACAUAAUUAAAAAAAAUAAAGAAACAGAGAAUUCAUAUUAUUUCAAAAAACAAAACGUAAUACUAUUAUUUCAAAAAAAGAAUGUAAUAAAGAUUUGAUUUCGGUUCUUUAAUCUUUACAGCAAUUGAAAAACGAUGUUGCUCUUUUCCUAAAGCAUAAAAUAUGAAAUGAGUCAUAAUUGAAUUAGUCAUUUAUUUUGUUUAGAUCUAAAUUUAGACAAUAAAUUUUGAUUUUUUUUUCAAUCAUUUCCUAAUUAUUAUUAUUAAACAGGUUACAGAGGUUUGAGGAAGCUGAAAAGCCUGCAUCUAUCGGGAGUUGGAAUUAGAGAUGGAAGCAAGUUGUUACAGUCAAUGGGAUCAUUCCCAUCCCUCAACACUCUUCACCUUUCGUUUACUAGUUUUACGAAAACAGUGACAACUACUCGAGGUAAGUAAAAGGUACGGAUGUAGCCAAAUUUAUAAAUUAAUUGUUAAUUAAUUAAUUUUUCCGUAUUAUUAAUUAAGCUAAAUUUGUUGCUCCUUCCUUCUAAAUCUAAACAGAGUUGCACAGUUUCACCAACUUGGAAUAUUUGAGAUUGGACGACUCCUCUCUCCAUAUAAGCCUUCUGCAAAGCAUUGCAUCAAUAUUCCCUUCAUUAAAAAAUCUGUCGAUGUUGGGUGGUAAAGUCAACGGUCUCCUACGCGGUCAAGGUAAAAGAAAAGCUUUGAUUGUGAACUCACUCAAUGGUGUCCUACGUGUUCAACAUUUUUAUUUAUUUAUUUUAUUGUUUAAUGUUUCUGCUAGGUUUUCCUCAUUUCAAGAGUUUGGAAUAUUUGAAUAUGGAUUUCACGCGCAUUGCACUCAACACCAACUUUCUUCAAAUCAUCAGUGAAUCGAUGCCUUCUCUUAAGUACUUAUCACUGUCAGAUUCAUAACAGUAAAAAUUUGUUGCUCAACAUGAUGUGUAUUUUUUUUCAAGGCACUUUGGAAACACAAUUGUUACUACAGAUAUUCUUCUCAACUUGGAGAUAAAUACAAAUAUUAAAAUGCAUAUGAUCACACAUAUUACUUCGAGUUUAGUAAGAUUUCAUUAAAAGAAGCAAUCAAACCACUUAUCAAUUGUCGCAGUCGUUCUAUAAACUAAAAUAGCAAUAUAAUACAAGAAAAAGAACAUAUAGAUACUUGGCAAGAGUUCAUUAAGAAGUCGCAUCACAUUCGGGUGAGGAGUUUGCUUCUGAUAUCUUGCUAGCUGGGGCUUUUUCUUGUCUUUCUACGUAUGCCGAGGGAAACCAACCAGCUUGGCCCUUGCAUUCACCUUCCGACCAUCCAAUAGGAGCAACCUUGAGAAGUUAUAACUAAAACGGUGAAUUAAACAAAAGUUGACCGUUCAAAGACCUAAGGGGAAAACUAAUUCUUUUACGUAGAAUGAGUGAACUAGUUGUGAUCACUGAAAUAACAACAUAACUAUGGAAGCAUAACUAGAUAUAAAUUCACAUGGCUAUAAGGGUAAACUGAGUGGUUUAGAACUGAGCUAGCAACCCUACUAUAUUCUGAUUUGCACUUCAAUGUAAAAGGGAAUAUAUGGUAGGAAGAAAGAAAACCAACCAUCAUUUGUUAACUCAUUGCUUUUCAAUCAAAAUUUUAAGAACAAAAUGCCAUGUGCUUUGAACAUCAAAUAAGUAUAAGCAUUAGUUCUAAAUUCCACAUAUCAUAAGUUGUUAGAAGGAUAAGUUAAUAGCAGAGUAGAAAAAUCUAUGUGUUGGUAUUUAGAGGGGAAAGUACCUGGCGAACCACAAUAUAAUCAUCAAUUGAAAGACUUAGCUUUCCAUUUGCUUGAGCAUCAAAUGGAUGUAUAACCUGCAAGAUAAUGGGAUAAAUAGAACUUUAAAAAAGCAUAACAAAAGCAGCAACAGUAGCAGCAACGUUCAUUGUAACCACUAUGAUCAUGGCCAACAAAGAUAUAUUAGAAACAAAAUUCCAUUUUUACUACGACAUUAAUAUGUACUAUACGAUAUCAUGACGAUUGGGUUACUAAGAGCUAUCAAAGUCUAAUAAGUUCUGUAUAACUUUAUGUAGUUAUUUAAAUUAUGGAUCAGAUUUUAAAUUUGAAAUUUUGACUGCUCUCCACAAAACAUGGCCUAUGCACAAGAAAGUCAUAGAUAAUGAGGAUUACAAGUGUCCGACAUCUUUUGAGUGAUGGAUUUAACAUGAGAGCUUAUGGUCAGUCAAUUUCCUCUGCCUAGCAAUAUAAGCUUUCUCGGCCAGAUUUAUCAUCAAAUACAUAGAUUGCCCCCAAGUCACAUCCAUAUAAACAUAGUUUUUCUAGGUAAACCAAGUAAGGAGUAUCAUAAUUCAGACAUAAUCAUAAAAAGGCCCAUCUAACUUAAGAGAAAAUCUCAAAAAUGGCUACAUCGUCUUGUAUCUAUAAGCAAUAUCAAGACUUUACAUCACCUGCUACAUCGUGAGUGGCUACACAACUUUCAAUGGUUUGUCUUUCUUUGGCAUGCCUAACUCAGCUUUGAUGUUGCUGAGAUAUUGAUAGUAGAGACACAUGAUACUUCUAGCUCAUGCAUUCUAUCUAACUCAUCCAACAACUAUCUCUUUUUUAAUUCAUUAGUGUUUGCUAAACCUCAUGCUUAAAAGUCCUGUUCUCCUAAACAAAGUUUCCUAAGAAUGACUUCCUUAGCACCACAUUUGGACACUUUUAGAGCAAUUUUAUUUUGGGGAAAAGAAUUUUCAAGGUGUUAACUAAUAAAUUUUAAAAAAUAAUUACAAUUUUUCCUACGAUCAUAUGACAAUUUAUCUGGGAUGAAAGGAUACAGAUAGACAUCUUCCACUUUCAAGACUAAUCACUACUUCCGUAGAUGUUGUGCAAUAAUACAAAUACUUGAUCAGAUGGUAGUGAUGGUAGAAAAAAAUUUUAUUGCUCCAAAAUUAAAAUAAGAAUGCAAUAUGUUAAGCAAAAGGCUGUGCAACAUCAAAUUAAUUGAUAAGUUUGUAAUUCAGUAAAUUAACAACUUUCAUGGUAAAAUACAACAAAUUUCUUUUGAAAAAAAUAAAUCUUAAAAGACAGCAUUCAAUUUUGUGCGCAUCUUAUUUCUUAAGAUUUUUCAGGAGGAGGGCAAUAGAGGGACUUUCACCUAUGCAAGAGAGCAGAAGCCUUACUUUCCCUAUAAAGUAGACGUCAUUCUGAUUAAUAUGCGUUUGCAAAUCAGCUCCGUUUGAAUCAGUAUUCUGAUAGACACACGAGGCAUUGACAUCCAUUUCCAAAGUCACAUGUUGCGAGGAGGACUCAUUUGAUUGCUCCUAUACGAUCAUCUAAUUCAAGUAGCAAGGGUUGGAAGAGAAUAAAAAGUCACAAUUAUUCUUUUGCAUAAGUGAGACGAAAAUGAUAAAUGCAAUAUUAUCAACAGUAAACAAGAAGAAGAUGAUAGUGGAAGUAUGCGGUGUGGCUGCCAGGUACUUGGAUUGUAUUGUCGGGUAAGGUAAUAGUAGAGAAUUAUAAGUUUGAACAGAGCAUGUUGGACUUUUGUUGACCAAAUUCAAAAGCCCAAUGGCACGGCCCGGAAGCUUUUGAAUAGAAAAACUUGCUAGAAAGCAUCAGUUUAAAUCACUACUUAAACGCUUGCUUUAACUGCACCACUUUGUACUGUUUUAUGUGUGUAGCGGUUGUGCGGUUGUAAUUCACGGCUGACGCUACGUGUUUGUUAGGUCAAAACUAUGAUACAAUAGUGGUACGGUACCAUUGUUACUUUCAAUCAUUGGAUCUAUAGUUGUACAGUUGCAUUAAUAAGAUCUAAUGGCUGAAAACAACAGUGGUACCAUACCACUGUUGCAACAUAACAGGACCCUAUUAGUUAUUUCAAAGGGAUAAAUAAGAUUGCUUACAACAAACCUACUAAUUUUAUAAAAUUCAAGUAAUAUAGAAUAAAAUAAAAAAAUAAAUACAAAAUUGACUUUUAUUUUUUAUGGUUGACUAUAUUUUGUGUUCUCUUCGGGCACUACUACAAUUCUUCCCUAUAUAUCAAUUACACCACAUACUAUCGACACAAGAAAUGAAAUCUAAUAUCACCCGUUUAGUUAAAAAAUCACUCAUGAAAAAAUUUUACCAUUUUGAUUUGAGGAUCCAUAUUUUAAACUGCAAGCUAAUGUUCAUCAAGAAUUACUGAUGGCCGUUGAGUAGAAAAAUUAUUUUUGGACAAAUUAUUUUUGUUGAUAGAAGAAUUUCUUUAGGGACUACUAAAUUAUUAAUAAAAAUGUCGAACACACCCACAUAUCAUCGACACAAUUGAUUUUGAGGAUCCAUGCUUUGAACUGCAGCCUAAUGUUCAUCAAGAAUAGAGUAUGGCUUGUGAGUAGAAAAUUUUCUUAUUUUGGCCCGAAAUAAAAAGAAAUUAAAUUGGAUGAGAAUCUGCCACUUUCUCAUGAAGAAAGGCAUACGGAGCAUACCAUGGUACCAUACAAAAUAAGGAGCCUCUAUUCUUUGGUUUUUCAAACUCUAAAGGGGCCAAUAUUGCCAAAUUCCCCCUUGAAAAUUCUGAUUACGACAUUAUUCAUCGCUUGAUGCAAUCAAAGUAGUGACAAAGUUAGGAAAAAUAUGAGUCCUAAGUAAUUGCUAGGCAGGGUUCCUGAGAGCAAAAUUGUCCUAAGCAUUAUAUGCAUACAUGGUGCGGUACAUAGAGCACGUUGAAUUCCCCACUAUAACACAAACCCAGAAAGACAAGUAAUAACUCAACUGAUAUAAAGACAAAAAGAAGAUAAAAUGAUAUAGAAAAAAGAAUUCAAAGAGACAGCAACAUACGAUAGACUGAAGCCACUUGAUCUGCUCAUUGAUUGCAGCCUUAAACUUGCAAAUAGUUACUGUACGCUAGUGCUCUAAGAAGUGAAAAUGAUGCCAGCCCUGAUUCCCUUUUGACUUCCAUUUACUGUCAAACAUUCUAGUAAUACAAAAAAUUGUUUAGAUAUCUUGCUAUAAAUAUAGCCGUUUGACUGUCAUAAUAAAGUCACAAAUAACCAUUCAUAUUGAUCUACUGUCACACAGCAUGCUUUAUGCAUACAACAGCUGUAUGUAUACCAACUCCUAACCUUAUCAAUACAUUUGGCAAAAACUUAAGAAGAAAGCUAUUUCUCCAUCUCUUUUUUGAAAUUUCACAAUAACCAGCACAAUGUGAAAGCUAUGUUCUAACCUUAUGAUAAAUGCUCCAGACUCCAAAAGGAUUUUAUAUAUGAGAGUUUGUUGCAGCAGAUAUAUUGACUUAUCAAGUAUGAAUCAUUGUCUGGAUGAACUAUCUUUAGAUAAAAGAAUAUUAGAACCACUGUAGAAUAUCUUUACGCUGCUGGUUCUAACAGGAAUCUGCAUGUGGCAACAAUUGCUAGAUCCACAAUUCCCCAACUUGAAAUACAUAGUUGCACACCAUGAGAUAGUGCUACAAUCUACUGAGAUCUAACUUAUAUGGUACUUUAAGCUACUAAUGUUUGCAUAUUUCUACAUGUUAAAUUAACACUAUCAUCUAUAAUCACUCCAAAACAACAAAUGAUAAGCAGCUUUUGGCCACUUAUUACUAGCAUCCACAAUUAUAAAUAAGAGAUCAUGGGUUUACUUGUUGCACCUACUUAAUUAUCUGCAGUUGACAUCCUGAAGCAAGGUUUAAAUAGUGACUGCUUAGAACCCUUGUAGUUGGAUCUUGACCUCUCCCAUUGUAGCCAAGAUUGGUUACUCUGGUAAUGAAUCAACACUCUCCUGCUCAGGGCCAUGAAGAUCUGAAAGCUCAGCACUAGUGGAGAACUUCAUCAAUCUCUUCUUCUCAGCACACUUGAGACAAGGCUGCAUUACGAGACCAAUCACCACAGCACCAACGCUUAAAACUGCAACUUUUAAAGAAGAAAGAGCCAACACAACACAACACAACACAACACAAAUCAAUAUGGUUGGAGGAAUACACAUGAUAAUGGCUCCAACAGUGCCAGUGGGUAUCUUGUAGGGACGAGAUGCAGCAGGAUAUUGUAUCCUUAACCAUACAAAUGCUAUGAACUCCAUAACCAUUCCAAAACAGUACAGGAAGUUCUCUGCAGCUACAAUAUCUCGAAAGCUCAGCCAUGAUAGCAAAACCACACCAGAUGCUGAGAAUAUGAUUCCAAUCAAAGGAGUCCCAUAACAAGACCUCUUAGCAAAAAACUCAGGUAGCAUUCCACACUCAGCCAUCCCCAAAAGUUGGAAAGAGUUGCUGCUCAUCUCAGCCACAAACAUGCCCAUAUUGGACAUUGCUGCAGCCCCCUGGAUGCAUUAUCUCAACCAAACUCCUCCAAGCACUUUAGCGAUAUCUGAAAAGUAACCAUCGGUCCACAAGUCGCGAUCUAAUGGAAUAGCUCCAGUUCCAACUAGAAGGGGAAAGAAAUACCCAAAAAUGACCAAGAUCAAAGCAUAAAACAAAGCCUUUGGAAGAGUCUUCUUGGGGUUAUCCACCUCUCCAGCUAGUGUACUUAUUGAGUCCCAGUAGUUGAGAUUCCAAAACAGGGUGUUCAAAUACAAAUUCCAAUCCACUUCACCUAAAUUUACUACAAGCCAUCUUGAAGGCUCUAACUUGGGAAGGGACACAAGUCCCAUAACCACAAAAGGAAGGAGUGAGAAAAUCCCUAAAAGAACAGCAGCCCAUCCCACAAUGGUUAGACCCCUAUAGUUCAUGAAAGUGAGAACAAAAGUCAAAGCUAACGCCGCAAAGGCUCUAGGUAACCCAUUGCCCAACGCAGGGAUACCAGACUUCAAGUAGUCAAGAAACAGAACUGGGUAUAAAGCAUUAUCAAUAACCCCACUUAGCCAUUUCAUCCAACCUUGCUGAAAACCCCAAUAUGGGCCUAAGGCAGAUGAAACCCAAACCACAUAACCACAAUUUUCAGAAAACACGGUACCCAUCUCGGCAGUAAUUAAAGCUUCAGGGACACUCCAUAUAAUCGGAAACACCAAGAAACCAAGAAGUGCUAAAAGAGGACCAGCUGCCUUUACACUAUCCUCAACACCAAACGGCCCCCCAGAAACCUCAUAGAAUAUAAGGAAAAUAAGUGGCAAGAUUGAUACUUUUUUAGUGCCAUGGACUCUAGGAGAAGAUGGUUGGUCAUUGAUAUUAACAUAUUCAACAGCAUCAGACUGCCCCAUUUCUACUGAAACUUGCCUAUUUACAGUGUUCCUCAAUUUCUGCAUCAAGUUUUAGCAUAACUAUCAAAAGGGUAUCCGCAUGUAAAUUAUGAAACAAAAUGAGCAUUUACUUUUUAAAAAAAAAUCAAAAAACAGAAAUGGAUUUCGCAGAGCACAUGAAUUUAAGUUCAACAUUAAACAGGCGCUUAAGAAAACAAAAGGGUCUGUUCGUAAAGCCAUCAGAUUGCAAGAUUGAACAACAUUAACGGAAUCAAUAGAAUAGAUGUAAAGAGAUCUGAAAAGAAAAUAAAAUAAAAGAUGAAGAGAGAUAAAACGAACCAUCAAAUAAGUGCAUGCAGAGCAGAGAGGCAGAUACUAGAGAAGCUCCGUCAUGUUAGAGAGAGCCUAAAUCAAUCAGAGCUCACUGAGUUUCUUUUCAACCGACCGGCAAAUUUGGAGUGGCACAAAAUAAUAUUUUUGCUUUUAAUUUUUGGAACACUUUUGAAUGGAAUUUUUUGUUUUUAAAAAAGGUAAGGGAGAUUAGGGCAUCAUAAAAAGAUUUUUUAAAUAAAAUUUUAUUAAUUAUUUAAAAAAUUAUUUUAAUAUUUAAUAUUUUAAAAAAUAUUUUAAUUAAAAUUUUUUAAAUAAAAAAUAAUUUUUUUUAAAUUUAGAGAAUUAAUUUUUUUUAUAAUUUUUUUUAUUAUUUUUUAUUGAAAAAAAAGAGAUAAAUACUUUAAUUGUUAUUAUUUUUUUUAAAUAAUUAUUUGAUUAAAAUAAUAUUAAAUUAUUUUUAUUUGAAGAGUUUUUUAAAAAAUAUCAUAUUUUUUUAUCCUUCUAUUUGCCACAUGAGUAAACAAAUAGAUAUUUAAAGAAUAAAAUUUAUAUAAUCUUUUGGAAAUGCUCUUAAUAUUUAUUUAGUCUUAUAUUUUUUAAAAUAUUUUUAAAAUAUUUUUGUCGUUAAAAUAUUGAUAUUAUUAUUAUUUUUUUAUAUUUUUUAAUUUAUUUUUAUAAUAUUAUUUUUAUAAUAAUUUUUUAUUUAGAUAUUAAUAAAAAAAUAAUUUAAUUAAUAAUUUAAUCCUAAAAUAAAUAAACACGUGUUUGGUUUUGGGCCUUUUCUUUUGUUCGUUUAAUAUCAUCUGGCUCGCUGAUUUGUGACUAAUUAUCAACGGAAUCCCGUUGGUUUCUAAAUUGAAAUAAUAGAAGGUCAUGAGACUAUUUACUCCAUUUAGCACUGCAGACUUAGAGUAUAUUGAAAAAGCUUUGUCAAAUAGUAGUAAUAGGGGCAUAAGAAAUAAAUUAUAGCUAUCACAAAUUCGUUAGGAGAAUUUCAAUUUUUUCCGUCAAUAAUGGCUAUGAAGCAAAAUUACCUUAGGUUAUAUUGCAACACUAAUACUUCAAAUCCUGAUAAGGGGUGAUAAAAUUAAGGUUGUUCAAAUCCCUUAAAAUGCUCCUUUGUUUAGUUUAAAAGUUGUUCUUAAAAUGGAAACGAUGACUUAUUUAGAAGAAAUGGUAAAUUUAUAAUUUGUAAUAUUAUUUGCACAAACAAUAAUAAUGAAGUGUUAAUUACCACUUAACAUUUUUAAUUAAUUUCUAAAUUUAAAACAAAUAUGAAAGUUGAUUGCUUCGAAGGUUGGAUCGACAAAUUGACAUUUGAAAAGAGAAGUAGGGAAUGUAUAUUCUGAUGAAAGGGACAAGAUUAAGUAAGGGGACAAUAUUCUCUAUUGGACCUACAAAUGGGGGGAAAGAUAUAUAUAUAUAUAUAUAUAUUCUUAUUUGUGGAUUGGGCAUCACGUGUAACUAAUAUAAAAGGAGAAAAUUUAGCAUGGUUUUAACAUAUAUAAGAAGAGAAAAUUAAUUGUUCAAACAAAUUAGAAGCAAAUUCUUUCAUAUCUUUCUUUAUUUUUCCGCUUACUUUCUUAGCAUCCAAACAAGUUAAAGUUAAAACGCUGUUGAGCCAACAAUAUGCAGGCAUCAAUAAGCAUAGUAGUUUUGUAUAUGUAUUCUAUACGAUAUUCUGGGGAUGUCAAUUGUAGAACAUUUUGUGGUAACUUUUUUACAUUAAUUAAUGUUUGAAGAACUUGUUAAAAAGAAAAUGGUAAUUUUAUUAUUUUGAAAGACAAAAAAAAAUAAAAAUAAAAGAGUGAAAGUGGCGUUACCUCAUGGUCAUUAGAGACUUGUUGCAAUGAUAGCUCAAAAUUAAAAAUUUGUGAAGAAUUAGUAGACAACGACGAUACUAUAUUUAUAUAGUCACCAACAUGUUGAUUUUUGUUUAAUGUUUGAUCGAUAGAAACUUUUGUCGUCGUCGUCGCCGUUGUUGAAUUCAUGCUUAGAAUACCACAAGAGAAGAAGAAGGGAUGAAAGGGAAGAGAAGAAGAGAGAAGUAGUGGAUAGCAAAUAUGAUAUGCUAGCUACACACAGGCCUUAGAGAGUUUUUUUUUUAAUAUUUAUUGUAUUUUUGUUUUUGUUAUUGGUUUGUCAUAUGCUUCCAAGGCAGCAAUGUGUUACAUCAUAAAUUGCACCUUUUAGGGGAGGUGGUAAAAAACAUGAGAGGAAUGCAUUCUAGCGCAUACAUGCAGAAAGAGUUUCCAAAUUUUCAAAAGUUUGUUAUUUCUUCCACCUUUUUUUUGCUUAAAAUAAAUUUUAAUUGUAUUUUGCAUUAACUUAGAGAAAAAAAAAAUCAAGUUCUAUGCAUAAACGCAUACAUUGAUUAGAAAAUGAGUUUUAUGGACACAAAGGGACAAUAUAAGAGAUUCUUUUUGUUUAUUAGAAGUAACAUAACUAGUUAGUGUAACAUGUAAUUAUAAGCUACCAAGAAUUUGCACUGAUGAUAAUUAACGGUAUAGAUUUUGAGCUAUGAAUGUCUUGUGGCUAGUUUAAUUGGAUUUUCGAGUUUUCAGCAGAUCUAUUUUAAUGAUUAUUAAAUUAUUUUCACUUCUUAUGCUUUAAUAAAAAAAAUUCAAUAUUUUUUGCUGUAUUCUAUAUUUUAAAACUUAAUUUUUAAUUCUUUAUAUUGCAAACCAAACUGAGUCAAAUAGAGUAUGCUCGAAUUUUUCCAAUGCCUUCAAGAAGAAUUCAUUUUAUUUUUAUAUAUUAAUUUAACACAUGUAAACCGGGCCGUUGGAUUGCACAUAAAGCAAAUGAUCAAACCGUUACAAGACCGGCCCAGGCCCACCGACUCUAUUUUCUUUCAUUUGACCAUUAAAAAGCUUUUGGCCACCCCCACCAAAUAAAUAAGCUCUUGUUCUCUUUUGUUUCCCUCUCAAAGGAAAAUAUCUGAUCACCGGAUAAUGAUUCCGGUGACACAAAAGAUCGAAACACCCCCCUAAAUUCCCUAAAUUUACAAUAAUACCCCACCAUGGAUGAUUCCGUUGAAAUGCCGCCUUACGAUGAAAGGCCUAAAAAGGGUUUUAACUUCACCUCCAUGCGCUUGAUCUUAACCCUCGUUUUCCCAAUUUUAACUUGCUUUUUGUUGGCAUUUUUUAUUGGAAUCGUAGCUGUUUUAUUCGGCGAAUCAUCAGUUUCCAGUUCCAUUUUUGUCCCUUCCUAGUGCAAAAUAGUGUCCAGCAGUAAGCUUUUUUUAACAUUUUCAAUUUUUUUUCCAUUUAUGAAGUCCAAAAAUUUUAUUAAUUUUGAUUUUUUUGAAUGAUUUUGCAGGUGUUGAUAUAAGGUCAUCAAAAGUUCGUGAACUUGGGGUGUUGAAUUAUAAGGCGAAGCGUGCGUUUUAUCCAUUUGAAGCAAUUAAAUUUCGCUGUCGGUAUGAUUACUAUUGGGCUUCUAUCUUCAAGGUAUUCAUACAUUUUCCCCUGUACUAUAAGCUUCUUAGUGGCGGUCUUGUGAGCGGAAGUGAGCGGUGUGGCUGACAGCUUCUUGAAAAUUAUGAACAGAGCAUGUUAGACUUUUGUUGACCAAAUUCAAAAGCCAAAUGGCACAACUCAGAAGCUUUUGAAUUGAAUAACUUACUAGAAAGCUCCAAUUUUUUGUUGGCUACAGUAAAAGGAUGUUGUUUUAUUCUUCUUAUACUUUACGCUUGCAUCAGCUUAAAUCACUUCUUAAACGCUUUGCUUUAACUCUACCGCUUCAUACUGUUCUAUAUAUGUAUCGGGUAUGCGGUUGUAGUUCAUUGCUGAGACUACGUGUUUGUUUGACGUGGUAGUUACGUUCCGAGUCUGUUAAACAUUCGGUGAUUAAAGUAUUAUCAGUUAUUUCAAAGGGGCAAAUAAGAUUAGCUACAACACACCCACUAGUUUUAUAAAAUUCGAAUAAGAUGGAAUAAAAUAAAAAAAUAAAUAAGUAAAUUGACUUUUAAUUUUUGUGGUUGAAUAUAUUUUGUAUUCUCUCAGGGCACUGCUGUAAUUGUUCCUUAAAUGUCAGUCACACCCACAUGUUACAGACACAAGAAAUGAAAUCUAAGAUCACCUGUUUAAUUAAAGAAUCACUCAUAAAAAAAUUUUGCCAUUUUGAUUUGAGGAUCCACAUUUUGAACAACCAACUUAUCUUCAUCAAGAACAGAUCAUGGCCUUUGAGUAGAAAAAUUAUUUUUGGACAAACUAUUUUUAUUAAUAGAAGAAUUUCUCAAGGGACUAUUAAAAUUACUAAUGAAAAUGUCAGACACACCCACGUACCAUCGACACAAUUGACUAUGAGGAUCCAUGUUUUGAACUGCCACUUAAUGUUAAUCAAGAACAGAGUAUGGCUUGUGAGAAGAAAAAUUUCUGAUUUUGGCCUGGAACAAAAAGAAAUUAAAUUGAAGGAGAAUCUGGUACUUUCUCAUUAAGAAAGGCAGACGGGGCAUACUAUGGUACCAUACAAUACGAAAAGUCUCCGUUCUCUGGCUUUUAAACUCUAAAGGGGGCAAUAUUCCCCAAUUACCCCGUGAAAAUUCUGAUUACGACAUUAUUUAUUGCUUGAUACAUAAGUAAAAGUAGUGACAAAAUUAGGAAAAAUAUGACUCAUAAGUAAUUACUAGGCAGGGCUCUUGAGAGCAACAUUGUACUAGGCUUUAUAUGCAUACAUGGUGUGGUACAUAGAGCACGUUGAAUUCCACACUAUAACAUAAACCCAGAAAGACAAGUAAUAUCUCAACAUAUAUAAAGACAAAAAGAAGAUAAAAUGAUACAGAACAAAGAAUUUCUAAGAGACAGCAACAUACAAUAGACUGAAGCCAGUUGAUCUGCUCAUUGAUUGCAGCCUUAAACUUGCAAAUGUUUACUGUAGCCUGGUGCUCAAAGAAGUGAAAAUGAUGCAAACCUUGAUUCCCUAUUUACUUCCAUUUACCAUCAAACAUUCUAUUCAUAAGAAAAAAAAUGUUUAGAUAUCUUGCCGUAAAUAUAGCCAUUUGAUUGUUUUAAUAAAGCCACACACAACCAUUCAUAUUGAUCCACAUUGCCACAUAGCCUGAUUUAAGCAUACAACAGCUGAAUGUAUACCUGACUCCUAACCUUAUCAAUACAUUGGCGACAACUUAAGAAGAAAACUAUUUCUCCAUCUCUUUUUUGAAAUUUCACAAUAAAACAGCACAAUGUAAGAGCUGCAAUGAAAAUGGACCGUCUGGAACUAUGGCGGAAGCUUCAACUAGUGUAGUGAUUUGACCUUCUUAUUAACCUGGCAAGAUCAAACACUGCCCUUGAUCUUGAACAGAUCAAUACGAUACGCACAACUUAUGAUUGAAUCCAGAAACCAUCAAAUCUUUAGCAAGAAUAAUUAAUCAGAAUCAAGAAACAAGUUUAAUGAAUAUAAACCUAUAAUUGGAACAAACACAGCCAAAGAACCCAAGAAUGACACAACGUACACCAAGGGAGAAGCUUUCCAGUGAGAUUAUAUUGAUGAUCAAAGAAGAAUCUUUUUACAAAGGUAACAAAAGUGAUUUCAGAGAAUAAGCUAUGACCCUCUCUCUUUUCAAUCUCUGUCUAGUUUGUUAACAGUGAUGACCCCAAUCUGCUUCGUUAGCCAGGUUCAUAACUGCGUCAGUGACAAACUAGCAAACCUAGAUUGAGCAGACUAACGACACGUGCAUAACGGCUUUAACGAACUUGGUUAAAGAACUGCUCACAUGUUCGUCACGCGUGUUGCUUAAAUGAUAGCCAAAACGACUUCAACCAGAUGCCGUUUUGAAGCUUAUGAAUUAUAAGUGAAAACACGUGCUUGUCUCGUGACAUUUAAAUGCAACAACAAGCCCAAAACACUGUCGUUUCACUAUGUUGAGUUUGCCAUCUCCAAGCUUCACAACUAGCAGCGAACAAGAUGAUAAUUUAAUUGACAUGGAGAGCUUUUAUAUCACUUUUACAACAUUCUAUAUAAUUGUGAUAUUGGGAAUCGUCGGUGCUGUAUAUGUGAACCCUCAUUGGCGACACUGGUGGUUUUAUCUUUGUUAAAAUAUGGAUGACUUUUCGUUACUAUUUUGUUGUACAUAACCUUAUUCCUACGAGAUUUAAUCAUUGAAAUUAUGUUAGUUUCAUUAGAAGGCUGAGUGGUUAGUGCUGCUACCCUCCAAUUUGGAGGGCAGUAGUUUGAACCCCCACAAGCGCAAUGUGGGGGUAUUUCCUUCUUUAAUUACAUUGUAUAAUUGAGUAAAGGUAAUUUUCUCUCUUACCCAAGUGUGAGUGGAGUAGACAUCCCUCGAUGGUUAAAACCUGGGCAGAGCUUCAUAAGUAUUGAUGUAAGUUGGUCCCAGUAAUAGUCUGAUUUGUAAAUAUCAGUUAUAGUCUCAUGUUUCCUUCCUUAAUUAUAUUGUAUAAUUAAGUAAAGGUACUCUUUUCCCCUACCCAAGUGUGAGUGGAGUAAAUAUCCAUCGAAUAUUAGUGAGGGUUAAAAUCUGGGCAAAGCUCCAUAAGUAUUGAUGUAAGUUGAUCCCAGUAAUAGUAUGAUUUGUAAAUAUCAGUUAUAGUCUCAUGUAAUAUGAGUUGUAAUUUGAGCAAUAGUUUCAUGUAAUUAAAAAAAAUGUUACUUUCAUUACAUUUUUCUUCGUUAAAAUUCUCAAGUAUCAAUUAUGUUUGCUUAAGAAAUAAAAUUUUGUCAUUAAAGUUGUAGUAGUAUUUCUAAGCAUCUCACAUUUUCAAUGAUUUUUCAUAAAUCAAUUAAUAUGUCGUACCAAUAUCAUGUUUAGUUUUUCAGACUAAAUAAUCAAGAAAGCAAACAAAUUCACAGUUUAGAGGGGUAAACUAGCUUUUAGAUUUUAGAACUAGGCUAGCUACCUCACCAAAUUCCAGUUUGUACAGUGAACUACAAGAUUGAGAAAAUAAUGUAUUUAUAGUUUAAUUGAAUCAUGACAAACAAUGUAGUCAUAGCUCAAUCGGACAUGAUCACGGAGAGGCAUAUUCUUUUCAAGUUAAUUUGAUCCAUUUAUAAGAAAUGAAGUGGAUCGAAGUUAAAAGUUCAAAUAAAAAAUCCUUGUUCUUGAGUUUUACGACGUCGUUACUCCUUCAAGAGGCUGAUUAUGCAAGUGAAUGGAGAAACAUAAUGCAUUUAUAAUUUUUUUAAUAAUUAUAAAAAUAAUUAACCAUAACAAAUCCCUUGCGUAAAUAAUAAUCAUUAUUUAAAAGGUCCAAAGAUGGUUAGUGCACAAUCAAAUUUUAAGCCCCUACCUCCUCGGCCCAAGAUUCAAACUUAGAUGAUAAGCCAAAUAAAAUUAUUUGAAAAUCAUUCAAUCAAGUUCCGGGGCAAAAAUACAAGAUCCUUAUUUACAUGAUAUAUAUGAAUUAAUGUAAUUUAUUUGAAUUGUCCAAAUUCAUUAGAGAUAAAACUAUAAAAUAUACCAAAAAAGUUAGAAGGAAGGCUGUGUUGGGAUAUUUUACAAACUAUAGGGAUCUGGUGAGAUUUUGAGCCAAACUGUAGGGAGUUGAAGGCAUUUGCCCAAUAUGUUUAGACGUACACUAACCGUUAUUUGAUCUUGUUGUUGGUCCCGGAUGAGCUGUAGUCUUAUUUUAAUUUUAUUUAAACUCACCAUAAGAUUCGCGGAGCUCCUAACUAACUUAAAUGACUCUGCAGAGCAUGUCAACACAUACCAUGUUUAACCGUUUUAUUUGUAGAAGAAUUUAUGAUUUCCCAUUAGCAUUAUUAUUGAAGUGGGGCAGGUCAAAUCUCAAUUGCUUGAAAAUUUUAUUUAUUAUUAUUAGUCUUGAAGUGGGGUGGGUAACGGUUCGCUCAAUUCGAGGGGAAUCAAAUAUAUCAUCCAAGGUAGAAUUGUGGAAAAUUAAAGCAAAAUAAGAAAUAUGGAAAGACAAGAAGAAAGUUAAGGCAUGAAAGACAUAUACAGUUGAAAUUGAUAAUCAUGUUUCUAUUUUGUUAACUAAUCAAAUGGAAAGCUGAACUGUAAACAAACAUUAAAACGUGUGGACCAAGCUCGCUGUCCUACAAGUCUACAAUAAUAAUUGAGUACUUUGAUUCAUCCUUCUAUGAAUUUCUACCCAUAUUGACUCCACCGAAAUUUCCACAAAAUAAAAUUAAAAAAAAAAACUGAAUUUCCACAAAAUACAAAACCCGUUGAACUUAAUUUUUGGUCAUGUGAACUAAGAUGUAAAUUAUAAAAAAAAGUAUAAAAUUAAAAAAGAUGAGAUUUCUAAAAUGUGUGGAAAGUGAUUCAUGAUUCACUGAAAUUACUUACCCCAGAUAUAAAGGUAAACCUAUCUAAUUUCAUUAAAAAUAGUUGAAAAACAUUAACUAAUAGAAAGCUACGGAAAUUAACCCCCCACAAAAAUGACUUUUUAUAGAAGAAUUUAUGUUUUUUAAAAUAUGUUAUCAAAGUGUAUUUGAUCAAAUCUGAAUUGCUUAGUAUGGUUAGGAUUUUGUGAACAUCACUAAAAAGUGAAAACUAUGAAUGAUAGGGGUGAUGCUUGCAAUAUGAAUAAAUAAUGGACUGAUUCAAUUUCUGAUUACAUUUAUAUAUUAUUGAUUAUUUAUGAAUUUUCAGACUUGUUAUGAUGUAUAACUAUGUGAUUUUGAAACUUGAAACCGUGGCAAACAUUGAAAGGAAUUAUAACUUGAAAGCAUGACUCACGGGGUAUGUCAUGAUUCACGUGCACAAAAAAGGUAGAAUUGUGGAAAUUUACAACCCAACGACAAGUACGGAAAGAAAGGAAGAAAAUUAAAAGACUUUGGGCCUAGCUGCGUGUAUAAAUUAUUAGAUUACUUUUUUUUUUAUAAGGGUAAUCAUCAAUUUACUCCAUAAAAAUCUUUAAUUCAAUUAAAAUUUAUGGUAUUUUAUAUAUUAAAAAUUCUAAAAUAAUUAUGUAUUCACUUGAAUAUAGUUUUAGUUAUAAAUGUUAAAAUAUUGUGGUAUUUAAUAUAUUAUUUAUUUGACAUUCAAAUUUAAUAAGGAUACAAAUGUAAAAGUAUAUAUUUUUCAGCUUUUUAAGUUGAAAAAAACAAACAACUUAAUACUUAUUUUUUGAGAUUCAGACAAAAAAAUAAACAUAUUAUUCAGAUUCAGACAUUCAGAUCUAUUCAGAAUUCUCACUAAUUCAGAUCUAUUCAGAUUUCAGAUAAAAAAAAAAAAAACAAAACGCCACCUAAGUAUAGUUAGGAUUGUGUGAACAUCACUGAAAACUAUGAUUGAUAGAAGUGAUCUUGGCAAUAUGAAUAAAUAAUUAACUGAAUCAAUUGAUUUAUAUAUUAAUGAUUGUUUAUGAAUUUGCGGACUUGUUGCGAUAUAAUAAUAGCAUAUGAUUUUGAAACUUGAAACAGUGGUAAAUAUUGAAAGGAAUUAAUUUGAAAGCAUGAUCCGUGGGGAAUGUGAUGAAUCGUGUUUACAAAAAAGGUAGAAUUGUGGAAAUUUAUAAUAGAACGAUAAAUAUGGUAAAAAGGAAGAAAAUUGAAAGACUUGGGGCUUGGCCUGGGUGUAUUUUCUAACAGUCCAAUGGACAAAAUUAUAUUUGUAUACUUUCUUUUCAGGAAAAAGUUAUUCUCAUCCCUAGGUUUCAUGCAAUAGCUCAUUCCAUCCUUAUUUUUUAAAUAAUAGACCAAAACAUUCUUCCGUUAACUCACUGUUAGUUGAAUGUCGUUUGUUAGUUAUUCAUUAAGAGUAAAAAAUGAUUUUCUAUCAAAGAGAAAAUUAGAAAAAUAAAUAAAAGUUGACAUAUAACUAAAAAUGAUUUUAUCUAAUCCCACUAAAUAAGAAAUACCAAAAAAGAUGAAAAUUUUAUAUUUCAAGCAGUUCUUUUUUCACUUAUUUCUAUUUUGGCGGUAUGAAAGCCCUAUAAACCCUAGAUCUAAGUACCAAAAAUAUUGCAAUUUUCUUAUUCAUAUAAGUAUACUCUCUAAUUGCACUAUAAAAUGACUUGAAUUGAAUUGAAGAUAAAGAAUAUAUUCAGCACAUACAAAGCACAUAAAAAUUGGUGGCAUUUUUGAGUUUUUCUUCCAAUGAUUUAAAUAUAUUAUUUUAAUUACAGUUUGUUCCUUAUGACAAUUAUUAAAUGGCUAUAUCAAACUAUAUCAUCGUUGAUUUCAUUUAAAAAAAAAAGUUAAUGAAUUUUGCAUACUUUGUAGUGUUAUUUAAUUGUGUAAAAAAAUUAUUUUAAUAUAGUUUGUAUCACUUUAAUGAAAAAUUCUAUUUUGCCCUCAAUGAAUUACUAGUUAACAGUUUUACACUAACGGUGAAUUAACAUAAGGAUAUUUUAGGCUAUUGUUUGAAAAGGAGGGAUAAAAUGGGCUAUUACAUUAAACUCUAAGGAUGAAAAAUGCUUUUUCCCCUUUCUUAUCAAUCAACUAACUGAUAAAAGUCAAAACUCAUAUUUUUUUUUCCUUGUUUCAAUCCCCUCUCAAUCAAAAAAGUUUCAUUGUCUAAGCAAUGAGGAAUAUGGCUAGAAAGAUUGUUAUUAGAAAGAUUUAUCAAUAGUAAUUGGUUCACAAUUGAACCGUUUUAGAUUAUUGUGAGUCAAUAUAGGUCCUGUUUGGAAUUGAAGUGUUGCAGCUCUUAAGUUAUAGAUGCUUUGGAAAAAAAACUAAAAUUAUGAAAUAAGAGUUAAUAAUAUAUAAUAAAUAUAAAUUUUAAAUAAUAAUUGUGACAAAAUUAUUAAAAAUAUAAUAGAUUUUUGAUAAUACAAGUAAAAAAAUCAUAACAACAUAGCUUGCAAGCUACAACAGUUAGUGUUUAACAAAUACUUUAAUACUGUGGCUUUUAAGUUACAGCUGUUCAAUACCUCAAUUCCAAACGCACCUAUAAAAUGGCUUGCUUCAAAAGUCUAUCAACCCAACUUGGAAUGCUCUCAUUCAAGUGGCUAUAACUAAGAUAAAACUUCGCUAAGGAAGAGUAAUUAAAAAAUGUAACUUUAACAUGUCCAUAUAGCAUUUUUGUUUACAAGUGAAUUUGUGUGAUAGAGAGAGGAUGUAAGCAAGAUAGUAAAGUCCUAAAUAUAUUAUUGUGUAUAAUGUCUAAAAUUUAAAGAGAAUCAAGCUGAUAAAACUCCAUUGAAAUUAGACCUUCAAGAAUACGGUUCUUGGGCAUUAUAAAAUGUUGUAAUGUUGAGAGAUUACCCAACCAUUAUGGAAUCCUACCAAGAUGAUUGUUACCACUAAGAUACAAUCCUUCUAGUGAACAACAAUCAGAUAAAUUUUUUGGGGAUCUCUCUUACAAAGUGAUUACCAUCCAAUCGCAAUUUUGAAUGAAAAUAAAUUUUUUUUAUUGGGAGUUUAACCUUAACAUUAAAUUUAGACAAUGAAUUUUAACUUUCUACAGUUAUUAAGCAGAUUACGGACAUUUGAGGAAUUUGAAAACAUUUCAUCCAUCGAAAGUUAAAAUUAGAGAUGGAAGAUAGGUGCUACAGCUAAUGGGAACAUUACUUCCUGUCCCUCAUCACACUUUAUUUUGGGUCUAAUAAUUUUACGGUAGCAUUGACCACUGCUCAAGGUAAGUAAAACUUACAAAUGUGUGGCAAAAUAAAUAAUUAAGUACAUAAACUGUUAACCAAUUUUCUUGAUAUAUACAGCUAAAGUAGUUGUAUAUUAGUGUCCUGAAACAUGUUUAUUAUGAUAGACACCUCCACCGUACCUCAAACAAAUCUGUCAUUAUUAGUGUCCUGAAACAUGUUUCGGCCGUCAAAGUCAUGAGAGGGUUGAUGACGCUACUACGUAUGAUGACACACCAGCCGACAGUGUAGUAACAGCUCAAAAACAAAAUCUACCAAAAUCAACGGAAGUUAAUAAAAAAAUAUUUUAUUAAUAAAAAAACUUAUUAUUUGUGGAGAUAUGUGUAUUUGAGUCUGUGGACUGAAAUGGAAAAUAUGAAGAAGUUCAGAGUCGUUGUGCAGAUUGACUUCAGUUGAGCGGGUCUAAUAGAUAUUUUAUGCUGACGUGGCACGAAUUAGUUAUAAUCUGUUAUAACGAUUCCAGAAAUAUCGGUAUAAAUAGAAGUUGAUGAGCAGUGCCUGUUGUACGAUCCUUUUCUUCUUCAGCAGUUCGUCAAUUUGCAUAGAAUCUGUUUCACUUAUGUUUGAUUAGUUGUUGAUCGAUAACGAGAGUAAAUUUUUCCUUCAAAUCUUGCUGGUUCGUGCCCCUGUUUCAGUUUUGGGUUUUUUUUUUUUUUUAGUUCUGGUUUCUUAAUUCAAUUGAAUUUCUUGGUGCUUAAUUCAUCAAGAUUCAGUGGAAUUGACUUGAAAAGGACUCAAUAGACUCAACAUUAUUUAACGACACUCGGACCGUGGGGUACCGUAAUCAUAAUAUUAAAAGAUUUAAAAUUUUAUGCAUUUAUUAAUUGUUAUAAUCUAAAAAAAAAUUAAUUAAUUCAGGUCAAUCUGAGUUGGUGCAUCUGCAGAGCCUUUUUUUUUUUUCCCCUUAUUGACCAUAACUUUCGACUUAUUAAUAGUUAUAUCAAAGGGUGUGGGUGUUUUACCUCAUCAUGUCUUCAAGCGGAAGAUGAAGACUAUGCAAGUGAAUACAGUGCAUUUCAACAUAGCAUAUUUAACCGUUUUAACAGUUAUUUGGACCGUCUUCAGAGCUAACAUCAACAUACUCAUUCAUAUGCUUAAUAAUGAACGAAUAGUCAUGGAUCGAUGUUUUGCAGCAAGAGCAACUCGACACAAUCUGGAUUCAACCUCCUCCUUUCUAACAGGGUGAUACGCCGCGGAGGUCGUCAAGGAUUCCAAAGCCUAGCAACAAGUAUGCUGGGUACAUUUGAAUUAUGCAUGGAUGCUUGGAAGUCGAACGGUCACAUGGCUCAAGACUUAUGCAUACGUUACAUGCAACAUGCAGCACGUUGGAAGAAUGGUCAUUGGAGCAGUCUACAUGGAUCAUGGGGGGGAUUCGGUCAACAUGGGAUCACUUGCUGAUUUAAUGGAGAUUUAUCAUUUGGUUUAAUUCAUUUUCGGUUGUUUAGUUAAGCUAAAAGAAUAAGUUAAGUUGUUAGCUUAGGACCUGCCUACAAUCUCGAGUGAUAGUUAGAUUGUUUGGCUAAGUUGUUUUAAGUAUAAAUAAGCUCCAACGGACUUGAAUAAAGGGCAUUGACUAUUAUCCAAAAAUCAAAUAUCUUGUGGUCUUAUUUCUCACCCUAAGUAGAAAUAUAUUCAACCACUUACGCUUUGACUGGGACCCCUAUCAGUGGUAUCAGAGCGAGGUUACUAUGUCAACCAACAAGGAACGCAUAGAGCGUGUGGAAGCCGAGAUCGGAAGCUUGCAAGAUGGAAUGAAGCGUAUGGAACUAGGGCUUACUGACAGAUUGCACCGCCUAGAAGAAACAAUGAGCAAACUGGUAGAUUCACUUCCAACUUCAAAAGGGAUGCCAAGUCACAACAAUUCUGAUCACGUUGGAUCCUCACAGCCUAGCCGUGGAGAUAGUGAAGGGAGCCGCCAUCAGCUAGCAUCAAGACUUACCAAACUGGAGUGUCCACGAUAUUCCGGCGACGACCCAACGGAGUGGUAUAAUAGGAUCAUGCAAUUUUUCGAGUACCAGAAAGCAACCAAUGAACAGAAAGUCUCCUUAGCUUCUUUUCACCUCGAAGGAGAGGCCAACCAAUGGUGGCAGUAGAUGCGACGAACUUAUCAAGAAGACGAAAAAAUAGUAACGUGGGAAAUUUUUGUGGAGGAGCUUUGGGCACGGUUUGGCCCUACUGAGUGCGAAGAUUAUGAUGAGGCGUUGUCCAGGGUUAAGCAGACAGGGUCACUACGUGAUUAUCAGAGGGAAUUCGAAAGGCUUGGGAACUGGGUACGAGGCUGGACGCAAAAGGCCUUGGUCGGGACCUUUAUGGGAGGAUUGAAGCCGGCAAUCUCAGAGGAAAUUCGGAUGUUUCGGCCCAAAACUUUAAAAGAAGCUAUAAGCCUCGCACGUAUGAAGGAUGAUCAAUUAACGCGACAAAGGAAGUUGCUACGACCACAGUACCUCAACCGUACACCACCAACACCAACAAACAAUACCCGUGCCCAACCAACGAGACCCAUCAAACGGCUGACUUGGGACGAAAUGCAGCGGCAUCGAGUAAUGGGACUUUGCUUCAAUUGCAACGAUCGGUUUACAGCAGGUCAUAAGUGCACCCAACCUCAGCUAUUGCUCCUUGAAAGUGAGACAAUGAAUGAUGAAACUACAUAUGAGGGAAUUCCUGAAGUCUUAUGAACAAAACCUGACACUAAAGAGCCUACCGAUCCAAAAAUCACUUUCUAUGCCCUCACUGGAUGGGCAGCCCCAAGAACCAUGCGGGUCACGGCAACGGUAGGACCAUAUGAGAUUAUGGUUCUGAUCGAUAGCGGUUCAACUCACAAUUUCAUCAGCUCCCGAAUGGCCAACAUGUUACGGCUGCCAAUCAUUCCCACAGCAGGAUUUUUGGUGCGAGUGGCAAACGGAGAAACGCUAUCGUGCAAGGGAAAAUUCGAACGGGUUCAGGUAUUAUUACAAGAAGUUCCAUUCACUUUGACUCUUUAUUCACUUCCAAUUACAGGGUUGGAUAUGGUGCUUGGAGUCUAGUGGCUUGAGAUGCUAGGCUCAGUGGUUUGCAAUUGGAAACAACUUACCAUGGAUUUCACUUGGGAGAACAAAAGUUGCCGGUUACAAGUCAUCGGGCCUCAAUCAAUCCAAACAGCAUCCUUGACCGAAAUUACCAAAGAGCUGAGACAAGGGCAGUCCGGUUUUGCUAUUUGUUUCCAUGUGAAUGUAGAAGACUCUCUCAACACAACAACUCCAGAUAUGCAAGACUUGUUAAAGGAAUACAACACUUUAUUUCAAAAGCCAACAAAACUGCCACCUAGACGAGAAAUCGACCAUAACAUCACAUUGAAAGAGGGAACUGAGCCAGUCAACGUACGGCCAUACCGUUAUGCCUAUUUCCAGAAAGCCGAAAUUAAAAAACAAGUCCAGGAGAUGCUGAAUUCGGGACUCAUUCGGCCUAGUACCAGCCCUUUUUCAUCACCAGUACUACUUGUCAAAAAAAAAGAUGGAAGUUGGCGAUUUUGCACCGACUAUCGGUCUCUCAAUAACGCCACUGUUAAAGACCGAUUUCCAAUCCCUACAGUCGAUGACAUGCUGGACGAGUUACAUGGAGCAGCAUACUUCACUAAAUUGGACCUAAGGGCCGGAUACCAUCAGGUACGUGUAAACCCAGCCGAUAUCCACAAAACGGCUUUUCGUACAUACAAUGGACAUUACGAAUACUUAGUAAUGCCGUUUGGCUUAUGCAAUGCACCAUCGACAUUCCAGGCCAUCAUGAACUCUAUCUUCCGUCCCUAUCUCAGGAAAUUUAUCCUUGUUUUCUUUGACGAUAUAUUGAUAUACAGUCCCUCUUGGUGUAGCCACCUUACUCAUGUUAAGCAGGCAAUGGAGGUUCUUAAACAACAUCAAUUUUUUCUUAAAGCAAGCAAGUGCACUUUUGGCCAACAAGAACUCGAGUACCUUGGCCACAUAAUUACCAGCCAAGGGGUAAAAGUAGAUGAGACAAAAAUUGCGGCCAUGGUCUCCUGGCCUCAACCGAAGAACAUCUCAGAGUUACGGGGAUUCCUUGGCCUUACAGGUUACUAUAGAAAGUUCGUCCAAGGAUAUGGAGUUUUAGCUCGGCCACUCACGAAUCUUCUAAAAAAAGGACAGUUUGAAUGGAAUGCAGAAGCGGACAAAGCUUUUAUCAAUUUAAAAAAGGCAAUGACAAGUACACCCACAUUAGCCAUGCCUAAUUUUAAUGAAACUUUUAUUAUUGUGACAGAUGCAUCCGGUGACGGCAUCGGCGCAAUACUCCAGCAACAAGGGCAUCCCAUCGCAUUUAUGAGUCGUGCCUUGGGAGUCACAAAAAAAUCUUAGUCCACAUACGCAAAAGAGAUGUUGGCGAUUAUAGAAGCUAUCCGUGUGUGGCGACCUUAUCUGGUGGGACGAAAGUUUAUCAUCCAAACCGAUCAACGCAGCCUUAAGUACCUUUUGGAACAAAAAAUAACGACACCCGAAUAGCAACAGUGGCUGGCCAAAUUGAUGGGGAUUGAAUAUGAAAUCCAAUAUAGGCCCGGCCGUGAGAAUGUUGCCGCCGACGCCCUUUCACGACGACCUGACAGUUCUGCUCUUAACAGUUUAUUUGUGGCGCAGGUAUCUAUUUGGAAUGAAAUAAAAACGGCUGCCCAAGAUGAUGAUUACAUGCAGCAAAUUACACAUCAGGCUCUGACUCAACCUACUGGCCCUUAUUUCAUGCGUAACGGGCUAAUUUUCUUCAAGGGCCGAGUUGUAGUUCCUCUUCGACUCCGUCAAUCUUUAAUUUUUUAAGCCCAUGACACUAAGAUGGGAGGUCAUUCAUGAGUUCUACGUACUUACAAACGUUUGAAACAACAAUUCUAUUGGCCUUCAAUGUUUCAAACGGUUCAUGACUAUGUAGGUAAAUGCGAGAUUUGUCAAAAAACGAAAGCAUCAACCCUUAAGCCUGCGGGUCUCCUCCAGCCCUUGCCAAUUCCUUGCCAAGUGUGGGAUGAUAUCACGCUCGACUUCAUUGAAGGGCUGCCAAACUCACACGGUAAAAAUUCUAUUCUAGUGGUGGUGGAUCGGCUCAGCAAGAGUGCACACUUUAUGGCCUUGACUCACCCAUUCACAGCAAAAACAGUGGCUGAGAAGUUUAUUGAUGGAGUGGUAAAAUUACAUGGCAUGCCGAAAUCAAUAAUCAGUGACCGAGACCCUAUUUUUAUUAGCAAGUUUUGGCAGGAGUUUUUUCAUAUGUCCGGUACACAACUCAAUAUGAGUUCUGCGUACCAUCCGCAAACCGACGGUCAAACGGAAGUUAUUAAUAGAUGUCUUGAACAAUACCUGCGAAGCUUUGUUCACCAAUGGCAGAAGCAAUGGAACUCUUACCUACCUUGGGCAGAAUACUGGUACAACACAACGUACCAUGAGUCCACAAGCAUGACUCCUUUUUUGGCUUUGUAUGGGCGACAUCCACUGGUAGUACCAAUGUAUCAUGUGGAAUCUUCUCCAGUGCACAAGGUAGAUCAAGCUUUGUUGUCUAGGGAUGAGCUGCUGCGACAAUUAAAACAGAAUUUGAAAAUGGCAACCAAUCGCAUGAAACAAUUUGCGGAUACAAAAACGCGCGACGUGGAGUUUAAGGAGGGUGACAUGGUAUUCCUAAGACUUCCACCGUAUAGGCAGACUACUGUAUUCCGUCGUGCUCAUCAGAAGUUGACCAGCAAAUACUCUGGGCCAUAUCCAAUUCUGCGAAGAGUGGGACAAGUGGCUUAUGAGCUUAAACUACCGACGGGAUCUCGAGUGCAUCCGGUAUUUCAUGUGUCCUUACUCAAAAAAUACGUUGGUGAGAUGCCUCAAUUCAGUGCAGAUCUUCCAUAUGUCAAUGACGACGGAGUACUCGUUUUAGAACCGGACAAAAUUAUUGAUGUUCGUUGGCUUAAAAGAGGUGGCAAGUUGGUGGAACAAAGUCUUGUCCGUUGGAAACGCCUUCCACAUGAGGACGCAACAUGGGAAGAUUCAGAGUUCCUGGCAAAGCAAUUCCCUCACCUGACCCUUGAGGACAAGGGUCCUCUUCGUGGAGGCGGUAUUGAUACACCGCGGAGGUCGUCAAGGAUUCCAAAGCCUAGCAACAAGUAUGCUGGGUACAUUUGAAUUAUGCAUGGAUGCUUGGAAGUCGAACGGUCACAUGGCUCAAGACUUAUACGUUACAUGCAACAUGCAGCACCUUGGAAGAAUGGUCGUUGGAGCAGUCUACAUGGAUCAUGGGGGGGAUUCGGUCAACAUGGGAUCACUUGCUGAUUUAAUGGAGAUUUAUCAUUUGGUUUAAUUCAUUUUCGGUUGUUUAGUUAAGCUAAAAGAAUAAGUCAAGUUGUUAGCUUAGGACCUGCCUACAAUCUCGAGUGAUAGUUAGAUUGUUUGGCUAAGUUGUUUUAAGUAUAAAUAAGCUCCAACGGACUUGAAUAAAGGGUAUUGACUAUUAUCCAAAAAUCAAAUAUCUUGUGGUCUUAUUUCUCACCCUAAGUAGAAAUAUAUUCAAUCACUUACGCUUUGACUGGGACCCCUAUCACAGGGGAUUUCGAUUUGAGUUACUUUGUGCUCAAGCAAAUUCACAUCAUAGUUUUGAUUCUUUAGAUAUGAAUUCAUCACAUUACAUAUAUCAGAUUAAGUGUAACAAAAUUUUUAAUUUACUGCGAAAAGAAUAUGCACUAAACAAUGAUUUCAAGACGAUUUGACUACCAAAAGCAGCUGUCAGAGUGCACUAAAAAUUUCUGUAGGAUAUUUUGUAGCUGUUUAAUAUGUUAUGAUGGGCAUAUAAUUCUCAAAUUUUGAUGCCUCUCAGCGAAAAAUAUAUCAAAGUUUAGAUUAUGUGUUCGAGCUUUAAUAAAUGGUCGGAAAAAAAGCUGCUGUCAGAGUGCACUGAGUGAAUAAUAAUAACGACAAUAAUAAUAAACUAAAAAACAGAAUUAAUUACUAUUGAAUGGUCGGAAAAAAAUUUGAAAACGUGUGAACUCCAAUAAUCACCCCACAAAUUCAGUGGCGAAUUUUGGAGAGGGCAAGGCCGGGCUUCUCAGAAAAAAAUUUAUUUAGUUACAAAAUUAUCUUUAUUGAAACCUAUAUAAAUUUUUUUUUAUAUUAAUUAGUUAUGUUACCUCUUCAAUUAUCAUCAAAUUUUUGUCUGUUCAUCAUUUGGUGAAUAAAUGUGUGUCUAAAUAAUUUCAAAUAACAUUUAGAACAAAUAUUUUGAGAGGUAAAGUUUAUUUUGUCUCCCAUUAUUAGGUGCAUCUAUAAUUUCUUAUUUACAAAAUUAUAUUGUACGAUAAAAAUUUAUUGAAUUAGGGGGAAAAAAAAAGUUCAGCUCACUCAAAAACAAAAAAUGGUAUUAACUUCGCCACCGCACAAAUCUAGAAUAAUAAUUAUUCCUUAUCAUGCUGGGGAUCCUUUACUUUCUAGCCGUAUUGACAGCACCAGGUAAAGCUUUGUAAAAUAAUAAGUUACUCAUUAGUGGUUUUUAAUCUUUUUAAUUCUUUUUACCGCACACCUGAUCAAGAAUUUUAUUUUGUUAACUAAUCAAUUGCAAAGCAUAUAUAAGUGUUGAACGGUACGCAAGAUUGGAAAAAAAAAUCUUAAAAAACGUGUGGAUUCGGGUGGCCACACCAGAAAUCUAUUACAAUAAUUAGCUUUGAUGCUGGGAAUCUUUUAAUUUCUGGCCGUAUUGAAAUUUUUAAAAUAACAAGUUCCCCUUCUCGUUUUUUUUUUUAUAAAUAUAUAAGCUUAUAACAAUUUUAGAAUAAUGACUCAUUUGUAGAAGAAUUUAUGAUUUCCCAUUAAUAUUAAUAUUGAAGUGGGGUGGGUCAAAUCUCAAUUGCUUGAAGAAUUUAUUUAUUAUUAUUAAUAUUAUUAGUAUUGAAGUGGGGUAGGGAACGGACCAGCAGUUCACUCAAUUCGUGGCGAAUUAAAUAUUACCAUCCAAGGUAGGAUUGUGGAAAAUUAAAGCAAAAUGACAAGUAUGGAAAGGAAGGCUGAAAGUAAGGCAUGACGAAAGGCUUUGAGAAGGCUGAAGACUUACCAAAGAAGUCAACUGAAAACUAGCUGGGGCCUGAGUGUAUAAAUUGUUAGAUGCGUUUGUUAUAAAUAACAUAGAGCCCUUUUGUUAUUUAUAGUUAUAGAGAAAGAGAGAAUGUGUGUCUUUUAAGAGUUAGAGAUAUAGCUAGAAUGGGCGGCUCAAAAUCCAAAAUGGUGACAAUGUUAGUUCUCGUAUUGGUAAUAUUUUGGGUGGGGGGGGGGGGGGGGGGGGGGGGGGGUUGUGAGGGAAGGAAGGUCCACAGGCCGAGUGGUACAACUACACCUUGGCCUUACUAGGAAUAUCGAUCUGGGAGAGUGGUAUCUGAAUGCUUCUCUAUUUACUUCCUUUCAACAACUUGGUAACAAAAUAGCCGGCUGCAUGCGUUGAGAAUGAAGGUCCUUCAUUUAAUUUAAUUUACUUAAUUUCUCCCUCCCAAUUAAUGUCUAAUGGAGCUCAUUCUUUGGUUUUACUUGCAGGUCUAGAAGCAGGUGUCAUCUAACAGCUGCUUUGAUAAUUUCCCACCCCUUCAUCUUUGAUGGAAAGAUGAAAUAAAAACAAAAUGGUGAAAAUGGUAUUGGUACCUGAGGCUAUGUAAUCUAAUUCAACAACUGCACCAUCAAAACGAUUACAUAAGUCCCAGAAGAAUCAAACAUUAGUUUGCAAAAUAUCAAUUGCUGGAGGUUAGAUUCUAACUUCCGCUCUUGAUUUUUAUGGGCAUGUUGUAUUGUACUUGCAUACGAAAAUCAUAUUUUAGUUUACUUACACUCAAUGCUUGGAUUAAAGUUUCAGGUGGGGAAAAUUGAAGGAGACUAAAAUGACUCAAAAAAAUAGUUGAAUGAGUGAGGGUUUUGUCUUCAUUUGAGGAGCUCUUUAUAAAUUUUAGGAUUUUUUUUCCCGAGAAAAUUUAUGCCAACUUAUUCUUUGCUUCUUUUCUGAAGGGACAAAUGCAACUGAAAGUGUAUUCUUGAAUUCUCCAGGAUAAGAGACAUAUGUUUAAUUAGAUUCUCGAGCCUUCAAAACAAUAUAAAAUUUUAUAUAUCUGAGCAUGAUGGUGUUUGACAUGACUUAAAAUUGUUUAAUUUACUCUCACGUACAAGAAUGCCUAGUUAUAUUGUCGCUCAGAGUCCGAGGUUAAUCCAUAAAGAAAUGAUUUAAUUUGUUUAUUUAAGAUUAUCCCAAAAAAUAAAAAUAAAAUUUAAAUAUAUGUAAUUUAAUUUGAAAAAAGUUAUGAAAUUAAAUUAUUUAGAGUCAUGGAUCCACUCUUAGUAAUAAAUACAAUUUAAUAAAUUCUUUUUAUUUUUAUUUUAUUGCCCAAAAGAUUAAUUAUAUAAAUUAUAAUUAUUUUUCCAUUAAUUUUAUUAUGGAUUAAGUACUUAAUGUGCCAAAACUUAACUUGUCUACAAUAUGUCAAAAUACCAUUUUACCAUACUUUAUGCUAAGAUAUUAAGAAUUCAUGUGCCAAACUCCCAUGUUUGUCUACAAUAAAUCCAAAUUUCAAAACAUAAAAUAUGGAUCAAAUUAAAUAAAAAAUAAUUUAAUUUAUAUAAUUAAAAAUAGAAUUUGAUUAAAUCAUAUUUUUCUACUUAGAGUUUUACCUCACCCUAACUAUUAGUAUUUAGCUAAACAUAUUUGAAAUAAAUGAAAUUAUUAAAAUUGAAAAAUACAUAAUUAAAAAAAUGGUAUUUGAAAAUUAGAAAUAAAACUAAUUUUAUUUAUUGAAAAUGUAUUACAAAGAGAGAUGAGAAGAAGAAUUUGAGGGAAAAGAAGAGAAGAAAAUGUGUGGAGAGGUGUGUGAAAUUAUAUUGUAAAGAUGUUACACAAACAAAUGAAUAAAAAAAAACUAAAUGAAAAUUACACAAAUUAAAAAGAAAAUGAAAAUUAAAUAAAAAAGAUAAAUGUGUAAGAAAAAAAUGCGCAAUAAAAAUAAAUAAACUGAAAAGUAAUUAACUAAAAUUAAAAUAACUAAAUAGGCGGUAAACAAAGUAAAUGCCAAAAAUAAAAUAAGUGCGAAAAUUAAAUUACAGAAAUUAAAAGAAGAAAGAAAGAAAAAAAUAAUUAUCUCAAAGUGUAAACUCUUUUUCUUUUUCUUUUCAAAUUUUAAAUAUUACCAGCCAAUUAAGUGAUUAAUUCAAAUUAUUAGGCUUUAAUAGUAAUUUUUAAAAUCAAUAUUCAGUUUAUUGAGUCCAAAUAAGGUCCAAAGAAGUUCAAGUUGUUGGUCUAAAAUUGAGAAUUUUGGGAAAUAUUGGCAACGGACCUAUUCAAAAAGCUCUAUAAUUUUGUGGUCAAACUGCAAUUAUGAGAAGAAUGAUCCAAAAAUUAGAAUUUUUGGGGUGAGUGAGAUUUAGAAAGAUUUUGUGGAUAUAACAUAAUUUAAGAAAGAAAAAGGAGGUAAAUGAAAAUUUACACAAAAAGUAUAAAAAGAAAGAAAAAAGAAAACAAAAUAAAUACCUCUCCCAGCAAUGGCGGUAAAAACUUAACACGACUUAAAAGCAUUUAAUUUACUCUAAAGUAUAAGAGUACCUAGUUAUAUUAUAUCGCGAGAAGUCCGAGAUCGAUCUACAGAAAAAUGAUUUAAUUUAUUUAUUUAAGUUUAUCUAAAAAAUAAAAAUAAAAUUAAAUACAUGCAAUUUAAUUUGAGAAAAACUAUGAAAUUGAAGUAGUUAGGAUUAUGGAUCUACUCCUAGUAAUAAAUGUAAUUUAAUAAAUUCUUUUUAUUUUUAUUUUAUUGACCAAAAGAUUACUUGUAUAAAUUACAAUUAUUUUCCCAUUAAUUUUAUUAUGGAUUAAGUACUUAAUGUGCCAAAGCUUAACUUGUCUACAAUAAGUCAAAAUACUAUUUUACCAUACUUUAUACUAAGAUAUUAACAAUUCAUUGUGCCAAACUCCCAUGUUUGUCUACAAUAAAUCAAAAUUUCAAAAUAUAAAAUAUAGAUAAAAUUAAAUAAAAAAUAAUUUAAUUUAUAUAAUUAAAAAUAGAAUUUGAUUAAAUCAUAUUUUUCUACUCAGAGUUUUACCUCACCCUAACUAUUAGUAUUUAGCUAAACCUAUUUGAAGUAAAUGAAAUUAUUAAAAUUGAAAAAUACAUAAUUAAAAAAAUAGUAUUUGAAAAUUAGAAAUAAAACUAAUUUUAUUUAUUGAAAAUAUACUACAAAAAGAGAUGAGAAGAAAAAGUUGAGGGGAAUGAAGAGAAAAUAAGGUGUGGAGAGGUGUGUUCCUCCCCCCACUUCUCUAUUUAUACUAAUACAUGAUUAAUCUAUACCACACAAAUAAAUAAAACUAAUUACAUCUUAGGCAUACAUUUGUCCCACUAACAAAAUAUAAACCUAAGUUAAUCCACUUAAGCACAUCCAACACAUUUCACUAACAAUUACCACACCUAACAUGAUAAAAACUUAUAAUUUCACAAUUACCACAUUUACUUUUACAACAAAAACCACGAAUCUUCUCGACAAUAACCUAAUUUCUCGGACUUUCGGAAUCUAAAAAUUUAAAUAAUAUUAAAUUUAUCUAAUAUAAUUAAAUGUAUUAAAUAAAAUAAUGUUUCAUUUUAUAUUUACCCUCCUUUUAUUAAAUUUACUAUAAUUAUAUUUAAUAAAAUAAAUAAUAUUAUAUAUUUAAAUAAUAUUAGUUAUAUUUAACUAAAUUAAAGCAAAAUGACAAGUAUGGAAAGGAAGGCUGAAAGGAAGGCAUGACAAAAGGCUUUGAGAAGGCUGAAGACUACCAAAGAAGUCAACUGAAAGCUAGCGGGGGCGUGAGUGUAUAAAUUGUUAGAUGUGUUUGUUAUAAAUAACAUAGAGCCCUUUUGUUAUUUAUAAUUAUAGAGAAAGAGAAUGUGUGUUUUUUAAUAGUUAGAGAUAUAGCUAGAAUGGGUGGCACAAAAUCCAAAAUGGUGACAAUGUUAGUUCUCGUAUUGAUAGGGGGGGGGGGAGAGGUCGAGUGAGGGAUGUUUGGAGCAUGAGAAAUUUGAUCUUUUGCGGCUGGAUGUUUGGAGCAUGAGAAAUUUGAUCUUUUGCGGCUUAAACAUUUCUUCAAUUCCCCUUAUACACUUCAAAACUGGGUAGGUGAACAAAGGGAAAGGGUUGAGUGCAGCAACUCCACAGGCCAAGUGGUACAACUACACCAUGGCCUUACUAGGAAUAUUGAUCUGGGAGAGUGGUAUCUGAAUGCUUCUCUAUUUACUUCCUUUCAACAAUUUGGUAACAAAAUAGCCGGCUGCAUGCGUUGAGAAUGAAGGUCCUUCAUUUAAUUUAAUUUACUUAAUUUCUCCCUCCCAAUUAAUGUCUAAUGGAGCUCAUUCUUUUGUUUUAUUUGCAGGUCUAGAAGCAGGUGUCAUCUAACAGUUGAUUUGAUAAUUUCCCACCCCUUCAUCUUUGAUGAAAAGAUGAAAUAAAAACAAAAUGGUGAAAAUGGUAUUGGUACCUGAGGCUAUGUAAUCUAAUUCAAAAACUGCACCAUCAAAACGAUUACAUAAGUCCCAGAAGAAUCAAACAUUAGUUUGCAAAAUAUCAAUUGCUGGAGGUUUGAUUCUAACUUCUGCUCUUCAUUUUUAUGGGCAUAUUGUGUUGUACUUGCAUCCGAAAAUCAUAUUUUAGUUUACUUACACUCAACGCUUGGAUUAAAGUUUUAGGGGGGGCAUUGAAGAAGACUAAAAUGACACAAAAAAAGAGUUGAGCGAGUGCGGGUUUUGUCUUCAUUUAAGGAGCUCUUUGUAAAUUUUAGGAUUUUUUUCCUAAGAAAAUUUAUGCCAACUCAUUCUUUGCUUCUUUUCUGAACGGACAGAUGCAACCGAAAGUAUAUUCUUGAAUUCUUUAGGAUGAGAGACAUACGUUUAGAUUCAUCGAGCCUUUAAAACAAUAUCAAAUUUUAGAUUGCUGAAAUUUUAUAUAUCUGAGUAUGAUGGUGUUCCAAUUAUAAGCUCCAGGGUGCAACUUCACUAAGGUUUAGAAUACCUUCCUAUAGAAUUGAGAAAUCUCCAUUGGCAUAAAUAUCCUUUGAAAAUAUUGCCAUCAGAUGUUGAAUUGGAGAACCUGAUUGAACUCAGCUUGCCUUGUAGUAAGGUUAAGCAAAUUUGGAAAAGAGAAAAGGUAUAAUGUAUUACUAUUACCAAAGUAUCUAUUUUUCUUUCUUUAAGUAUUUAUAAUGAAUAACUUUGAAAUUGAAUGAUGCUCAUUUAGUAUAGUUGUGUAUCUUUGGUUAUAGGAAGCUGUCAAGUUAAAAUCUAUAGAUCUUCACCACCCUCUGUAUCUCAAUAGGAUCCCAAAAAUACUAAAUCUUAAAAAAAUAAAUCUUUCAAAAUGUGAAAGCAUGCUUACGUUACCCGCGUAUAUCCACAAUUUCAACUAGCUCAGUAUGUUGUGUUUCAUGGGAUGCAAAAUUCAUUUUGUUUCUCAUGAAAGGAUUGACUUGUUCGGAUGUAUUAGGGUUAAUAAACCAACUAAUCCCAUAAUUUGUUGAUGUCGGGUCCUAACAAAUUACUGCAGUAUAUUGUAGAUCAAUACACUAUUUGAAAACGUAUUUGAUCCACACAGUGAAUGUUUGAGGGUGCAUUUCUCGCGAACCAGCCAUACCCUAAACGAGGAGCCGGUCUCCUUGUAAUUGAGCAGGCAGGUGAAGUCUGGUAGCAAAUAUCCAAGAGCAGGAAUUCUAUGCUCAAUCACAAGGACAUCCUCUUUUGGACUAUAAUUCGAACAAGGUUCCUGCUAGGAGCCGAGAGCCUUUCCUGCUGGAGAGCGGGGUCGGCAGGCCUAGUCUAUAACGGUUAGCGAGACGUGCACUCCUAUUCGAGAAUCUAGGCACGAAACCAACUCAGCUGCAACUACGACAUUCAGGCAUCCACUUCCGUAAGCUGAGGGAGGUGAUGGACGUGGAUCGUAGGGCGUCGGAUUUGUAAGACGGCUAUAAAACGGUAAUCAACGAAGGUAAAGGGGUUAGACACUUUUACACUAGAACUUAAGAAAUAAGACCAUUUACUAAAAAAGGAGAGAAACACUCAUAGGUGUUCCACUGCCUAAGAGAUCAUGAGAGAGCCACGAGAUCAGUGGCCGAGUUUCCCAAAAAGUAAACCUAAAUUUCUGACUUGAGCGUAGGAGGAUUUUUCCGGCGUGCUCUGACAAGUUUUUGUGUGCGCAUGAGUCUGCUAAGUCAUACAAGGCAUAGCUUUGCUCGGUUAGAAGAGUUACGUGAAGUAUCCUAGGUUGGUCGUGAGUUCGGGAGUUAAGGAGAGAUCCUGGUUGCAGACGAGCAGACACCAGAAUCUCGCAUCAACAGUGAAGAUGAUUCAAUAUUAAGCAUGUCAUAUAAUCUAGAAGUGGAUAUUGGACCAAUUUGAUGAUAAUGAAUUUCUUUCAAUCUCAAUCUUUUUCUUUUUAGCAACAUGACUAGUAAUUGUGCAAAUUUAAACUCUGAGAAUGAUUUCUCAAUCGGUUUCUAAAAUGAUGACCAUGCAUGUAUACGUGUGUGUGUGUAGAGAGAGAGAGAGAGAGAUCACACGUGUGUGAUUUCCUUUUGCCAAUAGGAUAUGCAGAGAGCUUGAUCUUACCCAAUAGCGAAACAAACUUCCUAAUAAGUGAAGGUAUAGUAUAAAUACUUAUACUUUCAUGUUAUUUUGUUCAUCGGUAGCUUGAUUAUUUUAUAUGCGUCUUCGAUUUUAAUUUUCUUUCCCUAUAAUCGCUAUUAUCUUUGAACUGGUCAUGAUUUGCCUAUUAGAUUUCUCAUGUUGUUUUGAGGUGCAAUGGAUUUUGAAUUUAGUGACGAGCAGUGGAAGCCAGAAGGCAAAUUAUGAAAAUGGAUAAAGAUCUAUAAUUAGCUGUUAUGGGAUGUCACAUAUCAUAUUGAUGGUAACAUUAUAUAUAUGUACAUAUAAUUAAUGGGGUUGGCUCACGAGCCCAUUAAUAAUCGUAUAUUAGCUUAUAUACUUCAAACAAUGUACUAUGAAGUAAUUUCACAAAUACUUGUUAGCUUAUGUGGAGCUUUAUUGAAUCAGUAGUUCACAGUUCAAUAAAAUGCAGGUUUGCUAUUUGAAGUACAUGGUCAUGGUGCGUACAUUCUUCAUAAGGCUAACUACUAAUUUAUCAUUGAAACUUGAAAAAUGUGAUAGAGAGAUGUAGAUAACAGCCGCAAAACACUGAGAUUGAAAAUCAGGGCUACUAAAUUCUAUUAAAAGCCCUUAAAAUAGACAGCGAUCAUCCUAAAAUAUUAAUUGCAAAGUUAUGCACUAAUAGAACUAUUGACUACUUAUCUUUAGCAGAAGGUAUAUUUUUAACUACAGCUUUCUGCUUUGUUCUAAGAACUAGGCAAAAGUGGUAUAUCUUCAAUCCAAUCAACAUAUAUACCACUUAUUUUCCCCUUCACUUCUGUCCAUUUUGAUUUGCACUUCAUAUCCUGCACUUGCUGCUUAGAAAUAGUCUUAGUCUGGACAUUGAAAGUAGAAAAAGUACUUGAAACAAUCAUUGGCACAGCCCGAGAUUCCAUUGAAUCGUGGACUCCAAGCUUUCAUAGUUCUAUAAAGAAAAUGACAAAACAUCAUACAACUGGCAUUCGGCUUUUAACAUUUGCACAACCUGAGCGCGUUAGCAAGCCCCUUAUUGCGUUCCCAUUGAAUAGACCUACUUCUGUUAUCCACAGAAGAUCCACCUCUCAAAAUGUUUAUCACCAGGCUAUUCUUAAACUGAGCCUAAACUGAGUAGAAACUUCCGCACAUCUCUCAGCAUUUACAUGAAGAAAGCGACAACUAUCCUCAUCUCUCAGCACAUCUCUCAGCAUUCUACAAAGUUGCAUUUCACUAAGCAAUCUAUCCUCUCCAUUCCUAGCAAAGUGACAUUGAUUCCCGUAUUUGUAAUCGCCUAACUUGGGUUUUGGGCAUAGCGUGGUCUUAAAAUUACCACCCAAUACUUUGUUCAGUGCCACUGGCAUCCACAAGCUCUAGCCUUGUUAGCUGAAUCAUAUUCAAUAGGACAGUGAGACAGCAUUUCACUGACAUAUUCAAUUUGACUACUUAUAUUGACGCAAAUAUUAGAAUUUGAAAUCACUUCUUUUAUUGGAAUAUUAUAUUAAAAUGACCCCAAAUGAAAGUUCUUGAAUGGAAAUGAUUUUUAUUUAAUUUUCCAACAGAUUCAAGAAAACCCAGAGAACAUUAAUUUACACAGUAAUAUGAUUAAGAGCUGAGAACGUACAUGUAGUAAAUGUCUAUCAAAAAACACCCAAGGGUUUCUUUAAAAUUAGAAACUAGUAAACAAAAAGAAAGAAUCAUUUUACAUUUUUAUCAACUUUGGGGUGAGUGAGGAGUGAGAAAUUGAAACCCUAAAGUAAUGACAACAGUAAGAUUCAGUAUGAAGUGAAACCCCAAUUUGAAAUGUAGGCAUGAGUUGCUGAGUCAGUAGAUGAAGCUGUAAAUAGGCAUUCGGUUUCCUUCUUUUCGGUUUGGAGGGCCAUGGAAUAGUGUAUUGGAGUGGGCUCCAAGUAAUAGCCUCUAUCACUGGAAUGACACAUCUAUAAAAUGUGAUACAUGGGGAAGGAUUGGACAUUAUAUUCUUAGAUUAGCGCCUUAUUUAGGGUGUAUAUUAAGCAGAUUAUAUAUUACAUGGAGAUGGAGUUUAUGAAAUAGAUUAAAAAGAAAAGGAAAUUUUGGUGCCUAAAGUUUGCCACUUGGAAUAUUUCGGUGUCUAAAAAUUCACUCACCACUUAUUUCAUGUUUGAUUAUAUGUUGAAAAGAUAUUAAAAUAGUAUAAUGCUAUUAAGGCUUAACGUAUAUUUUUUAUUAGUAGAGUGUAGAAUUUUUAAGAAAUAAAUUAUUAAAUUAUUAUAACUAACAUAUUAUUUUAAAGUUGUGUUAUGAAAAAAAUGAAAUAAAAAUGUACAGUAAAUAAGAAUAUUUUAAAACUUUUAUCUUUUUAAAAUUAUUUUUUAACAUAAGGUGAACUAUUUUUUUUUUAAAUCACAUAUUCUAGUUAAAAUCAAAUAUGUAUUUAUAUGAAGCUUGUAAAUUUUUUUUUUAGUACUGAUAUUUGGAUAUUACCAAUAAAAAAAAAGGUAAUGUGCAUGCUGAAUUAUUUUUGUAGCACACAAAAGGACAACACCGUUUAUGUUAUCAUACUAUCACUUCUGUUAUGAUAAUAUUUUUUUGUGGCCAAAUAUCUUCUUUUUUUUUUUAAGUAAAAGUGUGGACAAAAUGCAAAUCAGUUUUUAAUCCUCAAUCUCUCCCAAAAUAUAAAUUCGUAGGUACAUGGGUUGUUAAAACUAUAGCUGACAAAAAGUUACUAACAAAAACAGAAUGUCCAUUUUAUAACUUUCUUAAAAAACUUUCCUUAACUUUUUUAAAAAGUUACCAAUAAAAAGUUAUUUCUAAUUUUUAUUUUGUUAUAAUUUUUAUAACAAAAUUCGUAGUUCGUAGUUAACUAAACUCUUCUUAUUCCCUUUCUCAACUGCCAUACCCUAACCUUGUUCCCCACACUAAACCACGCUCAAUUAAGGCCAUCAGAUUCUCCCGGGCCCACAUUAAUCCAACUGCUCACAGAGACCGACAGCCUCUCUAUCUCCAUUUCAAGCUCCCUCUUCAACUGGCUUCUGCUACCGUCCUACUCUUUCUCGGCUUCGGAGUCCGUAUUUGCUCGGCCUGUCCCACGAAGCUCCCUCUCACUCCAAUUGUCGCCCCACAAGACCAAUUGCUUAAUCAAGACACCGAACAAGAAAAGGAUGAGAAGUUGAAACAAGAAUUUGAGAAUUGGAAAUAAAAAACGUACGCAUUGACCGUGCCUUUGAGAGUCGUUUCUCUUCAGAACUCAGUGCCUCAAUCUUGGGUUAAGGAUUUUAUGCGAAGUCAGGGAAAGAGAUUGAAGUUUCAGAUGAAUUUGUGUGCUAGCAUUGAUGGGAUCUUUAACAAUUUAUCUGUGCCCUUUAACAAAGUUAAGGCUAAGUCAGCUUCUUAUAUGGCUGCUGAUUUGGUUAGUGUUGGUGAUUCAUGGCUUAGUUUUGCCAUUAAAAAGAGAUUGAUUGAGCCAAUGGCUGGAGCUGAAGACCAAGAUUGGUUCAAAUGCUUAAGUCACAAAUGGAAGGUAACAUCUUUGUCUUUGAUCCUCGAGGUAAAAUAUGGGCGGCACCGUACAGGUGGGGCACAACGGUGAUAGCCUACAAGAAAAGUAAAUUUCGAAAGCAUAAUUUGGCUCCGAUUGAGGUAAUAAUUUUCUUUAAACUCAUUUAGUUUUAUAUCAAACAAAAUCAAGACUGCCUUUCUUUUCAAUAUUUUUUAUGAUAAUAUCUUUAGAAGCAUCUCAUUGACGGGUAACAAUGGCAUCCCUGAAAGAGUCUAUAAACUCAAUGAUAUUAUCUUCUACAAAUGGUUCAUUAAACUUUGUCGUUGUACUCAAAUGUACACUCAGAUCAAUGAGAAGCUAUGCUACGUUAGCAUGUAGUGAUGGCACUUAAUAAGUGAGUUGCUAGGAUGUGAACUAGAAAAAUUAAAUAUUGUCUCCUUGGGUAUGCUAGCUGGUAAGUCAGGGUUAAUAUCAGAGCUUAAGAUAGUAUAACCGUGAGAACCUAUUGACUGCCAAUUAAAAUAUCCAUUGAAAUGUCUAGGGAGUUAUGAAGGUGGAGGUAACUUCCAAUUUCUAAGGCCACAGAGUAGACAUCAUCCAGGAUCCUAAAAUAUCCAGUUAACCUCCUGCUCGAUGCGAUUAAUAAAUUUGGUCAAUGCCACUGAAACCUGCUAACUGACGUCACAAUGCGACAUGAGCACUUCAAAAUGGGACAGAUGGUCAGUAGCACUAAAUUUUUCUUGCCUAAGAUUGAGCAAUUGGUCUAACUACUAAUCCCUAUUGUAGGUUGAUCAUUAUUUUUUCAAUUAUGUUCAGUUUGACCCAAAAAGUUGCAGAAUCUUGAGCUGAAUAUUGUCACUGAACACUGUCAAUGUUGUUUAGCAUAGCCAACUAACUUGAUGUUAAAACAAACACACAGUGUGUCUCAUGUCUCACAAUUCAAAUUAUCAUCUGUAAUGAUGGAGAAUUUUUCCAAUGUAUGAAGUAUGCUUUGAUACGUGGGUUACCUUGGAGAAGAUAUCUCAAAAUAAAGAAUAUGGGGAGAAAACAGUUCAGUAGUUUAUUAUUCUGUAGUCAAGUUUUGUCUCGAAAAUGGUCAAAAUUUAAAUGAAUAAGGACAGGGAAUCUUCAUUCUUUUUUCCCUUUUUUAUACCAAGAUAUCUCUCAACCUUUAUAUAAUCCCCACUGGAUAUCUGCUUCUAAUAAUUAAAAUAAAAAUUUCACCGCUCUAACAAUAAAAAGUAACAUCUUUAAUCAAAUAAUUUACAGUUCCUCAUCACCUUAGUGUGAGACUAUCAGUACAUUCCAAAAACUUAAUAAAACUGGUUUGAUCCUGUUUAUUGAUGUUUAAAUGUUGUUCAUUGUGACAUGUAGAAAUGAUGAGGCGAAGUUUAUUUGGACAUCAAUUAGUAAGAUCUUGUUUGAAGUUGUUUUCUGAAAUGAACUGCCCAAUGGUAGUUUUUUGGGGGCAUUUGAUGGCUCUUUUUUUCCUCAUUUUCAACAUGUGCCUGCUUGGAACAGGAAGGAUUAGGCUGCAGAGUUGUUAUAUAUUUUUAGAUGCUCUGGUCAUUGCACAAUUUGUUCACACUGGAAAUUAGAAUGAGAAAUUUGUUGAUGCUGUUUUGAGAGAUCUGCAUUCUAUGCACAAUAACGUGAUUAAUGAAAAUGCAUUGUAGGACUGGAAAGAUCUGUGGCAGCCUGAGCUCGCAGGAAGAAUUUCAAUGGUUAAUUCUCCCCGAGAGGUUAUUGGUUCAGCUUUGAAGAAUAGGGGAGCAUCAUACAAUUCAAACGAUAUUGAUUUGCAAGUUGCUGGUGGGAAGAUUGCUGUUCAGCAGAAUCUGGCAUUACUGGCAAACCAAGUACUCUUACAGAAAUGAUAUCUGGUCAUUGCAUGUUAUUGCCUGACAACUGAUUUUGUUUGUACAAGUCUGCUUCUUCAUACAUAUGAAUGCAUAUGUUAGUGUUUUCUUCUCCUUUUCAUACAUAUAAAUGCAUAUGUUAGUGUUGUCUUUUCCUUUUCAUACAUAUUAAUACAUAUGUUGGUGUUCUCUCAUGAGAUGGAUGCAAUAGAGGCUUUUGCUCCUAAAUUUAGCUGAAGAAAUGGGAAGGGAUGUGAGAUUCUGUCUCAUUAAAUUAACAAAAACCCAAAACAAUGAAAAUCCAUAAUAAUGUGGUGUGGGUAAAUUGGCUCCAUUUGGUUCGUUUCCUUAAUGUGACUGCGCGAGCAAUAGAGACUAACAAAAUGAAGUGACAACAAGAAGUCAGUGUCCUUUGAUGGAUGCAUUUUUAGGCAGAAAUAGGUUUGUAAUUGACCAAAUUUGCCUGGCAUGCCAAUUUCAAAAAAAUUAAAUUAUGUGGUUAUUGGCUGUAAUGAAGGGGGAUAGUCGGUGCAAUCAGGUGGAUCCUGGAAAGUUCAACAAAGUUUGGUAUGGCGUAGUGAAAUUGGUUUGUGCAACUCAGGAGUCUUUCAGGUGAACGAUGAUAGGUUUUGAUUUAUGAAUAUUAUAAAUCUACUGUGCAUAUUAUUCUAGCAGAAUCAUCUAUAAGUUCUAGUUAUUGAAAUUGUAUACUUUGCCCGGUUUGAGUUAAGGGCACAUGUAAUAUGAAAGAUAGUUGUCGCAUCUUUUAGGUUACCUAACAUUUGAUCAAUCCUAUUAUGGGGGCUUCAAGAUGUCUAACAAUAUGUAGAAUGCCCAUGCUCCUCCCCAUUGUUUAUCUUAUACAAUAAUUUGUUUUAGAUGCUAAUAUCUUUGUCGAUACUGGUAACAAUAUUACAAUAUCUGCCUUUAUUGGGUUUUACAUAGGUUCGACUGUUUGACAGUACACACUAUCUGAAGGCAUUUGCAAUUGGAGAUGUAUGGGUUGCUGUUGGGUGGAGUAGUGAUGUUCUUCCUGCUGUCAAACGUAUGUCUAAGGUUUUAUGAGAAACGAAAGAUGAGUGUUUGUUUGAACAAAGUUGUUGCCAAUCUUGCAGAGUUCGAAAAGAAAGAUCACGGAGCGAAUGCCACCGAUUUCUUCAUCAUUUUAGCCUCCAUAGUUGAAGUUUCCUCAUUUGAAGCUGUUUAUGCAUACGCUUUUUCCCUGCUCUAGUACAGGAAAUUGAAGAAUUAACCAGAUGUGAUAUGCUGAAAGAGGGAAGUUUUCUUCCUUGAAUGUGGCCUUUGUGAUUUGUCUUGAAGGAAUAGGAUGAUCACUGGCAAAAACCCUAUCAAGGUAGAUUUUAUGAUGUUAACAUAUUAUUAAGCAUUUUGUUACAUCAGCAAUGAUGCUUUCAUAGCAUGAAAGUGUCUAAAUUUAACUGAAUGAUCUUGAUUAAUCAAUUAUGAGUUUUAAUCGAGUAAAAACUAAAUACAAUAAUCGUUGACAAAUACUGAAAUUGGGUAAAUAUGAUCUUGAUAUUGAGAAUCUGAAAACACAACCCACACAGGGAAUCACCCUUCGCGUGGGGAUGGAGAUGUUUACUGCAGCGAUAUUGCAUAUGUCCACUGCUCUUUGGGUUAUGGUGCGACUUGCGAUUUCAAGGUUUCCCUGAAACAAUGAAAAGAUUGACGUACCCUGCAAUGAAUGAAAGCGGCUGGACUAAUUCUGAUUACCUAAUUGACUCAGGAUCGGCUGGCAAUAAUGACAGUUUAUUAACAAUGCACAGUCCCGAGUACUUUCCAGGAUCAGAUAUUACGUGGUCUAAUGUUGAUAAUAAUAGAUUAUCAAAUGACAAAUCGUUGUUCUUGGGUGUUGAUUUCAGAAAUAAAAUACGUUCUGAGAGAUGCUGGUCUACUAUUGCAAGCCCCCAGAUUUAAGAAUCUUUUGAUGAUAAUUUACCACCUGUAACUGUGCCGGAAGAUUCACCUAGCACUGAAAAAGAUGAUAAUUUAAUUGAUAUGGACAGUUUCCAUAUCACUUUUAAAUCAUCUUAUGUAAUUGUGAUGUUAGGAAGCAUUAGUGAUCUACAUGUGAACUAUUAUUGGCGCCAUUUGUGGUUUUAUUUUAUUAAAAUAUGGAUGACUUCCCGUUACUAUUUCGUUGUAGACAAUCUUAUCAAUUAACAUAUAGUUUAAAAUCAUUAUGAUCUAUUAAUUUUCAUGAUAUUUAACUGAGUUAAAACUAAGUGCAUUCAAUAAAUCUUUCUUCCUUUAAAAAACUGUUGCGCUUUAAUUUUAGUGCUUAAUAUUUACAGAACUCUGGUACAGGGAAUUCGAAAUCAAACUAGUAACUACAGAUUAUCUAAUUGCAAGUUUUUGUCCAUAGUUGCAGAUUUGUAGUGAUUAUCUAAUUGACUGAGGUGACAACAAUUUUUUUUUUAAUUUUCAAUAGCAUAAUGUGGAAUUCAAUAAUUAAAUUCUCCUUUUUAAUUUGUUUCCAGUUAAAUUAUUAAUUACUUAAACUUUGUUUUAAGUCUUUAAUUUUAUGUCUUGGCCUAUAUGCAGGGUUGGAUUCUUGAGCGUGUUGGACACGACCAACAAUGAAAUUGACAGUAAACAAACAUUACAACACGUUGAGUGUCGACUCCAGUAGCUGCCCUACAAGUCUACAACUUUACAAACAAUAAUUGAGUACACACAUUUGAUUCUCGGGACCCUCCAAUGAAUUUCUAGCCCCGUUGACUCCGCCGACAAAAGUUUUGGAAAAUAAAAAAAAUUCAUAGAAUUCCACCAAAUACAAAACGCGUGGAAUUUAAUUUUCGGCCAUGUGGACCAAAACACAAUUUAAUGAAAAAAAAGAUAAGAUUUCUAAAAUGUGUAGAAAGUGAUCCAUAUUUUACUGAAACAACUUGUUAAAUUUUUCAAGGAUUUAGAAUAUUUGAUCAUAAAUUACGCCCAUGUUAAUUUUUCCGCUAUUGACUAUCAUUUUCUAGACUCACUGUCACCUUUCUUGAUGAACGGUACUUAGUCUCUCUUCUCCUCUUAUAAAAAUUAUAUUAAUUGAUUUCUUAUUAUAAUAAAUAGUCUUUAAGAACGUAUAGAUUUAUUGUUUUCGUGACCAAAUUAUGCCUGCUUAAGGUUGAGACUAUUAAUAAAAUUAAUAUUUAAUGUUUAUGUUAAAAGAUAUAAGAUUUUAUGCAUUCAUUAAUUGUUAUUAGCUAAAGGAUUAAUUAUUUUUUCAACCCAAUCAGUUGAUGCAUCUGCAAGAGUUUUUUCUUUUAUUUACCAUAAUUAUAUUCCGGGUACAAUAAAUUAUCUUUGGUGCUUGGAAAAUAUGACUUCUUACUUCAAGUUUGAUGUGUCUCUCUCCGUAAGCUUACUGGAAAUAUAUCCUCAUUUACUGUCAUUUAUCUAAUAUCAAAUGAAAGAUCUCACUUUUUCAAACUAUCACUUCCAAGUCUCAUUGUCACUUAGCCAUUCUUGGACCAUUCAAAACCAAUCUGUUGAAAUAAUCAAAUAUAUGCAAAAUUAGAGUCACGAUUGUUGGUCCCCCAAAUUCUAAUUAUAUAACUUCUAUAUAUCUCAUUGUCAGGUCACGAACUUGUUGGCACAUUUCCAAAUUCCUCUUCCAUCAGCUCUCACACGUUAAUUUUUAGGUUAUCUAAAUUUCAAGGAUUUAAAAUCUUUGAUCAUGGAUUACAUGUUUAAUUUUUCUGCCAUUGACUGUCAUAUUCUAGAUUUAAUGGUACCUUUCUUGAUCAAGCGUAAUUACUCUCUCGUCUCCUCUUAUAAAUUCCUCUUCCAUUAGCUGUUAGCCUAUAUGGCUAUAGAUAUUGAUUUUGAUGAUAACAAACCACAUGUGUUGAUUAAACAAAGAUUUAUGAAUUGUGCAUUUAUAAUAAGAAAAUGAUGUUAUGGAAUUAAAGUGUUUUUGGACUAAAGUGAAAGUAUUUUAAAACCUUUGAUAUUAUUUUAAAAUUUCAGAUUUGGACCUAUUUGAAAAUAUUUAAAUAUUUUGGGUCAUUCUAUAUUUUUACAUGGUUUGGGUGAAAUCAUAAUUUCAAUUUGAGUGUGUGAGACACUUGAGUGAAGAGGUUGGGAGAUAAUCUCUUUGUUGUAAGGGUUCAUUGACACAUUGAAGUCAAUUGUAAACGUUUGAAGCCUUAAAAAAACUUGGAUAGUGAAAUCCUCAAGUUUGAAUCGCUUGGAGGCGUGGACGUAAGCGGGGAUUGCCGAACUACGUAAAAAUUCGUGUGUUUGUUUCUCUUCUCUCUUGCUCAAUUGUUAUUGUGCUUUUAUUGAACUUAUUACUUUUGAAUUUAUUAAUGCAUUAAAUUGGAUUGUUAUGUGGCUUUGUUAGGAUAUUUUUUAAAAUACCAAUUCACCCCCCUCUUAGGUUGCACACUUGUAUUUCAUUAGCAUUACUAGGAAUUUGUUGAUCUCUAAGAUGCUAACUUGAGUGAAGAGUUUCCAAAUUGAUUGUUACAAAACAACAAAAAAACUAGACACACUUGAUCUGUCUAAUAAUUCUCUUUCGGUAAAAUUAAUUAAUUUUAGGGGAAUUUUCGGCCAACCUCUGUAAUUUCAAAGUGAUCAUUAAUUAAUUAAACGAUACAAAUAUCUAAAGUGAUUAGAUGUUUGCUGACAAUACAAGUUCAUGGCUUGAAAUUUGAUCUCUAUCGAUUGGUUUACAAAUGGACGCACUUGUGCCUUUGUGGCGAUAAUUAAACAGAGAUGUGAAGUUGUAAAGAUUUGACAAGUUCCCAUGAUUAGUAUUUUUUUUCAAAAACUUUUUUACAACAAAUUCAUCUCGCCCAAAAAUUAUAUUUUGCUAUCUAACAAUAAUUGAGCACUUGGCCGCAUUGACUCCACGUCUCCACCUACUUUCUAAGUAAAAACAUGGAAAUGUAAUCUCCACAAAAUGUCAAACGUGUGGAAUUUAAUUUUUGGCCUUGUGAACCAAAAUGCAAAUGAAAGAAAAAGAGAGAAAAAAACAAGGCCCAAAGACUACGAAAAGAUAUAAAAGUCUUUGGGCCUUUUUAUAACGGUGGAUUUUUUAAAAGGAAAAAAUAACAACACUUCUAUGGUUUGUUUUGAUAAUCACAUUUACAUAUACUCUCUAAUUUUUAAAAUGGACACAUAAAUCUUUUUUUUUUUUUUCUACAAACGUAUAUUAUUCGUAUUUUUUAUUAUUUUUAAUAUCAUAUUGUUAUUUUUUUUAGAAGAUAUUGUUAUUUAUUAUAAAUGUUUAAAGUAAAUUUUUAGGUUGAAAUAUAAUAAAAAGGUAUAAUCGUUCUCUUAUUAAACACCCAUACUUUUAAUUUCUAUCCAUUUGUCAUCUCAAUCUCUCUCAAUUAUUCUUUAUUGCUAGCUCAAAACGCGUUGCUGUUGCAAAUUAUAGCAAAAAGACAAAUAUGGAAAAGAAAAAAGGGAAGAAAAUUAAUGCAUGAAAGAUUUGGAGAAAACAACGAAGUAAGUCAACUAUAAUCUAGUUGGGUGUGUAAAUUGUUUGAUGCUUUAUAAGCAAAUAACAUAUAGAGACAGACAAUGUGUGUUCGUUUUUUCAUAGUUAAAGAUAUAGUUAGAAUGGGUGGUUCAAAAUCAAAAAUGGUGAUAAUGUUUGUUAUGUUAUUAAUAAUAUUUAAAAGUGGGUGGAGUGAGGGAUGUUUGGAUCACGAGAGAUUUGCUCUUUUGCGACUUAAACAUUUCUUCGAUGAUACUAGUAGUUAUCUUUACGAUUGGGGAGAUGGUGAGGGAGCUACUGAUUGUUGUCAGUGGAAAAGGGUUGAGUGCAGCAACACCACAGGUCGAGUGAUAGUGCUAGACCUUUCUAGCAUGUAUUGGGGAGAGUACAGCUGGUAUCUGAAUGCUUCUUUGUUUACUCCCUUCCAACAACUUGAGUCACUUGAUUUAACUGACAACAAAAUAGCCGGUUGUGUUGAGAAUGAAGGUGCUUCGUUUAAUUUAAUUAAUUUACUUUCUCCACCCUAAUUUAAGUUGAAUAUCAAGACCGAGCAAUUAUACACAUAUUCAUUUAGUCGACAAUUUUGACUUUUUUUUAAAUGAUUAAUUUUGAAAUUACACCAAUAUCUAUGAUCCUUUUUUUUUAUUUUACUUGCAGGUAUAGAGAGGCUAUCAAGAUUGAACAACUUGAAGAUGCUUAAUUUAAGUGAUAACUCGUUCAACAAUAGCAUUUUAUCAUCUCUAACUCAUCUUUCAUCAUUAAGAUCAUUAAAUUUAUUUUGGAAUAGAUUGGAAGGAAGUAUUGACGUUAAAGGUACAUAAUUAAAACUUCAUCCCUUCUCCAAGCUCUUUCAUUAACUUGCUAAAAUAAGAUUCAAGGCUUUGAAUUCAAAUUUUUUUAUGAUUAGUAUUAAAAAAAAACAGUUUUAAGCAAUUUAUAAAUACAAGUUUUAAUGUUUCUCAUAAUUUCAUCUUGUACUUUCAUAUGUCUUGAAUUUAAGAUUAAAAAAAAAAAACUCUAAUAGCGAACCAAACACCUCCACAACUAAUUAUUAUUAUUAUUAUCAUUUUUUUUUUAUUUGUGGUGAGGUUUGAAACAUUCAACUCAAUUUGUACUUAUUACAGAAUUUGAUUCUUUGAGAGAUUUAGAGGAGCUAGACAUUGGCGAGAACAAGAUUGACAAAUUUGUGGUCUCAAAAGGUACUAGAACGACUGCAAAAAAUGUAAACUUCUACAAAUUAGCUAGAUUCUUUGCCAUUUGGUUUAUUAUUUUGCAGGUUUGAGGAAGUUGAGGUAUCUCAGUUUAAGUGGUAUCAAACUCAAUCAUAGCAUAUUAUCUUCUCUGACUGUCUUUUCUUCGUUAAGAGAAUUAUAUCUAGAUGAUACGGGAUUCAAAGGAACAUUAGAUAUUCGAGGUAAGUCUAAGCCCUGCUUUCUCAUUUUAUAUAUGCCAGCUAGACUUGUGUAUCAUCGACAUAAUUUAAUAUUUAAUUUGAUUAGUCUGAAGGAAUUACAUGCUAAUUUAAACAUACUUUUAUUUACUCUGUCAAUCAAUUAAUUAAUUAAUUACUAUUUGGCUUGGUUUGGAUGAAUUCUCAUGAUGUUUUAAUUUCUUUAAAUUAAUUAAUUAAUUAACUCUGUUUUUAAGUCUUAAGUCUGGGCAUGUUUGCAGAAUUUGAUUCCUUCAACAACUUAGAAGUGUUGGACAUGAGUUACAACAAAAUCGACAAUCUUGUGGUUCCUCAAGGUAAACAAUUAAAAUAUUAUUCAAUUACAUUAAUAUAAUUCAUUUGGUUAGGGAAGGCCCAAAAGGUACAAAAAAAAUUAAAUAAAGAAACAGAGAAUUUGUAUUAUUUAAAAAACAGAAUGUAAUAAAGAUUUGAUUCUAGUUCUUUAAUCUUUAAAGCGAUUGAAAAAUAAUGUUGCUCUUUUCCCAAAGCAUAAAAUACGAAUUGAAUGCCAAUUAACUUAAUCAUUCAUUUCGUUUAGCUCUAAAUUUAGACAAUGAAUUUUUAUAUUAUUUCAAAAACAGGACGUAAUAGAAUUUAAAAAAAAAACAGAUUGUAAUAAAGAUUUGAUUCUAAUUUUUUAAUCUUUACUGCGAUUGAAAAAUGAUACAGCUCUUUUCCCAAAGCAUAAAAUACGAAUUGACUCCCAAUUAAAUUAAUCAUUUAUUCCAUUCAUCUCUUAAUUUAAAUAAUGAAUUUUGUUUUCUUAAAUCGUAUUCUAAUUACUAUUAAAAAACAGGUUACAGAGGUUUGAGGAAGUUGAAAAGCCUUUAUCUAUUGAGAGUUAGAAUUAGAGAUGGAAGCAAGUUGUUACAGUCAAUUGGAUCAUUCCCAUCCCUCAACACUCUUUACCUUUCGUCUAAUAAUUUGACGGAAACAGUGACAACUACUACUCAAGGUAAUUAAAAGGUACAAAUGUCGCCAAAUUUAUAAAUAAAUUGUUAAUUAAUUAAUUUUUCCGUAUUAUUAAUAAAGCUAAAUUCGUUGCUCCUUCCUUCUAAAUCUAAACAGAGUUGCACAAUUUCACCAACUUGGAAUAUUUGACAUUGGACGAUUCCUCUCUCCAUAUAAGCCUUCUGCAAAGCAUUGCAUCAAUAUUCCCUUCGUUAAAAAAUUUGUCGAUGAUUGGUUGUGAAGUCAAUGGCGUCCUACGUGGUCAAGGUAAAAGAAAAGUGUUAAUUGUGAACUCGCACAAUGGUGUCCUACGUGUUCAACAUUUUUAUUUAUUUAUUUUAUUGUUUAAUGUUUCUGCUAGGUUUUCCUCAUUUCAAGAGUUUGGAAUAUUUGAAUAUGGAUUUCACGCGCAUUGCACUCAACACCAACUUUCUUCAAAUCAUCAGUGAAUCGAUGCCUUCUCUUAAGUACUUAUCACUGUCAGAUUCUACUCUUGGCACUAACAGCAGCAGGAUUCUUGAUCGAGGUUAAUCAGAUGCUCCCACCCUCCCUUCUUAAUCUAUAAUAUUAAUUUUCAAUUCAAUAUUUAAUUACACAAACGAAUCACUUAUUAUAAAAGAAUAAUACGCAUUCAUUAAUUUUUAUGCUGUAUUAAUUGAUGAAUUUAAUAAAUUUUCAGGCCUCUGUUCGUUGGUGCAUCUGCAAGAGUUGCGCAUGGCUGAUAAUGAUUUAAGAGGUAGCUUGCCUUGGUGCUUGGCAAAUAUGACAUCCCUCCGAAUAUUAGAUGUUUCUUUCAAUCAACUUACUGGAAGCAUCUCCUCAUCUCCCCUCGUUCAUUUGACAUCCAUUGAAGAGCUGAGGCUUUCAGACAAUCAUUUUCGGAUCCCAAUUUCACUUGAACCACUUUUCAAUCACUCAAGACUCAAGAUUUUCCAUGCUAAAAAUAACCAAAUGAAUGCAGAAAUAACUGAGUCACAUUCUUUGACCGCCCCAAACUUCCAAUUACAAUCUCUCUCAUUGUCUUCCAGUUAUGGAGAUGGUGUCACAUUCCCCAAAUUCCUUUACCAUCAACAUGACCUGGAGUAUGUUCGUCUCUCACAUAUAAAGAUGAAUGGAGAAUUUCCAAAUUGGUUGUUGGAAAACAACACAAAAUUAGCAACUCUUUUUUUGGUUAAUGAUUCUCUUGCAGGACCUUUUUGGUUGCCAAUUCAUUCACACAAGCGGUUAGGAAUAUUGGAUAUAUCCAACAACAACAUCCGAGGCCACAUUCCAGUAGAAAUUGGAGAUGUUUUACCAAGUUUAUACGUUUUCAACAUUUCCAUGAAUGCUUUAGAUGGUAGCAUUCCCUCUUCAUUUGGUAAUAUGAAAUUCCUCCAAUUGCUGGACUUAUCCAACAAUCAAUUGACUGGUGAAAUCCCCGAGCACUUGGCCGUCGGUUGCGUCAACUUGCAGUUUCUCAUGUUAUCAAACAACAGCCUAAAAGGUCACAUGUUCUCUUGAAAUUUUAACCUGGCCAAUUUGAUGUGGUUACAAUUGGAGGGCAAUCACUUCGUAGGAGAGAUCCCACAAAGUUUGUCUAAAUGCUCCUCCUUAGAAGGAUUGUAUCUUACCAAUAAUAGUCUCUCGGGUAACAUUCCAGGAUGGUUGGGUAAUCUCACAUGGUUAAUACAUAUUAUAAUGCCCGAGAAUCAUCUUGAAGGUCCUAUUCCAGUGGAGUUUUGUCAACUUUAUUCGCUUCAGAUUUUGGACAUUUCAGACAACAACAUAUCUGGAAGUUUGCCAUCCUGUUUCCAUCCUCUCUCUAUCGAACAAGUUCAUCUUUCAAAAAAUAUGUUACAUAGACAGCUAAAAAGAGGUACAUUCUUUAAUUGCUCUUCCCUUGUGACAUUAGAUCUUAGUUAUAACCUCUUGAAUGGCAGCAUUCCGGAUUGGAUUGGUGAGCUUUCUCAGUUAAGCCACCUUAUCUUAGGUCACAAUAAUCUUGAAGGUGAAGUGCCAGUUCAAUUGUGCGAAUUGAACCAACUACAAUUGUUAGAUCUUUCUAAUAAUAGUCUUCACGGUUCUAUUCCUCCAUGCUUUGAUAACACAACACUUUAUGAAAGUUACAACAACAGUUCUAGUCUUGAUGAGAAAUUUGAAAUAUCUUUUUUCAUCGAAGGCCCUCAGGGAGAUGUAGAAAAGUGAAUCCGUGAAAAAUUUGAGUUCACAACAAAGAAUAUUGCGUACAUUUACCAAGGAAAAGUGCUUAGCCUCCUAUCAGGACUUUAUCUUUCUUGCAAUAAGCUAAUCGGUCAUAUUCCUCCUCAAAUUGGAAAUUUGACAAGGAUUCAAACAUUGAAUCUAUCAUAUAACAACUUGACAGGAUUGAUCCCAUCAACAUUUUCAAACUUGAAGCAUAUCGAAAGUUUGGAUCUUUCCUACAAUAAAUUAAAUGGGAAAAUCCCUCAUCAACUUGUGGAGUUAAAGACAUUGGAGGUUUUUAGUGUGGCAUACAAUAACUUAUCGGGCGAAAUUCUAGAAUGGACUGCACAAUUUGCAACAUUUAACAAGAGUAGCUAUGAGGGAAAUACUUUUCUUUGUGGAUUGCCAUUGCCCAUUUGCAGAUCACCAGCAACUAUGUCGGAGGCUUCAAUUGGCAAUGAACGAGAUGAUAAUUUAAUUGACAUGGAUAGUUUCUUUAUCACAUUUACAACAUCGUACGUAAUUGUGAUAUUCGCAAUUGUUAUUAUUUUAUAUGUAAAUUCUUAUUGGCGACGUAGAUGGUUUUACUUUGUUGAAAUGUGGAUAACUACAUGUUACUAUUUUGUUGUAGACAAUCUUAUUCCAACAAGAUUUUGUCAUUGAAAUUAUUUAGUAGUUUAAUUACGAUUCUUUAAGUACUAAUCAAGUUUGUAUAGGAAAUAAUUUUUUAUUAAAAUUGUAGUAGUAUUUAGCAUUAUAUAGCUUCCAACUUCCAAGCACUUCACAUUUGUCUCUACACUUACAAAACUGAGUGAUCAUGUUUUGCAGAUCUGGAUUUGGAGCAGGAUGGAUCCAAACCCAUAUCUGUCCACCAUAACUUAUAGCUUCCCUAUACUGUGCAGCAUACUUAAAUAAGAGAACCAUCUCCAAUGUUAAAAGCAUUCACUCUAUAACAUUCAUUUAGAAACUAUAUUCAGAAUAAUUUUAUAAUUAAACACAAGAAAUGAAACACCUAGAUACACUUGAUCGCCUAUUUUACUCUAAAAAAUAACGAUUAUGGUGCUAUCAUCAUCUUCUUCACUAGCAACAUUAACACCAAAUCGAUGGACCCAUACAUUUCAUCAAGAAAGGUAUAUAUCCAAUAAAGUUGAAGCCUAACAAAAAAAUCAGGAAGAUUAAUGCCUCACCACAACAAGGGGCAUAACAACAUCAAAGUAGAGAUUAAACAGUAUUCUCAAAGCUAAAACUCUCAAAUCCACCCACCAGAAUUUCAUAUCUCCUCAACAAUUUUAAGAACUAAAGAUAAUUAGGAUUUAACAUUAGUUUUUUAUAUAUUAGUUUCAUAAUUUACAAAUCAAUGAAGAUGAAGAUUAUGCGAAUAAAUUCAAAUUAUACCAUACAUUCUCUAGAUGUUACCAAAAAUUUCUAAGUCAAUCCCACAUAUUUCAUAAUUUUAAGACUAGAAAAUUCACUAGUUAGAAGUUUCAUUACCUUCAAGUGGAAGAUGAAGAACAUUAUGCAAGUGAUUCAGAUUAUAUCAUACAUACUCCAAAUGCAACUAGAAAUUAACAAGUUCAUGUGCACAUAUUUCAUAACAUUAUGAUUGAAAAGUUUCACAAAGAGAAAUUCUAAAUUCAAUCUCUUGCAUGAAGGCAGUUUGAUUGAUUUGAGUUACUUUAUGAUCAAGCUACUAAUAUAACAUUCAAGUCAGGGAGAAAGUAAAUUAAAAAUGGGAAGAAAUAACAGUAAAAAUUUGUUGCUAAACAUGAUGUGUAUUUUUUUCAAGGCAAUUUGGAAACACAAUUGUUACUACAGAUAUUCUCCUCAACUUAGAGAUAAAUACAAAUAUUAAAAUGCACAUGAUCGCACAUAUUACUUGGAGCUUAGUAAGAUUUCAUUAAAAGAAGCAAUCAAACCACUUAUCAAUUGUCGCAGUCAUUCUAUAAACUAAAAUAGCAAAUAUAAUAUAAGAAAAAGAACAUAUAGAUACUUGGCAAGAGUUCAUUAAGAAGUCACAUCACAUUCGGGUGAGGAGUUUGCUUCUGAUAUCUUGCUAGCUGGGGCUUUUUCUCGUCUUUCUAUGUAUGCCGAGGGAAACCAACCAGCUUGGCCCUUGCAUUCACCUUCCAACCAUCCAGUACGAGCCACCUUGAGAAGUUAUAACUAAAACGGUGAAUUAAACAAAAGUUGACCGUUCAAAGACCUAAGGGGAAAACUAAUUCUUUUAUGUAGAAUGAGUGAACUAGUUGUGAUCACUGGAAUAACAACAUAACUAUGGAAGCAUAACAAGAUAUAAAUUCACAUGUCUAUAAGGGUAAACUGGGUGGUUUAGAACUGAGCUAGCAACCCUACUAGAUUAUGAUUUGCAUUUCAAUGUAAAAGGGAAUAUAUGGUAGGAAGAAAGAAAACCAACCAUCAUUUGUUAACUCAUUGCUUUUCAAUCAAAAUUUUAAGAACAAAAUGCCAUGUGCUUUGAAUAUCAAAUAAGUAUAAGCAUUAUUUCUAAAUUCCACAUAUCAUAAGUUGUUAGAAGGAUAAGUUAAUAGCAUAGUAGAAAAAUCUAUGUGUCAGUAUUUAGAGGGGAAAGUACCUGGCGAACCACAACAUAAUCAUCAAUUAAAAGACUUAGCUCUCCAUUUGCUUGAGCAUCAAAUGGAUGUAUAACCUGCAAGAUAAUGGGAUAAAUAGAACUUAAAAAAAGCAUAACAAAAGCAGCAACAGUAGCAGCAGCGUUCAUUGUAACCACUAUGAUCAUGGCCAACAAAGAUAUAUUAGAAACAAAAUUCCAUUUUUACUACGACAUUAAUAUGUACUAUACGAUAUCAUGACGAUUGGGUUACUAAGAGCUAUCAAAGUCUAAUAAGUUAUGUAUAACUUUUGUAGUUAUUUAAAUUAUGGAUCAGAUUUUAAAUUUGAAAUUUUGACUGCUCUCCACAAAACAUGGCCUGUGCACAAAAAAGUCAUAGAUAAUGAGGAUUACAAGUGUCCGACAUCUUUUGAGUGAUGGAUUUAACAUGAGAGCUUAUGGUCAGUCAAUUUCCUCUGCCUAGCAAUAUAAGCUUUCUCGGCCAGAUUUAUCAUCAAAUACAUAGAUUGCCCCCAAGUCACAUCCAUAUAAACAUAAUUUUUCUAGGUAAACCAAGUAAGGAGAAUCAUAAUUCGGACAUAAUCAUAAAAAGGCCCAUCUAACUUAAGAGAAAAUCUUAAAAAGAGGGAUGCUGAGCUAUCAGUCUUGUAUCUAUAAGCAAUAUCAAGACUUUACAUCACCUGCUACAUCGUGAGUGGUUACACAACUUUUAGUGGUUUGUCUUUCUUUGGCAUGCCUAACUCAGCUUUGAUGUUGCUGAGAUAUUGAUAGUAGAGAGCAGAAGCCUUACUUUCGCUAUAAAUUAGACGUCAUUCUGAUUAAUAUGCGUUUGCAAAUCAGCUCUGUUUGAAUCAGUAUUCUGAUAGACACAUGAGGCAUUUACAUCCAUUUCCAAAGUCACAUGUUGCGGGGAGGACUCAUUUGAUUGCUCCUAUACGAUCAUCUAAUUCAAGUAGCAAGGGUUGGAAGAGAAUAAAAAGUCACAAUUAUUCUUUUGCAUAAGUGAGACGAAAAUGGUAAAUGCAAUAUUAUUAGCAGUAAAUAAGAAGAGAACGCUCCAAGGAAUAGAUAGAUGCAGACAAGCAAGUUAAAAUGCAUAGUCCCAAACCUCCGCAUACAACUUCUCUAAAAUAGCAAUAACGUGUUGAUGAUAUAUUUUCUCAGCAUCUACCUGCAAAGGCCCGAGACCGGGAAAACAACAAUAAAACCACUAGCUGAAGGAGAAAGCAAAGAAAAAAAUACACUUGACAUAAAUCUUGACAAGAAGCACAAUUUAAGACAUAACAAACCCCAAUCAUAUUAUUUUUGCUAGUCACACGCUAGUCUGUGCUAGUGAUGUAAGAAGUCACAAGGUCUCUUCAACAUUUGAACCAAUAAAAUUAUUAAGUCAUGGAUGUCACUAGCAAUGAUUUUAAUAUAAAACAUUAAAUAUUUCAGAGUUGUAACUUUAAAAUGGAUUCUUUUAUUCAAUACCAUAGAACUAAGUUUCCUUAUGAGAAGAUAGUAGUUUCGAUAAUAUUUUACAUAUAAUUUUUGCGAUACCUUCGUCUCGCACUACCAGUGAUACCCUCACUCUUNNNNNNNNNNNNNNNNNNNNNNNNNNNNNNNNNNNNNNNNNNNNNNNNNNNNNNNNNNNNNNNNNNNNNNNNNNNNNNNNNNNNNNNNNNNNNNNNNNNNUGUUGAAAUUUAUCUAAGUUCAAAAGUAAUGCAGAGUGGGUUUCUAAACUCCAUUCCACUAGCUACUUCCUUUAAGAAAAAUUCCACAUCAUUGGUUUGAAUUUUAACUGGUGGCAUAGGAUCAUAUGUCUUAAGCUUGAACUUCAUUGUGAUUUCGAAUUCCGAAGUAUUUAUAUCAAUAACUUGAGCUAUCUUCUCCACCAAUUCGGCAUAUGUUGUCGAUCGUGGUAUCAUUAUCCCUUUAGCCUUGGAACCUUUGAAUUUAUACUCGUCAUUUUGCUCAAUCCAUUCACCAUUGAAGAGAAUAAGCACACGUACCAAAACCAUAUAUGAUGAUACAAUAAAAACAAUAAUAUCAAAUUUCAUAUACAAGUAACUACACGACCUACACAACUACAUUACUUACAUGACCUACAUGACCUACAUGACUAUAUUACUUACAUGACCUACACGAAUUAUACGACUUACACGACUAUAUUACUUACACGACUUACAUGACUAACUAUAUGACAUACACAGUAUCAAAAGGAAUGCACGACGCGAAACAUUUUCGCCAUAAAUAAGUUAUAAACAACCUAUAUUGCAUAUAUUUCUAUAUAUAAGAAAAAAUGGUGAAAAUAAAACAUUAUAAUGUGAAGAAAAUUUCUAAAUUUUCCUAAAAAUAAAAAAACUUAAAACCCAACAACAUUAACAUACCUUAUUGGGUUGUUUAAUAAGUAAUGCACAUUAUUUCAGUUAAAAAAAAGUGGGUGUUAAAGAAAUGAAUACAUAAUCAUAUUUGUGUAAGAAGUUAUGAGAGAUUUUGAGAGAUUCUAGGAGAUUUUGAGAGAAUUUCGGCAGCAAGAAGAGAUUUGGGUGUUAAAGAAAUAUGAAGACAAGGAAGUUGAGUGAAUUUGAUUCAUUCAUUAAGGGCAUUUUAGACUUUACUCACAUUUGUUAGGGUAUCCAUGAAAACAAAAAAGGAAAGGGGUAUUUAAAUAAUUUUAAAACUAUUAAAGGGUAUUUAAUUAAAAACCCUAGGAGAAGAUGAUAGUGGAAGUAUGCAGUGUGGCUGCCAGGUACUUGGAUUGUAUUAUCGGGUAAGGUAAUAGUAGAGAAUUAUAAGUUUGAACAGAGCAUGUUGGACUUUUGUUGACCAAAUUCAAAAGCCCAAUGGCACGACCCAGAAGCUUUUGAAUAGAAAAACUUGCUAGAAAGCAUCAGUUUAAAUCACUACUUAAACGCUGCACCGCUUUGUACUGUUUUAGGUAUGUAGCGGUUGUGCAGUUGUAAUUCACGGCUGACGCUACGUGUUUGUUUGUACUGUUCUAUUCAGUGAUAGAGUAUUAUUAGUUAGGCCAAAACUAUGUUGCAACAGUGGUACAGUACCACUGUUGCUUUCAUAGCUGGACCCUAUUAGUUAUUUCAAAGGGAUAAAUAAGAUUGGUUACAACAAAUCUACUAUUUUUAUAAAAUUCAAGUAAUAUAGAAUAAAAUAAAAAAAUAAAUACAAAAUUGACUUUUAUUUUUUAUGGUUGACUAUAUUUUGUGUUCUCUUCGGGCACUGCUACAAUUGUUCCCCAUAUAUCAAUUACACCACAUACUAUCGACACAAGAAAUGAAAUCUAAUAUCACCUGUUUAGUUAAAAAAUCACUCAUGAAAAAAGUUUACCAUUUUGAUUUGAGGAUCCAUAUUUUGAACUGCAAGCUAAUGUUCAUCAAGAAUCACUGAUGGCCGUUGAGUAGAAAAAUUAUUUUUGGACAAAUUAUUUUUGUUGAUAGAAGAAUUUCUUUAGGGACUACUAAAUUAUUAAUAAAAAUGUCGAACACACCCACAUAUCAUCGACACAAUUGAUUUUGAGGAUCCAUGCUUUGAAUUGCCGCCUAAUGUUCAUCAAGAAUAGAGUAUGGCUUGUGAGUAGAAAAUUUUCUUAUUUUGGCCCAAAAUAAAAAGAAAUUAAAUUGGAUGAGAAUCUGCCACUUUCUCAUGAAGAAAGGCAUACGAAGCAUACCAUGAUACCAUACAAUAUAAGGAGCCGCCGUUCUUUGGUUUUUCAAACUUUGAAGGGGCCAAUAUUGCCAAAUUCCCCCUUGAAAAUUCUGACUACGACAUUAUUCAUCGCUUGAUGCAAUCAAAGUAGUGACAAAGUUAGGAAAAAUAUGAGCCCUAAGUAAUUGCUAGGCAGGGUUCCUGAGAGCAAAAUUGUCCUAAGCAUUAUAUGCAUACAUGGUGCGGUACAUAGAGCACGUUGAAUUCCCCACUAUAACACAAAUCCAGAAAGAGAAGUAAUAACUCAACUGAUAUAAAGACAAAAAGAAGAUAAAAUGAUAUAGAAAAAAGAAUUUCAAAGAGACAGCAACAUACGAUAGGCUGAAGCCACUUGAUCUACUCAUUGAUUGCAGCCUUAAACUUGCAAAUAGUUACUGUAUGCUAGUGCUCUAAGAAGUGAAAAUGAUGCAAGCCCUGAUUCCCUUUUGACUUCCAUUUACUGUCAAACAUUCUAGUAAUACAAAAAAUUGUUUAGAUAUCUUGCUAUAAAUAUAGUUGUUUGACUGUCAUAAUAAAGUCACAAAUAACCAUUCAUAUUGAUCUACUGUCACACAGCAUGCUUUAUGCAUACAACAGCUGUAUGUAUACCAACUCCUAACCUUAUCAAUGCAUUUGGCAAAAACUUAAGAAGAAAACUAUUUCUCCAUCUCUUUUUUGAAAUUUCACAAUAACCAGCACAAUGUGAAAGCUAUGUUCUAACCUUAUGAUAAAUGCUCCAGACUCCAAAAGGAUUUUAUAUAUGAGUUUUUGUUGCAGCAGAUAUAUUGACUUAUCAAGUAUGAAUCAUUUUCUGGAUGAACUAUCUUUAGAUAAAAGAAUAUUAGAACCACUGUAGAAUAUCUUUACGCUGCUGGUUCUAACAAGAAUCUGCUUGUGGCAACAAUUGCUAGAUCCACAAUUCCCCAACUUGAAAUACAUAGUUGCACACCAUGAGAUAGUGCUACGAUCUACUGAGAUCUAACUUAUAUGGUACUUUAAGCUACUAAUGUUUGCAUAUUUCUACAUGUUAAAUUAACACUAUCAUCUAUAAUCACUCCAAAACAACAAAUGAUAAGCAGCUUUUGGCCACUUAUUACUAGCAUCCACAAUUAUAAUAAGAGAUCAUGGGUUUACUUGUUGCACCUACUUAAUUAUCUGCAGUUGACAUCCUGACGCAAGGUUUAAAUAGUGACUGCUUAGAACCCUUGUAGUUGGAUCUUGACCUCUCCCAUUGUAGCCAAGAUUGGUUACUCUGGUAAUGAAUCAACACUCUCCUGCUCAGGGCCAUGAAGAUCUGAAAGCUCAGCACUAGUGGAGAACUUCAUCAAUCUCUUCUUCUCAGCAUACUUGAGACAAGGCUGCAUUACGAGACCAAUCACCACAGCACCAACGCUUAAAGCUACAACUUUUAAAGAAGAAAGAGCCAACACAACACAACACAAAUCAAUAUGGUUGGAGGAAUACACAUGAUAAUGGCUCUAACAGUGCCAGUGGGUAUCUUGUAGGGACGAGAUGCAGCAGGAUAUUGUAUCCUUAACCAUACAAAUGCUAUGAACUCCAUAAUCAUUCCAAAACAGUACAGGAAGUUCUCUGCAGCUACAAUAUCUCGAAAGCUCAGCCAUGAUAGCAAAACCACACCAGAUGCUGAGAAUAUGAUUCCAAUCAAAGGAGUCCCAUAACAAGACCUCUUAGCAAAAAACUCAGGUAGCAUUCCACGCUCAGCCAUCCCCAAAAGUUGGAAAGAGUCGCUGCUCAUCUCAGCCACAAACAUGCCCAUAUUGGACAUUGCUGCAACCCCCUGGAUGCACCAACUCAACCAAACUCCUCCAAGCACUUUAGCGAUACCUGAAAAGUAACCAUCGGUCCACAAGUCGCGAUCUAAUGGAAUAGCUCCAGUUCCAACUAGAAAGGGAAAGAAAUAUCCAAAAACGACCAAGAUCAAAGCAUAAAACAAAGCCUUUGGAAGAGUCUUCUUUGGGUUAUCCACCUCUCCAGCUAGUGUACUUAUUGAGUCCCAGUAGUUGAGAUUCCAAAACAGGGUGUUCAAAUACAAAUUCCAAUCCACUUCACCUAAAUUUAAUACAAGCCAUCUUGAAGGCUCUAACUUGGGAAGGGACACAAGUCCCAUAACCACAAAAGGAAGGAGUGAGAAAAUCCCUAAAAGAACAGCAGCCCAUCCCACAAUGGUUAGACCCCUAUAGUUCAUGAAAGUGAGAACAAAAGUCAAAGCUAACGCCGCAAAGGCUCUAGGUAACCCAUCGCCCAAAGCAGGGAUACCAGACUUCAAGUAAUCAAGAAACAGAACUGGGUAUAAAGCAUUAUCAGUAACCCCACUUAGCCAUUUCAUCCAAACUUGCUCAAAACCCCAAUAUGGGCCUAAGGCAGAUGAAACCCAAACCACAUAACCACAAUUUUCAGGAAACACGGUACCCAUCUCGGCAGUAAUUAAAGCUUCAGGGACACUCCAUAUAAUCGGAAACACCAAGAAACCAAGAAGUGCUAAAAGAGGACCAGCUGUCUUUACACUAUCCUCAACACCAAACGGCCCCCCAGAAACCUCAUAGAAUAUAAGGAAAAUAAGUGGCAAGAUUGAUACUUUUUUAGUGCCAUGGACUCUAGGAGAAGAUGGUUGGUCAUUGAUAUUAAAAUAUUCAACAGCAUCAGACUGCCCCAUUUCUACUGAAACUUGCCUAUUUACAGUGCUCCUCAAUUUCUGCAUCAAGUUUAAGCAUAACUAUCAAAAGGGUAUCCGCAUCUAAAUUAUGAAACAAAAUGAGCAUUUACUUAUUAAAAAAAAAAUCAAAAAACAGAAAUGGAUUUCACAGAACACAUGAACUUAAGUUCAACAUUAAACAGGCGCUUAAGAAAACAAAAGGGUCUGUUCGUAAAGCCAUCAGAUUGCAAGAUUGAACAACAUUAACGGAAUCAAUAGAAUGGAUGUAAAGAGAACUGAAAAGAAAAUAAAAUAAAAGAUGAAGAGAGAUAAAACGAACCAUCAAAUAAGUGCAUGCAGAGCAGAGAGGCAGAUACUAGUGAAGCUCCGUCAUGUUAGAGAGAGCCUAAAUCAAUCAGAGCUCACUGAGUUUCUUUUAAACCGACCGGCAAAUUUGGAGUAGCACAACAUAAUAUUUUUGCUUUUAUUUUUGGAACACUUUUGAAUGGAAUUUUUUGUUUUAAAAAAUGGCAAAGGAGAUUAGUAUUUCUAUCGUUAAAAUAAUAAUUUUCCUAACAUUAUUUUUUAUAUUUUUUAAUUUAUUUUUAUAAUAAUUUUUUAUUUAAAUAUUAAUAAAAAAUAAUUAAAUUAACAAUUUAAUCCUAAAAUAAAUAAACACGGUUUUGGGUUUUUUCUUUUGUUCGUUUAAUAUCAUCUGGUUCCCUGAUUUGUGACUAAUUAUCAACGGAAUCCCGUUAGUUUCUAAAUUGAAAUAAUAGAAGGUCAUGAGAUUAUUUACUCCAUUUAGCACUGCAGACUUAGAGUAUAUUGAAAAAGCUUUGUCAAAUAGUAGUAAUAGGGGCAUAAGAAAUAAAUUAUAGCUAUCACAAAUUCGUUAGGAGAAUUUCAAAUUUUUCCAUCAAUAAUGGCUAUGAAGCAAAAUUACUUUAGGUUAUAUUGCAACACUAAUACUUCAAAUCCUGACAAUAAAUUUGAAGAACUUGUUAAAAAGAAAAUGGUAAUGUUAUCAUUUUGAAAGACAAAAAAAAAAAGAGUGAAAGUGGCGUUACCUCAUGGUCAUUAGUGACUUGUUGCAAUGAUAGCUCAAAAUUAAAAAUUUGUGAAGAAUUAGUAGACAACGACGAUAUUAUAUUUAUACAGUCACCAACGUAUUGAUUUUUGUUUAAUGUUUGAUUGAUAGAAACUUUUGUCGUCGUCGCCGUUGUUGAAUUCGUGCUUAGAAUACCACAAGAGAAGAAAAAGGGAUGAAAGGGAAGAGAAGAAGAGAGAAGUGGUGGAUAGCAAAUAUGAUAUGCUAGCUACACACAGGCCUUAGAGAGUUUUUUUUUUUAAUAUUUAUUGUAUUUUUGUUUUUGUUAUUGGUUUGUCAUAUGCUUCCAAGGCAACAAUGCAUUACAUCAUAAAUUGCACCUUUUAGGGGAGGUGGUAAAAAACAUGAGAGCAAUGCAUUCUAGCGCAUACAUGCAGAAAGAGUUUCCAAAUUUUCAAAAGUUUCUUUAUUUCUUCCACCUUUUUUUGCUUAAAAUAAAUUUUAAUUGUAUUUUGCAUUAACUUAGAGAAAAAAAAAUCCAAUUCUAUGCAUAAACGCAUACAUUGAUUAGAAAAUGAGUUUUAUGGACACAAAGGGACAAUAUAAGAGAUUCUUUUUGUUUAUUAGAAGUAACAUAACUAGUUAGUGUAACAUGUAAUUAUAAGCUACCAAUAAUUUGCACUGAUGAUAAUUAACGGUACAGAUUUUGAGCUAUGAAUGUCUUGUGGCUAGUUUAAUUGGAUUUUUGAGUUUUCAGCAGAUCUAUUUUAAUGAUUAUUAAAUUAUUUUCACUUCUUAUGCCUUAAUAAAAAAAAUUCAAUAUUUUUUGCUGUAUUCUAUAUUUUAAAACUUAAUUUUUAGUUCUUUAUAUUGCAAACCAAACUGAGUCAAAUAGAGUAUGCUCUUCAAAUAAUUUUUCCAUUGCCUUCAAGAAGAAUUCAUUUUAUUUUUAUAUAUUAAUUCAACACUUGUAAACCGGGCCGUCAGAUUGCACAUAAAGCAAAUGAUCAAACCGUUACAAGACCGGCCCAGGCCCACUGACUCUAUUUUCUUUAAUUUGACCAUUAAAAAGCUUUUGGCCACCCCCACCAAAUAAAUAAGCUCUUGUUCUCUUUUGUAGGGGUGGGCAAAAAAACCGUAGUCUUAAAAAAACCGAACCGAACCGACGGUUUUUUCUAAUUCGGUUUGGUUUUUAUUUUUUUAAAAAACCGAAAUAUACCAUUUGUAAAAAAAAACCGAAAUGUCGGUUUGGUAUUCGGUUCACUUAGCUGAACCGAAAAACUGAACCGAAAAACCGAAUUAUUUUUUGAUUUUAUUCAAAUCAAACAUGUGUUAAUUUUUAACUGAUUGUGCAAGAUAACUAACAUAAACUUGCAUACACACAAUCAUGAGUAUAUAUAUGUAAGUGUUACAAUUUCGUAAAUCUUUAUUUCCCCCAAAAUAAACCCUAAAGCUAAAAUCAAAGAUUCAAAAUCGAAACCAAAUCCAAAUCACCCACCCCAAUCCACUGCAAUCACAGCCGACGCUGCUCACCGGCGAUAGUGUCACCGUGCAACACGCUGCUCACCGCGAAAGCUGCAGCUUCUUUUCACCGUGGGACAGCUUCAACUCACAGGCCUGAGGCCACCACGCGACAGCUUUGCUCUGCUCACCUGAUUGGAGUGGAAAUUCGAUGGUUUUGAAUGGUUUAUAUAUGCAUGUGAGGUGUUCGGCGCAUAUAAUCAACUUAAUUGUGCAAGAUGGGUUGUCACAAGUGAGUCAAUCAAUAGCUAGUAUUCGAAAUGCGGUGAAAUAUGUUAGAUCAUCUCCGGCAAGAUUACAAAAGUUCAAAACAUGUGUUGAUAGGGAGAAAAUCUCACGUGGAGGGCUUAUGGUGUUAGACGUGCCGACUCGGUGGAAUUCAACAUAUUUGAUGUUAGAAAAAGCGGUAGCAUUUGAGAGGCUAAAGGAAGAUGAUGGCCAUUAUACAAACUGGUUUGAUGAGGAUGAGAGUGAAUAAAGGAGGGUGGGGCCACCGAUUGAUAAGGAUUGGGAAAAUGCAAAGAGGUUAGUCAAGUGUCUUUCGAUUUUUUAUCAUGUGACUUUAAAAUUCAGCAGCUCUUUAACAGUCACUUCCAAUAAUUUCUUGAAUGAAAUGUGGAAAGUUUAUAUUCAUUUGAAGUCACUGGUUGAUUUUGUUAACAUAUAUGUUUUCAUAAUGUUAAUUUUGAUGAUAACAAACAAGAUUAAGAAUGAUUAAUCUUUUAAGAUCAAAUUAUUUUUUAUAUAUUUUAAAUAAAUCAUUAUUUUCACAUUAUAAAUGUUUUAUAUUUAAUGGAAAAAUGAUUUUAUGAAAAAUGAUUGUUUAAAUACAUGAAAUGUUUGUCAUCAUCAAAAAGGGGGAGAUUGUUAACAUAUAUGUUUUCAUAAUGUUGAUUUUGAUGAUAACAAACAAGAUUAAGAAUGAUUAAUCUUUUAAAAUCAAAUUAUUUUUUAUACAUCUUAAAUAAAUCAUUAUUUUCACAUUUUAAAGGUUUUAUAUUUAAUGGAAAAAUAUUUUAUGAAAUUGAUUGUUUUUAUUCUUUUUAAAUAAAUCAUUAUUUUCACAUUAUAAAUGUUUCAUACUUAAUGGAAAAAUGAUUUUAUGAAAUUGGUUGUUUUUCAAAGUUUAUGGUUUAAUUGAAAGAAUUUUGAAAACUUUGAUAUAAACAAGUAUUGCUUGAAAUUUUGGUAAAGGACUUAUUUGAAAAGUGUCAUAGCAUCUUUGGGCGAAAUCAUAAUUUCAGAAAGUUUUGGGAUUAACGAAGAAUUAUUUAGAAAUUCUGAAAUUGGACUUAUUUGCAAAGUUUAAUAACGUUUUGGGCCAUACUACAGUUUUAUAAAGUUUUGGGGUCAAACUAUAAAUUUUGGGAAAUGUUUUACUGUAGCAGUUACUGUAGCAAGCGGCUUACCGGAUACUAAUAAACGGCAAGUCGGAUACGGGGUAGUAAGCACCAGAACGAAAGCGGCUAACCGGAUGUCCAUAAACGGCAAGCCGGUUACGACAAAAAAUGUGCAUAACGGCUAGUAACGGCUAGUUUUUGAGUUCAAACUAUAUAAACUCAAAACCAAUUCAUUUUUGGUAACUCAAGCAAGCAUAAACAAGUGCACACAACUUAUAUUGAGCUUCAAAUUCGAAAAUCUUCAUAGAUUAAAUCUUCAUUGGGCUAUCAUUUGUAAAUCCACUCUUAAAGAGAGUUUUUGUUGUAAUUUUCAUUUCUCAUCAAAUUGUGAGAGUACAAGUGUGAGAAACACUUGGAGUGAAGAGAUUGGAGAUAUAAUCUCUUGUUGUAAAGGUUCAUUGACACCUUGAAGUCAAUUGUAAUCGUUUGAAGCCUUGGAAAGGCUUGGAUAGUGAAAUCCUCAAGCCCGGUGUGCUUGGAGGCGUGGACGUAGGCGGGGAUUGCCAAACCACGUAAAAAUCCUUGAGUUUGCUUUCUCUUCCCUUACUCUUUAAUUAUUGUGCUUUGAUUGAAUUUAUUGUUUUCGAAUUUAUUAAGGCAUUAGAUUGCUUGUUGUGUGGAUUUGUUAGGAUAAUUUUUAAAAUUCCAAUUCACCCCCCCCUCUUGGGUUGCACACUCAUAUUUCAGAUUUUAAUGAUUUUUUGUUAAAUCAAAUGGGUUACAAGAUGGAGGAAAAAUUUGUCAAGUAUUGGGGUCAUUUUUUUGAAAAGGUUAACAUGUUGUUGAUUGUGGCAAAUGUGCUUGAUCCUCGCUGCAAACUUGACUUUGUUAUAUGGUGUUUUAGUAGCUUGUAUGAUAUUAGAAAGGUUGAUGAAUUGAGAGCUAAUAUUAAAGAGUUGUUGUUGAAGCUUCUUGAAAGCUAUGGUGGUGAGAGUAAUCCAAAUAGAGGUGAGAGAUGUACGGCUGUUCAUGAUGGUGCUAGUAGUAGUAUUGAGUUAUUUGAUCCUUUUACACAAUUUAAAAAGAUGAAAGAAAGUUCAAAUGAUGACAUUAGUGGAAAAAAUGAUGUUGAAAAGUACUUGUCAGAGACUUGUGAGAGUGCUAGUAAUCCCCAGUUUGAUAUUUUGACUUGGUGGAAAUUGAAUGGGCCUCGGUAUCUGAUUUUAUCUCAAAUUGCCAAAGAUGUUUUGGCAAUUCCGGUGUCUACUGUGGCUUCUGAAUCAGCAUUUAGUACAGGAGGGCGCAUUCUUGAUCCUUUUAGGAGUUCUUUAACUCAUAAAACAGUCGAGUCAUUAAUAUGCACUCAAAAUUGGCUUCGUUCAACUCUAUUAGGAGAGCGUACAAUACAACCAAGUCAGGAAGAAGCUGAAUUCUAUGAAUUAGUUGAAACAUGUAAUAUUGUAAUUUAUUAUGUUAUUUUUUUCUAUUUCACUUAUAACAUUUUGAAUAUUAGAAUUAAUUAUUUUAAUAUAAUUGUUUUAAUUUCUUGAAGAAUUUUUUAGGCCAAUGCAAUCUCAAGAACAACAGCAAGUAGCUGAGGAGUAAAUGACAAUUGAUUGAUGUUGCUUACCAGUAAGUUUUCUUUAUUUUUUUUAAACUAGCAUCUUAUUUAUAUAGAUUGUUUAUUUAAUUAUUUAUUGUUUAAAUUUUUUUUAUAGAUCCAAAUAUUGAGUUGGAAAAUGCCUAAAGUUGAUGUUGAUAUUGAUGAAGAUGGGAGAAUAUUGUUGGCAUUUGUUUGCAAUUUUUUUUUUAUUUUGUGUUGUAAGUUGUAAUUGUUGUUAUUUUUAUUUCUCUUUAUAACAUUAUGAUUAUGUUUAUAUAGAUGGAGUAUUGGAGUUUGGUUAUGUAUUUUGAAAUUUUAAUAUUUCAUAUUUUGGGAGUAUCUUAUUAAUAGUUAGUAAGAUAUUAGUGAUAAAAUGUGUUUUGAAUACUUUGUAUUUAUUGUUAAUAUUUGUAAUAAAAUUAGAAUAAAUUAAUUGUUAAAAAAAUUAUUACAUUCAUGAGGCCCAAUGGGCUAAAAAUUCAAAAUAGGCCCAAUAGGCCCAGAAUCGAAAAAACCGAACCGAACCGAACCGAUCCGAAAAGAACCGUUUGAGUUCGGUUCUUAUUGAGUUCGGUUCUUAUUCAGUUCUUUUGAUAAAAUAACUGAUUUAAAUCGGUUCUACUUAAUUUCGAUCCGAACCGAACCGUGCCCACCCUUACUCUUUUGUUCCCUCUCAAAGGAAAAUAUCUAAUCACCGGAUAAUGAUUCCGGUGACACAAAAGAUCGAAACACCCCCUAAAUUCCCUAAAUUUAUGAUAAUACCCCACCAUGGAUGAUUCCGUUGAAAUGCCGCCUUACGAUGAAAGGCCUAAAAAGGGUUUUAACUUCACCUCCAUGCGCUUGAUCUUAACCCUCGUUUUCCCAAUUUUAACUUGCUUUUUGUUGGCAUUUUUUAUUGGAAUCGUAGUUGUUUUAUUCGGCGAAUCAUCAGUUUCCAGUUCCAUUUUUGUCCCUUCCCAGUGCAAGAUAGUGUCCAACAGUAAGCUUUUUUUAACAUUUUCAAUUUUUUUUCCAUUUAUGAAGUCCAAAAAAUUUAUUAAUUUUGAUUUUUUUGAAUGAUUUUUCAGGUGUUGAUAUAAGGUCAUCAAAAGUUCGUAAACUUGGGGUGUUCAAUUAUAAGGCGAAGCGCGUGUUUUAUCCAUUUGAAGCAAGUAAAUUUCGCUGUCGGUAUGAUUACUAUUGGGCUUCUAUCUUCAAGGUAUUCAUACAUUUUCCCCUGUACUAUAAGCUUCUUAGUGGCGGUCUUGUGUGCGGAAGUGAACGGUGUGGCUGACAGCUUCUUGAAAAUUAUAAGUUUGAACAGAGCAUGUUAGAGCACCACCAAAAGGCUCUUUAAAUAAGAUUUUAUUAUUUAUUUGAAGAGCCACAUCAAUAUUGAAAACUUCAAAAGACACUUCAAUUAAAAUUCUUCAAAUAAGAAUUGAUUCUCUCUCUUCAAAUUUGGAGAGUUAAUUUAUUCCUCUUCAAUUUAUAUUUUAUUACUUUUCAUUGAAGAAAGAGAGAAGUGCUUUAAUUGCUAUUGACUUUUCCUUUAAAAAACUAAUUAUAUGAUUAAAACAAUAUUAACUUAUUUAUAUUUGAAGAGUCUUUUGGAGAAUAUCAUAUUUUUUCACCCUUCUAUUUGCCACAUAGGUAAACAAAUAGAUAUUUAAAGAGUAAAAUUUAUAGAGGCUUUUAGAGAUGCUCUUAGACUUUUGUUGACCAAAUUCGAAAGCCAAAUGGCACAGCUCAGAAGCUUUUGAAUUGAAUAACUUACUAGGAAGCUCCAAUUUUUUGUUGGCUACAGUAAAAGGAUGUUGUUUUAUUCUUCUUAUACUUUACGCUUGCAUCAGCUUAAAUCACUUCUUAAACGCUUUGCUUUAACUCCACUGCUUCGCUGGGGCGGAUUUACCUUGGAACAAGUGGGGACUUAAGUCCCCACUGAAAAAAAAAAAUUGUUUUAAUAAUUAAUUUGAUUUGCCAAAACUUCUCAAUAAAUUUUUCUUAAGCCCCCCAUAAUUUCUUUCAACAAACAAUUGAUCUAAAUGAGUUAUUUUCUGUCAGUUGUAUCCAAAUGAGUUCUCUGCAAUUGAUAUCAUGGCACUUAAAAUUCAACUUGAUACAUAUAUUUUGGAUAUGCGCACUAGUGCGAGACUAAAAGACAUAAGGUAUAUCCAUUGGUUUACUUGUUAAUAAUAUUAGCAUUGACUUUACCUGUUGCCACUGCUAGUGUAGAGAGAGUAUUUUCAGCCAUGAACAUUUUGAAGAAUUGAUUAUAAAGCUGUGAGUAAUGGAUGAAUGAUAGUUUAAUUAUUUACAUAGAAAAAUACUUAUUUAAUAAUAUUGAUAAUGAACUUGUAAUGCAACAUUAUUAAUGUAUGAAAACUUGAAAGGACAAUUGUAAACAUAUAUUGAAGUAUGAUAAAUCUUUCAAAUUUAUAUAUUUAUUACUUUUUAAAUUUUUUUAUAUUGCCGUUGAAUGAGCCCCCAGUCAAUCAAUAUGUUGUCUUCGCCCUACUUCGUACUCUUCUAUAUAUGUAUCGGGUAUGCAGUUUUAGUUAACAGCUGAGACUACGUGUUUGUUUGACGUGGUAGUUACGUUACGAGUCUGUUAAACAUUCAAUGAUUAAAGUAUUAUCAGUUAUUUCAAAGGGACAAAUAAGAUUAGCUACAACACACCCACUAGUUUUAUAAAAUUCGAAUGAGAUGGAAUAAAAUAAAAAAAUAAAUAAGUAAAUUGACUUUUAGUUUUAGUGGUUGAAUAUAUUUUGCAUUCUCUUAGGGCACUGCUGUAAUUAUUCCUUAAACGUCAGUCAUACCCACAUAUAAUAGACACAAGAAAUGAAAUCUAAAAUCACCUGUUUAGUUAAAGAAUCAUCAUGAAAAAAUUUUGCCAUUUUGAUUUGAGGAUCCACAUUUUGAACAACCAACUUAUGUUCAUCAAAAACGGAUCAUGGCCUGUGAGUAGAAAAAUUAUUUUUGGACAAAUUAUUUUUUUUAAUAGAAUAAUUUCUCAAGGGACUAUUAAAAUUACUAAUAAAAAUGUCAGACACACCCACGUACCAUCGACACAAUUGACUAUGAGGAUCCAUGUUUUGAACUGCCACAUAAUGUUCAUCAAGAAUAGAAUAUGGCUCGUGAAAAGAAAAUUUUCUGAUUUUGGCCUGGAACAAAAAAAAAUUAAAUUGAAGGAGAAUCUGCUACUUUCUCAUUAAGAAAGGCAGACAGGGUAUACUAUGGUACCAUACAAUAUAAAAAGUCUCCGUUCUCUGGCUUUUCAAACUCUGAAGGGGGCAAUAUUCCCCAAUUCCCCCUUGAAAAUUCUGAUUACGACAUUAUUCAUCACUUGAUACAUAAGUACAAGUAGUGACAAAAUUAGGAAAAAUAUGACUCAUAAGUAAUUACUAGGCAGGGCUCUUGAGAGCAACAUUGUACUAGGCUUUAUAUGCAAACAUGGUGUGGUACAUAGAGCACGUUGAAUUCCACACUAUAACACAAACCCAGAAAGACAAGUAAUAUCUCAACUGAUAUAAAGACAAAAAGAAGAUAAAAUGAUACAGAACAAAGAAUUUCUAAGAGAUAGCAACAUACAAUAGACUGAAGCCAGUUGAUCUGCUCAUUGAUUGCAGCCUUAAACUUGCAAAUGUUUACUGUAGCCUGGUGCUCUAAGAAGUGAAAAUGAUGCAAACCUUGAUUCCCUGUUUACUUCCAUUUACCAUCAAACAUUCUAUUCAUAAGAAAAAAAAUGUUUAGAUAUCUUGCCGUAAAUAUAGCCAUUUGAUUGUCUUAAUAAAGCCACACACAACCAUUCAUAUUGAUCCACAUUGCCACAUAGCCUGAUUUAAGCAUACAACACCUGAAUGUAUACUGACUCCUAACCUUAUCAAUACAUUGGCGACAACUUAAGAAGAAAACUAUUUCUCCAUCUCUUUUUUGAAAUUUCACAAUAAAAUAGCACAAUGUAAGAGCUGCAAUGAAAAUGGACCAUCUGGAACUAUGGCGGAAGCUUCAACUAGUGUAGUGAUUUGACCUUCUUAUUAACCUAGCGAGAUCAAACACUGCCCUUGAUCUUGAACAGAUCAAUACGAUACGCACAACUUAUGAUUGAAUCCAGAAACAAUCAAAUCUUUAGCAAGAAUAAUUAAUCAGAAUCAAGAAACAAGUUUAAUGAAUAUAAACCUAUAAUUGGAACAAACACAGCAAAAGAACCCAAGAAUGACACAACCAGCACCAAGGGAGAAGCUUUCCAGUGAGAUUAUAUUGAUGAUCAAAGAAGAAUCUUUUUACAAAGCUAACAAAAGAGAUUUCAGAGAAUAAGCUAUGACCCUCUCUCUUCUCAAUCUCUGUCUAGUUUGUUAACAGUGAUGACCCCAAUCUCCUUCGUUAGCCAGCUUCAUAACUGCGUCAGUGACAAACUAGCAAACCCAGAUUGAGCAGACUAACGACACGUGCAUAACGGCUUUAACGAACUUGGUUAAAGAACUGCUCACAUGUUCGUCACGCGUGUUGCUUAAAUGAUAGCCAAAACGACUUCAACCAGAUGCCGUUUUGAAGCUUAUGAAUUAUAAGUGAAAACACGUGCUUGUCUCGUGACAUUUAAAUGCAACAACAAGCCCAAAACACUGCCGGUCCACUAUGUUGAGUUUGCCAUCUCUAAGCUUCACAACUAGCAGCGGACAAGAUGAUAAUUUAAUUGACUUGGAGAGCUUUUAUAUCACUUUUACAACAUUCUAUAUAAUUGUGAUAUUGGGAAUCGUCGGUGUUGUAUAUGUGAACCCUCGUUGGCGACACUGGUGGUUUUAUCUUUAUUGAAAUAUGGAUGACUUUUCGUUACUAUUUUGUUGUACAUAACCUUAUUCUCAGGAGAUUUAAUCAUUGAAAUUAACAUGUUAGUUUCAUUAGAAGGCUGAGUGGUUAGGGCUGCUACCUUCCAACUUGGAGGGCAAUAGUUUGAACCCACAAGCGCAAUGUGGGGGUAUUUCAUUCUUUAAUUACAUUGUAUAAUUGAAUAAAGAUAAUAUUCUCUCUUACCCAAGUGUGAGUGGAGUAGACAUCCUUCGAAUAUUAGCGAGGGUUAAAACUUGGGCAGAGCUCAAUAAGUAUUGAUGUAAGUUGGUCCUAAUAAUAGUCUGAUUUGUAAAUAUCAGUUAUAGUCUCAUGUUUCCUUCCUUAAUUAUAUUGCAUAAUUAAGUAAAUGUACUCUUUUCUCUUACCCAAGUGUGAGUGGAGUAAACAUCUCUCGAAUAUUAGUGAGAGUUAAAAUCUGGGCAGAGCUCCAUAAGUAUUGAUGUAAUUUGAUCCCAAUAAUAGUAUGAUUUGUAAAUACCAGUUAUAGUAUCAUGUAAUAUGAGUUGUAAUUUGAGUAAUAAUUUCAUGUAAUUACAAAAAAAAAUGUUACUUUCAUUACUUUUUUCUUCGUUAAAAUUCUCAAGUAUCAAUUAUGUUUGCUUAAGAAAUAAAAUUUCAUUAUGAAAAUUGUAGCAGUAUUUCCGAGCACCUCACAUUUUCAAUGAUUUUUCAUAAAUCAAUUAAUCUGCCAUACCAAUAUCAGGUUUAGUUUUUCAGACUAAAUGAUCAAGAAAGCAAACAUACAAAUUCACAUUUUAGAGGGGUAAACUAGCUUUUAGAUUUUAGAACUAGGCUAGCUACCUCACCAAAUUCCAAUCUGUACAGUGAACUACAAGAUUAAGAAAAUAAUGUAUUUAUAGUUUAAUUGAAUCAUGAGAAAACAAUGUAGUCAUAGCUCAAUCGGACAUGAUCACGGAGAGGCAUAUUCUUUUCAAGUUAAUUUGAUCCAUUUAUAAGAAAUGAAGUGGAUUGAAGUUAAAAGUUCAAAUAACAAAUCCUUGUUCUUGAGUUUUACGACGUCGUUACUCCUUCAAGAGGCUGAUUAUGCGAGUGAAUGAGGAAACAGAAUGCAUUAUCCAAUUUCACUCAUAUAGAAAAUUAAUUUUUUAUAUAUACUAAUCAACACUAGAUUGAUUAUGUUUUGUAUGUUUAUAUGCUAAUCAACAAUAAAUUAUAGUAAAUGAAGAAAUGCUUCAAAAUUUUUUAAUUUAAUUUAGAAAAUCAAUUAUUAACAUUAAUAUUCCUAAUAAAAAUUAUUUUCCAUCGGUAUUCAAAAUUUUCACUUAUAGAAAAUGCGUUUUACGUGAAUACAAGUUAUUGUGUAAAUUUGAAUGAUAGCGAAAAAUAUUUUUUUUAAUAAUUGUAAAAAUAAUUAACCAUAACAAAUCGCUUGCGUAAAUAAUAAUCAUUAUUUAAAAGGUAGAAAGAUGGUUAGUGCACAAUCAAAUUUUAAGCCCCUACCUCCUCGGCCCAAUAUUCAAACUUAGAUGAUCAGCCAAAUAAAAUUAUUUGAAAAUCAUUCAAUCAGGUUCUCGGGGCAAAAAUACAAGAUCCUUAUUUGCAUGAUAUAUAUGAAUUAAUGUAAUUUAUUUGAAUUAUCCAAAUUCAUUAGAGAUAAAACUAUAAAAUAUACGAAAAAAGUUAGAAGGAAGGGUGUGUUGGGAUAUUUUACAAACUAUAGGAAUCUGGUGAGAUUUUGAGCCAAACUGUAGGGAGUUGAAGGCAUUUGCCCAAUAUGUUUAGCCGUACACUAACCGUUAUUUGAUCUUGUUGUUGGUCCCGGAUGAGCUAUAGUCUUAUUUUAAUUUUAUUUAAACUCACCAUAAGAUUCGCAGAGCUCCUAACUAACUUAAAUGACUCUGCAGAGCAUGUCAACACAUAGCAUGUUUAACCGUUUUAUUUGUAGAAGAAUUUAUGAUUUCCCAUUAGCAUUAUUAUUGAAGUGGGGCGGGUCAAAUCUCAAUUGCUUGAAAAUUUUAUUUAUUAUUAUUAAUUUUGAAGUGGGGUGGGUAACGGUUCGUUCAAUUCGAGGGAAUCAAAUAUAUCAUCCAAGGUAGAAUUGUGGAAAAUUAAAGCAAAAUAAGAAAUAUGGACAGAAAAGAAGAAAGUUAAUGCAUGAAAGACAUUUACAGUUGAAAUUGAUAAUCAUGUUUCUAUUUUGUUAACUAAUCAAAUGGAAAACUGAACUGUAAACAAACAUUAAAACGUGUGGACCAAGCUAGCUGCCCUACAAGUCUACAAUAAUAAUUGAGUACUUUGAUUCAUCCUUCUAUGAAUUUCUACCCAUAUUGACUCCUCCGAAAUUUCCACAAAAUAAAAAAAAAAAAAAAACUGAAUUUCCACAAAAUGCAAAACCCGUAGAACUUAAUUUUUGGUCAUGUGAACUAAGAUGUAAAUUAAAGAAAAAGUAUAAAAUUAAAAAAGAUAAAAUUUCUAAAAUGUGUGGAAGGUGAUUCAUAAUUCACUGAAAUUACUUGCCCCAGAUAUAUAGGUAAACCUAUCUAAUUUCAUUAAAAAUAGUUGGAAAAAAUUAACUAAUAGAAAGCUACGGAAAUUAACCCCCCACAAAAAUAACUUUUUAUAGAAGAAUUUAUGUUUUUUAAAAUAUGUUAUCAAAGUGUAUUUGAUCAAAUCUCAAUUGCUUAGUAUGCUUAGGAUUUUGUGAACAUCACUAAAAAGCGAAAGCUAUGAAUGAUAGGGGUGAUGCUUGCAAUAUGAAUAAAUAAUGGACUGAUUCAAUUGAUGAUUACAUUUAUAUAUUAUUGAUUAUUUAUGAAUUUUCAGACUUGUUACGAUGUAUAACUAUGUGAUUUUGAAACUUGAAACCGUGGCAAACAUUGAAAGGAAUUAUAACUUGAAAUCAUGACUCACGGGGUAUGUCAUGAUUCACGUGCACAAAAAAAGGUAGAAUUGUGGAAAUUUAUAACCCAACGACAAAUACGGAAAGAAAGGAAGAAAAUUAAAAGACUUCGGGCCUAGCCUGCGUGUAUUAAUUAUUAGAUUAUUUUUUUUUUAUAAGGGUAAUCAUCAAUUUACUCCAUAACAAUCUUUAAUUCAUUUCUUAAAACUAUCAAAACUUUAAUUUAUCUUUUAAACAUCGUUACCUCUUCAUUGGUUUUAAUAGUUCAAAGGGUAAAAUUAUGUUUGCAUAUUUUCUUGACCGCCAACUAAAUGAUAAAACUCAAAAUUCAAUCUUGUUAUCUUGUUUCAAUCCUCUAUCAAUCAAAUAAGAUUUCUAAAAUAUGUGGAAGAUAUUGCAUGAUUUCCUCAACCUACCUGGCCCGAACAUCAAGGUAAAUAUCUCUAAAAUAGUUUAUUAAAUCUCAGUUGCUAAGUAUAGUAAGGAUUGUGUGAACAUCAAUCAAAACUAUGAUUGAUAGAAGUGAUCUUUGCAAAAUGAAUAAAUAAUUAACUGAAUCAAUUGAUUUACAUAUUAAAGUUUAUGAAUUUUCGGACUUGUUGCGAUAUAAUAAUAGCAUAUGAUUUUGAAACUUGAAACAGUGGUAAAUAUUGAAAGGAAUUAAUUUGAAAGCAUGAUCCGUGGGGAAUGUGAUGAAUCGUGUUUACCAAAAAGGUAGAAUUGUGGAAAUUUAUAACAGAACGAUAAAUAUGGUAAAAAGGAAGAAAAUUGAAAGACUUGGGGCCUGGCCUGGGUGUAUUUUCUAACAGUCCAAUGGACAAAAUUAUAUUUGUAUACUUUCUUAACAGUCAACUGAUUGAUAAAAGUCAAAACUGGUCUCUUUUUUUUUUCCUUGUUUCAAUCCCCUCUCAAUCAAAAAUGUUUCCUUGUCUAAGCAAUGAGGAAUAUGGCUGAAAAGAUUGCUAUUAGAAAGAUUUAUCAAUUGUAAUUGGUUUAAAAUUGAAUAGACACUUCAUUUUUAAGAUUGUUAUGAGUCAAUAUAGGUCCUAUUUGGGAUUGAGUUCUUGUAAUUUUUAAGCUACAGCGGCUGUGGAAAAAAAAUUAUAAUUAUGAAAUAAGAGUUAAAAACAUGUAAUAAAUAUAAAUUUUAAAUAAUAGUUUUGACAAAAUUAUAAAAUAUAUAAUAUAUCUUUCAUAAUACAAGUAAAAGAUCAUAUCAACAUAGAUUGCAAGCCACAACAGUUAGUGUUUACCAAACAAUUUAGUGCUGUAACUUUCAAGUUACAGCUGCCCAAUCUCAAUUUCAAAUGCACUUAUAAAGUGACUUGCUUCAAAAGCCUAGCAACCCAAAUUGGAAUGCUUUCAUUCAAGUGGCUAUAACUAAGAUAUAACGUCCCUAAGGAAGAGUAAUUAAAAAAUGUACCUUCUUUAACAUGUCCGUAUGGCAUUUUUUUUUUAAGUGAAUUUGUGUGAUAGAGAGAGGAUGUCAGCAAGAUAGUAAACUCCUAAAUAUAUUAUUGUUUGUAAUGUCUAAAAUUUGAAGAGAAUCAAGCUAAUAAAACUCCAUUGAAAUUAGACCUUCAAGAGUACGGUUCUUGGGCAUUAUAAAAUGUUGUAAUGUCGAGAGAUUACCCAACCAUUAUGGAAUCCUACCAAGAUGAUUGUUACCACUAAGAUACAAUCCUUCUAGUGAACAACAAUCAGACAAAUUUUUUGGGGAUCUCUCUUACAAAGUGAUUACCAUCCAAUCGCAAUUUUGAAUGAAAAUAAAUUUUUUUUAUUGGGAGUUUGACCUUAACAUUAAAUUUAGACAAUGAAUUUUAACUUUCUUCAAUUAUUAAACAGUUUACAGACAUUUGACAAAUUUGAAAACACUUCAUCCAUAGAAAGUUAAAAUUAGAGAUGGAAGCUAGGUGCUACAGCUAAUGGGAACAUUAAUUCCUGUCCCUCAUCACACUUUAUUUUGGGUCUAAUAAUUUUACGGCAGCAUUGACCACUGCUCAAGGUAAGUAAAACUUACAAAUGUGUGGCAAAAUAAAUAAUUAAGUGCAUAAAUUGUUAGCUAAUUUUCUUGAUAUAUACAGCUAAAGUAGUCGUUCCCCUUUAAAAAAAAUGUUAAACAAUUUCGGCUGAGCCUGCUUGUGGUUUUGAUAAAAAGGAGGGGCUGGCUUCAAAUAUUUGAAUAGGCAUCUCCGCCGUACCUCAAACAAAUCUGUCAUUAUUUGUGCCAUGAAACAUGUUUCGGCCGUCGAAGUCACGAGAGGGUUGAUGACGCUACUACGUAUGAUGACACACCAGCCGACAGUGUAGUAACAGCUCAAAAACAAAAUCUACCAAAAUCAACGAAAGUUAAUAAAAAUUUAUUUUAUUAAUAAAAAUAAAUAAAUAAACUUAUUAUUUUUGGAGACGUGUGUAUUUGAGUCUGUGGACUGAAAUGGAAAAUAUGAAGAAGUUCAGAGUCGUUGUGCAGAUUGACUUCAGUUAAAUGGGUCUAGUAGAUAUUUUAUGCUGACGUGGCACGAAUUAGUUAUAAUCUGUUACAACGUUUCCAGAAACAUCAGUAUAAAUAGAAGCUGAUGAGCAGUGCCUGUUGUACGAUCCUUUUUCUUCGUCAGUUGUUCGUCAAUUUUCAUAGAAUCUGUUUCAUUGUGAUCUGUACAAAGUCUUCUGUAAAUCCACUUAUGUUUGAUUAGUUGUUGAUCACUAACGAAGUAAAUUUUUCCUUCAAAUCUUGCUGGUUCGUGCCCCUGUUUCAGUUCUGGAUUUUUCUUUUUCUUUUUUUAGUUCUGGUUUCUUAAUUCAAUUGAAUUUCUUGGUGCUUAAUUCAUCAAGAUUCAGUGGAAUCGACUUGAAAAGGAAAACAUUAUCCACCUGGAACGACUUCAAGUCCAAAGUAAAAGACAAGAGUGGCUCCCCGCAAUUUUCUUGUUUUCAGUAUAUUUUCUCUUUUUCUUUUUUAAAAUCUUUUGACGCAUGCAUAAUAUACCCUUGUUUAUUAUCUCUACUUUGCUCUGCUCAAGUCCAUUUUUUUCAAAUAUUAUUUUAAAUAAUAAAUUUAAUAAAAGUACAUUUGUGUAAUUAAGACUCUGCUAUUAUAUCACACAUACGCAUAUAAUAUAACUAAGCAUUUGUUAUUAUAGCAAAGAUCCAUAGCAUGAAAGUGAAUAAAUUUAACUAAAUGGUUAAUUAAUCAAUUAAGUUUCAUGAGCUUUAAUCGAGUUAAAACCAAGUACAAACAUCGUUAACAAAUACUGAAAUUGAGUAAAUUAAAAAAAUAAAAAAAAUUAAUUCAAGUAAUAUGUAGUUUUUACAUGUUGAUCAGCAGAAUACAACAUUAAAUUUUGUCAUUGACAAUAUUGCAUACCAGUCAUCUAAAGCAUUACCUCACGAGGUUUUAUGAGAAACGAAAGAUAAGUGUUUGCUCUGAACAAUUAAAGUUGCUGCUACCAACCUCCCCGAAGACCAAGAAGACGGAACAGGAAGCUAAUGCAUCAAUGUCUUCUUCAUUAUAGCUGCUGCGUAGUUAGGUGUAGUUUCCUCAUUUGAAGCUGUCUAUACAUAGGCUUUCCCCCUGCUUAUGUACAAAUAAAUGAACAGCCUUGAAGCUUUAUUAUUCGCAACAAAAGGGAUUACCAAUUGGAGAAGACUUUACAGAGUUCCUCUCACACACUCUCUCAAUUUCAUCUAGAAGUCCCUCCGAAAGCAUCUCCCAAAACAGUUAGUCAUCUUUUAUACUCUGUUUUCUAGAAACAGAGUCCUAACUAAAUUAAUUGACUGUACAGUGCAUUUCAACAUAGCAUAUUUAACCGUUUUAACAGUAAUUUUAACCGUCUUCUGAGUUAUCAUCAACAAAUUCAUUCAUAUUUCUCCAGUCUUACGGACGAUAUCAUAUGUUUAAUAAUGAAUGAAUAGUCUUGGAUCAGUGUUUUGCAGCAAAUUCACAUCAUAGUUUUGAUUCUUUAGAUAUGAAUUCAUCACAUUACCGAAAAGAAUAUGCGCUAAAAAAUGAUUCCAAGACUAUUUGACUACCAAAAGCUGCUGUCAGAGUGCACUGAAAUCUUGACUCCUCUCAGCGAAAAAUAUAUCAAAGUUUAGAUUAUGUGUUCGAGCUUUAAUAAAUGCCUGAGUUAAUAAUAAUAACAACAAUAAUAAUAAACUAAAAAGCAAAAUUACUAUUGAAUGAUCGGAAAAAAAAAAAUUUGAAAACGUGUGAACUCCAAUAACCACCCCACAAAUUUAGUGGCGAAUUUUGGAGAGGGCAAGGCCGGGCUUCUCAGAAAAAAAAUGACGAGUAGAAUUGUGGAAAAUUAAGCAAAAUGACAAGUAUGGAAAGGAAGGCUGAAAGUAAGGCAUGACGAAAGGCUUUGAGAAGGCUGAAGACUACCAAAGAAGACAACUGAAAGCUAGUUGGGGCCUGGGUGUAUAAAUUGUAGAUGUGUUUGUUAUAAAUAACAUAGAGCCCUUUUGUUAUUUAUAGUUAUAGAGAAAGAGAGAAUGUGUGUUUUUUAAUAGUUAGAGAUAUAGCUAGAAUGGGUGGUUCAAAAUCCAAAAUGGUGACAAUGUUAGUUCUCGUAUUAAUAAUAUUAGGGAGGGGGGGGGGGGGGGGUGUGGAGUGAGGGAUGUUUGGAGCAUGAGGAAUUUGCUCAUUUUCGGCUUAAACAUUUCUUCAAUUCCCCUUAUAGACUUCAAAACUGGGUAGGUGAACAAAGGGAAAGGGUUGAGUGCAGCAACUCCACAGGCCGAGUGGUACAACUACACCUUAGUCUUACUAGGAAUAUCGAUCUGGGAGUGUGGUAUCUGAAUGCUUCUCUAUUUACUCCCUUUCAACAACUUGGUAACAAAAUAGCCGGCUGCAUGCGUUGAGAAUGAAGGUCCUUCAUUUAAUUUAAUUUACUUAAUUUCUCCCUCCUAAUUAAUGUCUAUAACCAUUAGGAGGAACAAGGGAUUUUAUUAACUCAAAUAUAUCUAAUGGAGCUCAUUCUUUGGUUUUACUUGCAGGUAUAGAAGCAGGUGUCAUCUAACAGCUGCUUUGAUAAUUUCCCACCCCUUCAUCUUUGAUGGAAAGAUGAAAUAAAAACAAAAUGGUGAAAAUGGUAUUGGUACCUGAGGCUAUGUAAUCUAAUUCAAAAACUGCACCAUCAAAACGAUUACAUAAGUCCCAGAAGAAUCAAACGUUAGUUUGCAAAAUAUCAAUUGCUGGAGUUGUUUCGGUUGCACGUUAAUAUCAAUUCCGCUCUUGAUUUUUAUGGGCAUGUUGUAUUGUACUUGCAUACGAAAAUCAUAUUUUAGUUUACUUCACUCAACACUUGGAUUAAAGUUUUAGGUGGGGAAAAUUGAAGGAGACUAAAAUGACUCAAAAAAAUAGUUGAAUGAGUGAGGGUUUUGUCUUCAUUUAAGGAGCUCUUUAUAAAUUUUAGGAUUCUUUUUCCUGAGAAAAUUUAUGCCAACUCAUUCUUUGCUUCUUUUUUGAAGGGACACAUGCAACCGAAAGUAUAUUCUUGAAUUCUCCAGGAUAAGAGACAUACGUUUAGAUUCUGGAGCAUUUAAAACAAUGUCAAAUUUUAGAUUGCUGAAAUUUUAUAUAUCCGAGUAUGAUGGUAUUCCAAUUAUAAGCUCCAGGGUGCAACUUCACUGAGGUUUAGAAUGCCUUCCUAUAGAAUUGAGAAAUCUCCAUUGGCCUAAAUAUCUUUUGAAAAUACUGGCAUCAGAUUUUGAAUUGGAGAACCUGAUUGGACUCAGCUUGCCUUGUAGUAAGGUUAAGCAAAUUUGGAAAAGAGAAAAGGUAUAAUGUAUUACUAUUACCAAAGUAUCUAUUUUUCUUUCUUUAAGUAUUUAUAAUGAAUAACUUUGAAAUUCAAUGAUGCUCAUUUAGUAUAGUUAUGUAUCUUUGGUUAUAGGAAGCUGUCAAGUUAAAAUCUAUAGACCUUCACCACCCCUCUAUCUCAAUAGGAUCCCAGAAAUACUAAAUCUUAAAAAAAUAAAUCUUUCAAAUUGUGAAAGCAUGCUUACGUUACCCCCGUAUAUCCACAAUUUCAACUAGCUGAGUAUGUUGUGUUUCAGGGAUGCAAAAUUCAUUUUGUUUCUCAUGAAAGGAUUGACUUGUCCGGAUGUAUUAGGGUUAAUAAACCAACUAAUCCCAUAAUUUGUUGAUGUAGUAGAUUGUAGAUCAGUACACUAUUCGAAAAUGUAUUUGAUCCACACAGUGAAGUGGAUAUUGGACCAAUUUGAUGAUAAUGAUUUUCUUUCAAUCUCAAUCUUUUUUCCUUUUAGCAACAUGACUAGUCAUUGCGCAAAUUCAAACUCUGACAAUGAUUUCUCAAUCGGUUUCUAAGAUGAUGACCAUGCAUGUAUAUGUAUAUGCGUGUGUAUAUGUGUGUGUGUGUGUGUGUAGAGAGAGAGAGAGAGAUCACACGUGUGUGAUUUCCUUUUGCCAAUAGGAUAUGCAGAGAGCUUGAUCUUACCCAAUAGCGAAACAAACUUCCUAAUAAGUGAAGGUUAGUAUAAAUACUUACACUUUCAUGUUAUUUUGUUCAUCAGUAGCUUGAUUAUUUUAUAUGCGUCUUCGAUUUUAAUUUUCUUUCCCUAUAAUCACUAUUAUCUUUGAACUGGUCGUGAUUUGCGUAUAAGAUUUCUCAUGUUGUUUUGAGGUGCAAUGGAUUUUGAAUUUAGUGACGAGCGGUGGAAGCCAGAAGGCAGAUUAUGAAAAUGGAUAAAGAUCUAUAAUUAGCUGUUAUGGGAUGUCACAUAUCAUAUUGAUGGUAACAUUAUAUAUAUGUACAUAUAAUUAAUGGGGUUGGCUCACGAGCCCAUUAAUAAUCAUAUAUUAGCUUAAAUACUUCAAACAAUGUACCAUGAAGCAAUUUCACAAACACUUUUUAGCUUAUGUUGAGCUUUAUCAAUAAAAUGCAGGUUUGCUAUUUUACGUACAUGGUUAUGGUGUGUGCAUUCUUCAUAAGGCUAACUACUAAUUUAUCAAUGAAACUUGAAAAAUGUGACAGAGAGAUGUCGAUAACAGCCGCAAAACACUGAGAUCGAAAAUCAGGGCUACUAAAUACUAUUAAAAGCUCUUAAAAUAGACAGUGAUCAUCCUUAAUCGCAAAGUUAUGCACUAAUAGAACUAUUGACUACUUAUCUUUAGCAGAAGGUAUAUUUUUAACUACAGCUUUCUGCUUUGUUCUAAGAACUAGGCAAGUGGUAUAUCUUCAAUCCAAUCAACGCAUAUACCACUUAUCUUCCUCUUCACUUUUGUCUAUUUUGAUUUCCACUUUAUAUCCUGCACUUGCUGCUUAGAAAUAGUCUUAGUCUGGACAUUGAAAGUAGAAAAAGUACUUGAAACAAUCAUUGGCACAGCCCGAGAUUCCAUUGAAUCGUGGACUCCAAGCUUUCAUAGUUCUAUAAAGAAAAUGACAUAACUUUAUACAACUGGCAUUCUGCUUUUAACAUUUGAUCAACCUGAGCGAGUUAGCAAGCCUCUUGUCGCGUUCCCAUUGAAUAGACCUACUUCUGUUAUCCACAGAAGAUCCACCACUCAAAAUGUUUAUCACCAGGCUAUUCUUAAACUGAGCCUAAACUGAGUAGAAAUUUCCGCACAUCUCUCAACAUUUACAUGAAGAAAUCGACAACUAUCCUCAUCUCUCAGCACAUCUCUCAGCAUUCUACAAAGUUGCAUUUCACUAAGCAAUCUAUCCUCUCCAUUCCUAGCAAAGUGACAUUGAUUCAUGUAUUUGUAAUCGCCUAACUUGGGUUUUGGGCAUAGCGUGGUCUUAAAAUUACCACCCAAUACUUUGUUCAGUGCCACUGGCAUCCACAAGCUCUAGCCCUGUUAGCUGAAUCAUAUUCAAUGGGAGAGUGAGGCAGCAUUUCACUAACAUAUUCAAUUUGACUACUUAUAUUGAUGCAAAUAUUAGAAUUUGAAAUCACUUCUUUUCUUGGAAUAUUAUAUUAAAAUGACCCCAAAUGAAAGUUCUUUAAUGGAAAUUAUUUUUAUUUAAUUUUCCAACAGAUUCAAGAAAACCCAGAGAACACAAAAUUUACACAGUAAUAUGAUUAAGAGCUGAGAACAUACAUGUAGUAAAUGUCUAUCAAAAAACACCCAAGUGUUUCUUUAAAAUUAGAAACUAGUAAACAAAAAGAAAGAAUCAUUUUACAUUUUUAGCAACUUUGGGGUGAGUGAGUGAGUGAGUGAGUGAGAAAUUGAAACCCUAAAGUGAUGACAACAGUAAGAUUCAGUAUGAAGUGAAACCCCAAUUUGAAAUGUAGGCAUGAGUUGCUGAGUCAGUAGAUGAAGCUAUAAAUAGGCAUUCGGUUUCCUUCUUUUCGGUUUGGAGGGCCAUGGAAUAGUGUAUUGGAGUGGGCUCCAAGUAAUAGCCUCUAUCACUGGAACGACACAUCUGUAAAACGUGAUACAUGGGGAAGGAUUGGGCAUUAUAUUCUUAGAUUAGCGCCUUAUUUAGGGUGUAUAUUAAGCAAAUUAUAUAUUACAUGGAGAUGGAGUUUAUGAAAUAGAUUAAAAAGAAAAGGAAAUUUCGGUGUCUAAAGUUUGCUACUUGGAAUAUUUCGGUGUCUAAAAAUUCACUCACCACUUAUUUCAUGUUUGAUUAUAUGUUGAAAAGAUAUUAAAAUAGUAUAAUGCUAUUAAGGCUUAACGUAUAUUUUUUAUUAGUAGAGUGUAGAAUUUUUAAGAAAUAAAUUAUUAAAUUAUUAUAACUAACAUAUUAUUUUAAAGUUGUGUUAUGAAAAAAAUGAAAUAAAAAUGUACAAUAAAUAAGAAUAUUUUAAAACUUUUAUCUUUUUAAAAUUAGUUUUUAACAUAAGGUGAACUAUUUUUUUUUUUAAAUCACAUAUUCUAGUUAAAAUCAAAUAUGUAUUUAUAUGAAGCUUGUAAAUUUUUUUUUUUAGUACUGAUAUUUGAAUAUUAUCAAUAAAAAAAAGGGUAAUGUUCAUGCUGCAUUAUUUUUGUAGCACACAAAAGGACAACAAAGUUUAUGUUAUAAUACUAUCGCUUCUGUUAUGAUAAUAUUUUUUUGUGGCCAAAUAUCUUUUUUUUUUUUAAGUAAAAAAAAGUGGACAAAAUGCAAAUCAGUUUUUAAUCCUCAAUCUCUCCCAAAAUAUAAAUUCGUAGGUCCAUGGGUUGUUAAAACUAUAGCCGACAAAAAGUUACUAACAAAAACAGAAUGUCCAUUUUAUAACUUUCUUAAAAAACUUUCCUUAACUUUUUUAAAAAGUUACCAACAAAAAGUUAUUUCUAAUUUUUAUUUUGUUAUAAUUUUUAUAACAAAAUUCGUAGUUAACUAAACUCUUCUUAUUCCCUUUCUCAACUGCCAUACCCUAACCCGAGCAAAUUGCGUAGGAUAUACCUGUUUUCCCUCAAAAUACUUAAAAUAUACCUCCAUAUAUUAAAAUUGCUAGCUUUACACAUUUAUACUUAAAAAGAUCAGGGAAAAUACAAAAAUAACCUUAAUAAAAAUACUCAACUUAUUAAUAUGCUUAAUCGACUCAUUUAAUAUUCUUACUCGACUUUUUACCGGACCAUACACUCGACUUAGUUAAUAUGCUUACUCGACUUAUUUAAUAUUCUUACUCGACUUCUUACCCGACCAUAUACUCGAUUUAUUUAAUAUGUUUACUCGACUCAUUUAAUAUUCUUACUCGACUUCUUACCCGACCAUAUACUCGACUUAUUUAAUAUGCUUACUCGACUCAUGUAAUAUUCUUACUCGACUUCUUAUCCGACCAUAUACUCAACUUAUUUAAUAUGCUUACUCGACUCAUUUAAUAUUCUUACUCGACUUCUUACCGGACCAUAUACUCAACUUAUUUAAUAUGCUUACUCGACUCAUUUAAUAUUCUUACUCGACUUCUUACCGGACCAUAUACUCGACUUAUGUAAUAUGCUUACUCGACCCAUGUAAUAUUCUUACUCGACUUCUUACCCGACCAUAUACUCAACUUAUUUAAUAUGCUUACUCGACUCAUUUAAUAUUCUUACUCGACUUCUUACCCGACCAUAUACUCGACUUCUUUAAUAUGCUUACUCGACUCAUUUAAUAUUCUUACUCGACUCAUUUAAUAUUCUUACUCGACUUCGUACCCGACCAUAUACUCGACUUCUUUAAUAUGCUUACUCGACUCAUUUAAUUUUCCUACUCGACUUCUUACCCGACCAUAUACUCGACUUAUUUAAUAUGCUUACUCGAUUCAUUUAAUAUUCUUACUCGACUUCUUACCCGACCAUAUACUCGACUUACUUAUCUCUAAUUCUUACUCGACUAAAUUCUCGAUUUACCCGACUUCUUCCUGCACUGAUUCUUCAAUCACUCAUAACUUAAAUGUAGUCUUAAAUCCCUACAUUGAAAUAGUGUGUGUGUGCAAGCACAAAAAAUGAAUAAUGUACUACUAAAAUUCAUAAAUCAUUAGGAAGUACACUUAUAAGAAAAAUAGAGAAUGGUGAGAGAAGCCCAAAAAAGAGAAGCAAUGGGAGAAGAGAGAUGUGAAUUCUUAGUUUUUUUAAGGUUAUUUUUGACUUGUCCUAUCUUCAUAAGGUAUAUGUGUGUAAUAGGGUACAAAUUUGGCAUUUAAGGGUAAAUUGAGGGUAUUUAAAUAAAAAACCCCCUAACCCUGUUCCCCAUGUCCCCACUAAACCACGCUCAAUUAAGGCCAUCAGAUUCUCCCGGGCCCACAUUAAUCCAACUGCUCACAGAGACCGACAGCCUCUCUAUCUCCAUUUCAAGCUCCCUCUUCAACUGGCUUCUGCUACCGUCCUACUCUUUCUCGGCUUCGGAGUCCGUAUUUGCUCGGCCUGUCCCACGAAGCUCCCUCUCACUCCAAUUGUCGCCCCACAAGACCAAUUGCUUAAUCAAGACACCGAACAAGAAGAGGAUGAGAAGUUGAAACAAGAAUUUGAGAAUUGGAAAUCAAAAACGUUUGAGAGUCGUUUCUCUUCAGAACUCAGCGCCUCAAUCUUGGGUUAAGGAUUUUAGAAGUCAGGGAAAGAGAUUGAAGUUUCAGAUGAAUUUGUGUGCUAGCAUUGAUGGGAUCUUUAACAAUUUAUCUGUGCCCUUUAACAAAGUUAAGUCUAAGUCAGCUUCUUAUAUGGCUGCUGAUUUGGUUAGUGUUGGUGAUUCAUGGCUUAGUUUUGCCAUUAAAAAUAGAUUGAUUGAGCCAAUAGCUGGAGCUGAAGACCAAGAUUGGUUCAAAUGCUUAAGUCACAAAUGGAAGGUAACAUCUUUGUCUUUGAUCCUCGAGGUAAAAUAUGGGCGGCACCAUACAGGUGGGGCACAACGGUGAUAGCCUGCAAGAAAAUUAAAUUUCGAAAGCAUAAUUUGGCUCCGAUUGAGGUAAUAAUUUUCUUUAAACUCAUUUAGUUUUAUAUCAAACAAAAUCAAGAAUGCCUUUCUCUUCAAUAUUUUUUAUGAUAAUAUCUUUAGAAGCAUCUCAUUGACGGGUAACAAUGGCAUCCCUGAAAGAGUCUAUAAACUCAAUGAUAUUAUCUUCUACAAAUGGUUCAUUAAACUUUGUCGUUGUACUCAAAUGUACACUCAGAGCAAUGAGAAGCUAUGCCACUUUAGCAUGUAGUGAUGGCACUUAAUAAGUGAGUUGCUAGGAUGUGAACUAGAAAAAUUAAAUAUUGUCUCCUUGGGUAUGCUAGCUCGUAAGUCAGGGUUAAUAUCAGAGCUUAAGAUAGUAUAACCGUGAGAACCUAUUGACUGCCAAUUAAAAUAUCCAUUAAAAUGUCUAGGGAGUUAUGAAGGUGGAGGUAACUUCCGAUUUCUAGGGCCACAUGGUAGACAUCAUCCAGGAUUCUAGGAAAGUGCAGUUAACUUCCUGCUCGAUGCAAUUAAUAAAUUUGGUCAAUGCCACUGAAACCUGCUAACUGACAUCACAAUGUGACAUGAGCACUUCAAAAUGGGACAGACGGUCAGUAGCACUAAUUUUUUCUUGGCUAGGAUUGAGCAAUUGGUCUAACUACUAAUCCCCUAUUGUAGGUUGAUCAUUAUUUUUUAAAUUAUGUUCAGUUUGACCCAAAAAGUUGCAGAAUCUUGAGCAGAAUUUUGUCACUGAACACUGUCAAUGUCAUUUAGCAUAGCCCACUAACUUGAUGUUAAAACAAACACACAGUGUGUCUCAUGUCUCACAAUUCAAAUUAUCAUCUGUAAUGAUGGAGAAUUUUUCCAAUGUAUGAAGUAUGCUUUGAUAUGUGGGUUACCUUGGAGAAGAUAUCUCAAAAUAAAGAAUAUGGGGAGAAAACAGUUCAGUAGUUUAUUAUUCUGUAGUCAAGUUUUGUCUCGAAAAUGGUCAAAAUUUAAAUGAAUAAGGACAGGGGAUCUUCAUUCUUUUUUCCCUUUUUUAUACCAAGAUAUCUCUCAACCUUUAUAUAAUCCCCACUGGAUAUCUGCUUCUAAUAAUUAAAAUAAAAAUUUCACCGCUCUAACAAUAAAAAGUAACAUCUUUAGUCAAAUAAUUUACAGUUCCUCAUCAUCUUAGUGUGAGACUAUCAGUACAUUCCAAAAACAUAAUAAAACUGGUUUGAUCCUGUUUAUUGAUGUUUAAAUGUUGUUCAUUGUGACAUGUAGAAAUGAUGAGGCGAAGUUUAUUUGGACAUCAAUUAGUAAGAUCUUGUUUGAAGUUGUUUUCUGAAAUUUCUGAAAUGAACUGCCAAAUGGUAGUUUUUUUGGGGCAUUUGAUGGCUCUUUUUUUUCCCUCAUUUUCAACAUGUGCCUGCUUGGAACAGGAAGGAUUAGGCUGCAGAGUUGUUAUAUAUUUUGAGAUGCUCUGGUCAUUGCACAAUUUGUUCACACUGGAAAUUAGAAUGAGAAAUUUGUUGAUGCUGUUUUGAGAGAUCUGCAUUCUAUGCACAAUAACAUGAUUAAUGAAAAUGCAUUGUAAGACUGGAAAGAUCUGUGGCAGCCUGAGCUCGCAGGAAGAAUUUCAAUGGUUAAUUCUCCCCGAGAGGUUAUUGGUUCAGUUUUGAAGUAUAGGGUAGCAUCAUACAAUUCAAAUGAUAUUGAUUCGCAAGUUGCUGGUGGGAAGAUUGCUGUUCAGCAGAAUCUGGCAUUACUGGCAAACCAGGUACUCUUACAGAAAUGAUAUCUGCUCAUUGCAUGUUAUUGCCUGACAACUGAUUUUGUUUGUAAAAGUCUGCUUCUUCAUACAGAUGAAUGCAUAUGUUAGUGUUUUCUUCUCCUUUUCAUACAUAUAAAUGCAUAUGUUAGUGUUGUCUUUUCUUUUUCAUACAUAUUAAUACAUAUGUUGGUGUUCUCUCCUGAGAUGGAUGCAAUAAAGGCUUUUGCUCCUAAAUUUAGCUGAAGAAAUGGCAAGGGAUGUGAGAUUCUGUCUCAUUAAAUUAACAAAAACCCAAAGCAAUGAAAAUCCAUAAUAAUGUGGUGUGGGUAAAUUGGCUCCAUUUGGUUUGUUUCCUUAAUGUGAAUGCGCGAGCAAUAGAGACUAACAAAAUGAAGUGACAACAAGAAGUCAGUGUCCUUUGAUGGAUGCAAUUUUAGGCAGAAAUCAGUGUCCUUUGAUGGAUGCAUUUUUAGGCAGAAAUAUGUUUGUAAUUGACCAAAUUUGUCUGGCAUGCCAAUUUCAAAAAAAUUAAAUUAUGUGGUUAUUAGCUGUAAUGAAGGAGGAUAGUAGGUGCAAUCAUGUGGAUCCAGGAAAGUUCGACAAAGUUUUGGUAUGGCGUAGUGAAAUUGGUUUGUGCAACUCAGGAGCCUUUCAGGUGAACGAUGAUAGGUUUUGAUUUAUGAAUAUUAUAAAUCUACUGUGCAUAGUAUUCUAGUAGAAUCAUCUACAAGUUCUAGUUAUUGAAAUUGUAUACUUUGCCCGGUUUGAGUUAAGGGCACAUGUAAUAUGAAAGAUAGUUGUCGCAUCUUUUAGGUUACCUAACAUUUGAUCAAUCCUAUUAUGGGGGCUUCAAGAUGUCUAACAAUAUGUAGAAUGCCCAUGCUCCUCCCCAUUGUUUAUCUUCUACAAUAAUUUGUUUUAAAUGCUAAUAUCUUUGUCGAUACCGGUAACAAUAUUACAAUAUCUGCAUUUAUUGGGUUUUACAUAGGUUCGACUGUUUGACAGUACACACUAUCUGAAGGCAUUUGCAAUUGGAGAUGUAUGGGUUGCUGUUGGGUGGAUUAGUGAUGUUCUUCCUACUGUCAAACAUAUGUCUAAUGUUGCUGUUGUUGUUCCCAAGUCUGGUGCUAGCUGCCUGCCAUUCUACUUCGAUAUUCACAUUGUUAUCUCCUUCAUAUUAGCGAUCAGUAAACACGAUAAUGUGGCUAAUAAGUUCGUAUUCUCUUUAUAGGCAAUCCCUGCUGCCUCAAGACUUGAAACAAAACAAAUUGGAGGGCGAGUCAGAGGUCCAUCUCCAUUAAUCCAUCAAUGAAUAGAAUUCUGCUUGCAAACAGCGAGAUUUUUGCCUUGCAAGCAAGAGGUUAUCCCGGGUGCAUCUCCCUCUGCCCUUGAAAGUACUCUGGUUAAGUUGCCUGAAGAACUUCUGGAGGGUAAACCAAGUCUGGAUACUAACUUAAUUGCUGGAGUACUCCCGGCUGAAAUUCUGGCCAGAUGUGAGUUUUUGGAGCCAUUAUCUGAAGCUACUUUGUCAGAUUAUGAGUGGCUGGUUGUUAAUCUGCAAAAACCUGCUCCUGUCUUGAUGAAAAGGGUGCAACAUUACUUGUCAUCAUUAAUCUAAAGCUUUCUAGCAAGAGCUACACUGAAAAGUUAAUGGCGCUGCAUGCCAGUCAUUAUAAUGCUGUCAGGGCAAUUGGGUCAGGGCAAUUAGGUCUGAGCAUAACUUCAUUAGGAAAAGAGGCUUCAGCUACGUUAAAUAUUACAGGAUGUACUGAGAUGGCUGAAGUUCUGAAGGUUUUAUGAGAAGCGAAAGAUGAGUGUUUGUUUGAACAAAGUUGUUGCCAAUCUUGCAGAGUUCGGAAAGAAAGAUCACGGAGCGAAUGCCACCGAUUUCUUCAUCAUUUUAGCCUCCAUAGUUGAAGUUUCCUCAUUUGAAGCUGUUUAUGCAUACGCUUUUUCCCUGCUCUAGUACAGGAAAUUGAAGAAUUAACCAGAUGUGAUAUGCUGAAAGAGGGAAGUUUUCUUCCUUGAAUGUGGCCUUUGUGAUUUGUCUUGAAGGAAUAGGAUGAUCACUGGCAAGAACCCUAUCAAGGUAGAUUUUAUGGUGUUAACAUAUUAUUAGGCAUUUUGUUACAUCAUGAAAGUGUUUAAAUUUAACCGAAUGAUCUUGAUUGAUCAAUUAUGAGUUUUAAUCGAGUAAAAACUAAAUACAAUAAUCGUUAACAAAUAUUGAAAUUGGGUAAAUAUGAUCUUGAUAUUGAAGAAUUUGAAAUCACAACCCACACAGGAAAUCACCCUUCGCGUGGGGAUGGAGAUGUUUACUGCAGCGAUAUUGAAUAUGUCCACUGCUCUUUGGGUUAUGGUGCGACUUGCGAUUUCAAGGUUGCCAUGAAACAAUGGAAAAGAUUAACAUACCCUCCAAUGAAUGAAAACGGGUGGACUAAUUCGGAUUACCUAAUUGACUCAGGAUCAAGAUCGGCUGGCAAUAAUAACAGUUUAUUAACAAUGCACAGUCCGAGUACCUUUCCAGGAUCAGAUACGACGUGGUCUAAUGUUGAUAAUAAUAGUUUAUUAAAUGACAAAUCGUUGUUCUUGGGUGUUGAUUUCAGAAAUAAAAUACAUUCUGAGAGAUGCUGGUCUACUAUUGCAAGCCCCCAGAUUUAAGAAUAUUUUGAUGAUAAUUUAUCACCGGCAACUGUGCCGGAAGAUUCAAGUAGCACUGAAAAAGAUGAUAAUUUAAUUGAUAUGGACAGUUUCCAUAUCACUUUUAAAUCAUCUUAUGUAAUUGUAAUGUUAGGAAGCAUUAGUGAUCUAAAAGUGAACUAUUAUUGGUGUCAUUGGUGGUUUUAUCUUGUUAAAAUAUGGAUGAUAUUUUAUUGUAGACAAUCUUAUUCAAUUAACAUAUGGUUUAAAACCAUUAUGUUUUAUAUAAAUCAAUCUACUAAUUUUCAUGAUAUUUAACUGAGUUAAAAUCAAGUGCACUCAAUAAAUGUCUUUUCCUUUAAAAAAACAGCUACGCUUUGAUUUUAGUGCUUAAUAUUUCGUAACUACAAAUUAUAUAAUUGCGAGUUGCUGUCCAUAGCUGCUAAUUUGUAGUGAUUAUCUAAUUGCCUGAGGUGACAAUAAUUCUUUUAUCUUCAAUAGCACAAUGUGGAAUUCAAUAAUUAAAUUCUCCUAUUUAAUUUGUUUCAAGUUAAAUUAUUAAUUACUUAAACUCUGUUUUAAGUCUUUAAUUUUAUGUGUUUAUGCAGAAUUGGAUUCUUGAGCGUGUUGGACAUGACCAACAAUGAAAUUGACAGUAAACAAACAUUACAACGUGUGGACUCCGGUAAGCACCAAUGAAUUUCUAGCCCUGUUGACUCCGCCAACUAAAGUUUUGUAAAAUAAAAAAAUAAUACAUAGAAUUCCACCAAAUGCAAAACGCGUGAAAUUUAAUUUUCGGCCGUGUGGACCAAAACAUAAUUUAACGAAAAAGGAAAAAAAUAAUAAGAUUUUUAAAAUGUGUGGAAGGUAAUCCAUAUUUUACUGAAACGACUUAUUAAAUUUUUCAAGGAUUUAGAAUAUUUGAUCAUAAAUUACGUGCAUGUUAAUUUUUCCGCCAUUGACUAUCAUAUUCUAGACUUAAUGGUACCUUUCUUGAUGAAGGGUACUUAGUCUCUCUUCUCCUCUUAUAAAAAUUAUAUUAAUUGAUUUCUUGUUAUAGUUAAUAGACUUUAAGAACGGAUAGAUUUAUUGUUUUCAUGACCAAAUUAUGCAUGCCUAAGGUUGCAACUAUUAAUAAAAUUAAUAUUUAAUGUUUAUGUUAAAAGAUAUAAGUUUUUAUGCAUUCAUUAAUUGUUAUUAGCUAAAGGAUGAAUUAUUUUUUCCCAAUCAGUUGAUGCAUCUGCAAUAGUUUUUUUUUUCUUUUAUUGACCAUAAUUAUAUUCCGGGUGCAAUAAAUUGUCUUUGGUGCUUGGAAAAUAUGACAUCUCUCCGUCAACUUACUGGAAAUAUCUCCUCAUCUACUCGCAUUUAUCUAAUAUCAAUUGAAGAUCUCAUAUUUCCAAACUAUGACUUCCAAAUCUCAUUAUCAUUUGAGCAUUCAAAACUAAUCAAGUGUGGAAAUAAUCAAAUAUAUGCAAAAAUCGAGUCACAAUCUUUGGCCCCUCAAAAUUCUAAUUAUAUAACUUCUAUAUAUCUCAUACAUUUUCCAAAUUCCUCUUCCAUCAACAUCACUAGGAGUAUGUUCAUCUCUCACACAUUAACUUGAGUGAAGAGUUUCUAAAUUGAUUGUUAGAAAAUAAUACAAAAGCUAGACACGCUUGAUCUGUCUAAUAAUUCUCUUUCUGUAAAAUUAAUUAAUUUUAGGGGAAUUUAGCCAACCUCUGUAAUUUCAGAGUGAUCAUUAAUUAAUUAAACAAUACAAAUAUCUAAAGUGAUUAGAUGUUUGCUGACAAUACAAGUUCAUGGCUUGAAAUUUGAUCUCUAUCGAUUGACUUACAGAUGGACGUACUUGUGCCUUUCUGGUGAUAAUUGAACCAGAGAUGUGAAGCUGUAAGGAUUUGGCAGUAGUAAAUUGUUAUAAAGACAUAAUGACAAAUUCCCAUGAUUAUUAUUUUUUCCAAAAACUUUUUUACAACAAAUUCAUCUCGCCAAAAAUUUUAUUUUGCUAACUAACAAUAAUUGAGCACUUGACCGCAUUGACUCCACGUCUCCACCUACUUUCUAAGUAAAAACAUGGAAAUGUAAUCUCUACAAAAUGCCAAACGUGUGGAAUUUAAUUUUUGGCCUUGUGGACCAAAAUGCAAAUGAAAGAAAAAGAGAGAAAAAAACAAGGCCCAAAGACUUCUAAAAGAUGUAAAAGCUUUGGGCUUUUUUAUAAUGGUGGAUUUUUUAAAAGGAAAAAAUAACAACACUUCUAUGGUUUGUUUUGAUAAUCACAUUUACAUAUACUCUCUAAUUUUCAAAAUAGACACAUAAAUAUUUUUUUUCUACAAAUGUAUAUUAUUCAUAUUUUUUUAUUAUUUUUAAUAUCAUAUUAUUAUUUAUUAUAAAUGUUUAAAGUAAAUUUUUAGGUUGAAAUAUAAUAAAAGGGGAUAAUCGUUCUCCUAUUAAACACCCAUACUUUUAGUUUCUAUCCAUUUGUCAUCUCAAUCUCUCUCGAUUAUUCAUUCUUUCUAGCUCAAAACGCGUUGCUGUGGAAAAUUAUAGCAAAAAGACAAAUAUGGAAAAGAAAAAAGGGAAGAAAAUUAAUGCAUGAAAGACUUGGAGAAAACAACGAAGUAAGUCAACUAUAAUCUAGUUAGGUAUAUAAAUUGUUUGAUGCUUUAUAAGCAAAUAACAUAUAGAGACAGACAGUGUGUGUUCGUUUUUUCAUAGUUAAAGAUAUAGUUAGAAUGGGUGGUUCAAAAUCAAAAAUGGUGAUAAUGUUUGUUAUGUUAUUAAUAAUAUUUAAAAGUGGGUGGAGUGAGGGAUGUUUGGAUCACGAGAGAUUUGCUCUUUUGCGACUUAAACAUUUCUUCGAUGAUACUGGUAGUUAUCUUUACGACUGGGCCGAUGAUGAGGGAGCUACUGAUUGUUGUCAGUGGGAAAGGGUUGAGUGCAGCAACACCACAGGUCGAGUGACAGCGCUAGACCUUUCUGACACGUAUUCGGGAGAGUACGGCUGGUAUCUGAAUGCUUCUUUGUUUACUUCCUUUCAACAACUUGAGUCACUUGAUUUUAGUUUAAACAAAAUAGCCGGUUGUGAUGAGAAUGAAGGUACUUCGUUUAAUUUAAUUAAUUUACUUUCACUCUCCUAAUUUAAGUGGAAUAUUAAGACUGAGCAACUAUAUGCAUAUACAUUAGUUGACAAUUUUGACAUAUUUUUUGAAGUGAUUAAUUAAUUUUGAAAUUACACCAAUAUCUAUGAUCUUUUUUUUUUUUUUAAUUUUGCUUGCAGGUCUAGAGAGGUUAUCAAGAUUGAACAAUUUAAAGAUGCUUAAUUUAAGUUAUAACUGGUUCAACAAUAGUAUCUUAUCAUCUUUAACUCGUCUUUCAUCAUUAAGAUCAUUAAAAUUAUAUGCGAAUAAUUUGGAAGGAAGUAUUGAUGUUAAAGGUACAUAUUUAAAACUUCUCUCUUCCCCAAGCUCUUUCAUUAACCUGCUAAAAUAAGAUUCAAGGCUUUGAAUUCAAUUUUUUUAUGAUUAAUAUUUUAAAAAAAAGUUUUAAGCAAUUUAUAAAUACAAGUUUUAAUGUUUCUCAUAAUUUCAUCUUGUACUUUCAUAUGUCUUGAAUUUAAGAUUAAAAAAAAAACUCUAAUAGCGAACCAAACACCUCCACAACUUAUUAUUAUUAUUUUUUAAUUUGUGGUGAGGUUUGAAACAUUCAAGUCAAUUUGUACUUAUUACAGAAUUUGAUUCUUUGAGAGAUUUAGAGGAGCUAGACAUUGGAUGGAACAUGAUUGACAAAUUUGUGGUCUCAAAAGGUACUACAAAUACCAUAAAAAAAUGCCAACUUUUACAAAUAAGCUGGAUUCUUUGCCAUUUGGUUUAUUAUUUUACAGGUUUGAGUAAGUUGAAGUCUCUCGGUUUAGCUGGUAUCAAACUCAACCGUAGCAUCUUAUCUUCUCUGACUGUCUUUUCUUCGUUAAGAGAAUUACAUCUACGUGAUACCGGAUUCAAAGGAACAUUCGAUGUUCGAGGUAAGUCUAAGCCUUGCUUUCUCAUUUUAUAUAUGCCAGCUAGAUUUGUGUAUCAUUGACAUAAUUUAAUAUUUAAUUUGAUUCGUCUGAAGGAAUUACAUGCUAAUUUAAACAUACUUUUAUUUACUUUGUCAAUUAAUUAAUUAAUUAAUUACUAUUUGGCUUGGUUUGGAUGAAAUUCUCAUGAUGUUUUAAUUUCUUUAAAUUAAUUAAUUAAUUAACUUUGUUUUUAAGUCUUAAGUCUGGGCAUGUUUGCAGAAUUUGAUUCCUUCAAUAACUUAGAAGUGUUGGACCUGAGUUGGAACGAAAUCGACAAUCUUGUGGUUCCUCAAGGUAAACAAUUAAAAUGUUAUUUAAUUACAUUAUUUUAAUUCAUUUGAUCUGGGAAGGCCAAAAAGGUAAAAAAAAAAUUAAAUAAAGAAACAGAGAAUUUGUAUUAUUUAAAAAACAGAAUGUAAUAAAGAUUUGAUUCUAGUUCUUUAAUCUUUAAAGCGAUUGAAAAACAAUGUUGCUCUUUUCCCAAAGCAUAAAAUACGAAUUGAAUGCCGAUUAACUUAAUCAUUCAUUUUGUUUAGCUCUAAAUUUAGACAAUGAAUUUUUAUAUUAUUUCAAAAACAGGACGUAAUAGAAUUUUUUUUAAAAACAGAUUGUAAUAAAGAUUUGAUUCCAAUUCUUUAAUCUUUACAGUGAUUGAAAAACGAUACUGCUUCCCAAAGCACAAAAUACGAAUUGACUCCCAAUUAAAUUAAUAAUUUAUUUCGUUUAGGUCUAAAUUUAGAAAAAUGAAUUUUGAUUCUCUUCAAUCCUUUCCUAAUUAUUAUUAAUAAACAGGUUACAAAGGUUUGAGGAAGUUGAAAAGCCUUGAUCUAUCGGGAGUUGGAAUUAGAGAUGGAAGCAAGUUGUUACAGUCAAUGGGAUCAUUCCCAUCCCUCAACACUCUUCACCUUUUGUUGAAUAAUUUUAACAAUAUAGCGACAGCUACUCAAGGUAAGUAAAAGUUGGAGAUGUGACCAAAUUUAUAAAUAAGCUGUUAAUUAAUUAAUUAAUUAAUUUUUCCGUAUUAUUAAUUAAGCUAAAUUCCUUGCUCCUUCCUUCUAAAUCUAAACAGAGUUGCACACUUUCACCAACUUGGAAUAUUUGACAUUGGACCAUUCCUCCCUCCAUAUAAGCCUUCUGCAAAGCAUUGCGUCAAUAUUCCCUUCGUUAAAAGAUUUGUCGAUGUUUGAUUGCAAAGUCAACGGUCUUGUACGCGGUCAAGGUAAAAGAAAAGUGUCGAUUGUGAACUCACUCAGUGUUGUCCUACGUGUUCAACAUUUUUAUUUAUUUAUUUUAUUGUUUAAUGUUUCUGCUAGGUUUUCCUCAUUUCAAGAGUUUGGACCAUUUGGACAUGGUUUUCGCGCGCACUGCACUCAACACCAGCUUUCUUCAAAUCAUCCGUGAAUCAAUGCCUUCUCUUAAGUACUUAUCAAUGUCAGAUUCUACUCUUGGCACUAACAGCAGCAGGAUUCUUGAUCAAGGUUAAUAAUAUAAAUAUUUAAUUACACAAACGAAUCACUUAUUAUAAAAGAAUAAUACGCAUUCAUUAAUUUUUAUGUUGUAUUAAUUGAUGAAUUUAAUAAAAUUUCAGGCCUCUGUUCGUUGAUGCAUCUGCAAGAGUUGUACAUCGAUAAUAAUGAUUUGAGAGGUAGCUUGCCUUGGUGCUUGGCAAAUAUGACAUCCCUCCGAAUAUUAGAUGUUUCUUCCAAUCAACUUACUGGAAGCAUCUCCUCAUCUCCCCUCGUUCAUUUGACAUCCAUUGAAGAACUGAUGCUUUCAAACAAUCACUUCCAGAUCCCAAUUUCACUUGAACCACUUUUCAAUCACUCAAGACUCAAGAUUUUCGAUGCUGCGAACAACGAAAUAAAAGCUGAAAUAACUGAGUCACAUUCUUUGACCGCCCCAAACUUCCAAUUACAAGCUCUCUCAUUGUCUUCCGGUUAUGGAGAUGGUGUCACAUUCCCCAAAUUCCUUUACCAUCAACAUGACCUGGAGGAUGUUCGUCUCUCACACGUAAAUAUGGAUGGAGAAUUUCCAAACUGGUUGUUGGAAAACAACACAAAAUUGAGACAACUUUAUCUCGUCAAUGAUUCUCUUACAGGACCUUUCCGAUUGCCAAUCCAUUCACACAGAUGGUUAAGAUUCUUGGAUGUCUCCAACAACAACUUCCAAGGCCACAUUCCAGUGGAAAUUGGAGAUAUUUUACCAAGUUUAAUAUCCUUCAACAUUUCAAUGAAUGCUUUAGAUAGUAGCAUUCCCUCUUCAUUUGGUAAUAUGAAAUUCCUCCAAAUUCUGGACUUAUCCAACAAUCACUUGACUGGUGAAAUCCCCGAGCACUUGGCCGUGGGUUGCGUCAACUUGCAGGCUCUUGCAUUAUCAAACAACAACUUAAAAGGUCAUAUGUUCUCCAGAAACUUUAACCUGACAAACUUGAGAUCAUUACAAUUGGAAGGCAAUCACUCGUAGGUGAGAUCCCACAAAGUUUGUCUAAAUGCUCCUCACUAGAAGGAUUGUAUAUUAACAAUAAUAGUCUUUCGGGUAAGAUUCCACGAUGGUUGGGUAAUCUCACAUGGUUACAAUAUAUUAUAAUGCCCAAUAAUCAUCUUGAAGGCCUUAUUCCAGUGGAGUUUUGUCAGCUUGAUUCGCUUCAGAUUUUGGACAUUUCAGACAACAACAUAUCUGGAAGUUUACCAUCUUGUUUCCAUCCUCUCUCUAUUGAACAAGUUCAUCUUUCAAAAAAUAUGUUACAUGGACAGCUAAAAAGAGGUACAUUCUUUCAUUGCUCUUCCCUGGUGACAUUAGAUCUCAGCUAUAACCGUUUGAAUGGCAGCAUUCCGAAUUGGGUUGAUGGGCUUUCUUAGUUAAGCCACCUUAUCUUAGGUCACAAUAAUCUUGAAGGUGAAGUGCCAGUUCAAUUGUGCGAACUGAACCGAUUGCAAUUGUUAGAUCUUUCUAAUAAUAAUCUUCACGGUCCUAUUCCUCCUUGCUUUGAUAACACCACACUUCAUGAAAGUUACAGCAAUAGUUAUAGUCUUGAUGAGCAAUUUGAAAUAUUUGUUUCCAUCGAAGGCUCUUGGGGAUCGGUAGAAAAGUAAAUCCAUGAAAUUUUUGAGUUCACAAUAAAGAACAUUGCGUACAUUUACCAAGGAAAAGUUCUUAGCCUCCUAUCAGGACUUGAUCUUUCUUGCAACAAGCUAAUCGGUCAUAUUCCUCCUCAAAUUGGAAAUUUGACAAGGAUUCAAACAUUGAAUCUAUCACACAACAACUUGACAGGAUUGAUCCCAUCAACAUUUUCAAACUUGAAGCAUAUCGAAAGUUUGGAUCUUUCCUACAACAAAUUGAAUGGGAAAAUCCCUCAUCAACUUGUGGAGUUAAAGACAUUGGAGGUUUUCAGUGUGGCAUACAAUAACUUAUCAGGCGAAAUUCCAGAAUGGACAGCACAAUUUGCAACCUUCAAUGAGAGUAGCUAUGAGGGAAAUACUUUUCUUUGUGGAUUGCCAUUGCCAAUUUGUAGAUCACCAGCAACUAUGUCGGAGGCUUCAAUUGGCAAUGAACGAGAUGAUAAUUUAAUUGACAUAGACAGUUUCUUUAUCACAUUUACAACAUCGUACGUAGUUGUGAUAUUCGGAAUUGUUAUUGUUUUAUAUGUAAAUUCUUAUUGGCGACGUAAAUGGUUUUACUUUGUUGAAAUGUGGAUAACUUCAUGUUACUAUUUUGUUGUAGACAAUCUUAUUCCAACAAGAUUUUGUCAUUAAAAUUAAUUAGUAGUUUAAUUACGAUUCUUUAAGUUCUAAUCAAGUUUGCUUAGGAAAUAAAUUUAUUUUUAUUUUUUAUUAAAAUUGUAGUAGUAUUUAGCGUUACAUAGCUUCCAACUUCCAAGCACUUCACAUUUGUCUCUACACUUCCAAACCCAUAUCUAUCCACCAUAACUUAUACUUCCCUAUACUGUGCAGCCUACUUAAAUAAGAGAACCAUCUCCAAUGUUAAAACCAGCCACUCUAUAACAUUCAUUUAGAAACUAUAUUUAGAAUAGUUUUAUUAUCAUACACAAGAAAUGAAACACCUAGAUGCACUUGAUCGCCUAUUUUACUUUAAAAAACAAUAAUUAUCGUGCUAUCAUCAUCUUCUUCACUAGCAACAUUAACACCAAAUCCAGCGAUGGACCCAGACAUUUAAUCAAGAAAGGUAUAUAUAUAACAAAGUUGAAGCUUGACAAAAAAUUCAGGAAGAUUAAUGCCUCGGUAUAUAUAUAUAAUAAAGUUGAAGCUUGACAAAAAAUUCAGGAAGAUUAAUGCCUCGCCACAACAAGGGGCACAACAACAUCAAAGUAGAGAUGAAGCAAUAUUCUCAAAGCUAAAACUCUCAAAUCCACCCACCAGAAUUUCAUAUCUCCUCGACAAUUUUAAGAACUAAAGAUAAUUAGGAUUUAACAUUAGUUUUUUAUAUAUUAGUUUCAUAAUUUACAAAUCAAUGAAGAUGAAGAUUAUGCUAAUGAAUUCAAAUUAUACCAUACAUUCUAUAGAUGUUACCAAAAAUUUCUAAGUCAAUCCCACAUAUUUCAUAAUUUUAAGACUAGAAAAUUUCAUUAGUUAGAAGUUUCAUUACCUUCAAGUGGAAGAUGAAGAACAUUAUACAAGUGAUUCAGAUUAUAUCAUACAUACUCCAAAUGCAACUAGAAAUUAACAAGUUCAUGCGCACAGAUUUCAUAACAUUAUGAUUGGAAAGUUUCACAAAGAGAAAUUCUAAAUUCAAUCUCUUGCAUCAAGGUAGUUUGAUUGAUUUGAGUUACUUUCUGAUCAAGCUACUAAUAUAACAUUCAAGUUAGGGAGAAAGUAAAUUAAAACUGGGAAGAAAUAACAGUAAAAAUUUGUUGCUAAACAUGAUGUGUAUUUUUUUUAAGGCAAUUUGGAAACACAGUUGUUACUACAGAUAUUCUCCUCAACUUGGAGACAAAUACAAAUAUUAAAAUGCAUAUGAUCGCACAUACUACUUGGAGCUUAGUAAGAUUUCAUUAAAAGAAGCAAUCAAACCACUUAUCAAUUGUCGCAAUCGUUCUAUAAACUAAAAUAGCAAUAUAAUACAAGAAAAAGAACAUAUAGAUACUCGGCAAGAGUUCAUUAAGAAGUCGCAUCACAUUAGGGUGAGGAGUUUGCUUCUGAUAUCUUGCUAGCUGGGGCUUUUUCUUGUCUUUCUACGUAUGCCGAGGGAAACCAACCAGCUAGGCCCUUGCAUUCACCUUCCGACCAUCCAGUAGGAGCCACCUUGAGAAGUUAUAACUAAAACGGUGAAUUAAAAAAAAGUUGACAAUUCAAAGACCUAAGGGGAAAACUAAUUCUUUUACGUAGAGGAAGUGAACUAGUUGUGAUCACUGAAAUAAAAAAAUAACUAUGGAAGCAUAACAAGAUAUAAAUUCACAUGUCUAUAAGGGUAAACAGGGUGGUUUAGAACUGAGCUAGCAACCCUACUAUAUUCUGAUUUGCACUUCAAUGUAAAAGGGAAUAUAUGGUAGGAAGAAAAAAAACCAACCAUCAUUUGUUAACUUAUUGCUUUUCAAUCAAAAUUUUAAGAACAAAAUGCCAUGUGCUUUGAACAUCAAAUAAGUAUAAGCAUUAGUUCUAAAUUCCACAUAUUAUAAGUUGUUAGAAGGAUAAGUUAAUAGCAUAGUAGAAAAAUCUAUGUGUUGGUAUUUAGAGGGGAAAGUACCUGGCGAACCACAACAUAAUCAUCAAUUGAAAGACUUAGCUCUCCAUUUGCUUGAUCAUCAAAUGGAUGUAUAACCUGCAAGAUAAUGGGAUAAAUAGAACUUAAAAAAAGCAUAACAAAAGCAGCAACAGCAGCAGCAGCAUUCAUUGUAACCACUAUGAUCAUGGCCAACAAAGAUAUAUUAGAAACAAAAUUCCAUUUUUACUACGACUUUAAUAUGUACUAUACGAUAUCAUGACGAUUGGGUUAUCAAGUGCUAUCAAAGUCUAAUAAGUUCUGUAUAACUUUAUAUAGUUAUUUUAAUUAUGGAUCAAAUUUUAAAUUUGAAAUUUUGACUGCUCUCCACAAAAUAUGGCCUAUGCACAAGAAAGUCAUAGAUAAUGAGGAUUACAAGUGUCCGACAUCUUUUGAGUGAUGGAUUUAACAUGAGAGCUUAUGGUCAGUCAAUUUCCUCUGCCUAGCAAUAUAAGCUUUCUCGGCCAGAUUUAUCAUCAAAUACAUAGAUUGCCCCCAAGUCACAUCCAUAUAAACAUAGUUUUCUAGGUAAACCAAGUAAGGAGAAUCAUAAUUUAGACAUAAUCAUAAAAAGGCCCAUCUAACUUAAGAGAAAAUCUCAAAAAGAGGGAUGUUGAGCUAUCAGUCUUGUAUCUAUAAGCAAUAUCAAGACUUUACAUCACCUGCUACAUCGUGAGUGGCUACACAACUUUCAGUGGUUUGUCUUUCUUUGGCAUGCCUAACUCAGCUUUGAUGUUGCUGAGAUAUUGAUAGUAGAGACACAUGAUACUUCUAGCUCAUGCAUUUUAUCUAGCUCAUCCGACAACUAUUUCUUUUUUAAUUCAUUAGUGUUUGCUAAACCUCAUGCUCAAAAGUCCUGUUCUCCUAAACAAAGUUUCCUAAGAAUGACUUCCUCAACACAACAUUUGGACACUUUUAGAGCAAUUUUAUUUGGAGGAAAAGAAUUUUCAAGGUGUUAACUAAUAAAUUUUAAAAUAUAAUUACAAUUUGUCCUACGAUCAUAUGACAAUUUAUUUGGGAUGAAAGGAUACAGACAGACAUCUUCCACUUUCAAGACUAAUCACUACUUCCGUAGAUGUUGUGCAAUGAUACAAAUACUUGACCAGAUGGUAGUGAUGGUAGAAAAAAAUUUAUUGCUCCAAAAUUAAAAUAAGAAUGCAAUAUGUUAAGCAAAAGACUGUGCAACAUCAAAUUAAUUGAUGAGUUUGUAAUUCAGUAAAUUAACAACUUUCAUGGUAAAAUACAACAAGUUUCUUUUAAAAAAAAUAAAUCUUAAAAGACAGCAUUCAUUUUUGUGCGCAUGUUAUUUCUUAAGAUUUUUCAGGAGGAGGGCAAUAGAGGGACUUUCACCUAUGCAAGAGAGCAGAAGCCUUACUUUUGCUAUAAAGUAGACGUCAUUCUGAUUAAUAUGCGUUUGAAUCAGCUCCGUUUGCUAUAAAGUAGACGUCACACAUGAGGCAUUUACAUCCAUUUCCAAAGUCACAUGUUGCGAGGAGGACUCAUUUGAUUGCUCCUCUAGGAUCAUCUAAUGCAAGUAGUAAGGGUUGGAAGAAAAUAAAAAGUCACAAUUAUUCUUUUGCGUAAGUGAGACGAAAAUGAUAAAUGCAAUAUUAUCAGCAGUAAACAAGAAGAGAACGCUCCAAGGAAUAGAUAGAUGCAGACAAGCAAGUUAAAAUGCAUAGUCCCAAACCUCCGCAUACAACUUCUCUAAAAUAGCAAUAACGUGUUGAUGAUAUGUUUUCUCAGCAUCUACCUGCAAAGGCCCGAGACCAGGAAAACGGCAAUAAAACCACUAGCUAAAGGAGAAAGUAAAGAAAGAAAUACACUUGACAUAAAUCUUGACAAGAAGCACAGUUUAAACCCCAAUCAUAUUGUUUAGAACUACCAUUCGUUAUUGUAACAUUUCGAACAAGUGUUGACUUAAUUCAACAUUGUUGGAAAGAUAGGCUUUUAAAAGCGGAAGAAAGCCACUCAAACCAAAGUGAUUGUCCUUGUAUUGAUCAAGGGAUGUAAACAUAUUACAUUUGCAGGAUAAGUUUUAAUUAAUCACUCCCCUGAUUUAUUUGGGUUGCAGUUUAAUUUGUGAAUUUCGUUAUUGUAACAUUUCGAACAAGUGUUGACUUAAUUCAACAUUGAAAAAUUAUUCAAUAAAUUAUGCAAACAUUAAAAUAGAGGACAUAUUAAAAAGUUUCUAAUUACAAUGUUAAUAUUUCCUAUAUUUUAGCAUUUGCAUAUUUUAAUUUAUUUAAAAGCUACGUCGAUCAACUUUGGGCGUGAAGAUUUUAGCUUCUACGAGACUUGAUUGGAAUAUGCAUAAGGAAGAGUGUUAAAAUAUGAUGCAUCCAACGAAAGACAAACCACGUGUAGUCUUUUAAUUAAGCCAAAGUAGCAGCUCAAACAAAUGACACUUGGACCAACAUGCAAUCAUGAAGUGGCCGGAAAAAGGACAAAUGCAACUUUGGCUUAAAUAAAAAAUAACAUGUGACUUGACUUUUGCUGGACAUGCAUCAUGUUAUUACAAGACAACAGAAAUCAGUAUGAUAGUACUAAAAGUUGACAAUAACAUGAAGAUAAGAGGCAGAAUAUCAACACAUGCAUAGGCACACACAAGGAAGUAUUAACUUAUAUACCAUAGCAAAAAGUCUUUGAUAUGUCAUCUGUUGCUGCUGUGAUUCAACUGACAGCAUGGCAGUUGUCGCUUCUCUACCAAGAGCCAUUAUUGUAGAUUUAAGCUCGGUCAAUCUUGCUUCUGCAUUUCGAAGCUUCACAGCACUCUCUGCUGAUAUAUCAGAUUCCCUAAUCUUUGAUCGGCGCCUAAAUACUUCAGCUGCCUGGUGAAAAUAUUCAAUAUAAAUCUAACAUAAUUCUAAUCUUGCCUUAUACAUGCAUAUGUUAACUCAAAGCUUACCUGGGCUUCAACUUCAUGUCGAAGUUUGUCAUAACGAUGAGUCAGGUGUCGAGCAUCUUCCAAAGGUGCUCCGUUGAUUAACGCCCGUAGUGGCUCAGAUACCUACAUGUCCAAAAACCUGUAACAUAGUUAGAAAAAUGAAAAGAAAGAGCGAAACCUCAAUUAAAAAGUUCCUCCAACAUAAUCAUGGAAUUUGGGCCUACUUCAAGGACAUAUAUAAGGAUAAUUUAUGCAAUUUUGGGUCUUAGGAUGAUUGGCAUUAGGUUAGUGUUCUUCUCUUCUGUAUUUAAGGUUAAAAUAGAAAUAAACCUAUGAAAAUAUCUAAAUUAGGGCUGUAAGACUUCCACAUGCAUCCUUCAGUCUCAUGGAUUUGAUUUUACUAUAGAUGCAAGUGUCUUUAUCGAAAAUGCUUGGAGUCAAUUGAGAGAACUCACGGCCAAUAACUUGUCACACGCUAGUCUUUGCUAGUGAUGUAAGAAGUCACAAGGUCUCUUCAACAUUUGAACCCAUAAAAUUAUUAAGUCAUGGAUGUCACUAGCAAUGAUUUUAAUAUAAAACAUUAAAUAUUUCAGAGUUGUAACGUUAAAAUUCUUUUAUUCAAUAUCUUAGAACUAAGUUUCCUUAUGAGAAGAUAAUAGUUUCAGUAGUAAUUUACAUAUAAUUUUCUAUAUUUGAAUUAUUUUCUAGUUAGGGAUGAACUAACCUGAUCACCAAGAAUCCCAAGCAAAGUUUCCCUCUCAUUUUCCAUCAAAUCAUGUGAAGUGCCAAAUUGAAGAGCAGCUCUUGCAACGCAAGAAUUGUCACUUUGAUUCUCCGCUCCAUACUUGCAACAAUCUUCAGCCAACUUUCUCGCUACAAUAUUUGAAUACAAAAAUAUUGUGCACAAGAACUAGUCAAGAAAAAAAAAAUCAAAUAUUAUAACGAAUGCAAGAGCAAACAAACAACCUAUUUCCAUUUGUUUCAAGCUUACUGCAACAAGCCCUUCAAUGCCACGAACAAUAUUCCUCUGAAAAUGCUGCGCUACAGAGCAUAUAUUCCAAAUUAUUGUUCAGAUAAAACCAUAGAAACCAUCAUAAUUAUUCAACAUACAUUAAGCUCCGUUUGGUAAAUACUUGCAACUUCAGUCUAGAGAAUACAGUUCUAUAUAUGUAGCAGUCUAAAGGAGGAUGGUGCCUUAGCUGCCCUGGUGGAAUUGUAUAGAUUUUGAAGUUGUUGGUGACACUCAAUUUCAGCUUCAUCAACUGCCUGUACAAAUCAUAAAAAACUAAUGAAAAAAAUAAAUAAAAUCGAGAAAUUUCACUAAUUAAAAGUCUAAAUAUAAUUUUAAAAAAGAAAGAAACGCACUUGGUGCUGCUUGGCGACUUGUUCUCGGAGCUUGAUUGCCUGUUUCUUGAUAGCUUCCAUACUGUUUCUUUCAAAAAGCGGCGACGGCUCAGCUCAUGGAAGUUGGGGAAAAAAAAAAGUGUGAUCAAGAAAAUAAAAAGGCAUAUUAUUGUUGACAAAAUGUGAAAAUAAAAAAGAAAAAAGAAAAUUAUAAGUUUGAAAGGAGAAGAUGAUAGUGGAAGAGUGCGGCGUGGCUGCCAGCUACUUGGAUUGUAUUGUCGGGUAAGGUAAUUGUAGAAAAUUAUAAGUUUGAACAGAGCAUGUUAGACUUUUGUUGACCAAAUUCAAAAGGCAAAUGGUACGGCCCAGAAGCUUUGGAAUACAGUAACUUACAAGAAAGCUCCAUUUAUUCUUCUUAUACUUUACGCUUGCAUCAGCUUAAAUCACUUCUUAAUCGCUUGCUUUAACUGCGCCGCUUUGUACUGUUCUAUAUAUGUAGCAGUUAUGCGGAUGUAGUUCACGGCUGAGGGUACGUGUUUGUUUGACGUGGUAGUUACGUUACGACGUUACGAGAGUAUUAUUAGUUAUUUCACAGGGAUAAAUAAGAUUAGUCACAAUAAACCCACUAGUUUUAUAAAAUUCGAGUAAUAUAGAAUAAAAUAAAAAAUGAAUACAAAAUUGACUUUUAUUUUUUAUGGUUGACUAUAUUUUGUGUUCUCUUCUGGUACUACUACAAUUGUUCCCUGUAUAUCACUCAUACCCAUAUAUCAUUGACACAAGAAAUGAAAUCUAAUGUCAGAUGUUUAGUUAAAGAAUCACUUAUGAAAAAAUUUUACCAUUUUGAUUUGAGGAUCCCUAUUUUGAACUGCAAGCUAAUGUUCAUCAAGAACAGAGUAUGGCAGUUGAGUAGAAAAACUAUUUUUGGACAAAUUGUUUUUAUUGAUAGAAGAAUUUCUCAAGGGACUACUAAAAUUAUUAAAAAAAAAUGUCAAACACGCCCAUAUAUCAUCAACACAAUUGGUUUUGAGAAUCCAUACUUUAAACUGCCGCCUAAUAUUCAUCAAGAGCAGAGCAUGGCUUGUGAGUAGAAAAUUUUCUGAUUUUGGCCCCAAAUAAUCCAGCACUUUCUCAUGAAGAAAUGCAUACAAAGCAUACCAUGGUACCAUACAAUACAAGGAGUCUCCGUUCUCUAGUUUUUCAAACUCUAAAGGGGCCAAUACUCCCUAAUUCCCCCUCGAAAAUUCUGAUUAUGACAUUAUUCAUCCCUCGAUGCAAUCAAAGUAGUGACAAAGUUAGGAAAAAUAUGAGUCCUAAGUAAUUGCUAGGCAGGGCUCCUGUGAGCAAAAUUGUCCUAAGCAUUAUAUGCAUACAUGGUGUGGUACAUAAAGCACAAUGAAUUCCACACUAUAACACAAACCCAGAAAGAGAAGAAACAACUUAAUUGAUGUAAAGACAAAAAGAAGAUAAAAUGAUAUAGAAAAAAAAAUUCAAAGAGAUAGCAACAUACUAUAGACUGAAGCCACUUGAUCUGCUCAUUGAUUGCAGCCUUAAACUUGCAAAUAGUUACCGUAAGCUAGUGCUAUAAGAAGUGAAAAUGAUGCACACCCUGAUUCCCUUCGACUUCCAUUUACUGUCAAACAUUCUAUUAAUACAAAAAAAUUGUUCAAAUAUCUUGCCAUAAAUAUAGCCGUUUGACUGGCUUAAUAAAGUCACAAAUAACCAUUCAUAUUGAUCCACAGUGUCACACCGCCUGCUUUAUGCAUACAACAGCUGUAUGUAUACCAACUCCUAACCUUAUCAAUACAUUUGGCAAAAACUUAAGAAGAAAACUAUUUCUCCAUCUCUUUUUUGAAAUUUCACAAUAAACCAGCAUAUUGUAAACGUUAUGUUGUAACCUUAUGAUAAAUGCUCUAGACUCCAAAUGAAUUUUAUAUAUGAGGGUUUGUUGCAGCAGAUAUAUUGACUUAUCAAGUAUGAAUCAUUGUCUAGAAGAACUAUCUUUAGAUAAAAGAAUAUUAGAACCAUUCUAGAAUAUCUUUAGGUUGCUAGUUCUAACAGGAAUCUGCAUGUGGCAACAGUUGCCAGAUCCACAAUUCCCCAACUUGAAAUACAUAGUUGCACACCGUGAGAUAGUGCUGCAAUCUACUGAGAUCUAACUUAUAUGAUACUUUAAGCUACUAAUGUUUGCAUAUUUCUACAUGUUAAAUUGACACUACCAUCUAUAAUCACUCUAAAACGACAGAUGAUAAGCAGCUUUUGGCUACUUAUUACUAGCAUCCACAAUUAAUUUUUGUUCAGCAAUCAGCUUAUUUUAUAGAAAUUGAUUUAGUCAGCAACAAACACUAUAAUCCUUGAAAUUAGUUCUUGUUCUUUGUAAUUUUCUAUGAUUUUUCAUACAUCAAUUAAUCUGCAGUGCCAAGAUGAGGUUUGGUUUUUCAAACUAAAUAAUCAAGUAGCAAAAAUACAAAUUUAGAGAUUAGGGGGUGAACUAGCUAGGUGGUUUACAAAUAUUCCUAUUUGUAAGGUGAAUUAAUUGAAUCAUGAGAAAACAAUGUGACCAUAGCUCAAUAUGAGAUGAUUUCGGAGAGGCAUAUUGUUUUCAAGUGAAUUUGAUCCAUUAAGAGAUGAAGUGGAUUGAAGUGGAAAGUUUAAAUAACAAAUCCUUGUUCUUGAGUUUUACGACGUUGUUACUCCUUCAGGUGGCAGAUUAUGCAAGUGAAUUCAAAAACACAAUGCAUCAAUCACGGGGAUGCUACACCAAAAGACGGGAUCAUAGUCUAUGCAUUGAACAGUUACAGUUGCUGCUACCAAUUGACUCGGCAAAGAUCAAGAAGACUGAACGGGAAGUUAAUGCCAUCAAUGUCGUCUUCACUAUAGCUGCUGGGAAUGUAGGUGAACUUUCCUCAUUUGCGGCUGUCUAUACAUAGGCUUUUCCCCAGCUUAAGUACAAAUAAAUGAACCUGCUUUGAAGGCUUUAUUAUUGACCACAAUAAGGAUUACUAAUUGAAGAAGACUAUACGGAGUUAAUCCCACACUUUCGUUCUCUCAAUUUCUUUCAGAAGUGCCUCUGAAAAUAGCUGCCAAACCGUUAGUCAGCUUGUUAGACUCUGUUUUCUGGAAACAGAGCCCUAACUAACUGACUGUACAGAGUAAGUCAACAUAGCAUAUUUAAUCGUUUUAAUUGAAUUGUCUUCGUAGCGAUCAUCAACAAACUCAUCAUGAGAUUUUUGAAGCACCCAAGGACUAUCACUGGGUUUCUCUUCUGGUUGAUUAAUUAAUUAAUCAAAGAACGGUUGGAUACCCAAGGACAAUUAAAAUUAUUCGACUUCUGGAACUGGGAAUGAAGUGCAAUGAUGGAGCAAAAUUUACAAUGUCUCCGGUUUCUCCUACCAUCGGACUUUUGCAGUGAGAACAUAUAACAAAAAGGCCUUCAUCAAAAUUUGUAGACUCCGGGUAUGGAUUGGAUCGAUUUUUUUGUUUGAUAUUGAAGAACCUCUUUACUAUCGCGAUAUAGAUUAUGUGCAAGGAGUUGUCUACUGUUCUUUGCCUUGUGCUAUGAUCGGUGCUCUUGAGGCUGCCCUGAAACACAGGAAAAUACUUCGAUAUCCUCCGUUCGAUGAUGCAAAGAACCGGUUAAUGUAUGAUUACCUAAUUGACUCAGGAUCAGGUAACAACAACAACAAUUUAUUAAUAUCACAAACGAAGAAGAUCGCGGAGAGGGAGAUGUAUGCCUAUACUGUUUACAGGUUUGAUCCAUUGGGGAUGAAGUGGUCUCAAGUCGAAAGUGAUUUAUUAAACAACAAAUCAUUGUUCUUGGGUUAUACCUCAUGAUGUCAUCAAGUGGAAGAUUAAGAUUAUGCAAGACGAAGAUCGUUUGAUAUUGAAGAAUUUGAACAGAAAGCCCAUAGAAAGUACUUAAAAAAGCAUAUUCUUGUUGGGGUAGAAUAUUGAGAAAGGAGUUGUCUACUGUGUGUUGCGUGAUUAUGCUAUGAUCUGUGCUUUGAACAUUGCCCUGAAAACAGUGGAAAAUACUUCAUAUCCUCGACAUGAUGAUAAAAAAUUGGUUACCGAUUACGUAACUGACUCAGGUGACAACAAUCCAUUAAUAGCACAAUUUGAGGUGAUGCCGUUUAGGUAUAUGGUUAACAGGUUUGAUUCAUCAAUGAUGAAGUGGGCUUAAAUUAAAAGAUCAUAUAAUAAGUCGUUCUUCUUGGGCAUAUCGUCAUUACUACUUCAAGUGAUCAAAGAUGAAGAUGAAGAUGAAAAUUGUGCAAGUGAGUUCAAGAAUACCAUACAUCGUUACUUGGGAUACUUCUUCAAAUAUGGAUGGGGUCAUAAUUUACUCCCACGAAUUUCAACCCAAUUUUAUGAUUGGAGUGUCCCACCAUGACUCAGAAAAAUUUUGAUUCAACCUCCUCCACCAAUGGAUUUUGAUUAGUCACUUUGUGAUCAAGCAACUUAAUUAAACUCAGAGAGUCAGAGUUCGAUUUUGCUGGCACCGCAUUUUCUUUAAAAUGUGGCCAUGUAAGGAGAGCGGCACAUAAUGUCACUUCCUUAUCAAGCACUUUAAAGAGGGAUUUUAGAAGAAGAUACAACUGCAAUUGUUUUCGUAUGUAUAUAUAUAAACAACAGCACACAUUCAGUUCAUAAAAGAAAUUUUUGCUAACCAUGAUAUGUGGUAGUGCUUUUUAGGCAAUUUAGAAACAGAGUUGUUCAACUUACAGCAGGUAUUCUCCUCAAGUUCGACGUAAAUACAAAUAUUAAUUAGAAUCCAUAUUAUAAUGACACACAUAACUUGCUUCAAAAUUAUCAGAAAUUAAAAUUGCUGAUUCAUAAUGCAGAUAACUUGGAUGAAUUGAUGUUAAAGGAAAAAUCACAGGCAUAACUUGGAGAGCAAUUGCGACAGCAGCCAAGUAUAUAUUUUUAUUUGAGAGUUGAGAAGAAUAUAUUUAAUGAAGCUUGAUAACAUUUGAUGGGAUAGCAAGUAAGGGUAAAUAAGAUAUUUUUAUUUGUUAUUUAUUUGAAUUAUAUCUAUUUUGUUCAAGUUAAAAUACUAAAUAUAAAUUGGAGGUAGACAUUUUAACAGAUCAUCUAAGCUCUCAAAUCUGAAAUUUUGUGUAGAUUUAAAUUCAUAAUUUUAGUUAAUUUUCAUUCAUUCAUAUAAACAAAUUUAUGAGAUUUUUCUUUUCAGCAUGUUAUAUUUUGAAACUUUCAAUGUAUUAUUCUAGCUUUAUUUAAACAAUUAAUUUAUUUAAUUUUGAAUUUGAUCAGUAGUAAAAUUAUUUUUAUAUCAAAUUUUUUUUAUUUAAAUAGUUCGUGGAUUGGACAAAAUUAAAAAAUUUUAAUCUACAAAAUGGUGGAUUAGAUAUGAAUUGGGUUAAAUCCACAUUCGAUUUGCAGUCGUAUGAAUUUGAUUUGGAUUGAAUUUCAUCAAUCCAUGGAUUAGAUUGGAUUGAAAAUUUAUUAUCCGCAAAAUCGUGGAUCGAAUAUGGACUGAUGUCCAAUCAGCAAAAUCCGAUCCCCGAACACGCCUCUAUCAAAAUUUUCAAGAAUAUGUUUUAUCUUACAAAUUUUUUUUUAAAGUCAUAAUCUAAUGGCAGCCCAAUUUUAUAAAGUCACACACAACCAUUCUUAUUAAAUUAGAAAGAUCAAACACUGCACUGGAUCUUGAACAGAUCAACACAAGUUGCACAACUUGCGAUUGAAUCCGGCCUGAAACAAUCAACUCUUUAGCAAGAACAAUUAAUCAGAGUCAAGAAACAAGUUUAAUGAAUAUAAACCUAUAAUUGAAACAAACAUAGCAAAGAAAAAAAAUACAGAUUUUACACGGUUCAGUUGUACCUAGGAUGGCACAACCUACACCACGAGAGAAGCUUUCUGGUGAGAUUUUAUUGAUGAUCAAAGAAGAAUCUUUUGACAAAGCUAAUAAUAGAGAUUUCAGAGAAUAAGCUAUAACCUCUCUCCCUCUUCAAUCUCUCUCUAUUUUGUUCCCAUUGAUGACCCCAAUCUGCUUAGUUAGCCAGCUUUAUAGCUGCAUCAGUAACAAACCAGCAAACCCAGAUUGAGCAGAUUGACGACACGUGGAUAACGGCUUUAACGAACCUGGUUAAGAACUGCUCACAUGUUCGUCACGCGUACUGCUUAAAUGAUGGCCAAAACGACUUCAAACAAAUGUCGUUUUGAGGCUUAUGAAUUACAAGUGAUAACACGAGAUUGUCUCAUGACUUUUAAAUGCAACAACGUGCCCAAAACGCUGUCGUUUUACUCUGUUGAGUUUGAUUCAUUACUAAGCUUUACGACUGGCAAUGGAGAAGAUGAUAAUUUAAUUGAUAUGGACAGUUUUUAUAUCACUUUUACAAAAUCCUAUGCAAUUGUAAUAUUGGGAAUUAUUGAUGUUUUAUAUGUGAAUCCUCAUUGGCAAAAACUAGUGGUUUUAUCUUUGUUGAAAUGUAGAUUACCUCUCGUUACUAUUUUAUUAUAAACAUAUAGUUUCGUAAGUGAAACUAUAUAUUUAUAAUAAAANNNNNNNNNNNNNNNNNNNNNNNNNNNNNNNNNNNNNNNNNNNNNNNNNNNNNNNNNNNNNNNNNNNNNNNNNNNNNNNNNNNNNNNNNNNNNNNNNNNNCAUUUCUGCCUCAUUAAGAUUCUCAAAUACCAGUCAGGUUUGCUUAAGAAAUAAAAUUUUUCCAUUAAAAUUGCAGUAGUAUUUCCAAGCAUAUCGCAUUUUCUAUGAUUUUUCAUAAAUUAAUUAAUCUGCGGUGCCAAUAUCAGAUUUAGUUUUUCAAACUAAAUAAUCAAGAAAGCAAACAUACAAAUAUACAGUUUAGAGGGGUAAACUAGGCAGGUGGUUUAGAUUUUAGAACUAAGGCAGCUACCUCACUAAAUUCCGAUUCGUACAGUGAACUGCAAGAAAUUGAGAAAACAAUGUAUUUAUAAUUUAAUAGAAUCAUAACAGAUGAAGUGGAAUGAAGUUGAAAGUUUAAAUAACAAAUCCUUGUUCUUGAGUUUUUACGACGUCGUUACUCCUUCAAGUGGCAGAUUAUGCAAGUGAAUGCAGAAACACAAUGCAUCUUCCGCGGGAUGAUACAUCAAAAGGCGGGAUUUGUUUAUGCCUUCAGAUUAGCAAUUUCACUCAUAUAGAAAAUUAAUUUUUUAUAUAUACUAAUCAACACUAAAUUGAUUAUGUGUUGUAUGUUUAUAUGCUAAUCAACACGAAAUUAUAUUGAAUUAUUAACAUUCAUAUUCCUAAUAAAAAUUAUUUUCCAUUAGUAUUCAAAAUUUUCACUUAUAGAAAAUGCAUUUUACGUGAAUACUAGUUAUUGUGUAAAUUUGAAUGAUAGCAAAAAAUAAACCUAUUUGAAAACUGUAAGGGUGUGUUGGGAUAUUUUACAACUGUCGGAAUCUGGUAGGAUAUUGCACCAUUUGCCCAAUAUUUUUAGACGUACUCUAACCGGUAUUCAAGAUAAGUAAAAUUUACAAGCGUGGCAAAAUAAAAAAAAUUAAAUUCGUAAUUUGUAAACGAAUUUUCCUGACAUGUAUAGUAGAUGAAGUUGUUGACCCUUUCUUUGGAUUAUUUCAGCUCUGGUUGUUGGUCACCGAUGAGCCGAAGUCUUAUUUUAAUUCUAUUUAAACUCAUCAUAAGAUUCGUGGAGCACCUAACUAACUUAACUGACUGUGCAGAGCAUCUCAACAUGGCAAAUUUAACCAUCAUUCAAGUGAUGGGUUUAAUAAGACUGCUUUUGUUCUACCAAGUUCCUCCGCCUCUAAGCAGAAUUACUAUUGAAGGGCCAAAUGGAAAAUGAAAACGUGUGAACUCCAACAACCACCCCACAAAUUCAAUGACGAUGCUCGGAGAGGGUUAGGUUGGGCCUCUGAGAAAAAAAAAAAUUAUUUAGUUAAAAAGUUACCCUUAUUGAAACCUGUAUAAAAAUUUUAUAUUAAUUAGUUAUGUUGCCUCUUCAACUAUGAUCAAAUUUUUAUCUGAGCUCAUCAUUUAAUGAGUAAACAUGUAUUUUAAUGAUCUCAAUUAAUAUUUAGAACAAAUAUUUUAAGAAGUAAAGCUCAUUAUAUCCCCCAUUAUUAUGUAUCUCUGUAAUGUAUUGAAUUAGAAGAAAAAAAAAAUUCAACUCACUCAAAAAAAAAAAAAUGCUGGUAGCUUCGUAAUAAUUACUGUCUUGACUGCACCAGAUAAAGUUUUGUAAAAGAAUUCUGAUAUUUACCCCGGGUCAAACCCCGAAAAUAACUUAAACGGUGUCGUUUUGAUUUUUUUUUUUUUUAUACUCCAAAACGUUCUUACCAUUUCCGUUUCACUUACCAUUUAAUGCUCACAACUCAAAUAAAAAGCCCAGAAACUAGAAUCAAACUUUACAGAAACUAGAAUGCCCAGAAACGUUGUAUAGCAGGAACGUAUGUAAAGAGAGUAAACAAGAGGGAUUAAACAGAACAUACGUUUUCUUCACUUAUUAUUAGCAACAAACACCCUACACAACACACAUUUAAUGCUCACAACUCAAAUAAAAAGCCCAGAAACUAGAAUCAAACUUUACAGAAACUAGAAUCAAACAAUACACAUUUCAUUUCUUCAAGGUUAGGGAGAGACUCAGGGGAGUGAUUAAUUAACAAAAAUAAGAAUAAUAAUACCAACAUUUGUACAGGUCAAAUAAGAAUAAUAAUACUCAACCUAAUACCCAGUAUAUACAAACAAAUGCCCAGGCCAUCGUUCCUAUUUUGCCAUAACCUAAAGAGGAAAAAGCGAAGCACUACCUCAGGCUGUGAACUUUGCCGCUUCGUGAGUUUAAUUUCCCGAACAAGUUUCGGCUACCAGCGUUACCAGUGUUGACGGUGACCGUGGCUGUCAGCGUUGACGGUGACCGUUGGUGGAUCCCGAAUGCCUGGACCUUGGUCGAGGAAGGAAAGUAACGAAUUUUUUGAACAAACGAAGAAACGAAGCACCGAAGAGAUUUACGGUCAAACGGAACAAGACCAACUUGCUCUUCUAUCUAUGGCUUUCCCAGUUGAAACGAAGAAACGAAGAGGAAGAGGUUUAAUUCUUCUCAAAAUCGUCCAUCAGAAACGGCAACGUUUUGGAGUAUAAAAAAAGAAAAAAAAAUCAAAACGACGCCGUUUAAGUUAUUUUUCGAGUUUGACCCAGGACAAACAUCAUUUUCCUUUGUAAAAUAAUAAGUUCUCAUUAGUGGUUUUUAAUUUUUAAUUUUUUUUUCGGCACACCUGAUCAAGAAUUCUAUUUUGUUAACUAAUAAAUUGCAAAGCAUAAGUGUUGAACGGUACAAAAAAAUUUGAAAAAAAACACUUAAAACGUAGGGAAAUGAGAAAUAUAGAAAGAAAGGAAGAAAGUUAAGACAUGAAACUGAUCUGCCGUGAAAUUGAUAAUCAUGUUUCUAUUUCGUUAACUAAUCAAACGGAAAACUGGAACUGUAAACAAACAUUAACACGUGUGGACUCUGCUAGCUGCCCUACAAGUCUACAAUAAUAAUUGAGUACCUUUGAUUCAUCCUUCUACGAAUUUCUAGCUGUAUUGACCCCAACUGCUAAAGUUUUGUAAAAUUAAAAAAAUAAAAAAUAAAAACUGGAAUUUCAACAAAAUUCAAAACGUGAGAAAUUUAAUUUUUGGCCAUGUGGAACAAAAUGUAAAUUACGGAAAAAGUAUAAAUCUCAAUUGCUUAGUAUGGUUAGGUUUUGUGAGCAUCACUAGAAAGUGAAAACUAUGAAUGAUAGGGGUGAUGUUUGCAACAUGAAUAAACGAUGAACUGAAUCAAUUGAUGAUCGUAAUUAUAUAAUGAACAAAAUUUACAAAAUCAACAAAAGUUAAUAAAAAUUUAUUUUAAUAAUAAAAAAUAAUAAAACUUAUUAUUUAACGGCGCUCUAACCAUGGAGUGCCAUAAUCAUAUUCUUCUUUUAAGAAAAUUAUAACUUAUUUCAAAUAGCACCAUAACAUAAUUCUAGAUAUUUAAAAGAAAAGCAUUAUCCACCUGAAAUGACUUGAAGUCUAAAGAAAAAGAGAGAGUGGCUCCCCACAAUUUUCUUGUUUUCAGUAUAUUUUCUUUUUUUUUUCUUUUUAAAAUCUUUUGACGCAUACAUAAUCUACCCUUGUUCAUUAUCUCUAUUUUGCUCUGUUCAAGUCCCUUUUUUUCAAAUCUUAGUUUAAAUAAGAAAAUUGAAUAAAAGUACAUUUGUGUAAUUAAUUAGUAUCUGUUUUUUUUGGGGGGGGGGGGGGGGGGGGGGGGGGGGGAGGGGGAGGAUAUUUGGUGUAAUGUUUUGCUAUGUAAGACUCAGCUAUUAUUAAACAGUUCCUUAACCUGUUUCGCAGUUUAUUUGCUAUCUUUGUGGAUCUCAUAGGCGUUGCAGAAUUUAAUAAUUUUAUUCGUCAGAAGAAUAGGAUACUGACUUCAAUAAAUUUAAUUUAAACCAACUUUUAUUUACUCCAUCAAUUAAUUAAUGCCAUUUUGUUUUGAAAAAUUCAAUAAUUAAAUUCUCACGUUUUAUGUGUUUGAAGUUAAAUUAUUCAUUAACUAGAACUCUGUUCAAAAUUGACUGUCUUGUGGUUCCCAAAUGUAGUUGUAAUAUUGAAUGAAAGUAAAAACUUUCUAUGGCGAGUUUAAAUCUAAAUCUGAACAAUGAAUUUUGACUUUCUCAAUGCUAUUCUAAUUACAAAAAUUAUAUUGAUUGAUUUAUUGUUACAGUUACUACCCUUUGAAAAUGUAUGGAUUUAUUGUUUCCGUGACCAAAUUAUGCCUGCCUAACGCUGCAACUAUUAAAAAAACUAAUAUUUAAUGCAUGUGUUAAAAGAUUUAAAAUUUUAUGCAUUUAUUAAUUGUUAUAAUCUAAAAAAAUUAAUUAGUUCAGGACAAUCUGAGUUGGUGCAUCUGCAGAGCCUUUUUUUUUUCCCCCCUUAUUGACCAUAAUGAUCUAAGGGGUAUAAUACGACCUUGGUUCUUGGUAAAAAUUAAUUAGUUCAGGUCAAUCUUUUAUGCUCUGUUUUCUAGAAACAGAGUCCUAACUAAAUUGAUUGACUGUACAGUGCAUUUCAACAUAGCAUAUUUAACCGUUUUAACAGUUAUUUGAACCGUCUUCAGAGUUAACAUCAACAAACUCAUUCAUAUUGGUCCAAUCUUACGGCCGAUAUCAUAUUAUCAUAUGCUUAAUAAUGAACAAAUAGUCUUGGAUCAGUGUUUUGCAGCAAGAGCAACUCGACACAAUCUGGAUUCAACCUCCUCCUAUCUAACAGGGGAUUUCGAUUUGAGUUACUUUGUGCUCAAGCAAAUUCACAUCAUAGUUUUGAUUCUUUAGGUAUGAAUUCAUCACAUUACAUAUAUCAGAUUAAGUGUAACAAAAUUUUUAAUUUAUUGCGAAAAGAAUACGCGCUAAAAAAUUAUUUGACGACUAUUUGAUUACCAAAAGCUGCUGUUAGAGUGCACUAAAAAUCGCCAUUGGCAUAAAUAUUUUUUGAAAAUACUGCCAUUAGAUAUUUUUAUUAUUCAUACUUCAUUGCACAAGGCAGCACCUAGCUUCUAUUUCCAGCCCUAAUAAUGAUCCGCUGCUGGAAAAGAAUUUGUGCAGCAUGUACGCUCCUUGACCACAACAGCAAAGUUUAUUGAUGUUAUUUCAUAUUCUGCUGUGACUCAAAUAAAAAUUUACCAUGCCCUUUCGGCAUGGCUUGCCUUUCAGCAAAAAAAGAAAAAAAAAAAUCUUUCAAAUUGUGGAAGCAUGCUUACAUUAAUCAGCUCAGUAUGUUGUGUUUCAUGGGAUGCAAAAUUCUUUUUGUUUCUCAUGGAAGAAUUGACUUGUCUGGAUGUAUUAAUCUCAUAGAUUUUCCACAGAUUCGUGGGAAUAUAACAAAGCUAGACUUAAGUGAGACCCCAAUAGAAGAAGUUCCGUCAUCAAUAGAGUGCCUAGCUGAUCUUAAAACGUUGCGUUUGAGUAAUUGCAUGAGGCUGAAGAGGCUUUCCAUCAAGCAUUUGUAAAUUGAAAUCUCUUCUUGAGCUUUAUCUCUAUAACUGCUCAAACCUUGAAAGUUUUCAAGAAAUCAUGGAGAAAAUGGAACGUUUAAAGAUAUAAAUUUAAAAAGGACGGCCAAUUACAGAGCUGCAAUCUUGAUAGCCUUCGGGAUAACAUUAGAAAUUUAAAAUCUUUGAGGUACAUCUCUACUAAUGGAUCGGCCAUUAGUCCUCUGUCGCAGGUUCGAUUGUACUUAAAUAUCUAUCAUUUUCUCAAUGCAGAGGUUUGGUAUCAUUGCCUCCAAUAUUAUUUUCAGGUUUAGUUUAUCGAAUUUGUUACAGCUAAAUUUAAGGGACUCUGCUAUAAUGGAAAUUCCCCAAAAUAUUGUUUGUCAAUCCUCAUUGAAAAUUUUAAAUCUAAAGGCUUGUUUGUUAACUACUUGAAGUAUGUAAUUAAUGCUUUUUUUUGUGUAAUUUAUGUUUGAUUUUGAGAUAUUUACAUUUGAAUAAAAAAAAAAAACUUUUGUUACAUUUAUCUAAAUAAGAAAAAGGCUGAAUGAGAAGUAAAUAAUCUCCUUUUUUGUUUUAACUUAGAAAAACAUAAACGUUAACUAACUAUGUUUAAAAAAAAUUUUAUUUAUGAAAAGAAACCAAAUACUACUUAUAUUCAUAUAUCAAAAAAUGAAAAACAAACAUAUUAUUCAUACGUGCACGCACAAACUCAUUCAGACCUCAGCUACAUACAAAUCCAUUUAGAUUUCAAACAAAAAAAUAAAUACUUCCUAAGUGGGAAUAACUUUGAGAGUUGACUUGCAAAUGUCAAGCAACUUGCAGGGCUAGAAUAUCUUGACUUGAACGGUUGCAAUGAUUUCUCAUCAUUGAGAGUUUAUCAUUGUGCUUCAUCAUCAUCAUCAUCAUCAUUAUUAAUAAAAAGGUAAGCAAUUAAGAGUCAAAUUAAACCACUUGAAAAUCACUCAUCCACACUUUUGGGACAUCAUCUGCUCAUUAUUUUUAUUCCGUAUCUUCAUUGUUUUAUUUGGUAAUUAUUACCAUUAGUAAAUAAAGGGAUUAGUUGAUUAUUGUGAAGUAACUAAAUGGAGCUCACCCUUAAAUGUCGGCUUAUAUCAAGGAGGCGCCUUAGGGUUAAUAAAUCAACUAAUCCCAUAAUUUGUUGAUGUAGGGUCCUAACAAAUUAUUGCCGUAGAUCAGCACACAGCUCGAAAACAUAUUUGAUCCACACAGUGAAGAUGAUUCAAUAUUAAGCAUGUCAUAUAAUCUGGAGUUGGAUAUUGGACCAAUUUGAUGAUAAUGAGUUUCUUUCAAUCUCAAUCUUUAUCUUAUUCGCAACAUGACUAGCCAUUGCGUAAAUUCAAACUCUGAAAAUGAUAAGUUUGUGAUAAAGGAAUCUAUGAGUACAAUGGGAAAAUUACAUGAACUUAUGUUAUCAAUCAUUGUUUUUCCUUCUCGUGAUAGAAUUCAGUGCAACAUAAAACAUGAUAUAUUUGUACCUUACCAUGCCAUGUUGUGAACCUAGAAGCAAUGCAAAUUGCAAGGAACAUUAAGCUAUCCACUGUAUAUAACAAAUUCUUAUUAGCCCACAAUCUUGUGCCGCCACAUUGAUCAAGUAACACUAUUAUAUCAUUUCCAAAAUGGCAUAUAUAAUCUAAUGUUGAACAAACCAAAUUGGGAAUCAUCAUUCCUUACAUUAAGUUGACAUUCGUACCUGCUAGUCCAUGAGCAAAGUUGCAUAUAUUUCUACACAGGCCGCUCCCCUUAUCUCUCGGUUCCGACAGAGCUUUGUUUUCCCAUCACCAGCUUUGGAUUCAUUCGAUCACUGGUGCUCCGAGUUAGAACGGUCUACAAAGCUGCAUUUCGUUAGGCAAUCUAGUCUCUCCAUUCCUAGCAAAGUGACAUUGAUUCCCGUAUUUGUAAUUGCCUAAUUGGGGUUUUGGCAAUAGCCUGGCUUAAAAUUACCACCCAUUACUUUGUUCAAUGCCACUGGCAUCCUCUGAUUAGGAACAUUUUCACAAUUUUUGGUCCUGUUAGUCGAAUCACAUUCAACGGGAUAGUGAGGCAGUAUUUCACUAAAAGAUUCAAUUUGACUACUCAUAUUGAUGCACAUAUAAGAAUUUGAAAUCACUUUCUCUUGGAAUAUUUAAUGACCCUUGAUGAAAGUUCUUGAAUGGAAUUAUUUAAUUUGAUUUGAUUUCCAACAAAUUCAAGAAACCCCACAUAGUAGCUAAACAAAAAUCAACCAAUAAUACGCAAUGGGUUUCUUUCUUUUUGCCUUUGGAGGGCCAUGGAGAUCUGGAGUGGGCUGUAAGUAAUAGCCUUUAUCACUGGAAUGACAGAUUUGCAGAAGAUGAUACAUGGGGAAGGAUUGGGCGAGCAUAAAAAUGGGUUUACACUCUUGGAUUAGCGCCUCAUUUAGGUUGUAGGCUUGUAGCGAGAUAAAGAUAUUAAUUAAAGUUUUAUAAUCCCUGUUAUGAUUAAGGCUUCACUUAGUAUAGCAUAGAGCUUUUUGAGUUUUACCAGAAAAUUUUUUUAAAAUUAUUAUUUAUCGGAAAAAGGAGACUUACACUCCAUGGUCUAAGGAAAUAGUCACAAAGAUACUAAGUUUUCAAUAAAAGACACCAAUUUUUUUUUUUUUUUCAUAAUGCCCUUUGACUCCAUAAAUUUCUAAAAAAAUAACUCCAAAAUUUUAUAAUAAAUGAAAAUAUGGCAUUAAAAUAAAUGCAGUAAUAUAUACAUUUCAAAAUAAUUUUAAUAUUUAGAAAUAUUUUAAUAUUUUUCAAUCUAUUAAACCUAUUUUUAAGCUGUUGACCUAUUAAAGUAAUUCUUAAUAAUGAUAGAAACAUAAUAUUAAAAUAAAUUAAUUAAAAUUAAAAUUAAAAUUAAAAGUAUUUUGAAAUUAUAUAAAACUAAUUUUAAUAUUAUUAAUAGGUAGAUUUUUAAUUGUAAAAUCUAUUUAACAAAAGAUUUAUUCAAAAUCUUUAUGAUAUUACAAAUAUAUUGUUAAAAUAAAUAUAAUAAUUUAAAAUUUUAAUAUUAUUUUAAAUGUAAAAAAUAAUUUAAUAUUAUUAGUCUACUAGAUAGAUUAUGUUAUUUAUAUUAAAUUUGUUUUAAUUAAAAGUCUUUAAAGUUAAUUUUUUAAUUACUAUAGUGAAAGGGUAUUAUGGGCAAAAAAGUGUCUUGGUAUCCUUCUUUUAAAACUUGAGAGUUUUUGUGACUAUUUUCCUAAAUCUUAAAGGUAUAAGUGUCAUUAUCCCUUAUUUAUUUGGUUGUUUUGCUCUCGAGAGUUUUUAAAGCUCCAAAAUCUUUAAUCAGUACUUUUUUUUUUUAAGUAAAACUUUUAACAAAAAAUUAUUAUUCAUUUGAUUGUUUACGAGAGUUUUUAUUAGAAGUUAUAUAAAGUUCUUUAAUUUUUUUAUUGGUGCAGCUUUUUACAUGUAUAAUUUUUAUUUUUUAACAAAAAUUAAUUAAAUAAUAUUAGAAAUCCUAAUAUUUGAGUCCCAAUAUCAUAUAUCACUCAUUUUUUAGAUGACAGAUUUCAUAACUUAUAAAAUUAUUUAACUAACAUCCAAUUAGUGAAUGUUACUAUAGUGAAGACUCAAAUUGAAAUUUAAAUGUUGGGUUGCGUGACAUUUCUCUUAUUUGGUUGUUUAUGAGAGCUUUCUUGUACAAAAUAAUUUUUAUACAAAUUGAUAUAGUCUAAAUUCAUUAAUUAGAUUAAAAUACAAAAUAAUAAAAAUAAAUAAGUUUGUAUAAGAAUAAUUCAUUCUUUAAUCCAUCUAAUUGAAUUAUCCUAUGUCUAUUUAUACUAAAUAAGUUUAUAUAAAAAUUUAUAGUUUUGUUUUUAGAUGUGCAACUAAAUUUUUAGUCUCUUAUUCCUCGUAAAAUUCAAAUCUGAGUGGCUCAUCAAAUAAAAUUAUUUGAAACCAUACGGUAUGGUAGCUGGAACCCUUGAAACCAUCGAGGUCAUGAAAUUUACCAGCCAAAAGAGUUUUAAAUGUCUAUUUUAUAAACUUUUAAAAAAAUUUUUAUUUACCAUUUUACCAUCCGUAGUAAAGGUGUCGCAUCGACAUUGAACAGAUCAACAUAUCAGUCAUUUCUCAUUCAGCCAUUAGGAAUUUACGUUUGGGGUAUUUUUGUAAUUAUAAGAAGGUAAACUAAUCGCAAAACUCGUUUGGCUUGCACUUGCUCGCCUGUGCUCUGUGACUCUGUGUAUGGUUAUGGCGUUAUCAUUAUCAUCUUCUCCACUCCUACUGACGCCAGACCUUAACAGUUCAGAUUCCCUUUCUCGACUGUCAUACCCUACGCCCCGUCUCCGUGUCUCCGAUAAACAGUGCUCAAUUAAGGCCAUCAGAUUAUCCCGGACCCACAUUGAUCCAACGGCUCACAAUGACCGACAUCCUCUCUAUCUCCAUUUCAAGCUCCCUCUUCAACUGGCUUCUGCUUCUGUCGUACUCUUUCUUGGAUUCGGAGUCCGUAUUUGCUCAGCCGGUCCCGCACAGCUCCCUCUCACUCCAAUUGUCACCCAACAAGACCAAUUGCUUAAUCAAGGCACAGACCAAGAAGAGGAUGAGAAGUUGAAACAAGAAUUUGAGAAUUGGAAAUCGAAAACGUACGCAUUAACCGUGCCUUAAAGGGUUGCUUCUCUUCAGAAUUCAGUGCCUCAAUCUUGGGUUAAGGAUUUUAUGCGAAGUCAAGGAAAGAGAUUGAAGUUUCAGAUGAAUUUGUGUGCUAGCAUUGAUGGGAUCGUUAACAAUUUAUCUGUGCCCUUUAACAAAGUUAAGGCUAAGUCAGCUUCUUAUAUGGCUGCUGAUUUGGUUAGUAUUGGUGAUUCAUGGCUCAGCUUUGCGAUUAAAAAGAGAUUGAUUGAGCCAAUAGCUGGAGCUGAAGACCAAGAUUGGUUCAAAUGCUUAAGUCACAAAUGGAAGGUAACAUCUUUAUCUUUGACCCGAUAAUUUUUAUUGUCUUACAUUGAAAUUUGGUAAUGUAAUUUGUUCUCUAUCUGUAUUACCCUUUUUAGUCGUUUUAUUUAUUUGUUUGUUUGUUUAUUUGCUUUUAUUUGCACUAACGAAGUCUCGGGUAUAUCUACCCAGGAAUGAUGCAGGAGAAAUUGAUCCUCGAGGUGAAAUAUGGGCGGCACCAUACAGGUGGGGCACAAUGGUGAUAGCCUACAAGAAAAGUAAAUUUCGAAAGCAUAAUUUGGCUCCGAUUGAGGUAAUAACUGUCUUUAAACUCAUUUAGUUUUAUAUCAAACAAAAUCAAGGCUGCCUUUCUCUUCAAUAUUUUUUAUGAUAAUAUCUUUAGAAGCAUCUCAUUGACGGGUAAUAAUGGUGUCCCUGAAAGAGUCUAUAAACUCAAUGAUAUUAUCUUCUACAAAUGGAUCAUUAAACUUCUUUUUUGUAGUCAAAUGUACACUAAGAACAAUGAGAAGCUAUGCCACUGUAGCACGUAGUGAUGGCACUUAAUAAGUGAGUUGCUAGGAUGUGAACAAGAAAAAUUAAAUAUUGUCUCCUUGGGUAUGCUAGCUCGUAAGUCAGGGUUAAUAUUAGAGCUUAAGAUACUAUAACCAUGCGAAACUAUUGACUGCCAAUUAAAAUAUCCAUUAAAAUGUCUAGGGAGUUAUGAAGGUAGAGUUAUCUUCCAAUUUCUAAGGCCACAUAGUAGACAUCAUCCAGGAUCCUAGGAAAGUGCGGUUGAUCUCCUGCUUGAUGCAGUUAAUAAAUUUGGUCAAUGCGACUGAAACCUGCUAACUGACGUCGCAAUGCGACAUGAGCACUUCAAAAUGGGAUAGACAGUAGCACUAAAUUUUUCUUGCCUAAGAUUGAGCAAUUGGUCUAAAUACUAACCCCUAUUGUAAGUUGAUCAUUAUUUUUUCAAUUAUGUUCAUUUUGACCCAAAAGUUACACAAUCUUGAUCUGAAUAUUGUCACUGAACACUGUCAAUGUCGUUUAGCAUUGGCAACUAACUCGAGUUUAGUAAAACAAACAUACACACUGUCUCAUGUCUCACAAUUCAAAUUAUCAUCUGUACUGAUGGAGAAUUUUUCUGAUGUAUGAAGUAUGCUUUGAUAUGUAGGUUAAGCUUGGAGAAGAUAUCUCAAAAUAAAGAAUAUGGGGAGUGAAUGGGAAGAAUCUGUAGUCAAGUUUUGUCUCAAAAAUGGUCAAAAUUUAAAUGAAUGGACGGGGGAUCUUCAUUCUUUUUUCACUUCUUUAUACCGAGAUAUCUCUCAACCUUUAUAUAAUUCCCACUGGAUAUCUGCUUCUAAUAAUUAAAAUAAAAAUUUCAACCACACCAAUAAAUAAUCAUCUUAGAGUGAGACUAUCAGUACAACCCAAAAACAUAAUAAAACUGGUUUGGUUCUUUUUGUUGAUGUCUAAAUGUUGUUCAUUGUGACAUGUAGAAAUGAUGAGGUGAAGUUUCUUUGGUCAUCAAAUAGUAAGAUCUUGUUUGAAGUUAUUUUCUGAAAUGAACAGUCAAAUGGUAGUUUUUUUGGGCCAUUCGAUGGCUCUUUUCUUCCUCAUUUUAAACUUGUGCCUGCUUGGAACGGGAUGGAUUAGGCUGCAGAGUUAUAUAUUUUGACAUGCUCUGGUCAUUACACAAUUUGUUCAUACUGGAAAUUAGGAUGAGAAAUUUGUUGCUGCUGUUUUGAGAGAUCUGCAUUCUAUGCACAAACAUGAUUAAUGAAAAUGGAUUGUAGGACUGGAAAGAUCUGUGGCAGCCUGAGCUCGCAGGAAGGAUUUCAAUGGUUAAUUCUCCCCGAGAGGUUAUUGGUUCAGUUUUGAAGUAUAUGGGAGCAUCAUACAAUUCAGACGAUAUUGAUUCACAAGUUGCUGGUGGGAAGAUUGCUGUUCAGCAGAAUCUGGCAUUACUGGUAAACCAGGUACUCUUAAAGAAAUGAUAUCUGGUCAUUGCAUGUUAUUGCCUGACAACUGAUUUUGUUUGUAAAAGUCGGCUUCUUCAUACAUAUGAAUGCAUAUGUUAGUGUUUUCUUCUCCUUUUCAUACAUAUGAAUGCAUAUGUUAGUGUUGUCUUUUCCUUUUCAUACAUAUUAAUACAUAUGUAGAUUUCUUCAUCAUUGUAGCCUCCAUAGUUGAAGUUUCCUCAUUUGAAGCUGUUUAUGCAUAUGCUUUUUCCCUUCUCAAGUACAGGAAAUUGAAGAAUUAACCAGAUGUGAUAUGCUGAAAGAGUGAAGUUUUCUCCCUUGAAUGUGGCCUUGUGAUUUGUCUUGAAGGAAUAGGAUGAUCACUGGCAAGAACCCUAUCAAGGUAGAUUUUAUGGUGUUAACAUAUUUUUAAGCAUUUUGUUACAUCAGCAAUGAUGCUUUCAUAGCAUGAAAGUGUUUAAUUUAACUGACUGAUCUUGAUUAAUCAAUUAUGAGUUUUAAUCGAGUAAAAACUAAAUACAAUCAUCGUCAAAAAAUACUGAAAUUGGAUUUGGAAACACAAUCCACACAGGAAAUCACCCUUCGCGUGGGGAUGGAGAUGUUUACUGCAACGAUAUCGAAUAUGUGCACGGUGUUGUCCACUGAAACAAUGGAAAAAAUUAACAUAGGGGUAUUUAAAUAAUUAAACUCAGACCUCUUUGUAUAUGUUAUCCUAACUUUACUUACCCUUGUUUGUAAUUUUCACUUAACAGUUGAUGCCUAAACCAUUAAAACCAAAUGACCAUAGGGGUAUUUAAAGUAUGUAAAAAUAAACAAAAACACGUAAAAAAUUUCAAACAAUUAAUAAUUACACUCUAAAUGUACCACUUAACUCUUAAUAAUAGCCAUACUCUAAAACAAUCUACAACCUUUGAGGGGAGUAGCUAUGAGGAAAAUCCUUUUCUCAGUGGAUUGCCAUUGUCCGAGAGUUACAAUGAAAAGAGACCACCAGCAACUGAGUCGGAAGAUUCAACUAGCACUGAAAAAGAUGAUAAUUUAAUUGAUAUGGACAGUUUCCAUAUCAUUUUUAAAUCAUCCUAUGUAAUUGUGAUGUUAGGAAGCAUUAGUGAUCUGUAUGUGAACUAUUAUUGGCGCCAUUGGUGGUUUUAUCUUGUUAAAAUAUGGAUGACUUCCAGUUACUAUUUUGUAGUACACAAUUUUAUUCAAUUAACAUAUAGCUUAAAACCAUUAUGUAUGUGCUUUAUUAAGAUUCUCAAGUACCAAUCACGUUUGCUUAAGAAAUAAAAUUUUGCCAUUAAAAGCGUAGUAAUAUUUCCAAGCGCUUCGCAUUUAUCUCAACAUUUUGAAGGAAUUUUGAGAAAUACACGGGUCCAAAAGUCUAGUCAUCAUCCUUAUUUUUCUAUCGUUCUUUUGGGUUUGCAGUUGGUGGUGCUUUCAAUGUUUCCCUGAAACAUAGCAAAAGAACGUACAUAUUCUUGGUAUGAGUUGAUUUUUAGUGAUUAUCUAAUUGACUGGGGUGACAACAAUAGCACAACGUAGAAUUCAAUAAUAAAAUUCUCUUGUUUAAUUUGUUUUAAGUUAAAUUAUUAAUUACUUAAAAUUCUGUUUUAAGUCUUUAAUUUUAUGUCUUGGCGUAUAUGCAGAGUUGGAUUCUUGAGUGAGUUGGACAUGACCUACAAUGAGAGUGGCAGUAAACAAACAUUAAAACGUGUGGACUCCGGUGGCUGCCCUGCAAGUCCACAACUCUACAAGAAUAAUUUCUAGCCCCGUUGACUCCACUAACUAAAGUUUUUUAAAAUUUAAAAAGGUACAUAGAAUUCCACAACAAGCAAAACGUGUGGAAUUUAAUUUUUUGCCCGUGUGGAACAAAAUACAAUUUAGCAAAAAAGGACAAGAAAAAUGGUAAGAUUUCUAAAAUGAGUGGAAGGUGAUCCAUAUUUUACUGAAACGACUUGUCCCGAACAUCACGACGAUUGAUUUUUUUUAUUUUAUUUUUGAAUAACAUCAACUUUCAUAUUUUUCUAACCCCCAGAAUAUGCUCACGUUCAAGUCUAUCUUGCUAAUUUAAAAAAAGAAAAUCAAAUCAACACCAAAACAAUGAAAAGUAAAGCUUUUGAAUUUCAACUCCAGCUAGCAAACGUAUUCAGCGUUUUCAAAUUCUUCCCAUUGCAUAUCUUCUUCCUCCAUCAAUGCAAUAUUUGAACGAUUAUGAAAGAAUUUAAGAACAUAAAAAAUCUCCAAGGUUUAUACGGUAUAACAAAUUUAAAUUCUCAAUUACAAUAGAUAAUAAUUAAACUAAUAAUUUUUUAUGUAUUUAUUUUAGUAAUUUCACCUAAGAAUAAUAUUGUAAUUAGAAAAAAAAAAUCUAAUAAGUAGGGUGGUCUUAUACAAAAUCAACUGCAUACAUUUACGCAGAUGCAGAUAAUAAUUUUUAAUUCCUUUUUUUAAUAAGAAAAUUGUGUAUUGAGAUGAAUAAGAUGUUUAAUUUAAUUAAUUUCCUUACUUUCGUAUGCAUUGUCUUUCUAUCUAGAGAAAGCUUGGUGUUCAGAACGACAUGAAGUUGCGAGUUGUCGCCCAUGGCUGCUGAUUAAUAAUAAAACGAGACAAAUUAAUUGAACUCAGGCCCAUAUGUAUAUGUUAUCCUAACUUUACUUGCUCUUGUUUGUUAAUAUUCAUUCUUAGAGAGGUGAAAAAAAUUUCAAGUCUUGAAUAACGAGGAGUUAGUUGCCUCUAACUUUACUUGGCCUUCUAUAAUCUCAUUAAUAAUACAGAGAAUUAAUUAUCUUUUUAUUAUUAAACCAUCUUCAGGAAGAUUUUCCUCAAUUUGCUCCAGAAGAGUUGGAGCUGUGGUUCUGAUAAACCAAAGAAUUAGUAGCAAUAUUAAUAUUGCCCACCCAAGAAAUAUGAGUGAAUUAAAGUAUUGACAAGACUUCGCUCAGAGGAGCAUUUAAACCACUUCCUUAUCAAUUGCGGCAGCCGUCUAUUAACUAAAACGCCAAUCUAAUACAAGAAGAAAGAACAUUUACAGACUUCGCUCAGAGGUCUAUUAACUGCGGCAGCCGUCUAUUAACUAAAACGCCAAUCUAAUACAAGAAGAAAUAACAUUUCCUUUUGUUAAUAAUUUUAGUCUAAUUUCAAUUGUACUGUGACCGCUUCUCAAGGUAAGUGAAAGUUACAGAUGUGGCAAAAUAAAUAAUUAAAUUAACAAAAUGCUAACUAAUUUUCCUAAAUACCUAGGGUUGUACAAUUUCACCAACCUGGAAGAAUUGACAUUAAUGGACUGGUCUCCUCCCCAUAUAAUUAUAAUCCUUCUAGAAAGCUAAUUUUUAUUAAAUAUUUGCUUUUAAGUUCAUUUCAAUUAAAAAAUGUUUUAAGUUAUUGAGAUUCUGAAUUCCUUUCUUCCAAUAAUAAUGAAAACGUAUUAAAUUAGAAAUGAAAAAAUUGGUGUUGAUGAUUCAACCUAUUUGGAUAGAUUACGUGAAUAAAAUUGAAAUUUUGAUUUAAUUUUUGUUUAUUGUUAAUUUUCAGGCUUAGUUUCAAGAAUUUAGAAUAUUACUUUGUUCAUGGAUUCAACUCGUGAGUGUCAUAUUCUAGACUUAAUGGUACCAUUUUUGAUUGAGGACAAUGACUCUCACUCAUCUUGUAAAAAAAUAUUUUCAACUAUUUUAAUGACUUAAAAAUUGAUAGAUUUAUUGUUGUCAUGAACAAAUUAUUCAUUUUAAUGAAAUAUAAUUAAUGCAUCAAAGUUAUCAGGUUUAUGUUCUAUCUUAACGCACUUUUUUUUUUUUUUGGGUUAUCAGCUAUGCCCCUGAGGCAUUUUGUAGAGUAUAGCUUCUGCCUACCUUUGUUUCAUUUUUUUUAAUAAAAAAACAAGGGAAGGUUUUUCCGAGUCAUCCAUUAUUUGAUUACCGUCAAUCAAGAAAACGACCAAAUUAAUUUCUCUCCAAAAUUUCCAAAAGCUAGAAAAUUUUGUUAUUUGAAAAUAACAUCAUUAAUUAUAGAGUGGAUCAAACCGCGUUAUUGUCUUUCAUAAAAUUGAUGUCUUUUUAAGAGUCAAUACUUUUUAUUUACGCAAACCAGUCGACAUCAACUUAAACUUCCAUAUUUUUAUUAUUAUUAUGUUAUUUAUUUUAAUCCCCGAUUAUUUGAUUAGCCACUAUAUAUAUCAAGAAAGCGACAAAAUUUAUUUCUCAUGACUUCCAAAAACUAGAAAAACGACAUCAUUUAUUAUUUUUUUGCAACCCUAAUUGACAUCAACUUUAACUUUAUUAUGUCAUUAUUUCAAUCCCCCAUUAUGACCUUUCUAAUCCUCCAUUAUGCAUCUUUUAUAGUGCAAAUUUAAUUGCACAUAUAAAUAAAUUGAUUAUUGUUACUCCACCACCAAUAUUUCAAAUAGUCACUAGACCAUUUCUGCCUUUAAUUUUCCCUUAAGUUUAACUAUUGACUGCUUUUAGCAUCUUAAAAUAUACAUUUAUUCCUCGAUUAUGUGAUAAAAUUAUGAAAAUAUCCAUUUUAGCUUAAAUUAAUUGGAAUAACCAUAAACAUAACUUAAAUUAAUAGAACAAAAUUAUCAAGUGUAUGUUCUAUCUUACUUUUUGAAGAAUUUAACAUAUAUAAUGCUAUACUAUUAAUAAAUUUAUCAUUUAAUAUAUAUGUUCAAAUAUUUUAUAUAUUUAUUAAUUGUUAUAUACUCAAAGGAUGAAUGAUUUUUCAGGUCUACAUGAGUUGGUGCAUCUGCAAGACUCAAUUUUGACAACAAUGAUCUAAGGGGUAAUUUACCUUGGUGUUUGACAAAUUUAACCUCUCUUCAAGAUUUACUUCCAAUCUACUUACUGUAAAUAUCUCCUCAUCUCCUCUCAUUUAUAUGAUAACCCUUGAAGAUCUCACAUUUUCAAACAAUCAUAUUAGGGUUUUUAUUAUUAGCAUCAUUGUGUCAAUAAUAUAUGUUGCAGUAAGAUUUUUUCAGACCAGUUCCCUUCUUCAAAUAAUAAUGGAAAAGUAUCAAUUUAAAAAUAAAAUGAAUAUGCAUUGAUUAAUUAUAUCCUGAUUUUGAUCGAUUAUAGCGAGAGUUUCUCCAAAUCAACGCCCUGAUUCAAAUAAUACAGAAAAAAUAGUAAUUUAAUAGUAAAAUUAACAAGUGUUGAUUAUAUAUCCUAAGUUUCAUCGAUUAUGUGAUCAAAGUGGCAUUGUUGAUUUAUUUCUUGUUCAAUGUUAAUUUUUAGGUUAUCUAAAUUUCAAGGAUUUAAAAUCUUUGUUCAUGGAUUACACGCUUAUUAAUUUUUCUGCCAUUGACUGUCAUAUUCUAGACUUAAUGGUACCUUCCUUGAUCAAGGACAAUUACUCUCUGUUCUCCUCUUAUAAAUUCCUCUUCCAUUAACAUCACUAGGAGUAUGUUGAUCUCUCAGACGUUAACUUCAGUGGAGAGUUUUCAAAUUGAUUGUUAUAAAACAACACAAAAACUAGACACACUUGAUCUGUCUAAUAAUUCUCUUUCGGUAAAAUUGAUUAAUUUUAGGGGAAUAUUCUACCAACCUAUAUAAUUUUAGAUUGAUCAUUAAUUAAUUAGACGAAAAAAGUACUUGUGCUUUUGUGGCGACAAUUGAACCGGAGAAGUGAAGCUGUAAAGAUUUGGCAGUAGUAAAUUGUUAGAAAGACGUAAAGACAAGUUCCCAUUAUUAUAAUUUUUUCAAAAAACUUUUUUACAACACAUGCACCUGGCCAAAAAUUUUAUUUUGCUAACUAACAAUAAUUGAGUAGCUGACCGUAUUGACUCCACCUACUUGCUAAAGUAAAAAAAUAGAAAUAGAAUUUCCACAAAAUGGCAAACAUGUAAAAUCUAAUAUUUGGCCGUGUGGAACAAAAUACAAAUUAAAAAAAAAUAGAAAAAAGGCCUAAAGACUUUUAAAAUGUGUGGAAGUCUUUCGGCCCUUUUAUAAUGGUGUGUUUUUCAAAGGAACAAAUAAUAAUAAUGACACUUCUAUGGUUUGUUUUGAUAAUCACACAUAUACUCUUUAAUUUGAUAAAUGGUUACACAAAUUUUGUUUACAAAAAUAUAUUAUUCAUGUUCUGUAUUAUUUUUUAACAUCAUAUUUUUAUUUAUUAUAAUUGUUUAAAGUUAAUUGUUAGGUUGAUAUAUAAUAAAAACGUAUAAUCGUUCUCUUACUAAACACACAUACUCGUAGUUUAUGUUCAUUUGUCAUCUCAAUCUCUCUCAUUUAUCCUUUAUUGAUAGCUCAAAACGCGUCACUGUGGAAAAUUAUAGCAAAACGACAAAUAUGGAAAAAAUGGGAAGAAAAUUAAUGCAUGAAAGAGUUGCAGAAGACAACCAAAUAAGUCAACUAUACGCUAGUUGGGUGUAUAAAUUGUUAGAUGUGUUAUAAACAAAUAGCAUAGAGCCUUGGUUGGUUACAGAGAUAGAAAAAGUGUGUGUGUUUUUUAGAACUUAAAGAUAUAGUUAGAAUGGGUGGUUCAAAAUCAAAAAUGGUGAUAAUGUUUGUUCUGUUAUUAAUAAUAUUAGAAGGUGGGUGGAGUGAAGGAUGUUUGGAUCACGAGAGAUUUGCUCUUUUGCGACUCAAACAUCUCUUCGAUGAUACUGGUAAUUAUCCUUACGAUUGGGGAGAUGGUGAGGGAGCUACUGAUUGUUGUCUGUGGGAAAAGGUUGAGUGCAGCAACACCACAGGCCGAGUGAUAGCGCUAGACCUUAUUGAUACGUAUGGGGGAGAGCACAGCUGGUAUCUGAAUGCUUCUUUGUUUACUCCCUUCCAACAACUUGAGUCACUUGAUUUACAUGGCAAAAAUAUAGCCGGUUUUGUUGAGAAUGAAGGUGCUUCGUCUAAUUCAAUUAAAUUACAUUUCGCUCUCCUAAUUUAAGUCGAAUAUCAAGACUGAGCAGCUAUAUGCAUAUUCAUUCAAUUGACAAUUUUUACAUAUUUUUUAAAAUGUUUAAUUUUGAAAUUACACCAAACAUCAUAUGUGAUCUUUGUUUUGAUUUUACUUGCAGGUCUAGAAAGAUUGAGCAACUUGAAGAUGCUGGAUUUAAGUGAAAACUUGUUCAACAAUAGCAUCUUAUCAUCUCUAGCUCGUCUUUCAUCAUUAACAUCAUUAGAUUUAUCUGAUAAUAGAUUGGAAGGAAGUAUUAAUGUUAAAGGUACGUAAUUAAAACAUCAUCUCUUCUCCCAACUCUUUCAUUAACAUGCUAAAAUAAGAUUCAAGGCUUUGAAUUCAAUUUUUUUAUGAGUAAAUAUUAGAAAAAUAGUUUUAAGCAAUUCAUAAAUACAAUUUUCAAUGUUUCUCAUAAUUACUCUAACUGUGAAGCAAAUACCCCAUGACUAAUUUAUCAUUUUGUCCAGUUAAAAAUGAUAAAAUUUAUCAUUUGUUUAUAUUGAUUUAUUAACUCUAUUUUAAGUCUUAAGUCUUGGCGUGUUGGCAUGUUUGCAGAAUUUGAUUCCUUGAGCAACUUAGAGGAGUUGGACAUGCGCGGUAAUGAAAUAGACAAUUUCGAGGUUCCUCAAGGUAAACAAUUAAAAUAUUAUUCAAUUACAUUAAUUUAAUUCGUUUGAUUAGGGAAGGCCCAAAAUGUACAAAAACAUAAUUAAAAAAAAAUAAAGAAACAGAGAAUUCAUAUUAUUUCAAAAAACAAAAGGUAAUACUAUUAUUUCAAAAAAAGAAUGUAAUAAAGAUUUGAUUCCGGUUCUUUAAUCUUUAUAGCAAUUGAAAAACAAUGUUGCUCUUUUCCUAAAGCAUAAAAUAUGAAAUGAGUCAUAAUUGAAUUAGUCAUUUAUUUUGUUUAGAUCUAAAUUUAGACAAUAAAUUUUGAUUUUUUUUUCAAUCCUAUCCUUAUUAUUAUUGUUAAACAGGUUACAGAGGUUUGAGGAAGUUGAAAAGCCUCUAUCUAUCGGAAGUUAAAAUUAGAGAUGGAAGCAAGUUGUUACAGUCAAUUGGAUCAUUCCCAUCCCUCAACACUCUUUACCUUUCGUCUAAUAAUUUUACGGAAACAGUGACAACUACUACUCAAGGUAAGUAAAAGGUAUAGAUGUGGCCAAAUUUAUAAACAAAUUGUUAAUUAAUUAAUUUUUCCGUAUUAUUAAUUAAGCUAAAUUUGUUGCUCCUUCCUUCUAAAUGUACACAGAGUUGCACAAUUUCACCAACUUGGAAUAUUUGACAUUGGACUCUUCCUCUAUCCAUAUAAGCCUUCUGCAAAGCAUUGCAUCAUUAUUCCCUUCAUUAAAAAAUCUGUCGAUGUCUAGUUAUGAAGUCAAUGGCGUCCUACGUGGUCAAGGUAAAAGAAAAGUGUUGAUUGUGAACUCGCUCAAUGGUGUCCUACGUGUUCAACAUUUUUAUUUAUUUAUUUUAUUGUUUAAUGUUUCUGCUAGGUUUUCCUCAUUUCAAGAGUUUGGAACUUUUGGAUAUGGAGUGCACGCGCAUUGCACUCAACACCAGCUUUCUUCAAAUCAUCAGUGAAUCGAUGCCUUCUCUUAAGUACUUAUCACUGUCAGAUUCUACUCUUGGCACUAACAGCAGCAAGAUUCUUGAUCGAGGUUAAUCAGAUGCUCCCACCCUCCCUUCUUAAUCUAUAAUAUUAAUUUUCAAUUAAAUAUUUAAUUACACAAACGAAUCACUUAUUAUAAAAGAAUAAUACGCAUUCAUUAAUUUCUAUAUUGAAUUAAUUGAUGAAUUUAAUAAUAUGCAUUUGUUAAUUUUUUUAUUGUACUGAUGGAUGAAUUAAUAAAUUUUCAGGCCUCUGUUCGCUGGUGCAUUUACAAGAGUUGUACAUUUAUAAUAAUGAUCUGAGAGGAAGCUUGCCUUGGUGCAUGGCAAAUAUGACAUCCCUCAGAAUAUUAUAUGUUUCUUCUAAUCAACUUACUGGAAGCAUCUCCUCAUCUCCCCUCGUUCAUUUGACAUCCAUUGAAGAGCUGCAUCUUUCAAACAAUCACUUCCAGAUCCCAAUUUCACUUGAACCACUUUUCAAUCACUCAAGACUCAAGGUUUUUUGGGCUAAGAACAAUGAAAUAAAUGCAGAAAUAACUCAGUCACCUUCUUUGACCGCCCCAAACUUCCAAUUAUCACGUCUCUCAUUGUCUUCCGGUUAUGGAGACGGUGUCAUAUUCCCCAAAUUCCUUUACCAUCAACAUGACCUGGAGUAUGUUGAUCUCUCACACAUGAAGAUGAAUGGAGAAUUUCCAACUUGGUUGUUGGAAAACAACACAAACUUAGAAUCUCUUUUUUUGGUUAAUGAUUCUCUUGCAGGACCUUUCCGGUUGCCAAUUCAUUCACACAAGCGGUUAAGACUGUUGGAUAUAUCCAACAACAACUUCCGAGGCCACAUUCCAGUAGAAAUUGGAGAUGUUUUACCCGGUUUAUUUUCUUUAAACAUUUCCAUGAAUGCUUUAGACGGUAGCAUUCCCUCUUCAUUUGGUAAUAUGAAAUUCCUCCAAUUACUGGACGUAACCAACAACCAAUUGACUGGUGAAAUCCCUGAGCACUUGGCUGUGGGUUGCGUCAACUUGGAGUAUCUUGCGUUGUCAAACAACAGCUUAGAAGGUCAUAUGUUCUCCAGAAACUUCAACCUGACAAACUUGAAAUGGUUACAAUUGGAAGGCAAUCACUUCGUAGGAGAGAUCCCACAAAGUUUGUCUAAAUGCUUCGUACUAGAAGGAUUGUUCCUUAAUAAUAACAGUCUUUCGGGUAUGAUUCCACGAUGGUUGGGUAAUCUCACAAGGUUACAACAUAUUAUGAUGCCCAAGAAUCAUCUUGAAGGUCCUAUUCCAGUGGAGUUUUGUCAACUUGAUUGGCUUCAGAUUUUGGACAUUUCAGACAACAACAUAUCUGGAAGUUUACCAUCUUGUUUCCAUCCUCUCUCUAUCGAACACGUUCAUCUUUCAAAAAAUAUGUUACAUGGACAAUUAAAAAGAGGUACAUUCUUUAAUUACCAUUCCCUUGUGACAUUAGAUCUUAGCUAUAAUCGCUUGAAUGGCAGCAUUUCGGAUUGGGUUGAUGGGCUUUCUCAGUUAAGCCACCUUAUCUUAGGUCACAAUAAUCUUGAAGGUGAAGUGCCAGUUCAAUUGUGCAAAUUGAACCAACUACAAUUGUUAGAUCUUUCUAAUAAUAAUCUUCAUGGUCCUAUUCCUCCCUGCUUUGAUAACACCACACUUCAUGAAAGUUACAGCAAUAGUUCUAGUCCUAAUAAGCAAUUUGAAAUAUUCUUUUUCAUCCAAGGCCCUCAGGGACAUGUAGAAAAGCAAAUCCAUGAAAAUUUUGAGUUCACAACAAAGAACAUUGCGUACAUUUACCAAGGAAAAGUGCUUAGCCUCCUAUCAGGACUUGAUCUUUCUUGCAACAAGCUAAUCGGUCAUAUUCCUUCUCAAAUUGGAAAUUUGACAAGGAUUCAAACAUUGAAUCUAUCGCACAACAACUUGACAGGAUCGAUCCCAUCAACAUUUUCAAACUUGAAGCAAAUCGAAAGUUUGGAUCUUUCCUACAACAAAUUGAAUGGGGAAAUCCCUCAUCAACUAGUGGAGUUAAAGACGUUGGAGGUUUUCAGUGUGGCAUACAAUAACUUAUCAGGCGAAAUUCCAGAAUGGAAAGCACAAUUUGCAACCUUCAACGAGAGUAGUUAUGAGGGAAAUACUUUUCUUUGUGGACUGCCAUUGCCCAUUUGCAAAUCACCAGCAACUACGCCAGAGGCUUCAAUUGGCAAUGAACGAGAUGAUAAUUUAAUUGACAUGGACAGUUUUUUUAUCACAUUUACAACAUCGUACGUAAUUGUGAUAUUCGGAAUUGUUAUUGUUUUAUAUGUAAAUUCUUAUUGGCGACGUAGAUGGUUUUACUUUGUUGAAAUGUGGAUAACUUCAUGCUACUAUUUUGUUGUAAACAAUCUUAUUGCAACAAGAUAUUGUCAUUGAAAUUAAUUAGCAGUUUAAUUACGAUUCUUUAAGUUCUAAUCAAGUUUGCUUAGGAAAUACAUUUAUUUUUAUUUUUUAUUAAAAUUGUAGUAGUAUUUAGCAUUAUAUAGCUUCCAACUUCCAAGCACUUCACAUUUGUCUCCACACUUCCAAACCCAUAUCUAUCCACCAUAACGUAUACUUCCCUAUACUGUGCAGCAUAAUUUAUUUAAGAGAACCAUCUCCAAUGUUUUUUUUUUUUUUUUGAAUACUGAUUAAUCAUCAGAUUACUGCAUUAUACAGAUAUUUACAACAACUGCUAUUGUAGAAGAGAUAUUAUACUGAUAUUUACAAUCAGAUAUACAUAAUUGGGACUUAUAUUAUGACAUUAAAUUCUAUGAAGUACAUGCCCAAACAAAUAACCUCUCACAAGAUAGGGAUGUCCAUACUCCACUCGCAUUUCGCAAGGAAGAAGGAUUUUGAAAUAUGAAGAACAUUUAGCCCCCACAAUGCUUUUAUGGGGGCUAGAACCGCUGCCCUCACAAUUCUUGUGAGGGCAGCAGCCCACCACUUCGGCCAUCUCCAAUGUUAAAAGCAGCCACUCUGUAACAUUCAUUUAGAAACUAUAUUCAGAAUAGUUUUAUAAUCAUACACAAGAAAUGAAACACCUAGAUGCACUUAAUCGCCUAUUUUACUUUAAAAAAUAAUGAUUAUGGUGCUAUCAUCAUCUUCUUCACUAGCAACAUUAACACCAAAUCCAACGAUGGACCCAGACAUUUUAUCAAGAAAGGUAUAUAUAUAUAUAAUAAAGUUGAAGCUUGACAAAAAAUUCAGGAAGAUUAAUGCCUCGCCACAACAAAGGGCACAACAACAUCAAAGUAGAGAUGAAGCAAUAUUCUCAAAGGUAAAACUCUCAAAUCCACCCACCAGAAUUUCAUAUCUCCUCGACAAUUUUAAGAACUAAAGAUAAUUAGGAUUUAACAUUAGUUUUUUAUAUAUUAGUUUCAUAAUUUACAAAUCAAUGCAGAUGAAGAUUAUGCUAAUGAAUUCAAAUUAUACCAUACAUUCUCUAGAUGUUACCAAAUAUUUCUAAAGUCAAUCCCACACAUUUCAUAAUUUUAAGACUAGAAAAUUUCAUUAGUUAGAAGUUUCAUUACCUUCAAGUGGAAGAUGAAGAACAUUGUACAAGUGAUUCAGAUUAUAUCAUACAUACUCCAAAUCCAACUAGAAAUUAACAAGUUCAUGCGCACAGAUUUCAUAACAUUAUGAUUGGAAAGUUUCACAAAGAGAAAUUCUAAAUUCAAUCUCUUGCAUCAAGGUAGUUUGAUUGAUUUGAGUUACUUUCUGAUCAAGCUACUAAUAUAACAUUCAAGUCAAGGAGAAAGUAAAUUAAAACUGGGAAAAAGUAACAGUAAAAAUUUGUUGCUAAACAUGAUGUGUAUUUUUUUUUUAAAGCAAUUUGGAAACACAGUUGUUACUACAGAUAUUCUCCUCAACUUGGAGAUAAAUACAAAUAUUAAAAUGCAUUUGAUCGCACAUAUUACUUAGAGCUUAGUAAGAUUUCAUUAAGAGAAGCAAUCAAACCACUUAUCAAUUGUUGCAGUCAUUCUAUAAGCUAAAAUAGCAAUAUAAUACAAGAAAAAGAACAUAUAGAUACUUGGCAAGAGUUCAUUAAGAAGUCGCAUCACAUUCGGGUGAGGAGUUUGCUUCUGAUAUCUUGCUAGCUGGGGCUUUUUCUUGUCUUUCUACGUAUGCCAAGGGAAACCAACCAGCUUGGCCCUUGCAUUCACCUUCCGACCAUCCAAUAGGAGCCACCUUGAGAAGUUAUAACUAAAACGGUGAAUUAAACAAAAGUUGACCGUUCAAAGACCUAAGGGGAAAACUAAUUCUUUUACGUAGGGGGAGUGAAUUAGUUGUGAUCACUGAAAUAACAGCAUAACUAUGGAAGCAUAACAAGAUAUAAAUUCACAUGUCUAUAAGGGUAAACUGGGUGGUUUAGAACCGAGCUAGCAACCCUACUAUAUUCUGAUUUGCACUUCAAUGUAAAAGGGAAUAUAUGGUAGGAAGAAAGAAAACCAACCAUCAUUUGUUAACUCAUUGCUUUUCAAUCAAAAUUUUAAGAACAAAAUGCCAUGUGCCUUGAACAUCAAAUAAGUAUAAGCAUUAGUUCUAAAUUCCACAUAUCAUAUGUUAAUAGCAUAGUAGAAAAAUCUAUGUGUUGUUAUUUAGAGGGGAAAGUACUUGGCGAACCACAACAUAAUCAUCAAUUGAAAGACUUAGCUCUCCAUUUGCUUGAGCAUCAAAUGGAUGUAUAACCUGCAAGAUAAUGGGAUAAAUAGAACUUAAUCUUAGAAAAAGCAUAACAAAAGCAGCAACAGUAGCAGCAGCGUUCAUUGUAACCACUAUGAUCAUGGCCAACAAAGAUAUAUUAGAAACAAAAUUCCAUUUUUACUACAACCUUAAUAUGUACUAUAUGAUAUCAUGACGAUUGGGUUACCAAGAGCUAUUAAAGUCCAAUAAGUUCUGUAUAACUUUAUGUAGUUAUUUAAAUUAUGGAUCAGAUUUUAAAUCUGAAAUUUUGACUGCUCUCCACAAAACAUGGCCUAUGCACAAAAAAGUCAUAGAUAAUGAGGAUUACAAAUGUCUGACAUCUUUUGAGUGAUGGAUUUAACAUGAGAGCUUAUGGUCAGUCAAUUUCCUCUGCCUACCAAUAUAAGCUUUCUCGGCCAGAUUUAUCAUCAAAUACAUAGAUUGCCCCCAAGUCACAUCCAUACAAACAUAGUUUUUCUAGGUAAACCAAGUAAGGAGAAUCAUAAUUCAGACAUAAUCAUAAAAAGGUCCAUCUAACUUAAGAGAAAAUCUCAAAAAGAGGGAUGUUGAGCUAUCAGUCUUGUAUCUAUAAGCAAUAUCAAGACUUUACAUCACCUGCUACAUCGUGAGUGGCUACACAACUUUCAGUGGUUUGUCUUUCUUUGGCAUGCCUAACUCAGCUUUGAUGUUGCUGAGAUAUUGAUAGUAGAGACACUUGAUACUUCUAGCUCAUGCAUUCUAUCUAGCUCAUCCGACAACUAUCUCUUUUUUAAUUCAUUAGUGUUUGCGAAACCUCAGGCUUAAAAGUCCUGUUCUCCUAAACAAAGUUUCCUAAGAAUGACUUCCUCAGCACCACAUUUGGACACUUUUAGAGCAAUUUUAUUUGGGGGAAAAGAAUUUUCAAGGUGUUAACUAAUAAAUUUUAAAAAAUAAUUACAAUUUGUCCUACGAUUAUAUGACAAUUUACCUAUGUGGCAAAUAAAAGGGUGAAAAAAUAUGAUAUUCUCUAAAAGACUUUUCAAAUAGAAAUAAAUUAAUAUUAUUUUAAUCAUAUAAUUAAUUUUUUAAAGGAAAAGUCAAUAGCAAUUAAAGCACUUCUCUCUCUUUCUUCAAUGAAAAAUAAUAAAAUAUAAAUUGAAGAGAGAUAAAUUAACUCUCCAAAUUUAAAGAGAGAGAAUCAAUUCUUAUUUGAAGAAUCUUAAUUGGAGUGUCUUUUGGAGCUUUAAAUAUUGAUGUGGCUCUUCAAAUAAGUAAUAAAAUCUUAUUUGAAGAACUUUUUGGUGAUGCUCUAAGAAGUGAAAAUGAUGAGAGCCCUGAUUCCCUUUUGACUUCCAUUUACUGUCAAACAUUCUAGCAAUACAAAAAAUUGUUUAGAUAUCUUGCUAUAAAUAUAGCCGUUUGACUGUCAUAAUAAAGUCCCAAAUAACCAUUCAUAUUGAUCCACUGUCACACAGCAUGCUUUAUGCAUACAACAUCUGUAUGCAUACCAACUCCUAACCUUAUCAAUACAUUUGGCAAAAACCUAAGAAGAAAACUAUUUCUCCAUCUCUUUUUUGAAAUUUCACAAUAAACCAGCACAUUGUGAAAGCUAUGUUCUAAUCUUAUGAUAAAUGCUCUAGACUCCAAAAGGAUUUUAUAUAUGAGAGUUUGUUGCAGUAGAUAUAUUGACUUAUCAAGUAUGAAUCAUUGUCUGGAUGAACUAUCUUUAAAUAAAAGAACAUUAGAACCACUGUAGAAUAUCUUUACGCUGCUGGUUGUGGCAACAAUUGCUAGAUCCACAAUUCCCCAACUUCAAAUACAUAGUUGCACACCAUGAGAUAGUGCUACAAUCUACUGAGAUCUAACUUAUAUGAUACUUUAAGCUACUAAUGUUUGCAUAUUUCUACAUGUUAAAUUAACACUACCAUCUAUAAUCACUCCAAAACGACAAAUGAUAAGCAGCUUUUGGCUACUUAUUACUAGCAUCCACAAUUAUAAAUAAGAGAUCAUGGGUUUACUUGUUGCACCUACUUAAUGAUCUGCAGUUGAGACCCUGACGCAAGGUUUAAACAGUCACUGCUUAGAACCCUUGUAGUUGGAUCUUGACCUCUCCCAUUGUAGCCAAGAUUGGCUACUCUGGUAAUGAAUCAACACUCUCCUGCUCAGGGCCAUGAAGAUCUGGAAGCUCAGCACUAGUGGAGAACUUCAUCAAUCUCUUCUUCUCAGCAUACUUGAGACAAGGCUGCAUUACGAGACCAAUCACCACAGCACCAAUGCUUAAAGCUGCAACUUUUAAAGUAGAAAGAGCCAACACAACACAAAUCAAUAUGGUUGGAGGAAUACACAUGAUAAUGGCUCCAACAGUGCCAGUGGGUAUCUUGUAAGGACAAGAUGCAGCAGGAUAUUGUAUCCUUAACCAUAUAAAUGCUAUAAACUCCAUAAUCAUUCCAAAACAGUACAGGAAGUUCUCUGCAGCUACAAUAUCUUGAAAGCUCAGCCAUGAUAGCAAAACCACACCAGAUGCUGAGAAUAUGAUUCCAAUCAAAGGAGUCCCAUAACGAGACCUCUUAGCAAAAACCUCAGGUAGCAUUCCACGCUCAGCCAUCCCCAAAAGCUGGAAAGAGUCGCUGCUCAUCUCAGCUACAAACAUGCCCAUAUUCGACAUUGCUGCAGCCCCCUGGAUCCACCAUCUCAACCAAACUCCACCAAGCACUUUAGCGAUAUCUGAAAAGUAACCAUCGGUCCACAAGUCGCGAUCUAAUGGAAUAGCUCCAGUUCCAACUAGAAGGGGAAAGAAAUACCCAAAAAUGACCAAGAUCAAAGCAUUAAACAAAGCCUUUGGAAGAGUCUUCUUUGGGUUAUCCACCUCUCCAGCUAGUGUACUUAUUGAGUCCCAGUAGUUGAGAUUCCAAAACAGGGUGUUCAAAUACAAAUUCCAAUCCACUUCACCUAAAUUUACUACAAGCCAUCUUGAAGGCUCUAACUUGGGAAGGGACACAAGUCCCAUAACCACAAAAGGAAGGAGUGAGAAAAUCCCUAAAAGAACAGCAGCCCAUCCCACAAUGGUUAGACCCCUAUAGUUCACGUAGAACAAAAGUCAAAGCUAACGCCACAAAGGCUCUAGGUAACCCAUUGCCCAACGCAGGGAUACCAGACUUCAAGUAGUCAAGAAACAGAACUGGGUAUAAAGCAUUAUCAAUAACCCCACUUAGCCAUUUCAUCCAACCUUGCUGAAAACCCCAAUAUGGGCCUAAGGCAGAUGAAACCCAAACCACAUAACCACCAUUUUCAGGAAACAUGGUACCCAUCUCGGCAGUAAUUAAAGCUUCAGGGACACUCCAUAUAAUCGGAGACACCAAGAAACCGAGAAGUGCUAAAAGAGGACCAGCUGCCUUUACACUAUCCUCAACACCAAACGGCCCUCCAGAAACCUCAUAGAGUAUAAGGAAAAUAAGUGGCAAGAUCGAUACUUUUCUAGUUCCAUAGACUCUAGGAGAAGAUGGUUGGUCAUUGAUAUUAACAUAUUCAACAACAUCAGACUGCCCCAUUUCUACUGAAACUUGCCUAUUCACAGUGCUCCUCAAUUUCUGCAUCAAGUUUAAGCAUAACUAUCAAAAGGGUAUCCACAUCUAAAUUAUGAAACAAAAUGAGCAUUUACUUAUUAAAAAAAAAUCAAAAAACAGAAAUGGAUUUCGCAGAGCACAUGAAUUUAAGUUCAACAUUAAACAGGCGCUUAAGAAAACAAAAGGGUCUGUUCGUAAAGCCAUCAGAUUGCAAGAUUGAACAAACAUUAAGGGAAUCAAUAGAAUGGAUGUAAAGAGAUCUGAAAAGAAAAUAAAAUAAAAGAUGAAGAGAGAUAAAACGAACCAUCAAAUAAGUGCAUGCAGAGCAGAGAGCCAGAUGCUAGGGAAGCUCCGUCAUGUUAGAGAGAGCCUAAAUCAAUCAGAGCUCAUUGAGUUUCUUUCAACUGACCGGCAAAUUUGGAGCAUCAUAACAUAAAAUUUUUGCUUUUAAUUUUUGGCACUCCUUCGAAUGGAAUUUUUUGUUUUUAAAAAAUAACGAAAUCAUAAAAUAAAUAAACACGUGUUUGGUUUUGGGCAUUUUCUUUUGUUCAUUUAAUAUCACCUGGCUCCCUGAUUUUUGACUAAUUAUCAACCGAAUCCUGUUAGUUUCUAAAUUGAAAUAAUAUUAGGUCAUGAGAUUAUUUACUCCAUUUAGGAUUCCUCCCACUUUAGUGUUUACUUAUUAAUUUUAAGAGAGUGCGAAUCCCACUCUAUGGGACUCAUUCUUUUUUGGAGUGUAGAGUGGGAUUCCCACUCCCAUGGGGGGAGGUGAGAGUGGGAAUCCACUCCCCCCUCUUCCAUUUUUAUCUUUAUAUUUAAUUUAAUAAAAUAAAAUAAUAUCAUAUUUACUUAAAUAAUAUUAUUAUAUUAUUUUAUAAAUUAUACUUAUUAAAAAUAAUAAUUUAUAUUGAUUCUAAGUUAAAAUUACUUAAAAAAAUAUUAUUAUACUCAUAGAGAAUUAAUAAUAUUACUAUAUACUCUUUUUAUUUGAAAAUAUAAUAUUAUUAUAUUUAUUUAAAAAUAAUAGUAUUAUAUUUAUUUAAUAUUAGUAAUUAAUAAUAAUCAAUAUUUUAUUCUGAGAAAAUAUUAAUUUUGUAUUAUAUUAUUAAUAAUAAUGUUUCAUUUGUGUUGCUCUUAAUAAUAAUUUUUUAUUUACAUAAUUAAAAUUAAAUUUAAUAAAAAAAUUAUUUACAUAAUUAAGAAUAUUAAUAAUUAUUAUUAAUUUACAAAUAUAAUAAAAUAAAUAUUUUAUUUUUCAAAUCUAUUUUUUAUUAAUUUUGUAAUUAAAAACUAUAAUUCUUUAAAUAAGGAUAAAACUGUAAUUUAAAAUUAUUUACUCCCAAAUCUAUGCUCUCAUUCCAGUGUAAGUAAAUAACUUACUCUCACUCCCACUCCACACUCCUAAUCCCAGGAUUCUUAUUUCAAUCCAAAAUGUAAACGCAGCAUUAGCACGGUAGACUUACUUAUAGUAUAUAAUACUAUUGAAAAAGCUUUGUCAAAUAGUAGUAAUAGGAGCAUAAGAAAAAGUUCUUCAGAAUUUAGAUAACGCACUUGGCUCUAGGAAGAUUGCCCUCUUAUCACUCGAGUUAGGCUUUUGGCUUAGAGUUGAGUAAAUCAUUAAAAUAAAUUAUAGCUAUCACAAAUUGUUAGGAAAAUUUCAAUUUUUUUUCCCAUCAAAUGUCUAUGAAGCAAAAUUUUCUUAGCUUAUAUUGCAACACUAAUACUUCAAAUCCUGACAAUAAAUUUGAUGACAGUUGUUUUUUUGUAUAGUAAUUGUCACUCUAUUGUUUAGUUUAAAAGUAGUUCUUAAAAUGAUAAUGAUGACUUAUUUAGAACAAAUGGUAAACUUGUAGUUUGUAAUAUUAUUUGUACAAACAAUAAAGACUAAUUUGAUAAUAAUCUUUCAAAGAAUAAAUUACUAUUUAACAUUUUAAAUUAAUUUCUAAAUUUAAAACAAAUAUGAAAGUUGAUUGCUUCGAAGGUUGGAUCGUGACAAAUUGACAAUUGAAAAGAGGAGGGAAUAUAUAUUUUGAUGAAAGGGACAAGAUUAAGCAAGGGGACAAUAUUUUCUAUUGGACCUACAAAUAGGGGGAAAGAUUUAUAUAUUUCAAAAUUUCUUAUUUGUGGAUUGGCCAGCACGUGUAACUAAUAUAAAAGGAGAAAAUUUGUCAUGGUUUUAACCGAUAUAAGAAGAGAAAAUUUUGAGUGCACAACAAGAACGAAGCAAAACUAGGGUUGGCAGAAAAGCCCGGGCCGGCCCAGGCCCGCAUCGGCCCGGGCCAGGCCCGCGGGCUUUAAGCCCGGCCCGUGGCUUGAAAUUAUGGGUAAGGGCUCAAAGUUAAUAAAGCCCAUAACAUAUGGGCUCAGUCAAGGACCUAAAUGAAAAGUCCGGGCUUAAGCCCGGGCUUUAUAAUAAAUAAUAAAUAAUAUAUAUAUAUAUAUAUAAUAUUAUGGAUAAUGGCUUUAUAUAUAUAUUAAAAAAUGUAUAAUAUAUUAUAAAAUUGAAAAAAUAAUUAAACAAAAUAAUAAAAAAAUCGGGCAAAGGGAAAGGGCAAAGGUUUUGUCACAAAAUGUCAAAAUUCCUAAAUCGGUAAAUCUCUAUUAGUUUUUUUUUUAUAUUAGUGGUUGAUUUGUACGUUGUGUACGGUAUUUGUAUUGUUAGUAUUUUUAUAUUUUGUGUUGCUAAUCAUGUAUUAGAGAAUUAUAUUUAAGUUUUUAGCCUAUUGUAGUAUUAUGUAUUGGUUAAUUAUGUUUUGAAAAUUUAUAAUUUUAUUUUUUAAAAAAAAAUUUUAAAAUUUCGUAAAAGCCCGGGCUUGGCCCGCGGCCCGGCCCAGACCCGUCAAGGCCCGGCCCGCCCAAAGUCUGCUCAACUUGGAUGGACUUUAAGAGGGCCUGGACUUAUUUAACAUUAUAUGGGCCUGGUCCUGAGCUUGAUAAAGCCCGGCCCAGGCCCUUAAAUUGCCAACCCUAAGCAAAACCCAUGAAAAUUCACCUUGUGGGUUGGAUUGGAUAAAAUCAAUAUCUUGAAUCAAACAAAAUGUUUGGUACAUUAAGGUUUUGAGUGUGUGUAAUGAGCAAGAAUCUACAUAAGGAUAUUUUAGUAAAUAUAAGAAAAAGGGCUCAAGGAAUGGCCUAGAGAUAGAAGCCCACAGCCCAUGAGUGAUGAGAAUACAAUUUAACCAUUCAAACUAAUUAGAAGCAAAUUAUUUCAUAUCUUUCGUUAAUUUUUCCGCUUACUUACUUAGCAUCCAAACAAGUUAAAGUUAAAACACUGUUGAGACAACAAUAUGCAGGCAUCAAUAAGCAUGGCAGUUUUUUAUAUGUAUUCUACACGAUAUUCUGGGGAUGUCAAUUGUAGAACAUUUUGCGGCAACUUUUUACAUUAAUUAAUGUUUGAAGAAUUUGUUAAAAAAGGGUAAUUUUAUCAUUUUGAAAGAGAAAAAAAAAAGUAAAAGUGGCGUUACCUCAUGGUCAUUAGAGACUUGUUGCAAUGAUAGCUCAAAAUUAACAAUUUGUGAAGAGUUAGUAGACGAUGCCGAUGUUGUCGUCGUCACUUUUGUCGUCGCCGCUGUUGUUGAAUUCAUGCUUAGAACACAACAAGAGAAGAAGAAGGGAGGAAAGGGAAGAGAAGAAGAGAGAAGUGGUGGAUAGCAAAUAUGAUAUGCUAGCUACACACCCGCCUUAGAAUUUUUUUUUUGUGUUUAUUAUAUUUUUGUUUUCGUUAUUGUUUUGUCAUAUACUUUCGGUGUAGCAGUGCCUUACAUCAUAAAUUGCACCUUUUAGGAGAGGUGGUAAAAAACGUGAGGGCACUGCGCUCCAGCGCAUACAUAUAGAAAGAGCUUCUUAAUUUUAAAAAGUUUCUUUAUUUCUUCCACAUUUUUGUGCUUAAAAUAAAAUUUAAUUGUAUUUUGCAUUAACUUAGAAAAAAAAUCCAGUUCUAUACAUAAACGCAUGCAUUAAUUAGAAAAUGAGUUUUACUAACGCAAAUGUACAAUAAAAGAGAUUCUUUUUGUAUAUUGGAAGUAACAUAACUAUUUAGUAUAAAAUGUAAAUAUAAGCUACCAAGAAUUUGCACUUGUGGUAAUUAACGACACAGAUUUUGAACUAUGAAUGUUUUGUGGCUGGUUUGAUUGGAUUUUCGAGUUUUCAGCAAACCUAUCUCAAUAAUUAUUAAAUUAUUUUCACUUCUUACGCCUUAAUAAAAAAAAUCAAUAUUUUUCUGGUCUAUUCUGUAUUUUAAAACUUAAUUUUAAUUUUUAUAUUGCAAACCAAAAUGAGUCAACCGGAGUAUGCUCUUCAAAGAAAUUUUCCAUUGCCUUCAAGAAGAAUUUAUUUUAUUUUUAUACAUUAAUUUAACAUUUUUUCAUUCACUUGUAAACCGGGCCGUCGGAUUGCACAUAAAGCAAAUGAUCAAACCGUUACAAGACCAGCCCGGACCCACCGACUGUCAUUUUCUUUCAUUUGACCAUUAAAAGCUUUUGACCACCCCCACCAAAUAAAUAAGCUCUUGUUCUCUUUUGUUCCCUCUCAAAGGAAAAAAAAUAUCUGAUCACCGGAUAAUGAUUCCGGUGACACAAAAUAUCAAAACACCCCCCUAAAUUCCCUUAAAUUUACAAUAAUACCCCACCAUGGAUGAUUCUGUUGAAAUGCUGCCUUACAGUGAAAGGCCUAAGAAGGGUUUUAACUUCACACCCAUGCGCUUGAUCUUAACCCUCGUUUUCCCAAUUUUAACUUUCUUUUCGUUGGCAUUUUUGAUUGGGAUCGUUGCUGUUUUAUUCGGCGAAUCAUCAGUUUCGAGUUCCAUUUUUGUCCCUUCCCAGUGCAAGAUAGUGUCCAGCAGUAAGCUUUUUCAAAAUUUUCAAUUUUUUUACCUUAAUGAAGCUAAAAAGUUUUAUUAAUUUUUUUUUUUGAAUGAUUUUGCAGGUGUUGAUAUAAGGUCAUCAAAGGUUUGUGAACUUGGGGUGUUGAAUUAUAAGGCGAAGCGUGUGUUUUAUCCAUUUGAAGCAAGUAAAUUUCGCUGUCGAUAUGAUUACUAUUGGGCUUCUAUCUUCAAGGUAUUCAUACAUUUUCUCAACUUUAAUUACUUACCUGUACUAUAAGCUUCUUAGUGGCGGUCUUGUUUUGUGUUUUGAUGAAUGUGUUUAAGGGUCAGUUUGGGAAUGCUGGUAAUAGGAUGUUGUUAGUGUUUGGCAGUAAAUUUGCUAUGCAUAAUUCAGCAAUGUGCUUGAUUUUGGUUAUUGUCUUUAACAAUUUUUAGGUAGAGUACUUAGAUCAUUCACUGGGACAAACGCAGAGCUUGGUUGACCAAAGAUAAGUUCCAGGUUGGGGUCGGCAAUGCAGAGCUUCUGCGUGUAUUAAAAUUUGAAGCCUAGUAAAUGAAUUUCUAAUUUAUUUAUAGUGUUUGUUUUAUCUUGACAGAAAUGAAUGCUAACUCAAGAUUUUCCCAACUUUAAUUACUUACCUGUACUAUAAGCUUCUUAGUGGCGGUCUUGUGAGCGGAAGUGAGCGGUGUGGCUGACAGCUUCUUGAAAAUUAUAAGUUUGAACAGAGCAUGUUAGACUUUUGUUGACCAAAUUCGAAAGCCAAAUGGCACAGCUCAGAAGCUUUUGAAUUGAAUAACUUACGAGAAAGCUCCAAUUUUUUGUUGGCUACAGUAAAAGGAUGUUGUUUUAUUCUUCUUAUACUUUACGCUUGCAUCAGCUUAAAUCACUUCUUAAACGCUUUGCUUUAACUCCACUGCUUCGUACUGUUCUAUAUAUGUAUCGGGUAUGCGGUCGUAGUUCACGGCUGAGACUACGUGUUUGUUUGACGUGGUAGUUACGUUACGAGUCUGUUAAACAUUCGGUGAUUAAAGUAUUAUCGGUUAUUCCAAAGGGACAAAUAAGAUUAGCUGCAACACACCCACUAGUUUUAUAAAAUUCGAAUGAGAUGGAAUAAAAUAAAAAAAUAAAAAAGUAAAUUGACUUUUAAUUUUAGUGGUUGAAUAUAUUUUGUAUUCUCUUAGGGUACUGCUGUAAUUAUUCCUUAAACGUCGUCAUACUCACAUAUAAUAGACACAAGAAAUGAAAUCUAAGAUCACCUGCUUAGUUAAAGAAUCAUCAUGAAAAAAUUUUGCCAUUUUGAUUUGAGGAUCCACAUUUUAAACAACCAACUUAUGUUCAUCAAGAACAGAGUAUGAAUUGUGAGUAGAAAAAUUAUUUUUGGACAAAUUAUUUUGUUAAUAGAAGAAUGUCUCAAGGGACUAUUAAAAUUACUAAUAAAAAUGUCAGACACACCCACGUACCAUCGACACAAUUGAUUAUGAGGAUCCAUGUUUUGAACUGCCUCCUAAUGUUCAUCAAGAACAGAGUCAAUUGAAGGAGAAUAUGCUACUUUUUCAUUAAGAAAGGCAGACGGGGCAUACCAUGGUACCAUACAAUACAAAAAAUCUCCGUUCUCUGACUUUUCAAACUCUGAAGGGGGCAAUAUUCCCCAAUUCCUUUGUGAAAAUUCUGAUUACGACAUUAUUCAUCGCUUGAUACAUAAGUAAAAGUAGUGACAAAAUUAGAAAAAUUAUGAUUCAUAAGUAAUUACUAGGCAGGGCUCUUGAGAGCAACAUUGUCCUAGGCUUUAUAUGCAUACAUGGUGUGGCCACACCAUAACACAAACCCAGAAAGACAAGUAAUAUCUCAACUGAUAUAAAGACAAAAAGAAGAUAAAAUGAUACAGAACAAAGAAUUUCUAAGAGACAACAACAUACAAUAGACUGAAGCCAGUUGAUCUGCUCAUUGAUUGCAGCCUUAAACUUGCAAACGUUUACUGUAGCCUGGUGCUCUAAGAAGUGAAAAUGAUGCAAACCUUGAUUCCAUGUUUACUUCCAUUUACCAUCAAACAUUCUAUUCAUAAGAAAAAAAAUGUUUAGAUAUCUUGACGUAAAUAUAGCCAUUUGAUUGUCUUAAUAAAGCCACACACAACCAUUCAUAUUGAUCCACAUUGCCAUAUAGCCUGAUUUAAGCAUACAACAGCUGAAUGCAUACUGACUCCUAACCUUAUCAAUACAUUGGCGACAACUUCAGAAGAAAACUAUUUCUCCAUCUCUUUUUUGAAAUUUCACAAUAAAACAGCACAAUGUGAGCUGCAAUGAAAAUGGACCGUCUGGAACUAUGGCGGAAGCUUCAACUAGUGUAGUGAAUAUAAACCUAUAAUUGGAACAAACACAGCCACAGAACCCAAGAAUGACACACCCUACACCGCGGGAGAAGCUUUCCAGUGAGAUUUUAUUGAUGAUCAAAGAAGAAUCUUUUUACAAAGCUAACAAAAGAGAUUUCAGAGAAUAAGCUAUGACCCUCUCUCUCUUCAAUCUCUCUCUAGUUUGUUCACAGUGAUGACCCCAAUCUGCUUCGUUAGCCAGCUUCAUAACUGCGUCAGUGACAAACUAACAAACCCAGAUUGAGCAGAUUACCGACACGUGGAUAACGGCUUUUAAGAACUUGGUUAAAGAACUGCUCACAUAUUCGUCACGGGUGUUACUUAAAUGAUGGCCAAAACGACUUCAACCAGAUGCCGUUUUGAAGCUUGUGAAUUAUAAUUGAAAACACGUGCUUGUAUCGUGACACUUAAAUGCAACAACAAGCCCAAAACACUGCCGUUUCACUUUGUUCAGUUUGCCAUCUCUAAGCUUCACAACUAGCAACGGAGAAGAUGAUAAUUAAAUUGACAUGGAGAGUUUUUAUAUCACUUUUACAACAUUCUAUAUAAUUGUGAUAUUGGGAAUCGUCGGUGUUGUAUAUGUGAACUCUCGUUGGCGACACUAGUGGUUUUAUUUUUGUUGAAAUAUGGAUGACAUUUCGUUACUAUUUUAUUGUACACAACCUUAUUCUUAGGAGAUUUAAUCAUUGAAAUUAACAUGUUAGUUUCAUUAGCCACUAGGCCUUUGGCUGAGUCGUUCGGGUGUCUGCCCUCCAACUUGGAGGGCAGCAGUUUGAACCCCCACAAGCGCAAUGUGGGGUAUUUCCUUCUUUAAUCCCUCGAAUAUUACUGAGGGUUAAAAUCUAGGUAGAGUUCCAUAAGUAUUAAUGUAAGUUGGUUCCAGUAAUAGUCUAAUUUGUAAAUAUCAGUUAUAGUCUCAUGUAAGAUGAGUUGUAAUUUGAGCAAUAGUCUCAUAUAAUAAUAAUAAAAUAAAAUAAACAUGUUAGCUUCAUUACAUUUUUCUUCGUUAAAAUUCUCAAGUAUUAGUCAGGUUUGCUUAAGUAAUAAAAUUUUGUCAUUAAAAUUGUAGUAGUAUUUCUGAGCACCUCACAUUUUCAAUGAUUGUUCAUAAAUCAAUUAAUCUGCCGUACCGAUAUUAGGUUUAGUUUUUCAUACUAAAUAAUCAAGAAAGCAAACAUACAAAUUCACAGUUUAGAGGGGUAAACUAGGUAGGUGGUUUAGAUUUUAGAACUAGGCUAGCUACCCCACUAAAUUCCAAUUUGUACAGUGAACUACAAGAAAUUGAGAAAACAGUGUAUUUAUAGUUUAAUUGAAUCGUGAGAAAGCAAUGUAGUCAUAGCUCAAUCUGAGAUGAUCACGGAGAGGCAUAUUCUUUUCAAGUUAAUUUGAUCAAUUUAUAAGAGAUGAAGUGGAUUGAAGUUAAAAGUUUAAAUAACAAAUCCUUGUUCUUGAGUUUUACGACGUCGUUACUCCUUCAAGAGGCAGAUUAUUUAUGCAAGUGAAUGCAGAAACGCAAUGCAUCAUCCACGGGGAUGGUACACCAAAAGGCGGGAUCAUAGUCUAUGCCCGCAGAUUAACAAUUUCGCUCAUAUAGAAAAUUAAUUUUUUAUAUAUACUAAUCAAUACUAAAUUGAUUAUGUUUUGUAUGUUUAUAUGCGAAUCAACACUAAAUUAUAUUAAAUGAAGAAAUAAUUCAAUUUUUUCUAAUUUAAUUUAGAAAAUAAAAUUAUUAACAUUAAUAUUCCCAACAAAAAUUAUUUUCCAUUAGUAUUCAAAGCUUCACUUAUGGAAAAUGUGUUUUACAUGAAUAUUAGUUACUGUGUAAAUUUGAAUGAUAGUGAAAAAUAAUUUUUUAAUUAUUGUAAAAAUAAUUAACCAUAUCAAAUCCCUUACGUAAAUAAUUUUUAUUUUUCAAAAAGGUAGAAAGAUGGUUAAUGCACAAGCAAAUUUUAAGCCCCUCUCUUCUUGGCCUAAGAUUCAAACUCAGAUGACUAGUUAAAUAAACCUAUGUGAAAAUCAUUCGGCCAGGUCCGCGGGGCAAAAAUACAAGAUCCUUAAUUUCAUAAUAUAUAUGAAUUAAUGUCAUUUACUUGAAUUAUCCAAAUUCAUCAGAGGUUAACGAGUUUUCCUGACAUGUAGCAGAUGAAGUUGUUGCUUCCUUCUUGGCAUUAUUUCAGCUCUGGUUGUUGGUCCCGAUGAGCUUUAGUCUUAUUUUAAUUUUAUUUAAACUCAUCAUAAGAUUCGUGAAGCACCUAACUGACUUAACUGACUGUGCAGAAAUGUCACAUAGCAUAUUUAACCGUUUUAACAGUAAUUUUGAACGGUCUUCGCAGUUAUCAUCUACAAACUCGUUCGUGUUGGUCCACUAGGUGAAGUUUUUGAAAUAAUAAUAAGCUCCCAUUCUUGAUUUUAAAAAAUGUGCUUAUAAUAAUUUUAGAAUAAUGGCUUAUUUAUAGAACAACUUAUGAUUUCCCAUUAGCAUUAUUAUUGAAGUGGGGUGGAUAACGGUUCACUCAAUUCGUCGGGAAUCAAAAAUUACCAUCCAAGGCAGAAUUGUGGAAAAUUAAAGCGAAAUGAGAAAUAUGGAAAUGAAGGAAGAAAGUUAAGGCAUGAAAGACUUCCAGUUGAAAUUGAUAAUCAUGUUUCUCUUUGGUAACUAAUCAAAUGGGAAACUGAACCAUAAACAGACAUUAAAACGUGUGGACUCCGCUAGCUGCCUUACAAGCCUACAAUAAUAACUGAGUACCUUUGAUUCAUCCUUCUAUGAAUUUCUAGCCGUAUUGACUCCACCGAAAUUUCCACAAAAAAAAAAAAAAAAAGAAUUUCCACAAAAUGCAAAACGCAUGGAACUUAAUUUUUGGCCCUGUGAUCACUAAGAUACAAUCCUUCUAGUGAAGAGCAAUCAGGCAAAUUUUUUUAGAUCUCUCCGACAAAGUGAUUACCAUCUAAUCGCAAUAUUGAAUAAAAAUAAAAAUUUUAAUGGGAGUUUGACCUUAAAUUUAGAAAAUGAAUUUUCACUUUCUUCAAUUAUUAAACAGAUUACAUACAUUUGAGGAAUUUGAAAACACUUUAUCCAUCGACAGUUAAAAUUAGAGAUGGAAGCUAGGUGCUACAGCUAAUGGGAUCAUUAAUUCCCCUCCCUCAAAUGUGUAGUUGUUCCUCUUUCCACAGCAUAAGCCUUAUAGUUAGAGUUUCUUUAAAAAAAAAAUGUUAAACAAUUUCGGUUGAGCAUGGUUUUGGUAGUUGAAUAGACACCUCCGCCGUACCUCAAACAAAACUGUCAUUAUUCGUGCCAUGAAACAUGUUUCGGCCGUCAAAGUCAUGAGUAGGAGUGUGCAUGGGUUGGUUUGGGUUAGAUUUUAAGUCAAUUCAAAGCAAACCAUAAAAAUUUGGGUUCAAUCCAAAUCAACCCAAAUAUUUUUAACCCAACCCAAACCAACCUAUUUGGGUUUGGGUUUGGAUUUUAUAAUUAAAAUAUUUUUUAUUUUAAUAAAUUUAACUAUAUCAAAUUAUAAUAAUUAUUAAAUUAAUAUUAAAAUACGAAAAAAUGUAGUGGAUAAAAAUUAUGAAUAAUGGAUUUUACAAUAACUUUGUUCUUAAAUAUUAACCAUAUUACAACAUAAAUUCUAACAAUGUCAAUACAAAUUAAAGUAAGAUAAGAUAUCUCAACUCAAGUAUCAAAGCAAUCCAUCAAAAUUAAAUUAUUUAAUUUUAUAAAUUUAAAUUUUCCGAGAAAUAAAUCUAAAAUUUAUUGUAAUUAGAAAAAGCGCCAAAAUUUUAAACGCAAUAAGAAAAAUUAGACAUAAAAUCUAAUUAGGUUUAAAUUUAAUUAAAAAAUAACAAUAGAAUCAUAUUUUAUUUGAUAAAAUCUUAAAAUCAAUUUCAUUUUUUAUUUUAAUAAGUUACAAUACAAAUAGGAUUAUAAAAUUAUAUUACAGAAUUUCAUAAAAAUAUUGUUUGAGUAAUUUAUUAAAGGACUCACCUACGUUGCCACAGUUGUAGCUUACCACGCUUUUUGUCUUUUUCCAGUAAAAUCGUAGAUGCUUUCAAAUUUAAUCUAACGGCUGCAAUUAAUUAUUAGAUAAUUUAAUCAGCCAUUGGCAACCUUUACAACCGGUUAUAUUCUCUCGUUACAUUUCUCGGCUACCAAAUAAUCCCCAAGAAAAUGACGAAGUGAGUAACUAAUACGCACACCGCAGAGAAAGAUGACAGGAGAAGAGAUGACGGUAGGCUCACCGGCACAAAGGUUCUUCGAUUGCUCUAUUUCUUCGGCGCUGGAUUUAUCUACACAGCUACAAUCGACAAGUGGCGGGAACUCGAGCAGAAGUCAUUGAAGAAGAAACAGCAAGAGAGCAAUCUAUGGACUGAUGAUAACUCAGCAACUACGGUAAAGAAAGCCGUCAAAUGAUCUUUUUUAUUUGACUUUUGAUGGAUUUUCAAGAGUUUUGGUAAUAAAAUGUCUCUUAAUUUUUCAUUUCAAUGGCCUAUUGUUUGAGUUAUUAUUAUGCAUAAUUGUUGGAAGAGUUAGGGUUUUACUAUUGGAUUUUGGAAUUUGUAUUUUGGCUUUGAUAUGUUAUUGUUGUGAUGUUGGUCAAGAAAUUUUUGACAACACUCUCCUCGAGUUUGAUACUAUAGCUAAUGAAUUUUUACGGCAGAUAUAUUCUUUUCUUUGAAAAAAAAAAACACUUUACAACUGGUUAUGCAUUCAUUUAGGAGCUGUUAACUGAGCGUGACUUCCAUAAUUUUCCAACCAGUGGUUAGGGUUUCACAGAAAAAUGUCGACAUUGAUCUUUAGGCAGCACUUAAGACUGAAAUUGGUUGUAGAGGAUUGAAUUUGGGGGACUAGAAAUUUCUGAUCAUUAAUAAUUGAAAAUGGCCUCUCACUUGUAGGCAGUUGUUGGAUGUAAUGUAUCCAGUUUCUGAAAUCGAAAGCAGAGUGAGUUCUUAGGUUAGAUGUACCUACAUGCAUUAAGGUUCGAAGAUGUAGAAUAGGCCAAUUGUUUGAUGUCAGCUUUGUUGCACAUGUUCUGAAAUUGAUCAUUUAAGAUGGCUUGGAAGCACUCCGUGAUGUGACUAAGAAGAUUCGAGGAAGUAUUAAAUAUGUUGAAAGUUCACAAUUAAUACAAGGAAAGUUCAAUGAGAUCACCCAACAAGUUGAAAUCAACAGUCAAAAGAGCCUAAAGUGUGAUAUUUUUCUCUUGGAUUGUUUUUUUAUUUUCCAUUUCAAAGCUGAUAGUGUAAAUAUUUUGUUUGCAAAAGUUUCUAAAAAGUACUUGAGUCAAGAUGGUUAGGUAUUUCAUAACUUCCUUUUUACUCUUAACUAGAUUCAUAGAGAGUUAUAACAUUAACAUAAUUUUUUUCUUUUAAAAGUGAUCAAUUAGACACUGAUGAGAUAUCUCACUUUUGAAUCAUUUAGCUUUAUGUAAUUUCAUUACUAUUAUAUGCCCCCAGGAAUUGUUGAAGUAUAUAUAUCUUGGCAUUUCUUCACUGACUGAAUUAUCUUUCAUAAUAUUCCAGCUUCAAAUGGGUACACUGCAGAGCCUAUUGGAUGCAGAAUUCCUUCUAGCUCAUAUGUGCUCUGUAAAAUUCAAAGACUGAAUAGUGGUUAUGGCAACUCUUUGUAGAUGAUCUAAGGUAUAAUGCCCAAUUAUUGCUUUUGCUUUAUCUGUUUUACCUUGCAACAUUUUGAAAUUUAUGAGAAGCAUAAAAUUACUGAGCCAAAAUUGAGGAUCUGAACUUUCGUAAAAAUAUUUGUAUUUUUAAAUUAUAAAAUAUUGCAUUUGAUGCUUUAGGUGGAACUUAGUUCACUACAGAAAGGAAAAUUAUGUUGGGCAUAACCAGAUGUUUUUCAAGAGAAAAUUUCACUUCUGAGGAUUUUACUUGGCCAUCUUAUUUCAAGCUGCUUGAAUUUUUUCUUUAUAUCAUCUUGGUUGUAUACUAUAACUCAUUGAAUUUGCUAGCACUUUUGCUAGUUGUUUAUUCUAUAUGUGAUUGUGGUGGUAAAGUUUGGAAGCUCAAAAAGUAAUGGAACUUAGGAAGNNNNNNNNNNNNNNNNNNNNNNNNNNNNNNNNNNNNNNNNNNNNNNNNNNNNNNNNNNNNNNNNNNNNNNNNNNNNNNNNNNNNNNNNNNNNNNNNNNNNNNNNNNNNNNNNNNNNNNNNNNNNNNNNNNNNNNNNNNNNNNNNNNNNNNNNNNNNNNNNNNNNNNNNNNNNNNNNNNNNNNNNNNNNNNNNNNNNNNNNNNNNNNNNNNNNNNNNNNNNNNNNNNNNNNNNNNNNNNNNNNNNNNNNNNNNNNNNNNNNNNNNNNNNNNNNNNNNNNNNNNNNNNNNNNNNNNNNNNNNNNNNNNNNNNNNNNNNNNNNNNNNNNNNNNNNNNNNNNNNNNNNNNNNNNNNNNNNNNNNNNNNNNNNNNNNNNNNNNNNNNNNNNNNNNNNNNNNNNNNNNNNNNNNNNNNNNNNNNNNNNNNNNNNNNNNNNNNNNNNNNNNNNNNNNNNNNNNNNNNNNNNNNNNNNNNNNNNNNNNNNNNNNNNNNNNNNNNNNNNNNNNNNNNNNNNNNNNNNNNNNNNNNNNNNNNNNNNNNNNNNNNNNNNNNNNNNNNNNNNNNNNNNNNNNNNNNNNNNNNNNNNNNNNNNNNNNNNNNNNNNNNNNNNNNNNNNNNNNNNNNNNNNNNNNNNNNNNNNNNNNNNNNNNNNNNNNNNNNNNNNNNNNNNNNNNNNNNNNNNNNNNNNNNNNNNNNNNNNNNNNNNNNNNNNNNNNNNNNNNNNNNNNNNNNNNNNNNNNNNNNNNNNNNNNNNNNNNNNNNNNNNNNNNNNNNNNNNNNNNNNNNNNNNNNNNNNNNNNNNNNNNNNNNNNNNNNNNNNNNNNNNNNNNNNNNNNNNNNNNNNNNNNNNNNNNNNNNNNNNNNNNNNNNNNNNNNNNNNNNNNNNNNNNNNNNNNNNNNNNNNNNNNNNNNNNNNNNNNNNNNNNNNNNNNNNNNNNNNNNNNNNNNNNNNNNNNNNNNNNNNNNNNNNNNNNNNNNNNNNNNNNNNNNNNNNNNNNNNNNNNNNNNNNNNNNNNNNNNNNNNNNNNNNNNNNNNNNNNNNNNNNNNNNNNNNNNNNNNNNNNNNNNNNNNNNNNNNNNNNNNNNNNNNNNNNNNNNNNNNNNNNNNNNNNNNNNNNNNNNNNNNNNNNNNNNNNNNNNNNNNNNNNNNNNNNNNNNNNNNNNNNNNNNNNNNNNNNNNNNNNNNNNNNNNNNNNNNNNNNNNNNNNNNNNNNNNNNNNNNNNNNNNNNNNNNNNNNNNNNNNNNNNNNNNNNNNNNNNNNNNNNNNNNNNNNNNNNNNNNNNNNNNNNNNNNNNNNNNNNNNNNNNNNNNNNNNNNNNNNNNNNNNNNNNNNNNNNNNNNNNNNNNNNNNNNNNNNNNNNNNNNNNNNNNNNNNNNNNNNNNNNNNNNNNNNNNNNNNNNNNNNNNNNNNNNNNNNNNNNNNNNNNNNNNNNNNNNNNNNNNNNNNNNNNNNNNNNNNNNNNNNNNNNNNNNNNNNNNNNNNNNNNNNNNNNNNNNNNNNNNNNNNNNNNNNNNNNNNNNNNNNNNNNNNNNNNNNNNNNNNNNNNNNNNNNNNNNNNNNNNNNNNNNNNNNNNNNNNNNNNNNNNNNNNNNNNNNNNNNNNNNNNNNNNNNNNNNNNNNNNNNNNNNNNNNNNNNNNNNNNNNNNNNNNNNNNNNNNNNNNNNNNNNNNNNNNNNNNNNNNNNNNNNNNNNNNNNNNNNNNNNNNNNNNNNNNNNNNNNNNNNNNNNNNNNNNNNNNNNNNNNNNNNNNNNNNNNNNNNNNNNNNNNNNNNNNNNNNNNNNNNNNNNNNNNNNNNNNNNNNNNNNNNNNNNNNNNNNNNNNNNNNNNNNNNNNNNNNNNNNNNNNNNNNNNNNNNNNNNNNNNNNNNNNNNNNNNNNNNNNNNNNNNNNNNNNNNNNNNNNNNNNNNNNNNNNNNNNNNNNNNNNNNNNNNNNNNNNNNNNNNNNNNNNNNNNNNNNNNNNNNNNNNNNNNNNNNNNNNNNNNNNNNNNNNNNNNNNNNNNNNNNNNNNNNNNNNNNNNNNNNNNNNNNNNNNNNNNNNNNNNNNNNNNNNNNNNNNNNNNNNNNNNNNNNNNNNNNNNNNNNNNNNNNNNNNNNNNNNNNNNNNNNNNNNNNNNNNNNNNNNNNNNNNNNNNNNNNNNNNNNNNNNNNNNNNNNNNNNNNNNNNNNNNNNNNNNNNNNNNNNNNNNNNNNNNNNNNNNNNNNNNNNNNNNNNNNNNNNNNNNNNNNNNNNNNNNNNNNNNNNNNNNNNNNNNNNNNNNNNNNNNNNNNNNNNNNNNNNNNNNNNNNNNNNNNNNNNNNNNNNNNNNNNNNNNNNNNNNNNNNNNNNNNNNNNNNNNNNNNNNNNNNNNNNNNNNNNNNNNNNNNNNNNNNNNNNNNNNNNNNNNNNNNNNNNNNNNNNNNNNNNNNNNNNNNNNNNNNNNNNNNNNNNNNNNNNNNNNNNNNNNNNNNNNNNNNNNNNNNNNNNNNNNNNNNNNNNNNNNNNNNNNNNNNNNNNNNNNNNNNNNNNNNNNNNNNNNNNNNNNNNNNNNNNNNNNNNNNNNNNNNNNNNNNNNNNNNNNNNNNNNNNNNNNNNNNNNNNNNNNNNNNNNNNNNNNNNNNNNNNNNNNNNNNNNNNNNNNNNNNNNNNNNNNNNNNNNNNNNNNNNNNNNNNNNNNNNNNNNNNNNNNNNNNNNNNNNNNNNNNNNNNNNNNNNNNNNNNNNNNNNNNNNNNNNNNNNNNNNNNNNNNNNNNNNNNNNNNNNNNNNNNNNNNNNNNNNNNNNNNNNNNNNNNNNNNNNNNNNNNNNNNNNNNNNNNNNNNNNNNNNNNNNNNNNNNNNNNNNNNNNNNNNNNNNNNNNNNNNNNNNNNNNNNNNNNNNNNNNNNNNNNNNNNNNNNNNNNNNNNNNNNNNNNNNNNNNNNNNNNNNNNNNNNNNNNNNNNNNNNNNNNNNNNNNNNNNNNNNNNNNNNNNNNNNNNNNNNNNNNNNNNNNNNNNNNNNNNNNNNNNNNNNNNNNNNNNNNNNNNNNNNNNNNNNNNNNNNNNNNNNNNNNNNNNNNNNNNNNNNNNNNNNNNNNNNNNNNNNNNNNNNNNNNNNNNNNNNNNNNNNNNNNNNNNNNNNNNNNNNNNNNNNNNNNNNNNNNNNNNNNNNNNNNNNNNNNNNNNNNNNNNNNNNNNNNNNNNNNNNNNNNNNNNNNNNNNNNNNNNNNNNNNNNNNNNNNNNNNNNNNNNNNNNNNNNNNNNNNNNNNNNNNNNNNNNNNNNNNNNNNNNNNNNNNNNNNNNNNNNNNNNNNNNNNNNNNNNNNNNNNNNNNNNNNNNNNNNNNNNNNNNNNNNNNNNNNNNNNNNNNNNNNNNNNNNNNNNNNNNNNNNNNNNNNNNNNNNNNNNNNNNNNNNNNNNNNNNNNNNNNNNNNNNNNNNNNNNNNNNNNNNNNNNNNNNNNNNNNNNNNNNNNNNNNNNNNNNNNNNNNNNNNNNNNNNNNNNNNNNNNNNNNNNNNNNNNNNNNNNNNNNNNNNNNNNNNNNNNNNNNNNNNNNNNNNNNNNNNNNNNNNNNNNNNNNNNNNNNNNNNNNNNNNNNNNNNNNNNNNNNNNNNNNNNNNNNNNNNNNNNNNNNNNNNNNNNNNNNNNNNNNNNNNNNNNNNNNNNNNNNNNNNNNNNNNNNNNNNNNNNNNNNNNNNNNNNNNNNNNNNNNNNNNNNNNNNNNNNNNNNNNNNNNNNNNNNNNNNNNNNNNNNNNNNNNNNNNNNNNNNNNNNNNNNNNNNNNNNNNNNNNNNNNNNNNNNNNNNNNNNNNNNNNNNNNNNNNNNNNNNNNNNNNNNNNNNNNNNNNNNNNNNNNNNNNNNNNNNNNNNNNNNNNNNNNNNNNNNNNNNNNNNNNNNNNNNNNNNNNNNNNNNNNNNNNNNNNNNNNNNNNNNNNNNNNNNNNNNNNNNNNNNNNNNNNNNNNNNNNNNNNNNNNNNNNNNNNNNNNNNNNNNNNNNNNNNNNNNNNNNNNNNNNNNNNNNNNNNNNNNNNNNNNNNNNNNNNNNNNNNNNNNNNNNNNNNNNNNNNNNNNNNNNNNNNNNNNNNNNNNNNNNNNNNNNNNNNNNNNNNNNNNNNNNNNNNNNNNNNNNNNNNNNNNNNNNNNNNNNNNNNNNNNNNNNNNNNNNNNNNNNNNNNNNNNNNNNNNNNNNNNNNNNNNNNNNNNNNNNNNNNNNNNNNNNNNNNNNNNNNNNNNNNNNNNNNNNNNNNNNNNNNNNNNNNNNNNNNNNNNNNNNNNNNNNNNNNNNNNNNNNNNNNNNNNNNNNNNNNNNNNNNNNNNNNNNNNNNNNNNNNNNNNNNNNNNNNNNNNNNNNNNNNNNNNNNNNNNNNNNNNNNNNNNNNNNNNNNNNNNNNNNNNNNNNNNNNNNNNNNNNNNNNNNNNNNNNNNNNNNNNNNNNNNNNNNNNNNNNNNNNNNNNNNNNNNNNNNNNNNNNNNNNNNNNNNNNNNNNNNNNNNNNNNNNNNNNNNNNNNNNNNNNNNNNNNNNNNNNNNNNNNNNNNNNNNNNNNNNNNNNNNNNNNNNNNNNNNNNNNNNNNNNNNNNNNNNNNNNNNNNNNNNNNNNNNNNNNNNNNNNNNNNNNNNNNNNNNNNNNNNNNNNNNNNNNNNNNNNNNNNNNNNNNNNNNNNNNNNNNNNNNNNNNNNNNNNNNNNNNNNNNNNNNNNNNNNNNNNNNNNNNNNNNNNNNNNNNNNNNNNNNNNNNNNNNNNNNNNNNNNNNNNNNNNNNNNNNNNNNNNNNNNNNNNNNNNNNNNNNNNNNNNNNNNNNNNNNNNNNNNNNNNNNNNNNNNNNNNNNNNNNNNNNNNNNNNNNNNNNNNNNNNNNNNNNNNNNNNNNNNNNNNNNNNNNNNNNNNNNNNNNNNNNNNNNNNNNNNNNNNNNNNNNNNNNNNNNNNNNNNNNNNNNNNNNNNNNNNNNNNNNNNNNNNNNNNNNNNNNNNNNNNNNNNNNNNNNNNNNNNNNNNNNNNNNNNNNNNNNNNNNNNNNNNNNNNNNNNNNNNNNNNNNNNNNNNNNNNNNNNNNNNNNNNNNNNNNNNNNNNNNNNNNNNNNNNNNNNNNNNNNNNNNNNNNNNNNNNNNNNNNNNNNNNNNNNNNNNNNNNNNNNNNNNNNNNNNNNNNNNNNNNNNNNNNNNNNNNNNNNNNNNNNNNNNNNNNNNNNNNNNNNNNNNNNNNNNNNNNNNNNNNNNNNNNNNNNNNNNNNNNNNNNNNNNNNNNNNNNNNNNNNNNNNNNNNNNNNNNNNNNNNNNNNNNNNNNNNNNNNNNNNNNNNNNNNNNNNNNNNNNNNNNNNNNNNNNNNNNNNNNNNNNNNNNNNNNNNNNNNNNNNNNNNNNNNNNNNNNNNNNNNNNNNNNNNNNNNNNNNNNNNNNNNNNNNNNNNNNNNNNNNNNNNNNNNNNNNNNNNNNNNNNNNNNNNNNNNNNNNNNNNNNNNNNNNNNNNNNNNNNNNNNNNNNNNNNNNNNNNNNNNNNNNNNNNNNNNNNNNNNNNNNNNNNNNNNNNNNNNNNNNNNNNNNNNNNNNNNNNNNNNNNNNNNNNNNNNNNNNNNNNNNNNNNNNNNNNNNNNNNNNNNNNNNNNNNNNNNNNNNNNNNNNNNNNNNNNNNNNNNNNNNNNNNNNNNNNNNNNNNNNNNNNNNNNNNNNNNNNNNNNNNNNNNNNNNNNNNNNNNNNNNNNNNNNNNNNNNNNNNNNNNNNNNNNNNNNNNNNNNNNNNNNNNNNNNNNNNNNNNNNNNNNNNNNNNNNNNNNNNNNNNNNNNNNNNNNNNNNNNNNNNNNNNNNNNNNNNNNNNNNNNNNNNNNNNNNNNNNNNNNNNNNNNNNNNNNNNNNNNNNNNNNNNNNNNNNNNNNNNNNNNNNNNNNNNNNNNNNNNNNNNNNNNNNNNNNNNNNNNNNNNNNNNNNNNNNNNNNNNNNNNNNNNNNNNNNNNNNNNNNNNNNNNNNNNNNNNNNNNNNNNNNNNNNNNNNNNNNNNNNNNNNNNNNNNNNNNNNNNNNNNNNNNNNNNNNNNNNNNNNNNNNNNNNNNNNNNNNNNNNNNNNNNNNNNNNNNNNNNNNNNNNNNNNNNNNNNNNNNNNNNNNNNNNNNNNNNNNNNNNNNNNNNNNNNNNNNNNNNNNNNNNNNNNNNNNNNNNNNNNNNNNNNNNNNNNNNNNNNNNNNNNNNNNNNNNNNNNNNNNNNNNNNNNNNNNNNNNNNNNNNNNNNNNNNNNNNNNNNNNNNNNNNNNNNNNNNNNNNNNNNNNNNNNNNNNNNNNNNNNNNNNNNNNNNNNNNNNNNNNNNNNNNNNNNNNNNNNNNNNNNNNNNNNNNNNNNNNNNNNNNNNNNNNNNNNNNNNNNNNNNNNNNNNNNNNNNNNNNNNNNNNNNNNNNNNNNNNNNNNNNNNNNNNNNNNNNNNNNNNNNNNNNNNNNNNNNNNNNNNNNNNNNNNNNNNNNNNNNNNNNNNNNNNNNNNNNNNNNNNNNNNNNNNNNNNNNNNNNNNNNNNNNNNNNNNNNNNNNNNNNNNNNNNNNNNNNNNNNNNNNNNNNNNNNNNNNNNNNNNNNNNNNNNNNNNNNNNNNNNNNNNNNNNNNNNNNNNNNNNNNNNNNNNNNNNNNNNNNNNNNNNNNNNNNNNNNNNNNNNNNNNNNNNNNNNNNNNNNNNNNNNNNNNNNNNNNNNNNNNNNNNNNNNNNNNNNNNNNNNNNNNNNNNNNNNNNNNNNNNNNNNNNNNNNNNNNNNNNNNNNNNNNNNNNNNNNNNNNNNNNNNNNNNNNNNNNNNNNNNNNNNNNNNNNNNNNNNNNNNNNNNNNNNNNNNNNNNNNNNNNNNNNNNNNNNNNNNNNNNNNNNNNNNNNNNNNNNNNNNNNNNNNNNNNNNNNNNNNNNNNNNNNNNNNNNNNNNNNNNNNNNNNNNNNNNNNNNNNNNNNNNNNNNNNNNNNNNNNNNNNNNNNNNNNNNNNNNNNNNNNNNNNNNNNNNNNNNNNNNNNNNNNNNNNNNNNNNNNNNNNNNNNNNNNNNNNNNNNNNNNNNNNNNNNNNNNNNNNNNNNNNNNNNNNNNNNNNNNNNNNNNNNNNNNNNNNNNNNNNNNNNNNNNNNNNNNNNNNNNNNNNNNNNNNNNNNNNNNNNNNNNNNNNNNNNNNNNNNNNNNNNNNNNNNNNNNNNNNNNNNNNNNNNNNNNNNNNNNNNNNNNNNNNNNNNNNNNNNNNNNNNNNNNNNNNNNNNNNNNNNNNNNNNNNNNNNNNNNNNNNNNNNNNNNNNNNNNNNNNNNNNNNNNNNNNNNNNNNNNNNNNNNNNNNNNNNNNNNNNNNNNNNNNNNNNNNNNNNNNNNNNNNNNNNNNNNNNNNNNNNNNNNNNNNNNNNNNNNNNNNNNNNNNNNNNNNNNNNNNNNNNNNNNNNNNNNNNNNNNNNNNNNNNNNNNNNNNNNNNNNNNNNNNNNNNNNNNNNNNNNNNNNNNNNNNNNNNNNNNNNNNNNNNNNNNNNNNNNNNNNNNNNNNNNNNNNNNNNNNNNNNNNNNNNNNNNNNNNNNNNNNNNNNNNNNNNNNNNNNNNNNNNNNNNNNNNNNNNNNNNNNNNNNNNNNNNNNNNNNNNNNNNNNNNNNNNNNNNNNNNNNNNNNNNNNNNNNNNNNNNNNNNNNNNNNNNNNNNNNNNNNNNNNNNNNNNNNNNNNNNNNNNNNNNNNNNNNNNNNNNNNNNNNNNNNNNNNNNNNNNNNNNNNNNNNNNNNNNNNNNNNNNNNNNNNNNNNNNNNNNNNNNNNNNNNNNNNNNNNNNNNNNNNNNNNNNNNNNNNNNNNNNNNNNNNNNNNNNNNNNNNNNNNNNNNNNNNNNNNNNNNNNNNNNNNNNNNNNNNNNNNNNNNNNNNNNNNNNNNNNNNNNNNNNNNNNNNNNNNNNNNNNNNNNNNNNNNNNNNNNNNNNNNNNNNNNNNNNNNNNNNNNNNNNNNNNNNNNNNNNNNNNNNNNNNNNNNNNNNNNNNNNNNNNNNNNNNNNNNNNNNNNNNNNNNNNNNNNNNNNNNNNNNNNNNNNNNNNNNNNNNNNNNNNNNNNNNNNNNNNNNNNNNNNNNNNNNNNNNNNNNNNNNNNNNNNNNNNNNNNNNNNNNNNNNNNNNNNNNNNNNNNNNNNNNNNNNNNNNNNNNNNNNNNNNNNNNNNNNNNNNNNNNNNNNNNNNNNNNNNNNNNNNNNNNNNNNNNNNNNNNNNNNNNNNNNNNNNNNNNNNNNNNNNNNNNNNNNNNNNNNNNNNNNNNNNNNNNNNNNNNNNNNNNNNNNNNNNNNNNNNNNNNNNNNNNNNNNNNNNNNNNNNNNNNNNNNNNNNNNNNNNNNNNNNNNNNNNNNNNNNNNNNNNNNNNNNNNNNNNNNNNNNNNNNNNNNNNNNNNNNNNNNNNNNNNNNNNNNNNNNNNNNNNNNNNNNNNNNNNNNNNNNNNNNNNNNNNNNNNNNNNNNNNNNNNNNNNNNNNNNNNNNNNNNNNNNNNNNNNNNNNNNNNNNNNNNNNNNNNNNNNNNNNNNNNNNNNNNNNNNNNNNNNNNNNNNNNNNNNNNNNNNNNNNNNNNNNNNNNNNNNNNNNNNNNNNNNNNNNNNNNNNNNNNNNNNNNNNNNNNNNNNNNNNNNNNNNNNNNNNNNNNNNNNNNNNNNNNNNNNNNNNNNNNNNNNNNNNNNNNNNNNNNNNNNNNNNNNNNNNNNNNNNNNNNNNNNNNNNNNNNNNNNNNNNNNNNNNNNNNNNNNNNNNNNNNNNNNNNNNNNNNNNNNNNNNNNNNNNNNNNNNNNNNNNNNNNNNNNNNNNNNNNNNNNNNNNNNNNNNNNNNNNNNNNNNNNNNNNNNNNNNNNNNNNNNNNNNNNNNNNNNNNNNNNNNNNNNNNNNNNNNNNNNNNNNNNNNNNNNNNNNNNNNNNNNNNNNNNNNNNNNNNNNNNNNNNNNNNNNNNNNNNNNNNNNNNNNNNNNNNNNNNNNNNNNNNNNNNNNNNNNNNNNNNNNNNNNNNNNNNNNNNNNNNNNNNNNNNNNNNNNNNNNNNNNNNNNNNNNNNNNNNNNNNNNNNNNNNNNNNNNNNNNNNNNNNNNNNNNNNNNNNNNNNNNNNNNNNNNNNNNNNNNNNNNNNNNNNNNNNNNNNNNNNNNNNNNNNNNNNNNNNNNNNNNNNNNNNNNNNNNNNNNNNNNNNNNNNNNNNNNNNNNNNNNNNNNNNNNNNNNNNNNNNNNNNNNNNNNNNNNNNNNNNNNNNNNNNNNNNNNNNNNNNNNNNNNNNNNNNNNNNNNNNNNNNNNNNNNNNNNNNNNNNNNNNNNNNNNNNNNNNNNNNNNNNNNNNNNNNNNNNNNNNNNNNNNNNNNNNNNNNNNNNNNNNNNNNNNNNNNNNNNNNNNNNNNNNNNNNNNNNNNNNNNNNNNNNNNNNNNNNNNNNNNNNNNNNNNNNNNNNNNNNNNNNNNNNNNNNNNNNNNNNNNNNNNNNNNNNNNNNNNNNNNNNNNNNNNNNNNNNNNNNNNNNNNNNNNNNNNNNNNNNNNNNNNNNNNNNNNNNNNNNNNNNNNNNNNNNNNNNNNNNNNNNNNNNNNNNNNNNNNNNNNNNNNNNNNNNNNNNNNNNNNNNNNNNNNNNNNNNNNNNNNNNNNNNNNNNNNNNNNNNNNNNNNNNNNNNNNNNNNNNNNNNNNNNNNNNNNNNNNNNNNNNNNNNNNNNNNNNNNNNNNNNNNNNNNNNNNNNNNNNNNNNNNNNNNNNNNNNNNNNNNNNNNNNNNNNNNNNNNNNNNNNNNNNNNNNNNNNNNNNNNNNNNNNNNNNNNNNNNNNNNNNNNNNNNNNNNNNNNNNNNNNNNNNNNNNNNNNNNNNNNNNNNNNNNNNNNNNNNNNNNNNNNNNNNNNNNNNNNNNNNNNNNNNNNNNNNNNNNNNNNNNNNNNNNNNNNNNNNNNNNNNNNNNNNNNNNNNNNNNNNNNNNNNNNNNNNNNNNNNNNNNNNNNNNNNNNNNNNNNNNNNNNNNNNNNNNNNNNNNNNNNNNNNNNNNNNNNNNNNNNNNNNNNNNNNNNNNNNNNNNNNNNNNNNNNNNNNNNNNNNNNNNNNNNNNNNNNNNNNNNNNNNNNNNNNNNACUCAUUUUCCGUUCCAUUUUUAUGGCUUUUUCAGUGCGAAGAUGGAGCUCAGCUUCUCUACGGCCUGUAAAUGUUGCGGAUACUGGUGCUGAUAUUGAGUGUAGAGAAAUUUCGCUUCUUCAAAGUCCAACUUGUUUAAAUGCAAAAAAAGAAAAGAAACGGACUUGCUGCUGCUUGGCGACUUGUUCUCGGAGCUUGAUUGCCUGUUUCUUGAUAGCUUCCAUACUGUUUCUUUCAAAAAGCGACGACGGCUCAGCUCGUGGAAGUUGGGAAAGAAAAAAAGUGUGAUCGAGAAAAAUAAAAAGGCAUGAAUAAUUGUUGACAAAAAGCGAAAAUCAAGGAAAGCCAGCUCUUUCCAGAAAAUAAAAAAGAAAAAAGAAAAUUAUAAGUUUGAAAGGAGAAGAUGAUAGUGGAAGUGUGCGGUGUGGCUGCCAGCUACUAGGAUUUUACUGUUGGGUAAGGUAAUAGUAGAGAAUUUUUUUUUUUUUUUUUUAAGAAAAAUAGUAGAGAAUUUUUUAAGAAGCUAGAACAGAGCAUGACAUUAGACUUUUGUGGACCAAAUUCAAAACCGAAUGGCACGGCCCAGAAGCUUUUGAAUAGCAAAACUUGCAUCAGCCUCAAUCACUUCUUAAUCGCUUGCUUUAACUGCAUCGCUCUCUCUGUGCUCUUGUACAUAUGUAACGGUUAUGCGGUUGUAGUUCACGGCUGAGGCUACGCGUUGGUUUGACGUGGCAGUUACGUGACAAGGGGAUAAAUAAGAUUGGUUGCAACAAACCCACUAAUUUUAUAAAAUUCGAGUAAUAUAGAAUAAAAUAAAAAAACAAAUACAAAAUUGGCUUUUAUUUUUUAUGGUUGACUGUAUUUUGUGUUCUCUUCCGGCACUACUACAAUUGUUCCCUAUAUAUCAGUCACACCCAUAUAUCAUUAACACAAGAAAUGAAAUCUAAUGUCACCUAUUUAGUUAAAAGAAUCACUCAUGAAAAAAAUUUACCAUUUUGAUUUGAGGAUCCAUAUUUUGAACUGCAAGCUAAUGUUCAUCAAGAAUCACUGAUGUUCAUAAAAAUCAGAGUAUGGACGUUGAGUAGAAAAACUAUUUUUGGACAAAUUAUUUUUGUUGAUAGAAGAAUUUCUUAAGGGACUACUAAAAUUAUUAAUAAAAAUGUAUAACACACCCACAUAUCAUCGACACAAUUGACUUUGAGGAUCCAUGCUUUGAACUGCCGCCAAAUGUUCAUCAAGAAUAGAGUAUGACUUGUGUGUAGAAAAUUUUAUGAUUUUGGCCCGAAAUAAAAGGAAAUUAAAUUAGAUGAGAAUCUGCCACUUCUCAUGAAGAAAGGCUAAAUUGUUGAACUGCUGCUUGGCAACAUAUAUCACUCUAACUCAUUAAGAAAAAUAUGAGUCCUAAGUAAUUGCUAGGUAGGGUUCCUGAGAGUAAAAUUGUCCUAAGCAUUAUAUGCAUACAUGGUGUGGUACAUAGAGCACGUUGAAUUCCACACUAUAACACAAACUCAGAAAGACAAGUAAUAACUCAACUGAUAUAAAGACAAAAAGAAGAUAAAAUGAUAUAGAAAAAAGAAUUUCAAAGAGACAGCAACAGACGAUAGACUGAAGCCACUUGAUCUGCUCAUUGAUUGCAGCCUUAAACUCGCAAAUAGUUACUGUACGCUAGUGCUCUAAGAAGUGAAAAUGAUGCGAGCCCUGAUUCCCUUUUGACUUCCAUUUACUGUCAAACAUUCUAGUUCCAGCAAUUUUUUUUUUUGAUAUCUCGCUAUAAAUAUAGCCGUUUGACUGUCAUAAUAAAGUCACAAAUAACCAUUCAUAUUGAUCCACUGUCACACAGCAUGCUUUAUGCAUACAACAGCUGUAUGUAUACCAACUCCUAACCUUAUCAAUACAUUUGGCAAAAACUUAAGAAGAAAACUAUUUCUCCAUCUCUUUUUUGAAAUUUCACAAUAAACCAGCACAUUGUAAACGUUAUGUUGUAACCUUAUGAUAAAUGCUCUAGACUCCAAAUGAAUUUUAUAUAUGAGGGUUUGUUGCAGCAGAUAUAUUGACUUAUCAAGUAUGAAUCAUUCUCUAGAAGAACUAUCUUUAUAUGAAAGAAUAUUAGAACCACUCUAGAAUAUCUUUAGGCUGCUGGUUCUAACAGGAAUCUGCAUGUGGCAACAGUUGCCAGAUCCACAAUUCCCCAACUUGAAAUACAUAGUUGCACACCGUGAGAUAGUGCUGCAAUCUACUGAGAUCUUACUUAUAUGAUACUUUAAGCUACUAAUGUUUGCAUAUUUCUACAUGUUAAAUUGACACUACCAUCUAUAAUCACUCCAAAACAACAGAUGAUAAGCAGCUUUUGGCCACUUAUUACUAGCAUCCACAAUUAUAAAUAAGAGAUCAUGGGUUUACUUGUUGCACCUACUUAAUGAUCUACAGUUGAGACCCUGACGCAAGGUUUAAAUAGUGACUGCUUAGAACCCUUGUAGUUGGAUCUUGACCUCUCCCAUUGUAGCCAAGAUUGGCUACUCUGGUAAUGAAUCAACACUCUCCUGCUCAGGGCCAUGAAGAUCUGGAAGCUCAGCACUAGUGGAGAACUUCACCAAUCUCUUCUUCUCAGCAUACUUGAGAUAGGCUGCAUUACGAGACCAAUCACCACAGCACCAACGCUUAAAGCUGCAACUUUUAAAGUAGAAAGAGCCAACACAACACAAAUCAAUAUGGUUGGAGGAAUACACAUGAUAAUGGCUCCAACAGUGCCAGUGGGUAUCUUGUAAGGACGAGAUAAAUAGUAGAGAAGUUUUUAAGAAGCUAGAACAGAGCAUGUUAGACUUUUGUGGACCAAGUUCAAAAGCCUAAUGGAACGGCCCAGAAGCUUUUGAAUACAAUAACUUGCUAGAAAGCUCCAUUUUUUGUUGGCUACAGUAAAAGGAUGUUGUUUUAUUCUUCUUAUACUUUACGCCUGCAUCAGCUUAAAUCACUUCUUAAACGCUUGCUUUAACUGCACCGCUUCGUACUGCUCUACAUAUGUAACCGUUAUGCGGUUGUAGCUCACGGCUCAAGCUACGCGUUUGUUUGACGUGGUAGUUACGUUAUGACGUUUCGAGUCUGUUAAACAUUCGGUGAUAAGAUUCGUUACAACAAACCUACCAGUUUUAUAAAAUUCAAGUGAGAUGGAAUAAAAUAAAAAAUAAAUAUAAAAUUGGCUUUUAUUUUUUAGGUUGACCAUAUUUUGUGUUCUCUUCGGGCACUACUACAAUUAUUCCCUAUUUAUCAGUUACACUCACGUAUCAUCGACACGAAAAAUAAAAUCUAAUAUCACCUGUUUAGUUAAAGAAUCACUCAUGUUUGAACUACCAAUUAAUGUUCAUCAAGAACGGAGUAUGGCCGUUGAGUAGAAAAACUAUUUUUGGACAAAUUAUUAAAUUCCAAUAUUGUAUCCAUAUGCAAACGAUGCCUGAAGCAGAGCCUCCAAACACUGACCAGGGCACAAAACAAGAGUGUAGUAAUCAAGUGUAUUGUCUCAUAAUCAAUUAAAAGCAGAUAUACAGGAUACCAUAUUCAAUUCCAAAAUAACAAAAGCAUAAUGAGGAUGAGAAGAACAAUGCAAGAUUUGUUGUCGUUUUAGUUGCUUCUAAUAUUUUUUAUGACGCACAUCUAUUGAAUUAAGAGAUUUCUAUAAUCAGUGCCGCAGUACUGAAAAUAAACUACUUGUCAGUCAAAUAGCUGAGUAUUUCUAUGAGAAUGUCAUUAUUAAUGAGUGUCAUUAUCUAUUCAAAUUAAUCAGUGUCAUUAUCGACUUAUUUAUAAAGACAAAAAGAAGAUAAAAUCAUAUAUAUAUGAAAAAAAAAAAGAAUUUCAAAGAGAUAGCAACAUACAAUAGACUGGAGCCAUUUGAUCUGCUUAUUGAUUGCAGCCUUAAACUAGUAAUUAGUUACUGUACGCUAGUGCUCUAAGAAGUGAAAAUGAUGCAAACCCUGAUCCCCUUUUGACUUCCAUUUACUGUCAAAUAUUCUAUUCAUACGAAAAAAAUGUUUAGAUAUCUUACUAUAAAUAUAGCCGUUUGACUGUCUUAAUAAAGUUACACACAACCAUUCUUAUUAAAUUAGCAAGAUCAAACACUGCCCUGGAUCUUGAACAGAUCCACGCAAGUUGCACAACUUACGAUUGAAUCCGGCCAGAAACAAUCAACUCUUUAGUAAGAACAAUUAAUCAGAGUCAAGAAACAAGUUUAAUGAAUAUAAACCUAUAAUUGAAACAAACAUAGCCAAGAAACAAAUAGAGAUUUUACAUGUUUCAGUUGUACCAAGGAUGGCACAACCUACACCACGGGAGAAGCUUUCUGGUGACCCCAAUCUGCUUAGUUAAUAAUAGAGAUUUCAGAGAAUAAGCUAUAACCCUCUCUCCCUCUUCAAUCUCUCUCUAUUUUGUUCCCAUUGAUGACCCCAAUCUGCUUAGUUAGCCAGCUUUAUAGCUGCAUCAGUAACAAACCAGCAAACCCAGAUUGAGCAGAUUGACGACACGUGGAUAACGGCUUUAACGAACCUGGUUAAGAACUGCUCACAUGUUCGUCACGCGUACUGCUUAAAUGAUGGCCAAAACGACUUCAAACAAAUGUCGUUUUGAGGCUUAUGAAUUACAAGUGAUAACACGAGCUUGUCUCAUGACUUUUAAAUGCAACAACGCGCCCAAAACGCCGUCGUUUUACUCUGUUGAGUUUGAUUCGUUACUAAGCUUUACGACUGGCAAUGGAGAAGAUGAUAAUUUAAUUAACAUGGACAGUUUUUAUAUCACUUUUACAACAUCCUAUGCAAUUGUGAUAUUGGGAAUUAUUGAUGUUUUAUAUGUGAAUCCUCAUUGGCAAAAACUGAGUGGUUUUAUCUUUAUUGAAAUGUAGAUGACCUCUCGUUACUAUUUUAUUANNNNNNNNNNNNNNNNNNNNNNNNNNNNNNNNNNNNNNNNNNNNNNNNNNNNNNNNNNNNNNNNNNNNNNNNNNNNNNNNNNNNNNNNNNNNNNNNNNNNNNNNNNNNNNNNNNNNNNNNNNNNNNNNNNNNNNNNNNNNNNNNNNNNNNNNNNNNNNNNNNNNNNNNNNNNNNNNNNNNNNNNNNNNNNNNNNNNNNNNNNNNNNNNNNNNNNNNNNNNNNNNNNNNNNNNNNNNNNNNNNNUCAAGUUAAUUUGAUCCGUUUAUAAGAGAUGAAGUGGAAUGAAGUUGAAAGUCUUGAGUUUUACGACGUCGUUACUCCUUCAAGUGGCAGAUUAUGCAAGUGAAUGCAGAAACACAAUGCAUCAUCCGCGGGGAUGAUACAUCAAAAGGCGGGAUUUGUUUAUGCCUGCAGAUUAGCAAUUUCACUCAUAUAGAAAAUUAAUUUUUUAUAUAUACUAAUCAACACUAAAUUGAUUAUGUGUUGUAUGUUUAUAUGCUACUCAACACGAAAUUAUAUUGAAUUAUUAACAUUCAUAUUCCUAAUAAAAAUUAUUUUCCAUCAGUAUUCAAAAUUUUCACUUAUAGAAAAUGCGUUUUACGUGAAUACUAGUUAUUGUGUAAAUUUGAAUGAUAGCGAAAAAUAAACCUAUUUGAAAACUGUAAGGGUGUGUUGGGAUAUUUUACAACUGUCGGAAUCUGGUAGGAUAUUGCACCAUUUGCCCAAUAUUUUUAGACGUACUCCAACCGGUAUUCAAGAUAAGUAAAAGUUACAAGCGUGGCAAAAUAAAAAAUUAAAUUCGUAAUUUGUAAACGAAUUUUCCUGACAUGUAGAGUAGAUGAAGUUGUUGAUCCUUUCUUUGGAUUAUUUCAGCUCUGGUUGUUGGUCACCGAUGAGCCGAAGUCUUAUUUUAAUUUUAUUUAAACUCAUCAUAAGAUUCGUGGAGCACCUAACUAACUUAACUGACUGUGCAGAGCAUCUCAACAUGGCACAUUUAACCAUCAUUCAAGUGAUAGGUUUAAUAAGACUGCUUUUGUUCUAUCAAGUUCCUCUGCCUCUAAGCAGAAUUACUAUUGAAGGGCCAAAUGGAAAAUGAAAACGUGUGAACUCCAACAACCACCCCACAAAUUCAAUGACGAUGCUCGGAGAGGGUUAGGUUGGGCCUCUGAGAAAAAAAAAAAUAUUUAGUUAAAAAGUUACCCUUAUUGAAACCUGUAUAAAAAUUUUAUAUUAAUUAGUUAUGUUGCCUCUUCAACUAUGAUCAAAUUUUUAUCCGAGCUCAUCAUUUAAUGAGUAAACAUGUAUUUUAAGGGUCCGCCUAAGUUACGUUAAACGUAACUUACGGCUUGGCUGUGAAAUUUCAUCCAGCCCCCCAUAUUCGCUGUUAUUUAUAUUAUAUUCAUAAAUAUUAUAAAAUUUUUUGAUUUAAAAAAUUUCAUUUAACCCCUUACACUCAAUUUUAUUUUAUUAAAAUCUUAGAGUAUGAAUUCGCCCCCUAUAAUUUUAAAUUCUCAAAAUAACCUCAUUUAAUUAAAAAUUUUAAUUAUUAUUAAUUGAAUUAUAAUUAUAAUUAUUAUUUUAUUAUAAUCAUAAAUAUAUUUAUAUUUUUUAAAUAGAUUAUUAUUAUUAUUAAUCACAAGAAUAAAAAGUAUUACAAUUAAUUAAUCUAUUAACAAUAAUUAAUAAUAAUUUUCUAUUAAAUUAAUAAUAAUUAACGAUAAUUAUUAUUAAUAAUUAAUUUUUGAAAAUUAAUGAUAAUUGUUCAGAGUCCUAGGAAUGCCAAUGCCCACCUAGGCUUAGCUAGCAAAGUAGCAACAUACCCUCAUCACUGAUAUUAAUUGCAGUACUACUUAGUGCCAUAAUUGUCCAAGUCCUUGUUAGUUUUGAGAAACGUGUGUUUCUGAUUUUGUUAAAUCUCUUGUUUGGUUAACAAGAAAGCUAUUGCUUUAAUUUCUUUUGCAGCUAGAAGUGAAUGCAUACAGUAUGAUAUAAAUAUCGGGCAACUUGUUCAGAGUCAGUCACAAUCUAUUAACGAUAAUUGUUAAUUAUUAUUAUUAUUCAAAAAUUAAUUAUUAAUAAUAAUUAUCGUUAAUUAUUAUUAUUAUUAUUAACAAUUUAAUAAAAAAUAUUAUUAAUUAUUGUUAAUAGAUUAAUUAAUUGUAAUACUUUUUAUUCUUGUUAUUAAUAAUAACAAUAAUCUAUUUAAAAAAUAUAAAUAUAUUUAUAAUUAUAAUAAAAUAAUAGUUAUAAUUAUAAUUCAAUUAAUAAUAAUUAAAUAAGGUUAUUUUGAGAAUUUAAAAUUAUAGGGGGCGAAUUCGUACUCUAGGACUUCAAUAAAAUAAAAUUGAGUGUAAGGGGUUAAAUGAAAUUUUCUAAAUAAAAAAUUAUUAUAAUAUUCAUGAAUAUAAUAUAAAUAACAGUGAAUAUGGGGGGCUGGAUGAAAUUUCACAGCCAGGCUGUAAGUUACGUUUAACGUAACUUAGGCGGACCCGUAUUUUAAUGAUCUCAAUUAAUAUUUAGAACAAAUAUUUUAAGAAGUAAAGCUCAUUAUAUCCCCCAUUAUUAUGUAUUUCUUUAAUUUCUUAUUUACAUAAUUAUAUUGUACAUUAAAAAUAUAUUGAAUUUGAAGAGAAAAAAAUUCAAAAAAUUCAACUCACUCAAAAAAAAUGCUGGUAGCUUCGUAAUAAUUACUGUAUUGACUGCACCAGAUAAAGUUUUGUAAAAUAAUAAGUUCUCAUUAGUGGUUUUUCGUUUUUUAUUUUCUUUUCCGGCACACCUGAUCAAGAAUUCUAUUUUGUUAACUAAUCAAUUGCAAAGCAUAAGUGUUGAACGGUACAAAAAGUGAAAACUAUGAAUAAUAAUUAUUCCUUAUUAUAUUGACUGCACCAAGCAAUAAACUAAUAAGUUCUCAUCAGUGGUUUUUAAUCUUUUUAAUUCUUUUUACCGCACACCUGAUCAAGAAUUCUAUUUUGUUAACUAAUCAAUUGCAAAUCAUUUAUUAGUGUUGAACGGUGAACAAAAUUGAAAAAAAAAAAAAUCUUAAAAAACGUAUAUUCUUAAAAAAUUCUUAACUUGCAAGGCUAGAAUAUCUUGACUUGAACGGUUGCAAUGAUUUCUCAUCAUUGAGAGUUUAUCAUUGUGCUUCAUCAUCAUCAUCAUCAUCAUCAUCAUCAUUAUUAAUAAAAAGGUAAGCAAUUAAGAGUCAAAUUAAACCACUUGAAAAUCACUCAUCCACACUUUUGGGACAUCAUCUGCUCAUUUAUUUUAUUCUGUAUCUUCAUUGUUUUAUUUGAUAAUUAUUACCAUUAGUAAAUAAAGGGAUUAGUUGAUAAUUGUGAAGUAACUAAAUGGAGCUCACCCUUAAAUGUCGGCUUAUAUGAAGGAGGUGCCUUAGGGAUAAUAAAUCAACUAAUCCCAUAAUUUGUUGAUGUAGGGUCCUAACAAAUUAUUGCUGUAGAUCAGCACACAGCUUGAAAACAUAUUUGAUUCACGAGAAAUGUUCCAGUCAGGAAUUUUAAAGUGCAGGAAAAUACGGAAAACCUUUAAAACCGCAUGGUUUUAAAGGCUUAAAACUGUAAGCCUUUAAAGCCGUGUGGUUUUAAAGCUUUCCCGGACUUUCCCGCACUUUAAAUUCCCUGACCAGAAAACUACUGUUUGAUCCACACAGUGAAGAUGAUUCAAUAUUAAGCAUGUCAUAUAAUCUGGAGUUGGAUAUUGGACCAAUUUGAUGAUAAUGAAUUUCUUUCAAUCUCAAUCUUUAUCUUAUUCGCAACAUGACUAGCCAUUGCGUAAAUUCAAACUCUAACAAUGAUAAGUUUGUGAUAAAGGCAUCUAUGAGUACAAUGGGAAAAUUACAUGAACUUAUGUUAUCAAUCAUUGUUUUGCCUUCUCGUGAUAGAAUUCUGUGCAACAUAAAACAUGAUAUAUUUGUACCUUACCAUGCCGUGUCGUGAACCUAGAAGCAGUGCAAAUUGCAAGGAACAUAUUAAGCUAUCUACUGUAUAUAACAAAUUCUUAUUAGCCCACAAUCUUGUGCCGCCACAUUGAUCAAGUAACACUAUUAUAUCAUUUCCAAAAUGGCAUAUAUAAUCUAAUGUUGAACUAACCAAAUUGGGAAUCAUCAUUCCUUACAUUAAGCUGACAUUCGUACCUGCUAGUCCAUGAGCAAAGCUGACAUUUGAAAUCACUUUCUCUUGGAAUAUUUAAUGACCCUUGAUGAAAGUUCUUGAAUGGAAUUAUUUAAUUUGAUUUGAUUUCCAACAAAUUCAAGAAACCCCACACAGUAGCUAAAUAAAAAUCAACCAAUAAUACGCAAUGGGUUUCUUUCUUUUUGCCUUUGGAGGGCCAUGGAGAUCUGGAGUGGGCUGUAAGUAAUAGCCUUUAUCACUGGAAUGACAGAUUUGCAGAAGAUGAUACAUGGGGAAGGAUUGGGCGAGCAUAAAAAUGGGUUUACACUCUUGGAUUAGCGCUGUUGAGAAUCAAAUAAAAUGGCAUUGAAUGAAGCUUUCAAAGACAGAAUCUGCACUUGUCAAAGGGGUAAUCUACACUUGUCAAAGACAAGAUCCGCGCCGAACGGAUUGACACAUUUCCUUCCGUAUUCACAUAUAUAAUCUAUGAAAAAAUGUAGCCUCUGCAUCUAUAAAUAACUCUCAAUGUAUAAUAUUUUUUUAAGAAAUGAAAACACGUUUCUUCAUGGUAUCAGAGCCAUGAAUACGCUCAACUUUCUUCAAGUUCCGCUGCUCUGUUUGUAACAAAAACAGAGGAAACCAAAUUCCUCCCACAACCAUUUUUCCCACCAUUUUCUUUCUUAAACCCAUUCUUACCAUUACACAUAUCCAUGCCGAUCAAGAAACAAGCCACCCAUACGUAAAAAACUCGAGUUUUCAAAUUUAUCAACAAUCCCAUCAAUUUUCCAAGAGUGUGCUCUUCAAAAACCAAGAACACCAUCAAAUUUCUCAGUUUUCAGUGAGGAAACUGUAAACAUUUCGCAAUUAAACACAUUUUCACGCGCUCACACGCGCCACCCGAAGCCACGGCCAGUCAACCACGCGCCUCUGUCAUUAUUCACGCGCUCUCACGCGCUCCAAAGGUUGAAGAAGACUUCAACCGACAUGUCGUUUUUUAUCUCAGAAGUGCAGCAGUAAAACACGACUUGUCGUUUUUUUAUUAUAUUACAACCGACAAGUCGUUUCUAAAUUAGAGAUAAAACGACGUGACGUUUAGUCUCCAGAAGUGCAGCAGGAUUCAAACGACAUGUCGUUUAUAUUCCACCAUAACCGACAUGUCGGUUUGUCAAGCAGUGGUCAAACGACCUGUCGUUUUGUUAUCUAAAAAGGUUAUUUUUUUCCUUCUUUCAAUCUAGACGAAAAAAAAACAAAAAAAAAAAAGAAAAAAGAGAAAAAAAAGAAAAAUAAAGAAAAAUAAAAAAAUAAAAAAAUGGAGAAAACUCCAACUGAAUCUAGUCCUGUUGUCAUUCAAUCUGAUGGAGUAUUUAAUGCUGGAAUUAUCCUCACUGAGACAAACUACGAUGUUUGGUCUCAAAUAAUGGAGAUGCAUCUUGCAGAAAGAGAAAAACUCUCAUAUAUUCGUAGCAGCACAAAGCCAUCUGAGGAAUUUUCAAAGGAAUAUGAGAAAUGGUAUAGUGAGAACCAAAAAGUAAAAAGAUGGUUACUCAUAUCCAUGUCUCCGGAGAUCAUGAAGCGGUAUUUACGAAUUCCUACAGCCUACGAAAUCUGGGAUGCAUUAUCAAAAGCCUUCUAUGAUGGAAGCGAUGAAUUACAAGUUUUCACUCUAAACCAGAAGGCAUUCUCUACCAAGCAAAAUGGACUACCACUCUCUAAAUUCUAUGGAGAAUUGAUCGAAAUAUUUCGAGAACUUGAUCACCGAGAUAAAGUGGUCAUGAAGGAUCCAGAAGAUGUUGUAAUAUACAGAAGGUCUGUUGAAAGAUUGAGAGUGCACAUUUUUCUUGCUGGGCUAGAUGAAGAAUUUGACCAAGUUCAUGGAGAAAUUCUACGAAAAGAUAUUAUCCCAGACUUAGAAGAAUGUUAUUCUCUGAUCCGAAGAGAAGAUGUACGGCAAAGCAAACUAAACAAGAAGGUCGACUCAGAAACGUCUGCUAUGAUAGCACGACAACAGCCUCAAAGAAAGUUUGUUGACAAGUCAUCACUCCAUUGCACUCAUUGUAGAAAGAAGGGUCAUACGAAAGAACAAUGUUUUGAAAUCAUUGGAUAUCCUGACUGGUGGGAUACUUGAAAGAAGAACACCAAGCAUGGAUCAAAAAGUGCAGUAGCUGAAUCCACAUCCACUACAGAUCUUAGAAAAGAAUCUUCAGUACAAAUCGCAACCGCUGUCAAUCCAGGUAAGGCCCUUAAAACUCUUACACCUGUUAUUAAUAGUACAUGGAUAAUUGAUUCUGGGGCAACUGAUCAUAUGACUUUUGAUUCUCGACAAGUUUCUCAACUGAAAACAUCUUCACAAAAACAUAUUUCCACUGCAAAUGGAACCACAACCUCAGUUAUUGGGGAAGGAUCUUUACGACUCACAAAUGAAUUAAAUUUAGACACUGUGUUAAUUGUUCCAUCUUUAGAUUAUAAUCUUUUAUCUGUGUCUCAAUUAACCACUUACUUAUCAUGUGUUUUAAUUUUUUGGCCUGAUCAUUGUGUGUUUAAGGACAUCCAAACGAAGCAAACGAUUGGUUAUGGUAUUAGACGAGGUAACUUGUACUACUUGGAAAUGUCAUCAACAAACACUGGAAAGCUAAGCCCCGCACUAGUCGCAGAUAGUUUCAUAAAAAAAGGGCAAUUAGAAAUUUGGUUAUGGCAUAGACGUUUAGGGCAUGUGUCAUUUGGUUACUUAAAAAAACUAUUUCCUAGUUUGUUUCUGAAAUUUGAUGUUUGUAACUUUAAAUGUGAUGUUUGUGAACUUUCAAAAAGCCAUCGAACUACUUUUCCAUUGUCCUUAAAUAAAAAUCCAGUUCCUUUCAUGGUAGUACAUUUCUGAUGUAUGGGGGCCAUCUAAAGUUUCUACAAUUGGAGGUGCUCGUUGGUUUGUUACAUUUAUUGAUGAUUGUAGCAGAAUGACAUGAUUUUUUCUGAUGAAAUCGAAAGACGAAGUAAACUCUUUAUUUCAAAGAUUUCAUAAGAUGGUGACAACUCAAUUUCAGACACAAAUUCGAGUUCUACAUACUGAUAAUGGAGGCGAGUAUAUGAGCACAGCAAUUCAACAGUUUCUGAAAUCACAAGGAUCUGUCCAUCAAACCACUUGUGUGGGGACACCCCAACAAAAUGGCGUUGCCGAACGAAAAAACAGAUAUUUACUAGAAGUUGUUCGAGCAUCACUAAUCCAAGCCCACAUGCCAUUAUCUUAUUGGGGAGAAGCACUGGCAUCCGCAGCAUACUUGAUCAAUCGAACACCUUCAAGCUCCCUUGGAUUCCAGACUCCUUUCCAAGUUCUGAAUGAUGCAAUUAUGUCACCAAAUGUGCCGAAUCUGCCCCCACAUGUGUUUGGCUGUGUUGCCUUCGUUCAUUUGCCGCAAUAAGACAAAUUAUCUCCUCGAGCGCUACGUUGUGUGUUUGUAGGGUAUGCCUUACAUCAAAAGGGAUACCGAUGCUAUCAUCCACCAUCAAGAAAAAUAUACAUCACCAUGGAUGUCGUUUUUCAUGAAGAUAUCAUGUACUACUUGUCAGAGUCUGAAUUUCAGGGGGAGUAUAAUGAAGAGGAAAUUCAUACUCUUACUUGUCUUCCACCUGAAGAAAGUCAAUCUUCCAUUGAGAUAGUAAACCUUCAAGAAACUGGAAAAGAAAAUGGUGAUGAUUCUCAGGCUGAGAUAAGUGAAGACACAUUUGGGGAGCACAAUAACUCAGACACAACUGCAAUCGAGAAUGAGUCACAUGAAGAAAUACCUAACCAAUCGUCUGCAGAGGAUGUUCCUACCACAAGUCCAAUAAGAAGAAUUCUUCCUCAGCGUCAAAAUAGAGGUAUCCCUAAACCCACAUAUGAGCCUGACUUCUCUAGUAGAGUCAAAUACCCUAUGAGUCAUUUUGUGUCUAACCAUCGCUUGUCAGAAUCAAAUCAGUCAUUUGUGAAUCAAUUAUCUGCUGUAUCUAUUCCUAACAGUGUGCAGGAAGCUUUAAAAGACCCAAAGUGGAAAGCGGCUAUGAAUGAUGAAAUGAGAUCUUUUCAGAAAAAUCAAACAUGGGAACUAGUUGAUCUUCCACCAAGAAAGAAACCAAUGGGUUGUCGAUGGAUUUACACUAUAAAAUACAAAGCAGAUGGCUCUAUUGAACGAUACAAAGCAAGACUCGUAGCUAAGGGUUACACCCAAACCUACGGGAUUGAUUAUACUGAUACGUUUGCACCGGUAGUAAAAAUUAAUACUAUUCGUAUCUUAUUAUCAUUAGCAGUCAUCUUGGAUUAGCCAGUGCAACAGUUCGAUGUAAAGAAUGCUUUCCUCCAUGGAGACUUGUCUGAAGAAAUUUAUAUGGAUCUGCCACCAGGAUGCAGUGGACCAGAACGACUCAAUCAGAAAGUAUGCAAAUUGAAGAAAUCAUUGUAUGGGUUGAAGCAAUCCCCAAGAGCAUGGUUCGGGAAAUUCACAAAGGCUAUGGUUCGUUUUGGGUAUAACCAAAGCAAUUCAGAUCAUACCUUAUUCAUUAAAAAACGACAAGGUAAAAUCACUGCCCUUAUUGUCUAUGUGGAUGAUAUGGUAGUUACAGGCAACGACGAGGAAGAAACAGAGGCUCUUCAGAAGUACUUGUCAAGAGAAUUUGAGAUGAAGGAUUUAGGUGCCUUAAAAUACUUUCUUGGAAUUGAGGUUUCUCGAUCCAAGGGAGGAAUCUUUCUGUCUCAAAGGAAAUAUGCCUUAGAUCUAUUGCACGAAACGGGAAUGACAGCUUGUCAGCCUAUUGACACCCCAAUAGAAGAAGGACUGAAGUUUUGUAUUACUUCAGACCAAGUUCCAGUAGACAAAGGAAGAUAUCAAAGGCUGAUUGGAAGAUUGAUGUACUUGUCCCACACAAGGCCAGAUCUUGCUUAUGCAUUGAGUGUUGUAAGUCAGUUUAUGCAUAAUCCCGGAGAACAACACAUGAAAGCAGUAAUGCGGAUCCUGAGGUACCUGAAGACAAAUCCAGGAAAAGGAAUCCUAUUUUCCAAAAAUGAAGAUUACAACAACAUAGAAGUUUAUACUGAUGCAGAUUGGGCCGGGUCAGUUAGUGAUAGACGCUCUACUUCAGGAUACUUUACCUUUGUGGGAGGCAACCUUGUCACAUGGAGAAGCAAGAAACAAAAUGUCGUUGCCCGUUCGAGCGCUGAAGCAGAAUAUCAAGGCAUGGCCCUUGGGAUAUGUGAAGGGCUAUGGAUAAGUUUUAUCUUAAACGAUUUGGGCUAUCCAUCACAACAACCAAUACAACUAUACUGUGACAACAAAGCUGCACGAGAUAUUGCUCAUAACCCAGUUCAACACGAUCGAACAUUACAUGUGGAGGUAGAUAGAUUUUUCAUCAAAGAGAAAUUAGAUGAAAAAAAUUUUUGAAAAACAAAAAAUAUUAUCAAAAGAUCAACUAGCAGAUAUUUUAAUGAAGGCCNNNNNNNNNNNNNNNNNNNNNNNNNNNNNNNNNNNNNNNNNNNNNNNNNNNNNNNNNNNNNNNNNNNNNNNNNNNNNNNNNNNNNNNNNNNNNNNNNNNNCCUAGACAAGUUGGGUAUGCAAGACAUCUAUGCACCAGCUUGAGGGGGAGUGUUGAGAAUCAAAUAAAACGGCAUUGAACGAAGCUUUCAAAGACAGAAUCUGCACUUGUCAAAGGGGUAAUCUACACUUGUCAAAGACAAGAUCCGCGCCGAACGGAUUGACACAUUUCCUUCCGUAUUCACAUAUGUAAUCUAUGAAAAAAUGUAGCCUCUGCAUCUAUAAAUAACUCUCAAUGUAUAAUGUUAUUUUUAAGAAAUGAAAACACGUUUCUUCAAGCGCCUCAUUUAGGUUGUAGGCUUGUAGCGAGAUAAAGAUAUUAAUUAAAGUUUUAUAAUCCCUGUUAUGAUUAAGGCUUCACUUAGUAUAGCAUAGAGCUUUUUGAGUUUUACAAGUAAUUUUUUUUUUACAGGUAUAAUUUUUAUUUUUAACAAAAAUUAAUUAAAUAAUAUUAGAAAUCCUAAUAUUUGAGUCCUAAUAUCAUAUAUCACUCAUUUAUUAGAUGACAUAUUUCAUAACUUAUAAAAUUAUUUAACUAACAUCCAAUUAAUGAAUGUUACUAUAGUGAAGACUCAAAUUGAAAUUUAAAUGUUGGGUUGCGUGACAUUUCUCUUAUUUGGUUGUUUAUGAGAGCUUUCUUGUACAAAAUAAUUUUUAUACAAAUUGAUAUAGUCUAAAUUCAUUAAUUAAAUUAAAAUAUAAAAUAAUAAAAAUAAAUAAGUUUGUAUAAGAAUAAUUAAUUCUUUAAUCCAUCUAAUUGAAUUAUCCUAUGUCUAUUUAUAUUAAAUAAAUUUGUAUAAAAAAUUAUAGUUUUGUUUUUAGAUGUGCAACUAAAUUUUUAGUCUCUUAUUCCUCGUAAAAUUCAAAUCUGAGUGGCUCAUCAAAUAAAAUUACAACUACUGGUUAAUCAAAUAAAGUUAUUCCAUCGAGGUCAUGAAAUUUACCAGCCAAAAGAGUUUUAAAUGUCUAUUUUAUAAAUUUUUUAAAAAUUGUUUUAUUUACCAUUUUACCAUCCGUAGUAAAGGUGUCGCAUCGACAUUGAACAGAUCAACAUAUCAGUCAUUUCUCAUUCAGCCAUUAGGAAUUUACGUUUGGGGUAUUUUUGUAAUUAUAAGAAGGUAAACUAAUCGCAAAACUCAUUUGGCUUGCACUUGCUCGCCUGUGCUCUGUGUAUGGUUAUGGCGUUAUCAUUAUCAUCUUCUCCACUCCUACUGACGCCAGACCUUAACAGUUCAGAUUCCCUUUCUCGACUGUCAUACCCUACGCCCCGUCUCCGUGUCUCCGAUAAACAGUGCUCAAUUAAGGCCAUCAGAUUAUCCCGGACCCACAUUGAUCCAACGGCUCACAGUGACCAACAUCCUCUCUAUCUCCAUUUCAAGCUUCCCUCUUCAACUGGCUUCUGCUUCUGUCGUACUCUUUCUUGGAUUCGGAGUCCGUAUUUGCUCGGUCGGUCCGCACAGCUCCCUCUCACUCCAAUUGUCACCCAACAAGACCAAUUGCUUAAUCAAGGCACAGAGCAAGGAGAGGAUGAGAAAUUGAAUCAAGAAUUUGAGAAUUGGAAAUCGAAAACGUACGCAUUGACCCUGCCUGUGAGAGUCGUUUCUCUUCAGAAUUCAGUGCCUCAAUCCUGGGUUAAGGAUUUUAUGCGAAGUCAAGGAAAGAGAUUGAAGUUUCAGAUGAAUUUGUGUGCUAGCAUUGAUGGGAUCGUUAACAAUUUAUCUGUGCCCUUUAACAAAGUUAAGGCUAAGUCAGCUUCUUAUAUGGCUGCUGAUUUGGUUAGUGUUGGUGAUUCAUGGCUCAGCUUUGCGAUUAAAAAGAGAUCGAUUGAGCCAAUAGCUGGAGCUGAAGGCCAAGAUUGGUUCAAAUGCUUCAGUCACAAACGGAAGGUAACAUCUUUGUCUUUGACCCGAUAAUUUUUAUUGUCUUACAUUGAAAUUUGGUAAUGUAAUUUGUUCUCUAUUUGUGUUACCCUUUGUAGUCGUUUUAUUUAUUUAUUUGUUUGUUUAUUUGCUUUUAUUUGCACUAACGAAGUCUCAGGUAUAUCUACGCAGGAAUGAUGCAGGAGAAAUUGAUCCUCGAGGUGAAAUAUGGGCGGCACCAUACAGGUGGGGCACAAUGGUGAUAGCCUACAAGAAAAGUAAAUUUUGAAAGCAUAAUUUGGCUCCGAUUGAGGUAAUAACUGUCUUUAAAGUCAUUUAGUUUUAUAUCAAACAAAAUCAAGGUUGCCUUUCUCGUCAAUAUUUUUGAUGAUAUUAUCUUCUACAAAUGGAUCAUUAAACUUCUUUUUUGUAGUCAAAUGUACAGUAAGAACAAUGAGAAGCUAUGCCACUGUAGCACGUAGUGAUGGCACUUAAUAAGUGAGUUGCUAGGAUGUGAACAAGAAAAAUUAAAUAUUGUCUCCUUGGGUAUGCUAGCUCGUAAGUCAGGGUUAAUAUUAGAGCUUAAGAUACUAUAAACAUGCGAAACUAUUGACUACCAAUUAAAAUAUCCAUUAAAAUGUCUAGGGAGUUAUGAAGGUAGGGAUAUCUUCCAAUUUCUAAGGCCACAUAGUAGACAUCAUCCAGGAUCCUAGGAAAGUGCGGUUGAUCUCCUGCUUGAUGCAGUUAAUAAAUUUGGUCAAUGCGACUGAAACCUGCUAACUGACGUCGCAAUGCGACAUGAGCACUUCAAAAUGGGAUAGACAGUAGCACUAAAUUUUUCUUGCCUAAGAUUGGGCAAUUGGUCUAAAUACUAACCCCUAUUGUAAGUUGAUCAUUAUUUUUUCAAUUAUGUUCAUUUUGACCCAAAAGUUACACAAUCUUGAUCUGAAUAUUGUCACUGAACACUGUCAAUGUCGUUUAGCAUUGGCAACUAACUCGAGUUUGGUAAAACAAACACACACAGUGUGUCUCAUGUCUCACAAUUCAAAUUAUCAUCUGUACUGAUGGAGAAUUUUUCUGAUGUAUGAAGUAUGCUUUGAUACGUAGGUUAGCUUGGAGAAGAUAUCUCAAAAUAAAGAAUAUGGGGAGCGAAUGGGAAGAAAACAGUUCGGUAGUUUAUGAUUCUGUAGUCAAGUUUUGUCUCGAAAAUGGUCAAAAUUUAAAUGAAUGGACAGGGGAUCUUCAUUCUUUUUUCACUUCUUUAUACCGAGAUAUCUCUUAACCUUUAUAUAAUCCCCACUGGAUAUCUGCUUCUAAUAAUUAAAAUAAAAAUUUCAACCACACCAAUAAAUAAUCAUCUUAGAGUGAGACUAUCAGUACAACCCAAAAACAUAAUAAAACUGGUUUGGUUCUGUUUGUUGAUGUUUAAAUGUUGUUCAUCGUGACAUGUAGAAAUGAUGAGGUGAAGUUUCUUUGGCCAUCAAAUAGUAAGAUCUUGCUUGAAGUUGUUUUCUGAAAUGAACAGUCAAAUGGUAGUUUUUUUGGGCCAUUCGAUGGCUCUUUUCUUCCUCAUUUUAAACUUGUGCCUGCUUGGAACAGGAUGGAUUAGGCUGCAGAGUUAUAUAUUUUGACAUGCUCUGGUCAUUACACAAUUUGUUCAUACUGGAAAUUAGGAUGAGAAAUUUGUUGCUGCUGUUUUGAGAGAUCUGCAUUCUAUGCACAAACAUGAUUAAUGAAAAUGGAUUGUAGGACUGGAAAGAUCUGUGGCAGCCUGAGCUCGCAGGAAGGAUUUCAAUGGUUAAUUCUCCCCGACAGGUUAUUGGUUCAGUUUUGAAGUCUAUGGGAGCAUCAUACAAUUCAGACGAUAUUGAUUCACAAGUUGCUGGUGGGAAGAUUGCUGUUCAGCAGAAUCUGGCAUUACUGGUAAACCAGGUACUCUUAAAGAAAUGAUAUCUGGUCAUUGCAUGUUAUUGCCUGACAACUGAUUUUGUUUGUAAAAGUCGGCUUCUUCAUACAUAUGAAUGCAUUUUUUUGUGUUUUCUUCUCCUUUUCAUACAUAUGAAUGCAUAUGUUAGUGUUGUCUUUUCCUUUUCAUACAUAUUAAUACAUAUGUAGAUUUCUUCAUCAUUGUAGCCUCCGAUUUCUUCAUCAUUGUAGCCACCGAUUUCUUCAUCAUUGUAGCCUCCAUAGUUGAAGUUUCCUCAUUUGAAGCUGUUUAUGCAUAUGCUUUUUCCCUUCUCAAGUACAGGAAAUUGAAGAAUUAACCAGAUGUGAUAUGCUGAAAGAGUGAAGUUUUCUCCCUUGAAUGUGGCCUUGUGAUUUGUCUUGAAGGAAUAGGAUGAUCACUGGCAAGAACCCUAUCAAGGUAGAUUUUAUGGUGUUAACAUAUUUUUAAGCAUUUUGUUACAUCAGCAAUGAUGCUUUCAUAGCAUGAAAGUGUUUAAUUUAACUGACUGAUCUUGAUUAAUCAAUUAUGAGUUUUAAUCGAGUAAAAACUAAAUACAAUCAUCGUCAACAAAUUCUGAAAUUGGGUAAAUAUCAUCUUGAUAUUGAAGAAUUUGAAAACACAAUCCACACAGGAAAUCACCCUUCGCGUGGGGAUGGAGAUGUUUACUGCAACGAUAUCGAAUAUGUGCACGGUGUUGUCCACUGAAACAAUGGAAAAAAUUAACAUAGGGGUAUUUAAAUAAUUAAACUCAGACCUCUUUGUAUAUGUUAUCCUAACUUUACUUACCCAUGUUUGUAAUUUUCACUUAACAGUUGAUGCCUAAACCAUUAAAACCAAAUGACCAUAGGGGUAUUUAAAGUAUGUAAAAAUAAACAAAAACACGUAAAAAAUUUCAAACAAUUAAUAAUUACACUCUAAAUGUACCACUUAACUCUUAAUAAUAGCCAUACUCUAAAACAAUCUACAACCUUUGAGGGGAGUAGCUAUGAGGAAAAUCCUUUUCUCAGUGGAUUGCCAUUGUCCGAGAGUUGCAAUGAAAAGAGACCACCAGCAACUGAGCCGGAAGAUUCAACUAGCACUGAAAAAAAUGAUAAUUUAAUUGAUAUGGACAGUUUCCAUAUCACUUUUAAAUCAUCCUAUGUAAUUGUGAUGUUAGGAAGCAUUAGUGAUCUGUAUGUGAACUAUUAUUGGCGCCAUUGGUGGUUUUAUCUUGUUAAAAUAUGGAUGACUUCCAGUUACUAUUUUGUAGUACACAAUUUUAUUCAAUUAACAUACAGCUUAAAACCAUUAUGUAUGUGCUUUAUUAAGAUUCUCAAGUACCAAUCACGUUUGCUUAAGAAAUAAAAUUUUGCCAUUAAAAGCGUAGUAAUAUUUCCAAGCGCUUCGCAUUUAUCUCAACAUUUUGAAGGAAUUUUGAGAAAUAUACUUUUAUUUACUUUGUCAAUUAAUUAAUUAAUUAAUUACUAUUUGGCUUGGAUUGGACGAAAUUCUCAUGAUGUUUUAAUUUCUUUAAAUUAAUUAAUUAAUUAACUCUGUUUUUAAGUCUUAAGUCUGGGCGUGUUUGCAGAAUUUGAUUCCUUCAACGAUUUAGAAGUGUUGGACAUGAGUGGCAAUGAAAUCGACAAUCUUGUGGUUCCUCAAGGUAAACAAUUAAAAUAUUAUUCAAUUACAUUAUUUUAAUUCAUUUGAUUAGGGAAGGCCAAAAAGGUAAGAAAAAAUUAAAUAAAGAAACAGAGAAUUUGUAUUAUUUAAAAAACAGAAUGUAAUAAAGAUUUGAUUCUAGUUCUUUAAUCUUUAAAGCGAUUGAAAAACAAUGUUGCUCUUUUCCCAAAGCAUAAAAUACGAAUUGAAUGCCAAUUAACUUAAUCAUUCAUUUCGUUUAGCUCUAAAUUUAGACAAUGAAUUUUUAUAUUAUUUCAAAAACAGGACGCAAUAGAAUUUUUUUUAAAAACAGAUUGUAAUAAAGAUUUGAUUCCAAUUCUUUAAUCUUUACUGCGAUUGAAAAAUGAUACUACUUCCCAAAGCAUAAAAUACGAAUUGACUCCCAAUUAAAUUAAUCAUUUAUUUCGUUUAGGUCUAAAUUUAGAAAAAUGAAUUUUGAUUCUCUUCAAUCCUUUCCUAAUUAUUAUUAAUAAACAGGUUAUAGAGGUUGGAGGAAGCUGAAAAGCCUGUAUCUAUCGGGAGUUGGAAUUAGAGAUGGAAGCAAGUUGUUACAGUCAAUGGGAUCAUUCCCAUCCCUCAACACUCUUUACCUGAAGCAUAAUAAUUUUACCGAUAUAGCGACAACAACGAACUAAAUGCAGAAAUAACUGAGUCACAUUCUUUGACCGCCCCAAACUUCCAAUUAUCACGUCUCUUGUUGUCUUCCAGUUACGGAGACAGUUUCAUAUUCCCCAAAUUCCUUUACCAUCAACAUGACCUGGAGUAUGUUGAUCUCUCACACAUAAAGAUGAAUGGAGAAUUUCCAACUUGGUUGUUGGAAAACAACACAAAAUUGAGACAACUUUCUCUCGUCAAUGAUUCUCUUGGAGGACCUUUUCGGUUGCCAAUUCAUUCACACAAGCGGUUAGGAAUGUUGGAUAUGUCCAACAACAACUUCCGAGGCCACAUUCCAGUAGAAAUUGGAGAUGUUUUACCAAGUUUAUACGUUUUCAACAUUUCCAUGAAUGCUUUAGACGGUAGCAUUCCCUCUUCAAUUGGUAAUAUAAAAUUCCUCCAAAUUCUGGACUUAUCCAACAAUCACUUGACUGGUGAAAUCCCCGAGCACUUGGCCGUGGGUUGCGUCAACUUGCAGUCUCUUGCAUUAUCAAAUAACAACCUACAAGGUCAUUUGUUCUCUAGAAAUUUUAACUUGACAAACUUGCAAUGGUUACAAUUGGAGGGCAAUCGCUUCGUAGGUGAGAUCCCACAAAGUUUGUCUAAAUGCUCCCCACUAGAAGGAUUGUAUCUUAACAAUAAUAGUCUUUCGGGUAAGAUUCCACGAUGGUUGGGUAAUCUCACAUGGUUACAAUAUAUUAUAAUGCCCAAUAAUCAUCUUGAAGGCCCUAUUCCAGUGGAGUUUUGUCAGCUUGAUUCGCUUCAGAUUUUAGACAUUUCAGACAACAACAUAUCUGGAAGUCUACCAUCUUGUUUCCAUCCUCUCAAUAUCAAACAAGUUCAUCUUUCAAAAAAUAUGUUACAUGGACAGCUAAAAAGAGGUACAUUCUUUAAUUGCUCUUCCCUUGUGACAUUAGAUCUUAGCUAUAACCGCUUGAAUGGCAGCAUUCCGGAUUGGGUUGAUGGGCUUUCUCAGUUAAGUCACCUUAUCUUAGGUCACAAUAAUCUUGAAGGUGAAGUGCCAGUUCAAUUGUGCGAAUUGAACCAACUACAAUUGUUAGAUCUUUCUAAUAAUAAUCUUCACGGUCCUAUUCCUCCUUGCUUUGAUAACACCACACUUCAUGAAAGUUACAGCAAUAGUUCUAGUCUUGAUGAGCAAUUUGAAAUAUCUUUUUCCAUCGAAGGCCCUGACGGAGAUGUAGAAAAGCAAAUCCGUGAAAAUUUUGAGUUCACAACAAAGAACAUUGCGUACAUUUACCAAGGAAAAGUGCUUAACCUCCUAUCAGGACUUGAUCUUUCUUGCAACAAGCUAAUCGGUCAUAUUCCUCCUCAAAUUGGAAAUUUGACAAGGAUUCAAACAUUGAAUCUAUCGCACAACAACUUGAUAGGAUCGAUCCCAUCAACAUUUUCAAACUUGAAGUAUGUCGAAAGUUUGGAUCUUUCCAACAACAAAUUGAAUGGAAAAAUCCCUUAUCAACUAGUGGAGUUAAAGACAUUGGAGGUUUUCAGUGUGGCAUACAAUAACUUAUCAGGCGAAAUUCCAGAAUGGAAAGCACAAUUUGCAACCUUCAACGAGAGUAGCUAUGAGGGAAAUAUUUUUCUUUGUGGACUGCCAUUGCCCAUUUGCAUAUCACCAGCAACUACACCGGAGGCUUCAAUUGACAAUGAAGGAGAUGAUAAUUUAAUUGACAUGGACAGUUUCUUUAUCACAUUUACAACAUCGUACGUAAUUGUGAUAUUCGGAAUUGUUAUUGUUUUAUAUGUAAAUUCUUAUUGGCGACGUAGAUGGUUUUACUUUGUUGAAAUGUGGAUAACUUCAUGUUAUUAUUUUAUUGUAGACAAUCUUAUUGCAACAAGAUAUUGUCAUUGAAAUUAAUUAGCAGUUUAAUUACGAUUCUUUAAGUUCUAAUCAAGUUUGCUUAGAAAAUAAAUUAAUUUUUAUUUUUUAUUAAAAUUGUAGUAGUAUUUAGCGCUAUAUAGCUUCCAACUUCCAAGCACUUCACAAUUGUCUCUACACUUCCAAACCCAUAUCUAUCCACCAUAACUUAUACUUCCCUAUACUGUGCAGCAUACUUAAAUAACAGAACCAUCUCCAAUGUUAAAACCAGCCACUCUAUAACAUUCAUUUAGAAACUAUAUUUAGAAUAGUUUUAUAAUCAUACACAAGAAAUGAAACACCUAGAUGCACUUGAUCGCCUAUUUUACUUUAAAAAAUAAUGAUUAUGGUGCUAUCAUCAUCUUCUUCACUAGCGUCAUUAACACCAAAUCCAGCGAUGGACCCAGACAUUUUAUCAAGAAAGGUAUAUAUAUAAUAAAGUUGAAGCUUGACAAAAAAAUUCAGGAAGAUUGAUGCCUCGCCACAACAAGGGGCACACCAACAUCAAAGUAGAGAUGAAGCAAUAUUCUCAAAGCUAAAACUCUCAAAUCCACGCACCAGAAUUUCAUAUCUCCUCAACAAUUUAAGAACUAAAGAUAAUUAGGAUCUAACAUUAGUUUUUUAUAUAUUAGUUUCAUAAUUUACAAAUCAACGAAGAUGAGGAUUAUGCUAAUGAAUUCAAAUUAUACCAUAGAUUCUCGAGAUGUUACCAAAAAUUUCUAAAGUCAAUCCCACAUAUUUCAUAAUUUUAAGACUAGAAAAUUUCAUUAGUUAGAAGUUUAUUACCUUCAAGUGGAAGAUGAAGAACAUUAUACAAUUGAUUCAGAUUAUAUCAUACAUACUCCAAAUGCAACUAGAAAUUAACAAGUUCAUGCGCACAAAUUUCAUAACAUUAUGAUUGGAAAGUUUCACGAAGAGAAAUUCUAAAUUCAAUCUCUUGCAUCAUGGUAGUUUGAUUGAUUUGAGUUACUUUCUCAUCAAGCUACUAAUAUAACAUUCAAGUCAGGGAGAAAGUAAAUUAAAACUGGGAAGAAAUAACAGUAAAAAUUUGUUGCUAAAAAUGAUGUGUAUUUUUUUUUGAAGGCAAGUUGGAAACACAGUUGUUACUACAGAUAUUCUCCUCAACUUAGAGAUAAAUACAAAUAUUAAAAUGCAUAUGAUCGCACAUAUUACUUGGAGCUUAGUAAGAUUUCAUUAAGAGAAGCAAUCAAACCACUUAUCAAUUGUUGCAAUCGUUCUAUAAGCUAAAAUAGCAAUAUAAUACAAGAAAAAGAACAUAUAGAUACUUGGCAAGAGUUCAUUAAGAAGUCGCAUCACAUUCGGGUGAGUUUGCUUCUGAUAUCUUGCUAGCUGGGGCUUUUUCUUGUCUUUCUAUGUAUGCCGAGGGAAACCAACCAGCUUGGCCCUUGCAUUCACCUUCCGACCAUCCAGUAGGAGCCACCUUGAGAAGUUAUAACUAAAACAGUGAAUUAAACAAAAGUUGACCGUUCGAAGACCUAAGGGGAAAACUAAUUCUUUUACGUAGGAGUGAAUUAGUUGUGAUCACUGAAAUAACAGCAUAACUAUGGAAGCAUAACAAGUUAAAAAUUCACACGUCUAUAAGGGUAAACUGGGUGGUUUAGAACUGAGCUAGCAACCCUACUAUAUUCUGAUUUGCACUUCAAUGUAAAAGGGAAUAUAUGGUAGGAAGAAAGAAAACCAACCAUCAUUUGUUAACUCAUUGCUUUUCAAUCAAAAUUUUAAGAACAAAAUGCCAUGUGCUUUGAACAUCAAAUAAGUAUAAGCAUUAGUUCUAAAUUCCACAUAUCUUAAGUUAGAAGGAUAAGUUAAUAGCAUAGUAGAAAAAUCUAUGUGUUGUUAUUUAGAGGGGAAAGUACCUGGCGAACCACAACAUAAUCAUCAAUUGAAAGACUUAGCUCUCCAUUUGCUUGAGCAUCAAAUGGAUGUAUAACCUGCAAGAUAAUGGGAUAAAUAGAACUUAAUCUUUAAAAAAGCAUAACAAAAGCAGCAACAGUAGCAGCAGUGUUCAUUGUAACCACUAUGAUCAUGGCCAACAAAGAUAUAUUAGAAACAAAAUUCCAUUUUUACUACGACAUUAAUAUGUACUAUAUGAUAUCAUGACGAUUGGGUUACCAAGAGCUAUCAAAGUCCAAUAAAUUCUGUAUAACUUUAUGUAGUUAUUCAAAUUAUGGAUCAGAUUUUAAAUCUGAAAUUUUGACUGCUCUCCACAAAACAUGGCCUAUGCACAAGAAAGUCAUAGAUAAUGAGGAUUACAAGUGUCUGACAUCUUUUGAGUGAUGGAUUUAACAUGAGAGCUUAUGGUCAGUCAAUUUCCUCUGCCUAGCAAUAUAAGCUUUCUCGGCCAGAUUUAUCAUCAAAUACAUAGAUUGCCCCCAAGUCACAUCCAUAUAAACAUAGUUUUUCUAGGUAAACCAGGUAAGGAGUAUCAUAAUUCAGACAUAAUCAUAAAAAGGCCCAUCUAACUUAAGAGAAAAUCUCAAAAAGAGGGAUGUUGAGCUAUCAGUCUUGUAUCUAUAAGCAAUAUCAAGACUUUACAUCACCUGCUACGUCGUGAGUGGCUACACAACUUUCAGUGGUUUGUCUUUCUUUGGCAUGCCUAACUCAGCUUUGAUGUUGCUGAGAUAUUGAUAGUAGAGACACAUGAUACUUCUAGCUCAUGCAUUCUAUCUAGCUCAUCCGACAGCUAUCUCUUUUUUAAUUCAUUAGUGUUUGCUAAACCUCAUGCUUAAAAGUCCUGUUGUUCUAAACAAAGUUUCCUAAGAAUGACUUCCUCAGCACCACAUUUGGACACUUUUAGAGCAAUUUUAUUUGGGGGGAAAGAAUUUUCAAGGUGUUAACUAAUAAAUUUUAAAAAAUAAUUAUAAUUUGUCCUAUGAUUAUAUGACAAUUUAUCUGGGAUGAAAGGAUACAGACAGACAUCUUCCACUUUCAAGACUAAUCACUACUUCUGUAGAUGUUUUGCAAUAAUACAAAUACUUGACCAGAUGGUAGUGAUGGUAGAAAAAAAUUUUAUUGCUCCAAAAUUAAAAUAAGAAUGCAAUAUGUUCAGCAAAAGACUGUGCAACAUCAAAUUAAUUGAUAAGUUUGUAAUUCAGUAAAUUAACAACUUUCAUGGUAAAAUACAACAAAUUUCUUUUCAAAAAAAAAAAUCUUAAAAGACAGCAUACAAUUUUGUGCGCAUCUUAUUUCUUAAGAUUUUCCAGGAGGGCAAUAGAGGGACUUUCACCUAUGCAAGAGAGCAGAAGCCUUACUUUCGCUAUAAAGUAGACGUCAUUCUGAUUAAUAUGCGUUUGCAAAUCAGCUCCAUUUGAAUCAGUAUUCUGAUAGACACAUGAGGCAUUUACAUCCAUUUCCAAAGUCACAUGUUACGACUAUAUUUGAAGAUUGUUCUAUAGUUAGAAGAAAUGCCAAAUGAAUGAACUUACUUGACCUUAAUGUAAAAUGUUAUCACAUGCAUAAGUGAGACGAAAAUGAUAAAUACAAUAUUAUCAGCAGUAAACAAGAAGAGAACACUCCAAGGAAUAGAUAGAUGCGGAUGAGUAAUAUGAGGAACUCCGGUGAGUCUCACCCGAGCAACAAUGCCCAACUUCUCUAACUUAUGAUGAUAUGUUUUCUCAGCAUCUACCUGCAAAGGCCCGAGACCAGGAAAACAACAAUAAAACCACUAGCUAAAGGAGAAAGUAAAGAAAGAAAUACACUUGACAUAAAUCUUGACAAGAAGCACAAUUUAAGACAUAACAAACCCCAAUCAUAUUGUUUAGAACUACCAUUCGUUAUUUCGUUAUUGUAGCAUUUCGAACAAGUGUUGACUUAAUUCAACAUUGUUGGAAAGAUAGGCUUUUAGAAGCGGAAGAAAGCCACUCAAACCAAAGUGAUUGUCCUUGUAUUGGUCAAGGGAUGUAAACAUAUUACAUUUGCAGGAUGAGUUUUAAUCACUCCCCUGAUUUAUUUGGGUUGCAGUAAAACUAAGCGAGCAACUGUUUGACUUUCAAGCAACAUCUAAAUCAGCUAUUAAAAUUCAAAUAAAAUUAUAAUAGAAUAAUAACAGGCCAUCUUGCAUCAAAAAUUAAGUUUAGUUUGUGAAUUUUUUUCUAUAGACAUGUUAGUUCCUGCUAUUGAAAUGUUAAAAGCAUUGAAAAAUUAUUCAAUAAAUUAUGCAAACAUUAAAAUAGAGGACAUAUUAAAAAGUUUCUAAUUACAAUGUUAAGAUUUCCUAUAUUUUAGCAUUUGCAUAUUUUAAUUUAUUUAAAAGCUACGUCGAUCAACUUUGGGCGUGAAGAUUUUAGCUUCUACGAGACUUGAUUGGAAUAUGCAUAAGGAAGAGUGUUAAAAUAUGAUGCAUCCAACGAAAGACAAAUGACACUUGGACCAACAUGCAAUCAUGAAGUGGCCAGAAAAAGGACAAAUGCAACUUUGGCUUAAAUAAAAAAUAACAUGUGACUUGACUUUUGCUGGACAUGCAUCAUGUUAUUACAAGACAACAGAAAUCAGUAUGAUAGUACUAAAAGUUCACAAUAACAUGAAGAUAAGAGGCAGAAUGUCAACAAAUGCAUAGGCACACACAAGAAAGUAUUAACUUAUAUACCAUAGCAAAAAGUCUUUGAUAUGUCAUCUGUUGCUGCUGUGAUUCAACUGACAGCAUGGCAGCUGUCGCUUCUCUACCAAGAGCCAUUAUUGUAGAUUUAAGCUCGGUCAAUCUUGCUUCUGCAUUUCGAAGCUUCACAGCACUCUCUGCUGAUAUAUCAGAUUCCCUAAUCUUUGAUCGGCGCCUAAAUACUUCAGCUGCCUGGUGAAAAUAUUCAAUGUAAAUCUAACAUAAUUCUAAUCUUGCCUUAUACAUGCAUAUGUUAACUCAAAGCUUACCUGGGCUUCAACUUCAUGUCGAAGUUUGUCAUAACGAUGAGUCAAGAAAAUAUCUUAGAACUAAGUUUCCUUAUGAGAAGAUAAUAGUUUCAGUAGUAAUUUACAUAUAAUUUUCUAUAUUUGAAUUAUUUUCUAGUUAGGGAUGAACUAACCUGAUCACGAAGAAUCCCAAGCAAAGUUUCCCUCUCAUUUUCCAUCAAAUCAUGUGAAGUGCCAAAUUGAAGAGCAGCUCUUGCAACGCAAGAAUUGUCACUUUGAUUCUCCACUCCAUACUUGCAACAAUCUUCGGCCAACUUUCUCGCUACAAUAUUUGAAUACAAAAAUAUUGUACACAAGAACUAGUCAAGAAAAAAAAAAUCAAAUAUUAUAACGAGAGCAAGAGCAAACUAACAACCUAUUUCCAUUUGUUUCAAGCUUACUGCAACAAACACUUCAACGCCACGGACAACAUUCCUCUGAAAAUGCUGCGCUACAGAGCAUAUAUUCCAAAUCAUUGUUCAGAUAAAACCAUACAAACCAUCAUAAUUAUUCAACAUACAUUAAGCUCCGUUUGGUAAAUACUUGCAACUUCAGUCUAGAAAAUACAGUUAAUUUUUAUUUAAAAAACAUCAUAAUUAUCAACAUACAUAUUUGACAAAAUUAUUAUUUAAAAAUCAUAACUAAUUACCAAAAGCCACAAUAAAUCAAUAUCAAACAGAGUCUUAUUAUUAGCUAAAGGAGGAUGGUGCCUUAGCUGCCCUGGUGGAAUUGUAUAGAUUUUGAAGUUGUUGGUGACACUCAAGUUCAGCUUCAUCAACCGCAACAUUUUCAAUGCCAAGAUGGAGCAGAUGCUUCAAUACUGCCUGUACAAACCAUAAAAAACUAAUGAAAAAUAAAUAAAAUCGAGAAAUUUCACUAAUUAAAAAAGAAAAGAAACGGACUUGCUGUUGAAAACAGCAGCUGUGAAGAGUCAAAGAUUGACCUUGAAUCCAAGCUGGCAUGCCACCUAAGCUUCUGUAAUCUACAGCCAGCUGACAUGGAAGAUGAGUCAGGAUUAUUGAGCUGGCAGAACAGCUGUGCUGAAGAAUAUCAGCACAUAAGCAUGGAGCAGCUGAAGCUUCUAGAAUUCUAAAAUGAUUGGCUCAUGAUUGGCAGUCUGACAAAAUUAGUUUUUCUGUGUAAUAUUCUUUAUUAGCUGUCAUUAUUUUCUUGUCUCUAUAUAUACUACAAUUGCUCUGUAAUACGUCAGUUGGGUAAGCAAUAAUAAAAGGAAUACUCUGUCUUGUUCACUCUGCUUGCAAUACUAAGCAAUUCUUUAGAAUUUAAGUUGGUAUCAGAGCCAUCUUUUAGCUAUGGCAAGCAGCAGCGACAAUGAAACAAAUGUUAAUCCAACACAGGUUGAUUCAAGUGAUCAACCAGACGAUUUGAAUCAAAACACUGAGCCACAAAAUCCAGGCCUUAACACCAGAAACACAGCACAAAUAAGUGCAUCACCAACCCAGCAUAUCACCAGCAACACCUAUGUCUUUACUACUCCAAUCAAACUAACUCAAAGCAACUUUAUGCUCUGGAAAUCACAAGUGAUUUCUAGCAUUAGAGCAAAUGAGCUUAAGGGGUUUAUUGAUGGCAGCCAUGUCUGCCCUCCUAAGGUCUUCAUGAGUCCUGGACCAAAUCGAUCCACCAUUACCACACCUAACCCUGAAUACCAGAUUUGGAGGAAACAUGAUCAUAUCCUAUUGAGUUGGCUACUCUCCUCUCUAAGUGAAGGAGUACUAGGCACAGUGGUAGAUUGUUCCACCUCCUGUGAGGUGUGGACAACUCUAGCCAACCAAUUUGGUGCUAGAACAAGGGCAAGAGUCCUAUAUCUCAGAACUCAAAUUCAAACUACUAAAAAGGGUUCAUCAACCAUUCACGAAUACUACUCAAAAAUGAAAACUUUAUUGAACUCACUUAGAGCUGCAGGGAAUAACAUGAAUGAUGAUGAUUUCAUCAUGUGUGUGCUUGCUGGUUUGGGGACAAAAUAUUACUCAGUAGUUACCAACAUCAACUCAAUGCAGGAGAGUCCCUCGAUCUCGGAAGUAUAUGGUAUGCUCUUGAGUCAAGAAAACAGAACUGAGCAAAACUUGAGCUCAGGGAACAUUGAAGCAAACUAUGCUCAAAUGAGGAAUGGAAGAAGGAGCUGGAACAACAGUGAAAGAACUACACAUCAGCAGCUGCCUGGAAUUGUUUUCAGAAAUCCUGGAAACAACCCCACGAAUAACCAAACCAAUCAGAAUCCUCAAGACAAAGGAAAAGGAAAAGCAGUGGCUGAUGACAGUGGUUCUGACCCAAAAGGGCCUUGUCAAAUCUACUGGAAAAUGGGACACACAGCAGCUGAGUGUUGGCACAGAUUCAAGAAGAACUUUGUACCUCAGCCAAACAGAAGAAGAGAGCAGAGAGGUGCUUAUGUUGCUGCAGCUGAAGGUCAAAGUAGUGGAGCUUGGUACCUUGACAGUGGUGCUACAAAUCAUGUGACUAACUCUCUUGGAAAUCUCAGCAUCAACUCUGAAUACCAAGGUAAAAACAAGCUAGCUGUUGGUAAUGGUGAAAAGCUUUUGAUUAGUCACAUUGGUUAUUCUGCUUUGCCCACAUAUGAUCCACACAAGCACAUCACCUUAACUGCUAUACUAUGUGUGCCUGACAUAACCAAAAACCUUAUUAGCAUUUCUAAAUUGCUGCAUGACAAUGAUGUUGAUGUUGAGUUUCAAAAAUCUGUUUGUUUUAUUAAGGACAAGAGACAAGGGAAAAUUCUGGUGAAAGGAGUGGCUAGAGAUGGGCUAUAUGAGCUGAUGCACUUACCUGCCAUCCUGAGCAGGAACAAAAAUCCACAUGCUGUUUUGUCUUCUAUUCUGUCAAAUUCAGAGUCAAUGAAUAAUAAUAGUUGUCCAGUGUCCAUGUUGUCUUUCAAUUCAAGUAAUGAGUCCGUCAAAGUUAGUGUCGAGCCAAAUAUAGCUGAUGAGUCAAGAAGCAACAAUCUGCAAGCUGCUGAAGAAACUGAUGUGUGGCAUUCCAGACUAGGACACCCUAGUACUUCAGUCCUGAAAAACACCUUGUUAUCUUGUAAUCAGCUCAAAAUUAAUAAAGAUAUUGUUCCUUCAUUUUGCUCAGCAUGCCAAUAUGGAAAGCAAUCAAAACAAUCUUUCAAAAGCACUGAAACCAAAACUAAGACAGCCCUUGAACUGAUUCACACAGACCUUUGGGGACCAGCACCAAUUCUAUCCACUCAUGGACACAGAUAUUACAUCUCCUUUGUUGAUGACAGAACAAGAUACACAUGGCUCUUCCCUUUAGCAACCAAGUCUCAAGCUCUUGAAACCUUCAUUACCUUUAAAAAUCAGAUCGAAAAAUAAUUGAACCUAACAAUCAAAGCACUACAAACAGACAUGGGAGGAGAGUUCAGAGCCUUUGAACCAUAUUUGAAAAGAGAGGGAAUAACUCUAAGGCAUUCAUGUCCAUACUUACAUGAACAAAAUGGCAAGGUUGAGAGAAAACAUAGACACAUUGUGGAGACUGGACUUGCCUUACUUGCCCAAGCCAAAAUGCCCUUAAAAUUUUGGCAAGAAGCUUUCAGCUAUGCUAUCUUCAUUAUCAACAGACUUACCUCACCUGUGCUAAAGAACAAGACACCAUUUGAGUUAUUGUAUUCUUUCAAACCAGAUUAUACACAAAUUAAAAUCUUUGGCUGUGAGUGUUUUCCAUUUCUUAGACCAUACAACAGACACAAAUUUGAUUUUCACACUUCCAAAUGCAUCUUAUUGGGGAUCAGCAGUGCUCACAAAGGUUAUGUUUGUAUGAACAGUUCAGGAAGAGUUUAUAUCUCAGCUAGUGUCAAAUUCAAUGAAAAAUCCUUUCCUUUCGAAAAUGAUUCUAGCUUUAGGAAACAAGAGUCAGUAAAGGAAGGUGAUGAAAUUGCCUUACUUGAAAAAUUCCAGGUUGUGUCAUUCUCUGUCAACAAUCCCCAUGGUCUCACACAAGUGGCAACAUCUCAUAGCAACUCUCCAGACACUACUGGAAACACAGAAUGCAUCCUAAGUCCAGUCCAGAAUGAAAUGCAACAGGUAAAUGAUACUGACACAAUAUCAGGUAGCCUUUCAACUCACAGUCCACCUCACAUUACAGAAAUAAACAGCCAAAACCUUCCCACACAAAAGGCCUUGCCUUCACACCCCAUGGUAACAAGAUCCAAGGCUGGGAUCUUCAAACCAAAGCUGUACCAGGUUUCCAGUAAACCACAACCUUCUCUUCCCAAAAACACAUUUGAGGCUUUGAAGGAUCCCAAGUGGAGAAAGGCAAUGAAGGAUGAGUAUCAUGCAUUGAUGAAAAACAAAACCUGGACCUUGAUACCAAACAACCAAAAUUGCAAAUUGAUUGGAAAUAAGUGGAUCUACAAAGUAAAGGAAAACUCAGAUGGCAGCAUCAACAAGUACAAGGCCAGAUUAGUAGCAAAUGGAUUCUUACAAACUCCAGGACUUGAUUUCAAUGAAACUUUCAGCCCUGUUAUUAAGGCUGCAACUAUUAGAAUCAUCCUAACCAUGGCAGUAAGCAAUGACUGGUUGCUUAGGCAAGUGGACAUAAACAAUGCCUUCUUGAAUGGUGACCUGACAGAGGCAGUAUACAUGCCACAACCUGAGGGUUUUGAAGACAAGAAUAGACCAAGCUACAUUUGCAAACUGGAAAAGGCUUUGUAUAGAUUGAGGCAAGCUCCGAGAGCAUGGUUCGACAAACUAAAAGGUGCCUUGAGUUCUUGGGGAUUCAAAAAUUCCAGGAGUGACACAUCUUUGUUUUUCAGAAGAAUUGAAUCAAAGAUAGUCAUCAUGCUCAUAUAUGUAGAUGACAUUAUAAUCACUGGAAGUGACAGUCAAGGCAUUGAGGAAGUCAUUAAAGAUCUGAACACAUCCUUUGCUCUGAAGGAUCUCGGAAAUUUGAAUUUCUUCCUUGGGAUACAAGUUCUAAGGAAUCAAAACUCUAUCCUACUCUCUCAAGCAAAAUAUAUUCAAGACUUGUUGGCCAAAACAGAAAUGACAGACUGUAAAGGAAUAGAGACACCCUUCAGCUCUUCUGAGAAAUUGGAAAAGGAUGCUGGGAAUAGAUUCCACGAUCCCAUACUCUAUAGAAGCAUCAUAGGAAGCCUGCAAUAUGCAGUAUUGACCAGGCCAGAGCUUGCUUUCUCAGUUAACAAGCUCAGUGAGUUCAUGUCUGAUCCUAGACAGCCACAUUGGGUAGCAUGCAAAAGAGUGCUGAGAUAUCUCAAAAACACAAUGAAUAUGUGUUUAAGUUUCAAAAAAUCUGAACAUCUGGAUCUCAUUGCCUAUACGGAUGCAGAUUGGGCAACUGAUCCAGAUGACAGAAGAUCCAUAAGUGGAUACUGUGUGUACUUGGGAGAUAAUCUGGUUGCUUGGAGCUCGAGAAAACAAGGCAUAGUAGCAAGGUCAACAGCUGAAUCAGAAUAUAGAGCAAUGGUUCUAUGCAGCACUGAAAUCACAUGGAUUAAUUCUCUACUUGGUGAGUUGAAGAUGGAUGUUGAAAAUAUACCAAUUAUCCUAAGUGACAGCACCAGUGCAGCAGCCAUAGCAGCAAACCCAGUCUAUCACUCCAAAACAAAACAUUUCGAGAUAGACCUUUAUUUUCUCAGAGACAAAGUUACAAAGGGAGAAUUGGAAAUAAACUAUAUUGGCAGCAAUGAUCAAAUUGCGGAUGUGCUGACCAAGCCAUUACCACAUCACAAGUUUAGCUGUUUUAGAAGCAAACUCAAAGUCAUUGACAAGACCUUGAGUUUGAGAGAGGGUGUUGAAAACAGCAGCUGUGAAGAGUCAAAGAUUGACCUUGAAUCCAAGCUGGCAUGCCACCUAAGCUUCUGUAAUCUACAGCCAGCUGACAUGGAAGAUGAGUCAGGAUUAUUGAGCUGGCAGAACAGCUGUGCUGAAGAAUAUCAGCACAUAAGCAUGGAGCAGCUGAAGCUUCUAGAAUUCUAAAAUGAUUGGCUCAUGAUUGGCAGUCUGACAAAAUUAGUUUUUCUGUGUAAUAUUCUUUAUUAGCUGUCAUUAUUUUCUUGUCUCUAUAUCUACUACAAUUGCUCUGUAAUACGUCAGUUGGGUAAGCAAUAAUAAAAGGAAUACUCUGUCUUGUUCACUCUGCUUGCAAUACUAAGCAAUUCUUUAGAAUUUAAGUCUUGCUGCUGCUUGGCGACUUGUUCUCGGAGCUUGAUUGCCUGUUUCUUGAUAGUUUCCAUACUGUUUCUUUCAAAAAGCGACGACGGCUCAGCUCAUGGAGGUGGAAAAAAAAAAGUGUGAUCGAGAAAAAUAAAAAGGCAUGAAUAAUUUUUGAAAAAAAAAACGAAAAUCAAGGAAAGCCAGCUCUUUCCAGAAAAUAAAAAAAGAAAAAAAAAAUUAUAAGUUUGAAAGGAGAAGAUGAUAGUGGAAGUGUGCAGUGUGGCUGCCAGCUACUUGGAUUGUAGAGAAUUUUUUUUUUGUGGACAGAGCAUGACAUUAGACUUUUGUGGACCAAAUUCAAAAGCCGAAUGGCACGGCCCAGAAGCUUUUGAAUACAAUAACUUGCUAGAAAGCUCCAUUUUUUAUUCUUCUUAUACUUUACGCUUGCAUCAGCCUCAAUCACUUCUUAAUCGCUUGCUUUAACUGCAUCGCUCUCUCUGUGCUCUUCUAUAUAUGUAACAGUUAUGCGGUUGUAGUUCACGACUGAGGCUACGUGUUGGUUUGACGUGGCAGUUACGUUACAAGGGGAUAAAUAAGAUUGGUUGCAACAAACCCACUAAUUUUAUAAAAUUCGAGUAAUAUAGAAUAAAAUAAAAAAUAAAUAUAAAAUUGGCUUUUAUUUUUUAUGGUUGACUGUAUUUUGUGUUCUCUUCCGGCACUACUACAAUUGUUACCUAUAUAUCAGUCACACCCAUAUAUCAUUAACACAAGAAAUGAAAUCUAAUGUCACCUAUUUAGUUAAAGAAUCACUCAUGAAAAAUUUUUACCUUUUUCAUUUGAGGAUCCAUAUUUUGAACUGCAAGUUAAUGUUCAUCAAGAAUCACUAAUGUUCAUAAAAAUCCGAGUAUGGCCGUUGAGUAGAAAAAUUAUUUUUGGACAAAUUAUUUUUGUUGAUAGAAGAAUUUCUUAAGGGACUACUAAAAUUAUUAAUAAAAAUGUAGAACACACCCACAUAUCAUCAACACAAUUGACUUUGAGGAUCCAUGCUUUGAACUGCCGCCUAAUGUUCAUCAAGAACAGAGUAUGACUUGUGAGUAGAAAAUUUUAUGAUUUUGGCCCGAAAUAAAAAGAAAUUAAAUUAGAUGAGAAUCUGCCACUUUCUCAUGAAGAAAGGCAUACGGAGCAUACCAUGGUACCAUACAAUACAAAGAGUCUCCGUUCUCUGGUUUUUCAAACUAUAAAGGGGCCAAUAUUCCCGAAUUCUCCCUUGAAAAUUCUGAUUACGACAUUAUUCAUCGCUUGACGCAAUCAAAGUAGCGACAAAGUUAAGAAAAAUAUGAGUCCUAAGCAAUUGCUAGGUAGGGUUCCUGAGAGUAAAAUUGUCCUAAGCAUUAUAUGCAUACAUGGUGUGGUACAUAGAGCACGUUGAAUUCCACACUAUAACACAAACCUAGAAAGACAAGUAAUAACUCAACUGAUAUAAAGACAAAAAGAAGAUAAAAUGAUAUAGAAAAAAGAAUUUCAAAGAGACAGCAACAUACGAUAGACUGAAGCCACUUGAUCUGCUCAUUGAUUGCAGCCUUAAACUUACAAAUAAUUACCGUACGCUAGUGCUCUAAGAAGUGAAAAUGAUGCAAGCCCUGAUUCCCUUUUGACUUCCAUUUACUGUCAAACAUUCUAGUAAUACAAAAAAUUGUUUAAAUAUCUUGCUAUAAAUAUAGCCGUUUGACUGUCAUAAUAAAGUCACAAAUAACCAUUCAUAUUGAAAUAUCUUGCUAUAAAUAUAACCAUUCCUUAUCAAUACAUUUGGCAAAAACUUAAGAAGAAAACUAUUUCUCCAUCUCUUUUUUGAAAUUUCACAAUAAACCAGCACAUUAUGAAAGCUAUGUUCUAAUCUUAUGAUAAAUGCUCUAGACUCCAAAAGGACUUUAUAUAUGAGAGUUUGUUGCAGCAGAUAUAUUGACUUAUCAAGUAUGAAUCAUUGUCUGGAUGAACUAUCUUUAAAUAAAAGAACAUUAGAACCACUGUAGAAUAUCUUUACGCUGCUGGUUCUAACAGGAAUCUGCAUGUGGCAACAAUUGCUAGAUCCACAAUUCCCCAACUUGAAAUACAUAGUUGCACACCAUGAGAUAGUGCUACAAUCUACUGAGAUCUAACUUAUAUGAUACUUUAUGCUACUAAUGUUUGCAUAUUUUUACAUGUUAAAUUAACACUAUAAUCUAUAAUCACUCCAAAAUGACAAAUGAUAAGCAGCUUUUGGCUAGUUAUUACUAGCAUCCACAAUUAUAAAUAAGAGAUCAUGGGUUUACUUGUUGCACCUACUUAAUGAUCUGCAGUUGAGACCCUGACGCAAGGUUUAAAUAGUGACUGCUUAGAACCCUUGUAGUUGGAUCUUGACCUCUCCCAUUUUAGCCAAGAUUGGCUACUCUGGUAAUGAAUCAACACUGUCCUGCUCAGGGCCAUGAAGAUCUGGAAGCUCAGCACUAGUGGAGAACUUCACCAAUCUCUUCUUCUCAGCAUACUUGAGACAAGGCUGCAUUACGAGACCAAUCACCACAGCACCAACGAUUAAAACUGCAACUUUUAAAGUAGAAAGAGCCAACACAACACAAAUCAAUAUGGUUGGAGGAAUACAUAUGAUAAUGGCUCCAACAGUGCCAGUGGGUAUCUUGUAAGGACGAGAUAAAUAGUAGAGAAGUUUUUAAGAAGCUAGAACAGAGCAUGUUAGACUUUUGUUGACCAAAUUCAAAAGCCAAAUGGCACAGCCCAGAAGUUUUUGAAUAGAAUAACUUACUAGAAAGCUCCAUUUUUUGUUGGCUACAGUAAAAGGAUGUUGUUUUGUUCUUCUUAUACUUUACGCCUGCAUCAGCGUAAAUCACUUCUUAAACGAUUGCUUUAACUGCACCGCUUCGAGUCUGUUAAACAUUCGGUGAUAAGAUUAGUUACAACAAACCUACUAGUUUUAUAAAAUUCAAGUGAGAUGGAAUAAAAUAAAAAAUAAAUAUAAAAUUGGCUUUUAUUUUUUAUGGUUGACUGUAUUUUGUGUUCUCUUCGGGCACUACUACAAUUGUUCCCUAUAUAUCAGUUACACUCACGUAUCAUCGACACGAAAAAUGAAAUCUAAUAUCACCUGUUUAGUUAAAGAAUCACUCAUGAAAAAAAAUUACCAUUUUGAUUUGAAGAUCCAUAUUUUGAACUACCAAUUAAUGUUCAUCAAGAACAGAGUAUGGCCGUUAAGUAGAAAAACUAUUUUUGGACAAAUUAUUAAAUUCCAAUAUUGUAUCGAUAUGCAAACGAUGCCUGAAGCAUAGCCUCCAAACAAUGACCAGGGCACAAAACAAGAGUGUAGUAAUCAAGUGUAUUGUCUCAUAAUCAAUUAAAAGCAGAUAUACAGGAUACCAUAUUCAAUUCCAAAAUAACAAAAGCAUAAUGAGGAUGAGAAGAACAAUGCAAGAUUUGUUGUUGUUUUAGUUGCUUCUAAUAUUUUUUAUGACGCACAUCUAUUGAAUUAAGAGAUUUCUAUAAUCAGUGCCGCAGUACUGAAAAUAAACUACUUGUCAGUCAAAUAGCUGAGUAUUUCUAUGAGAAUGUCAUUAUUAAUGACCGACUUUUUCCAGAUUCUUGGACAAACAUAAGAGACUAUUGUGCUUAGUUAAAAUGAUCACUCAAAUAUGAUUUCUUCACUUUGGUUGUCAAUUAUCUAUUCAAAUUAAUCAGUGUCAUUAUCGACUUAUUUAUUUAGAAGAGCGGGUGAUAAAUAUAUUUAAUAAUGUGAACAAGAAGUUCGUUAACUUUUAUGAUCAUUUGGAAGGUCGGCGUGUCAUCACUCGUCAAACACAUUGCAUCGAUCCACCAGCAUGAACCGACAGGAUUAUGAUUGAACACAAGAUGCACAACUUAUGAUUGAACCCAGAAACAAUCAAAUCUUUAGCAAGAACAAUUAAUCAGAGUCAAGAAACAAGUUUAAUGAAUAUAAACCUAUAAUUGAAAAUUUGAAACAAACAUAGCCAAGAAAAAAAUACAGAUUUUACACGGUUCAGUUGUACCUAGGAUGGCACAACCUACACCACGAGAGAAGCUUUCUGGUGAGAUUUUAUUGAUGAUCAAAGAAGAAUCUUUUGCCAAAGCUAAUAAUAGAGAUUUCAGAGAAUAAGCUAUUACCCUCUCUCCCUCUUCAAUCUCUCUCUAUUUUGUUCCCAUUGAUGACCCCAAUCUGCUUAGUUAUCCAGCUUUAUAGCUGCAUCAGUAACAAACCAGCAAACCCAGAUUGAGCAGAUUGACGACACGUGGAUAACGGCUUUAACGAACCUGGUUAAGAACUGCUCACAUGUUCGUCACGCGUGCUGCUUAAAUGAUGGCCAAAACGACUUCAAACAAAUGUCGUUUUGAGGCUUAUGAAUUACAAGUGAUAACACGAGCUUGUCUCAUGACUUUUAAAUGCAACAACGUGCCCACAACGCCGUCGUUUUACUCUGUUGAGUUUGAUUCAUUACUAAGCUUUACGACUGGCAAUGGAGAAGAUGAUAAUUUAAUUGACACGGACAGUUUUUAUAUCACUUUUACAACAUCCUAUGCAAUUGUAAUAUUGGGAAUUAUUGAUGUUUUAUUCUGUGAAUCCUCAUUAGCAAAAACUAGUGGUUUUAUCUUUGUUGAAAUAUAGAUGACCUCUCGUUACUGUUUUAUUAUAAACAUAUAGUUUCGUAAGUGAAACUAUAUGUUUAUAAUAAAAUUAACAUAUAGUUUCGUUACAUUUCUGCCUCAUUAAGAUUCUCAAAUACCAGUCAGGUUUGCUUAAGAAAUAAAAUUUUUCCAUUAAAAUUGCAGUAGUAUUUCCAAGCAUAUCGCAUUUUCUAUGAUUUUUCAUAAAUUAAUUAAUCUGCGGUGCCAAUAUCAGAUUUAGUUUUUCAAACUAAAUAAUCAAGAAAGCAAACAUACAAAUAUACAGUUUAGAGGGGUAAACUAGGUAGGUGGCUUAGAUUUUAGAACUAAGCCAGCUACCUCACUAAAUUCCGAUUCGUACAGUGAACUGCAAGAAAUUGAGAAAACAAUGUAUUUAUAAUUUAAUAGAAUCAUAAGAAAACAAUGUAGUCAUUGCUCAAUAUAAGAUGAUGAUUUCGGAGAGGCACAUUGUUUUCAAGUUAAUUUGAACCGUUUAUAAGAGAUGAAGUGGAAUGAAGUUGAAAGUUUAAAUAACAAAUCCUUGUUCUUGAGUUUUACGACGUCGUUACUCCUUCAAGUGGCAGAUUAUGCAAGUGAAUGCAGAAACACAAUGCAUCAUCCGCGGGGAUGAUACUUCAAAAGGCGGGAUUUGUUUAUGCCUGCAGAUUAGCAAUUUCACUCAUAUAGAAAAUUAUUUUUUUAUAUAUACUAAUCAACACUAAAUUGAUUAUGUGUUGUAUGUUUAUAUGCUAAUCAACACGAAAUUAUUUUGAAUUAUUAACAUUAAUAUUCCUAAUAAAAAUUAUUUUCCAUCAGUAUUCAAAAUUUUCACUUAUAGAAAAUGCAUUUUACGUGAAUACUAGCUAUGUAUUUGGUGUAUUGUUAUACUAUGUAAGACUCAGCUAAAAUCAAACCGUCCCUUAACCUGUUUCUCAUAAGCAUGGCAGAAUUUAAUAAUUUUAUUUGUCAAAAGAAUAAGAUAUUGGCUUCAGGAAAUUUAAAACAACUUUUAUUUACUCUAUCAAUUAAUUAAUGUUAUUUUGUUUUGAAAAAUUCAAUAAUUAAAUUCUCACGUUUCAUAUGUUUGAAGUUAAAUUAUUCAUUAACUUGAACUCUGUUCAAAAUUGGCCAUCUUGUGGUUCCCAAAUGUAGUUAUAAUAUUGAAUGAAAGUAAAAACUUUCUAUGCGAGUUUAAAUCUAAAUCUGAACAAUUUUGACUUUCUCAAUGCUAUCCUAAUUAUAAAAAAUAUAUUAUUUCAUUUAUUGUUAUAGUUACUAGUCUUUGAAAAUGGAUGGAUUUAUUGUUUCCGUGACCAAAUUAUGCCUGCCUAAGGCUGCAACUAUUAAUAAAUCUAAUAUUUAAUGCACAUGUUAAAAGAUUUAAAAUUUUAUGCAUUUAUUAAUUGUUAUACUCGAAAAGAUUAAUUAGUUCAGGUCAAUCUGAGUUGGUGCAUCUGCAGGAGCCUUUUUUUCCCCCUCGUUGACCAUAAUAAUAAUAAUAAUGGAUAAAAAUGACAUCUCUUUCAACACGACUAGGAGCGUGUAAAAACAUGGAAACAGAAUUUCCACAAAAUGCCAAAUGUGUGGAGCUUAAUUUUUGGGCUGUAGACCAAUACAAAUGAAAGAAAAAAGGAAAAGAAGCCCAAAGACUUCUGUAGAACGUGAUCUAUCUUCUAAUAAUAAUAAUAAUGGGUUUUCAAAAUUAAAAAAAAAAAAAAAAAAACAAAGACGCCUCUUAUUAAACACGGAUACUCUUAGUUCUAUCCACUUCUCAUCUCACAAUCUCUCUCAAUUAUCCUUUAUUGAUAGCUCAAAGCGAGUUGCUGUGGAAAACUGUAGCAAAAUGAAAAAUUGGAAAGAAAGGGAUGAAAAUCAAUGCAUGAAAGACUUGGAGAAAACAACCAAAUAAGUCAACUCCUCUUUAAUGAGAGCAUAUUACAAAAAGGCCUCGAUCAUCAUAUCGUAGACUCGGGGAUAAGGAUUGGAUCGAGUUUUUGUUUUGAUAUUGAAGGACCUGUGUUCCUGUCGCGAUGUAGAAUAUGUGCAAGGAGUUGUCUACUGCUCUUUAGGUCAUAAUAAUGCGAUUGUCGUUGCCCUGAAACAGUGGAAAAUACUUCCAUAUCCUCCGGAUGACAACUGAUUUAUAUCUGAUUUCCUAAUUGACUCAGGAUCAGCUGACAACAACAACUUAUUAAUAGUUAUAUCAAAACGGCAGAAGACGUACAUUGUUUAUAGGUUUGAUCCAUUUGGAAUGAAGUGGUCUCAAGUCGAAAGUAAUUUGUUAUUACAACUAGGAUGUACUAGAACUUAGAUCAAAACUUUAAUUUACUGUAAAAAGAAUAUGCUUAGCAAUUCAAGACCAUGUGGUUACCAAAAGCUAUGAGUCAUAUAACAGUUGAUAAAUUAGUUAAUUAAUAAUUGCCGGUCAAUCUUGUCACAUCUCUGCACGUGGCAGAAUCUUGUUCAUUCGCUUGUCACUUCAGAUUCUGUUGAAGACAUAGUUUGAAACGUUGGGAUGUAGGUGUACGCCGUAUGAUUAUUAUUACAUGCCGGCAAAGAAUUCUAUUUUUAUUAUUAACUAAUUAAUCAACUGGAAAUUAAGCUGUAUGUGAAAAAACAUUAACUUGUGGACUCAGCUGCUUACUUAUCUAACACGCUGACUGUGCAUGCAUAACGGCAUUGGGGUUUCCGAAGAAUUUAUAUUUCAGACACAAAAAAAAUCUUACUUAUAUGAAUCCUUUCAACAAACUGAGACAGAUCAUAUUUUACACCCACAGAUUUCAUAAUUUUGUCAUUGGAGUGUUUGCCUAACGACGACUUGAGAAAUUCUGAAUUCAGCCUCCUCCACCAAGGGAUUUCGAUUGAUGUUAAUUUUACUAUUGGAGUUAAUUUGUGAUCAACCUUUCAAAUCUUGUGCCAUUUAAGGAAUAUGAUAAUUGAUCACUAGAAAGAAACCUAUCAAGCUAUAUUUUAUGAUGUUAAUUAACAUGUAAUUAAGCAUUUGUUAUUAUAGAACUGGUUCAUAGCAUGAAAGUGAAAUAAAUUUAACUAAAUGAUUGAUUAAUCAAUUCAUUUUCAUGAGCUUUAACAGAGUUAAAACCAAGCACAAACAUCGUUAUCAAAUACUGAAAUUGGCUAAAUUAAAAAAAAAAAUUCUAAUUCAUGUAAUAUGUACUUCUCACAUCUAAAGCAUUACCUCACAAGGUUUAAUGAGAAACGAAAGACGAGUCUUUGCUUUGAACAAUUAAAGUUGCUGCUACCAACCUCGGCAAAGAUCAAGAAGACAGAACAGGAAGCUAAUGCCAUCAAUGUCUUCUUCAUUAUAGCUGCUGCGUAGUUAGGUGUAGUUUCCUCAUUUGAAGCUGUCUAUGCACAGGCUUUUCCCCAGGUAGUGUACAAAUAAAUGAACAGCCUUGAAGCUUUAUUAUUCUUAAAGCUUUAGUGUUCGCAGCAAAAAGGAAUACUAAUUGGAGAAGACUUUACAGAGUUUCACUCACACUCUCUCUCUCUCAAUUUCAUCAAAAAGUCCCUCCGAAAGUAUCUCCCAAAAUAGUUAGAGCAUCUCCAAAAGACUCUAUAAAUUUUACUCUUCAAAUAUUUAUUUGCUUACCUAUGUGGCAAAUAGAAGAGUAAAAAAAUAUAUUAUUCUCCAAAAGACUCUUCAAAUAUAAAUGAGUUAAUAUUAUUUUAAUUAAAUAACUAUUUUUUUAAUGGAAAAGUCAAUAGUAAUUAAAACACCUCUCUCUCUUUCUCCAAUAAAAAGUAAUAAAAUAUAAAUUGAAGAGGGAGAAAGCAACUCUCCAAAUUUGAAGAGAGAAAAUCACUUCUUAUUUGAAAAAUCUUAAUUGGAGUAUCUUUUGGAACUUUAAAUAUUGAUGCGACUCUUCAAAUAAGUAAUAAAAUUUUAUUUGAAAAGUCUUUUGGUAAUGCUCUUAGUCUUCUUUUAUACUCUGUUUUUUGGAAACGGAGUCCUAAGUAACUUAACUGACUGUACUGAGUAUGUCAACAUAACAUAUUUAACCGUUUUAACAGUAAUUUGAACCGUCUUCAGAGUUAUCAUCAACAAGCUCAUUCAUAUUGUCUCUACACUUCGUAUUUGUCUCUACACUUAGAAAGCUAAGCAACAUGUUUUGUAUAUAGCUUUCCUAUGUUGUGCAACAUACUAAAACGAGAGCACCAUCUCCAGUGUUAAAAGUAGCCACUUUAUAACAUUCAUUUAGAAAAUAUGUUUAGAAUAGUUUUAUAAUCAUGCAUAAGAAGCCCAGAUGCACUUGCUAGCCUAUUUUGUUGGAAAAAUUUUCAAAAUAAAUGGUGUCUUGUUGUAAAGACAUGUCUAAACAAAUGGUGUCUUAUUGUAAAGAGAUGUCCAAUUAAUGGUACCUUAUAGAAAAUGUAUAUUUUCACUUGAGGAUAUAAUUUUUCAUGGUGACAUUCCACUUGAAAUGCAUCAUUUUAUGGUGACAUUUCAUUUGAAAUGAUGAUGGUUCAAUUUGAACAAUUGAUUAAAAUUAAAUUCUGAUCCAAAGGCCAUGAAUAAAGGGGUAUCAUAAAAAAUGACAACCCAAAUGGAAGGGCACAAGUAUGUCUAUAAAGAAAGGUCAUGUUUAAGCCAUUUAGACAUGCAAAUAAUGAUCCUACACCACUCUUUUCUUAACCCUCUUUCCAAAAAUGAAUUUCAUCAUAUAACACAUACUUUUUGUACUUUAAAAAUCCAAUAUAUUGUUUUCUGCAGGAACAAUAUAUUGUUUCUUAGCAGGCUUGCAACAUUCAAGAGUAUUCUGAUUUACUUUCGUCGAUGCACAAUGCAAGCAAACAAAUAACUACUUCAUUGUAUCCUGGAGGCAUAUUUGCUUAACCCAUGUGCAUCACUUAAUUGGUGGGGGCAAAUAACGUCUUAAGGAAAGCGACAUUUGUAACGUGCCUUGAAGAACACAUUAAUUUUCUACAGUUUACCUAUAACUAUUAUUUUCUUUCGACAUACAGAGUUGUAAACACAUUACUUUACACAAUAAAAUUCUACAAUUAUUACUGUGAUUCUCAAUAUUUUCCAUUCCCCACCAACAUAUAUUACUCUGAACAAGAACAAUUAUGGCGUUAUCAUCAUCUUCUUCACUUGCAACAUUAACACCAAAUUCAAGAUAGACUCAGACAUUUCAUCAAGAAAGGCAUACGUCCAAUAAAGUUGAAGCUUGAUAAAAAAUUCAGUGGAAGGUCAAUGCCUCGCCACAACAAAGGACCUAACAAUAUCAUUCUAGCAAAGAUGAAGCAAUAUUCCUAAAGCUAAAGCUCUCAAAUUCACCACACCAGAAUUUAAUAUCUCAUCAAUUUUAAAAACUAAAGAUAAUUAGGAUUUAACAUUAGGUUGUUAUAUAUUAGUUUCAUAAUUUACAAGUCAACAAAGAUAUAGAUUAUGCAAUUGAAUUCAAAUCAUGCUGGAUGUUACUAAAAAUUUACAAGUCAAUCCCAUAUAUUUCAUAAUUUUAUGACUGGAAAGUUUCAUUGGUUUAAAUUUUUAUUACCUUCAAGUGGAAGAUGAAGAUGAACAUUAUGCAAGUGAUUCAGAUUAUAUCAUACACUCUCCAAAUGCAACUAGAAAUUAACAAGUUGAUGCCCAUAGAUUUCAUAACUUUAUGAUUGGAAAGUUUCAAAAAGUUUGAAACUUGAGAAAUUCUGAAUUUAACCUCCACGAAGCUAUUUUGAUUGAUUUGACUCACUUUGUGAUCAAACUAAAAAUACAACAUGCAAUUCAAGGUAGGAGUAAACUAAAACUAGGAAGAAAUAGUGGUAAAAAUUUGUUGUUAAAUUGAAAGCACAACAAAGAUAAGAACCUAUAAAAAGUACACGCAUAUAAAGUAUCCAUAAAAUUACUACAUUCUACAAAGGAUUAUAAAUUAUUCUCUCACUUGUACUCCCUCUAAAUUCCAUGAGGAAUCUGUUUAUCUUAUAGAAAUUGGUUUAGUCAGCAACAAGCACUAUAAUUCUUGAAAUAAAUUUUUUUAAUGCAAUUUUCAAUCAUUUUCCAAAAUACAAUUAAAUUGGAGCCAAGAUUAGGUUUAGCUUUCACACAAAAUAACCAAGCAAACAUAAAAAAACUCACAAUUUAGAGGGGUAAACUGAGUGGUCUAGAAUUGAGCUAGCAGCCUUACUAUAUCCUGAUUUGGACUUCAAUGUAAUAAGGAAUAUGACAGGGUUAGGAAAAGAGAAAAUCAACCAUCAUUGCAGUUGUUAUUUGUUGACUCAUUACUUUUCAAUCAAAACUUUAAGAACAAAAUGCCAUGAGCUUUGAAUAUCAAAUAAGUAUAAAUAUUAGUUCUAAAUUCCACAUAUAAAGUUGUUAGAAAGAUAAAUUAAUUGCGGAGUCGAAAAAUCUAUAUGCUGUUGUUUGAACUAGCAAAGGAGAAAGUACCUGGCGAACCACAACAUAAUCAUCAACUGAUAGACUUAACUCCCCAUCUGCUUGAGCAUCAAAUGGAUAUAUAACCUACAAGAUAAUAGGAUAAAUAAAACUUAAUAUUAAAAAAAAUUAAUAAAAGCAGAGCAAUAGUAGCAGCAUCUAUUAACAACUAUGAUCAUGACAAAUAAGGAUAUACUAGAAACAAAAUUCUAUUUCUACUAGGAAAAGAAUACCUUCUAGAUGAUAUCCAGGACUACUGGACUACCAACAGUUAUUAGACUCCCAUAUAUGAGUUUUGUAUGACUUAAUGUAGUUGUUUAAAUUAUAGAUGGGAACAUAAUUCUCAAAAUUUGACUGUUUUCCACAAAGCAUAGCCUAUGUAACAAGAAGGCCAUAGAUGUUAACAUAUAUGUUUCCAUAAUGUUGAUUUUGAUGAUAACAAACAAGAUUAAGAAUUAUUGAUCUUUCAAGCUCAAAUUAUUUAAUAUUCUUUUUAAAUAAAUCAUUAUUUUCACAUUAUAAAUGUUUUAUAUUUAAUAAUGAUUUUAUGAAAUUGAUUGUUUUUAUUCUUUUUAAAUAAAUCAUUAUUUUCACAUUAUAAAUGUUUCAUAUUUAAUGGAAAAAUGAUUUUAUGAAAUUGGUUGUUUUUCAAAGUUUAUAGUUUAAUUGAAAGAAUUUUGAAAACUUUGAAAUAAACAAGUAUUGCUUGAAAUUUCGGAUUUGGACCUAUUUGAAACUAUUUAAAUAUUCUUGGGCCAUUCUAUAAUUUCACAAAGUUUGGGUGAAGUCAUAAUUUCAGAAAGUUGUGGGAUUGACAAAGCAUUAUUCUAAAAUUCUGAAAUUGGACUUUUUUGUAAACUUUCAUAACAUUUUGGGCCACACUAUAGUUUUAUAAAGUUUUGGGGUCAAACUAUAAUUUUGGAAAAUAGUUUACUGUAGCAGUCACUGUAGCAAGCGGAAAUCCGAAUUCUGACAAAUGGAAGUCCGGAUUUUAGGCAGAAUCUAUCCGAAUUAAAAGCGGAAAUCCAGAUCCUGACAAACGAAAAUCCAGUUGUUGGGCAGUAAGCUACUGAGCGUAAGUGGAAAUUCAGAUGUGACAAAGCGGAAGUCCGGAUGUUCAGAAAUUCAAAUUUGUGGCUGUAACGGUAACAUUAAGCAAAAUUCCGGAUAUCCAUAACCGGUAAUCCGGUUACGACCAAAAUGUGCAUAACGGCUAGUUUUUUAGCUCAAACUAUAUAAACUCAAAACCAAUUCAUUUUUGGUUAAUCCAAGCAAGCAAGAACAAGUGCACACAACAUAUAUUGAGCUUCAAAUUCGUAACUCAUCAUUCAUUCAAUUAUCUUUGUUCUUCAAUUUGUAUAUCCAUUCUUAAAGAGAGUUUCAUUGUUGUGAUUUUCAUUUCUCAUCAAUUUGUGAGUGCACAAGUGUGGGAAACACUUAGGGUGAAGAGAUUGGGGAUAUAAUCUCUUGUUGUAAAGGUUCAUUGACACCUUAGAAGUCAAUUGUAAACAUUUGAAGCCUUGGGAGGCUUGGAUAGUGAAAUCCUCAAGCCGGGUGAGCUUGGAGGCGUGGACGUAGGCGGGGAUAGCCGAACCACGUAAAAAUCCUUGUGUUCGUUUUCUCUUCCCUUACUCUUUUAAUAUUGUGCUUGAUUGAAUUUAUUGUUUUCGAAUUUAUUAAGGCAUUAGAUUAAAUUGUUGUGUGGUUUGCCUAGGAUAAUUUUUAAAACUCCAAUUCACCCCCCCUCUUGGGUUGCACACUUAUAUUUCAUUUGGUAUUAGAGCGAGGUGCUCUUGUGUAGACUUAACCGUCUAGAGUUAAAGAUUCAUGGCAACCCAUAAUGACUCAAUCUUUAGGGAAGGACAAUUCACAAUUAGACCACCGUUCUUUGACGGUAAUGACUACCCAUAUUAGAAAACUAGGAUGAGAAUUUAUUUACAAGCACUAGAUUAUGAAAUUUGGGAAGUUGUUUGUGAUGGUCCUUUUAUGCCUUUAACUAAAAAUGAAGUCGAGGAAGAUAUUCCAAAACCUUCACGGGAAUGGAAUGAAUUGGAAAAGAGAAAAGCUACUCUAAAUUCCAAAGCUAUGAAUGCCUUGUUUUGUGCACUAGAUAAGAAAGAAUUUCAUAGAGUAUCUAGUCGUGAGAGUGCUAAUGAAAUUUGGCAUAAACUUGAAGUUGUUUAUGAAGGCACAAAUCAAGUGAAAGAGUCUAAAAUUAGUAGGUACACUCGGCAAUAUGAAUUGUUCCAAAUGGAACAAAAUGAGAGAGUGUAUUCUAUGUAUACUAGAUUUACGGACAUAGUGAACACUCUAGGAGCCCUAGGAAAGACUUUUUCAAAUAGCGAGAAGGUUAAGAAAAUUAUUAGAUCACUACCUAAUGAAUGGAGACCAAAAAGGAUUGCCAUUGAGGAAGCCAAGGAUUUAAAUAUCUUACCUAUUGAUGAUUUAAUUGGUUCUCUUAUUUCUUAUGAGGAAGACUUGGCAGCCGAAAGAGGCAAUGAGGAGAAGAAGAAAAACAUUGCUCUCAAAACCUCGAAACAGGAGAGUGAUGAGGAAAGCGAGCUGGAUGAGGAGGAGAUGGAUAUGCUGGCUAGGAGGUUCAGAAAACUUUUUAAGAAAUCCGAUGAGCGAAGAAAACUUAGAGACCUCAAGAACCGAAAGGAAAAGAAGGAAUUAAUCAAAUGUUAUGAGUGCAAGAAGCUUGGCCAUAUAAAAAUGGAAUGUCCUCUUCUCAACAAGCUCAAGAAGAAAGCAAUGGUAGCCACAUGGGAUGAUAGCGAUGAGGAAACAAGUGAUGAUGAAGAGCAUCAAGAAAUGAAAAAUCUAGCUCUCAUGGCAAUUGGAGAUGAAUCGGAUGAUGAACUUGAUGAGGUAAAUGAUCUUUUUACUUAUGAUGAAUUAUAUGAUGCUUUUAAAGAAUUGCAUGAUAAUUGGAUAAAAAUUGGUAAAAAGAAUGCAUGUCUUAAAAAGAAAAUGGUAGAGCUCAAAAAUGAAAAUGAAUCUCUAUGUGCAAAGAUUACAUGCCUAGAAUUAGAGAAUAAAACAUUGCAUGAUAGAGUUGUAUUAUCAAAUGAGAAAUCUAGCACUUCACAUGAGCAUGAAAAAUCACAUGUUGAUGAAUUGAUGAAAGAAAAUGAAGUGCUUAAGAAAAAGAGUAAUGAACUCAAUGAAAUUGUAUUAAAAUUCACAAAUGGUCAAAAGAACUUAGAAAAAUUACUAAGCACUCAAAAAUGUGUGUUUGAUAAAGGAGGACUUGGGUAUAAGCCUUACUUGAAACAAAAAUAUUAUAAGAAUUAUUUUGUUAAGGCUACCUCCACAAGUGAUCAUAAAAUUGUUUGUCAUUAUUGCAAUCAAAAUGGUCAUAUGAAGAAUAGAUGUCCUAUUAAAAGAAAUGUGUAUUAUGGAGUCAAAUGUAUUUGGGUUCCGAAAGGAACUAAAUCUAACACUCAAGGACCCAAGAGUAUUUGGGUACCAAGGGAUACAACUUGAAUUUGUUUUGUAGGUACCACAAACAAGGAAUGGUGGAGAGUUCCUUGAUGAAGCUUGUGAGGAUAAUCAUUUGAGCAUGAUCUAGGAGAAAAAGAUGAGGCAAGAUGAUUUAAUUGUUUUGGUAACAAUUCUUGUCAUAUUAAUUUUGUUGAAUGAAUCAUGAUAAAUGGAAUUUGCGAAAGUAUACUUGUAUGUUUACAUGAUAGAAUUAUCAUUGUGUAUAAUAUUCAGUGAUUUAUCAUGAUGCCUUUGUUUGAUUUUGAUGAUUGUAUGGUCUUUGAUUUCAUCUUCUAAAAUGUCUAUCAUCAUUGUCCAUCUCUUAUAUAUGUGUGAAAUCAUAUGCCAUUAAUUGUGUUAUAUCAUCAUUCUUUUAUAAAAUUGACAUCAUUGUUUGAUAUGACGUCAUAUGUUUGGUCUUGUAUGCAUAUAUGUUUCAUGCAUUAAAUGGCUUAUUGAAAAGUUUUAAAUCUCAAAAUGAUUUAAAAUUAAUCAAUCUUUAAAGCCAAAAAUAAAAUGGUGUGUGUAAUACUAGUAUAAGAGCUUGCCAAAAAUCAAUUAGAGCCAAAUAGAUUUCCAAUGACUAAACCGGUUUAUCACUUUCUCUAAUCCGGAAAAUGCUCUCUUAUUGAUUACUCUCGGGUCAACAUUCGGAUAACCGGAUUUGCAAUCCGGAAGACCGGAUUUGCUAAGCCUCCUCUAUGCCUCAAAACCGGAUAACCAGUGCUUAAAAUCCGGAAAACCGAAUUCAAGAGGCAACUUUUUGCCUCAAACCGGACUACCGGUUAUCAAAACCGGAAAGCCGGUUUCGCGUCGAACCUUGCUGGAGAAAACCGGAUUUCCGGUUCAUCUCAUCCGGCAAGCCGGUUUCGGGUUUCAAGCUUCUGGUCACAACCGGAAUUCCGGUUAGUGCAAACCGGAAAUCCGGUUUCGGAAGCUAUUUCAACUGUUCUUCUUCCAUCUUCAAACAGAAAUCCGGUUCUCUCACUCUCUCUAAAAACCGUUUGCUUCUCUCUCUUUCUCACUUGAUUUCAUUCCAAAAUCCAUCAUUCUCAUUUGUUUUUCAAUCCAAAUUGAUUCAUAUAAAUUAUUCCCCAUCCAUUCUUGUGUCUAAAAUCUUUUUAAUUGAUUAAAACUUACUCAAUUUUACUCAAUAUCUUAAAAAAAUUCGAAUUUAUGCAUUUUGAGUAUUUCAAAUUACCACUUCCAUAGUGUGCUUUCCUUAUGGAUUUUACCGUAGUUUUCUAUUAUAUUAUGUACUUACAUUUUCAUAUGCAUUGUUGCUUUCAUUGUGGAUUGAUGAUGAUUAUUGUUUGAUAUUUGGAUGUUUUAUAUUUGGAUAAUGUGGAACUAAUGUGCUUAUCUUGACUUUUUGAUGAUCAAGAGGGAGAUAUGAGAUGUAAGGGAGAAAUACAUCUACUUUGAGAAUCUUAAGCAUAUGAGAUUUUUUUUAAGUUAUAUUAAAAUGUCACAUUAAGAUCUUUGAUGAGCUUAGUUGUCUUGAUUUCUAAAAUGUGAUUAGUAAUUAUAUGACUUUUGAAUUGUUGACAUUAUGCUCUUAUGACUUUUGCAUUCCCUUGCUUAGCUUAUUACUUGUUCUAUUUUGGAUAAUAUGCUUUUUGAACAUUUUUUAUUGUCCAAAGGGGGAGACAAAGUAAUAAAUCAUUUUAAUGAUAUAAAUUGGGGGAAAUAAUAUGCAUUUUGAGCAUUCUUUUAAUAGUUGAUAAAUGAUUAUGGAAUCCUCGGAUUUAAUUGUUACAAGUGUUUGAGGAAUUCAUAUUGAUUUUGAUGAUUAAUGAUUAUAUGUGCAUUGCUUGAUGAAUGGAUGGAGUUAUUGAUUUGUUAUAAUUGUUUAAGCUUAUAUGGAAGUAUUUUUAACCAUGUUGUGUAUUUGAGGAUUUGUUCAUUUUUAAGGGGAGACUUUACCGAAAUUUUUGCUCAUACAAAAUUGGUAAUAUCUUUAUCAACUUAUUUUUUAUGCUCUUGUUUCGAUUGCAUCUAUCUAUUUUUUAUGAAAGGGGAGAUAAAUAUGAUAUGUUUUUGGAUAAAAUCGUUUUGGUUAAAAUUUUUAAUUGGCCAUAUAUUUAGGGGGAGCAUAUAAUAUGAUUUUGGAUAAUAUGCAUUUUGAAUUUUUUUAUUGUCCAAAAGGGGAGACAAAAUAAUAUAUCAUUUCGAUGUUGUCAAAAGGGGGAGAAUAACAUGCACUUUGAAUAUUCUUUUGAUGAUUAAUAUGUGCUUAUGGUGAUGAUUUUAAGAUAUGAUGAUGAUUUGAUUACAUUGUUUUAUAUGAUAUUUUGGAAGUGAUAUCACUAAUCUUGUAUUUGAGGUGAUGCUUGUUGUUAGGGGGAGAUUCUUUCAAAAUUUCCACUUGGACAACAUGGGUAACAAAUUUGCUAUUUUUAUUCUUUUCCUUUAAGUUUUCUUUUUUUAUGAUGAAGGGGGAAAAGAAUACAUGCUUUUAAAUUUAUAAAAAUUUACUACUCUUUUUCUUUGCCAAUUAAGUUUUCUUUUUGAUGAUGAGGGGGAGAAAAAUCCAUGUAUUUAAAUCAUUAAUUUAGCUAAUUGGCAAAUUGUAAAAGAAUAUUAUAUUUAGGGAAGCAAUUUGUGGAAUCAUUCUUUAAAUACAUGAAAUGUUUGUCAUCAUCAAAAAGGGGGAGAUUGUUAACAUAUAUGUUUCCAUAAUGUUGAUUUUGAUGAUAACAAACAAGAUUAAGAAUUAUUGAUCUUUCAAGCUCAAAUUAUUUAAUAUUUUUUUAAAUAAAUCAUUAUUUUCACAUUAUAAAUGUUUUAUAUUUAAUAAUGAUUUUACGAAAUUGAUUGUUUUUAUUCUUUUUAAAUAAAUCAUUAUUUUCACAUCAUAAAUGUUUCAUAUUUAAUGGAAAAAUGAUUUUAUGAAAUUGGUUGUUUUUCAAAGUUUAUAGUUUAAUUGAAAGAAUUUUGAAAACUUUGAAAUAAACAAGUAUUACUUGAAAUUUCGGAUUUGGACCUAUUUGAAAUUAUUUAAAUAUUUUUGGGCCAUUCUGUAAUUUCAUAAAGUUUGGGCAAAGUCAUAAUUUCAGAAAGUUGUGGGAUUGACAAAGCAUUAUUCUAAAAUUCUGAAAUUGGACCUUUUUGUAAACUUUCAUAACGCUUUGGGCCACACUAUAGUUUUAUAAAGUUUUGGGGUCAAACUAUAAUUUUAGAAAAUAGUUUACUGUAGCAGUCACUGUAGCAAGCGGAAAUCCGGAUUCUGACAAACGGAAGUCCGGAUUUUAGGCAGAAUCUAUCCGAAUUAAAAGCGGAAAUCCGGAUCCUGACAAACGGAAAUCUGGUUGUUGGCAGUAAGCUACUGAGCGUAAGCGGAAAUUCGGAUGUGACAAAGCGGAAGUCCGGAUGUUCAGAAAUUCAAAUUUGUGGCUGUAACGGUAACAUUAAGCGGAAUUCCAGAUGUCCAUAACCGGUAAUCCGGUUAUGACCAAAAUGUGCAUAACGGCUAGUUUUUUAGCUCAAACUUUCAUUGUUGUGAUUUUCGUUUCUCAUCAAUUUGUGAGUGUACAAGUGUGGGAAACACUUAGGGUGAAGAGAUUGGGGAUAUAAUCUCUUGUUGUAAAGGUUCAUUGACACCUUAGAAGUCAAUUGUAAACAUUUGAAGCCUUGGGAGGCUUGGAUAGUGAAAUCCUCAAGCCGGGUGAGCUUGGAGGCGUGGACAUAGGCGGGGAUAGCCGAACCACGUAAAAAUCCUUGUGUUCGUUUUCUCUUCCCUUACUCUUUUAAUAUUGUGCUUGAUUGAAUUUAUUGUUUUCGAAUUUAUUAAGGCAUUAGAUUAAAUUGUUGUGUGGUUUGCCUAGGAUAAUUUUUAAAACUCCAAUUCACCCCCCCUCUUGGGUUGCACACUUAUAUUUCAAUAGAUAAUUAGGGUUACAAGUGUCCGUCAUCUUUCGAGUAAUGGAUUUAAUAUGACAGCUUAUGGUCAGUCAAGUUCCCCUACCUAACAAGAUAAGCUUUCUGGGCUAGAUUUCUCAUAAAAUGCAUUGAUUGCCCCGAGGUCACAUCACUCGUAUCUAUAUGAACAUAGUUAUUUUAGGUAAACAAAGCAAAGAGAAUCAUAAUUCAACCACAAUCAUAAAAAAAGGCCAAACCAACUUAAGAGAAAAUCUUAAGAGGGAUCAUAUGUUGAGCUAUUAGCCUCAUAUCUAUAAGCAAUAUCAAGACUUUAGAUCACCUUCGAGGGAUGGCAAAUAUCCAAUUACGUGUCCAAGGCCUUUUGUUCUUUUUGGCAUCUGUUGUUUUGGCACAAAUAUUUUUGGCUCUUAAAAAGAAACAGUUUGAGAAAGUUCAAUUGUCCGAAAUGAAUUUCUAGAUCCGCGGAUUUAUCGACAUCAAGUUUGUAAAAAGAAUCCAAUUUUUCUUGGCAAUUAUAAUUAUAUUAUGUAGGAGCACAAAACUUACGAAAAGCCUUUUGAUUAUUUCAAUUCUGUUUCUACCGGAUGUCGGGAAUUUCUUGUACUGCAUUCCUAAAGCACAGUAUAUAUAUUGUGAAGAAGACUAUUGAACUUUCCCCCUUCUUUGUUUUUUCAAUACAAACUGGAGAAUGUCACUAUUACCAUAUUUAAAUAUCAUAGAAUGUGUCAAUAGUUUUCGAUUCUAUUAGACUAGAAUCAAAUUCGGCCUAUUUCCAAUUCUUUUUGCCUGAGAGCUUGUUUGUGCGAGCUCAUGUCCGUAUUUCCGUACUUUCAUCUCAUUCCCUUCCUCUAUAUGCUCUUCUCUUUCCUUUCCUUUCUAAGCGGGGGUUGGAAGCGACUCUCGUACAUUCGCUUUCCUCUGGCAGCACGAUGCCAAUUCCACCUCAGAGCCAGAAAAGAGUGGUGGUUCCUUACCGUUACAGAAGAAAUGAAUUGCGCGGGGACGAAGGCCCUUAGGCCAGAGUCCAUGGGGAGAUCCAUGGAUAUUUUAUUUUUAUUAUAUAAAAAUAAUAAUAUAAAAUAGUUAAAAUUUCAAUAUUAAAUUUGGUUAUUAAACUAUUUAUAUUAGUAAUAAUAUAUAUAUAUAUAUAUAUAUAUAUAUAUAAAAUAAAAUGGCGGUCCGGUGGUCGGUGGCGGCGGUCCAGCAACUUUCCGGUGAAUUCCGGCGGAGCUCCGGCGACCUUCCGGCGAUGUCUGCGGUGGUCCGGCGAUCUUUCGGCGAGGUCCGGGGAUGUCCGGCGGUGGUCCGGCGAGGUCCGUCGUUAAUUCCGGCGGAGUCUGACUGUGGCCCGGCGAGGUCCGGCGGUAAUUUCGGCAAUGUCCGAUGGUGGUCCAGCGAUGUCCGGUGGUGGUCUGGCGACUUUCCGCUGGAUGUCCAUUUAUAAUAUUAAAUUAAUAAAAUAAAAUAAUAAUUAUUAAUAGUAUUAAAUAAGUUAAAAAAUUAAAGGAUAAUUUUGAAAACUUUAGUUUUUAAUAUAAGAGGAAUUUAAAAUUUCACUAGUUAAUAUAAUAUUUUUACAAUUGUUUGUUUAUUAUAUUUUUAUUUUUAAUUUUAUUAAAUUAAAAUUUUUUAAACUUGUGUUGGGUUAAACGGAUAUCCAUUGGAUAAAAAUAAUUAACCAUAUCCAUCCAUAUCCAUCUGGAUAUAAUUUUAAAAUAUCCAUUUCAAAAUCCAAAAAUUUUUGGAUAGAUAUUAUCCGAUCCAAUUGGAUGGAUAUUGUAGAUAUCUAUUAUGGAGCGAUCCAGUUGUCAUCCCUACCUACGACAUCAUAAGUGGCAACACAACUUUGGAGUGGUCAGACAAUCGAGUUAGGAUGCAUAGUCCCAAACUUCAGCAUACAACUUCUCUAAAAUAGCAAUUGUUAACAUAUAUGUAUGCAUAAUGUUGAUUUUGAUGAUAACAAAUAAGAUUAAGAAUGAUUAAGUUUUAAAAACUCAAAUUAUUUUUCAUACAUUUUAAAUAAAUCAUUAUUUUCAUAAUAUAAAGGUUUUAUACUUAAUGGAAAAAUAAUUUUAUGAAAUUGGUUAUUUUCAAUUAAUGGCCUUCAACAAAAGCUUUCCAAGUUACUGUUUGUCCUUCUUCCUAGUAUGCCCUACACAACCACUGCCACCACUGAUUGGCUUCUCCCUCGAGGUGAAAGGAUGCUAACACCACUCGUUGAUCUUCGGUUGUUUCCUAGUAAUCAAAAACUUGGGUUACACGAUUAAACCACUCAGUGGGAUCAUCACCUGAGUAACGUGGGAAUUCAAUCCUAGCCAAUCUUGAUGGGAACUGUUGUCGUUCCCUGCCACUCUCUUCUCUUCUAGGCCGUGAUGUUGUGCGCGGAAUGCGGAAUCAAGCGCACCAAAUAAUUAUAGAAAAAUAAAGGAAACAAGAAUUACGUGGUUCGGUAAUUAAACCUACAUCCACGGAGGCGAGAAAGAAUAAUUGUUUAUUUAACAAUUAACAGAGUACAAUAUUUGAGUAACGAAUCUUACUUGCUAGAAACCCAAAUAUACCCAGUACUCUCACACUCUGCAGGAAAGAUAAAUUCUUCAGACACACUUCUCUCACUUCUCUCAAAAGCUUAUAAACUUAUAAGCUUAACAAUUUUGGGAUGAUUCCAAAUGAAUGAAAUCCUUAGCUAUUUAUAGGAGAAAUGAAUUACUAUGCUAAGAAUAAAAUAAUAAAAAAUAUAAUUUUUAAUUAUUAUUUUUCAAUUAUUAUUAUUUUUCAACAAAUUGUUGGUGCACCAACAAUUUGUUGACUUCAACACGUGAUGAUGCUGCAUGCUCAUGAUGACUCGAUACUCCCUUAGAUGCACUAAUUGAGCCGGCCAAUUUGCUGAUCACUCUUCCAAGUGAUGCAAUUUAUUGUUAAUGCCCAUCUCCAUCCGCUGCAUGCUAUCUUGCAUACUUCCGAGCUCUACUUCGACACGUUCAAUUCGCUCCUUGUUGGUUGUCAUUGUUGAUCCUAUGCUCUGAUACCAAUGAUAAGUCCCGAUCAUAAACGUACAACAAUGGCUAAGUUUACGUUGUUCUACUUAUGGUGAGAACUACCAAGAAUAGUAAUUUGAGAUAAUUCUAUGGAUAAUCCUCUUAUUAAUUGCAGGAGCUUAUUUAUAGUAGUUAAUAAAACACUACAAAUUAUUUGUAGCCACAAUUCCCGGCUAAAAUCAAUUCAAAUAAGUAAUAUUAAAUAACAAACUAGAACCAACGAGGCAUUGGAUCAAUUGGCAACUGGUCCCCCUUAAGUGGCUCGAAUGGGUGUGAUUCUCAGUUCGUGUCGCAGAGAAGUAAUCUUUGUUAGGAGGACUCGUGCCUCCCGGUCCGAAUCCGGAUUACUCGGGACCUAAUGCGGUCUACCGAUACCGAGUGACUUCAAUAAAAAUAAAUAACAAACUAGAAACAGAAAUAGAAUCCCACUUGAUUUGAUUCUCCACUCGAUCCGCAACGUGGCUUGACGUGGUAAUUUCCUUGCCUUGCUCCAACAAACAACUACUCUUUAAUCCAUACGUAGAUAAGUCUUGCAUGAUUUUGCAUGCAACAUGCAUGACCACAUGCAUGGCUGCAUGAGAUUGAUAAAUGUUCAAACAAAGCCCUCAUAUCUGUAGUUAGGCUUAUGAACCCUUGCUGACCUCCUUGGCUCUCUAUCAAUAAACCAUCGAAGCAAUUUGCAUGCUUAUAUACUAUGAAUUCAGUGGUGGAGGCGGUGCUGUGGUGGUGCUGGUGAUCGUUCUGCUGGCGGGGGAAAAAUCAACCAGCUAUGACGAUUAUUUAUCUUCGGUGAAGAUGGUUCUAUAUUCCGUACUCUAAGGGACCUAUGUGACGCCAUCUUCAAAUUAUGAAAAUUAAUAACUUGUGAAGAUAUUUCAAUCAAAGACGACUUGGAAACAAUUUCAGUGGCUUUGGUCAUAUAAGCAUCAUGUGAAAGAAGCAGCCCAUGAAUCUAGAAGAAAAUGAGAAAAUAUGAAUUGGCAUUCAUUUUCAAGCAAUGAUGUUAUGACCUCUUUAAGCCAUGCUCUUAAUAUACAUGUCAGUGAAAUAUGUAAUUGGUUUAUUUAUCAAGAGAAGUCAUGACUAUUAUAUUUGAAUAGAAGAAUUUAUGAUUUCCCGUUAACAUUAUUAUUGAAGUGGGGUGGCUCAAAUGUCAAUUGCUUGAAGAAUUUAGUUAUUAUUAGUAGUAUUGAAGUGGGGUGGGUAACGGUUCACUCAAUUCGUGGGGGAAUCAUAUAUUACCAUCCAAGGUACAAUUGUGGAAAAUUAAAGCAAAAUGAGAAAUAUGGAAAAAAAAAUGGAAGAAAGUUAAGGCAUGAAAGACCUACAGUUGAAAUUGAUAAUCAUGUUUCUAUUUUGUUAACUAAUCAAAUGGAAAACUGAACCGUAAACAAACAUUAAAACGUGUGGACUCCGCUAGCUGCCCUACAAGUCUACAAUAAUAAUUGAGUACCUUUGAUUCAUCCUUCUAUGAUUUUCUAGCUCUAUUGACUCCAUAGACUCAACAUUAUUUAACGACACUCUGACCUUUUUUUUUUUAAAUAGCGCCACAAUAUAAUAGUCUGAUUUUAGAAUUUCAGUGUAAUCAUAGUCUGAUUUUAAGAAAAUUAUAACUUAUUUUAAAUAGCGCCACAAUAUAAUUCUAAAUAUUUAAAAGGAAAACAUUAUCCACCUGGAACGACUUCAAGUCCAAAGUAAAAGACAAGAGUGGCUCCCCGCAAAUUUCUUGUUUUCAGUAUAUUUUCUCUUUUUCUUUUUUAAAAUCUUUUGACGCAUGCAUAAUCUACCCUUGUUUUUUAUCUCUACUUUGCUCUGCUCAAGUCCCUUUUUUUCAAAUAUUAUUUUAAAUAAUAAAUUGAAUAAAAGUACAUUUGUGUAAUUAAUUAGUAUCUUGUAAUUAAUUAGUAUCUGAGGGGGCAUAUUUGGUGUAAUACUAUGUACAAACAUCGUUAACAAAUACUGAAAUUGGGUAAAUUGAAAAAAAAAAAAUCUAAUUCAAGUAAUAUGUAGUUUUUACAUGUUGAUCAGCAGGAUACAACAUUAAAUUUUGUCAUUGACAAUAUUGCAUGCCUGUCAUCUAAAGCAUUACCUCACAAGGUUUUAUGAGAAACGAAAGACUAGUGUCACAAGGUUUUACUAUUCGCAACAAAAAGGGGUUACUAAUUGGAGAAGACUUUACAGAGUUCCUCUCACACUUUCUCUCACUCAAUUUCAUCUAGAAGUCCCUCCGAAAGCAUCACCCAAAACAGUUAGUCAUCUUUUAUACUCUGUUUUCUGGAAACAGAGUCCUAACUAACUUAACUGACUGUACAGAGCACGUCAACAUAGCAUAUUUAACCAUUUUAACGGUAAUUUGAACCGUCUUCAGAGUUAUCAUCAACAAGCUCAUUCAUAUUUGUCCAAUCUUACGGACGAUAUCAUAUGCUUAACUCGACACAAUCUGGAUUCAACCUCCUCCUAUCCAACAAGGGAUUUCGAUUUGAGUUACUUUGUGCUCAAGCAAAUUCACAUCAGAGUUUUGAUUCUUUAGAUAUGAAUUCAUCACAUUAUAUAUGUCGGGUUAAGUGUAACAAAAUUUUUAAUUCAGUGCGAAAAGAAUAUGCGCUAAAAAAUGAUUUCAAGACUAUUUGAUUACCAAAAGCUGCUGUCAGAGUGCACCGAAAGUUUCUGUAGGAUGCUUUGCGGUUGUCUAUUAUGUUAUGAUGGGCAUAUAAUCCUCAAAUUUUGACUCCUCUCAGCGAAGAAUAUGUCAAAGUUUAGAUUAUGUGUUCGAGCUUUAAUAAAUGCCUGAGUUAAUAAUAAUAACAACAAUAAUAGUAAACUAAAUAACAGAAUUACUAUUGAAUGGUUGGAAAAAGAAUUGAAAACGUGUGAACUCCAAUAACCACCCCACAAAUUCAGUGCGAAUUUUGGAGAGGCAAGGCCGAGCUUCUCUGAAAAAAAAUUAUUUAGUUACAAAAUUACCUUUAUUGAAACCUAUAUAAAAAUUUUUAUAUUAAUUAGUUAUUUNNNNNNNNNNNNNNNNNNNNNNNNNNNNNNNNNNNNNNNNNNNNNNNNNNNNNNNNNNNNNNNNNNNNNNNNNNNNNNNNNNNNNNNNNNNNNNNNNNNNAGGGGAAAAAAAAAAUUCAGCUCACUCAAAAACAAAAAAAUGGUAUUAACUUCGCCACCGCACAAAUCUAGAAUAAUAAUAAUUCCUUAUCAUGCUGGGGAUCCUGUAAUUUCUCGCCGUAUUGACAGCACCAGGUAAAGCUUUGUAAAAUAAUAAGUUACUCAUUAGUGGUUUUUAGUCUUUUUAAUUCUUUUUACCGCACACCUGAUCAAGAAUUUUAUUUUGUUAACUAAUCAAUUGCAAAGCAUAUAUAAGUGUUGAACGGUACACAAGAUUGGAAAAAAAAAUCUUAAAAAACGUGCGGAUUCGGGUGGCCACACCAGAAAUCUAUUACAAUAAUUAGCUUUGAUGCUGGGAAUCUUUUAAUUUCUGGCCGUAUUGAAGUUUUUAAAAUAACAAGUUCCCCUUCUCGUUUUUUUUUUUUUAAAUAUAUAUGGUUAUAACAAUUUUAGAAUAAUGACUCAUUUGUAGAAGAAUUUAUGAUUUCCCAUUAAUAUUAAUAUUGAAGUGGGGACUGGGGUGGGUCAAAUCUCAAUUGCUUGAAGAAUUUUUUUAUUAUUAUUAAUAUUGUUAAUAUUGAAGUGGGGUGGGUAACGGACCAGCGUUUCACUCAAUUCGUGGCGAAUUAAAUAUUACCAUCCAAGGUAGAACUGUGGAAAAUUAAAGCAAAAUGACAAAUAUGGAAAGGAAGGCUGAAAGUAAGGCAUGACGAAAGGCUUUGAGAAGGCUGAAGACUACCAAAGAAGUCAACUGAAAACUAGCUGGGGCCUGAGUGUAUAAAUUGUAAAAUGUGUUUGUUAUAAAUAACAUAGAGCCCUUUUGUUAUUUAUAGUUAUAGAGAAAGAGAGAACGUGUGUUUUUUAUUAGUUAGAGAUAUAGCUAGAAUGGGUGGUUCAAAAUCCAAAAUGGUGACAAUGUUAGUUCUCAUAUUAAUAAUAUUAGGAGGGGGGGUGGAGUGAGGGAUGUUUGGAGCAUGAGGAAUUUGCUCAUUUUCGGCUUAAACAUUUCUUCAAUUCCCCUUAUAGACUUCAAAACUGGGUAGAUGAACAAAGGGAAAGGGUUUAGUGCAGCAACUCCACAGGCCGAGUGGUACAACUACACCUUAGUCUUACUAGAAAUAUCGAUCUGGGAGUGUGGUAUCUGAAUGCUUCUCUCUUUACUCCCUUUCAACAACUUGGUAACAAAAUAGUCGGCUGCAUGCGUUGAGAAUGAAGGUCCUUCAUUUAAUUUAAUUUACUUAAUUUCUCCCUCCUAAUUAAUGUAUAUAACCAUUAGGAGGAACAAGGGAUUUCAUUAACUCAAAUUUACCUCAUGGAGCUCAUUCUUUGGUUUUACUUGCAGGUCUAGAAGCAAUUGUCAUCUAACAGCUGCUUUGAUAAUUUCCCACCCCUUCAUCUUUGAUGGAAAGAUGAAAUAAAAACAAAAUGGUGAAAAUGGUAUUGGUACCUGAGGCUAUGUAAUCUAAUUCAACAACUGCACCAUCAAAACGAUUACAUAAGUCCCAGAAGAAUCAAACAUUAGUUUGCAAAAUAUCAAUUGCUGGAGGUUUGAUUCUAACUUCUGCUCUUCAUUUUUAUGGGCAUAUUGUGUUGUACUUGCAUCCAAAAAUCAUAUUUUAGUUUACUUACACUCAACGCUUGGAUUAAAGUUUUAGGGGGGGGGGGGAUUGAAGAAGACUAAAAUGACACAAAAAAAGAGUUGAGCGAGUGCGGGUUUUGUCUUCAUUUAAGGAGCUCUUUGUAAAUUUUAGGAUUUUUUUCCUAAGAAAAUUUAUGCCAACUCAUUCUUUGCUUCUUUUCAGAACGGACAGAUGCAACCGAAAGUAUAUUCUUGAAUUCUCUAGGAUGAGAGACAUACGUUUAGAUUCUCGAGCCUUUGAAACAAUAUCAAAUUUUAGAUUGUUGAAAUUUUAUAUAUCUGAGUAUGAUGGUGUUCCAAUUAUAAGCUCCAGGGUGCAACUUCACUAAGGUUUAGAAUACCUUCCUAUAGAAUUGAGAAAUCUUCAUUGGCAUAAAUAUCCUUUGAAAAUAUUGCCAUCAGAUUUUGAAUUGGAGAACCUGAUUGAACGGAGCUUGCCUUGUAGUAAGGUUAAGCAAAUUUGGAAAAGAGAAAAGGUAUAAUGUAUUGCUAUUACCAAAGUAUCUAUUUUUCUUGCUUUAAGUAUUUAUAAUGAAUAACUUUGAAAUUGAAUGAUGCUCAUUUAGUAUAGUUAUGUAUCUUUGGUUAUAGGAAGCUGUCAAGUUAAAAUCUAUAGAUCUUCACCACCCCCUGUAUCUCAAUAGGAUCCCAAAAAUACUAAAUCUUAAAAAAAUAAAUCUUUCAAAAUGUGAAAGCAUGCUUACGUUACCCGCGUAUAUCCACAAGUUCAACUAGCUCAGUAUGUUGUGUUUCAUGGGAUGCAAAAUUCAUUUUGCUUCUCAUGAAAUGAUUGACUUGUCCGGAUGUAUUAGGGUUAAUAAACCAACUAAUCCCAUAAUUUGUUGAUGUAGGGUCCUAACAAAUUAUUGCAGUAGAUUGUAGAUUAAUACACUAUUCGAAAACGUAUUUGAUCCACACAGUGAAUGUUUGAGGGUGCAUUUCUCGCCAACUAGCCAUACCCUAAACGAGGAGCCGGUCUCCUUGUAAUUGAGCAGACAUGUGAAGUCUGGUAGCAAAUAUCCAAGAGUAGGAAUUCUCUGCUCAAUCACAAGGACAUCCUCUUUUGGACUAUAAUUCGAACAAGGUUCCUGCUAGGAGCCGAGAGCCUUUCCUGCUGAAGAUCGGGGUCGGCAAACCUAGUCUAUAAUGGUUAGCGAGACGUGUACUCCUAUUCAAGAAUCUAGGCACGAAACCCACUCAGUCGCAACUACGACAUUCAGGCAUCCACUUCCGUGAGCUGAGGAAGGUGAUGGACGUGGAUCGUGGGGCACCGGAUUCGUAGGAAUGCUAUAAAACGGUAAUCAACGAAGGUAAAUGGGUUAGACACUUUUACACUAGAACUUAAGAAAUAAGAGCAUUUACUAAAAAAAGGAGAGAAACACUCAUAGGUGUUCCACUGCCUAAGAGAUCAUGAGAGAGCCACGAGAUCAGUGGCCGAGUUUCCCAAAAAGUAAACCUAAAUUUCUGAUUUGAGCGUAGGAGGGUUUCUCCGGCGUGCUCUGACCAUUUUUUGUGUGCGCAGGAGUCUGCUAAGUCAUACAACGCAUAGCUCUGCUCGGUUAGAAGAGUUACGUGAAGUAUCCUAGGUUGGUCGUGAGUUCGGGAGUUGAGGAGAGAUCCUGGUCGCAGACGAGCAGGCACCAGAAUCUCGCAUCAAUAGUGAAGAUGAUUCAAUAUUAAGCAUGUCAUAUAAUCUGGAAGUGGAUAUUGGACCAAUUUGAUGAUAAUGAAUUUCUUUCAAUCUCAAUCUUUUUCUUUUUAGCAACAUGACUAGUCAUUGUGCAAAUUUAAACUCUGACAAUGAUUUCUCAAUCGGUUUCUAAAAUGAUGACCAUGCAUGUAUAUGUAUAUGCGUGUGUAUAUGUGUGUGUGUGUGUAGAGAGAGAGAGAGAGAGAUCACAUGUGUGUGAUUUCCUUUUGCCAAUAGGAUAUGCAGAGAGCUUGAUCUUACCCAAUAGCGAAACAAACUUCCUAAUAAGUGAAGGUAUAGUAUAAAUACUUAUACUUUCAUGUUAUUUUGUUCAUCAGUAGCUUGAUUAUUUUAUAUGCGUCUUCGAUUUUAAUUUUCUUUCCCUAUAAUCGCUAUUAUCUUUGAACUGGUCAUGAUUUGCCCGUAAGAUUUCUCAUGUUGUUUUGAGGUGCAAUGGAUUUUGAAUUUAGUGACAAGCAGUGGAAGCCAGAAGGCAAAUUAUGAAAAUGGAUAAAGAUCUAUAAUUAGCUGUUAUGGGAUGUCACAUAUCAUAUUGAUGGUAACAUUAUAUAUAUGUACAUAUAAUUAAUGGGGUUGGCUCACGAGCCCAUUAAUAAUCGUAUAUUAGUUUAUAUACUUCAAACAAUGUACUAUGAAGCAAUUUCACAAAUACUUGUUAGCUUAUGUUGAGUUUUAUUGAAUCAGUAGUUCACAGUUCAAUAAAAUGCAGGUUUGCUAUUUGAAGUACAUGGUUAUGGUGCGUACAUUCUUCAUAAGGCUAACUACUAAUUGAUCAUUGAAACUUGAAAAAUGUGACAGAGAGAUGUAGAUAAUAGCCGCAAAACACUGAGAUUGAAAAUCAAGGCUACUAAAUUCUAUUAAAAGCCCUUAAAAUAGACAGCAAUCACCCUGAAAUGUAUAUACUGAAACUAAGAAAUAUUAAUCGCAAAGUUAUGCAUUAAUAGAACUAUUGACUACUUAUCUUUAGCAUAAGGUAUAUUUUUAACUAUAGCUUUCUGCUUUGUUCUAAGAACUAGGCAAAAGUGGUGUAUCUUCAAUCCAAUCAAUAUAUAUACCACUUAUCUUCCUCUUCACUUCUGUCUAUUUUGAUUUGCACUUCAUAUCCUGCACUUGCUGCUUAGAAAUAGUCUUAUUCUGGACAUUGAAAGUAGAAAAAGUGCUUGAAACAAUCAUUGGCAUAGCCCGAGAUUCCAUUGAAUCGUGGACUCCAAGCUUUCAUAGUUCUAUAAAGAAAAUGACAAAACUUCAUACAACUGGCAUUCUGCUUUUAACAUUUGCACAAUCUGAGCGAGUUAGCAAGCCCAUUGUUGCGUUCCCAUUGAAUAGACCUACUUCUGUUAUCCACAGAAGAUCCACCACUCAAAAUGUUUAUCACCAGGCUAUUCUUAAACUGAGCCUAAACUGAGUAGAAACUUCCGCACAUCUCUCAGCAUUCUACAAAGUUGCAUUUCACUAAGCAAUCUAUCCUCUCCAUUCCUAGCAAAGUGACAUUGAUUCCCGUAUUUGUAAUCGCCUAACUUGGGUUUUGGGCAUAGCGUGGUCUUAAAAUUACCACCCAAUACUUUGUUCAGUGCCACUGGCAUCCACAAGCUCUAGCCCAGUUAGCUGAAUCAUAUUCAAUGGGACAGUAAGGCAGCAUUUCACUAACAUAUUCAAUUUGACUACUUAUAUUGACGCAAAUAUUAGAAUUUGAAAUCACUUCUUUUCUUGGAAUAUUAUAUUAAAAUGACCCCAAAUGAAAGUUCUUGAAUGGAAAUUAUUUUUAUUUAAUUUUCGAACAGGUUCAAGAGAACCCAGAGAACACAAAAUUUACACAGUAAUAUGAUUAAGAGCUAAGAACGUACAUAUAGUAAAUGUCUAUCAAAAAACACCCAAGGGUUUCUUUAAAAUUAGAAACUAGUAAACAAAAAGAAAGAAUUAUUUUACUUUUUUAGCAACUUUGGGGUGAGUGAGUGAGUGAGUGAGAAAUUGAAACCCUAAAGUGAUGACAACAGUAAGAUUCAGUAUGAAGUGAAACCCCAAUUUGAAAUGUAGGCAUGAGUUGCUGAGUCAGUAGAUGAAGCUAUAAAUAGGCAUUCAGUUUCCUUCUUUUCGGUUUAAAUCACAUAUUCUAGUUAAAAUCAAAUAUAUAUUUAUAUGAAGCUUGUAAAUUUUUUUUUUUAAUACUGAUAUUUGAAUAUUAUCAAUAAAAAAAGGGUAAUGUUCAUGCUGCAUUAUUUUUGUAGCACACAAAAGGACAACACCGUUUAUGUUAUAAUACUAUCGCUUCUGUUAUGAUAAUAUUUUUUUUGUGGCCAAAUAUCAUUUUUUAAGUAAAAUGGUGGACAAAAUGCAAAUCAGUUUUUAAUCCUCAAUCUCUCCCAAAAUAUAAAUUCGUAGUUAACAAAACAAAAUUGUUGGAAAACCAUUAAGCUAGGUUUAAAACUAUAGCUGACAAAAAGUUAAUAACAAAAACAGAAUGUCCAUUUUAUAACUUUCUUAAAAAACUUUCCUUAACUUUUUUAAAAAGUUACCAACAAAAAGUUAUUUCCAAUUUUUAUUUUGUUAUAAUUUUUAUAACAAAAUUCGUAGUUAACUAAACUCUUCUUAUGCCCUUUCUUAAUUGCCAUACCCUAACCACGCUCAAUUUAGGCCAUCACAGUGACCGACAGCCUCCCUAUCUCCAUUUCAAGCUCCCUCUUCAACUGGCUUCUGCGAUCGUCCUACUCUUUCUCGGAUUCGGAGUCCGUAUUUGCUCGGCCGGUCCCACGCAGCUCCCUCUCACUCCAGUUGUGACCCAACAAGACCAAUUGCUUAAUCAAGGCACAGAACAAGAAGAGGAUGAGAAGUUGAAACAAUAAUUUGAGAAUUGGAAAUCGAAAAAGUACGCAUUGACCGUGCCUGUAAGGUUUGUUUCUCUUCAGAAUUCAGUGCCUCAAUCUUGGGUUAAGGAUUUUAUGCGAAGUCAAGGAAAGAGAUUGAAGUUUCAGAUGAAUUUGUGUGCUAGCAUUGAUGGGAUCUUUAACAAUUUAUCUGUGCCCUUUAACAAAGUUAAGGCUAAGUCAGCUUCUUAUAUGGCUGCUGAUUUGGUUAGUGUUGGUGAUUCGUGGCUUAGUUUUGCCAUUAAAAAGAGAUUGAUUGAGCCAAUAGCUGGAGCUGAAGACCAAGAUUGGUUCAAAUGCUUAAGUCACAGGUGGGGCACAACGGUGAUAGCCUACAAGAAAAGUAAAUUUCGAAAGCAUAAUUUGGCUCCGAUUGAGGUAAUAAUUUUCUUUAAACUCAUUUAGUUUUAUAUCAAACAAAAUCAAGACUGCCUUUCUCUUCAAUAUUUUUGAUGAUAAUAUCUUUAGAAGCAUCUCAUUGACGCGUAACAAUGGCAUCCCUGAAAGAGUCUAUAAACUCAAUGAUAUUAUCUUCUACAAAUGGUUCAUUAAACUUUGUCGUUGUACUCAAAUGUACACUCAGAUCAAUGAGAAGCUAUGCCACUGUAGCAUGUAGUGAUGUCACUUAAUAAGUGAGUUGCUAGGAUGUGAACUAGAAAAAUUAAAUAUUGUCUCCUUGGGUAUGCUAGCUCGUAAGUCAGGGUUAAUAUCAGAGCUUAAGAUACUAUAACCGUGAGAACCUAUUGACUGCCAAUUAAAAUAUCCAUUAAAAUGUCUAGGGAGUUAUGAAGGUGGGGGUAACUUCCAAUUUCUAAGGCCACAGAGUAGACAUCAUCCAGGAUCCUAGUACAGUGCAGUUAACCUCCUGCUUGAUGCAAUUAAUAAAUUUGGUCAAUGCCACUGAAACAUGCUAACUGACGUCGCAAUGCGACAUGAGCACUUCAAAAUGGGAGAGACAGUCAGUAGCACUAAAUUUUUCUUGCCUAAGAUUGAGCAAUUGGUCUAACUACUAAUCCCUAUUGUAGGUUGAUCAUUAUUUUUUCAGUUAUGUUCAGUUUGACCCAAAAAGUUGCAGAAUCUUGAGCUGAAUACUGAACAUUGUCAAUGUCGUUUAGCGUAGCCAACUAACUUGAGUUUGGUAAAACAAACACACAGUGUGUCUCAUGUCUCACAAUUCAAAUUAUCAUCUGUAAUGACGGAGAAUUUUUCCAAUGUAUGAAGUAUGCUUUGAUACGUGGGUUACCUUGGAGAAGAUAUCUCAAAAUAAAGAAUAUGGGGAGAAAACAGUUCAGUAGUUUAUUAUUCUGUAGUCAAGUUUUGUCUCGAAAAUGGUCAAAAUUUAAAUGAAUAAGGACAGGGGAUCUUCAUUCUUUUUUCCCUUUUUUAUACCAAGAUAUCUCUCAACCUUUAUAUAAUCCCCACUGGAUAUCUGCUUCUAAUAAUUAAAAUAAAAAUUUCACCGCUCUAACAAUAAAAAGUAACAUCUUUAGUCAAAUAAUUUACAGUUCCUCAUCAUCUUAGUGUGAGACUAUCAGUACAUUCCAAAAACAUAAUAAAACUGGUUUGAUCCUGUUUAUUGAUGUUUAAAUGUUGUUCAUUGUGACAUGUAGAAAUGAUGAGGCAAAGUUUAUUUGGGCAUCAAUUAGUAAGAUCUUGUUUGAAGUUGUUUUCUGAAAUGAACUGCCAAAUGGUAGUUUUUUGGGGGCAUUUGAUGGCUCUUUUUUUUUCCUCGUUUUCAACAUGUGCCUGCUUGGAACAGGAAGGAUUAGGCUGCAGAGUUGUUAUUUAUUUUGAGAUGCUCUGGUCAUUGCACAAUUUGUUCACACUGGAAAUUAGAAUGAGAAAUUUGUUGAUGCUGUUUUGAGAGAUCUGCAUUCUAUGCACAAUAACAUGAUUAAUGAAAAUGUAUUGUAGGACUGGAAAGAUCUGUGGCAGCCUGAGCUCGCAGGAAGAAUUUCAAUGGUUAAUUCUCCCCGAGAGGUUAUUGGUUCAGUUUUGAAGUAUAGGGGAGCAUCAUACAAUUCAAACAAUAUUGAUUCGCAAGUUGCUGGUGGGAAGAUUGCUGUUCAGCAGAAUCUGGCAUUACUGGCGAACCAGGUACUCUUACAGAAAUGAUAUCUGGUCAUUGCAUGUUAUUGCCUGACAACUGAUUUUGUUUGUAAAAGUCUGCUUCUUCAUACAUAUGAAUGCAUAUGUUAGUGUUUUCUUCUCCUUUUCAUACAUAUAAAUGCAUAUGUUAGUGUUGUCUUUUCCUUUUCAUACAUAUUAAUACAUAUGUUGGUGUUCUCUCCUGAGAUGGAUGCAAUAAAGGCUUUUGCUCCUAAAUUUAGCUGAAGAAAUGGCAAGGGAUGUGAGAUUCUGUCUCAUUAAAUUAACAAAAACCCAAAGCAAUGAAAAUCCAUAAUAAUGUGGUGUGGGUAAAUUGGCUCCAUUUGGUUCGUUUCCUUAAUGUGAAUGCGCGAGCAAUAGAGACUAACAAAAUGAAGUGACAACAAGAAGUCAGUGUCCUUUGAUGGAUGCAUUUUUAGGCAGAAAUAUGUUUGUAAUUGACCAAAAUUGUCUGGCAUGCCAAUUUCAAAAAAAUUAAAUUAUGUGGUUAUUAGCUGUAAUGAAGGAGGAUAGUAGGUGCAAUCAGGUGGAUCCAGGAAAGUUCAACAAAGUUUUGGUAUGGCGUAGUGAAAUUGGUUUGUGCAACUCAGGAGUCUUUCAGGUGAACGAUGAUAGGUUUUGAUUUAUGAAUAUUAUAAAUCUACUGUGCAUAGUAUUCUAGUAGAAUCAUCUAUAAGUUCUAGUUAUUGAAAUUGUAUACUUUGCCCGGUUUGAGUUAAGGGCACAUGUAAUAUGAAAGAUAGUUGUCGCAUCUUUUAGGUUACCUAACAUUUGAUCAAUCCUAUUAUGGGGGCUUCAAGAUGUCUAACAAUAUGUAGAAUGCCCAUGCGCCUCCCCAUUGUUUAUCUUCUACAAUAAUUUGUUUUAGAUGCUAAUAUCUUUGUCGAUACCGGUAACAAUAUUACAAUAUCUGCGUUUAUUGGGUUUUAUAUAGGUUCGACUGUUUGACUGUACACACUAUCUGAAGGCAUUUGCAAUUGGAGAUGUAUGGGUUGCUGUUGGGUGGAUUAGUGAUGUUCUUCCUGCUGUCAAACAUAUGUCUAAUGUUGCUGUGUUGUUCCCAAGUCUGGUGCUAGCUGCCUGCCAUUCUACUUCGAUAUUCACAUUGUUAUCUCCUUCAUAUUAGCAAUCAGUAAACACGUAAUGUGGCUAAUAAGUUUGUAUUCUCUUUAUAGGCAAUCCCUGCUGCCUCAAGACUUGAAACACAACAAAUUGGAGGGCGAGUCAGAGGUCCAUCUCCAUUAAUCCAUCAAUGGAUAGAAUUCUGCUUGCAAACAGCGAGAGCAUUGCCUUGCAAGCAAGAGGUUAUCCCGGGUGCAUCUCCCUCUGCCCUUGAAAGUACUCUGGUUAAGUUGCCUGAAGAACUUCUGGAGGGUAAACCAAGUCUGGAUACUAACUUAAUUGCUGGAGUACUCCCGGCUGAAAUUCUGGCCAGAUGUGAGUUUUUGGAGCCAUUAUCUGAAGCUACUUUGUCAGAUUAUGAGUGGCUGGUUGUUAAUCUGCAAAAACCUGCUCCUGUCUUGAUGAAAAGGGUGCAACAUUACUUGUCAUCAUUAAUCUAAAGCUUUCUAGCAAGAGCUACAUUGAAAAGUUAAUGGCGCUGCAUGCCAGUCAUUAUAAUGCUGUCAGGGCAAUUGGGUCAGGGCAAUUAGGUCUGAGCAUAACUUCAUUAGGAAAAGAGGCUUCAGCUACGUUAAAUAUUGCAGGAUGUACUGAGAUGGCUGAAGUUCUUAAGGUUUUAUGAGAAACGAAAGAUGAGUGUUUGUUUGAACAAAGUUGUUGCCAAUCUUGCAGAGUUUGGAAAGAAAGAUCACGGAGCGAAUGCCACCGAUUUCUUCAUCAUUUUAGCCUCCAUAGUUGAAGUUUCCUCAUUUGAAGCUGUUUAUGCAUACGAUUUUUCCCUGCUCUAGUACAGGAAAUUGAAGAAUUAACCAGAUGUGAUAUGCUGAAAGAGGGAAGUUUUCUUCCUUGAAUGUGGCCUUUGUGAUUUGUCUUGAAGGAAUAGGAUGAUCACUGGCAAGAACCCUAUCAAGGUAGAUUUUAUGGUGUUAACAUAUUAUUAAGCAUUUUGUUACAUUAGCAAUGAUGCUUUCAUAGCAUGAAAGUGUUUAAAUUUAACUGAUUGAUCUUGAUUGAUCAAUUAUGAGUUUUAAUCGAGUAAAAACUAAAUACAAUAAUCGUCAACAAAUAUUGAAAUUGGGUAAAUAUGAUCUUGAUAUUGAAGAAUUUGAAAUCACAACCCACACAGGAAAUCACCCUUCGCGUGGGGAUGGAGAUGUUUACUGCAGCGAUAUUGAAUAUGUCCACUGCUCUUUGGGUUAUGGUGCGACUUGCCCUGAAACAAUGGAAAAGAUUAACAUACCCUCCAAUGAAUGAAAACGGGUGGACUAAUUCUGAUUACCUAAUUGACUCAGGAUCGGCUGGCAAUAAUAACAGUUUAUUAACAAUGCACAGUCCGAGUACCUUUCCAGUAACAGUUUAUUAACAAUGCACAGUCCGAGUACCUUUCCAGGAUCAGAUACGACGUGGUCUAAUGUUGAUUUCAGAAAUAAAAUACAUUCUGAGAGAUGCUGGUCUACUAUUGCAAGCCCCCAGAUUUAAGAAUCUUUUGAUGAUAAUUUAAUUGAUAUGGACAGUUUCCAUAUCACUUUUAAAUCAUCUUAUGUAAUUGUGAUGUUAGGAAGCAUUAGUGACCUAUAUGUGAAUUAUUAUUAGCGACAUUAGUGGUUUUAUCUUGUUAAAAUAUGGAUGACUUCUAGUUAUUAUUUUAUUGUAGACAAUCUUAUUCAAUUAACAUAUAGUUUAAAACCAUUAUGUAAAUUAAUCUAUUAAUUUUCAUGAUAUUUAAUUGAGUUAAAACUAAGUGCAAUCAAUAAAUCUCUUUUGCUUUAAAAAACUGCUACCUUUUGAGUUUAGUGCUUAAUAUUUAUUGAACUCUGAUGCAGGGUAUUUGAAAUCAAACUCGUAAUACAGAUUAUCUAAUUGCGAGUUGCUGUCCAUAGCUGCUAAUUUGUAGUGAUUAUCUAAUUGAUUGAGGUGACAAUAAUUCUUUUAUUUCAAUAGCACAAUGUGGAAUUCAAUAAUUAAAUUCAUGAUAUUUAACUGAGUUAAAACUAAGUGCAUUCAAUAAAUCUCUCUUCCUUUAAAAAACUGUUGCGCUUUAAUUUUAGUGCUUAAUACUUACUAAACUCCGAUACAGGGAAUUUGAAUUCAAACUCGUAACUACAGAUUAUCUAAUUGCAAGUUUCUGUCCAUAGCUGCUGAUUUGUAGUGAUUAUCUAAUUGACAUAGGCCACGACAACUUUUUUUUUUUUUAAUUUUCAAUAGCACAACGUGGAAUUCAAUAAUUAAAUUCUCCUUUUUAAUUUGUUUCAAGUUAAAUUAUUAAUUACUUAAACUCUGUUUUAAGUCUUUAAUUUUAUGUGUUUAUGCAGAAUUGGAUUCUUUAGCGUGUUGGACACGACCAACAAUGAAAUUGACAGUAAACAAACAUUACAACGCGUUGAGUGUCGACUCCGGUAGCUGCCCUACAAGUCUACAACUUUACAAAAAAUAAUUGAGUACACACAUUUGAUUCUCGGGACCCAAAUUUCUAGCCCCGUUGACUCCACCGACAAAAGUUUUGGAAAAUUAAAAAAAAAAUUCAUAGAAUUCCACCAAAUGCAAAACGCGUGGAAUUUAAUUUUCGGCCGUGUGGACCAAAACAUAAUUUAAUAAAAAAAAAGAUAAAAUUUCUAAAAUGUGUGGAAGGUGAUCCAUAUUUUAUUGAAACAACUUAAAUUUAUUAAGGAUUUAAAAUAUUUGGUCAUAAAUUACGCUCAUGUUAAUUUUUCCGCUAUUGACUAUCAUAUUCUAGACACAAUGAAAUUGACAGUAAAGAAACAUUACAACGUGUCGACUCUGGUAGCUGACCUACAAGUCUACAACUUCACAAAUAAUAAUUGAGUAAGCACCUUUGAUUCUCGGGACCCUUCAAUGAAUUGCUAGCCCCGUUGACUCCACCGACAAAAGUUUUGUAAAAUAAAAAUAAUAUAUAGAAUUCCACCAAAUGCAAAACGCGUGGAAUUUAAUUUUCGGCCGUGUGGACCAAAACAUAAUUUAAUGAAAAAAGAAAAAAAAUGAUAAGAUUUCUAAAAUGUGUGGAAUGUGAUUCAUAUUUUACUGAAACGAUUUGUUAAAUUUUUCAAAGAUUUAGAAUAUUUGGUCAUAAAUUAGGCGCAUGUUAAAUUAGGAGCAUGUUAAUUUUUCCACCAUUGACUAUCAUAUUCUAAACUUAAUGAUACAUUUCUUUAUGAAGAGUACUUAGUCUCUCUUCUUCUCUUAUAAAAAUUAUAUUAAUUGAUUUCUUAUUAUAAUAAAUAGUCUUUAAGAACGUAUAGAUUUAUUGUUUUCGUGACCAAAUUAUGCCUGCCUAAGUUUGUGACUAUUAACAAAAUUAAUAUUUAAUGUUUAUGUUAAAAGAUAUAAGAUUUUAUGCAUUCAUUAAUUGUUAUUAGCUAAAGGAUUAAUUAUUUUUUCAACCCAAUCUGUUGAUGCAUCUGCAAGAGUUUUUUCUUUUAUUGACCAUAAUUAUAUUCCGGGUACAAUAAAUUGUCUUUGGUGAUUGGAAAAUAUGACUUCUUACUUCAAGUUUAAUAUGUCUCUCUCCAUAAGCUUACUGGAAAUAUAUCCUCAUCUACUGUCAUUUAUCUAAUAUCAAUUGAAGAUCUCACUUUUUCAAACUAUCACUUCCAAGUCGCAUUGUCACUUGGCCAUUCUUGGACCAUUCAAAACCAAUCAAGUGUUGAAAUAAUCAAAUAUAUGCAAAAUUAGAGUCACGAUUUUUGCUCCCUCAAAUUCUAAUUAUACAACUUCUAUAUAUCUCAUUGUCAGGUCACGAACUUGUUGGCACAUUUUCCAAAUUCCUAUUCCAACUUAAGUGGAAAGUUUCCAAGUUCAUUGCUAGAAAACAACACAAAAACUAGACACACUUAGUUUGUCUAAUAAUUCUCUUUCGGUAAAAUUAAUUAAUUUCAGGGGAAUAUUCUGCCAACCUCUGUAAUUUCAGAGUGAUCAUUAAUUAAUUAAACGAUACAAAUAUCUAAAGUAAUUAGAUGUUUGCUGACAAUACAAGUUCAUGACUUGAAAUUUGAUCUCUAUCGAUUGGUUCACAAAUAGACGUACGUGUGCCUUUGUGGCGAUAAUCGAACAAGUUCCCAAGAUUAUUAUUUUUUCCAAAAACUUUUUUACAACAAAUUCAUCUCGCCAAAAAUUAUAUUUUGCUAACUAACAAUAAUUGAGCACUUGACCGCAUUGACUCCACGUCUCCACCUCUUUCUAAAUUCUAAGUAAAAACAUGGAGAUGUAACCUCCACAAAAUGCCAAACGGGUGGAAUUUAAUUUUUUUGCCUUGUGGAUCAAAAUACAAAUGAAAGAAACAGGAGAAAAAAAAGGCCCAAAGACUUCUAAAAGAUGAAGAAGUCUUUGGGCCUUUUUAUAAUGGUGAAUUUUUUAAAAGAAAAAAAAUAACAACAUUUUUAUGGUUUGUUUUGAUAAUCAUAUUUACAUAUACUCUCUAAUUUUCAAAAUGGACACAUAAAUUUUUUUUUUUUACAAAUAUAUAUUAUUCAUAUUUUUUUAUUAUCAUAUUUUUAUUUAGAGCAAAUUUUUAGGUUGAAAUAUAAUAAAAAGGUAUAAUUGUUCUCUUAUUAAACACACAUACUUUUAUUAGUUUUAUUAGUUUCUAUCCAUUUGUCAUCUCAAUUAUUCUUUAAUGCUAGCUCAAAACACGUUGCUGGUGCAAAUUAUAGCAAAAUGACAAAUAUGGAAAAAAAGGGAAGAAAAUUAAUGCAUGAAAGACUUGGAGAAAACAACAAAAUAAGCCAACUAUGAGUUAGUUGGGUGUAUAAAUUGUUAGAUGUGUUAUAUACAAAUAGCGUAGAGCCCUCUAGUUGGUUCCAAAGACAGAAAGAGCGUGUGUGUUUUUUCACAGUUAGAGAUAUAGUUAGAAUGGGUGGUUCAAAAUCAAAAAUGAUGAUAAUGUUUAUUAUGUUAUUAAUAAUAUUUAAAAGUGGGUGGAGUGAGGGAUGUUUGGAUCACGAGAGAUUUGCUUUUUUGAGACUCAAACAUUUCUUCAAUGAUCCUCUUAAUUCUCUUUACGACUGGGUAGAUGGUGAGGGAGCUACUGAUUGUUGUCAGUGGGAAACGGUUGAGUGCAGCAACACCACAAGUCGAGUGAUAGCGCUAGACCUUUCUUACAGGUAUGGGGGAGAGUACAGUUGGUAUCUGAAUGCUUCUUUGUUUACUCCCUUCCAACAACUUGAGUCACUUGAUUUAACUCGCAACAACAUAGCCGGUUGUGUUGAGAAUGAAGGUGCUUCGUUUAAUUUAAUUAAUUUACUUCUUCUCUCCUAAUUUAAGUGGAAUAUCAAGACUGAGCAACUAUAUGCAUAUUCAUUCAGUUGACAAUUUUGACAUAUUUUUUUAAGUGAUUAAUUAAUUUUGAAAUACACUAGUAUCUAUGAUCUUUUUUUUUUAUUAUUUGGCUUGCAGGUCUAGAGAGGCUAUCAAGAUUGAACAACUUGAAGAUGCUUAAUUUAAGUGGAAACUCAUUCAAUAAUAGCAUUUUAUCAUCUCUAACUCAUCUUUCAUCAUUAAGAUCAUUAAAUUUAUUGUGGAAUAGAUUGGAAGGAAGUAUUGACGUUAAAGGUACAUAAUUAAAACUUCAAGCUCUUUCAUUAACUUGCUAAAAUAAGAUUCAAGGCUUUGAAUUCAAUUUUUUUAUGAUUAAUAUUAAAAAAACAGUUUUAAGCAAUUUAUAAAAACAAGUUUUAAUGUUUCUUGUAAUUUCAUCUUGUACUUUCAUAUGUCUUGAAUUUACAAUUAACAAAAAGACUCUAAUAGCGAACCAAACACCUCCACAACUUCUUAUUAUUUGUGGUGAGGUUUGAAACAUUCAACUCAAUUUGUACUUAUUACAAAAUUUGAUUCUUUGAGAGAUUUAGAGGAACUAGACAGUGGCGGGAUCAAGAUUGACAAAUUUGUGGUCUCAUAAGGUACUACAAUUUACCAUAAAAAAAAUUUGCUACCUUUUACAAUUUAGUUUAGAUUCUUUGCCCUUUGGUUUAUUAUUUUUACAGGUUUUGAAAAAAGUUGAAAUCCUCCUCGGUUUAAGUGGUAUCAAACUCAAUCGUAGCAUCUUAUCUUCUCUGACUGUCUUUUCUUCGUUAAGAGAAUUACAUCUACGUGAUACGGGAUUCAAAGGAACAUUCGAUGUUCGAGGUAAGCCUAAGUCUUGCUUUCUCAUUUUAUAUAUGCCAACUAGAUUUGUGUAUCAUCGACAUAAUUUAAUAUUUAAUUUGAUAAGUUUGAAUGAAUUACAUGCUAAUUUAAACACACUUUUAUUUACUUUGUCAAUUAAUUAAUUAAUUAAUUAAUACUAUUUGGCUUGGUUUGGACGAAAUUCUCAUGAUGUUUUAAUUUCUUUAAAUUAAUUAAUUAAUUAACUCUGUUUUUAAGUCUUAAGUCUGGGCGUGUUUGCAGAAUUUGAUUCCUUUAACGACUUAGAAGUGUUGGAUAUGAGAUACAAUGAAAUCGACAAUCUUGUGGUUCCUCAAGGUAAACAAUUAAAAGGUACAGAUGUGGCCAAAUUUAUAAAUAAAUUGUUAAUUAAUUAAUUUUUUCGUAUUAUUAAUAAAGCUAAAUUCGUUGCUCCUUCCUUCUAAUUCUAAACAGAGUUGCACAAUUUCACCAACUUGGAAUAUUUGACAUUGGAAUCUUCCUCUCUCCAUAUAAGCCUUCUGCAAAGCAUUGCAUCAAUAUUCCCUUCGUUAAAAAAUCUGUCGAUGUCUUUUUGUGAAGUCAAUGGUGUCGUACGCGGUCAAGGUAAAAGAAAAGCGUUGAUUGUGAACUCACUCAAUGGUGUCCUACGUGUUCAACAUUUUUAUUUAUUUUAUUGUUUAAUGUUUCUGCUAGGUUUUCCUCAUUUCAAGAGUUUGGAACAUUUUGACAUGAGGUUCGCGCGCAUUGCGCUCAACACCAGCUUUCUUCAAAUCAUCGGUGAAUCGACGCCAUCUCUUAAGUACUUAUCACUGUCAGAUUUUACUCUCAGCACUAACAGCAGCAGGAUUCUUGAUCGAGGUUAAUCAGAUGCUCCCACCCUCCCUUCUUAAUCUAUAAUAUUAAUUUUCAAUUAAAUAUUUAAUUACACAAAUGAAUUAUAAAAGAACAAUACGCAUUCAUUAAUUUUUAUAUUGUAUUAAUAAUUGAUGAAUUUAAUAAAUUUUCAGGCCUCUGUUCAUUGGUGCAUCUGCAAGAGUUGUACAUUGAUAAUAAUGAUUUAAGAGGUAGCUUGCCUUGGUGCUUGGCAAAUAUGACAUCCCUCCGAAUAUUAGAUGUUUCUUCCAAUCAACUUACUGGAAGCAUCUCCUCAUCUCCCCUCGUUCAUUUGACAUCCAUUGAAGAGCUGAGGCUUUCAGACAAUCACUUUCGGAUCCCAAUUUCACUUGAACCACUUUUCAAUCACUCAAGACUCAAGAUUUUCUAUGCUUACAACAACGAAAUAAAUGCAGAAAUAACUGAGUCACAUUCUUUGACCGCCCCAAACUUCCAAUUACAAUCUCUCUCAUUGACUUCCGGUUAUGGAGAUGGUGUCACAUUCCCCAAAUUCCUUUACCAUCAACAUGACCUGGAGGAUGUUCGUCUCUCAAACAUAAAGAUGAAUGGAGAAUUUCCAAAUUGGUUGUUGGAAAACAACACAAACUUAGAAUAUAUUUUUUUGGUUAAUGAUUCUCUUGCAGGACCUUUCCGGUUGCCAAUUCAUUCACACAAGCGGUUAAGACUGUUGGAUAUAUCCAACAACAACAUCAGAGGCCACAUUCCAGUAGAAAUUGGAGAUGUUUUACCGGGUUUAUUUUCUUUAAACAUUGCCAUGAAUGCUUUAGACGGUUGCAUUCCCUCUUCAUUUGGUAAUAUGAAAUUCCUCCAAUUUCUGGACUUAUCCAACAACCAAUUGACUGGUGAAAUCCCUAAGCACUUGGCCGUGGGUUGCGUCAACUUAGAGUCUCUUGCGUUGUCAAACAACAGCUUAGAAGGUCAUAUGUUCUCCAGAAACUUCAACCUGACAAACUUGAAAUGGUUACAAUUGGAAAGCAAUCACUUCGUAGGAGAGAUCCCACAAAGUUUGUCUAAAUGCUCCUCACUAGAAGGAUUGUAUCUUAACAAUAAUAGUCUUUCGGGUAAGAUUCCACGAUGGUUGGGUAAUCUCACAUGGUUACAAUAUAUUAUAAUGCCCAAUAAUCAUCUUGAAGGUCCUAUUCCAGUGGAGUUUUGUCAGCUUGAAUCGCUUCAGAUUUUGGACAUUUCAGACAACAACAUAUCUGGAAGUUUACCAUCUUGUUUCCAUCCUCUCUCUAUCAAACAAGUUCAUCUUUCAAAAAAUAUGUUACACGGACAGCUAAAAAGAGGUACAUUCUUUAAUUGCUCUUCCCUUGUGACAUUAGAUCUUAGUUAUAACUGCUUGAAUGGCAGCAUUCCGGAUUGGGUUGAUGGGCUUUCUCGGUUAAGCCACCUUAUCUUGGCUCACAAUAAUCUUGAAGGUGAAGUGCCAGUUCAAUUGUGCAAAUUGAACCAACUACAAUUGUUAGAUCUUUCUAAUAAUAAUCUUCAUGGUCUUAUUCCUCCUUGCUUUGAUAACACCACACUUCAUGAAAGUUACAACAAUAGUUCUAGUCCUGAUGAGCAAUUUGAAAUAUUUGUUUUCAUCGAAGGCCCUCAGGGAGGUGUAGAAAAGAAAAUCCAUGAAAUUUUUGAGUUCACAACAAAGAACAUUGCGUACAUUUACCAAGGAAAAGUGCUUAGCCUCCUAUCAGGACUUGAUCUUUCUUGCAACAAGCUAAUCGAUCAUAUUCCUCCUCAAAUUGGAAAUUUGACAAGGAUUCAAGCAUUGAAUCUAUCGCACAACAACUUGACAGGAUCGAUCCCAUCAACAUUUUCAAACUUGAAGCAUGUCGAAAGUUUGGAUCUUUCCUACAACAAAUUGAAUGGGAAAAUCCCUCAUCAGCUUGUGGAGUUAAAUACAUUAGCUGUUUUCAGUGUGGCAUACAAUAACUUAUCAGGCGAAAUUCCAGAACGGAAAGCACAAUUUGCAACCUUCAACGAGCGUAGCUAUGAGGGAAAUACUUUUCUUUGUGGACUGCCAUUGCCCAUUUGCAGAUCACCAGCAACUACGCCGGAGGGUUCAAUUGGCAAUGAACGAGAUGAUAAUUUAAUUGACAUGGACAGUUUCUUUAUCACAUUUACAACAUCGUACGUAAUUGUGAUAUUCGGAAUUAUUAUUGUUUUAUAUGUAAAUUCUUAUUGGCGACGUAGAUGGUUUUACUUUGUUGAAAUGUGGAUAACUUCAUGUUAUUAUUUUAUUGUAGACAAUCUUAUUACAACAAGAUAUUGUCAUUGAAAUUAAUUAGCAAUUUAAUUACGAUUCUUUAAAUUCUAAUCAAGUUUGCUUAGGAAAUAAAUUUAUUUUUAUUUUUUAUUAAAAUUGUAGUAGUAUUUAGCGCUAUAUAGCUUCCAACUUCCAAGCACUUCACAUUUGACUCUACACUUCCAAACCCAUAUCUAUCCACCAUAACUUAUACUUCCCUAUACUGUGCAGCAUACUUAAAUAAGAGAACCAUCUCCAAUGUUAAAACCAGCCACUCUAUAACAUUCAUUUAGAAUAGUUUUAUUAUCAUACACAAGAAAUGAAACACCUAGAUGCACUUGAUCGCCUAUUUUACUUUAAAAAAUAAUGAUUAUGGGCUAUCAUCAUCUUCUUCACUAGCAACAUUAACACCAAAUCCAGCGAUGGACCCAGACAUUUUAUCAAGAAAGGUAUAUAUAUAAUAAAGUUGAAGCUUGACAAAAAAUUCAGGAAGAUUAAUGCCUCGCCACAACAAGGGGCACAACAACAUCAAAGUAGAGAUGAAGCAAUAUUUUCAAAUCUAAAACUCUCAAAUCCACCCACCAAAAUUUCAUAUCUCCUCAACAAUUUUAAGAACUAAAGAUAAUUAGGAUCUAACAUUAGUUUUUUAUAUAUUAGUUUCAUAAUUUACAAAUCAAUGAAGAUGAAGAUUAUGCUAAUGAAUUCAAAUUAUACCAUAGAUUCUCGAGAUGUUACCAAAAAUUUCUAAGCCAAUCCCACAUAUUUCAUAAUUUUAAGACUAGAAAAUUUCAUUAGUUAGAAGUUUCAUUACCUUCAAGUGGAAGAUGAAGAACAUUAUACAAUUGAUUCAGAUUAUAUCAUACAUACUCCAAAUGCAACUAGAAAUUAACAAGUUCAUGCGCACAGAUUUCAUAACAUUAUGAUUGGAAAGUUUCACAAAGAGAAAUUCUAAAUUCAAUCUCUUGCAUCAAGGUAGUUUGAUUGAUUUGAGUUACUUUCUCAUCAAGCUACUAAUAUAACAUUCAAGUCAGGGAGAAAGUUAAUUAAAACUGGGAAGAAACAACAGUAAAAAUUUGUUGCUAAACAUGAUGUGUAUUUUUUUUUAAGGCAAUUUGGAAACACAGUUGUUACUACAGAUAUUCUCCUCAACUUAGAGAUAAAUACAAAUAUUAAAAUGCAUAUGAUCGCACAUAUUACUUGGAGCUUAGUAAGAUUUCAUUAAGAGAAGCAAUCAAACCACUUAUCAAUUGUUGCAAUCGUUCUAUAAGCUAAAAUAGCAAUAUAAUACAAGAAAAAGAACAUAUAGAUACUUGGCAAGAGUUCAUUAAGAAGUCGCAUCACAUUCGGGUGAGUUUGCUUCUGAUAUCUUGCUAGCUGGGGCUUUUUCUUGUCUUUCUACGCAUGCCGAGGGAAACCAACCAGCUUGGCCCUUGCAUUCACCUUCCGACCAUCCAGUAGGAGCCACCUUGAGAAGUUAUAACUAAAAGUCUAAAACAAUGAAUUAAACAAAAGUUGACCGUUCAAAGACCUAAGGGGAAAACUAAUUCUUUUACGUAGGAGGAGUGAAUUAGUUGUGAUCACUGAAAUAACAGCAUAACUAUGGAAGCAUAACAAGAUAUAAAUUCACACGUCUAUAAGGGUAAACUGGGUGGUUUAGAACUGAGCUAGCAACCCUACUAUAUUCUGAUUUGCACAUCAAUGUAAAAGGGAAUAUAUGGUAGGAAGAAAGAAAACCAACCAUCAGUUGUUAACUCAUUGCUUUUCAAUCAAAAUUUUAAGAACAAAAUGCCAUGUGCUUUGAACAUCAAAUAAGUAUAAGCAUUAGUUCUAAAUUCCACAUAUCAUAAGUUAGAAGGACAAGUCAAUAGCAUAGUAGAAAAAUCUAUGUGUUGUUAUUUAGAGGGGAAAGUACCUGGCGAACCACAACAUAAUCAUCAAUUGAAAGACUUAGCUCUCCAUUUGCUUGAGCAUCAAAUGGAUGUAUAACCUGCAAGAUAAUGGGAUAAAUAGAACUUAAUCUUAAAAAAAGCAUAACAAAAGCAGCAACAGUAGCAGCAGCGUUCAUUGUAACCACUAUGAUCAUGGCCAACAAAGAUAUAUUAGAAACAAAAUUCCAUUUUUACUACGACAUUAAUAUGUACUAUAUGAUAUCAUGACGAUUGGGUUACCAAGAGCUAUCAAAGUCCAAUAAAUUCUGUAUAACUUUAGGUAGUUAUUCAAAUUAUGGAUCAGAUUUUAAAUCCGAAAUUUUGACUGCUCUCCACAAAACAUGGCCUAUGCACAAGAAAGUCAUAGAUAAUGAGGAUUACAAGUGUCUGACAUCUUUUGAGUGAUGGAUUUAACAUGAGAGCUUAUGGUCAGUCAAUUUCCUCUGCCUAGCAAUAUAAGCUUUCUCGGCCAGAUUUAUCAUCAAAUACAUAGAUUGGCCCCAAGUCACAUCCAUAUAAACAUAGUUUUUCUAGGUAAACCAAGUAAGGAGAAUCAUAAUUCAGACAUAAUCAUAAAAAGGCCCAUCUAACUUAAGAGAAAAUCUCAAAAAGAGGGAUGUUGAGCUAUCAGUCUUGUAUCUAUAAGCAAUAUCAAGACUUUACAUCACCUACUACAUCGUGAGUGGCUACACAACUUUCAGUGGUUUGUCUUUCUUUGGCAUGCCUAACUCAGCUUUGAUGUUGCUGAGAUAUUGAUAGUAAAGACACAUGAUACUUCUAGCCCAUGCAUUCUAUCUAGCUCAUCCGACAACUAUCUCUUUUUUAAUUCAUUAGUGUUUGCUAAACCUCAUGCUUAAAAGUCCUAUUCUCCUAAACAAAGCUUCCUAAGAAUGACUUCCUCAGCACCACAUUUGGACACUUUUAGAGCAAUUUUAUUUGGGGGAAAAGAAUUUUCAAGGUGUUAACUAAUAAAUUUUAAAAAAUAAUUACAAUUUGUCCCACAAUUAUAUGACAAUUUAUCUGGGAUGAAAGGAUACAGACAGACAUCUUCCACUUUCAAGACUAAUCACUACUUCUGUAGAUGUUUUGCAAUAAUACAAAUACUUGACCAGAUGGUAGAAAAAAAUUUUAUUGCUCCAAAAUUAAAAUAAGAAUGCAAUAUGUUAAGCAAAAGACUGUGCAACAUCAAAUUAAUUGAUAAGUUUGUAAUUCAGUAAAUUAACAACUUUCAUGGUAAAAUACAACAAAUUUCUUUUCAAAAAAAUUUAAAAAAUAAUUAAAAGACAGCAUUCAAUUUUUUGCGCAUCUUAUUUCUUAAGAUUUUCCAGGAGGAGGGCACUAGAGGGACUUUCACCUAUGCAAGAGAGCAGAAGCCUUACUUUCGCUAUAAAGUAGACGUCAUUCUGAUUAAUAUGCGUUUGCAAAUCAGCUCCAUUUGAAUCAGUAUUCUGAUAGACACAUGAGGCAUUUACAUCCAUUUCCAAAGUCACAUGUUGCGAGGAGGACUCAUUUGAUUGCUCCUCUAGGAUCAUCUAAUUCAAGUAGCAAGGGUUGGAAGAGAAUAAAAAGUCACAAUUAUUCUUUUGCAUAAGUGAGACGAAAAUGAUAAAUGCAAUAUUAUCAGCAGUAAACAAGAAGAGAACACUCCAAGGAAUAGAUAGAUGCGGACAAGCAAGUUAAAAUGCACAGUUCCAAACCUCCGCAUACAACUUCUCUAAAAUAGCAAUAACGUGUUGAUGAUAUGUUUUCUCAGCAUCUACCUGCAAAGGCCUGAGACCAGGAAAACAACAAUAAAACCACUAGCUAAAGGAGAAAGUAAAGAAAGAAAUACACUUGACAUAAAUCUUGACAAGAAGCACAAUUUAAGACAUAACAAACCCCAAUCAGAUUGUUUAGAACUACCAUUCGUUAUUUCGUUAUUGUAGCAUUUCGAACAAGUGUUGACUUAAUUCAACAUUGUUGGAAAGAUAGGCUUUUAGAAGCGGAAGAAAGCCACUCAAACCAAAGUGAUUGUCCUUGUAUUGAUCAAGGGAUGUAAACAUAUUACAUUUGCAGGAUGAGUUUUAAUCACUCCCCUGAUUUAUUUGGGUUGCAGUAAAACUAAGCGAGCAACUGUUUGACUUUCAAGCAACAUCUAAAUCAGCUAUUAAAAUUCAAAUAAAAUUAUAAUAGAAUAAUAACAGGCCAUCUUGCAUAAAAAAUUAAGUUUAAUUUGUGAAUUUUUUUCUAUAGACAUGUUAGUUCCUGCUAUUGAAAUGUUAAAAGCAUUGAAAAAUUAUUCAAUAAAUUAUGCAAACAUUAAAAUAGAGGACAUAUUAAAAAGUUUCUAAUUACAAUGUUAAGAUUUCCUAUAUUUUAGCAUUUGCAUAUUUUAAUUUAUUUAAAAGUUACGUCAAUCAACUUUGGGCGUGAAGAUUUUAGCUUCUAGGAGACUUGAUUGGAAUAUGCAUAAGGAAGAGUGUUAAAAUAUGAUGCAUCCAACGAAAGACAAACCACGUGUAGUCUUUUAAUUAAGCCAAAGUAGCAGCUCAAACAAAUGACACUUGGACCAACAUGCAAUCAUGAAGUGGCCGGAAAAAGGACAAAUGCAACUUUGGCUUAAAUAAAAAAUAACAUGUGACUUGACUUUUGCUGGACAUGCAUCAUGUUAUUACAAGACAACAGAAAUCAGUAUGAUAGUACUAAAAGUUGACAAUAACAUGAAGAUAAGAGGCAGAAUGUCAACACCUGCAUAGGCACACACAAGAAAGUAUUAACAUAUAUACCAUAGCAAAAAGUCUUUGAUAUGUCAUCUGUUGCUGCUGUGAUUCAACUGACAGCAUGGCAGCUGUCGCUUCUCUACCAAGAGCCAUUAUUGUAGAUUUAAGCUCGGUCAAUCUUGCUUCUGCAUUUCGAAGCUUCACAGCACUCUCUGCUGAUAUAUCAGAUUUCCUUAUCUUUGAUCGGUGCCUAAAUACUUCAGCUGCCUGGUGAAAAUAUUCAAUAUAAAUCUAACAUAAUUCUCAUCUUGCCUUAUACAUGCAUAUGUUACCUCAAAGCUUGCCUGGGCUUCAACUUCAUGUCGAAGUUUGUCAUAACGAUGAGUCAGGUGUCGAGCAUCUUCCAAAGGUGCUCCGUUGAUUAACGCCCGUAGUGGCUCAUAUACCUACAUGUCCAAAAACCUGUAACAUAGUUAGAAAAAUGAAAAGAAAGAGCGAAACCUCAAUUAAAAAGUUCCUCCAACAUAAUCAUGGAAUUUGGGCCUACUUCAAGGAUAUAUAUAAGGAUAAUUUAUGCAAUUUUGGGUCUUAGGAUGAUUCAUAUUAGGUUAGUGUUCUUCUCUUCUGUAUUUAAGGUUAAAAUAGAAAUAAACCUAUGCAAAUAUCUAAAUUAGGGCUGUAAGACUUCCACAUGCAUCCUUCAGUCUCAUGGAUUUGAUUUUACUAUAGAUGCAAGUGUCUUUAUCGAAAAUGCUUGGAGUCAAUUGAGAGAACUCACAGCCAAUAACUUGUCACAUGCUAGUCUUUGCUAGUGAUGCAAGAAGUCACAAGGUCUCUUCAACAUUUGAACCAAUAAAAUUAUUAAGUCAUGGAUGUCACUAGCAAUGAUUUCAAUAUAAAACAUUAAAUAUUUCAAGUUGUAACUUUAAAAUGAAUUCUUUUAUUCAAUAUCUUAGAACUAAGUUUCCUUAUGAGAAGAUAAUAGUUUCAGUAGUAAUUUACAUGAAAUUUUCUAUAUUUGAAUUAUUUUCUAGUUAGGGAUGAACUAACCUGAUCAUGAAGAAUCCCAAGCAAAGUUUCCCUCUCAUUUUCCAUCAAAUCAUGUGAAGUGCCAAAUUGAAGAGCAGCUCUUGCAGCGCAAGAAUUGUCACUUUGAUUCUCCGCUCCAUACUUGCAACAAUCUUCAGCCAACUUUCUUGCUACAAUAUUUGAAUACAAAAAUAUUGUACACAAGAACCAGUCAAGAAAAUAAAAAAAAAAUCAAAUAUUAUAACGAGAGCAAGAGCAAACAAACAACCUAUUUCCAUUUGUUUCAAGCUUACUGCAACAAACCCUUCAACGCCACGGACAAUAUUCCUCUGAAAAUGCUGUGCUACAGAGCAUAUAUUCCAAAUUAUUGUUCAGAUAAAACCAUAGAAACCAUCAUAAUUAUCAACAUACAUUAAGCUCCGUUUGGUAAAUACUUGCAACUUCAGUCUAGAAAAUACAGUUGUUUGUACCAUAUUUGACAAAAUUAUUAUUUAAAAAUCAUAACUAAUUACCAAAAGCCACAAUAAAUCAAUAUCAAACAGAGUCUUAUUAUUAGCUAAAGGAGGAUGGUGCCUUAGCUGCCCUGGUGGAAUUGUAUAGAUUUUAAAGUUGUUGGUGACACUCAAUUUCAGCUUCAUGAACCGCAAUAUUUUCAAUACCAAGAUGGAGCAGAUGCUUCAAUACUGCCUGUACAAAUCAUAAAAAACUAAUAAAAAUAAAUAAAAUCGAGAAAUUUCACUAACUAAAAGUCUAAAUAUAAUUUUUGAAAAAAGAAAAGAAACGGACUUGCUGCUGCUUGGCGACUUGUUCUCGGAGCUUGAUUGCCUGUUUCUUGAUAGCUUCCAUACUGUUUCUUUCAAAAAGCAACGAUGGCUUAGCUCAUGGAGGUGGAAAAAAAAAGUGUGAUCGAGAAAAAUAAAAAGGCAUGAAUAAUUUUUGACAAAAAGCGAAAAAUAAAAAGGCAUGAAUAAUGAAUAAUUUUUGACAAAAAGCUCUUUCCAGAAAAUAAAAAAAGAAAAAAGAAAAAAGAAAAUUAUAAGUUUGAAAGGAGUAGAUGAUAGUGGAAGUGUGCGGUGUGGCUGCCAGCUACUUGGAUUGUAUUGUCGGGUAAGGUAAUAGCAGAGAAUUUUUUUUUUUGAAGAAAAAUGGGUAAUUUUUAAAAACCUCCGCUGAGGUUUGGGCUUGUUGUAAGUAGAUGGCGAGAAUCCAUUUAUUUGUAAAAAACCCCCUACGUUUUUGCUCCGCUUGGUUGCCGUUUGGGCAAUUGUGGGCAUUGUUGACAUUUCGCAAUAAAACAAAUCUUUUGCAACUUUCGUUUCCUUGAGAACAAUAGCUAGAUUUCUCAAUCUGUUUCAUCCAACACUUCAAAAAUUUCAACUUUUAUGAGUUAUUGCAUUCUCUGGCAAAGUAGACUUCUUCUAAUUUUAUCACAGUGCUUUCAGGAACAAGAAUGGGAUGCAUUAACAUCCCCUCAAAUUUUACAGCUUCCUUACAGCUAUACACUGCUGUAACACGAAGUUUAAUGAUUCCAUCGCCAAAUAGUCCCCAAAAUCUAUUCUUCCCCAUAUUGAACAACUUAAGUUCACAACACUUGCAUUCUAAAGGCUUCCCACUAACAUCUAAUAUCUCAAGACUCAACGUUGCUUUACAAUAAUUGUUAUUACUACCAAACAAACAUGAAGAAACCCCGAUUAUCGGAUAAAUCAACCCAAAAUGAACAAGAGAAGAACCCAAAACAAGUGAAUCGCUAGAGCAAAACCCCCAACCCAUAUCCCUAAUCCCACACUCAAAAAAACCCAAUUUCUCUCCAAAGUCAUUGACACUAGCAUCACUACUAGACUCUAAUUCCAAUCCUAGAUUACAUUUAAUGUUAACCCAACUAAAAUGAAUGUUCUUACUACAAUACGCAUCGUUUACACUCUCAAACAACGCGCUGAACUUACUCUUAAACGAUCCCACAUUGGUCAAACACUCAUCACUCACAUCGACAUCCAAGAAUUCACUCAAAAACUUCAUAGACUCGACAAUUGGAGAAAACAAAACCACUAAACUCAACUUUAUACAAGCAUACCCAUCGAGAAUCUUACCGUCAUUAACCGAAUCACAACAAAUGACCGGGUCCCACGCGCAGUCGUGAACGAGCUUACGCAUGGACGGGGCAACAUUUAACCCCCGCGGCAAAAACGACGAAGCUUUGGAAAAAUUGUGUUUUAGAGCUGGGUUGAGGAGUAGAGAUUGGAGAGAUUGGAAGGUGGAAUCGGGACGGUCAAAGGAUAGAGAGAUAGAAGGGAAGGGGAUCUUUAAAAGAGAAGUGGGGAGAGGGAGGAGAAGAAGGAUUUGAAAGAGAAAAGAGAGGAACGGAGAGGCGGGAAUGAGAUUAAGGUUUUCACUGCAACUAAAAGAGUAAUCAUGUAUGGCUCUUGGUCUUGGAGAUGAAGGAGAGGAUUCAGGUCGAUUAAGAGGACUAUACGCUGCAUUUUGGUGUAGUCUGCCGCCAUUGGUAGAAGUUUCGAAGUGGGUUUCUGUUUAGAUCCGAGUUUGACGAAGAAACGUGGUGGUUGCGCUUGGGACAAUAUUGUUUUUGCACUGGUCAUUGUAAAAAUUAAAUGACGGUAGGGAGUUUUUUUAUAAAUAAAUGAAUUCUCGUCAUUUAUAACAAGUCGAAACCUCAAAAAAGAUUUUAAAAAUUAGCCGAAGAUUCGAAAAAUAGUAGAGAAUUUUUUAAAAAGCUAGAACAGAGCAUGUUAGACUUUUGUGGACCAAAUUCAAAAGCCGAAGGGCACGGCCCAAAAGCUUUUGAAUACAAUAACUUACUAGAAAGCUCUAUUUUUUGUUGGCUACAGUAAAAGUAUGUUGUUUUAUGCUUCUUAUAUGUUACGCUUGCAUCAGCCUCAAUCACUUCUUAAUCGCUUGCUUUAACUGCAUCGCUCUCUGUGUACUCUUCUACACAUGUAAUGGUUAUGCGGUUGUAGUUCACGGCUGAGGCUACGUGUUGGUUUGACGCGACAGUUACGUUACGACAUUACGAGUCUGCUAAACAUUCGGUGAUAGAGCAUUAUUAGUUAUUUUAAGGGGACAAAUAAGAUUGGUUGCAAUAAACCCACUAAUAUUAUAAAAUUCGAGUAAUAUAGAAUAAAAUAAAAAAAUAAAUACAAAAUUGGCUUUUAUUUUUUAUGGUUGACUGUAUUUUGUGUUCUCUUCCGGCACUACUACAAUUGUUCCCUAUAUAUCAUCAAUACAAGAAAUGAAAUCUAAUGUCACCUAUUUAGUUAAAGAAUUACUCAUGAAAAAAUUUUACCAUUUUACUUUUUUACUUUGAGGAUCCAUAUUUUGAACUGCAAGCUAAUGUUCAUCAAGAAUCACUAAUGUUCAUAAAAAACAAGUAGAAAAACUAUUUUUGGACAAAUUAUUUUUGUUGAUAAAAGAAUUUCUUAAGGGACUACUAAUAUUAUGAAUAACAUUAUGAAUAACAAUGUAGAACACACCCACAUAUCAUCGACACAAUUGACUUUAAGGAUCCAUGCUUUGAAUUGCCACCUAAUGUUCAUCAAGAACAGAGUAUGCCUUGUGAGUAGAAAAUUUUAUGAUUUUGGUCCGAAAUAAAAAGAAAUUAAAUUAGAUGAGAAUCUGCCACUUUCUCAUAAAGAAAGGCAUACGGAGCAUACCAUGGUACCAUACAAUACAAAGAGUCUUUAUUCUCUGGUUUUUCAAACUCUGAAGGGGCCAAUAUUCCCGAAUUCCCCCUUGAAAAUUCUGAUUACGACAUUAUUCAAUUCUUGACACAAUCAAAGUAGCGAGAAAGUUAAGAAAAAUAUGAGUCCUAAGUAAUGGCUAGGUAGGGUUCUUGAGAGCAAAAUUGUCCUAAGCAUUAUAUGCAUACAUGGUGUGGUACAUAGAGCACGUUGAAUUCCACACUAUAACACAAACCCAGAAAGACAAGUAAUAACUCAACUGAUAUAAAGACAAAAAGAAGAUAAAAUGAUAUAGAAAAAAGAAUUUCAAAGAGACAGCAACAUACGAUAGACUGAAGCCACUUGAUCUGCUCACUGAUUGCAGCCUUAAACUUACAAAUAGUUACUGUACGCUAGUGCUCUAAGAAGUGAAAAUGAUAAGAGACCUAAUUUCCUUUUGACUUCCAUUUACUGUCAAACAUUCUAGUAAUACAAAAAAUUGUUUAGAUAUCUUGCUAUAAAUAUAGUCGUUUGACUGUCAUAAUAAAGUCACAAAUAACCAUUCAUAUUGAUCCACUGUCACACAGCAUGCUUUAUGCAUACAACAUCUGCAUGUAUACCAACUCCUAACCUUAUCAAUACAUUUGGCAAAAACUUAAGAAGAAAACUAUUUCUCCAUCUCUUUUUUGAAAUUUCACAAUAAACCAGCACAUUGUGAAAGCUAUGUUCUAAUCUUAUGAUAAAUGCUCUAGACUCCAAAAGGAUUUUAUUUAUGAGAGUUUGUUGCAGCAGAUAUAUUGACUUAUCAAGUAUGAAUCAUUGUCUGGAUGAACUAUCUUUAAAUAAAAGAAUAUUAGAACCACUGUAGAAUAUCUUUACGCUGCUGGUUCUAACAGGAAUCUGCAUGUGGCAACAAUUGCUAGAUCCACAAUUCCCCAACUUGAAAUACAUAGUUGCACACCGUGAGAUAGUGCUGCAAUCUACUGAGAUCUAACUUAUUUGAUACUUUAAGCUACUAAUGUUUGCAUAUUUCUACAUGUUAAAUUGACACUACCAUCUAUAAUCACCCCAAAACGACAAAUGAUAAGCAGCUUUUGGCCACUUAUUACUAGCAUCCACAACACAAUUAUAAAUAAGAGAUCAUGGGUUUACUUGUUGCAACUACUUAAUGAUCUGCAUUUGAGACCCUGACGCAAGGUUUAAAUAGUGACUGCUUAGAACCCUUGUAGUUGGAUCUUGACCUCUCCCAUUGUAGCCAAGAUUGGCUACUCUGGUAAUGAAUCAACACUCUCCUGCUUAUUUUUUUGUUUUUAAAAAAUAACGAAAUCAUAAAAUAAAUAAACACGUGUUUGGUUUUGGGCAUUUUCUUUUGUUCAUUUAAUAUCAUCUGGCUCCCUGAUUUUUUACUAAUUAACAACGGAAUCCUGUUAGUUUCUAAAUUGAAAUAAUAAAAGGUCACGAGAUUAUUUACUCCAUUUAGCACUGUAGACUUAGAGUAUAUUGAAAAAGCUUUGUCAAAUAGUAGUAAUAGGGGCAUAAUAAAUAAGUUUUUCAGAAUUUACAUAAUGUACUUGGCUCUAGGAAGAUUGCCCUCUUAUCACUCAAGUUAGGUUUUGCCUUAGAGUUGAGGUAAAUCAUUAAAAUAAAUUAUAGCUAUUACAAAUUCGUUAGGAGAAUUUCAAUUUUUUUUCCAUUAAAUGGCUAUGACGCAAAAUUACCUCAGCUUAUAUUGCAACACUAAUACUUCAAAUCCUAACAAUAAAAUUGAUGACAAUGGUUUUUAUGUAUAGUAAUUUUCACUCUUUUGUUUGAUCUAAAAGUAGUUCUUAAAAUGACAAUGAUGACUUAUUUAGAAGAAAUGGCAAACUUAUAGUUUGUAAUAUUGUUUGCACAAACAAUAAAGACUAAUUUGAUAAUAAUGAAGUGUUAAUUACUAUUUAACAUUUUUAAUUAAUUUUUAAAUUUAAAAAAAAUGAAGGCCGAAACUUGUGCAUUAAAUUUUAAUUAAAAGUUGAUUGCUUCGAAGGUUUGAUCGUGACAAAUUGACAAUUGAAAAAAGAAGUAGGGAAUAUAUAUUCUGAUGAAAGGGACAAGAUUAAGCAAGGGGACAAUAUUGUCUAUUGGACCUACAAAUGGGGGCAAAGAUCUAUAUAUUCCAAAAUCUCUUAUUUGUGGAUUGGCCACCACGUGUAACUAAUAUAAAAAGAGAAAAUUUGGCAUGGUUUUAACCGAUAUAAGGGUCCGUUUGGGAUUGAGGUGUUGUAGCUUUUAAGCUAUAGCUGUUGUGGAAAAAAAACUGUAAGUAUUAAAUAAAAGUUAAUAAUAUAUAGUAAAUAUAAAUUUUAAAUAAUAAUUUUGAUGAAAUUAUUAAAGAUAUAAUAGAUUUUCUAUUAUACAAAUGAAAAUUCAUAUCAACAUAGCUUAAAAGUUACAGCAGUUAGUGUUUACCAAACACUUUAGUGCUGUAGCUUUUAAACUACAGCUGCCCAACCUCAAUCUCAAACGCACCCUAAGAAGAGAAAAUUUUGAGUGUAUAAGAAGAGAAAAUUUUGAGUGCACAACAAGAACAAAGCAAAACCCAUGAAAAUUCACCUUUCAUGUGGGUUGGAUUGGAUAAAAUCAAUAUCUUGAAUCAAACAAAAUGUUUGGUACUUGAAGUUUUUUUUAACAUUUUCAUUUUUUUUCCAUUUAUGAAGUCCAGUUUUUUUUUAAUUUUUAUUUUUUUGAAUGAUUUUGAAGGUGUUGAUAUAAGGUCAUCGAAGGUUUGUGAACUUGGGGUGUUGAAUUAUAAGGCGAAGCGUGUGUUUUAUCCAUUUGAAGCAAGUAAAUUUCGCUGUCGGUAUGAUUACUAUUGGGCUUCUAUCUUCAAGGUAUUCAUACAUUUUCCCCUGUACUAUAAGCUUCUUAGUGGCGGUCUUGUGAGCGGAAGUGAGCGGUGUGGCUGACAGCUUCUUGAAAAUUAUAAGUUUGAACAGAGCAUGUUAGACUUUUGUUGACCAAAUUCGAAAGCCAAAUGGCACAGCUCAGAAGCUUUUGAAUUGAAUAACUUACUAGAAAGCUCCAAUUUUUUGUUGGCUACAGUAAAAAGAGGUUGUUUUAUUCUUCUUAUACUUUACGCUUGCAUCAGCUUAAAUCACUUCUUAAACGCUUUGCUUUAACUCCACCGCUUCGUACUGUUCUAUAUAUGUAUCGGGUAUGCGGUUGUAGUUCACUGCUGAGACUACGUGUUUGUUUAACGUGGAAGUUACGUUACGAGUCUGUUAAAACAUUCGGUGAUUAAAGUAUUAUCAGUUAUUUCAAAGGGACAAAUAAGAUUAGCUACAACACACACUAGUUUUAUAAAAUUCGAAUGAGAUGGAAUAAAAUAAAUAAGUAAAUUGACUUUUAAUUUAGUGUUUGAAUAUAUUUUGUAUUCUCUUUGGGCACUGCUGUAAUUGUUCCUUAUCACACCCAUAUGUUAUAGACACAAGAAAUGAAAUUUAAGAUCACCAGUUUAAUUAAAGAAUCACUCAUGAAAAAAUUUUGCCAUUUUGAUUUGAGGAUCCACAUUUUGAACAACCAACUUAUGUUCAUUAAGAACAAAGCAUUGCCUGUGAGUAGAAAAAUGAUUUUUGAACAAAUUAUUUUUUGUUUAUAGAAGAAUUUCUCAAGGGACUAUUAAAAUUACUAAUAAAAAUGUCAGACACACCCAUGUACCAUCGACAAAAUUAACUAUGAGGAUCCAUGUUUUGAACUGCCACCGAAUGUUCAUCAAGAACAUAGUAUAACUUGUGACAAGAAAUUUUUUUGAUUUUGGCCUGGAACAAAAUGAAAUUAAAUUGAAGGAGAAUCUACUACUUUCUCAUUAAGAAAGGCAGACGGGGCAUACCAUGGUACCAUACAAUACAAAAAGUUUCUGUUCUCUGGCUUUUCAAACUCUGAAGGGGGUAAUAUUCCCCAAUUCCCUUGUGAAAAUUCUGAUUACGACAUUAUUCAUCGCUUGAUACAUAAGUAAAAGUAGUGAUAAAAUUAGAAAAAAUAUGACUUAUAAGUAAUUACUAGGCAGGGCUCUUGAGAGCAACAUUGUGCUAGGCUUUAUAUGCAUACAUUGUGUGGUACAUUCUACACUAUAACACAAACCCAGAAAGACAAGUAAUAUCUCAACUUAUAUAAAGACAAAAAGAAGAUAAAACGAUACAGAACAAAGAAUUUCAAAGAGACAGCAACAUACAAUAGACUGAAGCCAGUUGAUCUGCUCGUUGAUUGCAGCCUUAAACUUGCAAAUGUUUACUGUAGCCUGGUGCUCUAAGAAGUGAAAGUGAUGCAAACCUUGAUUCCCUGUUUACUUCCAUUUACUGUCAAACAUUCUAUUCAUACGAAAAAAAUUGUUUAGAUAUCUUGCCGUAAAUAUAGCCAUUUGAUUGUCUUAAUAAAGCCACACACAACCAUUCAUAUUGAUCCACAUUGCCAUAUAGCCUGAUUUAAGCAUACAACAGCUGAAUGCAUACUGACUCCUAACCUUAUCAAUACAUUGGAGACAACUUAAGAAUAAAACGAUUUCUCCAUCUCUUUUUUUGAAAUUUCACAAGAAAACAGCACAACGUAAGAGCUGCAAUGAAAAUGGACCGUCAGGAACUAUGGCGGAAGCUUCAACUAGUGUAGUGAUUUGACCUUCUUAUUAACUUAGCGAUAUCAAGCACUGCCCUUCAUCUUGAACAGAUCAAUACAAUACGCACAACUUAUGAUUGAAUCCAGAAACAAUCAAAUCUUUAGCAAGAAAAAUUAAUCAGAAUCAAGAAACAAGUUCAAUGAAUAUAAACCUAUAAUUGGAACAAACACAGCCAAAGAACCCAAGAAUGACACAACCUACACCACGGGAGAAGCUUUCCAGUGAGAUUUUAUUGAUGAUCAAAGAAGAAUCUUUUUACAAAGCUAACAAAAGAGAUUUCAGAGAAUAAGCUAUGACUCUCUCUCUUCAAUCUCUCUCUCUUCAAUCUCUCUCUAGUUUAUUCACAGUGAUGACCCCAAUCUGCUUCGUUAGCCAGCUUCAUAACUGCGUCAGUGACAAACUAGCAAACCCAGAUUGAGCAGAUUACCGACACGUGGAUAACGGCUAUUAAGAACUUGGUUAAAGAACUGCUCACAUAUUCGUCACGCGUGUUACUUAAAUGAUGGCCAAAACGACUUCAACCAGAUGCCGUUUUGAAGCUUGUGAAUUAUAAUUGAAAACACGUGCUUGUCUCGUGACACUUAAAUACAACAACAAGCCCAAAACACUGCUGUUAUCCACCUCUCCAGCUAGUGUGCUUAUUGAGUCCCAGUAGUUGAUAUUCCAAAACAGGGUGUUCAAAUACAAAUUCCAAUCCACUUCACCUAAAUUUAAUACAAGCCAUCUUGAAGGCUCUAACUUGGGAAGGGACACAAGUCCCAUAACCACAAAAGGAAGGAGUGAGAAAAUCCCUAAAAGAACAGCAGCCCAUCCCACAAUGGUUAGACCCCUAUAGUUCAUGAAAGUGAGAACAAAAGUCAAAGCUAACACCGCAAAGGCUCUAGGUAACCCAUCGCCCAAAGCAGGGAUACCAGACUUAAAGUAGUCAAGAAACAGAACUGGGUAUAAAGCAUUAUCAAUAACCCCACUUAGCCAUUUCAUCCAAACUUGCUGAAAACCUCAAUAUGGGCCUAAGGCAGAUGAAACCCAACCCACAUAACCACAAUUUCAGGAAACACGGUACCCAUCUCGGCAGUAAUUNNNNNNNNNNNNNNNNNNNNNNNNNNNNNNNNNNNNNNNNNNNNNNNNNNNNNNNNNNNNNNNNNNNNNNNNNNNNNNNNNNNNNNNNNNNNNNNNNNNNAAACACCAAGAAACCAAGAAGUGCUAAAAGAGGACCAGCUGCCUUUACACUAUCCUCAACACCAAACGGCCCCCCAGAAACCUCAUAGAAUAUAAGGAAAAUAAGUGGCAAGAUUGAUACUUUUUUAGUGCCAUGGACUCCAGGAGAAGAUGGUUGGUCAUUGAUAUUAACAUAUUCAACAGCAUCAGACUGCCCCAUUUCUACUGAAACUUGCCUAUUUACAGUGUUCAUCAAUUUCUGCAUCAAGUUUUAGCAUAACUAUCAAAAGGGUAUCCGCAUGUAAAUUAUGAAACAAAAUGAGCAUUUACUUAUUAAAAAAAAAUAAAAAACAGAAAUGGAUUUCACAGAACACAUGAACUUAAGUUCAACAUUAAACAGGCGCUUAAGAAAACAAAAGGGUCUGUUCGUAAAGCCAUCAGAUUGCAAGAUUGAACAACAUUAACGGAAUCAAUAGAAUAGAUGUAAAGAGAUCUGAAAAGAAAAUAAAAUAAAAGAUGAAGAGAGAUAAAACGAACCAUCAAAUAAGUGCAUGCAGAGCAGAGAGGCAGAUGCUAGAGGAGCUCCGUCAUGUUAGAGAGAGCCUAAAUCAAUCAGAGCUCACUGAGUUUCUUUUCAACCGACCGGCAAAUUUGGAGUGGCACAACAUAAUAUUUUUGCUUUUAAUUUUUGGAACACUUUUGAAUGGAAUUUUAAAAAAAAAAAAAGGUAAGGGAGAUUUGUAUUUAUUUAGCCUUAUAUUUUUUAAAAUAUUUUUAAAAUAUUUUUAUUAAUAUUUUUAUUAUAUUUUUUAAAUUUUUAAAUUUAUUUUUAUAAUAUUAUUUUUUUAUAAUAAUUUUUUAUUUAGAUAUUAAUAAAAAAAAUUAAAUUAACAAUUUAAUCCCAAAAUAAAUAAACACGUGUUUGGUUUUGGGCUUUUUCUUUUGUUCGUUUAAUAUCAUCUGGCUCCCUGAUUUGUGACUAAUUAUCAACGGAAUCCCGUUGGUUUCUAAAUUGAAAUAAUAGAAGGUCAUGAGACUAUUUACUCCAUUGAGCACUGCAGACUUAGAGUAUAUUGAAAAAGCUUUGUCAAAUAGUAGUAAUACGGGCAUAAGAAAUAAAUUAUAACUAUCACAAAUUCGUCAGGAGAAUUUCAAUUUUUUCCAUCAAUAAUGGCUAUGAAGAAAAAUUACCUUAGGUUAUAUUGCAACACUAAUACUUCAAAUCCUGAUAAUAAAUUUGAUGACAGUCGUUUUUAUAUAUAGUAAUUUUCGCUCCUUUAUUUAGUUUAAAAGUUGUUCUUAAAAUGACAACGAUGACUUAUUUAGAAGAAAUGGUAAACUUAUAACUUGUAAUAUUAUUUGCACAAACAAUAAUAAUGAAGUGUUAAUUACUACUUAACAUUUUUAAUUAAUUUCUAAAUUUAAAAAAAAUAUGAAAGUUGAUUGCUUCGAAGGUUGGAUCGUGACAAAUUGACAUUUGAAAAGAGAAGUAGGGAAUGUAUAUUCUGAUGAAAGGGACAAGAUUAAGUAAGGGGACAAUAUUCUCUAUUGGACCUACAAAUGGGGGGAAAGAUAUAUAUAUAUUUUAAAAAAAAAUUCUUAUUUGUGGAUUGGGCACCACGUGUAACUAAUAUAAAAGGAGAAAAUUUAGCAUGGUUUUAACAGAUAUAAGAAGAGAAAAUUAACUGUUCAAACAAAUUAGAAGCAAAUUCUUUCAUAUCUUUCUUUUAUUUUUCCGCUUACUUUCUUAGCAUCCAAACAAGUUAAAGUUAAAACGCUGUUGAGCCAACAAUAUGCAGGCAUCAAUAAGCAUAGUAGUUUUGUAUAUGUAUUCUAUUCGAUAUUCUGGGGAUGUCAAUUGUAGAACAUUUUGUGGUAACUUUUUUACAUUAAUUAAUGUUUGAAGAACUUGUUAAAAAGAAAAUGGUAAUUUUAUCAUUUUGAAAGACCAAAAAAAAAAAAAAGAGUGAAAGUGGCGUUACCUCAUGGUCAUUAGAGACUUGUUGCAAUGAUAGAUCAAAAUUAAAAAUUUGUGAAGAAUUAGUAGACAACGACAAUACUAUAUUUAUACAGUCACCAACGUGUUGAUUUUUGUUUAAUGUUUGAUCGAUAGAAACUUUCGUCGUCGUCGCCGUUGUUGAAUUCAUGCUUAGAAUACCACAAGAGAAGAAGAAGGGAGGAAAGGGAAAAGAAGAAGAGAGAAGUGGUGGAUAGCAAAUAUGAUAUGCUAGCUACACACAGGCCUUAGAGAGUUUUUUUUUUUUAAUAUUUAUUGUAUUUUUGUUUUUGUUAUUGGUUUGUCAUAUGCUUCCAAUGCAACAAUGCGUUACAUCAUAAAUUGCACCUUUUAGGGGAGGUGGUAAAAAACAUGAGAGCAAUGCAUUCUAGCGCAUACAUGCAGAAAGAGUUUCCAAAUUUUCAAAAGUUUCUUUAUUUCUUCCACCUUUUUUUUUGCUUAAAAUAAAUUUUAAUUGUAUUUUGCAUUAACUUAGAGAAAAAAAAAAACCAGUUCUAUACAUAAACGCGUACAUUGAUUAGAAAAUGAGUUUUAUGGACACAAAGGGACAAUAUAAGAGAUUCUUUUUGUUUAUUAGAAGUAACAUAACUAGUUAGUGUAACAUGUAAUUAUAAGCUACCAAGAAUUUGCACUGAUGGUAAUUAACAGUACAGAUUUUGAGCUAUGAAUGUCUUGUGGCUAGUUUAAUUGGAUUUUCGAGUUUUCAGCAAACCUAUUUUAAUGAUUAUUAAAUUAUUUUCACUUCUUAUGCCUUAAUAAAAAAAUUCAAUAUUUUUUGCUGUAUUCUAUAUUUUAAAACUUAAUUUUUAAUUCUUUAUAUUGCAAACCAAACUGAGUCAAACAGAGUAUGCUCUUCAAAGAAUUUUUUCCACUGCCUUCAAGAAGAAUUCAUUUUGUUUCUAUAUAUUAAUUUAACACUUGUAAACCGGGCCGUCGGAUUGCACAUAAAGCAAAUGAUCAAACCGUUACAAGACCGGCCCAGGCCCACCGACUCUAUUUUCUUUCAUUUGACCAUAAAAAAGCUUUUGGCCACCCCCACCAAAAAAAUAAGCUCUUGUUCUCUUUUGUUCCCUCUCAAAGGAAAAUAUCUGAUCACCGGAUAAUGAUUCCGGUGACACAAAAGAUCGAAACACCCCCCUAAAUUCCCUAAAUUUACGAUAAUACCCCACCAUGGAUGAUUCCGUUGAAAUGCCGCCUUACGAUGAAAGGCCUAAAAAGGAUUUUAACUUCACCUCCAUGCGCUUGAUCUUAACCCUCGUUUUCCAAAUUUUAACUUGCUUUUUGUUGGCAUUUUUUAUUGGAAUCGUAGCUGUUUUAUUCGGCGAAUCAUCAGUUUCCAGUUCCAUUUUUGUCCCUUCCCAGUGCAAGAUAGUGUCCAGCAGUAAGCUUUUUUUAACAUUUUCAAUUUUUUUUCCAUUUAUGAAGUCCAAAAUUUUUUUUAAUUUUGAUUUUUUUGAAUGAUUUUGCAGGUGUUGAUAUAAGGUCAUCAAAGGUUUGUGAACUUGGGGUGUUGAAUUAUAAGGCGAACCGUGCCUUUUAUCCAUUUGAAGCAAGUAAAUUUCGCUGUGGUAUGAUUACUAUUGGGCUUCUAUCUUCAAGGUAUUCAUACAUUUUCUCAACUUUAAUUACUUACCUGUACUAUAAGCUUCUUAGUGGCGGUCUUGUGAGCGGAAGUGAGCAGUGUGGCUGACAGCUUCUUGAAAAUAUAAGUUUGAACAGAGCAUGUUAGACUUUUGUUGACCAAAUUCAAAAGCCAAAUGGCACAGCUCAGAAGCUUUUGAAUUGAAUAACUUACUAGAAAGCUCCAAUUUUUUGUUGGCUACAGUAAAAGGAUGUUGUUUUAUUCUUCUUAUACUUUACGCUUGCAUCAGCUUAAAUCACUUCUUAAACGCUUUGCUUUAACUCCACCACUUCGUACUGUUCUAUAUAUGUAUCGGGUAUGCGGUUGUAGUUCACUGCUGAGACUACGUGUUUGUUUGACGUGGAAGUUACGUUACGAGUCUGUUAAAACAUUCGGUGAUUAAAGUAUUAUCAGUUAUUUCAAAGGGACAAACAAGAUUAGCUACAACACACACUAGUUUUAUAAAAUUCGAAUGAGAUGGAAUAAAAUAAAUAAGUAAAUUGACUUUUAAUUUUAGUGCUUGAAUAUAUUUUGUAUUCUCUUUGAGCACUACUGUAAUUGUUCCUUAAAUGCCAGUCACACCCAUAUGUUAUAGACACAAGAAAUGAAAUUUAAGAUCACAUGUUUAAUUAAAGAAUCACUCAUGAAAAAAAUUUGCCAUUUUGAUUUGAGGAUCCACAUUUUGAACAACCAACUUAUGUUCAUCAAGAACAAAGCAUUGCCUGUGAGUAGAAAAAUGAUUUUUGAACAAAUUAUUUUUUGUUAAUAGAAGAAUUUCUCAAGGGACUAUUAAAAUUACUAAUAAAAAUAUCAGACACACCCAUGUACCACCGACAAAAUUAACUAUGAGGAUCCAUGUUUUGAACUGCCACCGAAUGUUCAUCAAGAACAUAGUAUAACUUGUGAGAAGAAAAUUUUCUGAUUUUGGCCUGGAACAAAAAGAAAUUAAAUUGAAGGAGAAUUUGCUACCUUCUCAUUAAGAAAGGCAGACGGGGCAUACUAUGGUACCAUACAAUACAAAAAGUUUCUGUUCUCUGGCUUUUCAAACUUUGAAGGGGGCAAUAUUCCCCAAUUCCCUUGUGAAAAUUCUGAUUACGACAUUAUUCAUCGCUUGAUACAUAAGUAAAAGUAGUGAUAAAAUUAGAAAAAAUAUGACUCAUAAGUAAUUACUAGGCAGGACUCUUGAGAGCAACAUUGUCCUAGGCUUUAUAUGCAUACAUUGUGUGGUACAUUCUACACUAUAACACAAACCCAGAAAGACAAGUAAUAUCUCAACUGAUAUAAAGACAAAAAGAAGAUAAAAUGAUAUAGAACAAAGAAUUUCUAAGAGACAGCAACAUACAUAGACUGAAGCUAGUUGAUCUGCUCAUUGAUUGCAGCCUUAAACUUGCAAAUGUUUACUGUAGCCUGGUGCUCUAAGAAGUGAAAGUGAUGCAAACCUUGAUUCCCUGUUUACUUCCAUUUACUGUCAAACAUUCUAUUCAUAAGAAAAAAAAUGUUUAGAUAUCUUGCCGUAAAUAUAGCCAUUUGAUUGUCUUAAUAAAGCCACACACAACCAUUCAUAUUGAUCCACAUUGCCACAUAGCCUGAUUUAUGCAUACAACAGCUGAAUGUAUACUGACUCCUAACCUUAUCAAUACAUUGGCGACAACUUAAGAAGAAAACUAUUUCUCCAUCUCUUUUUUGAAAUUUCACAAUAAAACAGCACAAUGUAAGAGCUGCAAUGAAAAUGGACCGUCUGGAACUAUGGCGGAAGCUUCAACUAGUGUAGUGAAUAUAAACCUAUAAUUGGAACAAACACAGCCACAGAACCCAAGAAUGACACACCCUACACCGCGGGAGAAGCUUUCCAGUGAGAUUUUAUUGAUGAUCAAAGAAGAAUCUUUUUACAAAGCUAACAAAAGAGAUUUCAGAGAAUAAGCUAUGACUCUCUCUCUUCAAUCUCUCUCUAGUUUGUUCACAGUGAUGACCCCAAUCUGCUUCGUUAGCCAGCUUCACAACUGCGUCAGUGACAAACUAGCAAACCCAGAUUGAGCAGAUUACCGACACGUGGAUAACGGCUUUUAAGAACUUGGUUAAAGAACUGCUCACAUAUUCGUCACGGGUGUUACUUAAAUGAUGGCCAAAACGACUUCAACCAGAUGCCGUUUUGAAGCUUGUGAAUUAUAAUUGAAAACACGUGCUUGUAUCGUGACACUUAAAUGCAACAACAAGCCCAAAACACUGCCGUUUCACUUUGUUGAGUUUGCCAUCUCUAAGCUUCACAACUAGCAACGGAGAAGAUGAUAAUUAAAUUGACAUGGAGAGUUUUUAUAUCACUUUUACAACAUUCUAUAUAAUUGUGAUAUUGGGAAUCGUCGAUGUUGUAUAUGUGAACUCUCGUUGGUGACACUGGUGGUUUUAUUUUUGUUGAAAUAUGGAUGACAUUUCGUUACUAUUUUAUUGUACACAACAUUUUGUUACUAUUAACAUGUUAGUUUCAUUAGCCACUAGGCCUUUGGCUGAGUCGUUCGGGUGUCUGCCCUCCAACUUGGAGGGCAGCAGUUUGAACCCCCACAAGCGCAAUGUGGGGUAUUUCCUUCUUUAAUCCCUCGAAUAUUAGUGAAGGUUAAAAUCUAGGCAGAACUCCAUAAGUAUUGAUGUAAGUUGGUUUCAGUAAUAGUCUAAUUUGUAAAUAUCAGUUAUAAUCUCAUAUAAGAUGAGUUGUAAUUUAAGCAAUAGUCUCAUAGAAUAAUAAUAAUAAUAAACAUGUUAGCUUCAUUACAUUUUUCUUCGUUAAAAUUCUCAAGUAUUAGUCAGGUUUGCUAAAGUAAUAAAAUUUUGCCAUUAAAAUUGUAGUAGUAUUUCUGAGCACCUCACAUUUUCAAUGAUUUUUCAUAAAUCAAUUAAUCUGUCGUACCGAUAUCAGGUUUAGUUUUUCAUACUAAACAAUCAAGAAAGCAAACAUACGAAUUCACAGUUUAGAGGGGUAAACUAGGUAGGUGGUUUAGAUUUUAGAACUAGGCUAGCUACCCCACUAAAUUCCAAUUUGUACAGUGAACUACAAGAAAUUGAGAAAACAGUGUAUUUAUAGUUUAAUUGAAUCGUGAGAAAGCAAUGUAGUCAUAGCUCAAUCUGAGAUGAUCACGGAGAGUCGGAGAGGCAUAUUCUUUUCAAGUUAAUUUGAUCAAUUUAUAAGAGAUGAAGUGGAUUGAAGUUAAAAGUUUAAAUAACAAAUCCUCGUUCUUGAGUUUUACGACGUCGUUACUCCUUCAAGAGGCAGAUUAUUUAUGCAAGUGAAUGCAGAAACGCAAUGCAUCAUCCACGGGGAUGGUACAUCAAAAGGCGGGAUCAUAGUCUAUGCCCGCAGAUUAACAAUUUCGCUCAUAUAGAAAAUUAAUUUUUUAUAUAUACUAAUCAACACUAAAUUGAUUAUGUUUUGUAUGUUUAUAUGCGAAUCAACACUAAAUUAUAUUAAAUGAAGAAAUAAUUCAAUUUUUUCUAAUUUAAUUUAGAAAAUAAAAUUAUUAACAUUAAUAUUCCCAACAAAAAUUAUUUUCCAUUAGUAUUCAAAGCUUCACUUAUGGAAAAUGUGUUUUACAUGAAUAUUAGUUACCGUGUAAAUUUGAAUGAUAGUGAAAAAUAAUUUUUUAAUUAUUGUAAAAAUAAUUAACCAUAUCAAAUCCCUUACGUAAAUAAUUUUUAUUUUGAAAGAUGGUUAAUGCACAAGCAAAUUUUAAGCCCCUCUCUUCUUGGCCUAAGAUUCAAACUCAGAUGACUAGUUAAAUAAACCUAUGUGAAAAUCAUUCGGCCAGGUCCGCGGGGCAAAAAUACAAGAUCCUUAAUUUCAUAAUAUAUAUGAAUUAAUGUCAUUUACUUGAAUUAUCCAAAUUCAUCAGAGGUUAACGAGUUUUCCUGACAUGUAGCAGAUGAAGUUGUUGCUUCCUUCUUGGCAUUAUUUCAGCUCUGGUUGUUGGUCCCGAUGAGCUUUGGUCUUAUUUUAAUUUUAUUUAAACUCAUCAUAAGAUUCGUGGAGCAGCUAACUGACUUAACUGACUGUGCAGAAAUGUCACAUAGCAUAUUUAACCGUUUUAACAGUAAUUUUGAACGGUCUUCGCAGUUAUCAUCUACAAACUCGUUCGUGUUGGUCCACUAGGUGAAGUUUUUGAAAUAAUAAUAAGCUCCCAUUCUUGAUUUUAAAAAAUGUGCUUAUAAUAAUUUUAGAAUAAUGGCUUAUUUAUAGAACAACUUAUGAUUUCCCAUUAGCAUUAUUAUUGAAGUGGGGUGGAUAACGGUUCACUCAAUUCGUCGGGAAUCAAAAAUUACCAUCCAAGGCAGAAUUGUGGAAAAUUAAAGCGAAAUGAGAAAUAUGGAAAUGAAGGAAGAAAGUUAAGGCAUGAAAGACUUCCAGUUGAAAUUGAUAAUCAUGUUUCUCUUUGGUAACUAAUCAAAUGGGAAACUGAACCAUAAACAGACAUUAAAACGUGUGGACUCCGCUAGCUGCCUUACAAGCCUACAAUAAUAACUGAGUACCUUUGAUUCAUCCUUCUAUGAAUUUCUAGCCGUAUUGACUCCACCGAAAUUUCCACAAAAAAAAAAAAAAAAAGAAUUUCCACAAAAUGCAAAACGCAUGGAACUUAAUUUUUGGCCCUGUGAUCACUAAGAUACAAUCCUUCUAGUGAAGAGCAAUCAGGCAAAUUUUUUUAGAUCUCUCCGACAAAGUGAUUACCAUCUAAUCGCAAUAUUGAAUAAAAAUAAAAUUUUUAAUGGGAGUUUGACCUUAAAUUUAGAAAAUGAAUUUUAACUUUCUUCAAUUAUUAAACAGAUUACAGACAUUUGAGGAAUUUGAAAACACUUUAUCCAUCGAAAGUUAAAAUUAGAGAUGGAAGCUAGGUGCUACAGCUAAUGGGAUCAUUAAUUCCCCUCCCUCAAAUGUGUAGUUGUUCCUCUUUCCACAGCAUAAGCCUUAUAGUUAGAGUUUCUUUUAAAAAAAAUGUUAAACAAUUUCGGUUGAGCAUGGUUUUGGUAGUUGAAUAGACACCUCCGCAGUACCUCAAACAAAACUGUCAUUAUUCGUGUCAUGAAACAUGUUUCGGCCGUCAAAGUCAUGAGUAGGAGUGUGCAUGGGUUGGUUUGGGUUACAUUUUAAGUCAAUUCAAAGCAAACCAUAAAAAUUUGGGUUCAAUCCAAACCAACCUAAAUAUUUUUAACCCAACCCAAACCAACCUAUUUGGGUUUGGUUUGAAUUUUAUAAUUAAAAUAUUUUUUAUUUUAAUAAAUUUAACUAUAUCAAAUUAUAAUAAUUAUUAAAUUAAUAUUAAAAUACGAAAAAAUGUAGUGGAUAAAAAUUAUGAAUAAUGGAUUUUACAAUAACUUUGUUCUUAAAUAUUAACCAUAUUACAACAUAAAUUCUAACAAUGUCAAUACAAAUUAAAGUAAGAUAAGAUAUCUCAACUCAAGUAUCAAAGCAAUCCAUCAAAAUUAAAUUAUUUAAUUUUAUAAAUUAAAAUCAUCUGAGAAAUAAAUCUAAAAUUUAUUGUAAUUAGAAAAGCGCCAAAAUUUUAAACACAGUAAGAAAAAUUAGAUAUGAAAUCUAAUUAGGUUUAAAUUUAAUUAAAAAAUAAUAAUAGAAUCAUAUUUUAUUUGAUAAAACCUUAAAAUCAAUUGCAUUUUUAAUUUUAGUAAGUUACAAUACAAAUAGGAUUAUAAAAUUAUAUUACAGGAUUUCAUAAAAAUAUUGUUUGAGUAAUUUAUUAAAGGACUCACCUACGUUGCCACAGUUGUAGCUUACCACGCUUUUUGUCUUUUUCCAGUAAAAUCGUAGAUGCUUUCAAAUUUAAUCUAACGGCUGCAAUUAAUUAUUAGAUAAUUUAAUCAGCCAUUGGCAACCUUUACAACCGGUUAUAUUCUCUCGUUAGAUUUCUCGGCUACCAAAUAAUCCCCAAGAAAAUGACGAAGUGAGUAACUAAUACGCACACCGCAGAGAAAGAUGACAGGAGAAGAGAUGACGGUAGGCUCACCGGCACAAAGGUUCUUCGAUUGCUCUAUUUCUUCGGCGCUGGAUUUAUCUACACAGCUACAAUCGACAAGUGGCGGGAACUCGAGCGGAAGUCAUUGAAGAAGAAACAGCAAGAGAGCAAUCUAUGGACUGAUGAUAACUCAGCAACUACGGUAAAGAAAGCCAUCAAAUGAUCUUUUUUAUUUGACUUUUGAUGGAUUUUCAAGAGUUUUGGUAAUAAAAUGUCUCUUAGUUUUUCAUUUCAAUGGCCUAUUGUUUGAGUUAUUAUUAUGCAUAAUUGUUGGAAGAGUUAGGGUUUUACUAUUGGAUUUUGGAAUUUGUAUUUUGGCUUUGAUAUGUUAUUGUUGUGAUGUUGGUCAAGAAAUUUUUGACAACACUCUCCUCGAGUUUGAUACUAUAGCUAAUGAAUUUUUACGGCAGAUAUAUUCUUUUCUUUGAAAAAAAAAACACUUUACAACCGGUUAUGCAUUCAUUUAGGAGCUGUUAACUGAGCGUGAGUUCCAUAAUUUUCCAACCAGUGGUUAGGGUUUCACAGAAAAAUGUCGACAUUGAUCUUUAGGCAGCACUUAAGACUGAAAUUGGUUGUAGAGGAUUGAAUUUGGGGGACUAGAAAUUUCUGAUCAUUAAUAAUUGAAAAUGGCCUCUCACUUGUAGGCAGUUGUUGGAUGUAAUGUAUCCAGUUUCUGAAAUCGAAAGCAGAGUGAGUUCUUAGGUUAGAUGUACCUACAUGCAUUAAGGUUCGAAGAUGUAGAAUAGGCCAAUUGUUUGAUGUCAGCUUUGUUGCACAUGUUCUGAAAUUGAUCAUUUAAGAUGGCUUGGAAGCACUCCGUGAUGUGACUAAGAAGAUUCGAGGAAGUAUUAAAUAUGUUGAAAGUUCACAAUUAAUACAAGGAAAGUUCAAUGAGAUCACCUAGCAAGUUGAAAUCAACAGUCAAAAGAGCCUAAAGUGUGAUAUUUUUCUCUUGGAUUGUUUUUUUAUUUUCCAUUUCAAAGCUGAUAGUGUAAAUAUUUUGUUUGCAAAAGUUUCUAAAAAGUACUUGAGUCAAGAUGGUUAGGUAUUUUAUAACUUCCUUUUUACUUUUAACUAGAUUCAUAGAGAGUUAUAACAUUAACAUAAUUUUUUCUUUUAAAAGUGAUCAAUUAGACACUGAUGAGAUAUCUCACUUUUGAAUCAUUUAGCUUUAUGUAAUUUCAUUACUAUUAUAUGCCCCCAGGAAUUGUUGAAGUAUAUAUAUCUUGGCAUUUCUUCACUGACUGAAUUAUCUUUCAUAAUAUUCCAGCUUCAAAUGGGUACACUGCAGAGCCUAUUGGAUGCAGAAUUCCUUCUAGCUCAUAUGUGCUCUGUAAAAUUCAAAGACUGAAUAGUGGUUAUGGCAACUCUUUGUAGAUGAUCUAAGGUAUAAUGCCCAAUUAUUGCUUUUGCUUUAUCUGUUUUACCUUGCAACAUUUUGAAAUUUAUGAGAAGCAUAAAAUUACUGUGCCAAAAUUGAGGAUCUGAACUUUCGUAAAAAUAUUUGUAUUUUUAAAUUAUAAAAUAUUGCAUUUGAUGCUUUAGGUGGAACUUAGUUCACUACAGAAAGGAAAAUUAUGUUGGGCAUAACCAGAUGUUUUUCAAGAGAAAAUUUCACUGAUAUUUUUCUGAGGAUUUUACUUGGCCAUCUUAUUUCAAGCUGCUUGAAUUUUUUCUUUAUAUCAUCUUGGUUGUAUACUAUAACUCAUUGAAUUUGCUAGCACUUUUGCUAGUUGUUUAUUCUAUAUGUGAUUGUGGUGGUAAAGUUUGGAAGCUCAAAAAGUAAUGGAACUUAGGAAGAGUAUGACAUAGAAUGCUGGAUAGAAUCAAAAUAAUCAUUCUUCAGGCAUCCAAAGAUGAUGUAUUCAAAAUAGCUAGUUUUGACUUUUGAGGCCGUAUAAAUAACUAUUAUCUCACAUGGUUACAUUAUGAUAGGUAGGCACUAGCUUAAUAACUCCAAUUAACUUGAAGUUGUUACCUGAUUUAUUAUGACAGUGUGCAUUACGAUAAGUAUCCUUGCAUAUUAAGAUUUUCCUUCCAGAUCUUUGCGGUACUUUUGAUCUUUUCCGACAUGAUAUGCGAUUAUGGGAAGCAUAUGCCAUCACCUUACAGGUAUUCUCUUAAUUUUUAGAUAGUGCUCAAGAUGACAUUCAAGUUGGCUAUUAUUGGGUGCAAGAUUUACCAUGCUCUUAUUUUGCUUUUUUAGUCUAACCCGACAUUUGCUUAAUACCAUGAUCUGCUUCAAGCCUUGGAUGAAAAACUUUCAUUUUUUGUAUAUUCUGCAAUGAGAUGAGGGUAGUUUUUCUGAUGAUAUUUGGCAGUAAAUUGGGACUAACUAAAGUAAUUUUCUUAAUUGCAUGUCUACUUCUCAGAUGAAUGACCGUCUGUUCAGACUCCCAAGUGAUGAAUUAACAACCACCGAUCUAUUCUGGGUGAAGAUGAUGACGUUGACACCAAGCCAGUGGAAUGACUAGGACUUCCCUUUUGUUACAAUAAAUUGCGUUCAUUAGACACACGCAGUUAAUUAGUGUAGAUAAAGGAGGUCUAUGCACUAUAGACUGUUUUGUAUUUCGAGAGUCCUUUUUUUGUUUCUUUCAUUCUCCAUUCUUUUGAAAUUAUGUACAAUGGUUAUAGUCUGUAUUAUUACGGAUUUAUGAUGGGAGUAUCCUAAGUUUAUGGAAUAAUUAUAAAUAAGGACUUUAAAUUUUUGUUGAAAGAAGUUGAGUGAGAGAAAAGAAGCUAAAGCAGUAAGCAUUUGUUAUACUUCAUUCGAUUGUAUCUAAAUUACAAAGGUUGGUGGCCUUAUUUAUAGUGAAGUUCCCACAGGCCACUUGCACUCAAAACAUUCGAAAUAUGCAAACAUAUUGAUAUAUAAACAUACAGAAUUAAUAUUCUGGAUCCUUGUAAGUAAUGCAAAUAAAAGUGAGGUUGGGGCAGACAAUAUUUACAUCAUGUAUUAAUAGAAAUAAAAUCAAUUAUUUCCAAAUAAAGUCACUUAGUUCAAAGCACGGGCUUCGGUUAAGUUGAACAAGCAAGCCAAUUUUUGUUGUUACUUCAUGAUUGUCGUAAGCUGUGGGUAGUGGAUCGUGUUCCCUAUAAAAGACAAACAGAAGCAUGUCUACUAACUUGGUCAUUCCUCCAUGAACUAAACCCUUCUGAGGAUCUUGAAUAGAUUUAUAGAGAUCUCAGAUAAUUUCCUCACGGUGUGCCUGAGUAAAGACAAGUCUUAUGUACUUGAUUACUUCUGGCCAAUCCAUCGAGGCCACCACCUGUCUCAGUCAAUUCAAUCUUUUAAUAGAGUGAAUUACUAGAAUAAAAUUGAUUAAAGUUGAUAUAAAAUCUAAAUUAAAAAAAUCAGAUAAGAGAAUGAUCCAAAAUCCAAAAAAUGAAAUAUUUAAGGAGUGGACUUGUGACCCUCUAUAGAAUCCAUGGAAGAGUAACUAAGGGAAAAACAUUAGAGGUACUUUUGGCGAUACUAUUAGUAUUCUUGUGUUGAUCAUAAUCUUGGGGGUAGAUCUAGACUAAUUAGCUAUUCAUUGAACAUUCCAUUUCUCCACAAUUACAUGCAAAAGUGCACCUUGCAGUUGCAGCCUAGACCAUAGAAAUAUAGAUUUCCAAUUAUCAACACCUAAAGCUACUGUAGUGACUUGCAACCAUGAGAUGAUAUAUAAAUAUGCUGAGAUUCAAAUAUUUGAGAAGUUUAAACAUCCUGAUGAAAAAUAGACUAGUUCACAGCUACUUUGGGGAAAUUGAUUUCUAAUAGCAGUAGAAAAUACAAGUUUUUUUAAACAUCCCUACUCUAGUAAACUCAAUUAACCAAAACAAAACUCAAAGCAUGAAAAAGAGGGAUUUUAACUAACCUAAUCAUUAUCAUUGAUAUUUUAACAUAUUGAUCUUCACAUGGAGUUAACAAACACAAGACUUAGUGCCUAGUACAUAUGUCUGGGGUUGCACAGUCUGUUCGACAAAUUUAUUGAAACUAUAUCCAUGCUCCUUCUUCAAUUUUUUCUCCAAUAAAUAAAUAUCCUCUUGCUUCUUCCAUCCUACUCUAAUUCUUCCUGGAAAGCAUUCUCCCCUUCUCUAAUUCUUCCGAAAAAACAUAACCGACAAUCCUAAACUAAUUACCACCGUUAAAUCUUUCAAACAAAAUUUACAAUUUCUUAUCAGUAGUUUCCUGCCGCAUCCGAUCGAACGGCUCAUCAACGAAUCAAACAGACUUCUUUCCACCCUUUUUCCAUAUAAUUACAUUUGCCUAAUUCCUAAAGUUUCGGCUCCGCCCAAUGUCGGCCGCAAUUGGCUGCCGCAGCGAUAUGUUCAUCUUCAACUUCUCUGCUGCGAUUUCAAAUUUACUUCAGCCUCGUACCACCACACUUCCACUGGCAAUUAAUUUCAUUAUCCGAUUUUACUAUGUGUGGAAUAGAUUUGAGCAAUUUAUGAGUUUUCGCUACGAUUUCGACGAUGUCCUCUCAACACUAAUUUGAUCACCUAAUUUUAACUGUUUUGGGUUAUUUAUUUUUUAUUAUAUUUAUAUACAGUCUCUGCAGGCAACCGACUACUUUACUUAUAUGUGGAACUCAUCUGAGCCAUUAGAUGGAGGCCCUCCAGAUCCUACGGCGAUUAUAUAUGAGGACAAAAAGUGUUGUAUGUUGGAACUGUUGCAACGUAGGAGGAUCCUUUAUUAAAAUGUUAAUUUAGUUUUUUAACUCAAGUUGAGACCGUAAAAAGUUGUUAUAUAAUAGUGUAUUGUAUAACCAAUUACAUAUGUAUUUGACUUGUGCAACACUUCUAUUAUUAUUAUAUAAUAAUAAUUAGUAGUAGUAUAAUUACUAUAUAAUAAUAAUUAUUAGUAGUAUAAUUAUUAUAUAAUAAUAAUUUUAAUAAAAAAUUAUUAUUAAAAUAUUGAUUUAGCCUUUCUUAGUUCCAUAUUUGUUGUUUUGCUAUAAUUUUCCACAAUGACGCAUUAUCAGACUUUCUUAGUUCCGUCAUCUUCUAUUACUCAACUUAACGUCUUAUCAUCUCUAGCUCGUCUUCCAUAGCAUGAAAGUGAAUAAAUUUAACUGAAUGGUUAAUUAAUCAAUUAAGUUUCAUGAGCUUUAAUCGAGUUAAAACCAAGUACAAACAUCGUUAACAAAUACUGAAAUUUAGUAAAUUAAAAAAAUAAAAAACUAAUUCAAGUAAUAUGUAGUUUUUACAUGUUGAUCAUCAGGAUACAACAUUAAAUUUUGUCAUUGACAAUAUUGCAUGCCUGUCAUCUAAAGCAUUACCUCACAAGGUUUUAUGAGAAACGAAAGACUAGUGCUUGCUUUGAACAAUUAAAGUUGCUGCUACCAACCUCCCCAAAGAUCAAGAAGACAGAACAGGAAGCUAAUGCCAUCAAUGUCUUGUUCAUUAUAGCUGUUGGGUAGUUAGGUGUAGUUUCCUCACUUGAAGCUGUCUAUACACAGGCUUUUCCCCUGCAAAUGGACAAAUAAAUGAACAGCCUUGAAGCUUUACUAUUCGCAACACAAAGGGAUUACUAAUUGGAGAAGACUUUACAGAGUUCCUCUCACACUUUCUCUCUCUCAAUUUCAUCUAGAAGUCCCUCCGAAAGCAUCACCCAAAACAGUUAGUCAUCCUUUAUACUCUGUUUUCUGGAAACAGAGUCCUAACUAACUUAACUGACUGUACAGAGCACGUCAACAUAGCAUAUUUAACCAUUUUAACGGUAAUUUGAACCGUCUUCAGAGUUAUCAUCAACAAGCUCAUUCAUAUUUGUCCAAUCUUACGGACGAUAUCAUAUGCUUAACUCGACACAAUCUGGAUUCAACCUCCUCCUAUCCAACAAGGGAUUUCGAUUUGAGUUAAUAAUAAUAAUAACGACAAUAAUAAUAAACUAAAAAACAGAAUUAAUUACUAUUGAAUGGUCGGAAAAAAAAAAAAUUGAAAACGUGUGAACUCCAAUAAUCACCCCACAAAUUCAGUGGCGAAUUUUGGAGAGGGCAAGGCCGGGCUUCUCAGAAAAAAAUUUAUUUAGUUACAAAAUUAUCUUUAUUGAAACCUAUAUAAAUUUUUUUAUAUUAAUUAGUUAUGUUACCUCUUCAAUUAUCAUCAAAUUCUUGUCUGUUCAUCAUUUGGUGAAUAAAUGUGUGUCUAAAUAAUUUCAAAUAACAUUUAGAACAAAUAUUUUGAGAGGUAAAGCUUAUUUUGUCUCGCAUUAUUAGGUGCAUCUAUAAUUUCUUAUUUACAAAAUUAUAUUGUACGAUAAAAAUUUAUUGAAUUAGGGAAAAAAAAAAAGUUCAGCUCACUCAAAAACAAAAAAUGGUAUUAACUUCGCCACCGCACAAAUCUAGAAUAAUAAUUAUUCCUUAUCAUGCUGGGGAUCCUUUAUACUUUCUAGCCGUAUUGACAGCACCAGGUAAAGCUUUGUAAAAUAAUAAGUUACUCAUUAGUGGUUUUUAAUCUUUUUAAUUCUUUUUACCGCACACCUGAUCAAGAAUUUUAUUUUGUUAACUAAUCAAUUGCAAAGCAUAAAUAAGUGUUGAACGGUACACAAGAUUGGAAAAAAAAAUCUUAAAAAACGCGCGGAUUCGGUAGCCACACCAGAAAUCUAUUACAAUAAUUUCUGGCCGUAUUGAAGUUUUUAAAAUAACAAGUUCCCCUUCUCGUUUUUUUUUUAAAUAUAUAAGCUUAUAACAAUUUUAGAAUAAUGACUCAUUUGUAGAAGAAUUUAUGAUUUCAUAUUAAUAUUAAUAUUGAAGUGGGGUGGGUCAAAUCUCAAUUGCUUGAAGAAUUUAUUUAUUAUUAUUAAUAUUAUUAAUAUUGAAGAGGGGUGGGUAACGGACCAGCGGUUCACUCAGUUCGUGGCGAAUUAAAUAUUACCAUCCAAGGUAGAAUUGUGGAAAAUUAAAGCAAAAUGACUAGUAUGGAAAGGAAGGCUGAAAGUAAGGCAUGACGAAAGGCUUUGAGAAGGCUGAAGACUACCAAAGAAGUCAACUGAAAGCUAGCUGGGGCCUGAGUGUAUAAAUUGUUAGAUGCGUUUGUUAUAAAUAACAUAGAGCCCUUUUGUUAUUUAUAGUUAUAGAGAAAGAGAGAAUGUGUGUUUUUUAAUAGUUAGAGAUAUAGCUAGAAUGGGUGGCUCAAAAUCCAAAAUGGUGACAAUGUUAGUUCUCAUAUUAAUAAUAUUAGGAGGGGGGGGGGGGGGGGACUCAGGGGAGGUCGAGUGAGGGAUGUUUGGAGCAUGAGAAAUUUGAUCUUUUGCGGCUUAAACAUUUCUUCAAUUCCCCUUAUACACUUCAAAACUGGGUAGGUGAACAAAGGGAAAGGGUUGAAUGCGGCAACUCCACAUGCCAAGUGGUACAACUACACCUUGGCCUUACUAGGAAUAUCGAUCUGGGAGAGUGGUAUCUGAAUGCUUCUCUAUUUACUUCCUUUCAAUAACUUGGUAACAAAAUAGCCGGCUGCAUGCGUUGAGAAUGAAGGUCCUUCAUUUAAUUUAAUUUACUUAAUUUCUCCCUCCUAAUUAAUGUCUAUAACCAUUAGGAGGAACAAAGGAUUUUAUUAACUCAAAUAUAUCUAAUGGAGCUCAUUCUUUGGUGUCUAAACAUUCACUCACCACUUAUUUCAUGUCUGAUUAUAUGUUGAAAAGAUAUUAAAGUAAUUUAACGCAAUUAAGGCUUAGUAUAUUUUUUAUUAGUAGAGUGUAGAACUUUUAAGAAAUAUAUUAUUAAAUUAUUAUAACUAACAUAUUAUUUUAAAGUUGUGUUAUGAAAAAAAUAAAAUAAAAGGACAAAUAUGUAUUUAUACGAAGCUUGUAAAUUUUUUUGUACUGAUAUUUGAAUAUUAUCAAUUAAAAAAAAUUAGGGUAAUGGUCAUGCUGCAUUAUUUUUGUAGCACACAAAAGGACAACACCGUUUAUGUUAUAAUACUAUCGCUCUGUUAUGAUAAUAUUUUCUUUUGUGGCCAAAUAUCAUUUUUUAAGUAAAAAAAAGUGGACAAAAUGCAAAUCAGUUUUUAAUCCUCAGUCUCUCCCAAAAUUUAAAUUCGUAGUUAACAAAACAAAAUUGUUGGAAAACCAUUAAGCUAGGUCCAUGGGUUGUUAAAACUAUAGCUGACAAAAAGUUACUAACAAAAACAGAAUGUCCAUUUUAUAACUUUCUUAAAAAACAUUCCUUAACUUUUUUAAAAAGUUACCAACAAAAAGUUAUUUCCAAUUUUUAUUUUGUUAUAAUUUUUAUAAUAAAAUUCGUAGUUAACUAAACUCUUCUUAUACCCUUUCUCAACUGCCAUACCCUAACCCUGUUCCCCAUUUCCCCACUAAACCACGCUCAAUUAAGGCCAUCAGAUUCUCCCGGGCCCACAUUAAUCCAACUGCUCACAGAGACCGACAGCCUCUCUAUCUCCAUUUCAAGCUCCCUCUUCAACUGGCUUCUGCUACCGUCCUACUCUUUCUCGGCUUCGGAGUCCGUAUUUUCUCGGCCGGUCCCACGAAGCUCCCUCUCACUCCAAUUGUCGCCCCACAAGACCAAUUGCUUAAUCAAGACACCGAACAAGAAGAGGAUGAGAAGUUGAAACAAGAAUUUGAGAAUUGGAAAUAAAAAACGUACGCAUUGACCGUGCCUUUGAGAGUCGUUUCUCUUCAGAACUCAGUGCCUCAAUCUUGGGUUAAGGAUUUUAUGCGAAGUCAAGGAAAGAGAUUGAAGUUUCAGAUGAAUUUGUGCGCUAGCAUUGAUGGGAUCUUUAACAAUUUAUCUGUGCCCUUUAACAAAGUUAAGGCUAAGUCAGCUUCGUAUAUGGCUGCUGAUUUGGUUAGUGUUGGUGAUUCAUGGCUCAGUUUUGCAAUUAAAAAGAGAUUGAUUGAGCCAAUAGCUGGAGCUGAAGAUCAAGAUUGGUUCAAAUGCUUAUGUCACAAAUGGAAGGUAACAUCUUUAUCUUUGACCCGAUCAUUUUUAUUGUCUUUUUAAUUGCAAUGAGAAGAAAUGCCACUGUAGCAUGCAGUGAUGGCACUUAAUAAGUGAGUUGCUAGGAUGUGAACUAGAAAAAUUAAAUAUUGUCUCCUUGGGUAUGCUAGCUCGUAAGUUAGGGUUAAUAUCAGAGCUUAAGGUACUAUAACCGUGAGAAGCUAUUGACUGCCAAUUAAAAUAUCCAUUAAAAUGUCUAGGGAGUUAUGAAGGUGGAGGUAACUACUAAUAAAAAAUAUCCAGUUAACCUCCUGCUCGAUGCAAUUAAUAAAUUUGGUCAAUGCCACUGAAACCUGCUAACUGACAUCACAAUGCGACAUGAGCACUUCAAAAUGGGACAGACGGUCAGUAGCACUAAAUUUUUCUUGCCUAAGAUUGAGCAAUUGGUCUAACUACUAAUCCCUAUUGUAGGUUGAUCAUUAUUUUUUCAAUUAUGUUCAGUUUGACCCAAAAAGUUGCAGAAUCUUGAGCUGAAUAUUGUCACUGAACACUGUCAAUGUCGUUUAGCAUGGCCAACUAACUUGAGUUUGGUAAAACAAACACACAGUGUGUCUCAUGUCUCACAAAUCAAAUUAUCAUCUGUAAUGAUGGAGAAUUUUUCCAAUGUAUGAAGUAUGCUUUGAUACGUGGGUUACCUUGGAGAAGAUAUCUUAAAAUAAAGAAUAUGGGGAGAAAACAGUUCAGUAGUUUAUUAUUCUGUAGUCAAGUUUUGUCUCGAAAAUGGUCAAAAUUUAAAUGAACAAGGACAGGGGAUCUUCAUUCUUUUUUCCCUUUUUUAUACCAAGAUAUCUCUCAACCUUUAUAUAAUCCCCACUGGAUAUCUGCUUCUAAUAAUUAAAAUAAAAAUUUCACCGCUCUAACAAUAAAAAGUAACAUCUUUAGUCAAAUAAUUUACAGUUCCUCAUCAUCUUAGUGUGAGACUAUCAGUACAUUCCAAAAACAUAAUAAAACUGGUUUGAUCCUGUUUAUUGAUGUUUAAAUGUUGUUCAUUGUGACAUGUAGAAAUGAUGAGGCGAAGUUUAUUUGGACAUCAAUUAGUAAGAUCUUGUUUGAAGUUGUUUUCUGAAAUGAACUGCCGAAUGGUAGUUUUUUGGGGGCAUUUGAUGGCUCUUUUUUUUUCCUCAUUUUCAACAUGUGCCUGCUUGGAACAGGAAGGAUUAGACUGCAGAGUUGUUAUAUAUUUUGAGAUGCUCUGGUCAUUGCACAAUUUGUUCACACUGGAAAUUAGAAUGAGAAAUUUGUUGAUGCUGUUUUGAGAGAUCUGCAUUCUAUGCACAAUAACAUGAUUAAUGAAAAUGCAUUGUAGGACUGGAAAGAUCUGUGGCAGCCUGAGCUCGCAGGAAGAAUUUCAAUGGUUAAUUCUCCCCGACAGGUUAUUGGUUCAGUUUUGAAGUAUAGGGGAGCAUCAUACAAUUCAAACGAUAUUGAUUCGCAAGUUGCUGGUGGGAAGAUUGCUGUUCAGCAGAAUCUAGCAUUACUGGCAAACCAGGUACUCUUACAGAAAUGAUAUCUGGUCAUUGCAUGUUAUUGCCUGACAACUGAUUUUGUUUGUACAAGUCUGCUUCUUCAUACAUAUGAAUGCAUAUGUUAGUGUUUUCUUCUCCUUUUCAUACAUAUAAAUGCAUAUGUUAGUGUUGUCUUUUCCUUUUCAUACAUAUUAAUACAUAUGUUGGUGUUCUCUCCUGAGAUGGAUGCAAUAAAGGCUUUUGCUCCUAAAUUUAGCUGAAGAAAUGGCAAGGGAUGUGAGAUUCUGUUUCAUUAAAUUAACAAAAACCCAAAACAAUGAAAAUCCAUAAUAAUGUGGUGUGGGUAAAUUGGCUCCAUUUGGUUCGUUUCCUUAAUGUGAACGCGCGAGCAAUAGAGACUAACAAAAUGAAGUGACAACAAGAAGUCAGUGUCCUUUGAUGGAUGCAUUUUUAGGCAGAAAUAGGUUUGUAAUUGACCAAAUUUGUCUGGCAUGCCAAUUUAAAAAAAAAUAAAUUAUGUGGUUAUUAGCUGUAAUGAAGGGGGAUAGUAGGUGCAAUCAGGUGGAUCCUGGAAAGUUCAACAAAGUUUUGGUAUGGCGUAGUGAAAUUGGUUUGUGCAACUCAGGAGUCUUUCAGGUGAACGAUGAUAGGUUUUGAUUUAUGAAUAUUAUAAAUCUACUGUGCAUAGUAGAAUCAUCUAUAAGUUCUAGUUAUUGAAAUUGUAUACUUUGCCCGGUUUGAGUUAAGGGCACAUGUAAUAUGAAAGAUAGUUGUCGCAUCUUUUAGGUUACCUAACAUUUGAUCAAUCCUAUUAUGGGGGCUUCAAGAUGUCUAACAAUAUGUAGAAUGCCCGUGCUCCUCCCCAUUGUUUAUCUUAUACAAUAAUUUGUUUUAGAUGCUAAUAUCUUUGUCGAUACCGGUAACAAUAUUACAAUAUCUGCGUUUAUUGGGUUUUACAUAGGUUCGACUGUUUGACAGUACACACUAUCUGAAGGCAUUUGCAAUUGGAGAUGUAUGGGUUGCUGUUGGGUGGAGUAGUGAUGUUCUUCCUGCUGUCAAACGUAUGUCUAAUGUUGCUGUUGUUGUUCCCAAGUCUGGUGCUAGCUGCCUGCCAUUCUACUUCGAUAUUCACAUUGUUAUCUCCUUCAUAUUAGCGAUCAGUAAACACGAUAAUGUGACUAAUAAGUUUGUAUUCUCUUUAUAGGCAAUCCCUGCUGCCUCAAGACUUGAAACAAAACAAAUUGGAGGGCGAGUCAGAGGUCCAUCUCCAUUAAUCCAUCAAUGGAUAGAAUUCUGCUUGCAAACAGCGAGAGCAUUGCCUUUCAAGCAAGAGGUUAUCCCGGGUGCAUCUCCCUCUGCCCUUGAAAGUACUCUGGUUAAGUUGCCUGAAGAACUUCUGAAGGGUAAACCAAGUCUGGAUACUAACUUAAUUGCUGGAGUACUCCCGGCUGAAAUUCUGGCCAGAUGUGAGUUUUUGGAGCCAUUAUCUGAAGCUACUUGGUCAUAUUAUGAGUGGCUGGUUGUUAAUCUGCAAAAAGCUGCUCCUGUCUUGAUGAAAAGGGUGCAACAUUACUUGUCAUCAUUAAUCCAAAGCUUUCUAGCAAGAGCUACAUUGAAAAGUUAAUGGCGCUGCAUGCCAAUCAUUAUAAUGCUGUCAGGGCAAUUGGGUCAGGGCAAUUAGGUCAGAGCAUAACUUCAUUAGGAAAAGAGGCUUCAGCUACGUUAAAUAUUACAGGAUGUACUGAGAUGGCUGAAGUCGUUGAGGUUUUACGAGAAACGAAAGAUGAGUGUUUGUUUGAACAAAGUUGUUACUGCAGCGAUUUUGAAUAUGUGCAAGAUGUUGUCCACUGCUCUUUGGGUUAUGGUGUGACUUUCGAUUUCAAGGUUGCCCUGAAACAACGGAAAAGAUUUACAUACCCUCCAAGGAAUGACAACGGCUGGACUAAUUCUGAUCACCUAAUUGACUCAGGAUCGGCUGGCAAUAAUAACAGUUUGUUAACAAUGCACAGUCCCGAGUACUUUUCCAGGAUCAGAUACGACGUGGUCUAAUGUUGAUAAUAAUAGUUUAUUAAAUGACAAAUCGUUGUCCUUGGGUGUUGAUUUCAGA